rnacentral:lncRNA from 1 species
UGUCAUUUAUUACCACCUCUGUCAUUGCUCUGCAUCCAUAUACUUGCACUGUUACGAGUCGCACCAGAGUUUUUGCUGUGGAGGAUGUUACUAAGUGUAUCAAUUCCUUGCAACCGACAGCUACCAGUUUUGCUAGGUUCCGAAAAGAUACCGAUGAUGAUGGCAAUAGACUUAACAGAUUUUGACAAUGAUAUACUUUUAGAAUUUCAAGAUAUUGAAAAAUGGAGUCAAGUUUGGAGUCUUGUUUACAUAGCUGCUUCAGAUGAUUAAGGUGGCCCAGCUCUAUACAUUUUAUCAUUGCCAACUUCCUCAAACGGUUCUCUAAGCAUCCUUCCGUUGAAAAUACCUCUUCGUAUGAACAAUGAUACAGUAAGAGUAAUUCGAGAUUGUGAAAUCUCUCAAGUACAUUCCUGAUUGGAAAACAAGCCGAGUCAUCAUAAGUUAUGUCUAGUUUUUUAAGACUGCCAAAAAGGUGUUGUGGGAAAUCGGCGUCCAAAAUCAUCUUCACAUCUUUUCCGCUUAACGCCAGUGACUCCAAGUUGGGUAAGAUCUGAUCAUCGUCAAUCACGUAGUAACUAAUCAGGUCAGUUGAUGUUCUCUCCAAUAAUUUUACCUUAGAGUACUUGUUGUAGAUUAUAUAUAUUUUACCAAAAAAAAAAAAGAAAAGAAAGGAAAAAUUGAAUUAGUGAUAAAAUUCAUUCUAGGAUUUUUGUAUGUUAAUUUGAGAGAUAAGAGAGAAAUUAGAAAAAAAAAGGAUGAUUUAUACUGGCAUAAAAAUAUUUUAUUGCACAAUAAUAAAUUAUUAAUUUAUAUUGUAAGUGAUUAUAUAUGAGAAAACUGAGGAUUCUUUUUUAAUGCUAUACCUAAAAUAAUUCAUCUAACUAUUAAUUUAGUACAUUGAUCCCUUAGGCCAGACUAGCAAAAAUAUUAAUUUUGUAAUAAAAGUUUUCAAUUUAUUGAGUAUUAAUUUAUUGAUGUUUAGUUAUAUUUUACAAAGUCAAAAGUCGCUAAUGAUCUAAUUGAUAAGAAAUCUAGAAAGCGGCUUCAUACCUUUUUGAACAAGAAUAGGGGCCGUUGUGCAGGAAUACCAAGUUGAUCAUCCUCAUUAUUUUGUGAUGAAUCUGCAGCGAAUGUCUUCAAUUUGUCACAACCAGACACCACUAAAAUUUUUAGUGCAGGCCAUUCCGAAGUAUGCAUUCCAUGGUAUAAACAUUUAAGUUCCGGUAGCUCUUGGAGUAUAAGAGUGGUCACCCGUUGAAAGACAAAAUGAGGGGUCACAUGAUCUACUCUGUCUUCCGAAAUGAUCUCUUGCAAACCCCUACAAUUCACUAUCUCUACUUGUUGGAGAUGCUCAAAGCUUUGAAUCAUAGAAACUAAAAAUAUGUAUUUUAAUUUGUUACAGUGGCACACAAUCAAUCGUGUUAAACUUUGAAAGCGAGGAAGCAUGACCGGACGAUGAUUGUAAUGCCAAAUCUUGUCGACAUUAAUUUCAGAUAUCUCCAAAGCCUCCAAAUUAGGCAACCCUACCUAAAAAAAUAUUAAUUUCUUGUUAGAUCCAACACCCAUAUGAGAAGGACUUAUUGAAAUUUUCUUCUUUGAUUACAGAUUAAUAAUUCAAGUCAAAAUCAAUUUCCAACUGACAGCUGAGUAUGCAUUCUAAUUCGUAUUACUUGUUAAGAGCUCAAUUAGUGAGUGCGUGAGAUUCUUUUUAUCCUUUUUUUUUCACUUUCUUUCAAUUCUUUAAAUGAUUUAAUUAUUUUCCACGUAUGACAUCAAAAGAGAAUGCACAAUAGCAUAAAGAAAGUGUUAGCCUACGCACCUUGCCGUUGAAAAGCAGUGUUUCCAAAUUGAUUUCGUUGGAGCAAGAACUUGUCAAUUCCUCUUGCAGCCCUUGUCUGUUUGGUGAUGCUGAAGGAGUCUUCAAAUUACGGAAAAAAGUUGUAACCUCUGGAAGAUUUCCCAAACUCAAAGAUCUUAAUUGAGCCAACUCUAUCUUCUCAGCAGCAUUAUUGUUGUCAACAUCAGCAUCUCCCCCAGUAGCAAAAAUCUCUUUCAUCUUGCUGCAAUUAAUAACUGCAAUUCUCUCAAGUCUUGGAAGGCAUUUUGCAGUGGAGAGCCAGAAGAUAUUACUCAACUCAUUACAAUUUUCUACUUUUAUUGUUUUGAGUUUAUUGAAAGACUCUACUUUGAGUCGAUCAAUGCAUAUCCUCUCCAUGUUGAUCAAAUUGUGAAGAGUCAGUGACUCCAAAAGAGGAAAGGCAUCACAAGCUACCAUCUCCAUUGAGUCGACAAUACAAAAGAAGUCAGGAUUAUUUUGAACCCAGAGAAGCUUCAAUUGUGGAAAGCCCUUUGUGUCCAAAUCGAAAAGAACAUUUUUGACACCUUGUAGCUUGUCCAACCAUACGUAUUCAACGUUAUUGAUGGCCUGCAAUUUCAUGGAGCAAAUGUCCGUAAAAUCAGGCUUGAGCUUCAAUUCUCUUAAACGCUCAUGAUUAUGGUUGAUCAAAAAGUGCGACCGACUGCGAAACCAAUCUUUUGUAACAGGCAAGGAAGCCAUGAAUGACUCAUUUCCAAUAGAUAUUUUGAACCUUUCGAGCUUUCUGGCCAAAAAGCCUUCCUGUAAAAUACUGUCAUUUUUAACAUCAAUUUCUAGAGUGGUUAGCCAAGGUAAAAGCAUCAAUUCAUCAAGGCUUGCAUUACUUCUUUCAGUGUUGGCUCUUUCAACCUCCCAUUCAACGGAGCAAUUACCCAUACACAAUUCUUCUAAUCGGAUUAAGCUCGAUAUGACAUUUGGGGCAAUAACUUUUAGAUGGAAACAGUCUCUUAAAUCUAACAGCCUUAGCUUAGUCACUUGCCCUAGUGCUUUUGGUAACUCUACAAUAUCAGACCACACAAAGCUAAGGAUUUCUAGAUUUUCCAACUUUCCAAUAAUGGCUAUGUCCAUGUCUCCCAAAAUGCUUUGAUCAAGACAAAGCGUCGGAAGAUUUACUAGAAGAUCAAUUGAAGAUGGCAAUGACAAUAACCGCAUUCUAGUCAAAUCCAAAACCCGAAGCUUUUUUGUCCUUUCGAAGAAGUUCUCAGGAACAUUAGGCGCAACAAAAGAGUUCUUGGGAGACAUGAAUAAAAAUUCCAAGUUGUGGAGAUUCCAACACUUCGGGAAUGUCAUUAAUAAUACUAUCUUUAAAAAAAUUGCAGGAUAUUUUUUUAAUGCAUCUGCAUCUGGCCAUUUCCACACAUCCUCAUUUCUCACCGCAAAUGCAAUUUUGUCACGACGUGCAAUUGAAAUGGCAACAUCGCGAACAACAUCAUGCAUGGAAAAGAAUUUACUGCCACCAUCCUCAAGCAACAAACAAGAGUCUCUUAGUUGAUGGACCCAUGCAUGUAAUUUGUUAUGUGCAUCUUCUAGCUUAUAGACACUUUCAAAUGCACCCAAGCCCACGCUAUAUUUGAACAAGUCCAUAAUUGAAGUUGGUGUAAUUAGACUACACAGUAAAAAAGUUUUCUUGAGUUGCUCACCUCUUAAAUACUUGUAACUUAGCUCAAUUGUUGAGUAUGCCUCUACUGGUACUCCUUCAUCGAAGCUUGCCUCUGAAGGCGUUUGGAGUUCUUGUAAGACGUUCUUCCACACAGGCAGCUCUUUGUUUCUCAGUGCCUUUGCUACUGUGGUUAGGGCAAUAGGCAAACCUCCACAUGCCUUGGCUACAUUUGUUGCUGUAGAUUUUAACUCACGAUUUUCAACAUAAUUACCAGCCAUUAUCUUGAACAACCUCCAAGCUUCUUGCUCAUUUAGAAUGCCAAUCAAGAAGUUUUUUUCAGAUCCCAUACUUAACAAAACAUUACGAUCCCUUGAUGUUAAUAAUAACUUGCAUCCUCUAUGAUCAACGCCAAAAGGAAUUCCGACAGUCUCUAAAUCAAGAUAUUUCCAGAUGUUAUCCAGAAUCACAAGGAUCAUCUUCUCUUUCUUCAAUCGUUCAUAAAGUCUACUAGCUCUUCUAGAUUCAGCCUCCUCGGACAACUCCAGACCUAGUUUCUCUGCAAUUUCCCCUUGAAUCUUUUUUAUGUCUGGAGUUUGGGAAACCUCUGAAAAAACCACCUGAUCAAAGAGUUUCUCUUCACUGGCUUGCCUUGCAAACUCCUUCACCAGUGUUGUCUUUCCAAUGCCGCCCUUUCCGUAUACCCCAACGAUGCUGACAUUGACAUCAGUCAAUGCAUCUUGUAUAGACUUCAGAGUAGAAAGUCUUAAUUUAAAGGCCUCGUAACCUUUGUUAGACUUUAGCCAUACCUCCUCCGCAAUGGUACGGUAGAAAAUUCUAUCAUCAAAUCUCCUAGCUUCUUCUUUGAGUUCAACAAGGGCCUUCACCUCUGUUUCUGCUUUCUUGCUAAGCUGAUAGCGGGUCUUCAAAUUAGGACACAAGCCCUUGAAACAUCGCUUACUUGUUGUCUCCCCAUCUUCAAUGAAUUUGGCUGCCUGCUCAAUGGUGUUGUUCGCACUAACCAGCCAGUUCUCAACCUUCUCUUCAAUCUUUUCUCCUUUUCUUUCAGCCUCAGAAACUCUGUGCUGAAUGCUCUUACUUUCAUCCUUGAGCUUGUCUAUUUCUGCCUUGAGAUUCUCAAAGUUGGCUUUAUAGUUUCGCAAAUAACCAAGUUGGCGUUCUGUUGGAGGAGCGAAGCAUUUCACAACUUCUAACAGAACAGUAACAAUGCUUUCCACCAUCUUCGAUCCUCUUUUUUUCAAAGUUCCGAAAUGAAAAUAAACGACGAGCGAAAAACAGAGAGAAAGAGGGGCAAAAAAAAAAAAAAAAAAAAAAAAAAAAAAAAAGAAAAUGAAACAACAAAGAUGACAAGUGUAUCUGUUUGUGGAAGCGGAGAAAUCAAAGAAAGCUUAAAAACUGUUGUGAAUCUGGUGAGAAGAUGGAAACAAGGAAAAGGUUUCUAGUUCAAAACUGAUUGAAUUGAUAUAAGGAAUGAUUUAGAUAAUAGAGGAAAAUUGAAUCAGUCAAAAUAACUUAAGUAUUGACCAGAAGAAAGAUGCAAACAAUAUUAGAGACAACAACCGCGCUAUUGACUGGUAAUAGAGAUGGAGAAAAAGAAAAUAUCUUCACACGGUGGAAGUACAAAGGGUAGAUAUGGAACCAAACAGAGACAACAACAGGCCACAACUAGAUUGGGAAUGGAGAGAAACAAAUUAACAAAGACUGGAGAUUACAACAGAACAGAUGCCAAGAGAAAAGGGUUUCUUCAUCCAGUGAAAUUCAAGAGAGUUGACAGCAAAAGGGAGCACAUGUGUUUCUUGAUUGAGAACGAGUGCAAAGGAUGACUUUUUAAUGAGGUUCUGAAGCUGACGAAUAACGAUUUGCUAAAAUUUUGAGAAAGUUAUAUAUUCCGUAACUUCAACAAGUGAAGAAUAAAAGAAUAAUAGUUCGUCAUCUUCACAAUGAAGAUCAUGGACGAGAUUAAAAGCUAAAACUAGUCCAUUUGAAAAGCCAAAGUUCAAGUUCCUUGGCUAAGUUCAGAAGUGAAGCAAAGAAUAAAUAAAUAAAGAUCAAGGGAUGGGAAUAAAGUCACCCCCAGACAGUUGCAGAAAGAUUAUUAUUUGGUAAGCGUAGUUGAUUAUUAGUACAAAACAGAGUAGGUGAAACACAUCCUUUCUAUUUAGACUGAUCAGCAUCUAAAAUUUUAUGAAUUAUGAGUUGCAUUUUAUUUUGUACAUUCUGUUAACACAUUUUAAUUUAGCCAAUUUUGCAAUAAAUGUUAUUGAUGUAUUAAAUUGCAACAACAAAACACAAUUAUUGGUUUUAAAGAAUGAAAAAAAAAAUACAAAAAUAGAAAAUGAAUUGAAUUCCACUCAUCGUCAUCUUGGCAAAUCAAGUCAAAAAAUAAAAAUCCAUAUGCUUUUGUUAAAGUUAAAAGCUACAUAAAUAAUAUCACAGAAGCUUCUGCUAAGGUUCAUGUGAAGUCACAGCUUUGAUACUUGUAAUACAAGGAGCACGGAGAAACCAUAAACUUCAGUUUAGGUAUAUACAUUGCUUGUCUUUCAAACUUGAAUUGAUAAGGGGGAAAAAAAUAAUACUAAAGCAAACAGAAGGAUCAUUUAGUUGACAAAAUUAUUAUUAUUUUGAAAUUCGGGUCAUUCAGUUACUUUCAUUUCAGUUUCACUUCUGAUUCAAUUUAACCAGUUAACGUUGACAAAAAUAAAAUGCAAAUAUAAGGCUAAGGCUGCUAAUUUGAUGAACUAAUUGUCUCAGGAACCAAAGCAUCUAUAAGCAUGCAUGGGUGGCAACACCAUAAUUACUCAAGACUGGAGGAGUAAAAAGAUUGGUGAUGAUAAACAUUAAAUUUUAGGAAAAUCAUUCACAAAUAUGCUUUUAUAAAAGUUUUGUUGGUAAAGUUCGAGAAAUGCAUACAUGUCAAAUUUCCAUUUCUUGUGAGCAUUUCACCAAAUAGCUGAUAUGCAUUAAUAACUCCUAUCCUAUACUAUUGGCCAGUAGGUUGUUGCUGCUUCCCCAUUUUUAAUGAUGCGAACGUCUCAUACUUAGAAAUAAGGGCGGAGCCUGGAGAUUGAUUUAUAAGAUAAUCUUUUGAAUAAAAAUAAAAACAAUUACAGAUUUCAAAUGUGAGAAAAAUAAAAUUGCGUUAUAAAAUUAAUCCCACUAAGAAAGUCGUCUACGAAAUUGCCACAUUAAAAGAAAAUUUUUCCAUAAAUUAAAAUAAAAUUAAAUGAAAACUAUUUUUCAGUAAAGUCAAUUGCCCACGCUAGGCUAAGGCGUUUGUUUAUUUGUUUGUUUGUUUUUAUAAUCUGAAUAGGUAUAAAUUUUUUGUAAGCAUGAAUGAGCUGAGUACAAAUAUAUGAAUGAUAUAUUUAUUUUUCUUUUUCUUAAUACCCAAAUAUAAGUGACAUCUUAUUUAUCUUAAAUAUGGUUAUUUGAUAUUUAUAUUUUUACAAAUAAAAACAAAAAAAAGUAGUUAGAUUUUAUAGUUUAAGAAAUAAAUAUAUUUUAUAAAAAUAUUUUUAGAAUAUAUAUUUAAUUCUUAUUUAGACUUUUUCCUAUUCAAUAAAAGUCACAAAAGUUACUUUUUCUAUUCAAAUGUAAAUGCUUAAAAAUCAGAUAUAAGUCACAAAAAAAAUAAAUUUUAGAAAAAGUCAUAAAUUAAUAAAAUUUCAUAUAUUUAACUCCCAAUGCAGAUCCGCCCCUAUCAGUGUUAGGAAAUUGACUGGUGAAGUAGGUUCACAGCUAAAAUGAAAUUGGAAGAAAAUGAAGAACAAGCACAUAGAGGACACCAAAAAUUACAUGGUUCGACUUUUAGCCUACGUCUACGGGUAAAGACAAAAGGAUGAAACUUUACUGGUGAAAUGAGGAUUACUAGUAUUAUAAUAUUUUGUUUCACUUCCCAGAACCCCAAUCCACUCAAUCUCUUAAAACACUAAUCACUCAAGAGCAUUAAAACUCUUAGUCUCUCACUCUAGAAUUGAAGAAGAAAAGAAUGAAAUGCAGGGGUGAACCCCUCAUUUAUAGUUAAAAAUUUGGGCACUAUUUAUAUUUUUAUACAUUUUUUUUAAAUUAAAAGUUUGAACUUGACAUUCAAACUUUGAAUAUCAAAAGGUAUUGGUCACUCUUCUAGAAAAGUGACAUUGACUUUGACAUUCUCCCACUUAGAAAUUUGAUUGAGAAUCAAUCAAUCUCCACACCAUCCUUUCUGCUUCGUCGCUAUCAUGUUGCUUAUGUCUCUACUAGGCCAUAAAAUGAUAUACUCCAAACAAAUUUAUCAGCAUUGAUAGGCUUGGGCAAAACAUUUGUUAAGUUCUCCUUGGUAUCCACUCUUGUAUCUUUCACUACUUCACGAAGAAGUGAUAUUGUACUCCUAUAUUCUUUGUCCUGAAAUAAAAGGUUGGAUUCCUUGCAUUCUAACUAUCACAAACCAUAAAAAAAUUUAUGCCCAAGCUCCUUCAGUAACCUUUGUAUCCAAAUAGCCCUUCCAAGCUUGUGUAGCUGCUAUGUAAUCUGCUUCUGUUGUUGAUAAAGCCACAAUGGUUUGCAAUUUUGAAAUCCAACUAACAAUUUCGCCUUCUGGUGUAAAUACUUAGCCAGUAGUGGGUUUCCUUUUAUUAAGAUUUUCUGCAAAAUCUGAAUGCACAAAGCCCUUGACAGUAAAUUCUAAUCCUUCGCAGCAUAAUGCAACAUCUGAUGUUCCUCUGAUAUUUCUCAGAAUCCUCUUAAUAGUCUUCCAAUGUUCUUUGCAAGGAUUCGCUAUGUAUCGACUAACUGCUCCCACUACUUGUACAAAUCAUAGCAAACCUUAAAUUUUCCACUGCUGAUGCAUACAGUACUCAAGACAUCUCUUCUUCUCUACUUCAUUACUAGAUGAAUACUUAAGAAUAACUUGAAAUUAAUAGGAAGCGGGGUAGAAAGCCAAAUCUUCUUGCUAUUACUAUCUCGGUGAAUUUGCAUCCCUAAAAUCUUGUUUGCUGGUUCUAAGUCUUUUAUUUCAAACUCCCUAGUUAACUGUGCCUUCAGUUCUUGGACUCGAUCUUUGUUGGGGCUUGCUACCAAUAUGUCAUCCACAUACCACAGUAGAAUGAUGAAAUCAUUAUUAUCAAACUUGUUGUAAUAUGUACAACAGUAUGAAAUGAUUCUAUUGUAUCCAAGGUUUAUGAUGAAAGGAUCAAUUCUUUUAUAUCAACAUCUCGGUGCAUGUUUGAGAUCGUAUAGAGAUUUGUUCAACUUGCAAACCAAGUGUCCCUUUUUAGUAAAACCUUCUAGUUAGAGCAUAUAAAUCUUUCCUUCAAGUUCUCCAUGAAGAAAUGAAAAUUUCACAUCUAACUGCUCCAAAUAUAGGUCAAAUGUAGCACACAUCGACAAGACCACUCUGACUGUCCUGGGUCAAAUCAUUGGAGAAAAUAUCUCAUUGACGUUAAUACAUUCUUUCACCACCAAUCUUUCACGAUAUCGCUCCACUAGGUUAUUACCAUCACGUUUGAUCUUGUGAACCCAUUUGCAACCAAUGGUUUUUUUUUAUAUGGUAGUAGUACGAGUUCCUAUGUCAUAAUCUUGUGUAGAGCCUUAAUUUCUUCCUGCAUUGCUAUCAUUCACAAAGUAACAUCUGAGCUGUUUAAAAUUUCAUAGAAAGUUGAUGGCUUUCCAUUCUCUAUUAAAAGACAGUAUGCAAAAUUGAUAUAUGUGACAUAAUCCAAAUGCCACACAUACAUUUAUCUAUCACGAGUUGACCAACAAACUUUUGGGGCCUCAGACUUGAUUGGUUCUUGUUCUCAUACUUUGGAUGAUGCUUCAAAAAAAUCUGAAUCUUCAUUUUCCAGAUUAUUUUCAACAUAUAUUAGCACAAUCUCUAAAUUUUAAUAGUGCUAUCAUCCAUAUCUCUCUUUUGCAUUUGAUCUUCUACAAAGACAAUAUCUCUGCUAAUAACGAUCUUGUGGGCAUUGAGGUCCCACAGAUAAUACCCUUUCACUCCAUCAAUAGAUUCUAAGAAGAUACAUCUCUUGGAUUUUGGAUCCAUCUUUAAUCUCACUUGGGUAUCGUAUAUCACGUAAAAGGACAUCAAAAUGCCUGAGAUGAGAGUAAUCAGUUGGCUUUCCUGUCCAUUUUUCCAUUGGAAUCUUCAACCCGAUUGCCUUGAAUGAUGACCCACUUACCACAUAAUAAGUAGUUUUUGCUACUUCCGCCUAGAAUGAGUUGGUAGACCAGCAGUUCUCAACAUAACUCUUAUUUUUUCUAUAAGAGUCAUGUUCUUUCACUCUACUACUCUAUUUUAUUGAGGAGUGUAUGCCACUGUGAACUAUCUCUAGAUACUUUCUUACUUACAUAUGCAAGAAACAUGCUAUAUGUAUACUCUCCACCAUUGUCUGUCCUCAGGCACUUGAUCCCUUGCCCUGAUUUAAGUUCAAUCUAUUCUUUGAAUUCUUUGAACAAUGGAAAUACAUUUGACCUUUUCUUGAUUGGAUACACUAAAUAUCUCCUAGAAUAAUCAUCAAUAAAAGUCACCAAAUACUUUGCACCUCCCAUAGAUAUAUCAAUUGAUUCCCAAACAUUAGAAUGAAUCAAGUCUAAAAUACAUUUACUUUUGAAAGUGGAUUUGCUAAACUUUCAUCUAUGUUGCUUCCUUGUUUCGACAUGUGGCCAAGUUUAAGAUGCCACAUCAUCGCUGAAUUUUCUCUAUUUGAUGUGACACACACAAAAGCUUUCUGUAGUGUUUCCAUUUAAGCAUGAAUAGAUUAGCACCGAUCUUUUCCACCUUCAUUAAUGCAAGUGUGCCUUUGACUAUCUUUAUGAUCCCAUUUUCUACAUGAGUUUUGUGCACAAGGCUAUCUAUUUGUCCUAAAGACAAGAGAUAUUUUUCAAGUCUUUGACAUGUCUUACCUUCUCAAUUGUGCGAACCAUACCAUUAAACAUAUUUAUUUUGACAGUACCAAUAUCAAUGAUCUCAAAGGCAUGAUUAUCACCUAUGUAUACAGAUUCUCUUGAAAUAGGUUCAUAUUUGUGAAAUCAUUCUCUUGGAGAGAUCAUGUGCCAAACAACUAUUAAGUCUAUAAGCCAGACGUCGUAUAGUGGUUUUCUGCCUUCUGAAGCAGUUGUUGCCUUACUGUAGAGAAUUUUGCUAUCAUACGAGGUACUUACUACAUACCCUUGAGCAUUUGAUGACUCGGGAUCUUUACCCUCUCUUCUCUUCUAGUUGUUCCAAUACUCUUCCUUGACAUGCUCUUUCUUGCCACAGUUGUUGCAUUUAACAUUCUUCUUACUUCUUGAUUUCGAUCUACUGUGAUUGUGGCUCUCACUAGGGCCACGUUCCAUGGAUCUUCCUUUCAUCAUCAAUAGCGCUUCUACUUGCUGCGAACUUGUCUGUCUAUCUUUUUUAUUUUUUGCUACUCUCCUCAUUUAAUACGGAGGCUGCCAUAUUGUCAAAGACUAACUUGUUUGCUCGAUUGUUAUUAGUUAGAUUAAUGACGAAUUAAUCAUACGAAUCUGGUAAACCUUGAAGUAAAAGCUCUACAUGAUCAUUUUCCUCUAUUUUAUGACCCAACGUUGUAAGUUAUGAAAAUAAAGUCUUUAAAGUGUUGAUAUGGUCGAUCACUGAUGUAGAUUCCGUCAUUCGAAGAGUAUAAAGCCUCCUCUUUAAAAAGAUUUUAUUUUGUAGUGAUUUGACCUCGUAUAGUCUUGUGAGAGUAAACCAUAUUUCCUUUGCUCUCUUUUACUCUACCACAUUGAAUAAUACCUUAUUUGAAAGUGGUAUGUGUAGAUUUGCAAUGGCAUUAUUGUCUAUCUCAUUCCACUUGUCAUCAUCAGUUAUCUUUGUGAGCCUCUCUUCAAUUGUUGCCAAGCAAUUACUCUUCCUCAAUACAACCUUCAUCUUCAUUUUUCAUGACGAAAAAUUAUUUUUGUUGAACUUCUCAAUUUUGUAUUUUUCCGCCAUCACUGUUCACCACGAGCUACCUUUGCUAAGAUCGAUUCCUACCAUUUCACAUGAGCAGUAACUGUAUAUAUGAAUAAAGUGUUGUAUACAGAAACAAUAUCAUAUACAUGAACAGUACAAUAUAUGUAAACAGUAUCUUGACCCCAAAAAAUACAACCCGAAAAUUAAUUUGUGAAGUAGGGCCGCGACUAAAAUGAAAUUGGAAGAAAAUGAAGAGCAAGCACACUGAGGACACCAGCAAGCACACUGAGGACACCAUAAAUUAUUUGGUUCGACUUUUAACUUAUGCCCAUAGGUAAGGACAAAAGGAUAAAACUUUACUAGUGAAAUGAGGAUUAUAAGUAUUUUAGUAUUUUGUUUCACUUCUCAAAACCUUAAUACACCCAAUCUCUCCAAACACUAGUCACUCAAGAGUAUAAAACUCUUACUCUCUCAUUAUAGAACUAAAGAAGAAAAGAAUGGAAUGAGUGAAAUGAGGGGGUGAACCCCUCUAUUUAUAGCUAAAAAUUUGGGCACUUUUUAUAUUUAUUAUUAUUAUUAUUUCAAAAUUUAAAGUUUGAACUUGAUAUUCAAACUUUGAAUAUCAAAAGAUACGAGUUGUUCUUCUAGAAGAACGGCACCAACCUUGACUCUUAGGCAGACCUUUAGAGCUUUAAAUAAAGAAAAAGCUUUUAAAAAUGCCAUGUGUACUUGAUUAUACAAUAAUCUCCACCACAUAGAAUGAUUUGAUAAAAGAAAUUUUUUAUUUUUAAUUUUACUUUUAUCAGGCACGGUGCAUUUCCCCUUGGGCUCAUAUGUAAGGAUGUCAAUAAGAUGGGAAGGAGAGAGGAUUGAUUUCCCCAUACUCAUCUUUAAUACUCUGUCUAUCUCUUUGUACUCUAGACAUUUCCUUCAAAAUUACUUGAAACGAGGGGAUGGAUGUUUCUAAAUAAUACAAAGGGAUCUCUUAUGGCAUCCGAUCUCUGAUUAUUUAAUUUCUUUUUUUUCUUAAUUUAAUCAUCUUAAAGUAAAAAUAUAAAAUCAUAUUAACACAAAAAAUAUCAAAUUAACUAAAGUGAUUAAAAUCAUUUCCAUCAAAUUAAGUCAAUGCCAUCAAAUUAGAAGAUAAUCUUUGAACUAAUUAAGCAAAAGUAAAUCUUCAAAGUUAAACUCAUCCAUAAAUGUCAUAUAGUAUAAACCAUCAAUUAAAUUAUCUUUGUCAAUUUUAAAGUGUUUAUAUUUACUUUAUAUUGGCUGUUAUUUAUAUUAUUUUUAUAAAUGUAUUAUGAUAUUUUUUAUUUACAUCACACUAUUGCAAUUGAAAUUUUAAAUGUAUUUACUAUAAAUUUGAAAAAAAAAUGAAUUAAAAAUAAAAACUAAAGAUAAAAAUAGAAAAAUGUGGAGCCAAAUAAAAUAUUAGGGCAAACACUAAGUUAUAUUUCAUGUAACUUACACCCACACAUAUUAAUUUAUCACAGUCUUGUCUCCACAUAGAAAAAUUAGAUCUAAGAUUAUCAAACUCCCGAAUGAGGAAGAUCCCUCGGGGCCAUCGUCCCUGUGGAAAUUUCUGCAUCCCUGCAGUCUACAACGCCUAAUAAUGAAUUGAACGGUUGAAAUCCCUCUAAAUUUUUGAUAAUUUCUAAUCGCCCCUCCAUAUUUGAUUGAACAUCAAAACUAUUGAGUCCAAAUUUAUAACUUUGAUUUAUCUUCCAUUCCAUAGUUUUCAAGUUCUCUCUCUCUCUCUCUUUUAAUCCUUUUUACUGCAACCACCAUCAAAGCCUAGUAGUUAAUAUGUAUGCUGCUUUGCUUUCAAAAUCGGACACUACUGGUAUUUAUGGUUUUUAUUCUUUAUUUGACACAAAAUUUGGCGAUAUCUCCGCGGAAAAACACUACUGGUGUAUUCAAUUUUAUCCGGUAAUGAUUAAAUUGAUUAUUACAUGAACCGUAACUUCGCCAAGCCCAAAAUACAUAUUAAGUUAUAAAGCGUGGCACUCAUUAUUUUUCGCAAAAAGUUUCGCCCAAAAUACAUAUAUUUUUUUAAUUUUUUCUGUGAAAAAAACUACUGUUAUAUUCAAUUUUAUCAUUAAAGUUGUUAGUUACAUGAACCUUAAAUUAACACAAACCGUAACUUAGCCAAGCCCAUAAUACAUAUUUCAUAUUUGUAUGAAAUUUAAAGUUUUUCCACUUAUUAUUUUUCGCUAAAAGUUUCUAAAUUGUAUUGUAGUUUGAACUUGCCCAUCAUUCAAUUUUUUAACUCCACAAUUAUUUGACCUUACCAAGCUUGAAAAUAUCCUUCCAUACAUUUUUAAUUUUCUCCAAGUAUGAUGAAGAUUUAAUCAAGAGCCUCCGGGAUCUUAAAGUGCAAGAAAGGUCCGGAAAAUUUUUAAAACCCCACUGUUUAAAGUUUUUUUGGACUUUCUUGCACUUUAAAAUCUUGAAUUGAUAUAUAUAUAUAUAAUCAUUAUUAGGUGCUAGUGUUCUCUUUUUUUUUUUAAUGCAAACACCCUUUUAAGCCGUAGGGUUUAAUAACAUUAAAAACUAACUUUCAACUAGCUCUCUUAAAUUGUACGGCUUAAAAGCAUGUUAGUAUGAAAAAAUGAACACGUCUGUACCAAAAAAGGACUAUAUAUACUAUUUAUUUUAUAUAUACAUACGUGCGCGCGCUCGCAUAUAUAUAUAUAUAUAUAUAUCAUUUUAAUAUAUUCCAUUACUUUAAUAAUCAAUUUAAAAUAGUUUGUGAUAUUUUCAGCUAUUUAUUUAUCUACUUUUAGUUAGUUAUUUACACCGAAUGAAGUGAUAGGGUCCAAAUUUUAGUAUCCUUCUCAAUUGUUUGGGGUUAGUAAAUACUAAUUAGCUUAUUCGUCCCGCACAGCCGCGUAAAUGCUGUUAGAUUUCGGAGAGAUGCUGAGGAUGGUACAAGAUUUAUCAAAUUGUGGCGACAUUUUUAUACCUUUAGAAUUUCAAGAUUUUGAAGAAAUAAAUGGAAUCUGUUUUCCAUAAGUGCUCCACUAUCCACCAGGAGGAAUUCUAAAAUACAUUACAGAUUAGUAAUUUUUCAGAAUAAAUAAACACAUGUUAUAACAUUAUCUACUUAUCGUAUGAUUGAUAUGAUACUUCUGAUAUAUUUUAAAAUUUUUAAUGCACCAAAGUUCAUUUUUAGCUUUUAAGGUUUUUAUGUGUGAGCCUCUCAGCACGUUACCCAACCUCCGCACGUGAAAAUAUUUCUAUGUACGGUUACAAGCUUUUCCAGAUUGUGAGUAUUCCGAAGCAAUCCAACUUGAAAAACAGCUGGUUCGUAGAAAAUGACAGUUUACGAAGCUGGCCCUGCUGCCAUACAUAUGAUGAAGAAGACCAUUUUGCUUUAUGUCAAUUCCUCCAAGUUGAAAUCUUUCUCGGUCUGGGACACUUCCAACACAUAAAGUACUACUAGGCUAGAUGAUUUUAAAAAAUGUCAAGGUCCUUUAUCAAAUUUCAUUUGCAUUCAAGACCAAUCCCCUUUGAUGAAAAUCAAUAAUUAAAGGCUUUCCAAUGAGAAAUUAUUACGUCUUCAAAUCUCAAAAAACGCCAGAAUAUUAAUUCGCUACAUAUAAUCAAGAUAUCUCAUUGAGACGCAUUAAUAAAAAAUGUCAAAAUGCAUAGAAAGAGCAGACACACGGAUGAUGAAUUUACUCAUCUUUAGUAGUAUUUGAACUUGAGAGACAGAAUGAAGUACAUGUCAAGAAUAUCAUAAAGAUGGAAACCGGAAGUCCUCCGCACAUAAACUUUGAAGAAACUGGAAAACGACUUUAUUCCAGAUAAUGCACACCAGAGUGACCAAAAUUCUCUUCAGUAACUAUAGAGAAAAUAUUAUUUUGCAUGCAUUUCACGUAACUGGAUCAAACUACUCCCCUGUUGGUUUAUCAGACCACAUUUUUAUGGUGCAAUAUAAACCAUCUUUUCAAAACACUUCUACAAUGUGAGAAACAAAUGAUUUUUAUAUAGUUGUUCAUAGCUAACUUUUGAUGGUUUAAUGAUCUGUAGAUUUUGUUUUAUGUUAUUCAAGGAAAGAUAUUGGAUUGUUCCUAAGAGUUCAUAGGCAGGGGCAUAUAUGCAUGAUUUGAUAUAAUUCUUGCAAUUUCUAAGUACUUGCUCUUUCCAUCCCUUCUAAGUUUUGAAAGAAAGGUCGAAAUAAACAGAGAAACAGGACAAACAGAAGAAGACUGAAUUAACAGAUUAGCAAAGAUGGCAACUAACAAAUGGAAAAGUUCUCUUGUCAUCAAACUAUAGCAAACAGAUGACACCAUUACCAUAUAUCUUAAUGAGUAGAUUGAUUCUAAACAUAAAUGUUAGGAUACAUUUGGUUGUUUAAUAGUUUGAAAUAAGGAGGAUGAGAUGGUUUCCACAUAAAAGUGCUGGCCCUUUCAAUGACAUUUUCAAGGAAUUAUAAAAUUCAAAAUUAAAAAAAAAAUAGCACAUUAUAAAGCCACACCGUCAAAAAAAUAAAUAAAUAAAUAAGUGAAGAUCAAACUAAGUCACUAAGACCUUUAAUGAUAUAAAAUAAGCAUAUAAAUCUCAGAACAAAACAUUAAAACUCAUUCUAAAAGUAAAAAUAAACUAGUGGUGUAUUCCAAACAAUUUAGAUGAAGCGAUAAAACAAGCCAAGAAAUCAAAUAAAAUGAAAUGAAAUUGAAUUACCUGGGACUUUGUUUUUCAAAUUCACAACUCGCUUGUAAUUAAAGUAAAAUGCCAAUGCCAUUAGGACAUAUACAUCAUUGAAUAAGAUGAGGACCCCUCCAACAGCUGAAAGUAAAAUUUUCAUUCAUUAGUUUCAAUUAAAAGUAAAGCACACAGAUUUGCAGGGAAGCAAGAGAUUUAAUAAAUUUAACACCAGCAAUUUAAUUUGACAGGACUUCCAUACAGUAAUGAAGUCAAAAACUAAUGAUUAAUGAAUUUUUGUAAUUGAAUGAAUAAGAUUCUCUGAUUUUGGAUAAUUGAAUGAAUAGGAUUCUCUAACUCUUGUGAAAAUAUCAAUUUUAAAUAGGGUAGAGUUUCAAGAAUUAAGCACAUAUGUAUCCCAAGGCUGUUGAUCAUCUCUCUCUCCAUAGUAGAAGUUUACUCUCAGAGGCGCGUUUAAUUCUCCUUUAGUGAAAAUCUUCGUCUUGGGACAACCAAUUAUAGAUAAAUCUUCCAAAGAUGGGAAUUUGAAGGUGUAAUUGGCAGAGCAGAAACUUCUGAGACUAUCAGCAGAAACUUGUGAGACUAUCCAAAUCAUACAGAUACAAAAUCUUCAAUUUGGUGAAAGCAAUCUCUUCUUCAAAAUUUUCUGCUCCAUCUUCGUCAUUUAUCACCACCUCUCUCAUUGCUCUACAUCCAUAUACCAACAUUGAUAAGAGUCUCUGUAGAGUUUGGAGUGACAGAUUCGAUAAUGAUCAACUCCAAAUACUCGCCAAGAUCGCAAAUCAAACAACCAAGAUGCAAAAAGAAUCAAUCCAGAAAAAAUCACAGAGAAACUUAAGAACCUAAAAGAAUUAAAGAAUUAGCGGCAAAGACAAAAGAAUUAACGUGGUUCAGCUAGCUUUCACUAGCUUACAUCCACAGGAAAAACCCGGAUCAAGUUUAUUGAUUUUCAGAAGAUGAUUACAGAGAGUUUUAAGAGCUAAUAACAGAGUAUUUCUUGAAGCCUUCUCACGAAUCUUCUAAUCACUCAAUAGCUCUCACGCACACGCCUCCUGUUGCACCAGAAUCAGCUGUUUAUAACAGCUUCUUCAACAAACCAAAAUGAACCCAGAAACUCACGUGAUUGGCAUGCGUUAUAACAGAUUCAUAACGACCCUGAGCGGCUUCUUCGAGCACGUGUUUCUCUCGUGCUUUACUUAAACACAAAACGACGCUCAACUAAGUCGUUCCAGAGACAAAACAAAUUGCUCUUCAAAACGCAAUCAGCAAUUGUCGUAUUGUAGUUUACUUAAGCUGCAAAACGCAAGUCCAACUUGUCGUUUCAAAUAUCUUGAUUUGCUUCACAACACAACAGUCGCUCUAGACUUUUUGCUGUGGAGGAGGUUGCUAAGUUCCUUGCAACGAAGAACUAGAAGUUCUUUUAGGUUCCCAAAAGAUACCGAUUGAACAAAGGACUCCAAUUUGGAGUCUUGUUUCCACAAUUGCUUCAGACGAUUAAGUUUGUGCAGAUCUAAAUGUUUUAUCAUUGUAAACUUCCUCACAUGUUUCUUCAAGUAUCCUCCAUUCGAAAAUACCUCUUCGCAUGAACAACGACGCCGUAUGAGAGUUUCCAGAUUAUGAAAUCUCUCAAGUAAAUCAAGUGGAAAACAAGUUGAGUCAUCAUCCACUGUUUGUAGUAGUUUAAGACUGCCAAAAAGGUGUUGUGGGAAAUCGCUCUGCAAAGUCAUCCUCGAGUCUUUUCCACUUAAUGCCCGUUCCUCCUAAGUUGGGUAAGCUCUGAUCAUCAUCAAUCACGUAAUAACUUAUUAAGUCAAUUCAUAUUCUCUCAAAUAACUUUUAAUAAUCCAAUCAUACACAGUGACUUUAAUAUAAAUGCAUAAUAUUUUACAAAAAAGAAGAAAAAAUCGAAUUAGAGGUAAAAGUUAUUCUACGAUUUUAUUUUUUAUAUAUAUCUUGCAUGCUAUUCCCAAGAGCAAUCCCAAACGGCCCUUAAAGCAAUUUUACAAAAGCGGCCGUUACAUAUAUUGCCAACUUUGUUGGGAAUGGCAAUGGGGAGAGGAGGGGAAGAGACCGAACUCCCCGUACCCAUUCAUGAUAUUCUGCAUAUAUCCUCGUCCUCUCCUCAUUUCUCACAAAAUUGCUUUAGGAAAUCCCCCUCCCCUCCCCAAAUAAUAAUAGGGGAUCCUUGAAGGCCCUCGAUCCUCGAAUAACUGAUACGUUUUUUGUUUUAAAUUUUAAUUUAAUCAUAUUAAAAUAAAAAAUAAAAAUAAAAAUAAAGUUUGACGAUAUAUCUUAUAUUAACAUUAAUCUAUUACAAAAGUCACAUUACAAAGUAUAAAUCACCAUAAUAAUUAUCUUCGGCAAUCUUCAAAAUCAUAUAAUAAAAAAAAGAAAUUACUUUUAUAUCAACAAUGAGAUAAAUGAAAUGAAUAUAGAUACUUAAUCAAUAUUUCUAAUAAAAGUAUUUACCUCUGCGUCUCCUACUCUUCUUGUUCUUCCUCGAGGAAUGUGACAAAUUGAGAGAUAGCCUCAGAUUUCAAAUUUAAAACAAUAAAAAUGAUAUAAGUAAUGUAAAUUCUAAUUAAAAUAAACUCAUACUGCCAUUGUAAGCUUGUGGUCAACUUUGACAACAUAUUAAAGCCUCCAAUGUGCUUGAAUAAAGCGUGUUACGGUACUCUACCACUGGUGCUAAAAGCUAAUUCAGAAGCAACAUUUGUAAUUAGAAUUGCCAAAAUAUCUCUAGGUGCCAAUAUAGGAUAUCUAUAGACAUUUAUUUUACACCAACUCAAAUUAUUAAAAUCUUUCAUCCGUGGCAUAACUUUCUCAUCCAAAUAUUAAUGUAGUCAAUUAAGCCUAAAGUUUAAUAAUAUAAUUAUUUUAAUUUUAAUUUAUUUAUUUAUUUAUUUAUAUUAAUAUUUUAUUAUUUAUUUACAAAUAAUUUUAAAAAAAUUAAAAUUAAAUUAAAAAAUUAGAAGAGAAUAGGGAUUCCGCCGUAUCCCCGUCCUUUCUCUUAAUAAGAAAUUGGGUAAAAAAAACUAUUUCCGUCCCUUUUUCAAAUAAAAAAUUAAGUAAAAAAUUAUGUACCCUCCUGAAUUGGGAAAAUCUCGAGGGUCAUGUCCCCGCGGGAAUAUCUGCCAUUCCUAAACUUUGUAACAGCCAGUUGCUUUUGUGACCGUUUAUGUGACGGCUAGACUGCUCUCACUUAUGUUACUAACCACGUGACGGUAGAGAGCCAAUUGGCAUUCCAUUAUUUUGAUUGUAGAGUUAUAAAUUUGUUUCUAAAUAGAAAACUAUUUGCUGAAGUCAAUAUAUUGAAAACCAAAGUCCCAAAUUCUCUCUCGUGCGUACCUGGCCAUCCUAAACCUUACUGGUAGCCGGAGAAUGGCGUAAAACGGCAGCGAUCUUCUUCUUCAUCUUAUUCUCUCUCUCAUCGUUUCAGGUAAGCUUGUGAUUAUGAGUUUCUUCUCUUUCUUAGCUUGUAAUUAUAGGUUUUGAUUUCUUUACUUCGUAUUGUAACCAUUAAUGUCAAUUUUUGUCCCGCCGGCAAUAUUUCUUGUUCCUAGAAGUUGAAGCCCUUCUGUUCUUGUUCCAUUGGUGACUUUGCUCACUCAAAUUAAUUUUGUUCUGCGGAAUUUACAAAGUUCAAAUGGAUUCAUUUGAAUUACUAUUGAAUUUAGCUUUAAUUUCAACAUCCAUUCUAAUGUUUUACAAUCAUGUAUUUAGAUUUACUUUAAUUUUAUGUUUAAAGCUUCUACAAUGAAUAGCGUAGCUUGGGCUUUAGUUUCAUUUUCUAAUUAACUUGUUUUAGUUUAUCUUAUAUGCUCGCCAAGUGCUUGUUAUAUUGUCUGAUAAGUUAUAUAACAUUGCUGAUUCUAUAUUAGUAAUGUCAUGUUCCAUUUUCGGAAAUUAUAACACAAAAGUUUUUACAAUGGCUUGCAUCUACAAACUGAAUUGACUUGUAGAGUAAGAGCUUGGAUUAGUGUUAUGUUCUUGAAUAAAUGAAAGUUCAUAUUGUGUAAGAGCAUGUAGAUAUAAAGCAUCACUACCAUUUCUACAAACUGCUUUCAUUCUGUUCAGAUGCUCCUCUUGAACUUUGAAAGGUGCCUCAUUCAAGUCCUAGCUAUAACUACUAGCUCUGAUUGCUUAAGUUCCUGUGCUAGCUGAAACAGAUUUAUUUAAUUAAUUAAUUGUGUAUGUACUAAUUAUAUUGAAAGUAUAUGAAGAAAUUGUUUAACAUGAAUGACUUCUAAAUGACUUAAAAGCCUAAAGGAUAUGUCAAAUAAUGCUCAUUUCACUUGAACGAGCCUAAUACUUUUAUGUCUAUGAUUGUCAAUCUUGCUUAAGUGUUUCAGUUAAGUGGUUUACCUAACAGGGGAAAAAAUUUAAUGGAAAACUUUAGAGUUCGAACAGAAAUAUAGUUGACUGCAGAUAUAGUUAUUUUACGGUACAUAAAUCAUAUUGUCCUAUACUCAAUGUCCUACGACCUAUUUUAUUUUAUAUGGUCAUUCAUUUUUGCGAUGGUUUUUUGUGCUUAUGAGUAUGGAAAUAGUGGGAUUUGGUGUGGCAAACAAAAAUAUACAUAUAAUCAAGUUUCUUAAUCAUGUAUAUUGGUUUUGGGUAUGAAUGUUUUCCUAUUCUAGUUCUAGGCAAAGUUUCUUCAUUUUGGUCUUCAGAUUUCUAGUAGGUUAAGUUAAGCAACUAUCAUAACUAGCUAGCUAGUUAUUGCCUGCCUUGUCGCCAUUACCGACGCCAUUACAUUGCAUGGCAUAAGGAAUAGUAACUAGGUGAUUAUUGGUGAUUCGUUGAGUUUAUUAUUGGCCAAACAAACAUAUUGGCCUUUACCCACAACUUAGUUUGAUUAGUUAUUAGAUAAUAAAGAGCCUUAAUCUAUGCAUUGCUUUAUUAUUUUUAUUUGGUUUUUCUUUCAACAAUAUUGUUGAUUUCUUAUAAAAAAUAUUCAUUGGUUUUUAAACACCUAAUCAUUGGCUACGAUGAAGCUAAUUAAAACUAAGGCUUUGGAUCAAUUUCUGUUAACAACAUACAAAUGUACUUACUGAGUAUAAGAUUGAAGACUUGAAAAGAGGAGAAAAGAGGAGAAUGAAUAAAAUGAAAGAAAUGAUAAGAUUACUUGGAAGAAGAAAAGCAUUUUUAAUGAACUAACGUAUUGGGAGUUCAAUUUGAUUCAUCAUAAUCUCGAUGUCAUGCACCGUUUUGAUUUUUGUUAUGAACUCAGAUCAAAAGUUUAAUGUGAUCAAAAUUUCUUAAAAAUAGUGAAAACGACUCCUCCUAAUAAUAUGGAAGAUGGCUAUAAAAGAUAAUUUCUUAAAAGUUUAAUGUGAUCAAAUUUGCUUGUGAACGCAAGGGUUUUAGUUACACUGUCAACGCUGUCAAUGUAGUGAUACAAUGAAGAUGAAGUAAAGCAUUAGUAGAAUAAUGAAGUUGACCAGUAACACAGUAAAGCAAAUUUUAUUCCAGAGCAUGAAAACUUUUAAACAGUAACACAGCUCUUAUUCCAGAGGCUGCACACGAGUGACCUCAAUCUUCUUCAGAACUUUCAAAUUUUAUCAAGCAAAGCUUUCAAAAUCCUUGCCUUCCUAAGUUAGGAAAGAUAGAUGUGGAGCAAACUAUUUUUUAUAGAUAUUUUCACUUUGGGCUGUCAGCCCGAGGAAGUACGGGGUUCUGAGUUAUUCAACUGAAAAUGUCGGCCAAGUUCUUGUGUUAGUUUUAGUAUAUUGUGUAAAAAUGAUACACUAACUUGAAUUUAUAUGCUUUUAUGACUAUUUGAUAAUCAAAUGGGUACAUGACACGAAGAACUUUGAGUUUAAAAAUCUGGCCCUGAUGCCUGGUAGCCCUCCAACCUAUGAAGCACUAGACGUUUUAAUGAGAAAACGACAAGACCAUUUAUCAAAUUUCUUGUGGAUAUAAAUACAUACACAUAGACGAGACCAACCUCCUCAAAGGAGAAUCAGAGUGAUUACAAGACCUUGUGAUGGUUGUCGAAACCAGUAAAAAUAAAUAUCUACUCUAAAUAAAUUGUGUAUAGUGAUUGAGCAGGAUCGUGUCCAUAAAGAUCGGUAAUUAUUUAAAUCCUUUUUAAAAUGUAAAUUGCAAAAUGGGGAGAUUGUUGACAAUAAAAAAAAAUCAAAUUAAAAUAACAAGAAUGCAAAUUAAAAUUGUAAUUCAAAUUGGAAAAAGUUCUGGUUGAAGGAAUUAACUCAGCUUGAUUCGACUACUGAUCAUUGAUUCAAAUAUAAAUUAUUACUACUUAUGAAUAAAUCGGUUAUAGCUACUGAGACCCUCUAAUAGCCAAUCUCUCUUUAACUAAUCGAUAACCAAGGUACGACCGUUGGUUAUUUCCCUAAUCAAUAGACAACCCUAGAUACGAUCAAAGGAUUUAAUCAAUUGACAGCCUAAAAAACCAGAGAGACCCAAAUCCUAAUCAACAAACGCAUACGAUGGUUCAUUUAAAUUAGAUUGUUUAUUCUCAUAACACAACUCACUGCUAUGUUAUUUGUCACAAAUAUUAAAAUCUUCAUACGAUGAAUCCUUUAAUUGACAAUAGAUUAAGUUGAUAAUUAAAUAGUGGCCAAUUAUCUAAUUAACAAACAUAAUCAUGACAAUAAUUCAGAGAAUAAACAAAUACCCAAAAAGUAAUAAAAUAAUUAAAGCAUAAGAAAGAUCUCACAGUAGUUAUGAAUCAAAGCUUCAUUAACUUUCAACCAGAAUAAUAGGUUUAGUUCUUCAUAGAGAGAAGAGAAAAGUUUAGAUCUAGGGUUUCUUUCUUUUAAAAAAUCUCCUUUUUUCACAAUAGAUUCCUCCCUUAAAUACUCUCUCUCUUCUCCUUUAGAGUUCUAUUUAAAAUAAAAUACUAAUAUAUGAAAUAUUAAAUUUGUAAUUACAAAAAUAAACAAAAAUACAAAACACGUUAAACUAAAAACUGUAGGUCCGUAGUUGACAGCACGCACCCACGCCUUAUCAACAAAGUUCUUCUGACACUCAUAAUUUCUCUAAGAGAACAAUCAUCCUUAAACAUCAUAUUGUAGCUCAAUUUUAUCACCAAUCAAUAGAAUUGCACCUACAAAAGUAAAACACAAGUAAAUCACUAUUAUUAAGUGCAAAACAUCGAUAUUAAGGGAAGUAAACAAUGCAAAACUAGUGCAUAAAUUGCACUCUAACAUAUACUCACUGUGACGAGUUGCACCAGAGUUUUUGCUGUGGAGGAUGUUACCAUGUGUAACAAUUUCUUGCAACCGAAAGCUACAAGUUUUGUUAGGUUCCGAAAAGAUACCGAUGAUGAUGGCAAUAGAAUUAACAGACUUUGACAAUGAUAUACUUUUAGAAUUUCAAGAUACUGAAAAAUGGGGCCAAGUUUGGAGUCUUGUUUGCACAGCUGCUUCAGAUGAUAGUGCCGGUUCAGCUCUAAUGUUUUUAUCAUUGCCAACUUCCCCACAUGUUUCUCUAAGCAUCCUUCCUCCGAAAAUACCUCUUCGUUGAAUGAAAAACAAACCAGUAAGAGUUUUUCAAGAUUGUGAAAUCUCUCCAGUACGUUCCAGAUUGGAAAACAAGCUGAGUCAUCUGCAGCAAUCUCUAGUUCUCUAAGACUGCCAAAAAGGUGUUGUGGGAAAUCGGCCUGCAAAAUCAUCUUCACAUCUUUUCCACUUAGUGCUAGUUCCUUCAAGUUGGGUACGAUCUGAUCAUCAUUAAUCAUAAUAACUAAUGAGGUCAAUUGAUGAUCUACGGUCACACGCAGUAACUUUAUAGUAUUUAUUUUAUAUUAUAUUUUAAAAAAAAAUGAAUUAUUGAUAAAAUUUAUUUUGUAUGUUAAUUUUACAGGUAAAAAAAGAAAUUAGGGAAAAAUAGUUGAUUUAUAUUGGCUCAAAAUUAUUUUAUUGCACAAUAAUAAAUUACUAAUUUAUUUUGCAAGUUCUUCUAUAUGGAAAGACUGAGGAUUCUUUUAUAAAUGCUAUACCUAAAAAAGUUCAUAUAAUUAUGAAUCUACCAUAUUGAUCCCUUAGUCUAGACUAGCAAAGAUUAUUGUAUAAUAAAAGUUUUUAAUUUAUUGAGUAUUAAAUGAUUUUUUAUAUGUUAAUUUUAGAGGUAAAAAAGAAAUUAGGGAAAAAAGGUUGAUUUCUACUGACUCGAAAUUAUUUUAUUGCACAAUAAUAAAUUACUAAUUUAUUUUGUAAAUUCUUCUAUAUGGAAAGGCUCAAGAUUCUUUUACAAAUGCUAUACCUAAAAAAGUUUAUAUAAUUAUUAAUCUACCACAUUGAUCCCUUAGUCUAGACUAGCAAAGAUUAUUGUCUAAUAAAAGUUUUCAAUUUAUUGAGCAUUAAUUUAUCGAUACUUUGUCAUAUUUUUCAAAGUUAAAAAUAAGCUAUAGAUAAAAAAUCUAGAAAAUGGCUUCAUACCUUUUCCAAUGGCAAUAGGGGCUGUUGUGCAGGAAUACCAAGUUGAUCAUUCCCAUUAUUCUGCGAUAAAUCUGCAGCGAAUAUCUUUAAUUUGUCACAACCAUGCACUAAAAGAAUUUCUAGUGCGGGCCAUUCCGAAGUAUGCAUUCCAGGGUACAAACAUCUAAGUUUUGGUAGAUCUUGGAGCUUCAGAGUGGUGAGCUGUGGAAAGACAAAAUAAGGGAUCAUUUGAUCUGCUCUGUUUUCAGAAAUGAUCUCCUGUAAAUUCUCACAGAAGUAUAUAUCCAGGUGUUGGAGCUGCUUAAGGCUUUCGAUCAUAGACGCUGAAAAUAUGUAUUUUAAUUUAUGACAACGCUGCACAAUCAAUCGUGUUAAAUUUUGAAAGCGAGGAAACAUGACCGGAAGAUGAUUGUAGUGCCAAAUCUUGUCGACAUUAAUUUCAGAUAUCUCCAAAGCCUCCAAGUUAGGCAACGCAACCUAAAAAAAGAAGAAUUUCUCGUUAGAUCCAAUAUCCAUAUGGGAAGUACUUGUUGAAAUUUUCUUCUUUGAUUACAAAUUAAUGCAAGUCAGAAUCAAUUUCAUACUACUUGUUAAGAGCUCAAUUAGUGAGCGCGUGAGAUUCUUUUUAUCCUUUUUUCCAUUUUCUUUCAAUUCUUUAAAUGAUUUAAUUAUUUUCCACGUAUAACAUCAAAACAGAACGCAUGAUAGAAUAAAAUGUGUUAUACAUUAAAGAAAAUGUUAGCCUACGCACCUUCUCGUUGAAAAGCAGAGUUGAAAUAUCCAAAGUGAUUUCGCUGGAGCUAUACAUAGUCGUCGAUUCCUCUUGCGACACUUGUCUGUUCGGUGAUGCUGAAGGAGUCUUCACCUCAUUGCGGCAAAAACUUGUAACCUCUGGAAGAUUCCCCAGACUCAAAGAUCUUAAUUGAGCAAACUCUAUCUUCUCAAUUGCAUUAUCAACUUCUUCCCCAAUUGCAAAAAUCUCUUUCAUCUUGCUGCAAUUAAUAACUGCAAUUCUCUCAAGUCUUGGAAGGCAUUUUGUAGUGGAGAGCCAAAAGAUAUUGCUCAACUUAUUACAACUAUAAGCUUCUAUGGUUUUGAGUUUGUUGAAAGACUCUACUUUGAGCCGAUCAAUACAUAUCCUCUCCAUGUUGAUCAAAUUGCGAAUGGUAAGUGACUCCAAAAGAGGAAAGGCAUCACAAGCGACCAUCUCCCUUGAAUCGACGAUACAAAAGAUGUCAGGAUUAUUUUGAACCAAGAGAAGCUUCAAUUGUGAAAAGCCAUCCGUGUCCAAAUUGAAAAGAACAUUCUCGAUGCCUUGCAGCUUGUCCAACCAUAAGUAUUCAACGUUAUUGAUGCCCUGCAAUUUCAUGGAGAAAAUGUCCAUAAAAUCAAGCUUGAGCUUCAAUGCUCUUAAACUCUUGCGAUCACGGUUGAUUGAAAAGUGCGGCCGACUUUGGAACCAUUUAUGUCUAGCAUACUUGUUGGGAGGCAUGAAUGACCCAUUUCCAAUAGAUAUUUUGAACCUUUCGAGCUUUCUGGCCAAAAAGCGUUCUGGUAAAAUACUAUCAUUUUUAACGUCAAUUUCUAGAGUGGUUAGCCUAGGUAAAUGCAUCAAUUCGUCGAGGCUAGCAUUACUUCUUUUGCUGUUGGCUCUUUCAACCUCCCAUUCAAUGAAGCAAUUACCCAUAUACAGCUCUUCUAAUCGACUUAAGCUUGAUAUGAGAUUGGGCGCAAUAACUUUUAGAUCGAAACAAUUGGUUAAAUCUAACAAUCUCAACUUAUUCAAUUGACCUAGUUCUUCUGGCAACUUCAUAAUAUCAGACAUCAAAAAGCUAAGGACUUCUAGAUUCUUCAACUUCCCAAUGAUUGCUAUGUCGCCCAACGCACUUUGAUCCAGACAUAGUGUGUGAAGAUAUGCUAGAAGAUCAAUUGAAGAUGGAAAAGAAGAAAACUGCAUUCGAGUAAAAUCUAGAACUCUAAGCUUUUUCAUCCCUACCAAAAAGUUCUCAGGAAUAUUGAUUUCAAGAGAAAAAUCUUUGAGAGAGAUAUAUAAAAAUUCAAGGUUUGGGCAUUCUAAUCGUCAGGAAAUCACGAUUACUAUUAUUUAUAAAGAAGAUAGCAUGCAGUUUCGAAGUGGCAUCUCAUCUGGCCAGUCCCACACAUCUCAUUUCUCACCGAAAACACAUGUUGGUGGCGGCAUGCAAUUGAUAUUGCGACAUCGCGAACAACAUCAUGCAUUGAAAAUUCUUCAUUGCUGUCACCCUCAAGCAACAAACAAGAGUCUCUAAGUUCAUGGACCGAUGCAUAUAAUUUGUCUCGUGCAUCUUCCAUCUUAUUGACUCCUUGAAAUAUACCCAAACCCAUGGAGUACUUAAACAAGUCCAAAGUAAGGAUACUGUUACCCAUUAGACUGCAGAGCUGAAAAAUGUUCUUGAGUUGCUCACCUUUUAAAUGGUUGAAACUCAGCUCAAUACUUGAAUAAGUCUCUGCAGACACUCCUUCGAAGUUUACCAUUGAAGGCGUUAGGAGUUCUCGCAAGGAAUUCUUCCAUUCAUGCAGACUCUUGCUUCUCAGUGCCUUUGCCACUGUAAUCAAGGCAAUGGGCAAACCUCCACAUGCCCUGGCGACGUCUAUUGCUGUAGAUUUCAACUCACGAUUUUCAACAUCAUCACCGGCCAUCAUCUUAAACAAUCUCCAGGCUUCUUCUUCAUUUAAAUUGUUAAUCAAGAAGUUGUCUUUAGAUCCCAUUUUUAAGAGGACACUACGAUCUCUUGCUGUCAGCAGUAGUUUGCAUCCUUUAUGAUCUUCUCCAAAAGGAAUUCCCACUGUCUCCAAAUCAAGGUGUUUCCAGAUGUUAUCUAAAACCACAAGGAUCUUCUUCUGAUUUCUCAAUCGCUCAAAUAGUCUACUUGCUCUUCUAGAUUCAACUUCCUCGUGCAACUCCAGGCCCAACUUCUCGGCAAUUUCCUGUUGAAUCUUUUUUAUGUCUGGAGUUUGCGAAACCUCUGAAAAGACCACCAUAUCAAAGAGCUUGUCUUCCAUAGCUUGCCUGGCGACCUUCUUCACCAGUGUCGUCUUUCCAAUGCCGCCCAUGCCGUACACCCCAACGACACUAACAUUAACAUCGAUCAAUGCUUUUUUUAUAGCCUCCAAAGAAGAAAGUCUUGACUCGAAGGCCUCGUAGCCUUUGUGAGACUUGAGCCAUAUCUCCUCCGGAAUGGUACGGUAGGAAAUUCUAUCAUCAAAUCUUGCAGCUUCUUCUCGGAUUUUGACGAGUGCCUUCACCUCUGCCUCUGCUUUCUUGCUAAGCUGAUAGCGAGUAAUCCAAUUAGGAAACAGCCCCAUGAGACAUCGUUCAUUUGCUUUCUCUUCGUCUUGAAUGAAUUUGGCUGCCUGCUCAAUGCUCUUGUUCGCAUUAACCAGCCAUUUCUCAACCUUCUCUUCAAUCUUUUCACUUUUUCUUUCAGCCUCAGAAACUCUGCGCUGAAUGCUUUCUCUUUCAUCCUUGAGCCUAUCGAGUUCUGCCUUGAGAUUCUCAAAGUUGGCAUCGGAGUUAUACCAGUAACUAAAUUCGCGUUGUGCGUGAGGAGACAAGCAGUUUACAACUGGAACAAUGCUUUUCAAAAUGUCCAUUUGUUUUUUUUUUUUGGGGGGGUGGGGGGUGAGUGAACGAAAUAGAAAUAGAACAGGGUCAACGACCGCGCAAUUAAUAAUCAAGUAGAAGCAAAACAAGGCAAAAUGGAGAAAAGAAAUUAUAUUUGUACAAAACAAGGGGAAAAUCAGUGUAACAGAAGAGAAUCAAAGUGUUUUUGAGAUCAGAAAAUUGAAUCAAGAAAAGGGUUGCUUGAUCCAAUGAAAAUGCAAAGAGGGAACAAACAUAAAUAAGAAAACGGCUAGCAGGAGCAGUGACCACGAUAAACAGAAGCAAAGUGUGUAUGAGAUCAAAAGAAGAAAAUCAGGAGAGGUUUUCUUGACUGAGAAUUGAAGGCAAAGAGUAGGAGCUGACGAAUACGGGGAUCAAGAGGGAAAAACUGCUUAAUAACAUUACGAUUGUCAUAAAACAUGUGAUCCUCAUCCAAUAUCCAUUAUUUGUGAUCCUUAAUCAAUAAAAUAUCUAACAAUAUCGAACAGUCGAUAUCCAACACAUGCACGAAGAUUCCAAGAAGUUGCGUGGCUGCCGACUUUUAAAUGCUAAGCCUGAUUGUGUCGAUGAUACACAAAAGAGAGCAGUCGGGGUAAUUGCCAAAACUUAGAACUAAACAGUAGCUUAGUCAGAAAAUCAAACGCCAGUACCGGUAAAAUGACCGAUAAAAAUAUAAAGAAAUAAAACUUUUAAAGUUUUACUUCAUUGCUUUUUUAAUGUUAUUACUAUUUCUCCUAGCACUUCUAAAGAAACCAAAGCUUUAAAAGAAAUCGGCCAAAGAAAUAAAGUUUUACUUCAUUGCAUUUUUAAUCUUAUUACUAUUUCUCCUUGCUCUUCUAAAGAAACCAAAGCUUUAAAAGAAUCAGCCAAAUCACCAAGAUUGAAGAGUAAAUCUAUUGUUUUAGAUUUUUAUUUUUAUUUUUUUAGAUAAUAGAUAUUAUUUUGAUGAAUUUUUUAAUAUUGGAAUAAUGUUAGGAAUUCCAAUAGAUGAAUUCUAACUUGACACCCAAUUGUUAUGUGUCAUUUUUUUAUUGGAUAAUGAAUUUCAUAACUAGUAAAAUUAAUAUUUUGAUCAUCUAAUAAAUAACUACUAUAUCAGUUGGGACUCAAUCAUUGGGAUGCUUAACAUUGCUCUUAGUAUUGUAUUGGACAUCUUAGUUAAAUCAGAUUAAAAAUCAAAUUAGAUUUUAGGCUUUAUUCAACAUCUCCUUUUCUUUAUUUUUUUUUCUUUUUUAGGUCUAUUUGAAGUGAACGAAUUAAAAAUACGACAAGGUCAACGAUUGGGCAAUUGAUAGUCAAGUAGAAGCAAAUGAAGGCUAAAUGGGAAAGAGAAAUUAUAUUUGUACAAAACACGGAGAAAAUCAGUGUAACAGAAGAGAAUCAAAGUGCUUUUGAGAUCAGAAAUUGAAACAAGAAAAGGGUCGCUUGAUCCAAUGAAAAUGCAAAGAGCUGAUGGCAAAAGGGAACAAAGUUAAAUAAGAAAACAGCUACCACUAGCAGCGACCACAAUAAACGAGAAAUUGGAGAUGGAUCUACAAUAUUUCUGCCUUUCUUUAUGCUUUAACAAAUAUUGCUCUAUCGAAAAAAAUAUUGUGGGUUUUUAUUAUUGGAGUCACAAAAGACCAACACAAUAUAGCAAGUGACUAGGAAUAAGAAUAUAUAACUCUCUCUCUAUUUCUCACUCUAGCUUUUAAUUGUCACUCAAAACCCAGACAGCGUAAGGAAAUAAGAGAUGACAGCGUCUGGUUGUCAUACGUGCCUUUUGGUUUCUGGAUGACAUGGCGUACACUUCUUUUGCAAACCAACACGACAUGUCGUACUCUUUGUUUUGAGAUCAUAUUUCAAACUCUUGAUGUUACGAAUGAAAGAUAAACUACAAUCAUCAAAAUAUUUAGUGUUUGUUUGGUAAUGUAAAGUCAUAGUUGUUGUGAAUUGAAAUUAUUUCUGUAAAAUAAAAGGAUUUGGGUCAUUGUUCGUUAUUUUUUGGCAAUAUUGCCUGGCUGUGACUAUUUAUUAAAUAUUAAAAAAAUAAAUUUAUAUUUAUUAAGUAUCAAAAAUAAAUAAACAACAAAAAUAAACGGAAAAAUUAUACAUUACGUAAAAUAAUAAGGACAAUAUCAAUAUUUCACACUCUAUAAUUGAGUGAUGUGUUAUCCAAUUGCAACACAUUUGUCCCAAACGGAGUCUUAAAUAUCAAAGUUAUUGCGAUGAUGACUUAUAAUCACCAAACUUGACAUACGGGUAAUCAUGCAUUAUAAGGUGUUGAUUUCUUACUAUCGGAACCUUAUAUUUCAUUUACAAAUAAAUAAAUGAUGUGACUUAACUGGUGGCGGGUCCUUUGUGCCAUUUGCGCAUUCCACUGAAUAGUUGAUUGUAGCAGAAACAUUCCUGGAGUUGCCAUUUGCCAAUGCUACUGACAUUUUCAAACUCGGAAAACCCUCCAAUCAAUCUUUUAGUGGUAGGCUUGGUAGCUUGGCUUGAUUAUGACAUAUGAUUAUUUGAUAAUAAAGUUAGAGGAUGUAUUAAUAUAAAAAUUAUUUAUCGGUGUUGAAAUUAUCUCAUUAAUAAUAGUAUGAAAAGUUAAUUCUUAAGAAAUACAUAAUAGUAGUUAAUUGGUGUAAUAUUAUUGAGAUUCUGGAAAUAAUUUUAUAUCAUAACUUUGUAGGUGUAUAAAUAUUACUCAUUAAAUUAAUAUAAUUAUUUUAAAAAAAUCAGUUGGAAAAAAUAAAUUAUAUUAUUUUUACUUCAAAUAAUCUUUAAAUUAACUCAAAAUAUAAUCAAGCUCAGAAUUAAAAAUUUAAACUAAUGCUACUAUAUCAGAGGAUUUUCUUUUUUUCUCCACUGAAUAGUUGAUUGUCGCAGAAACAUUCCUGGAGUUGCCAUUUGCCAAUGCUACUGACAUUUUCAAACUCGGAAAACCCACCCUCCAAUCAAUCUUUUAGUGGUAGGCUUGGUAGCUUGGCUUGAUUAUGACAUAUGAUUAUUUGAUAAUAAAGUUAGAGGAUGUAUUAAUAUAAAAAUUAUUUAUCGGUGUUGAAAUUAUCUCAUUAAUAAUAGUAUGAAAAGUUAAUUAUUAAGAAAUACAUAAUAGUAGUUAAUUGGUGUAAUAUUAUUGAGAUUCUGGAAAUAAUUUUAUAUCAUAACUUUGUAGGUGUAUAAUUACUCAUUAAAUUAAUAUAAUUAUUUAAAAAAAUUCAGUUGGAAAAAAUAAAUUAUAUUAUUUUUACUUCAAAUAAUCUUUAAAUUAACUCAAAAUAUAAUCAAGCUCAGAAUUAAAAAUUUAAACUAAUGCUACUAUAUCAGAGGAUUUUCUUUUUUUCUCCGAAGUUUCACUAGGAAAUUAUUGAUGUAUAGCUUUGUUGAGAAUUGAGAUCAUUUCAGUUCAGAAGACAAAUAAUUGAAAGACUAAACUAAAUAGACCGGCGAACAAAUUUGUACAUGAAAGUUAAAAAAUUAAGGUCAUGAGUUGGUAUUGCGGUUCUGUCUUGAGCAACUUUGCUGUCAUUGUUUAUUAUUUUUUGGUAAUAUUGCCUGGCGGUGACUGUUUAGUAAAUAUUAAGAAAUAAAUUUAUAUUUAUUAAGUAUAAAAAAUAAAUAAACAAACAAAAACACAAGGAAAAAUUUAUACUUUACGUAAAAUAAUAAGGACAAUAUCAAUACUUCACACUAUAAUUGAGUGAUGUGUGGCAUCUUAAUUGCCCAACUGCCACACAUUGGUUCCAAACGGAGACUUAAAUAUCAGAAAAAUUCCAAGUUAUUGCGAUGAUGACUUACAAUUGCCAAACUUGACAUAUGGGUAAUCAUGCAUUUCUUAUGAUCAUAACCUUAUUUUUCAUUCACAAAUAAAUAAAUGAUGUGACUUAACGGUUGACGGGGUCCUUUGUGCCAUUUUGGCAUUUCACUGAAUGGUUGAUUGUCGCAGGAAGAUUCCUGAAAGUUGCCAUUUUCCAAUGCUACUAACAUUUUCAAACUUGGAAAACCCUUUAAUCAAUCUCUUAGUAGUAGGCUGUGGUAGCUUGGUUUGAUUAUGAUUUAUAAUCAUUUGAUAAUAAAGCUAGAGGAUGUAUUAAGAUAAAAUUUAUUUAUUGGUGUUGAAGUUAAUUAUCUCAUUAAUAAUAGUAUAAAAGGUUAAUUAUUAAGAAACACAUAGCUGUAGUUAAUUGGUGUCAUAUUAUUGGAAUUCUGGGAUAUAAUUUUAUAUAAUAACUUUGUGAGUAUAUAAUUACUCAUUAAAUUAACAAACUUAUUUUAAAAUAUUUAGUUGGAAAAAAUAAAUUACAUUCUUUUUAUUUCAAAUAAUCUAUAAAUUAACUCAAAACAUAAUCAAGUUGAGAAUUAAAAUAAUGCUACUGUAUGAGAGGAUUUUUAUUUUUUCCCGAAGUUUCACUCGGAAAUUAUUGUUAUAUAGCUUUAUAUGCGAUCAUCCUCAGUUCAAACGACAAAUAAAUGAAAGACUAAGCUAAAUAGACCAGCCAACAACUUUGUAAAAUAGAGUUCGAAAAUUAAAUUAAGGUCAUGGUAGUGUUAUGUCUUGAAAAGUACAACGUAGUACUAAAAUAAAAACUAUUAGUCUUUGGUAAGAUAAUGACAUUUAAAUAAUAAUUUUCACAAAAAUACAAAGAAUAUUUAUAAAGUACUUCUAUAGUGAGGAGGCCCUCACUUUGUGAAAGUGAAAAUGUCGAUAAUAUACAAAAGCCAUAUAUUUUAACACAUUAAAAAUUGUAUUUUUUAUCUAUUGGUGUAUUAAAAUAUGUGUUACUUAGUUUGUUAGUGAUAUCAUCACUUUGUUAAAAUGAGGAUAUCGUCGCUAGAGAAUCAUUAUAUAUACAUAUCUAUAAAGUGCUUCUCUCCAAGACCUAGACUUUAUUAGAAUUUAAGAAAGCAAAUAUAUUUUAAAUGGUAUAAUAGUGUAAUAACAUCACACUAUUAUAUCAUAUAGAGUAAAAGUUUUUCGAACUUUAAUAAAGUUCAAGAUUAUAGAAUGAAUGAUUUAUAUAUAUAUAUUAUACAUUUUUUAUCAUAAAGUGGAGGACAAAAUUAACAUAUUUUUCAAAUUAUAAUAAGUAUUUAUCAAUAAUUUAACAUCAUAAUUUCUCCUAACUAGUAUAGUAAAUACAACCUAGGAGGUACAUUCAAAGCAUUUCAUAGGUUAGUUGUUCGCUCCAAAUUCAAUCACAGACAAGGAGCCUUUUUUGAGAAUAUUAAGCAUCAUCUUCAAAUGAAUUUUCAUGGCAAAGGUUUCAGGUCCAAAUUGUUGUUCCAGAUUAGUCCAAAGCUCAUGUGAGGUUUGAGAGUUUACCACAAGACUAAGGAUCUCGAUACUGAUGGAUGACAUUAACCAGCUCAACAACAAUUGAUCCUUUCUCUUCCAUGAAGUGAAUGCUAGAUUGAUCUGUGCUUUAGCUGUUGAAUCUUCAAUUUCAGUAAAAAGAAACUGAUUAGGACAUAGUUUUGAUCCAUCAAGUAGAUCUUCUAGUCCAUUGGCACGGACUUAAGACAAGAUUUGUAAUUUUCAGAUCAUUUAAUUCGACCGAUCCAGUUUGAUUGGUGAAGUGAAAGUAAACGAGGAAACAAAGAAGUUUGUAUUCUGAUUUGAGCUUGACGAAGCCAUUAGAAUUGAUAACUCAGGCUCUGAUACCAAGUUAAAGAUUCUAAUAUGUUUGGUAAGUAAGAAAAUGAGAGAAAAUGAAAGAAAGAACAGAGAUCAUCUAAGAGCUGGAUUUGAUGAAUAAACUUGAAUCAUACAUUCUUUAGCUGAUUACAAAUGUAUUUAUGCAAAAUUCCUGAACAUUUCAGAUUGUAUAUGCUUGACCUAAGCACCUGAGAGUUGAGCAGUGUGGACUGACAAACUGAUCACAAAAUAAGUAACUUAUGCCAGCUCAGCUAACACGUCAGUAACUCUAACUAUCUUGCUUAACAAACUGAAACAAUAACUAACCAUUUUAACUAUCUUAACAAUGCCAAUAAUUUCUUCAUUUGCGUAUUUCUUGAAUCAUAAUCAAAUGGGUAAAUUUUUCAACUAUUCUUUUAGAUAUUUUCACUUUGGGCUAUAAGGCCGGGGAAGUACGGGGGUCUGAGUUACUCAACUGAAAAUGUCGGCCAAGUUCUUGCCAUCUCAGGUGCAAAACUGAUACUUGUGUUCCCCAUUUAUACUUAUUACGAAACUGAUACUCGUUCCUCUUAACUUGUUUUCUCAUGCAUCAACUGUUGAGAAAAUGUGCUCUUUAAAAGCAUAUGUGUUUAUUUAAUUGUAAUGAAAAAAUGUGCUCUUUAAAACCAUAUGUGUUUAUUUAAUUGUAAUAAAUAUUUUUUCUGAUUAAUAAAAUAUAUGAGGUAUUUUAUUCAAGUAUAUUAAUUGCAUUGAUAUUUUGAGUAAAGUCCAUUUAAUCAUAUUAUAUGUAUUUAUGUGAUCACUAUGUGGAUUCACAAAAGACAUAAAUACAAGUUAUCUUAUGAUUAAAUAAAUUAUGUUCGCAGUUGAUAAAUAAAGUUGGACACUUUAUUUAGGUAUAGACUGUAAUAAAUUCAUUGAAUGAUUUGUCUUAAUCAUGUAUGAAUUUAUUGAUGUAGUGCGAUUACAUUGAAUAGGAUCACAUAUGAGAUUUAAUUAACUUUGUAAUAACUGUCAGACUUAUUAAAUCUCAUAGGCAUUGAUUUUACUGUAAUCUUAAUCUUGAGUUAGUUAUGAUUCCAUUAUUGUAAUUGUUAUUUCAUUUGAGUUACCAAUGGGCAUGACACAUACUUGUAUUCAAGAUUACCAGGUAUCUUGGUGAGAGCAAUUAUGAGUAUUGGAGUUAUAGAUUAACAAUAUAGAAUUUGUACAAUACAUCUCUUGAUGGGUUUUCGGUACUUGAUCAUAGAAUUCUCUGGCCAGAUUGUGUCGACAUAUUUAAUAUGUUGAAAAUGAUCAUUAGAGAAAAACCAGUAAGUAUCAAGGAACAAGAUGUAAUUAAAUUGAUUGGACAGUUGAGAUAUCGAUUUAAUUAAUGAUGUGGUACAAAUGAUUGAGCAGUCAAGAAAUCAUUGUGGUUUGGGACGAAUUAUUAUUCGAACAUACAAUUAGUGUGCGACCAGCAUUGGCCAGCGACAUGCGCUGCAUGCGCAGCGAGCUGCGCAGUCGAGUUUGGUUUGCUUUCGGUGAGGCGGCAGUGGUUAGCUCGGCAUCGGAGAUUGGUGGCAACUUUGAACAGCGGUUGAAGUUUGCGUUGAUGGCGGCUGGAGAAGAAGGGGAGAGAAAUAUAUGGAUUUAAGGCUUUAAUGGUUUUUAUCGUUGAGGUCUCUACGGUUUUACAAUUUUUCUUUCGGUCAGAUAAGGUUUAAUUUUUGCAUUUAAGUCCAACAACAGUUUUGGGCUUAAUGAAUCAUAAUUUUAGGCCCAAUUGAAAUUGGGUUUAAUGGAUUAAAAUGCAUAGAUAAAAUUGAAUAAAUUAAAUUUAUUUUUGGUCCAAACGUUUUAUUUAAAAAAGUUUAUUUAUUUAUUUAUUUCCUUUCAAAAUUAAAAUUGGACCAAUAAUAAAUUUAAAAGCCCAACUUCCUCUAGUCCAUUAACAAAGACAAGCCUAUGGAAGAUGGACAUUGACAAGAAGCCCAAUGAAGAUUAGGCUUAGGGUUAAUGUAUUUUUUUUAAUUUUAGGAAAGCCAUGAAUUCAGAUUAUUUAAUUAUUUUUCUAUAUGUUAUAUUUUGGAUGAUAACAUGCCAUGAUAACACGUCAUAUAGAAUAGGUAGUGCCACUCUAUGCAUAAUGAUACAUGAUGUUCAUUAAUUAUGAAUCUCAUUAUAUUGUUUGAAAAUUGAAUAUGCUUAAUAAUAUUGAAUAUCAUCUAGAUAAUAUUAUAGGAAGCAUGCAAUUAAAAAUAUUAUUUAUGUAUGUUUUAAAAAAAAACCAAUUUUUAAAUAUUGAGUGGGAGAGGGAAAAUUCAAGAUAAUUUUUCCCACGGGCUCCAUUGUUAGUUCAAUAAUAAAAUUAUAUAUAUACCUCGACUUCAUGAUACGGUGAUGCUCCCUUCGAAGGGUAUAUAUAUUAGAUAUUUUAUUUGAUGAACUUCUUCAAAGAUAAAAUUGAAAUAUUUUUCAAUCGAUUGUUCACCCCAACAGUGACUAUUGAUAUGAAAAAUACUUAGAUUGAAACAAUGGUUAUACACUCAACUAAAAUUUGUUAUUAACCUUCCCAACGAAGCUCUGUUAACAAAUUUAGGCCCAAAAGGAUAACAAUAAUUAUUUAUCAUGUCUCUACAUGAAAGUAAAUAAUCCAAUGGAUAAUUGGGUCUAGUAAGUGUAGACAUGACUUCCCCAACGGAUAGCUUGUCAAAGCGGUCCUAGAUUAUCGUUACAAUAAAUAAAAAUGCAGUUAUGGUUUUUUGCAUUUUUGUUAUUUAUUGUGAAUAUUAUAUCAAAUUAUUUAUGCAUGGAUGUUUUAUUUUUCAAAAAAAUGUCUUCCCUGAGCUCACUUACUAUUAUUCUGAGUCAAAACAAACUCACUGGAGAGAACUAUAUAGAUUGGAAAAAAAAAUAUAUUCAUUGUCCUGACUGCUGAAAAUUAUAAAUAUGUCUUAACCCAGCCAUGCCCUCUAGUUCCAGUGGAUGAUGCUCAUAGAAAUUAGAGGAGGCUUUAUGAGAAAUGGCAAAAGGCCAAUGAAAUGGCAAAAUGCUACAUUUUAGCCUCGAUUUCUAAUAUUUUGCAGACCAAACAUCAGAACUUGGAGACUUCCACUGAAAUAAUGGAUAGUCUCCAAGAGAUGUUCGGGCGGAAUACUCGCUCCGCGAGACAAGCAGCGCUGAAAGGCAUUAUGAACUGCAAAAUGGGGAAGGGCACAAGAGUUCGUGAUCAUGUCCUCAAAAUAAUGGACUAUUUGAAUGAGGCUGAGAUUCAGGGAGCACAAAUCGAUGAUAACUCAAAGAUUGACAUGGUGCUAGAAUCUCUGCCAAAAAAAUUUAAGGAGUUUAAGGUUAAUUAUAACAUGAACAAAAGAAACAUGACCUUAACUGAAUUGAUGAACGAACUCCAUUCUGCUGAAGAGAUCUAUUGCACUGAGAAAUCUCUAGGAAGCAUAAAGAUUGCUAACAAGGUUCUUCUUCUAGGCCCAAGCCGAAAGGCAAGGGUAAGAAGAAAGCUGGGAAAAAGAAACCGUCUACCAAGCAAGAUGGCAAGCCGAAAGGCAAAUGCUUCAAGUGUGGACAGAAAGGUCACUGGAACAAGGAUUGCCCUAAGAUUGUGAAAUCAGGAAUGAGAAAUCUUUUUGUAAUUGAGGUCUGUUUAGUUCAGAAUCCUAUUGACACUUGGGUGUUGGAUUCAUGAGCAACUAAUCAUAUUUUUAAUUCACUUUAUUGGUUUUAGGAAACUAGGAAAAUAAGUGAAGGAAGCGUCAAGCUGCAGUUAGGGACAAGACAGUUCGUGACAGUAGUGAAGACUGUAUCUAUUUUAUUAUCUUUUAAUAAUGAGAAUUUAGUUUUGAAUAUUUGUCUUUAUGUUCCAGACAUUAAGUGGAAUUUAAUUUCAAUAGCUUGUUUGUCAAAACAAGGGUACACUGUAAAUUUUGGAUCCUUUGUUUUUAUUUUUUAUAAUAAGAGACUUAUUUGUUCUGGAACAUGGGAAGAUAAUUUAUAUCAUUUAAGUCCUAUGAUCCAUUCUAUGCAUGACACAGUGAUCAAUAAUGAUGAGCAUACACAUUUAUCUAAGAAAAGAAAUAUUUCUUCCAACUAAUGUUACCUCUGGCAUUUGCGCUUGGGUCAUAUAAAGCAAAAUAGGAUACAGAGAAUGAUCAAAGAUGGGCUCUUGGGUCUAUUGGAAAAUGAAUCAUUGCCACUUUGUGAAUCCUGUUUAGAAGGGAAAAUGACCAAAAGACCGUUCUCGGCCAAAGGAGUGCAUGCAAUAGUACCACUUGAAUUGGUACAUACAGAUGUAUGUGGACUAAUCAAUAUACAAGCUUGAGGAGGUUAUGAGUAUUUCAUCACUUUCAUUGAUGAUUACUCAAGAUACGGUUAUGUUUAUCUGAUGCGUCACAAGUCUAAAACUCUUGAGAAAUUCAAAGAGUAUAGGGCUGAGACAGAAAAGCAAUUAGGUAAGAACAUAAAGCAACUUCGAUCUGAUCGAGGUGGUGAAUUUCUUUCUGGAGAUUUCAAAGAGUAUCUGGUAAAAAAUGGGAUUAUAUCUUAGUUAACUGCCCCAAGAACACCACAACAAAAUGGGGUAGCAGAAAAGAGAAAUAAAACUCUUUUAGAUAUGGUGAGAUCUUUACUUAGUUAUUUGUCAUUACCAAUCUCUUUUUGGGGACUAGCACUGGAAACUGCAGUUUACCUCUUGAACUUAGUUCCAUCUAAGUCAGUGCCUAAAACUGCAAUAGAAUUAUGGUAAGGUCACAAACCAAGUUUACGACAUGUCCAUAUUUGGGGAUCACCAACACAUGUGCUGAAACCAAAAGCAGAAAAAAUGGAUUCACGUUUUGAGGUUUGUAUGUUUGUGGGGUAUCUCAAAGGAACAAUAAGAGGUUUAUUUUAUAGUCCUUAAUAUAGAAAAGUGAUUGUGAGCACACAUUUCACUUCCCUCGAGGAAGACUAUAUGAAUAACUUCAAACCUAAGAGUAAGGUAAUACUUGAAGUACUGUCAGGUGAUCAGGUCUUUCAACACCUGUUAUAGAACAAGAAGAAGAACAACAACUAGCUGAUCAACACAGGAUUAUCCCUAAACAACCAUCACUUUUAGAACCUCGUCGUAGUGGGAGGGUAAGUAGGUUACCUGCGAGAUACAUGUUAUUGGGAGAAACUUAUACGACUAUCUCAGAUGAACAUGUACAAGAUCCCACUGGCUACAACGAAGCUCUAAUAAACAGAGAUGUUGAAUUCUGGAAAAAGGCCAUAAAUCAAGAAAUGGAAUCUAUGUAUUCCAAUAAAGUCUGGGAACUUGUAGAGGCACCAAAUGAGGUAAAACCUAUAGGGUGCAAGUGGAUCUAUAAGAGAAAAAGGGGAGUAGACGGAAGGGUGGAAACAUUCAAAGUAAGAUUAGUAGCCAAAGGUUUUACUCAGAAAGAGGGAAUCGAUUAUGAGGAAACAUUUUCUCCGAUUGCUAUGCUUAAAUCCAUUAGGAUUCUACUCCCUAUUGCUGCAGUACUAGAUUAUGAAAUUUGGCAAAUGGAUGUUAAGAUUGCCUUUCUUAACGGGCAUCUUGAAGAAGACAUCUACAUGCAGCAACUAGAUGGAUUCAUACAAAAAGGCCAAGAACACAUGGUAUACAAGUUGCAGAGAUCUAUUUAUGGAUUGAAGCAAGCAUCCCGGUCAUGGAACGCCAGAUUUGAUCAAGCGAUUAAAUCGUUUGGAUUCAUUCAGAACAUUGAUGAACCAUGUGUGUACAAGAAAAUUCAGGAAAAAUCUGUAGCCUUCCUAAUUCUUUAUGUAGAGGAUAUUCUCCUAAUUGGAAACGAUAUAGGAGUAUUGACUACAAUAAAAAGUUGGUUAGCAAAAUAAUUUGAUAUGAAAGACCUGGUAGAGGCAAGUUAUAUUCUUGGUAUCAAGUUACUAUGAGACAGGAAGAUUAAAACUUUAGCCUUGUCUCAAGCGGUCUUUAUCGAUAAAAUAUUGGCUAGAUUUAGCAUGGAAAAUUCCAAGACUGGUUUAUUACCAUUCAGACAUGAAAUUACAUUCUCUAAGGAUCAAUCAGCUAAAACAUAUGAAGAGAUAGAGAAAAUGAGACGAGUUCCGUGUGCAGAAGUUGUGGGAAGUCUCAUGUAUGCCGUGCUUUGCACUAGACCAGACAUCUGUUUUGCGGUAGGGAUGGUUAGCAAAUAUCAAUGUAAUCCUAGACCUGAACACUUGACUGCGGUCAAGCAUAUAAUAAAGUAUCUGAAAAGAACUAAAAAUUAUAUGCUUGUGUAUUCUGGUGAUGAACUCAUUCCAGUGAGUUAUACAGAUUCUGACUUUCUGUUAGAUAAGGAUUUCAGAAAAUCAACUUCUGGCUAUGUGUUUACAUUAGGAAGUGGAGCUAUUAGUUGGAGGAGUGUGAAACAAUCUUGUAUCGCAGACUCCACAACUGAAGCUGAAUAUGUGGCUGCAUCUGAAGCUGUAUGGCUCCACAAGUUCCUAUAAGAUCUUGAGGUGGUACCUGCUGUAACUGCACCCCUUAAACUAUUUUAUGAUAAUAGUGGUGUGGUAGCUCAAUCUAAGGAACCACAAGAAACAAAAACAUAUUGAGAGGAAGUAUCAUCUCAUAAGGGAUAUAGUGCAGAGAGGUGAUGUGGAGGUUACUCAGAUUGCGUCACAGCAAAACUUGGCAGAUCCUUUUACUAAGGCCAUACCUGGGAAACCUUUUAACUUGCACUUAGAAUCCAUGAGCAUGCGUGAGAUGCCAAAUAUGCUUUGAGAGUUAGUGGGAGAUUGUUGGGAAAAUGUGCUCUUUAAAAGCAUAUGUGUUAAUUUAAUUGUAAUAAAUAAUUUUUCUAAUUAAUAAAAUAUAUGAGGUAUUUUAUUCAAGUAUUUUAAUUGCAUUGAUAUUUUGAGUAAAGUCCAUUCAAUCCUAUUAUAUGUAUUUAUGUGAUCACUAUGUGGAUUCACAAAAGACAUAAAUACAAGUUAUCUUAUGAUUAAAUAAAUUAUGUUCGCAGUUGAUAAAUAAAGUUGGGCACUUUAUUUAGGUAUAGACUGUAAUAAAUUCAUUGAAUGAUUUGUCUUAAUCAUGUAUGAAUUUAUUGAUGUAGUGCGACUACAUUGAAUAGGUUUGGGACUACAUUGAUGUAGUCAAGAUUACCAGGUAUCUUGGUGAGAGCAAUUAUGAGUAUUGGAGUUAUAGAUUAACAAUAUAGAAUUUGUACAACACAUCUCUUGAUGGGUUUUCGGUACUUGAUCAUAGAAUUCUCUGGCCAGAUUAUGUCGACAUAUUUAAUAUGUUGAAAAUGAUCAUUAGAGAAAACCAGUAAGUAUCAAGGAAUAAGAUGUAAUUAAAUUGAUUGGACAGUUGAGAUAUCGAUUUAAUUAAUGAUGUGGUACAAAUGAUUGAGCAGUCAAGAAAUCAUUGUGGUUUGGGACGAAUUAUUAUUCGAACAUACAAUUAUGGAGGUUAGUUCCAAUCUUAUAGUGGGGUAGAGUUGGAAUUAAAUGAUUAGGCUUAUUUAACUACAAGCUUAAUUGUUGUAGCCACUAUUGUAUGUUCCAAAAUGAUCCCCGGGUUAGCUCAUUUAAUUGACUGCACCACUACUGGAUUAAUAAGCAAGAUAACUAGCUAUUUGGGUCAAAAGGCUAAAUAUAUCAUUUAGUGGGAGGCUCCAUUUAAUAUGCUUGUGUGUAAGGGACCUUAUGUUAUUUUACAAGGUGGACCCCCUAUAGAAAAAGCAAGUACCGUGGCUUUUGGUUUUUAUUAUUUGGAGCUAAGGAUUUUCACUAAAUGGAAAUAUAAAAAGGCUUAUUUUCUCUAAAGAAAAGAGAUAGAGCCACAUUAUACAGACCAAGAGAAAAAUAAUUUCUCUCUAAUUUUGAGAAAAAAUUUCUCCUGCUAGUUGCUUUUAGUGGUGAUAAAGGUGCCCACACGUUAAGUGCAGAUCAAACUUGAGUUAUAGCCUGGAAGGUUAUUUGAUGGCGGAUCGUGAUCUAAAAGGAGUGGUGGUGACGGAUCGUGAUCUGGGAGCCUAAAUCACUUCAGCGGAAAAAGCAAAAAUUGUUCAUCUUCUCGGAUUGUCAAGGUAUGAUUUUCUAGAUUAUGAAUUCCUAUAUAUUUUAUGAGAUUGGUCCUAAAAGUUUUUUAAAAAAAAUUUAAAAAACUGAUUUUUCCCCAACAUCAACCCCACAAAACUGCUUAUUGAUUGUCCUCAUUUUGAACUUACUAUAGGAUUCACCCUCCUUGUUUUACAACUUACUUUAUACCCUUACGUUGAGAGGAAGAUCAGGCCAAUAAUCAUAACACGCAUUGCAGGGGUAAAAUUUCGAACACACCAUGUGGCAUUUAGACCAUUUGAUAGUUUGUUUCAUACAUAUUUGUUUAUAAAAUACUUUUCUUCAUGGAUUUGGUGACGUAAUUUUCUAUGUAUGUACAGGUUUUAUCGAUACGUCUUUUGACAAGUUACACUUACAUAGCAAUGUUAUCUGUGUUCAGCCUUGCCUUAUUGAUACCUUAUUGAUAAACUGUGCUUCUGUGAUGAAGAAUGUUUUCUCUGUCAGUGGAUAUCCUAAUCAUUGAUCCAUAUACUUAGGUUAUAUUACCCAUUAGGAAGUAUGUAUAAAAAUUAUUUUAUAUCUUCUUUAUUAGAAAUGUUGUAAUUCUUUAUUACUUUUCCUGAAUUAUAACAUCAGAUGUCUAUAAUAACUGGAUUAUUCCUUCUGCAAAACAGAGCAGUGGUAAAUAUUUUUUUUCUUUUGUUUGUUUAGCACAUUUCCAUGAUUUCAGCUUUUUCAAAUUUUGUAUGUGUCAAAGUUUAAAUUUAAUUUGUUGGUUUAUCGUACAAUAACAGGAACAGCAUCAAAGAGGAGCUGCCAAUGGACUUGCUAUGACUGUAGUGUCGCUUACCAAAACUGCCGGUCCAGCUGUAGGAGGUGCUCUGUGAGUGUCCUAUUGAUUUUGUAAAAUUAUAUGUAAAUAAUGUUAUAAUUGUUUUUUCAUUAAUUGGGGUUCUGGCAGAUUUUCUUGGUCACAAAAGCGUCAAGAUGCUGGUUUCCUCCCAGGUAUGAUGAUUUACUGAUGAAAUUUCUGACGAGUUUGUGAAUUACUUUGUCCUAAUUAGCUUAGUUAGCUGCUUAAACUAAAGUGCAGGUAACCAGAUGAUUUUUUUCAUUCUGAAUUUGGUCGAGGCACUAGGAGUAAUAUUGACAUUCAAACCAUUUCUAACUCAACGUGUCCCGUGAGUAGAGAAAAGAUGCAUCUGUUGAAAUAUUCAAAUAUAUGUCAAGCAAAUUAAAGCUUUCAAAAUCUAUCAACAAUUUGAUUAUUUGAUGUGGUUUUCCACUUGCCGUAUUUUGUUUUGCUGUUCUAAAGGCUUAAAUAUGAAAAUGGUGGUUGGCGCUCACACCAAUCGAUUGCUGUUAACAUUGUUCAGUACUUUUCUCUGUCGACAUUUAUACUUGUUCAUUGUCAGAACUACGACAAUUUAUCUUUACAAUGAUGCAAGCUAGAAAGAAUUUUUCAUGUUAAGUAAAAUAUUGAAGCCACAAAGAGUCUGAAUUAAGUACUAAGUUUUCUGCCAUGCUUUCAACGGCAGCACAUUUGUAGCUCUUAUUCCAGGGGCUCCACAGUAGAGAGACCUGAUUUCGACCUUCUUCAGAACUUGGGGAUUCCGUAAUAACAGAGGACAACAGUUAUAUAAGAAUAUUAUUUUGUACAAUUUUCGUAUAACCUGACCAAUGCAAGUAUAAUUUUAUGAUCUUAACUCAUAUCAAAAGACCUUCAAUGAUGUAAAAUUUGCACAUAAAGAUGAGAACCAAACAUUAGAACUUAUGAUGAAACGGAAACAAAAACAUUGAGAUUGAAAAGAUAGAGAAACACAAGCUUUUUAAAAGGAAUAAAUGUUCAUUUAGUCUCUAUAUUUUGACUUAAGAGCGCAUUUAGUUCUUAUAUUUUAAAAAGUGCCUCAACCUCGAGUAGGGCUGGCAAAAAUCCCCACGGCGACGGGUACCCUUGGGGAUUUUCCCUAUUCGGGGAGGGUAUGGGGAUAAUUUCAUACCCAAUUUCUUAUUCAGGGAAGGAACGGGGAAAUUUUUUUACCCAAUUUCUUAUUUGGGGAGGGGACGGGGAUGAGGUGGAAUCCCCAUCCCCUACCCAUUUCCCCAUUUUAAUUUUUUAUUUUAUUUUUAUUUUUUAAAAUUACUAGUAAAUAAAUUAUAAAAUUUGAAUUAUAAAAUUAUAAAUAUUGGUAAAAAUAACAAAUAUCAAAAUAUUUAUAUUAUUAAACUUUUAGGCCUAAUUAACAAAUUAAAGUCCUAAAUUUUUAUUUAGGACAUUAAAAAGACCGGAUAUAUUCUAUUAGCCCAAAAAUUUUGUUUUAAUUUUAAUAUUCAUUAAAUAUUUUAAACUUAAAUCUAUUUAUUUAUUUAUUUUUAGAUGUUAUAAUUGCCCACAGCAAAUCACAAUUUUAAUAUCUAAUCUAAUCUAAUAUUUGCUCUUGAUUUGCUCGGACUUAACUAUUGUGCUGUAAAGGGAAUAGUCCACAUUUAUAAAGUGCCCACGCCACCAUUGAAAAAGUUAAUUUUGAAUCUAAAUUCGAUUUUAUCUGUAACAAUUUUGUAUUAGACUAUUAAUUUAUUCAUGAUAGUUUGUAUCCCUUGCAUGCUGCGUUACUUACUAAUUUAAUGUAUGUGACUUUUGUAAUAGAUAUUAAUGUAAGAUAUAUUUCGAACUUUACUUUUAUUUGAAUUUUUUUUAUUUUAAUAUGAUUAACUCAAAAUCGAAAAUAAAAAAAUGUAUUAGUUAUUCGGGGAUCGGGGAUCCUCUGUUAUUAUUCGGGGAGGGGAUGAGGAUUCUCUCAAGUAAUUCUGACGGGGACGGAGAGGGGAUGAGGACAUACGCAAAAUAUCGGGGAUGGGUACGGGGAGAUUGGUCCCCUCCCCUCCCCUCCCCUCCCCAUUGCCAUCCCUAACCUCAAGACACCCCUACUGUGUUGGAAUAAUAUUUUUGGGAAUAUCAAUGAAAAGAAAAAAAUGGUAAUUCAUCUAGCCAGCCUUAAACAAAAUAAAUAUUAAUAAAAACUUUUAUGUUAUUAUUUUAGUUUUAGGACUAAUUUCGUAAAUUAAAUUUUUUAUGCAUUUAUUAGUAAGAUUGCUUUAAGAAUAUUAAACAUUACUUUAAGAUGGCUGUUAUUAAUUUAUUUAUAAAGAAUUAUUAGCAAGAUUGUUGUAAAAGUACAAAAAAUACUGGUUAUUUCAUAUUGAUAUUUAUUGAUUAAUUUUCCAAUUAACUUUUUUAUAAAUAAAUAAAUUAAUUUAAGAAUAUUAUUGCCAAGAUAUUAUUGUAAAAGUAAAUAAAAUUUAAGGAAAAAUGUAACGUAUUUAAUAUCAAGGUAUAUUGAGGUAUUUUUUAAAAUAUAAAAACUAAACGAGCAUUGAAGUUAAAAUAUAGGUACCAGACGAGCAUUUUCUCUUUUAGAAAGUUUUAUAUUUUAUUAAUGAAAGUCUGAAUAACAAAAUUAAGGUUUUGGACUUCUUUUAAACUAAACUUAAAUAUCACAAAUUUACCAAAAUAAGUAAACCUAACAUAUUACUACAUAAUAACAUUCUCCUAACUGAAAUAAGAUAAAUGUUACUCAAAUUCUAUAUCUAGAAAAAAAAAGAUAAAAAUCCUGAAAACAAUAGGAAAAUAGAUCUUAAACUUGUAAAAUAAUAUGAAAUAAAUAUAAUUUUCAAUCGAACCACGAGACUAAUGCGGUGCUACAGUAUUAGAUUAGAUUCCCCUCGUCGCGAACUUCGAAAUGUAUAUUAUACACCCUAAAUAGAUACUUAUAGCUCAAGUUGUUACCCUAGAGAGAUACUCCACUCAUCCUACGCAACCAUCCGCUGCAUCAAAUUCGUUCCAAAAUUAAGAAUAAACCAGCUGAUGCAUUCCAAAUAAUUUAGAUGAAACGAUAAAAUAAACCUAGAGAUCAAAUAACAUGAAAUGAAAAAGAUAAUUACCUUGGACUGAAGCUCAUACAAAUUCAUUAUUUGACACCUGCAGCAAUUGUUGAAAUAAUAGUUAAUGAAAUAUAAAAUAAGACAAGUACAUAUUAAUGAAACACCACUGUGAAUCGAUAGCUAAGGACGGAGUAAAAUUUAAUUGUAAAUUAGGACAGUAGAGCAAGCAUCCAUAAACAUAACAUGAACGUAAUACAUCAAUUGAAAUAUCAUAGGAUAAAUUAGGACGUCAGAGAAAGAAAUAAGUAAAUAAAUCAGCAAAGGAAACAUGCAUAAACAAAUAAAAAAACAAAGACAAAAUAAGGAAGAGUUUGUGAUAAUUUUCUUCUAUGGUCAUUGAAGUCCAAAAACUAAUAAGGAUCGAGCAAUUGAACGGUUGCAAACUCAAUGGAACCUUAAAAAUGAACAGUGAAGGAAAAUGAAGAAAUCUGCAGGAAAUAAGGCGAUUGAGAGUGAAGAAUUAAUUACCACUGAGUAAAUGCGAAUGAAGAAUGGAGACAGAUCCUUCUUCGCCCCAUUGAAAAGUGAGAUUCAUAGAUUGUAUUGAAAUUGAGAGUUGAGAUCAAGAAGCGAUUCUUCUUCUCCGUAAUUUCCUUUUUCUUUUAAUGUUGUUAUUAUUAUUAUAUCUUUUUUGAUAUCUUUUUUGUUUUAAACGGUAUUGGCAUAUUCUAUUUAUUUAUGUUAAUUUUACAAUACCUCCCUUCAGAUUGCACAAAUUACAUAAAAAAAAAAAAAAGUGCUUUAUGUAUAAAACUUUCAAACAAAUUGGGCCAAAAUCUAACUUUACCAAGUUUAGAGUAAUUUUGGGCUCGACAUUCCAUUUCCGACAAACGAAUUUUCUUUAUCACCAAGGUAUGAUACUUUUCAUAUUUAUCCAACGGCUCGUCAAUGACAAUACCUUUGUAAAAAGUACUUAUUUUGAAUAGUAUAUUGUGGAAAUGUCUGGUCGGUAAUACAACUAUUUCUUAUAGUGUAAAAAUGAUACACUAAGCGUUCACAUUUUGAUGAGUAAAUUAAGGAUUUCAAGAUGAAGUACAUAAUUAGAUUAAUGCUAAGAAACUGAAGUUUGAUCGAUUGAAAAUGAAAAUAAUAAUGAAGGUAAUUAAGAAAAUGAACAAUAUAUGCAGAAGCGGUCCUUAUUAGGACUUCUAGAUUUUCUCUUGGGCUUUCCUUAUUAUUGUUAAAAAAUGAAACGAAGAACUUUGAGUUUAAAAAUCUGGCCCUGAUGCCUGGUAGCCCUCCAACAUAUGAAGCACCAGAUGUUUUGAUGAGAAAAUGACAAGACCAUUUAUCAAAUUUCUUGUGGAUAUAAAUACAUACACAUAGACGAGACCAACCUCCUCAAAUGAGAAUCAGAGUGAUUAAAAGACCUUGCAAUGAGACAAUGAUACACCAUCAAAUGUCAAAAUACAAUAGAAAUUCACGACAUAUAUAUAAUAAAAGACCUCUCAUUGAGUCAUAUAUAUUGAGAAAAAAAAAUGUUAUAAUACAUACACAGAGCUUAGUUAGAAUAAAAUGUCUUUGAACUUGCGAUGAUCAAACAAAGGAAACAGACAGGUUGUAACUCACACUAUCACAAGAAGAUCACGAAGAUGGAAAUGGGAACCCAUCAGAAUGGAAACUUUGAAUAGAGGAAAAAAGAAAAACGACCUUAUUCACAGAAGAAGAGUGACUUAAAUCUUCAUCAGUAUCCAGACAUUUUGCAAUCAUAGAGUAGAGAAAUUUUAACAGGAACAGCAGAGAAAAUAUUAUGAAUAUGCUAUAGACCAAUAUACUUGUUCAUAGCUGACGUUUGAUGGUUUAAGGAUUUGUUCUAGGAAUAAUGGGCUGAUUACUUUCUUUUUAUUUUUUUAUUUUUUAAUCCAAUGAAUGAUAUUCAGCUGUUAAUUAUGUGUUCAUAGGGAAGAACAUUUUCUAAGUACUUUCCUUGCCUUCUAACUUUCCGAAAAGCAAACCCAAUGAACAAACAGAGGACAAACUAAAAUAAAAGAACAGCAAUGAUGACAAUAAAUAAUUGGCAAAGAAAAAAAAGGAAAAAGUAUGCACGUUUUCAAGGAAUUAUAAAAUAUGAAGGCUUUUAAUGAAACUUAAUCAUAAAAAGUAUGCAAGGAAUUAUAAAAUUUUAGAAAACAAGGGGAGCUCUCAAAAAAAAAUGAAAAACUCAAAUUAAACUAGACUAAAAGACAUUCAAUUUUGCAAAAUCUGUCCAUAAAAGUCUGAAAGGAUCAUUAAAAUUGCAUUGCAAAUUUAACAGUAAACCGAGGGACCCAUUCUAAAUAAUUCAGAUGAAAUUGCGAAACAAGACAUGGGAUUAAAUAAAUGAAAUAAAAAUUAAUUACCAGUUGAGACUUUCUUCUAAAAAUUCGCAACUCCAAGUCAUAAGAAGCCUAUGAAAUUAGUCGUACUGCGUAGAGUAUGACGAUGACACCGCCAACAGUUGAAAGUAAAAUUCUUAUUCAUCAAUUUAAACUUACUUUAUAACAAAUAUCUUAUCUAUAUUGUAUUUAAGAAAUCAAAUUUUGUAAAAAUUUAUCAUGGGAGAUAGAGAGUAAUAUGUAUAUACGUACCUUCUCAGCAUGUAAUUGUUGUAUGGUUGUGUUUAGAUCAUUAUUAGCCCAGCGCCGUUGAUCCGCUGUCUCUCCAUAGCAGACGUUUACUCUUAGAGGCGUGAUUGAUUCUCCUGUAGUGAAAAUCUUCAUCUUGGGACAACCAAUCACCCACAAAUUUUGCAAAGAUGGCAAUUUGACGGUGUAAUUGGCAGAGCAGAAACAAUCUCUUCUUUUUCAACUCCAUCUUUGUCAUUUAUUACCACCUCUGUCAUUGCUCUGCAUCCAUAUAUUUCUAUUGCUACGAGUCGCACCAGAGUUUUUGCUGUGGAGGAUGUUACCAUGUGUAACAAUUUCUUGCAACCGAAAGCCACCACAGCUGUUAGGUUCUGAAAAGAUACCGAUGAUGAUGGCAAUAGAAUUAACAGACUUUGACAAUGAUAUGCUUUUAGAAUUUCAAGAUACUGAAAAAUGGGGCCAAGUUUGGAGUCUUGUUUGCACAGCUGCUUCAGAUGAUAGUGCCAGCGCAGCUCUAAUGUUUUUAUCAUUGCCAACUUUCCCGCAUGUUUCUCUAAGCUUCCUUCCUCCGAAAAUACCUCUUCGUGGAAUGAAAAUUGAAACAGUGAGAGCAUUUCAAGAUUGUGAAAUCUCUCAAGUACAUUCCAGAUUGGAAAACAAGCUGAGUUAUCUUCGGCAAUCUCUAGUUGUUUAAGACUGCCAAAAAGGUGUUGUGGGAAAUCGGCCUGCAAAAUCAUCUUCACGUCUUUUCCAUUCAAUGAUAGGUCCUUCAAGUUGGGUAAGAUCUGAUCAUCAUAAAUCAUAAUAACUAAUGAGGUCAAUUGAUGUUCUCUCAAAUGAUUUUGAGUAAUCCAAUCACAAGCAGUGACUUUAUAGUAUCUGUUUUAUAUUAAUUUUACCCCCCAAAAAAAAUUGAAUUAGUGAUAAAAUUCAUUAUAUGAUUUUUUUAUAUGUUAAUUUUAGAGGUAAAAAAGAAAUUAGGGAAAAAGAGUUGAUUUAUAUUUGCAUGAAAAUAUUUUAUUUCACAACAAUAAAUUAUUAAUUUAUUUUGUAAGUCGUUGUAUAAAGAAAAACUAAGGAUUCUUUACCUAAAAAAGUCCAUAUAAUUAUUAAUCUCCCACAUUGAUCCCUUAGUCAUGACUAGCAAAGAUUUUUAUGUAAUAAAAAUUUUCAAUUUAUUAAGUAUCAAUUUAUAAAUGUUUUGUUACAUUUUUCAAAGUCAAAAAUCGUCAAUGAGCUAUUGAAAAAAAUAUCUAGAAUAUGACUUCAUACCUUUUCCAACGGCAAUAAGGGCUGUUGUGCAGGAAUAUCAAGUUGAUUAUUCUCUUUAUUCUGCGAUAAAUCUGCAGCGAAUAUCUUUAAUUUGUCACAACGACACACUGCAAAAUUUUCUAGUGCUGGCCAUUCCGAAGUAUGCAUUCCUGGGUAUAAACAUCUAAGUUUUGGUAGACCUUGGAGAAUCAGAACGGUGAGCUGUGGAAAGACAAAAUAAGGGAUCACUUCAUCUGCUCUGUUUUCAGAAACGAUCUCCUGUAAAUCCUCACAGAAGCGUAUAUCUAAGUGCUGGAGCUGCUUGAGGUUUCCGAUCAUAGACGCUGAAAAUAUGAUUUAAUUAUUUUCCACGUAUGACAUCAAAAGAGAACGCAUGAUAGAAUAAAAUCUGUUAUAUAUAUAUAUAUAUAUAUGAAGAAAAUGUUAGCCUACUGUUGCGGACAGCCCAAUUCGCUAGCCCAAUUGCCCACAAUUUCGGGCUAGAGAGCCAACACAAGGCCAAGAGUGCUAGCUUGGCCCAAUUCCGGAAGGUUCUAGGCAACUCUAGCACAUGUGAACAUGUAAAUAUUCUAGAAUACUUUAUACAAUUCCAGCACAUGUAGAAUUCUCCAUAGAAUUCCAGCACAUGUAAAUAGCUAGGAAAUGGUAGAAUUCUCUAGAAUCUCUAGAGCUUGGCAAGCCUCCCCUAUAAAUAUGGGAUGACAUUAGGCAUUUGUAUCCAACAAGCAUUGUAAGCAACUCAAGCAUUGUAUUAUCUCUUUGUGCAAUACAAGUUUUCUUCUAUUGGCUCAAUUGCUCUCUCUCUCUUCUCUAGUUCGAGAAGCUCUAGGCUUACUUAGCAACAUUCGGCAAAGUUGUCUAAGUGCCGCACGGGUUAGCUGCGCAAAACACUCAUCCCGUGACAAGUGGUAUCAGAGUUAAGGUUUGCACGCACGCAAAUUAGCUCACGAGCAAUGGCCAACCCUUCGAAUCCAGCACAAGAGGGUGUUGUUGGUGUGGAUGUUCCACCGGAACCAAGCCGCGGCCGAGAGGGAGAACGCGCCCAAGGCAAGACUCGCGGCAAGUCCAAGGUCCCAUCCGUGGAUGCGUUGGAGCCUUGUGUGACUACUCUCGAAAUCGCAUUGUCCGCCGCUCAAGAUAGCCUCGAAGGAUUGGAGGAAAGAGUGGAUGGUCUCGAGGGGGAAUACGUCGAGUUCACGGUGGCCACAAAAGCUCUCAUCCAAGAGCAAGCGAACACUCUCAGAGGUGAGUUUCGUUCUUUCCAUGAUGAGUUGCUAAAACUUCGUAGUUUUGUUCAGGACGAACUACGCAAUGUCCGUGCGGAAGUGGAUGAAGUCCGCUCGGAUUGGGCAUGGCACAAGCGCACACUCUCCUCAAGUCCAGCUUCCGCAAACUCGAGUGAUGCGCGCUGCAUUGACGUGCCAAAGCCCGACACUUACGAUGGCACACGCAACGCCACAAUCGUGGACAAUUUUCUCUUUGGGCUUGAUCAAUACUUCGAUGCCAUGGGUGUCCGAGACGAGGCAUCGAAAGUGGGCACUGCACCCACCUAUCUUAGAGGCACUGCACAACUAUGGUGGCGUCACAAGCAUGGCGAGAUGGGCAAGGGCAUUUGCACCAUCGACACUUGGGCCGACUUCAAGCAAGAACUCCGAAAGCAGUUCGCCCCAAGCAAUGCGGAGAAGGAAGCGCGAGCGCGCUUACGUCGCCUCAAGCAAUCGAGUAGCAUUCAGGACUACAUCAACGAGUUCACUACCCUUAUGUUGGAGAUAAGCGACAUGUCCGACAAGGAUUCACUCUUCUACUUCCAAGAUGGCCUCAAGGAUUGGGCCAAGACCGAGCUUGAUAGGCGUGGUGUUCAAACACUUGACGACGCCAUUGCCGUUGCGGAGUCACUCACCGAGUACUCUACCCAAUCCAAGGACAAAAAGGCCAACCAAGGCAAAGGUGGGGGAGAGAGUCGCAAGGACAAGGGCAACAACCGCAAAGAUUGGGGGCAGAAAAAGCCGCCUAGCAACAAGAGCGGGCAAGGAAAAUCGGAGGGCAAGAAGGAAGUGCCAAAGCCGCGAAGCCCAUGCUUCAUAUGCAAUGGUCCUCAUUGGGUACGCGACUGUCCGGAGAAAAGGUCACUCAACGCUCUUGCUGCCCAACUCAAGAGCAACCCCACAAUGUCCGCGGAGGAACCCCAACUCAGCAUGGGUUCUCUCCAACGCCUCGGCGCACUCAAUCGCCAACAGCCCGCACUCGUCAAGAAAGGGCUCAUGUAUGUAAGCGCAAAGGUAAACGGUCAAUCCGUUCACGCGCUGCUAGACACGGGAGCGACGCACAACUUCGUGUCCAUAGACGAGGCCAAGCGCUUAGGCCUCAAGGCCACCAAGGAAGGAGGCACAAUGAAAGCGGUAAACUCACCCGCCAAGCCAAUUGCGGGGAUCGCACAAGGCGUGCACAUCACACUCGGUACGUGGAGCGGAAAGCUUGACUUCUCUAUUGUGCCCAUGGAGACUUCAAGAUGGUCCUCGGCAUGGAAUUCUUCGACCAAGUCCAUGCCUUCCCGCUGCCCGCUACAAACUCCCUAAGUAUCCUCGAUGGGAGCAAAGCAUGCAUGGUACCCACAGAGCGAGGCAAGUCCGAGGAGAAGACACUCUCCGCCAUGCAAUUCAAAAGGGCUUUCAAGAAGGACCCAAGCUUCUUGGUCUCCAUUCGGGAACUAAACGAGGAAGGAAAUAGCGGAACUUCGCCAAGCCAAGUCCCUCCGCGAGUUCAAGCCGUCCUCAAUGAGUACAAGGAUGUGAUGCCUCCAGAACUUCCGAAGAAGCUCCCACCUUGACGAGAGGUAGACCAUGCGAUCGAGCUGGAAUAAGGCGCGAAGCCACCAGCCUUGGAGCCCUAUCGCAUGGCGACCCCCGAAUUAGAGGAGUUGCGGAGACAACUCAAAGACUUGCUGGACGCAGGCUACAUUCGCCCCUCAAAGGCCCCAUUCGGUGCACCGGUCCUCUUCCAAAAGAAAAAGGAUGGAUCGCUACGGAUGUGCAUCGACUAUAGAGCACUCAACAAGAUCACCAUCAAGAACAAGUAUCUGAUUCCCUUGAUCGCGGACUUGUUCGACCAGCUUGGCAAAGCACGGUACUUCACCAAACUUGACUUGCGCUCCGGGUACUACCAAGUGCGCAUUGCCAAGGGAGACGAACCGAAGACAACAUGCACAACAAGGUAUGGGUCUUUCGAAUUCCUUGUAAUGCCUUUUGGCCUUACUAAUGCACCCACCACAUUUUGCACGCUCAUGAACAAGGUACUCCAACCAUUCCUCGAGCGCUUCGUGGUCGUGUACUUGGAUGACAUAGUGGUGUAUAGCACCACGCUCGAGGAUCAUGCCCAACACUUGCGACAAGUCCUCCAAGUACUUCGAGACAAUGAGCUCUUCCUCAAACUAGAGAAGUGCUCGUUUGCCCAACAAGAGGUGGAGUUCCUUGGCCACAAGAUUGCGGGCGGGAAGAUCAUGAUGGAGAAUGCUAAAGUAAAGGCCAUCCUCGAUUGGGAGCCUCCCUCGAAAGUGCCCGAGCUUCGCUCAUUCCUUGGGCUGGUGAACUACUACCGCCGCUUCAUUAAGGGCUAUUAAGCUAAGGCGGCACCCUUGACGGAUAUGCUCAAGAAAAACAGAACGUGGCAUUGGUCCGAAGAGUGCCAACGCGCAUUCGAGGAGUUGAAAAAGGCAAUUUCGGAGGAACCAGUCCUCGCCCUUCCGGACCACACAAAGCCCUUCGAAGUGCAAACGGAUGCCUCGGAUUUCACCAUAGGAGGAGUCCUCAUGCAAGAAGGCCACCCUAUAGCGUUCGAGAGUCGAAACCUAAAUGAUACCGAACGCCGUUACACGAUGCAAGAAAAGGAGAUGACCGCAAUCAUACAUUGCUUACGGGUGUGGCGACAUUACUUGCUUGGCUCGCACUUCACAAUCAUGACGGACAACGUGGCGACAAGCUACUUUCAAACUCAGAAGAAGUUGAGUCCGAAGCAAGCGCGGUGGCAAGAUUUCCUUGCGAAAUUUGAUUAUCGGCUCGAGUACAAACCGGGUAAAGCCAAUGUCGUUGCGGACGCUCUAAGCCGCAAGGCAGAAUUAGCAACACUUAGCAUGAGCCAACUGAAGUCCGACCUUGUCUCACGCAUCAAGGAAGGCCUCCAACAAGAUCAGCUAGCAAAGGAUUUGCUGGAGAAGGUGCUCGAGGGAAAGACAAGGCGAUUUUGGCAAGAAGAAGGCAUCCUCCUCACCAAGGGAGAUCGGCUGUUCGUGCCAAGGUGGGGAAACUUGCGGAAGGAAGUAAUCAAGGAAUGCCACGACUCCAAGUGGGCUGGUCACCCAGGAAUCGAGCGCACCAUCGCACUAGUCCAAGCCUCGUAUUUUUGGCCGCACAUGAGGGACGACAUCGAGGCAUAUGGAUCAUCAACUUCCAGCGGGAUUAUUGGAGCCGCUACCACUAGCAACAAGGCCAUGGGAAAGUGUCUCCAUGGACUUCAUCACAUCGCUGCCUAAGUCCAAAGGUUGCGGAAGCAUCAUGGUCGUUGUCGACCGAUACAGCAAGUACGCCACAUUCAUUGCCGCACCAGUUGAUUGCAAAGCGGACGAGACAACCCGCUUAUUUGUCAAGCACAUUAUGAAGCUUUGGGGAGUUCCGAAGAGCAUUGUGACUGACCGAGACCCUCGGUUCACUGGACGCUUUUGGACGAAGCUCUUCAAGAUGUUGGGGACCGAUCUUAAGUUCUCAAUAAGCUUCCACCCACAAACGGAUGGGCAGACCGAGCGCAUUAAUGGCCUCCUCGAGAUGUACUUGAGGCAUUAUGUGAGCGCUCACCAGCGGGAUUGGGCGAAGCUACUCGACGUCGCCCAAUUUUCUUAUAACUUGCAGCGAAGUGAGGCUACAGGCAAGAGUCCAUUCGAGAUCAUCAUGGGAUUCCAGCCCAUGACCCCCAAUGCCAUAGCCUCGACUUACGGAGGGAAAAGCCCUGCGGCACACAAGCUCGCCCGCGAAUGGCAUGAGGAAGCGGACAUCACGCGAGCCUAUCUCGACAAAGCCGCGAGGAAAAUGAAGAAAUGGGUGGAUACAAGGAGACGGCAUGUUGAGUACAAGGAAGGUGAUCAAGUCAUGAUUAAGCUCCUACCCCAACAAUUCAAGACUUUGCGGAAAGUUCACAAGGGGUUAGUGAGGUGCUACGAGGGACCCUUCCGAGUUGUUCGACGUGUGGGAAACGUCUCGUAUCAACUCCAACUUCCGCCAAGACUCAAGAUCCAUCCGGUCUUCCAUGUGAGCCUUCUCAAGCCAUAUCACGAAGACAUGGGAGAACCAAGUAGCGGAGAAUCGAGGCGCGUGCCAACUGCCGUUGUCACUGCGUUCGACAAAGAUGUGGACUACAUCAUUGCGGACCGCACGGUUUCGAGGAGGGGCGUGCCAGCACAUAGCGAGUACUUGGUGAAGUGGAAAAACCUCCCCGAGAGCGAAGCCACUUGGGAACGUGAAGAUGAUUUGUGGCAAUUCGCUGAGCACAUCCAGAAUUUCAAGCACGAGAGCGCGACGAGGACGCCGCGAGCUUAGGUGGGGGAGGAUGUUGCGGACAGCCCAAUUCGCUAGCCCAAUUGCCCACAAUUUCGGGCUAGAGAGCCAACACAAGGCCAAGAGUGCUAGCUUGGCCCAAUUCCGGAAGGUUCUAGGCAACUCUAGCACAUGUGAACAUGUAAAUAUUCUAGAAUACUUUAUACAAUUCCAGCACAUGUAGAAUUCUCCAUAGAAUUCCAACACAUGUAAAUAGCUAGGAAAUGGUAGAAUUCUCUAGAAUCUCUAGAGCUUGGCAAGCCUCCCCUAUAAAUAUGGGAUGGCAUUAGGCAUUUGUAUCCAACAAGUAUUGUAAGCAACUCAAGCAUUGUAUUCUCUCUUUGUGCAAUACAAGUUUUCUUCUAUUGGCUCAAUUGCUCUCUCUCUCUUCUCUAGUUCGAGAAGCUCUAGGCUUACUUAGCAACAUUCGGCAAAGUUGUCUAAGUGCCGCACGGGUUAGCUGCGCAAAACACUUAUCCCGUGACACUACACACCUUCUCGUUGAAAAGCAGAGUUGAAGUAUCCUCUUGCGAUGAUGGUCUGUUUGGUGAUGCUAAAGGAGUCUUUACUUCACGGCAGAGAUUUAUGAUAUUUUACAAUCAUGUAUUUAGAUUUACUUUAAUUUUAUGUUUAAAGCUUCUACAAUGAAUAGCGUAGCUUGGGCUUUAGUUUCAUUUUCUAAUUAACUUGUUUUAGUUUAUCUUAUAUGCUCGCCAAGUGCUUGUUAUAUUGUCUGAUAAGUUAUAUAACAUUGCUGAUUCUAUAUUAGUAAUGUCAUGUUCCAUUUUCGGAAAUUAUAACACAAAAGUUUUUACAAUGGCUUGCAUCUACAAACUGAAUUGACUUGUAGAGUAAGAGCUUGGAUUAGUGUUAUGUUCUUGAAUAAAUGAAAGUUCAUAUUGUGUAAGAGCAUGUAGAUAUAAAGCAUCACUACCAUUUCUACAAACUGCUUUCAUUCUGUUCAGAUGCUCCUCUUGAACUUUGAAAGGUGCCUCAUUCAAGUCCUAGCUAUAACUACUAGCUCUGAUUGCUUAAGUUCCUGUGCUAGCUGAAACAGAUUUAUUUAAUUAAUUAAUUGUGUAUGUACUAAUUAUAUUGAAAGUAUAUGAAGAAAUUGUUUAACAUGAAUGACUUCUAAAUGACUUAAAAGCCUAAAGGAUAUGUGAAAUAAUGCUCAUUUCACUUGAACGAGCCUAUUAAUACUUGUAUGUCUAUGAUUGUCAAUCUUGCUUAAGUGUUUCAGUUAAGUGGUUUACCUAACAGGGAAAAAAAUUUAAUGGAAAACUUUAGAGUUCUAACAGAAAUAUAGUUGACUGCAGAUAUAGUUAUUUUACGGUACAUAAAUCAUGUUGUCCUAUUCUCAAUGUCCUACGACCUAUUUUAUUUUAUAUGGUCAUUCAUUUUUGCGAUGGUUUUUUGUGCUUAUGAGUAUGGAAAUAGUGGGAUUUAGAGUGGCAAACAAAAAUAUACAUAUAAUCAAGUUUCUUAAUCAUAUAUAUUGGUUUUGGGUAUGAAUGUUUUCCUAUUCUAGUUCUAAGCAAAGUUUCUUCAUUUUGGUCUUCAGAUUUCCAGUAGGUUAAGUUAAGCAACUAUCAUAACUAGCUAGCUAGUUAUUGCCUGCCUUGUCGCCAUUACCGACGCCAUUACAUUGCAUGGCAUAAGGAAUAGUAACUAGGUGAUUAUUGGUGAUUCGUUGAGUUUAUUAUUGGCCAAACAAACAUAUUGGCCUUUACCCACAACUUAGUUUGAUUAGUUAUUAGAUAAUAAAGAGCCUUAAUCUAUGCAUUGCUUUAUUAUUUUUAUUUGGUUUUUCUUUCAACAAUAUUGUUGAUUUCUUAUAAACAGUACUAGUAGUGAAAAAAUGAUGACAACAACAAAAAUAGAAAAUUACAAGACUGCUGAUAAAAUUUCAUUUGCAUGCAUGUCUGACAAAAUUUCCGUGAUUUAAUGUGCUUUCAUGAACGCAAGUCCUAACGUUUCUGUGAUCACAAAAUGAAACUGAAGAUAAAACAGAACAACUACCAAACCUUUCAAGCUUGACGAAGCCAUGAGAAUUGAUAGCUCAGGCUCUGAUACCAAGUAAAAGUUUCUAAUCUGUUUGGUAAGUAAGAAAAUGAGAGAAAAUGAAAGAAAGAACAUAGAUCAUCUAAGAGCUGGAUUUGAUAAGUAAAUAUGAAUCAUCCAUUCAUUAGCUGAUUGCAAAUGUAUUUAUACAAGUGAUGGUUGUCGAAGCCAACAAAAAUAAAUUCCUACUAUAAAUAAAUUGUGUAUAGUGAUUGAGCAGGGUCGUGUCCACAGAGAUCGGUAAUUAUUUAAAUCCUUUUGAAACGUAAAACGUAAAAUGGGGGAAUUGUUGACAAUAAUAAAAAUCAAAUUAAAAUAACAAGAAUACAAAUUAAAGUUGUAAUUCAAAUUGGAGAAAGCUCUGGUUGAAGGAAUUAACUCAGCUUGAUUCGACUACUGAUCAUUGAUUCAAAUAUAGAUUAUUAUUACUUAUGAAUAGACCGGUUAUAGCUACUGAGACCCUCUAAUAGCCAAUCUCUCCUUAACUAGUCGAUAACCAAGGUAUGACCGUUGGUUAUUUCCCUAAUCAAUAGACAACCCUAGAUACGAUCAUAGGAUUUAAUCAAUUGACAACCUGAAAGACCAGAGAGACCCAAAUCCUAAUCAACACAUACGAUGAUUCAUUUAAAUUAGAUUGUUUAUUCUCAUAACACAACUCACUGCUAUGUUAUUCGUCACAAACAUUAAAAGCUUCAUACGAUGAAUCCUUUAAUUAACAAUAGAUUAAGUUGAUAAUUAAAUAGUGGCCAAUUACCUAAUUAACAAACAUAAUCAUGAAAAUAAUUCAGAGAAUAAACAAAUACCCAAAAAGUAAUAAAACAAUUAAAGUAUAAAAUAGAUCUCACAGUAGUGAUGAAUCAAAACUUCAUUAUCCUUCAACCAGAAAAAUAAGUUUAGUUCUUCAUAGAGAGAAGAGAAAAGUUUAGAUCUAGGGUUUCUCUCUUUUUCUCCAAUCCCCAUUUUUCACAAUAGAUUCCUCCCUUAAAUACUCUCUCUCUCUUCUCUUUUAGAAUUCUAUUUAAAAUAAAAUACUAAUAUCUGAAAUAUUAAAUUCGUAAUUACAAAAAUAACCAAAAAUACAAAACACGUUAAACUAAAAACUGCAGGUCCGCAGUUGACAGCACGUGCCCACGCCUUAUCAACAAAGUUCUUCUGACGCUCAUAAUUUCUCCAAGAGAACAAUCAUCCUUAAACAUCAUCUUGUAACUCAAUUUUAUCACCAAUCAAUAGAAUUGCACCUACAAAAGUAAAACACAAGUAAAUCACUAUUAUUAAGUGCAAAACAUCGAUAUUAAGGGAAGUAAACAAUGCAAAACUAGUGCAUAAAUUGCACUCUAACAACAAGGUUCCUGAACAUUUCAGAUUCUAUAUGCUCGAGCUAAGCACCUGAGAGUUGAGCAGUGUGCACUAACAAACUGCUAACAAAAUAACUAACUCAUGCCAGCUCAGCUAACACGUCAGUAACUCUAACUAUCUUGCUUAACAAACUGAAACAAUAACUAACCAUUUUAACUAUCUUAACAAUCCCAAUAAUUUCUCCAUUUGUGUACUUUUUUGAAUCAUAAUCAAAUGGAUAAAUGUUGCAACUAUUUUUUUAGAUAUUUUCACUUUAGGAUGUCAGCCCGAGGAAGUACGGGGGUCUGAGUUAUUCAACUGAAAAUGUCGGCCAAGUUCUUGCCAUCUCAAGUGCAAAACUGAAAAUGUUACUCGUUCUUCUUAACUUGUUUUCUCAUGCAUCAACCCCACAAAACUGCUCAUUGAAGGGGUAAAAUUUUGAACACACCAUGUGGCAUUUAGACCAUUUGAUAGUUUGUUUCAAACAUAUUUGUUUAUAAAAUACUUUUCUUCAUGGAUUUGGUUACGUAAUUGUCUAUGUAUGUACAGGUUUUAUCGAUACCUCUUUUGACAAGUUACAUAGCAAUGUUAUCUGGGUUCAGCCGUGCCUUAUUGAUAAACUGUGCUUCUGUAAUGAAGAAUGUUUUAUCUGUAAGUGGAUAUCCUAAUCGUUGAUCCAUAUCCAUAAGCAAGUAUGUAUAAAAUUAUUUUAUGUCUUUUUUAUUAGAAAUGUUGUAAUUCUUUUUUACUCUUCCUGAAUUAUAACAGCAGGUGUCUAUAAUAACUGGAUUGUUCCUUCUGCAAAACAGAGCAGUGGUAAAUAUUUUUUUCUUUUGUUUGUCUAGUACAUUUCCAUGAUUUCAGCUUUUUCAAAUUUUGUAUGUGUCAAAGUUUAAAUUUAAUUUGUUGGUUUAUGGCAACAACAGGAACAGAAUCAAAGAGGAGCUGCCAAUGGACUGCUAUGACUGUAGAGUCGCUUACCAAAACUGCUGGUUCAGCUGUAGGAGGUGCUAUGUAGGCGUCCUAUUGAUUUUGUAAAAUUAUAUGUAAAUGAUGUCAUAAUUUUUAUUGUCUCCCCCACCCCCUCUCCCCAAAAAAAAAAAUAUUAAAAAAUUAAAAAAUUAAAAACUAAGGCGUGAUUAAAUUGAUCAUUUGUUUGGUAACAACUUGAUUAAUCGGGUUCUGGCAGAUUUUCUUGGUCACAAAAAGCGUCAAGAUGCUGGUUUCCUCCCAGGUAUGAUGAUUUACUAAUGAAAUUUAUCACUAGUAUGUGAAUUACUUGGUGCUAAUUAACUUAAUCAGCUGCUUAAAUUAAAGUGCAGGUAACCUUAUUUUUUUUUCUUUUUACAAUAAUACUCUUGGAAUAAUAUUUCUGGGAAUAUUAAUGAAAAAAUGGUAAUUCAUCCAGCCAGCCUUAAACAAAAUAAAUAUUAAUAAAAACUUUUAUGUUAUUAUUUUAGUUUUAGGACUAAUUUCGUAAAUUAAAUUUUUUUAUGCAUUUAUUAGUAAGAUUGCUUUAAGAAUAUUAAACAUUACUUUAAGUUGGCUGAUAUUAAUUUAUUUAUAAAUAAUAUUAGCAAGAUUGUUGUAAAAGUACAAAAAAUACUAGUUAUUUCAUAUUGAUAUUUAUUGAUUAAUUUGGCAAUUAACUUUUUUAUAAAUAAAUUAAUUAAUUUAAGAAUAUUAUUGCCAAGAAAUUAUUGUAAAAGUAAAUAAAAUUUAAGGAAAAAAUGCAACGUAUUUAAUAUCAAGGUAUAUUGAGGUAUUUUUCAAAAUAUAAAGACUAAACAAGCACUGAAGUUAAAAUACAGAUACCAAAUGAGCAUUUUCUCUCUUAGAAAAUUUUAUAUUUUAUUAAUGAAAGUCUGAAUAACAAAAUUAGGGUUUUGGACUCCUUUUAAACUAAGCCUAAAUAUCACGAAUUUACCAAUAUAGUAAACCUAAAAUAUUACUGCAUAAUAACAUUCUCCUAACUGAAAUAAGAUAAAUGCUACUUAAAUUCUAUAUCUAAAUGAAAAAAAGAUAAAAAUCUUGAAAACAAUAGGAAAAUAGAACUUAAACUUGUAAACUAAUAUGAAAUAAAUAGAAUUCUCAAUCGAACCACGAGGCUACUGUGGUGCUACAGUAUUAGAUUAGAUUUCCCUCAUUGCUAACUUCAAACUGGUAUAUUAUACACCCUAUAUAGGUACUUAUAGCUCAAGUUAUUACCUUAGAGAGAUACCCUACGCAUCCUACACAACCAUCCACUGCAUCAAAGUCGUUCCAAAACAGUAGUUCACAGUUGGUACUGCACAUGAUGCUUGUUUCUCCUUUUGCAUCAACUUUUGUUGUUAACAUUAAUUUCAAUAGCAGCUCGUUAUGUAUGCAACAUUUCAAAAUUAAUCCAAAAAAACAAAAAUUAGUUCAGCUGACUAAAUUUGAAAGCAUGGAUUUGCUGUCGAUUAAAAAUCGUUUUCUAGGGAAAAUUUUUGGAUUGCAAUUCUCAUACAAUACAUAGAAUUAUCAUAAUCUAUAAAUUGUAUUUUUUCUUUUCUACGGUAGUAAGUCAAGAAUCCUUAGUGACAAUUUAAAUUGAAAAAAUAAAAUCAUAAAUAAGAAUUAUUUGAUAAGAAUUAAAAUAAUUGAUAAAUAUUUGAGAGGAACAAUUUUGGAAGACUCGAUCUAAUAGGAGGAGAAUUUGAAUUUUACAACCUUCCGUGAGGAAUCCAAAAUGCACAAUUUGAUGAAAAUUAAAUUUCAAUAGAAAUUGAAUUCCCAUAUAUUAGUGAAAACCAAACAACAGAAAAGUGAAAGGAAUUUGAAUUCAUUUCCUUCCUGUCUCAUCCCUCCAACUAAACACCAUCGAUACCCAAAGGUAUGGGAUUGGGAUUCCAUACUGAUCAGAAUGGGAUUUGUCCAUAUUAUUAGGACCAAUUUUAAAAGCAGUCGGAGUUUAAAAUUGAAAUUAAUCCCAAUUUUUUAUCAAUUUAUGCAUGAAUUUUUGUACGUUUACUUUGGUUUAUUAUUGUUACUUUUAGACAUUUUUAUUGGUUUGAUUUAGGGUCAUUUUGGUAAUCUUGUAAUUUUUAAAAUAGUUACAGUUAGUUAUGCUGUAGAAAUUGAUCAAUCAUGAAGAGAAUCAGCUGAACAUUUAGUAAAAUUUAUUUUUAAAAGUACUUUGUUUUAAAAGCAGUUGUAUGUGUUUCGUAAAUCUUAUUUUUAAACAGGUGCAAGAAUAUAAAUAACUAAAUUGGACAUAAUACUAAAUAAAAUUUAUUUACACAUUUACAAACAUGUAUAUAAAAUAUUUUUAUUAUGUACAUAUAAUUAUUGAUAACUAAAAUAAAUAUUUUAUAUUAUUAAAUUUUAUUCUUUAUUUUGUUAUCUCAAUAUAAUUGGUAAUAAUAAUAAUCUUUUAAAGUUAAUGAUUUUAUUUCUUAAUUAAUAAAGAUAAUUCUGGAUUUUUAUUAUAUAAUGAGGAUAUAUAUAUAUAUAUAUAGAAUUGGAUUAAGUAUAAAAGUGAUUUUCAAAAUCAAAUUUUGAAAAACUAUUCCUUCCAUACUUUUCAAAAUCCACUGUAUGAUGAGAUGAUUUUUCCAAAAAUAAUUACUAAAAAAUUAUAAAACACUAAAAAUUAGGUUUUAGUUUUUAAAAUCACUUUUGAGCUUCCCAAAAACAAUCCUAACGGGCCUUUAUUUGGGUGGUGUUGGAACUUGUAACUUUUGGAUCUUUUAGUUUUUAUUGGUUUGAUACAAGUGUUACACUAAAAAUUGAAUGCAUCUUAAACCCCAAACUUCUUCUUCUUCUUUUUUGAUUGCACAAAAUUAAAAACAAUAGUGAACGCAUUCUUUAAUAAACAAUAAGUAAUUACUAAAAUUGUGUUAAAGAAUUUAGUUGAAACAUAAAUUGAUUUCAAUGUUGUAUAUGCUAAAUUUCUUAAAAAUUUUCUUUCACAGUCUGCGGAAUAGUUUUAUUAGUAUUUUGAAUAAAUAAAAAUAAUUGAUUUAAUUUUUUAAAGAAAUUUAUUAGGUUCAUGUAAAUACGUUUUUGUUAUUUAAAAAGUGUACAAAGUAAAACUUAAUUUUUUAAAUUUAUUAGAUGAAUGGAUAAAAUAAUUGAGUGUUCAUAGUAAAUUUUAAAGUAUAGAUAGUCAGACCCUAAUAUUUUUAAUAAAUGGAAAUUUUUAAAAUAUGUUAAUGAGAAUUAAAAUGAUAAUUAAGGGAGGCAUUCGAGACAUUCAAGAUUGUUAGGAUAGGACAUGAUUGUGAGCGGUUUGAGAUUGGCCCUAAUUUUGAUCACAAAUAUAUAAGCAGGAUGAGUUUAUCCAUACUUACAUUCCAUUUGAUAAUUAAGAUGAGAGUGGAAUUGUCAAAUCCCAAAUUAUCCCGGACCAUUGCCACCAAAGGUACUCUCACUAAUAAUAUCUAAAGAAAAAUCUACAUCUAUUUCAUACUUUUUUUUUUAAACGGAAAGAGCCCUUAUGGGGCUUGAAAUGGUAUCCUAAAUAAUAUUCAGAAUAUCAGGCCAUGACUGGGUUUGUAACAAACAAAUAUUACAUAGUUGGGAUACGUAGUUGCUAGUGUCCCAAUUUAUGUAGUAUCUAUCAUUUAGUGCACAUAUAAAGUGUUUGGGAAAUGAAAUAGGGUGACCAAGAUAAGGUGUUUGCUCAUAUAUUAUCGUGCUCUCCUCAAAGUAAAAAGUGAAAAAAUAGUUGAUAGACUACUAGGAGUUUAUUUGGUCACCUCGACCAGGAUAUUAUUUGAUGAUCUCGAGCACAUCAUCUUGACUAAGAGAUUAUUUGGUCGCCUUGAGUAUAUCACCUCGACCAGGAGAUUAUUUGGUGACCUCGAGUAGAUCAUCUUGACCAGGAGGUUACUAGGAAGCACGACUCAGUCAAAACAAAUCUCACUUAUUUUCUUCGAAAUAUUGGGGACCAUAUUCUUAGUGGGCUGAAAAUUAGUGGUUUUCUUGAGAGUUUAGGUGAGAGGAUAAAAACCGCUAUAAUUUGCUCUAAAAAUCCUGGGAAAGGGGGGGAAAUAGGGAGAUUCUUUUUAUCUCUCUCUCUUUGGGUGACUGAACCCAUGGGAUCUUUUUCUCUCUACCACUGGGAAACUUCUCUUUCUCUCAUGAUUUAUUUUUCUUUAAGAUUGGUUAUUUUUUAUUCUUUUCCCAUAAAUUUACUUAAAAGCUUUUUGUUUAAAGUAUUCAUAAUUAAGCCGCGUGAAUUGUGGUACGGAUUUUUCCAAGUAGACCCAAAUCGCUGACUUGAGCAUCAGAGAAUUUUCUUUAAGAUUGAUUAUUGUUUCCAUAAAUUUGAACCAAGAAGGAUGACGCGAUAAAAUUUGUUUUUAUUGUAUGGUUGAUUUCAUAUCUCAUGCACUCAUUUCUUAAGAUAAUUAGAUUUCAUCUUUUGCAAAUGUGGAAAUAUCAAUUAUGAUCGAUCAAAACAAUCUCAAAACCUUUCAAUGAGACAUAUUUAUAAUACAAUAUUGUGAAAAUUACACCAAAAAUUUAAUUUAUGAUAUAUUAUUGUCCCACCAGCACACAAAAAUGAAUUCGUACAAAUCUAAAAUACUUAGCAAUUUUCAAAUAGAAUUUUAAAUUUAUUUCCAGUUAGAAAACUAUUCGCUGGACUCCGUAUUACUAGCCACCAUGGUAAGCCUAACCGGUUGCCGGCGAAUGGCGUAAAACACCAGCCAUCUUCUUCUUCAUCAUAUUCACCUUUCAUCUUUUGAGUUAAGCCUGUGAUUAUGAGUUUCUUCUCUUACUUAGCUUGUAAUUAUAGAUUUUGAUUCUUUUUAAUUCAUAUUGUAGCCGUUAUUGUCAAUUUUUGUCCCGCCAGCAAUAUUUUUUUAUUCCUACAAGUUGAAAAUGGAUUCAUUUGAAUUACUAUUGAAUUUAGCUUUAAUUUCAAUAUCCAUUCUAAUGUUUUGCUAUUAGAUUUACUUUAAUUUUAUGUUUAAAGCUUCUACAAUGAAUAGCGGAGCUUGGGUUUUAGUGUCAUUUUCUGUAACUUGUUUUAGUUUAUCUUGUACGCUCACCAAGUGCUUGUUAUAUUGUCUGAUAAGUUAUAUACAUUGCUGAUUCUAUAUUAAUAAUGUUAUGUUCUAUUUUCAGAAAUUAUAAUACAAAGUUUUUACAAUGGCGUGCAUCUACAAACUGAAUUGACUUGUAGAAUAAGAGCUUGGAGUAAAUGAAAGUUCAUAUUGUGUAAGAGCAUGUAGAUGUAAAGCGUCAUUACCAUUUCUAUAAAGGACUUUCAUUCUGUUCAGAUGCUCUUCUUGAACAUUGAAAGGUGCCUCGUUCAAGUCCUAGCUAUAACUACUAGCUUUGAUUAAUUAAGUUCCUAUACUAGCUGAAACAGAUUUAUUUAAUUAAUUAAUUGUGUAUGUACUGAUUAUAUUGAAAGUAUAUGAAUUUUUUUUUUUUUUAACAUGAAUGACUUAAAAACCUAAAGAAUAUGUGAAAUAAUGCUCAUUUCACCUGAAUGAGCCUAUUAAUACUUUUAUGUCUAUGAUUGUCAAUAUUGGCUUAAGCAUUUCAGUUAAGUGGUUUACCUAAUAGAGAAAAAAAUUUAAUAGAAAACUUCAGAGUUCUAACAGAAAUAUAGUUCACUAUGCAGAUAUAGUUAUUUUACGGUAUACAAAUCAAGUUGUCCUAAUCUCAAUGUCCUAUGACCGAUUUUAUUUUAUAUAGUCAUUAAUUUUUGCCAUGGUUUUUUGUGUUUAUGAGUUUGAAAUAGUGGGAUUUGGUGUACCUUAUCAUCUUUUGAAAAUUCUCUUUAAGUGUGGCCAACAGAAAUAUACAUAUAAUCAAGUUUCUUAAUCCUGUAUAUUAGUUUUGGGUAUGAAUGUUCCUAUUCUAGUUCUAGGCAAAGCUUCUUUGUUUUGGUCUUCAGAUUUCCAGUAGGUUAAGUUAAUCAACUAUCAUAACUGGCUAGCUAGUUAUUGUCUGCCUUGGCGCCAUUACCCAGGCCAUUAUAUUGCAUAGCAUAAGGAAUAGUGAUUAGGUGAUUAUUAGUGAUUUGUUGAGCUUAUUAUUGACCAAACAAAUGUAUUUGCCUUUGCCCACAACUUAGUUUGAUUAGUUAUUAGACCAUAAAGAGCCUUGAUCUAUUCAUUGGCUUUAUUAUUUUUAUUUGGUUUUUCUUUCAACAAUAUUGUUGAUUUCUUAUAAAAAUAUUCAUUGGUUUUUAAACACCUAAUCAUUGGCUAUAUGAAGCUAAUUAAAACUGAGGCUUUGGAUCAAUUUCUUCUAACAAGAUACAAAUGAGCAAAACCUUUCUCCUCUAAGUAAAUUUUUUUAAUAUCCCUUGAUUUGUAAGGAUCUGGAGGCCUGAAUCCUCUUGAUUUUUUUUAACACUGUCAUUGUUCUUUUUAUUCUGAGAAGGAAAUAAAAGGUUUUAUCUUUCAUACCCGAAUAGUAAGCUGGCCUUGUCUUAACAUGGCCUCCCGAGGACUUGCAAGAUUCAUAGUGCCCCCCACCCCAAAAAAAAAAUCAAAAACACAAAUAGGAAGAUUUUGCAAGAUUCACCACCAGGUUUUUUUUUAAUUUAUUAAUUGUGUGUACGUGCUAGUUAUAUGUUGAAAGAAUAGGAAGAAGUAUUUCAACAUGAAUGACUUAAAACUUAUUGCUCAGUAAAUAUAAUCUGCAUCAGUGCGAAAAUGUAUUUAUCGUUUGUAUUUUUUAUGGUUUUGCUAAAGAAAUGAUAUGUGAAAUAAUGCUACAUUGCAUCAGGAAUAAAUUGAAGAGAUUUAUGAUAUUUAUGUGUUAUUCAAAUUUCAGAUUCAAUUUUAAACUUUUGAUACAUGCAUUGAAAGCUUAGACUUGUUUAAGAAAUUAUUAAUAGACACAUGUUUUAUUAGUUUCAUCUUUGGAUGAUAGUGAGGAUCAUAUGUCUAUUAAUAAUUCUUGAAUUGUCCAGGCUUGGACAGUUUGGGAAUGCAUAGUUCACUCUGGUAGCUAGUAGCUGAAGUUUUUUCCCACGUAAAAAUGGGUUUUUCGGUAGCUGCUCCUCGUGUUCUCUGGGUACGUACUAGGUGAAUGGGUGUCAUGUGUUGUUUUGGCAUAACGCAUAAACACUUAUAUAGCUAUGUCGUGUGCUUGGAGAAUUAUAGGGAGAUGGUGCCGAAAUUUUUAUAAACGUGGAAGAAAACUUUAGGUACUUGAGAUUGAAGAAACUUAUGCAUUCUUGAGUGGGAUAUGUAGGAUUACUUACCUUCUGUAAAUAUGAAGGGAAUGUUGGAUAUAUUGGGGAUAGUGUAGGAGCUGAGUUGGAUGAAUGUAAUUGGUGAUGAUUUUGCUGAGCUGACCUUGGUUUUGAGCUUGUAAUUUUGUUUGUAAAUGGAGUGCUAUCACCAAUGUUGGUUUAUAAAAAUGUUUCAGGACUUGCUGACCUAAUUUUUUGUUUCUAGGUUACAGGCUUUAUAUAUCUGUAAUUGAUAGCCAAGUGAAGUUCUCAGCGCUUGGCGAGGAUAUUUCUUUACAGAAGGUAUUGGAAACUGUUUUUUACAUUAAUUAUCGUUGUUUAUAUACUUUGAUUGUCACAUCUUUUUCUCUGAUUCUUGUGGCUUUGCUUGCUUUCAUAUAUGUAAAUUCUAAUGAAAUUAACCAUAAAAUUGUAAAAUGAUCUUUUUAUUAUAUUGCAAAACUGUGCACACACGAAAAUAUGUUGUUUAGUAGUAGAAAUGAAGAACUAAUUUUUGUAGCGCAUUAAAAGGAGAUAGUCAUGGACAAGUGUUGGGUUGGUUUGCCAAAUAGAUAUCCAAGUCAUAUACUGAUGGCGUUGAAAAAUUUAUAGAUUUUGUAUUUGAGAAUGUUGUUGGUGGUACAAGAAUUUAUUGUCCUUCUUGAUAAGUGUUGUAAUCUAUAUUUCGUUAUAAGGGAAGUGGCUGAUGAUGAUAUGGUUGGAAUGAUACACUGCAUCACGUAAUCAAAUGUUCAAGUUACACGCAGCAUUGUUAUGAACUAUCAGUGGCAACUUGUCUGGGUGGAGUAUUAAAGGUAAAUGAGCAUGUCUUAUUUGCCAACAAAGCACUAGAUCUAAUUGGUUGAUACAGAAUUACAUAGUAGAAAAUUUUGUCACGUGGGUCACCGUCGAUUUUGCCCAACAAAUCAUAGGUUUCGAAAAUAUAGUGUCUUUUGAUAAAACUAGAGAGUAGGGACCAGCACCUUCUCGGUUGUCUGGAACUGAAGUGAAAAAGCAGUUUAAUAUAGUUACUGAGUAUAAGAUUGAAGACUUGAAAAGAGGAGAACGAAUAAAAUGAGAGAAAUGAUAAAAUUACUUGGAAGAAGAACAGCAUUUCUUAAGAUUACUUGGAAGAGAAAUGAUGUGGAAGAUGGCUAUAAAAUAUAAAAGGAAAGGCUUAAAAAGAAAAGCCAUGCCUGUCAAAAACAAAAAACAAUGGCAGCGUCAAAUUUAUAACAAAAAUCAAAACGGUGCGUUUGAGAGUGUAUAAAAUACAUUUAGAGUGGGAGUUGUGUUGUUGCUUGAAGGCAGAAUGUUUGUGAGAUAUUUGUCGACGAAGCCGAAACCAAAGAUGAAGCCCAUCAAAAGUAUUUAUAGUGUAAAAAGUAUAUUGUGGAAAUGUCUGGUCGGUAAUACAACUAUUUCUUAUAGUGUAAAUGAUACACUAAUUUGAAUUUAUAUGCUUUUAUGAUUAUUUUAUUAUCAAGUGGUGAUCAUAUGUGAUGAUAAACUUAGGUAGUACCUUUAUAUUUAUUGCCUUAGUUUUCUAAGCGUUCACAUUUUGAUGAGUAAAUUAAGGAUUUCUAGAUGAAGUACAUAAUUAGAUUAAUGCUAAGGAACUGAAGUUUGAUCAACUGAAAACGAAAAUCAUAAUGAAGGUAAUUAAGAAAAUGAACAAUGCAGAAGCGGUCCUUAUUAGGACUUCUAGAUUUUCUCUUGGGCUUCCUUAUUAUUGUUAAAAAAUGACACGAAUAACUGAGUUUAAAAAUCUGGCCCUGAUGCCUGGUAGCCCUCCAACAUAUGAAGCACUAGAUGUUUUAAUGAGAAAAUGACAAGACCAUUUAUCAAAUUUCUUGUGGAUAUAAAUACAUACACAUAGACGAGACCAACCUCCUCAACUGAGAAUCAGAGUGAUUACAAGACCUUGCAAUGGGACGAUAACACACCAUCAAAUCUCAAAAUACAAUAGAAAUUCAUGACAUAUGUAUAAUAAAAGACCUCUCAUUGAGUCAUAUAUAUUGAGAAUAAAAAUGUUAUAAUACAUACAAAGAGCUUAGCUAGAAUAAAAUGUCUUGGAACUUGCGAUGAUCAAACAAGGGAAACAGACAGGUUGUAACUCACACUAUCACAGAUGUAGCGACACGAUGCAGUGAAUCACAAGAAGAUCACGAAGAUGGAAACGGGAACCCCUCAGAAUGUAAACUUUGAAUAGAGAAAAAAAGAAAAACGACCUUAUUUCAAAUUGUGCACAGAAGAAGAGUGACUUAAAUCUUCAUCAGUAUCCAGGCAUUCUGCAAUCAUAAAGUAGAGAAAUUUUAACAGGAACAACAGAGAAAAUAUUAUGAAUAUGCUAUAGACCAAUAUACUUGUUCAUAUCUAACGUUUGAUGGUCUAAGGAUUUGUUCUAGGAAUAAUGGGAUGAUUACUUUUUUUUUUUUUUUAAUUUUUGUUAAUCCAAUGAAUGAUAUUCAGCUGUUAAUUAUGUGUUCAUAGGGAAGAACAUUUUCUAAGUACUUUCCUUGCCUUCUAACUUUCCGAAAAGCAAACCCAAUGAACAAACAGAGCACAAACUAAAAUAAAAGAACAGCAAUGAUGAGAAUAAAUAACUGGCAAAGAAAUAAUGGAAAAAGUAUGCACGUUUUCAAGGAAUUAUAAAAUACGAAGGCUUUUAAUGAAAUUUUAUCAUAAAAAGUAUGCAAGGAGUUAUAAAAUUUUAGAAGACGAGGGGAGCUCGCAAAAAAAAAAGAAGAAAAAGACUCAAAUUAAACUAGACUAAAAAGACAUUCAAUUAUGCAAAAUCUGUCCAUAAAAGUCUGAAAGGAUCAUUAAAAUUGCAUUGCAAAUUUAACAGUAAACCGAGGGACCCAUUCUAAAUAAUUCAGAUGAAAUUGCGAAACAAGCCAUGGGAUUAAAUAAAUGAAAUAAAAAUUAAUUACCAGUUGAGACUUUCUUCUAAAAAUUCGCAACUCCAAGUCAUAAGAAGACUAUGAAAUUAGUCGUACUGCGUAGAGUAUGACGACGACACCGCCAACAGCUGAAAAUAACAUUCUUAUUCAUCAAUUUAAACUUUUACUUUAUAACAAAUAUCUUAUCGAUAUUUUAUUUAAAAAAAGCAAAUUUUGUAAAAUUUUUCCAUGGGAGAUAGAGAGUAACAUGUAUAUCCGUACCUUCUCAGCAUGUAAUUGUUGUAUGGUCCUGUUAAGAUCAUUAUUAGCCCAACGCCGUUGAUUCGAUGUCGCUCCACACCAGACAUUUACUCUUGGAGGCGUGCUUGAAUCUCCUGUAGUGAAAGUCUUCAUCUUGGGACAACCAAUCACUUCCAGAUAUUCCAAAGAUGGGAAUUCAAAGGUGUAGUUGGCAGAGCAGAAACUUGUGAGACUUUCUAAAUCACGCAGGCCCAACGCCUUCAAUUUGCGGAAAACAAUCUCUUCUUUUUCAACUCCAUCUUUGUCAUUUAUUACCACCUCUGUCAUUGCUCUGCAUCUACAUAUUUCUAUUGCUACGAGUUGCACUAGAGUUUUUGCUGUGGAGGAUGUUACCAAGUGCAUCAAUCCCUUGCAACCGAAAGCUAAAAGUUUUGUUAGGUUCCGAAAAGAUACCGAUGAUGAUGGCAACAGAAUUAACAGACUUUGACAAUUAUAUACUCUUAGAAUUUCAAGAUACUGAAAAAUGGGGCCAUGUUUGGAAUCUUGUUUGCACAGCUGCUUCAGAUGAUAGGGCCGGUACAGCUUUAAUUCUUUUAUCAUUGCCAACUUCCCCACAUGUUUCUCUAAGCAUCCUUCCAUCGAAAAUACGUCUUCGUCGAAUGAAAAAAAAGACAGUGUGAGUAUUUCGAGAUUGUGAAAUCUCUCCAGUACGUUCCAGAUUGGAAAACAAGCUGAGUCAUCUGCAGCAAUAUCUAGUUUUCUAAGACUGCCAAAAAGGUGUUGUGGGAAAUCGGCCUGCAAAAUUAUCUUCAUGUCUUUUCCGCUUAGUGAUAGUUCCGUCAAGUUGGGUAAGAUCUGAUCAUCAUCAAUCAUAAUAACUAAUGAGGUCAAUUGAUGUUCUCUCAAAUGAUUUUGAGUAAUCCAAUCACAUGCAGUGACUUUAUAGUAUUUGUUUUAUAUUAUACUUUACCCAAAAAAAAAUUGAAUUAUUGAUAAAAUUUAUUAAAUGAUUUUUUAUAUGUUAAUUUUAGAGGUAAAAAAGAAAUUAGAGAAAAAAACGAAAUUAUAUUGCACGAUAAUAAAUUACUAAUUUAUUUUGUAAGUUCUUCUAUAGGAAAGACUAAGGAUUCUUUUACAAAUGUUAUACCUAAAAAAGUUCAUAUAAUUAUUAAUCUAUCACAUUAAUCCCUUAGUCUAGACUAGCAAAGAUUAUUGUAUAAUAAAAGUUUUUAAUUUAUUGAGUAUUAAUUUAUCAAUGCUUUGUUAUAUUUUUCAAAGUUAAAAAAAAAAAUGCUAUUGAUAAAAAAUCUAGAAAAUGGCUUCAUACCUUUUCCAACGGCAAUAGGGGCUGUUGUGCAGGAAUACCAAGUUGAUCAUUCUCAUUAUUCGGCGAUAAAUCUGCAGCGAAUAUCUUUAAUUUGUCACAACGAUACACUAAAAGAAUUUCUAGUGCGGGCCAUUCCGAAGUAUGCAUUCCAGGGUACAAACAUCUAAGUUUUGGUAGACGUUGGAGUCUCAGAGUGGUGAGCUGUGGAAAGACAAAAUAGGGGAUCACUUGAUCUGCUCUGUUUUCAGAAAUGAUCUCCCGUAAAUCCUCACAGUGGCGUAUAUCCAGGUGUUGGAGCUGCUUAAGGCUUCCGAUCAUAGACGCUGAAAAUAUGUAUUUUAAUUUGUGACAACGCCACACAAUCAAUCGUGUUAAACUCUGAAAGCGAGGAAACAUGACCGGAAGAUGAUUGUAGUGCCAAAUCUUGUCGACAUUAAUAUCAGUUAUCUCCAAAGCCUCCAAGUUAGGCAACGCAACCUAAAAAAAUAAGAAUUUCUCAUUAGAUCCAAUAUCCAUAUGGGAAGCACUUGUUGAAAUUUUCUUCUUUGAUUACAAAUUAAUGCAAGUCAGAAUCAAUUUCCAACUGACUGCUGAGUUUGAUGCAUUCUAAUUCAUACAACUUUUUAAGAGCUCAAUUAGUGAGCGUGUGAGAUUCUUUUUAUCCUUUUUUCCAUUUUCCUUCAAUUCUUUAAAUGAUUUAAUUAUUUUCCACGUACGACAUCAAAAGAGAACGUUAUAUAUGAAUAAAAUCUGUUAUAUAUGAAGAAAAUGUUAGCCUACGCACCUUCUCGUUGAAAAGCAGAGUUGAAGUAUCCAAAGUGAUUUCGCUGGAGCAAUACGUAGUCGUCGAUUCCUCUUGCGACGCUGGUCUGUUCGGUGAUGCUGAAGGAGUCUUUACUUCACGGCAGAAAUUUGUAACCUCUGGAAGAUUCCCCAGACUCAAAGAUCUUAAUUGAGCAAACUCUAUCUUCUCAAUUGCAUUAUGAUCAACUUCUUCCCCAAUUGAAAAAAUUUCUUUCAUCUUGCUGCAAUUAAUAACUGCAAUUCUCUCAAGUCUUGGAAGGCAUUUUGUAGUGGAGAGCCAAAAGAUAUUGCUUAACUUAUCACAAUUAUAUGCUUCUACGGUUUUGAGUUUGUUGAAAGACUCUACUUUGAGCCGAUCAAUACAUAUCCUCUCCAUGUUGAUCAAAUUGUGAAGGAUAAGUGACUCCAAAAGAGGAAAGGCACCACAAGCGACCAUCGCCCUUGAAUCGACGAUACAAAAGAAGUCAGGAUUAUUUUGAACGCAGAGGACCUUCAAUUGUGAAAAGCCCUCCGUGUCCAAAUUGAAAAGAACAUUCUCGAUGCCUUGCAGCUUGUCCAACCAUAAGCAUUCAACGUUAUUGAUGCCCUGCAAUUUCAAGGAGCAAAUGUCCAUAAAAUCAAGCUUGAGCUUCAAUGCUCUGGAAAUCUUACGAUCUCUGUCGAUCAAAAAGUGCUGCCGACUUUUAAACCAAUUUUGUCCAGCAAUCAUGGGAUGCAUGAAUGACCCAUUUCCAAUAGAUAUUUUGAACCUUUCGAGCUCUCUGGCCAAAAAGCUUUUUGGUAACAUACUCUCAUUUUUAACAUCAAUUUCUAGAGUGGUUAGCCGACGUAAAUGCAUCAAUUCGUCAAGGCUAGCAUUACUUCUUUUGCUGUUGGCUAUUUCAACCUCCCAUUCAAUGGAGCAAUUAUACAUAUACAAUUCUUCUAAUCGGAUUAAGCUUGAUAUGACAUUUGGAGCAAUAACUUUUAGAUGGAAACAGUCUGUUAAAUCUAACAGCCUUAGCUUAGUCAGUUGACCCAGUGCUUUAGGCAUAUCAGAUUGCAAAAAGCUGAGGAUUUCUAGAUUUUCCAACUUUCCAAUAAUAGCUAUGUCUAUGCCUCCCAAAAUGCUUUGAUUAAGACAGAGUGUCUGAAGAUUUACUAGAAGACCAAUUGAAGAUGGCAAUGACAAUAACCGCAUUCUAGUCAAAUCCAAAACCCGAAGCUUUUUCGUCCUUUUGAAGAAGUUCUCAGGAAUAUUAGGCACAGCAAAAGAGUUCUUGGGAGACAUGACUAGAAGUUCAAGUUGUAGAGAUUCGGACCCUUCAGGAAUGUCAUUAAUAGUACUAUCUUUUAAAGAAAUUGCAAGAUAUUUUUUUAAUUCAUCUGCAUUUGGCCAUUUCCAAUCAUCCUCAUUUCUCACCACAAAUCCAAUUUUGUCACGACAUGCAAUUGAAAUGGCAACAUCGCGAACAACGUCGUGCAUUGAAAAGUAUUUACUGCCACCAUCCUCAAGCAACAAACAAGAGUCUCUUAGUUGAUGGACCCAUGCAUGUAAUUUGUUAUGUGCAUCUUCUAGCUUAUGGACACUUUUAAAUGCACCCAAGCCCAUGCUAUAUUUGAACAAGUCCAUAAUAUAAGUUGGUGUAAUUAGACUACACAGUAAAAAAGUUUUCUUGAGUUGCUCACCUCUUAAGUACUUGUAACUCAGCUCAAUUGUUGAGUAUGCCUCUGCUGGUACUCCUUCGUCGAAGCUCGCCUCUGAAGGCGUUCGGAGUUCUUGCAAGGCAUUCUUCCACACAGGCAGCUCUUUUUUUCUCAGUGCCUUUGCUACUGUGGUUAGGGCAAUAGGCAAACCUCCGCAUGCCUUGGCUACACUUGUUGCUGUAGAUUCUAACUCACGAUUUUCAACAUAAUCACCAGCCAUUAUCUUGAACAAUCUCCACGCUUCUUAUUCAUUUAAAAUGCCAAUCGAGAAGUUUUUUUCAGAUUCCAUCCUUAACAGCACAUCAAGAUCUCUUGUUGUGAAUAAUAAUUUGCAUCCUCUGUGCUCAACUCCAAAAGGAAUUCCAAUAGUCCCCAAAUCAAGAGGUUUCCAGAUGUUAUCCAGAAUCACAAGGAUCUUCUUCUCAUUCUUCACUCUUUCAUAUAGUCUACUAGCUCUUCUAGACUCAGGUUCCUCGGACAACUGUAGGCCUAACGUUUCCGCAAUUUCCUCUUGGAUCUUUUUUAUGUCUGGACUUUGGGUAACCUCCGAAAAAGCCACCAUAUCGUAAAGCUUGUCUUCAAUGGCUCGCCUUGCAAACUCCUUCACCAGUGUCGUCUUUCCAAUGCCGGCCAUGCCGUAGACCCAAAUGAUGCUGACAUCAACAUCGAUCAAUGCAUUUUGUAUGGCCUUCAAAGCAGAAAGUCUUGAUUCGAAGGCCUCGUAGCCUUUGUGAGACUUGAGCCAUAUAUCCUCCGGAACGGUACGGUAGGAAAUUCUAUCAUCAAAUCUCCCAGCUUCUUCUCGGAGUUUAAAAAGGGCCUCCUUCUCUGUUUCUGCUUUCUUUCCAUGCUGAUAGCGAGUAAUCCAAUUAGGAAACAGCCCCAUGAGACAUCGUUCAUUUGCUUUCUCUUCGUCUAGAAUGAAUUUGGCUGCCUGCUCAAUGCUCUUGUUCGCAUUAACCAGCCAUUUCUCAACCUUCUCUUCAAUCUUUUCACUUUUUCUUUCAGCCUCAGAAACUCUGCGCUGAAUGCUUUCUCUUUCAUCCUUGAGCCCAUCGAGUUCUGCCUUGAGAUUCUCAAAGUUGGCAGCGGAGUUAUACCAAUAACUAAAUUCGCGUUGUGCGUGAGGAGACAAGCAGUUUACAACUCCUGGAACAAUGCUUUUCAAAAUGUCCAUUUUUUUUUUGGGUUGGGGGGGGGGGGGGGAGGGAACGAAAUAGAAAUAGAACAGAGUCAACGGCCGCGCAAUUGAUAAUCAAGUAGAAGCAAAACAAGGCAAAAUUGAAAAAAGGGAAAAUCAGUGUAACAGAAGAGAAUCAAAGUGUUUUUGAGAUCAGAAAAUUGAAUCAAGAAAAGGGUUGCUUGAUCCAAUGAAAAUGCAAAGAGCUGAUGGAAAAAGGGAACAAAGAUAAAUAAGAAAACGGCUAGCACGAGCAGUGACCACGAUAAACAGAAGCAAAGUGUGUAUGAGAUCAAAAGACGAAAAUCAGGAGAGGUUUUCUUGAUUGAGAAUUGAAGGCAAAGAGUAGGAGCUGACGAAUACGGGGAUCAAGAGGGAAAAACUGCUUGCUCAUAAAACUACUUUCAAGCGAAUCUGAUAAAAUUAUUUCAAUACUCGUGGGCGACUCCCUUUUAAACCGCAGAAGGAAAAAAAAAAAAAAAAGUUCUGAUUUUCAAUAUAUUAAUUUUUAUCCUAAUUUAUGUUGAGACUCGUAAUCUCGUCUCAAUGAUUAAUUAGUAGAUAAUCUUUCUAACAAAUAUGUGUUGAAUAGAUAUAUUUCUUGACUAUUAGUAGGUUAAAUAUAUUUUAGCAUAGGAAUGAAAGUACAAGUUGUGUCAUAUUAGAAUAAAAAUUUGACCUAAAAAUAUUGUUCUACGACCUUUUAAUUAUUUGUCAGCAAAUAAUUAAGUCAUAUAAAAAAAUUAAUAAUCUGAAUUAGUCUUUAAGUAUUAUAAAUAUUUUUAGAUUUUAAUUAUAAUAUCAUUAUUUAAAAAUAAUUGCUUGACUUACAUUAGUAACAUUACGAUUGUCAUAAAACAUGUGAUCCUCAUCCAAUAUCCAUUAUUUGUGAUCCUUAAUCAAUAAAAUAUCUAACAAUAUCUUCACCUAAAGUUUGAGACAUGUGAUCCUUAUUCCACUGCGUCAAAACAAGGAGAAAAUCAGUGUAACUGAAGAGAAUCAAAGUGCUUUUGAGAUCAGAAAUUGAAGCAAGAAAAGGGUCGCUUGAUCCAAUGAAAAUGCUAAGAGCUGAUGGCAAAAGGGAACAAAGUUAAAUAAGAAAACAGCUAGUGCUAGCAGCGACCACAAUACACAGAAAAUUUGAGAUGGAUUUACAAUAUUUCUGCCUUUCUUUAUGCUUUAACAAAUAUUGCUCUAUCAAAAAAAAUAUUUAGAAUUUUAUUAUUGGAGUCACAAAAGACCUACACAAUAUAGCAAGUGACUAGGAAUAAAUAAGAAUAUAUAACUCUCUCUCUAAUUCUCACUCUAGCUUUUAAUUGUCACUCAAAACCCAGAAUUCAUCCUUAAAGUGUAAGCAAAUCAGAGAUGACAGCGUCUGGUUGUCAUACGUGCCUUUUAGUUUUCGGAUGACAUGGCGUACACUUCUUCUGUAAACCGAACAUGACAUGUCGUACUCUUUGUUUUGAGAUCAUAUUUCAAACUCUUCAUGCUAUGAAUGAAAGAUAAACUACAAUCAUCAAAAUAUUUAGUGUUUAUUUUGUAAUGUAACGUCAUAGUUGUUGUGAAUUGAAAUUAUUUCUGUAAAAUAAAAGGAUUUGGGUCAUCGUUCGUUAUUUUCUAGCAAUAUUGUCUGGUCGUGACUAUUUGUUAAAUAUUAAAAAAAUAAAUUUAUAUUUAUUAAGUAUAAAAAAUAAAUAAACAAACAAAAAUAAAAGGAAAAGUUUAUACAUUACAUAAAAUAAUAAGAACAAUAUCAAUAUUUCACACUCUAUAAUUGAGUGAUGUGUUGUCCAACUGCCACACAUUGGUCCCAAACGGAGACUUAAAUAUUAAAGUCCAAAGUUAUUGUGAUGAUGACUUAUAAUCGCCAAACUUGACAUACGGGUAAUCAUGCAUUAUAAGGUGCUGAUUUCUUCCAAUCGAAACCUUAUUUUUCAUUUACAAAUAAAUAAAUGACGUGACUUAACGAGUGGUGGGGUCCUUUGUGCCAUUUGUGUAUUUCACUGAAUAGUUGAUUCAACUAUUCUGAUCGGAAGAUUCUUGGAAGUUGCCAUUUGCCAAUGCUACUAACAUUUUCAAACUUGGAAAACCCUUCAGUCAAUCUUUUAGUGGUAGGCUCUGGUAGCUUGGUUUGAUUAUGACAUAUGAUUAUUUGAUAAUAAAGUUAGAGGAUGUAUUAAUAUAAAAUUUGUUUAUUGGUGUUGAAGUUAAUUAUCUCAUUAAUAAUAGUAUAAAAUGUUAAUUACUAAGAAACACAUAGCAGUAUUCUGGGAUAUAAUUUUAUAUCAUAACUUUGUAAGUGUAUAAUUACUCAUUAAAUUAACAAAAUUAUUUUAAAAUAUUUAGUUAGAAAAAAUAUAUUAUAUUCUUUUUAUUUCAAAUAAUCUAUAAGUUAACUCAAAACAUAAUCAAGCUGAGAAUUAAAAUAAUGCUACUGUAUGAGAGGAUUUUUAUUUUUUCCCGAAGUUUCACAAGGAAAUUAUUGAUAGAUAGCUUUAUUCGGAUCAUCUCAGUUCAAACGACAAAUAAUUGAAAGACUAAGCUAAAUAGACCAGCCAACAACUUUGUACAAGAGAGUUCAAAAAUUAAAGUCAUGGUAUUAAAGUGUUCUAUCUUGAAAAGUACAGCGUAGUAAUAAAAUAAAAACUAAUAGUCUUUGGUAAGAUAUGACAUUUAAAUAAUAAUUUUCACAAAAAUACAAAGAAUAUUUAUAAAGUACUUCUAUAAUGAGGAGACCCUCACUUUGUUAAAGUGAAAAUAUCAAUAAUAUACAAAAGACAUAUAUUUUAACACAUUAAAAAUUGUAUUUUUUUUUAUCUAUUGGUGUAUUGAAAUGUGUGUUAUUUAGUUUGUUAAUAAUAUCAUCACUUUGUUAAAAUAAUGAUAUCAGAACCAUUAUAUAUACAUAUAUAUAAAGUGCUUCUCUCCAAAAUCUAGACUUUAUUAAAAUUUAAGAAAGCAAAUAUAUUUUGUAUGGUAUAAUAGUGUAAUAACAUCACCCGAGUAUAUCAUAUAGAGUAAUAGUUUUUGGACUUUAAUAAAGGUCAAGAUUAUAGAAUGAAUGAUUUAUAUAUAUUUUAAAUUUUUUAUCAUAAAGUGGAGGACAAAGUAACAUAUUUUUCAAAUUAUAAUAAUUAUUUAUCAAAUAAUUUAACAUCGUAAUUUCUCCUAACUAGUAUAGUAAAUACGACCUAGGAGGUACAUUCAAAGCAUUUCAUAAGUUAAUUGUUAAUAAUAAAUGAUACAUGCAGCUCCAACUAUUAUUGUACGGUGAGUAAUUUCAAUAGAUUUUUUAUGGCUUAAUAAUAAUGAACAUUGAAUGUCAAAAUAUUAAUGGCCAAACAGACCAGCUGCCAACGACUUAUUCCAAUGUGAAUAGUUCACAGUGGGUACUGCACAUGAUACUUGUUUCUCCUUUUGCAUCUACUUUUGUUGUUAACAUUAAUUUCAAUAGCAGCUCGUUAUGUACGCAACAUUUCAAAGUUAAUCCAAAAAAAAAAAAACAAAAAUUAGUUCAGCUGACUAAAUUUGAAAGCAUGGAUUUGCCGUCGAUUAAAAAUCGUUUUGUAGGGAAAAGUUUUGGAUUGCAAUUUUCAUACAAUACAUAGAAUUAUCAUAAUCUAUAAAUUAUUUUUUUGCUUUUCUGUGGUAGUAAGUCCGACUCCUUAGUGACAAUUUAAAUUGAAAAAAUAAAAUCAUAAAUUAGAAUUAUUUGAUAAGAAUUAAAAUAAUUGAUAAAAAUUUGAGAGGAACAAUUUUGGAAGAUUCGAUUUCUAAUAGAAAGGGUGAAUUUUACAGCCUUUGGUGAGGACUCCAAAAUGCACAAUUUGAUGAAAAUUAAAUUUCAAUAGAAAUUGAAUUCCCAUUUAUUAGUGAAAACCAAACAACAGAAAAGUGAAAGGAAUUUGAAUUCAUUUCCUUCCUCUCCUCCCUCCAACUAAACACCAUCGAAAUCCAAAGGUAUGGAUUGGGAUUCCAUAUUGAUUAGAAUGGGAUUUGUCCAUAUUAUUAGGACCAAUUUUAAAAGCAGUCGGAGUUUCGAAGUUUAAGAUUGAAAUUAAUCACAAUUGUUGAUUUGGGACUAGAUAAGAAUUUAUCUUAGAACUCCAAUUCUCCAAAAAAAGUACGCUAGCUUCGCCACUGCACUAGGGACAUAUUAAUCAGGUGGCUUAUAUUACAACCAGAGGAUUUAAAUUUGAUUUAAGAUAUGUGGGGUCUGCUUUUGGAUUUAGAAAAUUUGCUCAUUAAGAGUUGAACCCAAGUGACCUACCGUUAGAUUAGAUUAAUAGUGAUUUCUUGUAGUAAAUAUUUGUGAAUUUGAAAUAUGUGAAUUCUAUCCUGGUGAUACAAAACAAGCUUCUUGUACACGAGAACUAUUUAUUUUUAUGAUUUGGAAACCAAUCUAUAAAGAUGAAUUAAGUUGGCAUAAUGGUACAAAGCAACUUUAAUUUUUCAAUAAAUUCAAAAGUUGGCAAGUUGGUUAUGAUUAUUAUCUUUUCUUUUUUACUAUUUAAACUACAAUUAAUUGAAUCCAAAGACUAAAGGGUUGGAUCGAGAAGAAACUAAUUUUAAGUAGACAUUCCGGCGAAAAUCACUCCCAUGAUCGAGACACUCAUGCAAUCAAUGCAAAAAUGGACACAAAAAUUGUCUACUUAAGUUUGGUGGAAUGAUUUUAAAAAUAGUUUUAUUUGUUUCACACUCGAAUUUGUAUUUUGAAAAAGAGUGGGAGUUAAAAAUUGAUUUACACUUUAUCAAUUACUCUAUUUUAAAAAGAAAUAAAUAUUAAAAAAAUAAAAACAUUAAUUUCUUGUUUGUUUGUACUUACCAUUGUAGGAUAAAUAAAGUGGUUGACAAAAAUUAUAUAUCUUAAAAAUAAAUUCUAGAUUUAUAACUAAUGUAUAAUGAUUUCAAUUCACAUGUUUCAAUCCCAAAUAAAUUCUCCUUUGGUUAUUUGAAUCUUAGCGCGGUAAGAUUUCAUUCUCUUAUAUGCAUUUGUGUAAACUUCUCCCUUUACCUUUAUCAUUUUAUCAACUUUAUUGAUUGCCAAUCAACUUUAGGGUUUAGGCAUGAAUCACACAAGGGAAUGAUAUUGUGGCAAUUUUUUCCCCCUUCUUUUUUCUUUUUGAAAAAAAAAAUUAUUUAUAGCUUUGCUUUGAUGGUAGAAGACUAGAAGACCAAUUAAUUUCUUUUUGUUGCGUGGUGAUAAUAAUGAUGGAAAUUGCUAUGUGCGCGUUGGUGAUUGCAUUGCUAGUCACAUAUUGCUUCCCAUCAUGGAGACAAAGGGGACCCCUCUAUCAAAGCUAGCUGUUGAAAUAUCAUACCCAAAAUCACAUGAAUUCAAAGGUUGAAUGGGAAAACGAUCUUGCUUCUUUGUAUGUUUUAUUUUAUUUAAAGACUUAUUGUUUCCCAUAAGAGAUAAGCUUGGAUCUAUCUUUCCUUUUAAUCAUUUUAGCCUCCAACUCCCAUCUUUUUCAAAAGUUUCGUUUAGCCCAUUUUGAAUGGCAAGGUAAGCUUCAAUUAACGCAACAAGUUCCAGUGAUUCCCGUCAAUAUUCGAUUGCAUGUAUGUAGCUUUGAGUGCUCAAAUUUAUUUUAUUUAUUAGUUGUUAUCACUUAUCAUUUUCUUUUUAAUAAUGAGAUUUGGGCAUUUUCUUUUUAAUAAUGAGAUUCGGGUCCCUGGAUGGUGAUUAGCCAACAGUCUAGUUAUGAGAAAUUAAUGUCUUAAUUACAAUGACAAAAAAGGCAAGUGGGGAUCUCAUUUGCCAUUAGGUAACACAACAUCUUCAGCAUUGGAGCUUUUCUUCCUUUCUCUCCUUCUUUCUUUCUUUCUCAAAAUAAUUGAAAAUCUAAUGCAAUACAAUUAAAUUGAUCAACGAUCUAAUUUAAUCAAUACAUUAUAUUAAGAUAUUUAAAAUAAAAUCGGUUCAAAUGGAAUGAGAAGUUCUACUAAAAAAAUAACAACAUUUAUUCCUUAUUAUUAUUAUUCGAAUUCAAAUAACCUUGGAUUCCAAACGCAUUCAAGACUAGCCAGGCUGCAUAUCCAAGAAGAAAACAAAAUCAAAACUUUAGCCACAAACAUAUACGUGUGUGUGUAUGUGUGUGUGUGUAUAUGUGUGUGUGUGUGUGUGUCUGUGUAUAUAUAGAGAGAGAGAGAGAGUUCUUUCACUAGGUUCAUUUGCGUGAAACUUUUUGAUCAUUUAGGUUUAAGACUAUAUCAUAUAUCCUAUUGCACGAACAUUGAUUAAGAUGAAUGAGUCAAACCCACUAAGCUUGCAACAAAAUCUUUUCAUAGUUACUAGAGAAUAUUUAUAUUUUUUUCAAAUAUUAAUAAAAUUAUUGAAUUGCUUUAUUUAUAGUACGUAUACAAUUAAUAGUGUAUGGAUUUUUUUUUAUCUAUUGGUGUAUUGAAAUAUGUGUUAUUUAGUUUGUUAGUGAUAUAAUCACUUUGUUAAAAUGAGAAUGUCGUUACUAGAGAAUCAUUAUAUAUACAGGGUCCAGCUACAAUACCCAUGGGGUUUGGUACCCCAUUUUUUGUCUUUUUCAAAUCUACCGUUGGAUUUAACGUAAGAAUUGCAGAAUGGCUGAGAUGUAAUUUUUGGGUUAUUAACAACAAAGACCCUUAUUGUUCAUGGAAAAUAAAAAAAAUCAAAAGUUUUGAAAUUAUGACGUAUAAGUCCAUAAUAUUCUCUUUUUUUCUUUUUAACUAUUGAACUCGGUUUCUAAUUAAAUGAAUUUUUCUUACAUUUAUUAAUAUCUAUUUAAAUUAAUAUAUUUUUAAUUAAUAAAUUAACUACUUUAUUAUAUAGUUAAACUAUGUAUAUUAUUUACUAACCAUAAUUAACGAUAAGUAUAAAUAUGAUCUUUUUUUUUUUUUAACAUAAUGGCAACCAAUUUCCUCUCACCUAUGUGAACAAGGUUCAAAACCCAUAAUUUUUUUUUUAACACAAGAGAUUUUAUUAUCUCAAGUAGAUGAAAUAUACAAAAUACAAAAAUAAAUUUAAUUUCAUAUUCUAUAUAGUUAAUUUUUUUUGUAACAUAAUAUUUAUUAAACAUACUAUCAAUUAUUUAAUUAACUAGCAAAAAUAUGUUAAUUUACUAAUAAUAAUCAAAUGUUAGUUUAUGAACUUGUAAAAUCUUUUUUUUUAACAAUGAGUUUUUGUCCUUAAAAUAAAAAAUAACAAUUUAAUUGCACACUUAAAUAAAUUAGUAUUUGUUAAAAAUAGUAAUUUAAUUGCACACUUAAAUAAAUUGGUAUUUGUUACUCCACCCCAAUUAUUUAAAUAGUCAUUAACUUAUCUGAGAGAAGGGUAAAAAAAUUCUAAACAAUUACUCUAUUUGAAAAUAAUUUAAAUAUUUCUUUAGAAAAAUAAACUAAAAAUAAGUAUUUUCUAUUCUUUCUUCUUUCUUGCUAACAUCAAUCAUGGAUAACAAUAGAGAUGGCAAUUCAACACAUAUCUAUCAAUUAAAAUAGAAGUCAAUUAAUAUAAUUAAUUGAAUAAUUAAUUUGUGUCAUGAAUGAGUUAUCGUAUUAGGAGUUAUAAAACCAAACCCAAUAGAAUUAUUAAUCGAGUUAACAGCUAGAAAGAGCAAACAAAUCCAUUCAAGUUGGAUGUCUAAGUAUUUGAACCAAAUAGAUUAGAUAAUAUCCAUCUAAAAUACUCCAAAUUUGAUUUAUUCAAUAUCCAUCUAUGAACUUGAAUAUUAGUGAUAUUUAAGUGUAUGUGACUGAAAUUGAGUAUUAUAUUUAAUAUUUAAGUUUUGUAAGUCAAAUGAAAAAUCAAAAUAAUAUUGCUAAAAAUUAUUGCACCAUCAAUGACAACAAUGACGAUAUCAUCACUAAGAAAUAGAAAUGAGUGAACAGAGAAACAAAAACUAUCAACGUAAUCAAAACUCUCUGAUCAAUGUAAUGGUGGCAAUGUUGCCAGAUAAAUAGAUAUGCCGGCAAUAGAUGAGCAUUCCAAUGCAAACAACUAGAACAAGACCCUAUGAUUAGAUGACGUUUUAACGUAGAGUGGAAGCGAUACUAAAUUUCGUUCUAGUAUACGUCUUGAAAACUCAAGAAAGAGACUCUCACCAAAGAGAAGAUAUUUCAAUUGAGAAAAAACUAAAUAUUAUUAAUGAGAAGCUUGUGUCUGUUAUCAUAAAUUAAGAAUAACAAGCCUAUAUAUAUAAUAGUAGCUAACUUAAUCCUUAUCUUUCUCAAAUAAGAGAAAUAAUCUAAAAUCCUAAUUAAAUUAUAAUUACAAAUAUGACUCAAGUAAGCUUAAUAAAAUAAGAUAAAUCCUAAUAAAAUAUUAAAUUCUAAAUUGACCCAAAUAUUAUAAUUCCUAGUAAAUUCUAAUUUAUUUAUUUAUUUAUUUAUUUAUAAGUUUGUUUGGUUUUUGGGUUUUUUUUUUAAAGAACAGAAAAUUAUAGGUAAUAGUGUAAGUAUAGAAAAGUAAAGAGGCAAAAUUAAAAAUAGGCAAAAGUUGGUGUUGCCGUCGACGGUGGUCGAAAAAUUGGCCUAGGAUAGGUGGAUUUGGAAGAUUUGAUGGUGCUGAGUGUGAUGUUGGUGGUGGUUUGUCUCAAAUAGUUGUGAGUUGACCGAAAAGUUGAGCUAAAGUAGUGGGUGGAGGUUGGUUUCGGUUUCCGGCGAUCCGGCCGGGGGUUGGCAGCGUGAGUGGGUUGAAAAGAAAGAGCUAAUGAUGGUGGACGAAUGAGUGGUGGUGGAGGCUGUGAAUCGCGGCUGAUUGUAGCGAAUGGAGAGGCGGAUUUUCGUGGUGGUUCAGCGGCUGUUUUGGCUAGUUUCCCGUGGCUACGGUGACGAGAUGGUGGUGUUAUGGGUUGGGUUAUGAUUGGCGGCGUGUAGGCUUUCGGAUGGGAGAGAGGAUCGACCGAAAAGAAGAGAAACUGGUGGCGGCAGUAGCCGUGUGUGGCAGAUGUAAUGGCGGCUUCGGGUUUUGCUAGUUUUUUUUUUAACUUGAUGGAACUAAUGUACGGAGUUGGUGGUCAGGAAUGCUCUGCCUGCUACCAAAAAAAGCUCUAAUAUCAUUUGUCUUGAAAAUUAAAAAAAAAAUCCCACUAAGGAUUAAUAUCUUAAUUGUGAAAAUAUUGAAUAUUAUUAAUGAGAAGCUUGUGUCUGUUAUCAUAAAUUAAAAAUAACAAACUUACAUAUAUAAUAGUAGCUAAUUUAAUCUUAAUCUUUCUCAAAUAAGAGAAAUAAUUUAAAAUCCUAAUUAGAUUAGAAUUACAAAUAUAACUCAAGUAAGCUUAAUAAAAUAAGAUAAAUCUUAAUAAAAUAUUAAAUUUUAAAUUGACCCAAAUAUUAUAAUUUCUAGUAAAUUUUAAUUUAUUUUAUUUAAUAUGCUUCCUACAUCACGUUUUAAGGUUCAUUGCCUUUAACAACCAAUUUGAGGGUCUCUAAACUAAAAAAAAAAAAAAAAAAGGUGGUAGUAUAAUGUAACUCCUUGUGUUUUGAUGGUAUAGUUAUUGUUGCACCUAUUUUAGAAGGAGCAUGUAACUUUACAUAUCACCAUUUGCUAGCAUUGAGACUAUCUUUAUGUAAAUCAUUCAAUUUCAAGUCUAAUGGAAUCCUUCAUGUUCCAUUUCGGUUAAUAAUGUCAUUGCACAUGAAGAAACAAUAGUCACUAGUGAUUGUCUAUAUUUUUUAAUGCAAAAUAUCUUUUUGUAAUUAAUUAAAAAAUAAGAAUAAUUUUUUAUUAUUAUUAUGUUUCUAUAUGGAAAAUAAUUUUAAUUACCUUUUAAUUAAAAUGGGUGAGAAAAAUGAUGUCAUUGAUGGUGCAAAAUGGAUGAGAAAAAUGAUGUUAUGUAGGUGUAGGACUAAUGCGUAAAACUUUAAAAUUUUUUAACAUUUUUAUUUUUACAACAAAUAGCAGGACACUAUUAUAAUUAACCUUAAUAAAGACAAAAGAGAGGGGUACCAAACGUAUGUUGCAACAUAGCUUUGCCCAUAUAUACAUAUAUAAAGUGCUUCUAUCCAAGACCUAGACUUUAUUAAAAUUUAAGAAAGCAAAUAUAUUUUAUAUGGUAUAAUAGUGUAAUAACAUCACACUAUUAUAUCAUAUAGACUAAUAGUUUUUUGAACUUUAAUAAAGUUCAAGAUUAUAGAAUGAAUGAUUUAUAUAAAUUAUAAUUUUUUAUCAUAAAUGGAGGAGAAAAUUAACAUAUUUUCAAAUUAUAAUAAAUAUUUAUCAAAUAAUUUAACAUUGCAAUUUCUCCUAACUAGUAUAGUAAAUAAUACGACCUAGGAGGUACAUUCAAAGAUUUUCAUAAGUUAGUUGUUAAUAAUAAAUGAUAUAUGCAGCUCCAAUUAAUCAUCAUUGUACGGUGAGUAAUUUCCAGUUAUAAAUAGAUAUUACUCCCUUCCCAGCAAUUUUUGAUGGCUUAAUUUUGUGGGAUCAAAAUCAACAUUGAAUGUCAAAAUGUUAAUGGCCAAACAGACCAGCUGCCAACAACUUAUUCCAAUGUGAGUAGUUCACAGUGGGUACUGCACAUGAUGCUUGUUUCUCCUUUUGCAUCUAUUUUUGUUGUUAACAUUAAUUUCAAUAGCAGCUCGUUAAUGCCAAUUGUUGAUUUGGGACUAGAUAAGAAUUUAUCUUGGAACUCCAAUUCUCUGAAUUAUUUUAGUUGACAAUAUGUUUAACAUUAUUUUUUUUAACAUUAUUAAUUGCAUAUUAUUUAAUUAUCAAUAUAUAAUAUUCUUUAAUUUUUUAAUUUUAUAGGAUUAGACACAAAAUUGAUUAUACCUUUUGAAAUUUAAGGGUUAUGUCAAUUGAAUAGAAAACUUGGAGUUAAACUUUUGGAUGUUUUUGUUGAUUAUCAAUUUAUGCAUGAAUUUUUGUACGUUUACUUUGGUUUAUUAUUAUUACUUUUAAAUAUUUUUAUUGGUUUGAUUUAGGGUCAGUUUAAUAAUCCUGUAGCUUUUAAAAUAAUUAGAGUUAGCUAUGCUGUAGAAAUUGAUCAAUCGUUAAGAGAAUCAGCUGAACAUUUAGUAAAAUUUAUUUUUAAAAGUACUUUUAGUUUUAAAAGCGUCGUAUGUGUUUCGUAAAUCUUAUUGUUAAACUAGUGCAAAAAUGUAAAUGACUAAAUUGGACAUAAUGCUAAAUAAAAUUUAUUUACACAUUUAUAAACACGUAUAUAAAAUAUUUUUAUUACGUACAUAUAAUUAUUGAUAACUAAAAUAAAUAUUUUAUAUUAUUAAAUUUUAUUCUUUAAUUUGUUAUCUCAAUAUAAUUGGUAAUAGUAAUAACCUCUUUAAAGUUAAUCAUUUUAUUUCUUAAUUAAUAAAGAUAAUUUUGAAUUUUGAUUAUAUAAUGAGGAUAUGUAUAUAAAUAUAUAGAAUUUGAUUAAAUAUAAAAGUGAUUCUCAAAAUCAGAUUUUGAAAAAUUAUUCAUUCCAUACUUUUUCAAAAUCUACUAUACAAUGAGAUGAUUUUGCCAAAAGUAAUUACUAAAAAAAUUUAUAAAACACUAAAAAUUAAUUUUUAAUUUUUAAAAUCACUUUUGAACUUCCCAAAAAUAAUCCUAACGGACCNNNNNNNNNNNNNNNNNNNNNNNNNNNNNNNNNNNNNNNNNNNNNNNNNNNNNNNNNNNNNNNNNNNNNNNNNNNNNNNNNNNNNNNNNNNNNNNNNNNNGUGGUGUUAGAACUUGUGACUUUUGGAUCUUUUAGUUUUUAUUGGUUGAUACAAUUGUUACCUAAAAAUUAAAUGUAUCUUAAACCCAAACUUCUUCUUCUUUUUUUUGACUAACAAAAUUAAAAAACAAUAGUGAACACAUUCUUUAAUAAACAAUAAGUAAUAACUAAAAUCGUGUUAAAUUUCUUAAAAAUUUUCUUUCACGGUCUGCUAAAUAUUUUUAUUAGUAUUUUGAAUAAAUAAAAAUAAUUGAUUUAAUUUUUUUAAAGAAACUUAUUAGGUUCAUGUAAAGAUGUUUUUGUUAUUUUAAAAAGUGUAGAAAGUACUCCUAAAAAAAAAGUGUAGAAAGUAAAACUUAAUUUUUUAAAUUUAUUAGCUUACUGCAUAAAUAAUUGAGUGUUCAUAAUGAUUUUUAAAGUAUAGAUAGUCGGACCCUAAUAUUUUUAAUAUGGAAAUUUUGCUAAUAUGUUAAUGAGAAUUAAAAAGAUAAUUAAGGGAGGCAAUUGAGACAUUCAGGAUAGUUAGGAUGGGACAUGAUUGUGAGUGGUUUGAUAUUAGUCCUAAUUUUGAUCACAAAUAUAUAAACAUGACGAGUUUAUCUCUACUUACAUUCCAUUUGAUAAUUAAGAUGAGAGUGGAAUCGUCAAAUCCCAAAUCAUCCCGGACCAUUGCCAUCAAAGGUACUCUCACUAAUAAUAUCUAAAGAAAAAUGUACAUGUAUUUCAUUUUUUUUUUAAACGGAAAGAGCCCUCAUGGGGCUUGAAAUGUUAUCCUAAAUAGUAUUCAAAAUAUCAAGCCAUGAUUGGGUUUGUGACAAACAAAUAUUACAUAGUUAGGAUACGUAGUUACUAGUGUCCCCAUUUAUGUAGUAUCUAUCAUUUAAUGCACAUAUAAAGUAUUAAUCAGCUUAAUUAAUUUAUAAAAUCUAAAUCUAAUUAAUAAGUGACACAUAAAAGCCAAGUGCAAUAUAUGCAAGUCAUGUUUGUCGAUCAUUACAAAACUAGCUCUUGAAAACAAGCAAGAAAGCUUAAUUAAGAACUUAAAACAAAAAGAAAUUUAGAUUGAGAACAGUCAAGCCUUAUUUUUUUCAAGGAUGGAGCUUAUAAAUCUUCAAGUACCAACAUAUGCUUGGCCCAAUUGUUGUUAUUAAAAAUUCAAUAUAUAUAUAUAUAAGUAUGACAUAGCAAAAAUUUGAUGGUACAUAUGUCGGAAUAUACUAGUUCAUGGAUGCAUUUGAUUAUUGUUUCCAUAAAUUUGAACCAGGAAGGAUAACACGAUAAAAUUUGAUUUUAUGGUAUGGUUGAUUUCAUAUCUCAUGCACUCAUUUCUUAAGAUAAUCAAAUUUUCUCUGGCAUCUUUUGCAACUGUGGAAAUAUCAAUUAUGAUCAAUCAAAACGAUUUCAAAACCUCUCAACGAGACAUAUUUAUAAUACAAUGUUGUGAAAAUUACACCAAAUUUUAAUUUAUUAUAUAUUAUUAUCCAACGAGCACACAAAAAUGAAUUCGUACAAAUAGAGUUUACCAUGUACUACAAGAAACUAGGGUAUAAGUGACCCCUAAUGUGAAUGCAAAAGAAGCCAUUAUGUAUAUCACUAACUUCUAGGCUCUAGCUUUGUACCCCGACUUGCUUUUGUUACCCUUUAUGUGACGGCCACACCGCUAUCACAUAUGUUAGUUACUACCCGCGUGACGGUAAAGAGCCGUUCGGUAUAUUACUAUUUUAUAAUUUUAAAUUUAAAACUAUUUGCUGGACUCCGUGUUACUAGCCACCAUCGUAAGCCUAACUGGUUGCCGGCGAACUGCGUAAAACACUGGCCAUCUUCUUCUUCAUCGUCUUCUCCCUUCAUCUUUUGAGGUAAGCUUGUGAUUAUGAGUUUCUUCUCUUACUUAGCUUGUAAUUAUAGACUUUGAUUUUUUUUUUAAUUCGCAUUGUAGCCAUUAUUGUCAAUUUUUGUCCCGCGAGCAAUAUAUUUUUAUUGCUUCAAGUUGAAGCCCCUGUUUUCUUGUUCCAUUGGUGAGUUUGCUCACUCAAAUUAAUUUUGUUCUGCGGAAUUUGCAACGUUCAAAUGGAUUCGUUUGAAUUACUAUUGAAUUUAGCUUUAAUUUCAACAUCCAUUCUAAUGUUUUGCUAUUAGAUUUACUUUAAUUUUAUGUUUAAAGCUUCUACAGUGAAUAGCGGAGCUUGGGUUUUAGUUUCAUUUUCUAGAUAACUUGUUUUAGUUUAUCUUGUAUACUCACCAAGUGCUUGUUAUAUUGUCUGAUAAGUUAUAUACAUUGCUGAUUCUAUAUUAAUAAUGUUAUGUUCUAUUUUCAGAAAUUAUAAUACAAAAGCUUUUACAAUGGCGUGCAUCUACAAACUGGAUUGACUCGUAGAAUAAGAGCUUGGAGUAGUGUUAUGUUCUUGAAUAAAUGAAAGUUCAUAUUGUGUAAGAGCAUGUAGAUGUAAAGCAUCAUUAUCAUUUCUACAAAGUGCUUUCAUUCUCUUCAGAUGCUCUUCUUGAACUUUGAAAGGUGCCUCGUUCAAGUCCUAGCUAUAACUGCUAGCUUUGAUUAAUUAAGUUCCUAUACUAGCUGAAACAGAUUUAUUUAAUUAAUUAAUUGUGUAUAUACUAAUUAUAUUGAAAGUAUAUGAAACUUUUUUUUUUUCACAUGAAUGACUUCUAAAUGACUUAAAAACCUAAAGGAUGUGUGAAAUAAUGCUCAUUUCACUUGAAUGAGCCUAUUAAUACUUUUAUGUCUAUGAUGUCAAAAUUGGCUUAAGCAUUUCAGUUAAGUGGUUUACCUAGCAGAGAAAAAAAUUUUAAUAGAGAAACUUCAGAGUUCUAACAGAAAUAUAGUUCGCUAUGCAGAUAUAGUUAUNNNNNNNNNNNNNNNNNNNNNNNNNNNNNNNNNNNNNNNNNNNNNNNNNNNNNNNNNNNNNNNNNNNNNNNNNNNNNNNNNNNNNNNNNNNNNNNNNNNNNNNNNNNNNNNNNNNNNNNNNNNNNNNNNNNNNNNNNNNNNNNNNNNNNNNNNNNNNNNNNNNNNNNNNNNNNNNNNNNNNNNNNNNNNNNNNNNNNNNNNNNNNNNNNNNNNNNNNNNNNNNNNNNNNNNNNNNNNNNNNNNNNNNNNNNNNNNNNNNNNNNNNNNNNNNNNNNNNNNNNNNNNNNNNNNNNNNNNNNNNNNNNNNNNNNNNNNNNNNNNNNNNNNNNNNNNNNNNNNNNNNNNNNNNNNNNNNNNNNNNNNNNNNNNNNNNNNNNNNNNNNNNNNNNNNNNNNNNNNNNNNNNNNNNNNNNNNNNNNNNNNNNNNNNNNNNNNNNNNNNNNNNNNNNNNNNNNNNNNNNNNNNNNNNNNNNNNNNNNNNNNNNNNNNNNNNNNNNNNNNNNNNNNNNNNNNNNNNNNNNNNNNNNNNNNNNNNNNNNNNNNNNNNNNNNNNNNNNNNNNNNNNNNNNNNNNNNNNNNNNNNNNNNNNNNNNNNNNNNNNNNNNNNNNNNNNNNNNNNNNNNNNNNNNNNNNNNNNNNNNNNNNNNNNNNNNNNNNNNNNNNNNNNNNNNNNNNNNNNNNNNNNNNNNNNNNNNNNNNNNNNNNNNNNNNNNNNNNNNNNNNNNNNNNNNNNNNNNNNNNNNNNNNNNNNNNNNNNNNNNNNNNNNNNNNNNNNNNNNNNNNNNNNNNNNNNNNNNNNNNNNNNNNNNNNNNNNNNNNNNNNNNNNNNNNNNNNNNNNNNNNNNNNNNNNNNNNNNNNNNNNNNNNNNNNNNNNNNNNNNNNNNNNNNNNNNNNNNNNNNNNNNNNNNNNNNNNNNNNNNNNNNNNNNNNNNNNNNNNNNNNNNNNNNNNNNNNNNNNNNNNNNNNNNNNNNNNNNNNNNNNNNNNNNNNNNNNNNNNNNNNNNNNNNNNNNNNNNNNNNNNNNNNNNNNNNNNNNNNNNNNNNNNNNNNNNNNNNNNNNNNNNNNNNNNNNNNNNNNNNNNNNNNNNNNNNNNNNNNNNNNNNNNNNNNNNNNNNNNNNNNNNNNNNNNNNNNNNNNNNNNNNNNNNNGUUAUUCAAAUUUCAGAUUCAAUUUUAAACUUUUGAUAUGUGCAUUGAAAGCUUAGACUUGUUUAAGAAAUUAUUAAUAGACACAUGUUUUAUUAGUGUCAUCUUUGGAUGAUAGUGAGGAUCAUGUGUCUAUUAAUAAUUCUUGAAUUGUCCAGGCUUGGACAGUUUUGGAAUGCAUAGUUCUCUCUGGUAGCUAGUGGCUGAAGUUUUUGUCCCACGUAAAAAUGGGUUUUUCGGUAGCUGCUCCUCGUGUUCUCUGAGUACGUACUAGGUGAAUGGGUGUCAUGUGUUUGUUUUGGCAAAACACAUAAACACUUAUAUAGGUAUGUCUAGUGCUUGGAGAGCUAUCAUUUCAUAAGAGAGUGUAUUGCAAGAAAAGAAGUGCAAAUCAAGUAUGUAAAAUCACAAGAUCAAGCAGCUGAUAGCUUCACUAAGCCACUCAAGCAAGAAGACUUUGUAAGAUUCAGAAGUUUGCUUGGUGUCACAGGAUCAAGUUUAAGGGGAGAUGUUGGAUCAUAAACUUGAUCCAAGAUGAAUAAAUCAAGCCCAACUCAUGGAAGGUUCCAUGAGUAUGUAUGGUUGGUGAGGUUUGAAUUAUUUGUGUUAGGUGUGUUAGGUGUGGUUGGUGAAGUAGGUGAGUGGUAGGUUUUAAUGGAUGGUGAGAAUUUGUUUAUUAGUUGAAUAAAUGAAUGGUUGUGAUUAGUUUUUUUCAUGUAUAAAUACCCCCUCUCCCCUUUGGUUUAAACAUCAAGUGAAGUAGCAAAAUCUCUAAGGUGUAGAGAGUGAAAAAUAAGAGUUGUAAUUGGUGAGGAGUGUUGUUGAAGAAAUAAAAUAGUGUGUUUUAUGUGAGUUUUAUUUAUUAAUUCUCCAACAUGUAAUUGGUGAUGAUUUUGCUGAGCUGACCUUGGUUUUGAGCUUGUAAUUUUGUUUGUAAAUGGAGUGCUUUCUCCAAUGUUGGUUUAUAAAAAUGUUUCAGGACUUGCCGACCUAAUUUUUGUUUCUGCUAGGUUACAGGCUUUAUAUAGCUGUAAUUGAUAGCCAAGUGAAGUUCUCAGCACUUGGCGAGGAUAUUUCUUUACAGAAGUAUUGGAAACUAUUUUUUACAUUAAUUAUUGUUGUCUAUAUACUUUGAUUUUCACAUCUUUUUCUCUGAUUCUUGUGGCUUUGCUUGCUUUCAUAUAUGUAAAUUCUAAUGAAAUUAACCAUAAAAUUGUAAAAUGAUCUUUUUAUCAUAUUGCAAAACUGUGCACACACGAAAAUAUUCUUGUUUAGUAGUACAAAUGAAAAACUAAAAUGAUUUAUUUAACUAAUAUUUGAGCGCAUUAAAAGGAGAUAGUCAUGGACAAGUGUUGGGUUGGUUUGCCAAAUAGAUAUCCAAGUCAUAUACUGAUGGGGUUGAAAAAUUUAUAAAUUUUGCAUUUUAGAAUGUUGUUGCUGGUACAAGAAUUUAUUGUCCUUUUAAGAAGUGUUAUAAUCUAUAUUUCGUUAUGAGGGAAGUGGCUGAUGAUGAUAUGGUUGGAAUGAUACACUGCAUCACAUAAUCAAAUGUUCAAGUUACACUCAACAUUGUUAUGGACUAUCAGUGACAUGAGUGAACUAGACUGAGAAUACCUUCAGUUAUUGAGCUAAGAAGCCAGCUGAGUAAUGUUUGAUCUUGAGAUCUCCAAAUUGUGUAUUCAGGAUUCUCGAUCUGUUGAGAAGAUCCAGCAGCUCCAGCAGUUGUUGCAGCAAAGCUUGAUGAUGCUAUAAAUCGAUUUGGUGCAAUCUUUUCUCCAUUAAUGUAUCCUUCAAGUCGAUUUCCUCUAAUGGAGGCCAGGACUUGAUUUUUCCAAAGCAUGUAGUUAGAUCUAUCUAAUUUGAUUGGUGUGAUGAAAGAAAAAGUUGUUUGAUUUGCAGCUACUGUAUUUUGAUUGUUUGUGAUUGCCAUGAUUGGCUCUGAUACCAUGAAGAAAUUGUAAAAAUGAAUAAAUGCUGUUGUUUGGCAGCUGAGAAAAUACAGAGGAAAAUUUUAUUUCAUUAAUGAAACUGAUAUUUUGUACAUAACAACAAUCACGAACAUGUAGCUAUUUAUACAUGCUUAUGUUCACUAACUAGUUGCUCACUAACUAAUUAUUAAUCACAAGCUCACUCAGCUAAUUAAUAACCAAACACAGAGUGUGCAUUGUGAAGUUAGUUAGGCUGGUAACUGCUGCUGACGUGGAUCUUCUGACGUGGCACUAAUGACAGCUGGUAACUUGACAUGCUGAUUCUUCUUCUUCACUUCUGCAUAAUGACAUAUCUUCACACCAGUCAAGAAGUUAUUUUCAGAUCCCAUACUUAACAAGACAUUACAAUCCCUUGCUGUUAAUAAUAAUUUGCAUCCUCUAUGAUCAUCGCCAAAAGGAAUUCCAACAGUCUCUAAAUCAAGAUAUUUCCAGAUGUUAUCCAGAAUCACAAGGAUCAUCUUCUCUUUCUUCAAUCGUUCAUAAAGUCUACUAGCUCUUCUAGAUUCAGCCUCCUCGGAAAACUCCAGACCUAGUUUCUCUGCAAUUUCCCCAUGAAUCUUUUUUAUGUCUGGAGUUUGGGAUACCUCUGAAAAAACCACCUGAUCAAAGAGUUUCUCUUCACUGGCUUGCCUUGCAAACUCCUUCACCAGUGUUGUCUUUCCAAUGCCGCCCAUGCCGUAUACCCCAACGAUGUUGACAUUGACAUCAGUCAAUGCAUCUUGUAUAGACUUCAGAGUAGAAAGUCUUGAUUUAAAGGCCUCGUAACCUUUGUUAGACUUUAGCCAUACCUCCUCCGCAAUGGUACGGUAGAAAAUUCUAUCAUCAAAUCUCCUAGCUUCUGAUGAGAUAUAAUUAGUAAUCUAGUAAAUUGAGCAAGAAGUUUGAAGGGUUAUUUGGUUUGUUUUUCAACGUGAAGUAAAGGGUAAAAUUGAUGUUUGCAAUGUGGCUUUGGAAAUGUAAAGCAUGAUUAAUGUAAUCUCCAGAGUUGUCUAUAAUGCAUAUAAAUAUAGAACUCUGGUUGUAUGAAAAGGAAGAGAGAAACGAAAAAAUGAAUUAAGCAAUAAAGUUUCAGAAAUUUCCAGCAAAAUACUCUGUUCUUAAAUAAAAAAAUUUCUGCACUUCCGCUUGCACCCAACAAAUUUGGUAUCAGAGCUUUUCAAAACACCCUCAAAAUGACAUCAAAUACCCUACCCACAUUAUUUUCAUAUGCUCCCAGUCAAGUUCCAAUAUUUGAAGGGGUACAUUAUGAAUAUUGGAGUAAUCAAAUAGAAACCUUUUUCCUCUCUCAAAAUUUAUGGGAUGUUGUUGAAGAUGGAUAUGCUGAACCACCAGAAUUUGCAAGUUCUUCAGAUUGGACUCCAGCACAUCAACAGCAGUACAAAGAAAACAUACAGAGAAAUGCCACGACACUUCGAUAUAUCUAGUAAGGUGUUAGUAAGUCAAUUUUCCCAGAAUAUUUGGUGUCAAAAAGGCCAAAAAUGCUUGGGAAAUCCUAAAACAAGAAUUUCAAGGUUCCGAAAAGGCAGUCACCAUCAAGUUACAAACUUUGUGGAAAGAGUUCAAUAAUUUAUCAAUGAAAGACAGUGAAGGAGUUCAAGAUUUUUGCAGUAGAGUUACUGAGAUUGUGAACCAGAUUAAAGGUUGCGGGGACUCCAUUGAAGACAAGAAGGUGAAUGAAAAGGUGCUGAGAUGUCUUCCUCCAAAUUUUGAUCAUGUAGCAGCAGCCAUUAAAGAAUCAAGGGAUUUGUCCAGGAUGACUUUUUCAGAUUUGUCAGGAUCAUUACGGUCUCAUGAGCAAAGAAUCAAUCGACCUUCAAGUCAGCCUACAGAGCAAGCUUUUCAGUCAAAGAUUAAUAAUUUAGAUCAGAAUAAAAGCAGCAAGAAAGACCAGAAGAACGGAGGCUCGUCUCAAAGAAACGGACAGCGUGGCAAAGGGAAAAGAGAAUAGAACGACAACCGCAACAAGUGGAAAAAUGACAGAGGGAAUUCACAGCAAAAUUCAGAUUCUCGGUGCAUCAUUUGUAAUUGGUCUAAUCAUGAAUUAAAAGAUUGUCGUUAUAAAUGCACAAGGUGUCGCAUUCCUAACCAUUCUCAAAGGGAUUGUUGGUAUCAAAAUAAAAAAGGCAAAAAUGAGGCAAAUUUUACAAAAGAAGGUGAUGGAGAUUACUUGUUUUAUUCAAGUAAAGGUACUGAACGUGAAUCAUAUAAUUUUUGGUACUUGGAUAGCGGCUGCAGCAACCACAUGACUAGAGAACGUGACAUUUUCAUCAGCCUUGACUAAAGUUUUAAUUCGCAAGUGAAGCUUGGAGAUGGAAAGAUGCAGAAAGCUGUGGGAAAAGGCACUAUUGCUGUCCAUACAAAGGGAGGUAACAAAAAGCUCAUUUCUGACGUUCUUUAUGUUCCAAAUUUAACUCAAAACCUCUUGAGUGUGGGACAGCUAAUUCAAAAGGGUUUUUCAAUUUAUUUUGAUGAUGAAAAAUGCAAAAUUAUUGAUAAAACUAAUAAUCACACAGUGGCCGUUGUUGAAAUGUCAAAGAACAAAGUUUUUCCUCUUGUUAUGCCACUUGAUGAGAAUGUUGCUCUCAAAACUGAAAAUUCAGAUUUGUCAACUUUAUGGCAUCUCAGAUAUGGCCAUUUAAACUAUAAAGGGCUGAAUUUGCUCAAGCAAAAGAACAUGGUGAUUGGCCUACCUGAUGUUGGAAGAUAUGAAAAAGUUUGCGAGGGCUGUAUUUAUGGAAAAAUGCAUAGACUUCCAUUUCCUAAAAAUUCAUGGAGAGCCAAAGCUCCGUUGGAGUUGGUGCAUGCUGAUAUUUGUGGUCCUACAAGGACUUUCUCUCUCAAUAACAGGAGAUAUUUCAUUCUUUUUGUUGUUGACUAUACAAGGAUGAUGUGGAUUUAUUUUUUGAAUGAAAAAUCAGAAGCUUUCUCAACUUUUCUUCAGUUUAAAGCUCUUGCAGAAAGGCAAAGUGGAUGCAAAAUGAAGACCUUGAGAACUGAUCGUGGUGGUAAAUUUAUCUACACUCCAUUCAUGAAUUAUUGCGGGGAUAAUGGAAUUCAAAGACAACUUACUGUCAGCCGAAGUCCACAACAAAACGGAGUCGCAGAACGGAAGAACCGUACCAUUGUAGAGAUGGCAAGAAGCAUGUUAAAAGGCAAAGGCAUUCCUAACAACUUAUGGGCAGAAGCAUGUCAUACAGCUGUGUACAUCCUCAACAGGUCUNNNNNNNNNNNNNNNNNNNNNNNNNNNNNNNNNNNNNNNNNNNNNNNNNNNNNNNNNNNNNNNNNNNNNNNNNNNNNNNNNNNNNNNNNNNNNNNNNNNNNNNNNNNNNNNNNNNNNNNNNNNNNNNNNNNNNNNNNNNNNNNNNNNNNNNNNNNNNNNNNNNAUAGUGAUGAGUCUAAAGGGUAUCGGUUGUUGAAUCCUACAACAAAUAAGCUUGUUAUCUCAAGAGAUGUUGUAUUUGAUGAGGCAUCAGCUUGGCAGUGGGAAAACGAUCAAUCUCAAGCAUCUAGCUUUUUUGAAGCUCCUGUAUCUCCACCAAAUUCUUCACAGCAAAAUAAUUUGGAACCAAAUUCUCCAAAUUCAGCAGCAGAAAGUUCUUCGGAUGAUGAAAGCCCUCCAAGGAAGAUAAAGUCAAUGAGAGAAAUUUAUGAGUCAUGUGAACUUGCUUUAUUUUCUUGUGAGCCUCAAGACUUUGAGGAGGCCUCAAGAAAUGAAGAUUGGAUCAAAGCAAUGAACGAGGAAAUGGCCACCAUUGUGAAAAAUAAAACUUGGGAGAUGGUUAAUUUGCCAAAUGGAAAAGAAACAAUUGGGCUGAAAUGGAUCUUCAAAAUCAAGUACAAUGAAGAUGGUUCAGUUCAAAAAUAUAAGGCGCGGCUCGUUGCCAAAGGAUACUCUCAGCUGCCUGGAGUUGAUUUUACAGAAACAUUUGCUCCCGUAGCUCGAAUGGAGACUAUUCGAACUGUUCUUGCCUUGGCAGCCCAAAUGGAAUUAAAUGUGUUUCAGCUAGAUGUAAAAUCGGCAUUUCUAAAUGGUGAAAUUGAAGACGAGGUUUAUGUUGAGCAGCCUAAAGGAGACUAAACGCAACNNNNNNNNNNNNNNNNNNNNNNNNNNNNNNNNNNNNNNNNNNNNNNNNNNNNNNNNNNNNNNNNNNNNNNNNNNNNNNNNNNNNNNNNNNNNNNNNNNNNNNNNNNNNNNNNNNNNNNNNNNNNNNNNNNNNNNNNNNNNNNNNNNNNNNNNNNNNNNNNNNNNNNNNNNNNNNNNNNNNNNNNNNNNNNNNNNNNNNNNNNNNNNNNNNNNNNNNNNNNNNNNNNNNNNNNNNNNNNNNNNNNNNNNNNNNNNNNNNNNNNNNNNNNNNNNNNNNNNNNNNNNNNNNNNNNNNNNNNNNNNNNNNNNNNNNNNNNNNNNNNNNNNNNNNNNNNNNNNNNNNNNNNNNNNNNNNNNNNNNNNNNNNNNNNNNNNNNNNNNNNNNNNNNNNNNNNNNNNNNNNNNNNNNNNNNNNNNNNNNNNNNNNNNNNNNNNNNNNNNNNNNNNNNNNNNNNNNNNNNNNNNNNNNNNNNNNNNNNNNNNNNNNNNNNNNNNNNNNNNNNNNNNNNNNNNNNNNNNNNNNNNNNNNNNNNNNNNNNNNNNNNNNNNNNNNNNNNNNNNNNNNNNNNNNNNNNNNNNNNNNNNNNNNNNNNNNNNNNNNNNNNNNNNNNNNNNNNNNNNNNNNNNNNNNNNNNNNNNNNNNNNNNNNNNNNNNNNNNNNNNNNNNNNNNNNNNNNNNNNNNNNNNNNNNNNNNNNNNNNNNNNNNNNNNNNNNNNNNNNNNNNNNNNNNNNNNNNNNNNNNNNNNNNNNNNNNNNNNNNNNNNNNNNNNNNNNNNNNNNNNNNNNNNNNNNNNNNNNNNNNNNNNNNNNNNNNNNNNNNNNNNNNNNNNNNNNNNNNNNNNNNNNNNNNNNNNNNNNNNNNNNNNNNNNNNNNNNNNNNNNNNNNNNNNNNNNNNNNNNNNNNNNNNNNNNNNNNNNNNNNNNNNNNNNNNNNNNNNNNNNNNNNNNNNNNNNNNNNNNNNNNNNNNNNNNNNNNNNNNNNNNNNNNNNNNNNNNNNNNNNNNNNNNNNNNNNNNNNNNNNNNNNNNNNNNNNNNNNNNNNNNNNNNNNNNNNNNNNNNNNNNNNNNNNNNNNNNNNNNNNNNNNNNNNNNNNNNNNNNNNNNNNNNNNNNNNNNNNNNNNNNNNNNNNNNNNNNNNNNNNNNNNNNNNNNNNNNNNNNNNNNNNNNNNNNNNNNNNNNNNNNNNNNNNNNNNNNNNNNNNNNNNNNNNNNNNNNNNNNNNNNNNNNNNNNNNNNNNNNNNNNNNNNNNNNNNNNNNNNNNNNNNNNNNNNNNNNNNNNNNNNNNNNNNNNNNNNNNNNNNNNNNNNNNNNNNNNNNNNNNNNNNNNNNNNNNNNNNNNNNNNNNNNNNNNNNNNNNNNNNNNNNNNNNNNNNNNNNNNNNNNNNNNNNNNNNNNNNNNNNNNNNNNNNNNNNNNNNNNNNNNNNNNNNNNNNNNNNNNNNNNNNNNNNNNNNNNNNNNNNNNNNNNNNNNNNNNNNNNNNNNNNNNNNNNNNNNNNNNNNNNNNNNNNNNNNNNNNNNNNNNNNNNNNNNNNNNNNNNNNNNNNNNNNNNNNNNNNNNNNNNNNNNNNNNNNNNNNNNNNNNNNNNNNNNNNNNNNNNNNNNNNNNNNNNNNNNNNNNNNNNNNNNNNNNNNNNNNNNNNNNNNNNNNNNNNNNNNNNNNNNNNNNNNNNNNNNNNNNNNNNNNNNNNNNNNNNNNNNNNNNNNNNNNNNNNNNNNNNNNNNNNNNNNNNNNNNNNNNNNNNNNNNNNNNNNNNNNNNNNNNNNNNNNNNNNNNNNNNNNNNNNNNNNNNNNNNNNNNNNNNNNNNNNNNNNNNNNNNNNNNNNNNNNNNNNNNNNNNNNNNNNNNNNNNNNNNNNNNNNNNNNNNNNNNNNNNNNNNNNNNNNNNNNNNNNNNNNNNNNNNNNNNNNNNNNNNNNNNNNNNNNNNNNNNNNNNNNNNNNNNNNNNNNNNNNNNNNNNNNNNNNNNNNNNNNNNNNNNNNNNNNNNNNNNNNNNNNNNNNNNNNNNNNNNNNNNNNNNNNNNNNNNNNNNNNNNNNNNNNNNNNNNNNNNNNNNNNNNNNNNNNNNNNNNNNNNNNNNNNNNNNNNNNNNNNNNNNNNNNNNNNNNNNNNNNNNNNNNNNNNNNNNNNNNNNNNNNNNNNNNNNNNNNNNNNNNNNNNNNNNNNNNNNNNNNNNNNNNNNNNNNNNNNNNNNNNNNNNNNNNNNNNNNNNNNNNNNNNNNNNNNNNNNNNNNNNNNNNNNNNNNNNNNNNNNNNNNNNNNNNNNNNNNNNNNNNNNNNNNNNNNNNNNNNNNNNNNNNNNNNNNNNNNNNNNNNNNNNNNNNNNNNNNNNNNNNNNNNNNNNNNNNNNNNNNNNNNNNNNNNNNNNNNNNNNNNNNNNNNNNNNNNNNNNNNNNNNNNNNNNNNNNNNNNNNNNNNNNNNNNNNNNNNNNNNNNNNNNNNNNNNNNNNNNNNNNNNNNNNNNNNNNNNNNNNNNNNNNNNNNNNNNNNNNNNNNNNNNNNNNNNNNNNNNNNNNNNNNNNNNNNNNNNNNNNNNNNNNNNNNNNNNNNNNNNNNNNNNNNNNNNNNNNNNNNNNNNNNNNNNNNNNNNNNNNNNNNNNNNNNNNNNNNNNNNNNNNNNNNNNNNNNNNNNNNNNNNNNNNNNNNNNNNNNNNNNNNNNNNNNNNNNNNNNNNNNNNNNNNNNNNNNNNNNNNNNNNNNNNNNNNNNNNNNNNNNNNNNNNNNNNNNNNNNNNNNNNNNNNNNNNNNNNNNNNNNNNNNNNNNNNNNNNNNNNNNNNNNNNNNNNNNNNNNNNNNNNNNNNNNNNNNNNNNNNNNNNNNNNNNNNNNNNNNNNNNNNNNNNNNNNNNNNNNNNNNNNNNNNNNNNNNNNNNNNNNNNNNNNNNNNNNNNNNNNNNNNNNNNNNNNNNNNNNNNNNNNNNNNNNNNNNNNNNNNNNNNNNNNNNNNNNNNNNNNNNNNNNNNNNNNNNNNNNNNNNNNNNNNNNNNNNNNNNNNNNNNNNNNNNNNNNNNNNNNNNNNNNNNNNNNNNNNNNNNNNNNNNNNNNNNNNNNNNNNNNNNNNNNNNNNNNNNNNNNNNNNNNNNNNNNNNNNNNNNNNNNNNNNNNNNNNNNNNNNNNNNNNNNNNNNNNNNNNNNNNNNNNNNNNNNNNNNNNNNNNNNNNNNNNNNNNNNNNNNNNNNNNNNNNNNNNNNNNNNNNNNNNNNNNNNNNNNNNNNNNNNNNNNNNNNNNNNNNNNNNNNNNNNNNNNNNNNNNNNNNNNNNNNNNNNNNNNNNNNNNNNNNNNNNNNNNNNNNNNNNNNNNNNNNNNNNNNNNNNNNNNNNNNNNNNNNNNNNNNNNNNNNNNNNNNNNNNNNNNNNNNNNNNNNNNNNNNNNNNNNNNNNNNNNNNNNNNNNNNNNNNNNNNNNNNNNNNNNNNNNNNNNNNNNNNNNNNNNNNNNNNNNNNNNNNNNNNNNNNNNNNNNNNNNNNNNNNNNNNNNNNNNNNNNNNNNNNNNNNNNNNNNNNNNNNNNNNNNNNNNNNNNNNNNNNNNNNNNNNNNNNNNNNNNNNNNNNNNNNNNNNNNNNNNNNNNNNNNNNNNNNNNNNNNNNNNNNNNNNNNNNNNNNNNNNNNNNNNNNNNNNNNNNNNNNNNNNNNNNNNNNNNNNNNNNNNNNNNNNNNNNNNNNNNNNNNNNNNNNNNNNNNNNNNNNNNNNNNNNNNNNNNNNNNNNNNNNNNNNNNNNNNNNNNNNNNNNNNNNNNNNNNNNNNNNNNNNNNNNNNNNNNNNNNNNNNNNNNNNNNNNNNNNNNNNNNNNNNNNNNNNNNNNNNNNNNNNNNNNNNNNNNNNNNNNNNNNNNNNNNNNNNNNNNNNNNNNNNNNNNNNNNNNNNNNNNNNNNNNNNNNNNNNNNNNNNNNNNNNNNNNNNNNNNNNNNNNNNNNNNNNNNNNNNNNNNNNNNNNNNNNNNNNNNNNNNNNNNNNNNNNNNNNNNNNNNNNNNNNNNNNNNNNNNNNNNNNNNNNNNNNNNNNNNNNNNNNNNNNNNNNNNNNNNNNNNNNNNNNNNNNNNNNNNNNNNNNNNNNNNNNNNNNNNNNNNNNNNNNNNNNNNNNNNNNNNNNNNNNNNNNNNNNNNNNNNNNNNNNCUCAAGGAUUUGCAGUUCAAUCAAGAUGCUGCAACAACAAUUUAUUGUGACAACAUGUCAGCCAUUGCUCUAACAAAGAACCCCGUAUUUCAUGCUAAAUCUAAGCACAUUGAGCUGCGUUAUCACUACAUCCGUGACUUAGUAAGCAAAGGAGAAGUUAAUAUGGAGUUUAUCAACACUAAUGAGCAGCCAGCAGAUUUUGUCACGUGGGUCACCGUCGAUUUUUACCAACAAAUCAUAGGUUUCGAAAAUAUAGUGUCUUUUGAUAAAACUAGAGAGUAGGGACAAGCACCUUCUCGGUUGUCUGGAACUGAAGUGAAAAAGCAGUUUAAUAUAGUUACUGAGUAUAAGAUUGAAGACUUGAAAAGAGGAGAACGAAUAAAAUGAGAGAAAUGAUAAGAUUACCUGGAAGAAGAACAGCAUUUUUUAUGAACUAACGUAUUGGUUUUUGAUAUCAUGAUCUUGAUAUCAUGCACUGUUUUGAUUUUUGUUAUGAACUCAGAUCAAAAGUUUAAUGUGAUCAAAAUUUCUUAAAAAUAGUGACAACGACUCCUCCUAAUAACAUUGAAGAUGGCUAUAAAAGAUAAAAGGAAAGGAUUAAAAAGAAAAGCUACGCCUGUUUCAAAAAAAAAAAUGGCGGCAUCAAGUUUAUAACAAAAAUCAAAACGGUGCGUUUGAAAGUGUAUAAAAUACAUUUAGAGCGGGAGUUGCGUUGUUUCUUGAAGGCAGAAUGUUUGUGAGAUUUUUGUCGACGAAGCCAAAACCAAAGAUGAAGCCCAUAGAGCUCAAAACUCCACCGGAGCAAAUUCAGACAAUUACGAGGGUUAUAUUUGACAUGGUCAAGGAAGACGGUCCUCUCACCGUCGCCGAUUCUUGGGAACGCGUCAAGGUGUGUGUAUCUGUUAAAUUGAAUUUCAACCGUUUGGUCUGUAAUUAUAAUUAAUCCUAUCGAUCUGACAGUGAUGAUUGAUCAUAAUACUAGUAGUUGUUUUACAUUUUCUACAAGCUGGAGUGAGUGGAUUGACGGGCAAAAGCCACNNNNNNNNNNNNNNNNNNNNNNNNNNNNNNNNNNNNNNNNNNNNNNNNNNNNNNNNNNNNNNNNNNNNNNNNNNNNNNNNNNNNNNNNNNNNNNNNNNNNNNNNNNNNNNNNNNNNNNNNNNNNNNNNNNNNNNNNNNNNNNNNNNNNNNNNNNNNNNNNNNNNNNNNNNNNNNNNNNNNNNNNNNNNNNNNNNNNNNNNNNNNNNNNNNNNNNNNNNNNNNNNNNNNNNNNNNNNNNNNNNNNNNNNNNNNNNNNNNNNNNNNNNNNNNNNNNNNNNNNNNNNNNNNNNNNNNNNNNNNNNNNNNNNNNNNNNNNNNNNNNNNNNNNNNNNNNNNNNNNNNNNNNNNNNNNNNNNNNNNNNNNNNNNNNNNNNNNNNNNNNNNNNNNNNNNNNNNNNNNNNNNNNNNNNNNNNNNNNNNNNNNNNNNNNNNNNNNNNNNNNNNNNNNNNNNNNNNNNNNNNNNNNNNNNNNNNNNNNNNNNNNNNNNNNNNNNNNNNNNNNNNNNNNNNNNNNNNNNNNNNNNNNNNNNNNNNNNNNNNNNNNNNNNNNNNNNNNNNNNNNNNNNNNNNNNNNNNNNNNNNNNNNNNNNNNNNNNNNNNNNNNNNNNNNNNNNNNNNNNNNNNNNNNNNNNNNNNNNNNNNNNNNNNNNNNNNNNNNNNNNNNNNNNNNNNNNNNNNNNNNNNNNNNNNNNNNNNNNNNNNNNNNNNNNNNNNNNNNNNNNNNNNNNNNNNNNNNNNNNNNNNNNNNNNNNNNNNNNNNNNNNNNNNNNNNNNNNNNNNNNNNNNNNNNNNNNNNNNNNNNNNNNNNNNNNNNNNNNNNNNNNNNNNNNNNNNNNNNNNNNNNNNNNNNNNCAAGCCACAUGAAGAUUGUGUAGAGAUGGAUGAGGGAGAGACAAAAGCUCAGGCUCGUCUGCAACCAUGUGGGCCCUCAUUAGCAACUCCUGUACACAGCUUGGCUUACCAAGCCCAACAACUUGAAGCAGGCAAAGUCAGGGAAUGACCAUUCCCCUUCACAACCCUAGCUGCCUUAACCUUGUAUCUCUGAUAUUUAGUUAAAGAGUAAGAAGAUUGCUCCUCUGUCAAUUACCUUUAAGAGAGACUUUCUUUCUCAUUCAUUGAUGCUUGCUUGUGAACGCAAGGGUUUUAGUUACACUUUCAACGCUGUCAAUGUAGUGACACGAUGAAGAUGAAGUAAAGCAGUAGUAGAAUAAUGAAGUUGGAAGCCCCACAGCAUGAAAACUUUUAAACAGUAACACAUCUUUUAUUCCAGAGGCUGCACACGAGUGACCUGAAUCUUCUUCAGAACUUUCAAAUUUUAUUAAGCAAAGCUUUCAAAAUUUCUCAACAAAAUGAUUAUUUGGUGUGGUUGCGGCAUUUUGAGUAACUGCGAUUUGUUCUCAAGUACAAAAUCCUUGCCUUCCUAAGUUAGAAAAGAUAGAUGUGAAGCAAACCAAAUGAAAUAAAUGGGUAAACAGAACAAACAGGGCGAAAAUUAAAAAUGAUGGCAAUUAACAAAUUAAUAGCAACGUUACAUUUGACUCUUUAGCCCUUUGUUCCUUCUCUUAGCAUUCUUCAAAGUUUUUGAAAAUUGGAAGUGAAGCAAACAAAAUAAAAUAAAUUUAGACAACACAUGCCCUGUAUUCAGCAUCAUAUAUAUCUCGAAGACUAGAAUUUCAAACAGUACUAGUAGUAAAAAAAUGACGACAACAACAAAAAUAGAAAAUUACAAGACUGCUGAUAAAAUUUCAUUUGCAUGCAUGUCUGACAAAAUUUCCGUGAUUUAAUGUGCCUUCAUGCACGCAAAUCCUAACGUUUCUGUGAUCACAAAAUGAAACUGGAGAUAAAUCAGAACACCUACCAAACCUUUGGCUGAAAAUUCAGAAGAAUUUAUAUUCAAGAUGUCAAAGUAAACUGGAAAUUUAUGGCACAUAUUACAAGAAGCAGUACACACCAAUGGUAAAUUGAUUCAUCGUCUUUGAACUUAAGAUAGUCAAAUGAAAGAAACACAACGGAGGGUUAAUGCAAUACAGUAAAGUGAAAACCCUCAGCAUGUAAACUUAACUUCAAAGAACGGAGCACAAGUUUCACAGAAAAGUAGCUCUUAUUCCUGAUGCUGCAAACACAGAGGAGUGUUCUCAAUCUUCUUCAUAACUUGGGAAUUCUGCAAUUAUAGAGCACGACAUUGAGCACGAACUAAAAAAAAAAAUUAUUUUCUACAAUUUUCAUAUAACCUGACUAACCAAUAUUAAUUUUGUGGUAAUGUAUUGGGUCAUUAAUUCAUAUGUUUUUACAAUCAUCACUUUAGAAAAAAACUAAUUUCUCAAUGUGAAAUGGCCCAUUGAAAGUAUUCUCAUUUAAAAACUAAAUUUGACGGACCCCUCGAUUAAAGCAGGGAAAAAAAAAAAAGAGAUCUGAGGCUUUCCACAUGAAAAUGUUGUUUGUCACUUUGAAUGAUAUUUUGAAGGGAUUUCAUUCUAAAAAUAAAAUACCUGGGACCUCAUUCUUCAAAAUUGACAACUCGCCAGGUAUUAAAAGCGUAUGAGAUCAGUACUGCGACGAGUAAGAAGACGACCCCUCUAACAGCUGAAAACAAAAUUCGCAUUCAUCAAUUUAAAUUAAAAUUCAUAUUAUGAAACUAAAACUAAUGAUUAAUGAAUUUUCGAGGAAUUUAAUAAGAUUCUCAGAUAUAAACGUGAUAACAAAUUCACUCAUCAAUAACAAAUAUUCUAACAGUUGUCCGUACCUUUUCUUGAUGUAAUUGUUGUAUGAUUGCGUUAAGGUCAUUAUUAGACCAACGCAGGUUGUCCUCUCUCUGUCCGUACCGGAAGUUUACUCUGACAGGCGUGCUUAAUUCUCUUUUGGUGAAAAUCUUCAUCUUGGGACAACCAAUCACAGCAAGAUCUUCCAAAGAUGGGAAUUUGAAGGUGUAAUUGACAGAGGAGAAGCUUGUGAGACUAUCUAAAUCAAAGAGGGACAACGUAGUCAGUUUGCUGAAAACAAUCUCUUCUUUUAAAUUUGCUGUUUCAUCUUCGUCACUUAUUACGACUUCUGUGAUUGCUCUGCAUCCAAAUACACCCAAUGAUACGAGUCGGUCUAGACUUUUUGCUGUGGAGGAUGUUAGUAAGUUCAUCAAUUUCUUGCAAGCAAAAGCUUGCAGGCGUGUGAGAUUCCGAAAAGAUACCGAUGAUGAUGGCAAUGUUGGAACAUUUUCAAAAUAAAUGUGUCUUAUGGUAAAGACAUGUCCUAUUAAUUGUGCCUUAUAGAAAAUGUACCUUUCACUAAAGACAUGUCUAAUUAAAUGAUGUCUUGUUGUAAGGACAUGUCCAUUUAAUUGUGUCUUGUAGAAAAUGUAUCUUUUUACUAAAUGAUGUAACUUUUCAUGACAACAUUUCACUUAGAGAUGCAUCAUUUCAUGGUGACAUUUCAUUUGAAAUUGUGAUGAUUCAAUUUGGACCAUUGAUUAAAAUCAAAUCUAGAUCCAAUGGCCAUGAAUGAAGGGGUAUCAUGAAAGAUGACAACCCAAAUGAGGGGGCACAAGUAUAUCUAUAAAUAGGGAUCAUGUUUAAGCCAUUUAGACAUGAAAUAAAUGAUCCUACACCACUCUUUUCUUAGCAUUCUUUUCUAGUACGAAUUUCAACACAAAACACCCAUUUCUUUUGUGCAUUCACAUUCCAAUAUAUUGUUUUCUGCAGGAACAAUAUAUUGUUUCUUGGCAGGCUUGCAACAUUCAAGAGUAUUCUGGUUUGCUUUCGUCGAUGCACAGCGCAAGCAAACAAACAAGUGCUUCAUUGUAUCCUGGAGGCGUAUUUGCUUAACCUAUGUGCAUCACUCAAUUGGUGGGGGCAAAUAACGUCUUAAGGAAAGCGACAUUUGUAACGUGCCUUGAAGCACACAAAAUUUCUGCAGUUUCUUCCUAUAUACAGAGUUAGUUGUAAACACAUUACUUUACAUAAUAAAGUUCCACCAUUAUUGUUGUAUUUUUCUACAUUUGCCAUUCCCCAAAAAUUUUACCACCAACAAUCUUAAGACGUUAUUUCUACAACAAUGGCACCAAGUUCAUCUCUUCGACAAUUCACAGUAGAUUUUGUCAAAUUGGAGCGGUUCGAUGGUGGCAACUUUAUUCGUUGGCAGAAAAAGUUGCAUUUCUUGUUGACAAGCAUCAAUGUGGUCUAUGUUCUCACAACACCAAAGCCUCAAGAACGUGAGAAUGAGACAUUAGCGGAAACCAGAGUGCAACAUAAGUGGGAGCAAGAUGACUACGUGUGUAAGGGACACAUUUGCAAUGCCAUGUCUGAUACUUUGUUUGAUCAAUAUCACAACAAACCUACAGCAAAAGAGAUAUGGGACUCAUUAGAGGCUAAGUACAUGAUGGAAGAUGCCACAAGUAAGAAAUUAUUGGCUUCUAAAUUUUUUAAUUAUAGAAUGGUUGAUAAUAGAAUUGUGGUUGAACAACAUAAUGAGAUUUUGCAUAUUCUUGAUCAAUUCAACCAACAUAACAUGAAAAUGGAUGAGUCUAUUAUUGUCUCUUCAAUUAUUGAUAAACUUCCUCCCUCUUGGAAAGACUAUAAGAAAAGUCUUAAACAUAACAAAGAGGAAAUUAGUCUGGAUGGCUUAGGCCAAAGUCUUCGCAUUGAAGAGGAACUCAAGCUUAAUAGUUUUGAGGAUCAGACUACUACGUCCUCUAAAAUUAAUGUCGUAGAGGAAGGGAAGGAGUUUAAACAUUCUAAUCACCCUAAGAAUAAUCAAAAGAGAAAGUUUGAUUCCAAAGAGAAUCAAAACAAUAAGAAGAAAAAGAAGGGUACAUGCCACCACUGCGGAAAACCUGGCCACUUCAAAAGAGAUUGUCGACUUCUGAAGAAACAAAAGAAAGUUUCGAACACAAAUUUUGUGGCCAUGAUAUCUGAGAUUAAUGUUCUUGAAGAUGAUAAUGCAUGGUGGAUAGAUUCAGGUGCAACCAAGCAUGUAUGCAAGGAUCGUAGCCUUUUCAAAUCUUAUAAAGCAAUGGAUGAUGGAAGUGUUCUUUACAUGGGAAAUUCCUCCACUGCAAUAGUUAAAGGAAAAGGCAAUGUGCAACUAGAGUUUACUUCUGGAAAAACUUUAACUCUUAUUGAUGUUUAUCAUGUUCCUGAAGUUAGGAAAAACCUUGUAUCUGGUAGCCUUCUUAAUAAGUUUGGCUUCAAACUUGUUUUUGAGUCAAACCAAUUUAUAUUAUCUAAGGGUGGUACCUUUGUUGGGAAAGGAUACAUGUAUGAAGGAAUGUUUAAACUCAAUAUCAAUAAUAUGAAUGUUUCUUCUGCUUAUAUGGUUGAUUCAUUAUCUUUGUGGCAUAAUCGUUUAGGACAUGUGAAUAUUAGAAGAUUGCAUGAUAUGGCUAAUUUAGAGUUAAUUCCUAAGCAUGAAAAUGAUAUGCAUGAAAAAUGUAAAGUAUGUGCACAGACUAAAAUCACAAGAUCUCCUUUUCCAAAAAUUGAAAAAACAUCUUCUUUAUUGCAUUUAAUUCAUAGCGAUGUGUGUGAUAUGCAUAGUAAUCCUUCUAAAUGUGGUAAAAAAUAUUUUGUAACAUUUAUUGAUGAUUUUUCAAAAUAUUGCUAUGUGUAUUUAUUACAUUCUAAAGAUCAAGUGUUAGAAAAAUUUAAAACUUAUAAAAAUGAAGUUGAGAAUUUUUGUGACACUAAAAUUAAAUGCCUUAGAAGUGAUAAAGGAGGUGAAUAUGCUUUUUCUGAAUUUUGUGAAUCUGUUGGCAUUGUACAUGAAACUAGCACUGCAUGUACUCCACAACAAAAUGGCGUAGCUGAAAGGAAAAAUAGGACAUUAAUAGAAAUGGUUAAUGCUAUGCUUUUUAAUGCUGGGCUUGGUAAAGGUUUUUGGGGUGAAGCUAUUUUAACUGCAUGUCAUAUCUUAAAUAGAGUGCCUAAUAAGAAAACAAAGGUGACCCCAUAUGAAUUAUGGAAAAAGAGAAAGCCUAAUCUUUCUUAUCUAAGAGUUUGGGGUUGUCGAGCCAUUGUAAGACUACCAAAACCUAAGAUAAAGAAAUUAGGAGAAAGGGGCAUUGAAUGCAUAUUCUUGGGAUAUGCUGAGCAUAGUAAAGCUUAUAGGUUUCUUGUAACAGAACCUAAUAGCUUUGUUGAGAUCAAUACUAUAGUGGAAUCUAGAGAUGCAAUAUUAUAUGAAAAUAGAUUUUCCACUAUACCAAAAAGUAUUGAUUCUCAAGAGAAUGAUAAACAAAUAGAAAUUGGUCAAAAGCGUGAUGCUAAUAAUGAGCAAAAUCAUUUGAGAAGAAGUAAAAGAAUAAGGACUAUAAAAUCUUUUCCAGAUUUUAUAGUCUAUUUAGUUGAAGGGACAAGAGACUCACAAUCAAAACAGACCAUGAUCGUAUCUACUAUAGAGUCUGAUCCCCUCACCUAUGAAGAUGCAAUGAAGUCUCAAGAUGCUGCUUUUUGGAAAGAGGCCAUUAAUGAUGAAAUGGACUCUAUUGUGGGUAAUAAGACUUGGAAAUUAGUUGAUUUACCACCUGGCUCUAAUCCUAUAGGUUGUAAAUGGAUUUUCAAAAAGAAGAAGAAAGUUGAUGGAACAAUUGAAAGAUUUAAAGCAAGACUAGUAGCAAAAGGCUUUACACAAAAAGAAGGCCUUGAUUAUUUUGAUACUUAUGCACCUGUUGCAAGAAUUGCUACUAUUAGAGUCUUGAUUGCUUUGGCUUCAAUUUAUCAAUUUGAAAUCCAUCAAAUGGAUGUAAAAACAGCUUUCUUAAAUGGAGAAUUAGAUGAGGAAAUUUACAUGAAACAACCAGAAGGGUUUGUUAUGCCAGGACAAGAACAUAAAGUUUGUAAACUAGUCAAGUCUUUAUAUGGUCUUAAACAAGCUCCAAAGCAGUGGCACGAAAAGUUUGACAAAGUGAUUGUCUCAAAUGGAUUUAAUAUUCAUGAAUCUGAUAAAUGUGUCUAUAGCAGAUUCAAUGGAAAUAAAGGUGUGAUUAUUUGUUUAUAUGUAGAUGACAUGUUAAUUUUUGGUAUUGAUAGUGAGAGCAUUGAACUCACUAAAUUAUUAUUGUCAUCUAAUUUUGAUAUGAAAGACAUGAGACUUGCUGAUGUGAUUUUGGGGAUUAAAAUUAUAAAAAAUGAGAAUGGCCUAGUAUUGACCCAAUCACAUUAUAUUGAGAAAAUUUUAAAGAAAUUUAAUUAUUAUGAUUGUAAGUCUGUGUCAACACCUUUUGAUUCAAACAUAAGACUGUAUCCUAACACUGGCAUAUCAGUAUCUCAAUUAGAAUAUGCACGUAUUAUUGGGUGUUUUAUGUAUGCGAUGACUUGUACUAGGCCUGAUAUUGCUUUCGCUAUUGGAAAGCUCAGUAGAUAUACUAGUAAUCCAAGCCAAGCACACUGGCAAGCAGUGUACAAAAUUCUAAAAUAUUUAAAACAUACAAUGGAUUAUGGUAUAUACUACACUGGAUAUCCUUCAGUUUUGGAAGGAUUUUCAGAUGCUAGUUGGAUUACUGAUCGAGAUGAUCAUACAUCCACAAGUGGUUGGAUUUUUAAUCUUGGUGGAGGAGCUAUUUCAUGGGGUUCAAAGAAGUAAACUUGUAUAGCAGACUCCACCAUGGCUGCAGAAUUUGUAGCGUUGGCUUCAUGUUGCAAGGAAGCUGAAUGGUUAAGGAAUUUGCUUAUAGAAAUUCCUAUUUGGCCUAAACCAAUGCCUCCUGUAUCUAUUCACUGUGAUAGUGAGGCAACUUUAUCAAGAGCAUAUAGUCAAAUCUAUAAUGGAAAGUCUAGGCACAUUGGUCUGAGACAUAGUUAUGUAAGACAAUUACUUACAGAUGGAGUAAUCACAAUUGACUUUGUGAAAUCAUGCCAAAAUUUGGCAGACCCCUUAACUAAAGGUCUUGCAAGGGAUAUUGUAUUUAAAACUUCUAAGGGGAUGGGACUGAAGCCAACAUCAUCUUAUCACCAAUGAUGGAAACUCAACCCAACACUUGAAAUAUCAAGAUCUUGGGUUCAAUGAGCAAAAGUACAUCAUAUGUUGUGAUAGGAAGCACUAUAAUAUUUUUAGAUGCGUCCCAAAGGUUAGUGCUUGAUACUUGUAACAUAUGGGAAAGGUUAAGCUACUUAGCUUUUAAUGGACUUAUAAAUGUUUUAGUUACAGGGACAUUCUAGAUAAGUCUACCUAUGUGAGUGUAUGAGGUGGUGCCGCUUCCUAUGUAACUUGGCUGGUUACUAAAGCGCUAAUGAAAACAGGAUAUAGACACAGGGCCAAUCCACGUGUCGGCUAAGGAAUACUUGAGAAUUUGAAAACUUAUGUGUGAGGUAUAUCCGGUUAGUCGAUUAAGGUCGCUGGUUCAAAGCUUGCCUACCAUGCCACCUUGAUUAACUUUGAUGUAUUGUCACUAAGUGAAGGUUCAAGUCCACAAGACACCUUCAUCUAUGCAUAAGUUUUCCAAGCCUGUGUAAGAUAAUUUUUCAAAAUUCAUUUAUUUUGAAAAUGGUGGGGGAUUGUUGGAACAUUUUCAAAAUAAAUGUGUCUUAUGGUAAAGACAUGUCCUAUUAAUUGUGCCUUAUAGAAAAUGUACCUUUCACUAAAGACAUGUCUAAUUAAAUGAUGUUUUGUUGUAAGGACAUGUCCAUUUAAUUGUGUCUUGUAGAAAAGGUAUCUUUUUACUAAAUGAUGUAACUUUUCAUGACAACAUUUCACUUAGAGAUGCAUCAUUUCAUGGUGACAUUUCAUUUGAAAUGGUGAUGAUUCAAUUUGGACCAUUGAUUAAAAUCAAAUCUAGAUCCAAUGGCCAUGAAUGAAGGGGUAUCAUGAAAGAUGACAACCCAAAUGAGGGGGCACAAAUAUAUCUAUAAAUAGGGAUCAUGUUUAAGCCAUUUAGACAUGAAAUAAAUGAUCCUACACCACUCUUUUCUUAGCAUUCUUUUCUAGUACGAAUUUCAACACAAAACACCCAUUUCUUUUGUGCAUUCACAUUCCAAUAUAUUGUUUUCUGCAGGAACAAUAUAUUGUUUCUUGGCAGGCUUGCAACAUUCAAGAGUAUUCUGGUUUGCUUUCGUCGAUGCACAACGCAAGCAAACAAACAAGUGUUUCAUUGUAUCCUGGAGGCGUAUUUGCUUAACCUAUGUGCAUCACUCAAUUAGUGGGGGCAAAUAACGUCUUAAGGAAAUCGACAUUUGUAACGUGCCUUGAAGCACACAAAAUUUCUGCAGUUUCUUCCUAUAUACAGAGUUAGUUGUAAACACAUUACUUUACAUAAUAAAGUUCCACCAUUAUUGUUGUAUUUUUCUACAUUUGCCAUUCCCCACAAAUUUUACCACCAACAGGCAAUAGACUUAACAGAUUUUGACAGUGAUAUGCUCUUAGAAUUUCAAGAUGUUGAAAAAUGAAGUCCGGCUGUUUGGAAUCGUGUUUCCACAGUUGCUGUAGAUGAUUAAGUCUUGUCAGGUGUAACUCUUUUAUCAGUGCUAGCUUCCUCGCAUGUGUCUCCAAAUACCACUUCGUACGAACAAUCCGACAGGUGGAGAAAUUCCAGAUUGUGAAACCUCUCAAGUAAACCAAGUGGAAAGAAAGCUAAGUCAUCAUCCUCAACCUGUAGUCGUUUGAGACUGCCAAAGAUGUGUUGGGGGAAAUGGCCUUGCAAAAUCAUCGUGAUAUCUUUUCCACUUAAUGCCAGUUCCUCCAAGUUGGGUAAGAUCUGAUCAUCAUCGAGCUCAAAUUAUUAACUCAGCACAUUGAUCCAUAAUUCAAGACUGGCAAAAUUCAUUAUGUAAUCAAAGUUUUCAAUGAUUAUAUAUAUAUAUAUAUAGUGCUUUCGUUGGAAUUAAUUAUUAAAAGCUUUAAUCAAACAAUGUUUGGAUUGGGUCGGCCUAUCCAACUUUUAAAUAAGAUUACCAACUUUAAAUUAAAAUUGCUUUAGAUCGCGGUUGGUCAGGUUUUAGUGGAGGUACGUGGCGUUGUAUCUAGAUCGAUGCAGAGCCAAGUCUGUCCUUUGGAACCAGAUCUGACUUAGGACAGAUCAAUAUUCCGCACGCUCUAGUUUCCAGCCGAUAUACCAAUAUUAUUUACCAAAUAUUUAUUAAGUUCUUUAGUCAAGCCUAGCAACAACAUUCAUCUAAAGGCUUGGGUGCAUACACAGUACUAUUUCCUUCUGGUAUCAGAGCCAAGGGGAGGAUAGUGUAAUACAGUUUAGAGUUUUGUGUUUAAAGACUUGUGUUUUAUUUUGAAGUUUUGUUGUGUGGUGAAUUUUUACUGGUAGUAAGUCCCGUCCAAGGAUAAGUUUUUCGUUUAGGGCUGUAAAACCAUACCUGUAGCCAUUCUGACCAAACCAUAAAUAGACCAUAGGUUUGUAACCAUGGAUCCUCUACUCUGUAGAACAUCGUCCUUUUCUAGCUCUUCUUCCGGGAAGACUAGUGAUUCAAAGCAUGUUGUGAGUUCAGAAGAAUUCGUUAUUGAGAACUUUGAUAAAGCAAUUGAUUGUUGGGAACUUCCAAAAGUUUCUAAAGAAAAGAUUUACAAAACAAAAAAGCUUGAUUUUCUAAAAAAUGAUUAUGUAAUAAAGACUGAAGAAAGAGACAUAACUCUCUCAGAACCUUUUGAAACAAUUCAUUUGUUUUCAGAAAAAUCUUUAAAGAAAUUAAGAGAAAAGAAUUAUAAUUAUAUUCACAUUGGUUUAAUCCAAGUUGGAAUAAAACCUUUGACCAAAGAAGGCUUGGAUACUUCUAUCCUUACUGUCCUUAGAGAUGGGCGAUUCAUCUCUUUUGAUGAUUCUUUGCUAAGUAGCAUCGAAUCCAGUCUUUGUAAAUGUCCGAUCUCUUUUGAUUGUUAUCCAAACAUAACAAUUUCUCUUAAAGAUAAAAACAUUUUGAAAAACAUGAUCUUACAAAUCAAAACGCAUAAUUAUAAUAUGAUUAAGGGAUCUGUCCCAGUUGCCUUAAUUUUCAAAAUUUCUUAUAAAGCCAUGAUCUUUGCGUUCAGUACGCAACACAAAUUCCAGUCAGAAAGAGAUGAAACUCUUCUCUUGCAGACUGAUAUGUCUAAAGCCAAUACUGUCAUUCCAAAACCAAUCUAGUGGAAAGAUGUCAAUCUUCCAGAAGAAUGGAUUCUUGAAGGAGCUGCUCCACCAGCAAUUCCAAAACAACUUGAACCUAAUACGGAGUUGCAAAAAGUGACUCAGUAUUCUGAUGGUAGAGUUAAACUGUCUUUCAGGAGAUCUAACUCAACCAGAUUUUCUGAUAAAGAGUCGUGUUCAAGUAUUCCUUCAUUAGAAAGGAAAUUCACAAAAAUCCCUUCUGUCAUAAAUCUUCAUUUUCAAAGUCAACCUAGGUUUUCCACUUCGGCUAUACCUAGUUCUUCCAUUUGUUCUGUUGACUAUACUACAAACAUUCCUCAUCCUAUUUAUACUAGCAGUCAACAUGAACAAAGAUAGGAAGAGAAGUAACCUUCUCCUCCAACUUCCCCUACAUUCUCUGUUGUCACAGAAAAUGUAAUUAAUGUUAUUGAAAAAGAAUUUGAACUGGAUAAAACUCUCCUUCAUAAUGAUUUUUAUUCAGAUAAUAAUAAAGAAAAGAGACUUUGGUUUUUUAAACAUUUUUUAAAUCAAAGAAAAGAAAUCCAACAAUUUUAUUAUGAAUUUGUGAACCUUCACCAAGUUCAUAUAUUAUUUUUUGAUUGGUUCGAAAUACAUUCUUCUGAUAAUAACAUUUCUUACCCCUUCAAAGAGUCAAACCCUAUUACUAUUAGGAAGAAAACCACUGAAUGGAAACUUUCUGAUAGUGAUAAAACCAUAGAAUCUGAGCAUCCACCUCUUCGGAGCAUAACCGUUGAUCACGGCGAACCUCCUAUUCAAAUUAGAGCUUCACCUUAUAAAAUCCCUAAACCAAAUGAUUCUGAUGCAAAUUUAAGUAGUAUUAUUCAACAGAAUAAUUUCUGUAAUACUAACUUAAAUACAAUAGGAAAACAGUUGACUAGAAUAGAAAACCAAUUCCAACAGUCAACCAUAGCUAUUUCUCCUGUAGCAAAGCCAAUUCCUUCAAAAUCGGAUUCUGAUAAAAAGCUUAAGGAACCUAUUUUCAAACCUUUUCAGGUUUCGAAAACUAGCCAAAAGCUUGUCCAAGAAUCAAAAUCAGAUUUUGCUAAAGCCAUUAGGGAACAACUAGAUAGGAUAGAAGCUGUUUCUUCCUCAUCUAACAGAGUCCAAAUAGCCCCUGAUACUCCCUAAUCUAGCAAGAUUGGAGUAUUAGAACAAGACCAGGUUUUUAUUGCCUCUUCCAAUCUAGAAGCCUUUACAGAAGAACCUAUUCCUAAAGCCAAUAAAAUCCAUUGGGAUUUAGCUCUCCCAACUGUCAAGUCUCCACCUGAUUUGGCCAUAGACAAUAGGCCUAGUGCAUUAAACCAAUCACGUUUUAAUGCAUCCUCUGUCUAUGAGUGGAACAUUGAUGGUAUGUCAGAAUAUAACAUCUUAGGAUUGUUGCAACAGAUGACCAUGGCAGCCAAUGCCUAUAAAACCCAAUCGGGAACUUCUGACAAGGCCAUUGCAGAAAUUCUUAUUGCGGGUUUUACUGGUCAACUUAAAGGAUGGUGGGAUCAUCUUCUUACCAAACCGCAACAAUUAGAUAUCCUAAACUCCAUACAAAUAGAUGAGAAUGGUGCCCCCAUUCUUGAUGAGUUCAAUAGUCCUAUUCAGGAUGCUGUUGCUACCCUGAUUUUGACUAUAUCCCUCCAUUUCAUAGGUGACCCUGCUCACCUUAGAGACAAAAACGCCGAGUUACUAUACAAUUUGAGGUGUAGAAAACUUAGUGAAUUCCAAAGCUAUAAAACCUCUUUCUUCACUAGACUUUUCCUUAAGGAUGAUGCUAAUCAUACAACUUGGAAGGAGAAAUUCCUUGCAGGUUUACCAACCUUACUAGGAGAAAAGGUUAGAAAUUCCAUUAAAGCCCUUUAUGACAACCGUAUUCCUUAUGAUGAGCUCACCUAUGGUGAACUUGUCAGUUUCGUCAAUAAGGAAGGCUUAAAGAUCUGUCAAGAUUUGAAAUUACAGAAACGACUUAAAUGGGAGCUUAAAAAGUCUAAGCAAGAAUUGGGCAGUUUCUGUAAACAAUUCAAUUACGACCCCUUUAAGACUUCUACCUCCAAAGAUUGUAAUGGUAAGUGUUCUACAAAACCUUACAAGAAACAUUACAAGUCUAGAUUCCGUAAAAAACCCUUUCAAGACUUUAGAGAACUUCAUUAUAAGAAACCUUCGAGGCCUUAAAAGAAACCGAGUUCUUCUAAAAAGAAAGAGUUUAAAGCCAAACCAAAAACUCCGUACAAAACCCUAUUCAAUUACAGAGAAGCCAUAUGUCACAAAUGUGGUAUGAAAGGUCAUACUGCAAAAUAUUGCAGAAUGAGCAGAAAGCUCCAUGAGCUAGACCUAGAUGAGGAAACCCUCUCCAAAAUUACCUCUCUGCUCAUAGAGUCUUCUGACUCUGAGUCUUCCAUGUCGGGAGAUAGUGACCCUCUUCAAGUUGAUGAGAUAAUUGACUCAGAUGAUUCUGCAUCUAGCAGUAUUGAUUCUGAAUCAGAUCCUUAUUUAAAGAAAAUCAAUGUUUUAACUAAAGACCAAGAAAUUUUUCUUGAACUUGUAAAACAUAUUUCCGAUCCGAAUCUUCAAAAGGAAUACCUAGACAAACUUUUGAAAACUCUGGAUUCUAACAAAGCAGAAACUUCUAAAGUUCCAAUUGUUAAAAAGAAUUCUUACGAUCUCACUGAAAUUUUGGAUAAAAAGAAAACAAAAAAGUUAAUUCCUAAUAUCCAAGAUCUUCAUAAAGAAAUCAAAGAUAUCAAAAUUGAGAUUAAAGAAUUAAAAGAAAAACAAAAGAAAGAUUCUGAAACCAUCCAACUUCUUAUACAAAAACAAUUAGAAGAAAACUCAGAAAAAGAAGUUGAAUCUGAAAGCGAUAACAAUCAAAAUGUUGACAACAUUGAAUCUGUACCUAAUGAUUUUCUGUUUGUCCUAAAACAAAUCACCACUAGAAAAUACUUAAUUAAAAUAACUUUGAUUUUUUCCAAAGACUUUGCUAUUGACGCCAUUGCCCUUUUCGAUACUGGUGCCGAUUUAAAUUGUAUAAGAGAAGACAUUGUCCCCAAAAGAUUUCAUGAAAAAACAAGGGAAAGGCUUUCCACCGCCAACAAUUCAAAACUUAAAGUCAAUUCUAAAGUGGAAGCCUCAAUACAUAACAAUGGAUUCGAAUUUAAAACUUCAUUUCUUCUUACAAAUGACAUUCACCAUACUGUCAUUUUAGGAACCCCGUUCAUAAAUUUAAUUACCCCAUAUACUGUCAAUUAUGAUAGUAUAUCUUUCAAAGCAAAAUCUAAAAAACUUGUUUUCCCUUUUAUUGAGAAACCAAAAACAAGAAAUCUAAAUAUUGUUAAAGCCUGUUCUGUUUACCAAAAUCAAAUCAACGCCAUACUUAAAUCCAAACAAAAUGACUUGUUUUGUUUAAAAAAGAAUUUAAGUCUACAACGAAUUGAAAACCAAUUACAAAAUGAUUUUAUCCAAAGAAAAAUCAAUGAUUUUAGAGACCUCAUUGAAAAAGAAAUAUGUGCUGAUUUACCAUCUGCUUUUUGGAACAGAAAACAACAUUUGGUAGAUUUGCCCUAUGAAAAUUCUUUCGAUGAAAAAAAAAUACCCACUAAAGCCCGUCCAAUCCAAAUGAACAUGGAAUUGGAAAAACAUUGUAAAGAUGAGAUACAAGAUUUAGAAUCUAAAGGAUUAAUUACAAAAUCUAGAUCUCCAUGGUCUUGUGCCGCUUUUUAUGUAAACAAAAAUUCUGAGAUUGAAAGAGGAACACCGAGACUUGUAAUAAUUUACAAACCCUUAAAUAAAGCAUUAAAGUGGAUUAGGUAUCUCAUACCUAACAAAAAAGAUUUACUCCAAAAAUUGUGUUCCGCCUUUAUUUUUUCAAAAUUUGAUAUGAAAUCUGAAUUUUGGCAAAUUCAAAUCCAUCCUAAAGACCGUUACAAAACUGCUUUUACUGUUCCAUUCGGACAGUAUGAAUGGACUGUUAUGCCAUUCGGUUUGAAAAAUGCACCCUCAGAAUUUCAAAGAAUUAUGAAUGAUAUUUAUAAUCCUUAUUCUGAUUUUUGCAUUGUCUAUAUAGAUGAUGUUUUGAUUUUUUCUCAAACCAUCGACCAGCAUUUCAAACAUUUAAAGACUCUCUAUUUUGCCACUAGGAAGGCUGGCUUAGCCAUUUCUAGUUCAAAAAUUUCUCUAUUUCAAACUAAAGUCUGGUUCCUUGGUCAUUAUAUUUCUAGAGGAACUAUUACCCCAAUUGAAAGAUCUCUUGCAUUUGCUGAUAAAUUUCCUGAUAAAAUUCUUGAUAAAACUCAAUUGCAGAGAUUUCUUGGUAGUUUAAAUUAUGUUCUUGACUUCUGCCCUAAUAUCAAUAGGAUGUCUAAACCUCUGCAUGAUCGGUUAAAAAAGAAACCUGUUGCAUGGACAGAUGAACACACUAAAGCUAUUCGAUUAAUAAAAAAUUCUGUAAAGAAUAUUCCUUGUUUAUUUUUAGCCAAUCCUGCAUUACCUAAAAUAGUUGAAACUGAUGCAUCUGAUUUAGGUUUUGGAGGUAUUUUGAAACAAAAGGAAAAUGAUAAAGAACAGAUAGUACAAUAUGUUUCUGCACAUUAGAAUGAUUGCCAGAAAAACUAUUCUACUAUCAAAAAAGAAAUUCUUUCUAUUGUCUUAUGCAUAUCUAAAUUCCAAAGUGAUUUAUUAAAUCAAAAAUUUUUGCUUAGAAUUGAUUGCAAAGCUGCAAAACAUGUUUUAGAAAAAGAUGUUCAAAACAUUGCAUCAAAACAAAUUUUUGCACGAUGGCAAGCCAUUUUAAGUGUUUUUGAUUUCGAUAUUGAAUUUAUUAAAGGUGACACAAAUUCUGUUCCUGAUUUUCUAACCAGAGAAUUUUUACAAAACAGAUAAUGCCGCCAAGAAAGAAUAACAAAGGUAAAGUUGUUCUUAAAGAUACUGAGUCCCAAGCCACCUCUAAAGAACCUCAACCAACUCCCUCUAAAGAAAAACUACUUUCUUCUGCCAUGCCCAUCAAGUCCUGGAUUGAAAUGGUUGAAGAACAUGAAGCCCAAUACAAAACUAUUUCUUCUGAUGACCAAGUAAAGGAAUGGAUGAGUUCCAUUACAAAAUCGCCUGAGCUUAUGCUCGCCCUCCAAAGCUUUUCUCAAAGUCAAAUUUCUCCUAAAGAAGAAAUUGAAAAAGAAAAACCUAAGUCCAAAGAAAUGACAAAACCUUCUUCUCAAAACGUUGUUGUCUCCGGUGAAAGCUCAUCUUCUCAAAUUGUGCUUUCCCAACCAACACUUUCAAAGAAAUCAUCCGAUUGGUUUGAUAAAACCCAUUUUCAAAACAUUUUAUCUAUAGAAGAUGGAUUUUACCAUACUGAUCCUUUUCAAGCAAUUUCAAAGUUUUUCCCCAAAUGCUGGUUUUUUAAACCAUGUUAUUUAACAAAACCCCAGUCUUACUAUCAAAGCAUUUUAGAAAUUACUGAGUCAGUUAAAUUCAAACAUUUCUUUCUCAGUGAUACCCAUUCAGAGCCAGCCUAUUCCACGGCUACUAUUUUAAAAGUCCUGAGCCCAAACCAGUGGGGGGAUCUGCUCCACAAUUUUAAAACCUUCCCUUUAAACUUUCAAACACGUUUACCACAUUGUCGGACUUAUUCCUACUGGGAUUACCAAUAAGCCUGGUAUAACACAUUUUUUAUCCAAAACCCCAAAAAAUCCCACUCUUGGUUAUUUUUCUUCAAUUAAAAAAUAACCGUCCAAAGCCUCCCAAACUGGUUUCAUCAUUGGUGGAAUUCUUUUGGCCCAAUACCUCAAAUCCUAACUCCAAAUGCUACCCAAUGUUUAAACUUCUUUAAAGCCCACUACAUUCCUUCUGAAUCUGAGAAAAGGUUUCCACCCUUUCUCUGUUUCUGUACAAAUUUCUUCCUUCCAUGGGUAUGGAUGUGGAACCUCAGACUUCAUACCCAAGAUGCCCAGCUUAUCUUACAAAGAACAUUCAAAGUAAAAUGGUGGUCAAAAUUUGACGAACAAACCAAACUUACUGAUACCCUCAUCAGAAAUUGGCUUUGUUCCAAAGGCUUCCUCCAACCAACCAUUAAGGGAUCCAAAGCCCAACAAACCUUCCUUACUCAAAAGUCCAAAGCCCAAUCUCUUCUGGCAAGUGCCAAAACCGAAAAAGAAUACUUCAAAGCUAUGGAACAACUCCUCGCCUCCAGGUCAAAGUCAUCAGUGGCAGAUUCCUCUGAAGAUGAAGACAAUGAAGAAGAGGAAGAGCCGUUUAUCUCUCUUGGAGAUGAAAAUGAAGACGACUAUUUCAGAAUUUUCUCUCCUGUAAAGCAUUGUAAAUAAUUAUUGUUUAAUUAAUGUAAAAAAAAAGUAAAUACUCAUUUUUUUUAUUUAUAUCAUUCGGGUGGUCCCUUGGACACAAGUGAGAGCGCACAUGUCUCUUCACCCGUAUUGUAUGUCUACAAAGUCACUAUUUCAACAUACGCUCCAAAAGCUUAUUGUUACAUACGAUCCAAAGCUUACUGUUUGCUUCAACCCCGUUACAGUGAACAGUGCAGAGUUCCAAAGAUUACUGUAUGCUACAGCUCCGCUACAGUCUACAGUUUAAAAUUUCAUUUUGUAUAUAAUCUGAAGGAAGACUCAGACUCCUCAGAUUUUUUGAAUCUCCUCUCUCUCUAAUUUUCAUUUUCUCUCUCUCCUCCCUGGGAAUCAGGAAUCCGAAGGCACUAAGGAAAUUUUUCUGUUUACAGAAUAGUUCCUUACCUUCAGGAUUAAUUUCCCUUUUCUUUUCUACAAAGAAAAAGCAAUUGAUGUAAGCAUUUUAAUUUUCAGUAUUAUUUCAAAGCAUUUGUAAAUUUUAUUUAAGGCUUUCCAUGUAUGUUUAAAUUUCUGUACUUUAAUUUUCGCAAUUUACUUUAAAGCAUUUUUAAAUUUUUAUGCAGACUGAUCUCUAUCAGAUCUGCCAUAAAACUGCUACGUUCCUCUGAGGCAACGAGACCAGAUCUCAAUCCUCAGUUGUAUUCUUUCUCUUCUCCCUCCAUUCCUUUAGAGCACUAUUUCCGGGAACCGGAUCUAGUACUGUGUAUGCACCCAAGCCUUUAGACGAAUGUUGUUGCUAGGCUUGACAAAAGAACUUAAUAAAUAUUUGGUAAAUAAUAUUGGUAUAUCGGCUGGAAACUAGAGCGUGCAGAAUAUUGAUCUGUCCUAAGUCAGAUCUGGUUCCAAAGGCAGACUUGGCUCUGCAUCGAUCUAGAUACAACGCCACGUACCUCCACUAAAACCUGACCAACCGUGAUCUAAAGCAAUUUUAAUUUAAAGUUGGUAAUCUUAUUUAAAAGUUGGAUAGGCCGACCCAAUCCAAACAUUGUUUGAUUAAAGCUUUUAAUAAUUAAUUCCAACGAAAGCACAUCCAUCCUUCGAUCCUAUUUCCUUCUGGUAUCAGAGCCCAAUAAUUAAUUCCUUCAGAUUAAAUCAGAUGCAUCAGUUUCAACUAUUUUAGGUAAUGCGGGAUUGGCUAAAAUAAACAAGGAAUAUUCUUUACAGAAUUUUUUAUUAAUCGAAUAGCUUUAGUGUGUUCAUCUGUCCAUGCAACAGGUUUCUUUUUUAACCGAUCAUGCAGAGGUUUAGACAUCCUAUUGAUAUUAGGGCAGAAGUCAAGAACAUAAUUUAAACUACCAAGAAAUCUCUGCAAUUGAGUUUUAUCAAGAAUUUUAUCAGGAAAUUUAUCAGCAAAUGCAAGAGAUCUUUCAAUUGGGGUAAUAGUUCCUCUAGAAAUAUAAUGACCAAGGAACCGGACUUUAGUUUGAAAUAGAGAAAUUUUUGAACUAGAAAUGGCUAAGCCAGCCUUCCUAGUGGCAAAAUAGAAAGUCUUUAAAUGUUUGAAAUGCUGGUCGAUGGUUUGAGAAAAAAUCAAAACAUCAUCUAUAUAGACAAUGCAAAAAUCAGAAUAAGGAUUAUAAAUAUCAUUCAUAAUUCUUUGAAAUUCUGAGGGUGCAUUUUUCAAACCGAAUGGCAUAACAGUCCAUUCAUACUGUCCGAAUGGAACAGUAAAAGCAGUUUUGUAACGGUCUUUAUGAUGGAUUUGAAUUUGCCAAAAUCCAGAUUUCAUAUCAAAUUUUGAAAAAAUAAAGGCGGAACACAAUUUUUGGAGUAAAUCUUUUUUGUUAGGUAUGAGAUACCUAAUCCACUUUAAUGCUUUAUUUAAGGGUUUGUAAAUUAUUACAAGUCUCGGUGUUCCUCUUUCAAUCUCAGAAUUUUUGUUUACAUAAAAAGCGGCACAAGACUAUGGAGAUCUAGAUUUUGUAAUUAAUCCUUUAGAUUCCAAAUCUUGUAUCUCAUCUUUACAAUGUUUUUCCAAUUCCAUGUUCAUNNNNNNNNNNNNNNNNNNNNNNNNNNNNNNNNNNNNNNNNNNNNNNNNNNNNNNNNNNNNNNNNNNNNNNNNNNNNNNNNNNNNNNNNNNNNNNNNNNNNCGUUGGUCUCUAAUAGGAUGAGGAAUGUUUGUAGUAUAGUCAACAGAAUGAAUGGAAGAACUAGGUAGAGCCGAAGUGGAAAACCUAGGUUGACUUUGAAAAGAAAGAUUUAUGACAGAAGGGAUUUUUGUGAAUUUCCUUUCUAAUGAAGGAAUACUUGAACACGACUCUUUAUCAGAAAAUCUGGUUAAGUUAGAUCUCCUGAAAGACAGUUUAACUCUACCAUCAGAAUACUGAGUCACAUUUUGCAACUCCGUAUUAGGUUCAAGUUGUUUUGGAAUUGCUGGUGGAGCAGCUCCUUCAAGAAUCCAUUCUUCUGGAAGAUUGACAUCUUUCCACUGGAUUGGUUUUGGAAUGAAAGUAUUGGCUUUAGACAUAUCAGUCUGUAAGAGAAGAGUUUCAUCUCUUUUUGACUGGAAUUUGUGUUGCGUACUGAACGCAGAGAUCAUGGUUUUAUAAGAAAUUUUGAAAAUUAAGGCAACUGGGACAGAUCCCUUAAUCAUAUUAUAAUUAUGCGUUUUGAUUUGUAAGAUCAUGCUUUUCAAAAUGUUUUUAUCUUUAAGAGAAAUUGUUAUGUUUGAAUAACAAUCAAAAGAGAUCGGACCUUUACAAAGACUGGAUUCGAUGCUACUUAGCAAAGAAUCAUCAAAAGAGAUGAAUCGCCCAUCUCUAAGGACAGCAAGGAUAGAAGUAUCCAAGCCUUCUUUGGUCAAAGGUUUUAUUCCAACUUGGAUUAAACCAAUGUGAAUAUAAUUAUAAUUCUUUUCUCUUAAUUUCUUUAAAGAUUUUUCUGAAAACAAAUGAAUUGUUUCAAAAGGUUCUGAGAGAGUUAUGUCUCUUUCUUCAGUCUUUAUUACAUAAUCAUUUUUUAGAAAAUCAAGCUUUUUUGUUUUGUAAAUCUUUUCUUUAGAAACUUUUGGAAGUUCCCAACAAUCAAUUGCUUUAUCAAAGUUCUCAAUACCGAAUUCUUCUGAACUCACAACAUGUUUUGAAUCACUAGUCUUCCCGGAAGAAGAGCUAGAAAAGGACGAUGUUCUACAGAGUAGAGGAUCCAUGGUUAAAAACCUAUGGUCUAUUUAUGGUUUGGUCAGAAUGGCUACAGGUAUGGUUUUACAGCCCUAAACGGAAAACUUAUCCUUGGACGGGACUUACUACCAGUAAAAAUUCACCACACAACAAAACUUCAAAAUAAAACACAAGUCUUUAAACACAAAACUCUAAACUGUAUUACAGUAGUUUUCUGGUCAGGGAAUUUAAAGUGCGGGAAAGUCCGGGAAAGCUUUAAAACCACACGGCUUUAAAGGCUUACAAUUUUAAGCCUUUAAAACCAUGCGGUUUUAAAGGUUUCCCGUACUUUCCUGCACUUUAAAAUUCCUGACUGGAACAUUUCUAUAUAUAUAUAUAUAUAUAUAUAUAUAUAUAUAUAUAUAUAUAUGUAUGUAUAUUUCUUCUCUAGUGCGGACGCCCUCAUUUUCUUUUUCAUGCGGACCAGUUUUUAGACCCCAUGGUUUAAAAGACUUAGUUUUUAACUCUCUAAAACCGCAUGACUUUAUAAUUCAUUUAAAAACUAACUAUCUUAAACCGCACGGUUUAAAAGUGUGUCCCCAUUAAAAAAAAUGCGGACCCCCACACCUAAGAAUGAUUAUAUAUACAUACACGCUCUUAAACCGUGGGACUUGAAAGCUUCUCCGCAUGAAAAAAGUAAAAAAUGAGAGCAUUCCCACUAGAAAAAAACUCCAUAUAGGUAUUUAUUAAACCUCCUAAUCUGUGAGUGAGGAACAACAAAGAUAAUUGAUAAAAAAAAUCUAAAAUUUGGUUUCAUACCUUCUUGAACGAGAGCAGGGGCUGUUGUACCGGAAUACCAAAUUGAUCAUUCUCGUUAUUCUGGGACAACGUUAUUUUAUCACAAUUACAGGCUUCCAAUUUUUUUAGUGCUGGCCAUUCUGAAGUAUGCAUUCCAGGGUAUAAACAUCUGAGUUCUGGCUUUUGGAAAGACAAAAUAUGGGGUCACUUGAUCUGCUGUGUCUUUGGAGAUGAUCUCUUGUAAACCCAUACAUAUCCGUAUCUCCAGGUGUUGGAGGUGCUUAAGGCUUUGGAUCAUAGAAGCUGAAAAUAUGUAUUUUAAUUUGUCACAGCCCCACACUAUCAAUCUUGUCAAGCUUUGAAAGCAAGUAAUCAUGGCCGUAAGUUGAUUGUCAUGCCAAAUCUCGUCGACAUUAAUAGCAUUCAGCUCCAAAGCCUCCAAAUUUGGCAACACUACCUAAAGAUAAUUUUCUCUUUAGAUCCAAUAUCAGUAUGAAAAGCACUUGUUUUGACACAAUAUCCAUAUGAGAAGCACUUAAUUAAGAGCUUAAUUAGCGAGUGUAUCAGACUUUUUUUUUUCAAAUGCGAGUGCAUGAUAGAACUAAAAAAAAAAGAAGAAGCAUUGGCCUACGUACCUUCUUGUUGAAAAGCAGAGUUGACGUUUCGGAACUGAUCUCGUUGGAACUGGCUGUCAAUUCCUCUUGCGACUCUUGUCUGUUUGGUGAUGUGGAAGGAGUCUUCACUUCACCGCAAAACCUUGUAACCUUUGGAAGCUUUCCCAGACUCAAAGAUCUUAAUUGACCAAACUCUAUCUUCUCAUCAACAUCAACAUCAGCUUCUCCUCCAGUUGCAAAAAUCUCUUCCAUGCUGCUGCAAUUGAUAACUGCAAUCCUCUCCAGUCUUGGAAGGCAUUUUGUACUACUAGAGAGCCAGAAGAUAUUACUCAACUCAUCACAAUUUUCUACUUUUAUGGUUUUGAGUUCAUUGAAGGACUCUAUUUUGAGUCGAUCAAUACAUAUCCUCUCCGUAUUGAUCAAAUUGUGAAGAGUAAGGGACUCCAAAAGAGGAAAGGCGACACAAGGUUCUCUCUUCAUUGAAUCGACGAUACACAGGAUGUCUGGAUUAUUUUGAACAUGGAGAUGCUUCAAUUGUGAAAAUCCCUCGGUGUCCAAUUCUAAAACAACAUUCUUGAUUCCUUGCAACUUAUCCAAACAUAAGUAUUCAACGUUAUUGAUGCCCUGCAACUUCUUGGAGGAAAUGGCCAUAGAAUCAAGCUUGAGCUUCAAUGUUCUUAAACUCUCAAGAUUACUGAUCAUAAAGUGCGGCCGACUUUGAAACCAGUCUUUUCCAAAUAACCAUGGUAGAGUCGAAAGAUCCAUCUCCUAUUGAUAUAUCAAACCUUUCCAGCUUUUUGGUAAAAAAGCCAUCUGGUAAAAUGCUAUCAUCUUUAACAUCUAUUUUUAAGGCGGUCAGUCGCUGCAAAUGCAUCAAUUCAUCGAGGCUGGCAUUACUUCUUUCACUAUUGGCUUUUCUCACUUCCCAUUCAAUAGAGCAGUUACUCAUAUACAGUUCUUCCAAUCGAGUGAAGCUUGAUAAGAUAUUGGGCACAAUAAAUUUUAGUUGCAAGCAAUCUGUUAAAUCUAGCAUCCUUAACUUAGUCAGUUGACCUAGUUCGUCAGGCAACCGUACAAUAUCAGACUUUAAAAAGCUAAGGAUUUCUAGAUUCUUCAACUUUCCAACUAUGGCUAUGUCUCCCAACAUGCUUUGAUCAAGACACAGUGUUUGAAGAUUUGCUAGAAGACCGAUUGAAGAUGGCAAUGAAAAUAAUCGUACCCUUGUCAAAUCUACGACUCGAAGCUUUUUCAUCCCUUUGAAAAAGUUGUUAGGAAUAUUGACCUCGACAAAAGAGUCUUCGGGAUCAAUAUGUAAAAAUUCAAGUUGCGGACAUUCGAAUUCCUCGGAAACUUCAUGAAUGCUACUAUUUAGUAAAGGGAUUGCAUAGCAUUUUUUAAGUGCAUCCUCAUCUGGCCACUCCCACACAGCGUCAUUUCUCACCAAUGAAGCAUGUUGGUCUCGACAUGCAAUUGAUAUGGCAACAUCGCAGACAACAUCAUGCAUAGAGAAUUGUUCAGUACUAUCACCCUCAAGCAACAAACAACAGUCUCUAAGUUCAUGGACCAGUGCAUAUAAUUUGUUUCGUGCAUCUUCCAUCUUAUUGACUCCAUGAAAUAUUCCUAAACCCAUAGAGUAUUUAAGCAAGUCUAAAAGACAAAAACUGUUGCCUAUUAGACUGCAGAGCAGAAAAAUUUUCUUGAGUUGCUCACCUUUUAAAUACUUGAAACUCAGUUCAAUACUUGAAUAAGUCUCUGCAGGCACACCUUCGAAGUUUACCACUGAAGGCGUUUGGAGUUCUCGCAAGGCAUUCUUCCACUCAUGCAGACUCUUGUUUCUCAGUGCCCUCGCUACUGUAGUCAGGGCAAUGGGCAAACCUCCACAUGCCUGGGCUACAUUAAUUGCUGUAGACUUGAACUUACAAUUUUCAACAUCAUCACCAUUCAUUAUCUUAAACAAUCUCCAAGCUUCUUCUUCAUUUAGAUUGCCAAUCAAGAAGUUAUCUUUGGAGCCCAUACUUAAUAGCACAUUAUUGUCUCUUGCUGUCAGCAGUAGUCUACAUCCUUUAUGAUCAUUUCCGAUGGGAAUUCCAACCGUCUCCAAAUCAACAUGUUUCCAGAUAUUAUCUAGAAUCACAAGAAUCUUAUUCUCAUUCUUCAGUCGUUCAUACAGCCUGCUAGCUCUUCUAUAUUCAGCUUCAUCGGACAACUCCAGACCUAACUUCUCUGCAAUUUCCCCUUGAAUCUUUUUUAUGUCUGGAGUUUGUGAAACCUCUGAAAAAACCACCCGAUCAAACAACUUGUCUUCCCUGGCUUGCGUAGCAAACUCCUUCACCAGUGUCGUCUUUCCAAUGCCGCCCAUGCCGUACACCCCAAUAAUGCUGACAUUCACAUCAGUCAACGCAUUUUGUAUAGACUUCAAAGUAGAAACUCUUGAUUCGAAGGCCUUGUAACCUUUGUUAGACUUAAGCCAUAUCUCCUCCGGAAUGGUACGAUGGGAAACGAUAUCAAACUUCUUAACUCCUUCUCCAAGUUCAACAAGGGCCUUCACCUCUGUCUCUGCUUUCUUGCUAAGCUGAUAGCGGGUCUUCAAAUUAGGACACAAGCCCUUGAGACAGCGCUUGUUUGUUGACUCCUCAUCUUCAAUGAAUUUGGCUGCCUGGUCAAUGAUGCCGUUUGCACUGACCAGCCACUUCUCAACCUUCUCUUCAAUCUCUUCCCCUUUUUCUUUCGCCUUUGAAACUCUGCGCUGAAUGCUCGUACGUUCAACCUCAACUUCUCCAUUUCCGCCUUGAGAUUCUCAAGGUUGGCAUUGUAGUUCCGCUUGCGCAAAUAAACAAGUUGGCGUUCUGUCGGAGGAGCCAGGCAUUUUACAAGUUCCAAAACGAGAGUAACAAUGAUUUCCAGCAUCUUGAAUCCUGACAGCAAUGUAGAAGUGAAGAAGGCCAAAGGACAGUAAAAACAGAGAGACAACGAUACGACAAGCAGUUAUAGAGCUACAAAUAAAUAACAAACAAACAGAAGCAAAGUGUUCUUCGAAUGAGAAGAAGGAAGCAAGAAAAGGGUUUCUAUUUAGAUUAAGAAUAAAUGUAAAGAGCUAAAAAAGCUGAUGGGUACAGAAUAAGAAAUGAUUAAGAGAAUGGGGGAGCUAACAAGACUGUGGAGUGAGCAGGCGUAAAUAAACUUUUCUUAACCUUUUGUCAUACGUGUAUAUAAAAUAAUAUAAUUAAUUUUAUAUUUUUAUUCAAUAACUAUUAAUUAUAUUUUUUUCAAAAUUAAUAAAAAGAAUAAUUAAGUACUGAAUCCAAAUCCUAUCCUAAAUGGUUAGAUAAAAAUAAGGGAAUGAAAAGAGUAAUGGUAGAUUAAUGAGAAGGUGAUUGAUUAAUUUAUGAGGCCAAUUAACGAAACGACAGAUCUGGUUUCCAUGUUUGUAGUUUAAGUGUAUGAGUACGAGGUGAACCGAAGCUUUGUCGAGUCAGGCAAAUAGAAAGAGAAAUUACUAAAACAAGAACCAGCAACUUUUACUCACACAUGAGCUAAUAAUGUAUUGAGAUUGUGCAGAGUAAUAUAAAAGAUUAAAACUAGUAUAAUCAAUUUGUCAUCAAGUUUUAGCCUUCUUCUUCAACCAAUUACAGCACGAUCUUGAGCUCUGUGUUUCUUUUUUUAAAUCAUUCAAAAGAUCUCUGUCAUUAAUUUUUCAAUGAUAAAAAUUAUAUUUUUGUCUCAUAAAAUAUAAAAUAUAAAAAAAUCAAACAUAUAUUAUAAGUCCGUUUGAGAUUAUUUUUAAAUAAAGUAUACAAAUCUCUAAAUUAACUUCGUCCCCUUGAAAUUCAGCAUAAAUAUAAAUAGAAUUAUAGAAAUCUUACUACCUUUUAUGAGAAAUCCAACUUAUAUAUUUGAGACUUCUCUCUCUAAACACACGCUUCCUCUCUCUGUACACUUUCCACCUUUAAAUUCUCCUUCAUUAAGUCUACCUAAAUGAAUUUAGCAUUCUCUCAGUUUCUUCAGCAUUUUUCUCCGUGAAAAUAGGUGAAAAAGAGAAAGUGAUUUGAUUAUUUUAAUGUACGACAGAUCUGAUUUCCAUCUCUGUAAUUUAAGUGUAUCAAAACGAGGUCAACAACUCUUGGUCGAGUCAGUCAAAUAUAAAAGACAAAUUACUAAACCAAGCAGAGCCACAAAAAAAAAAAAAAAUCCAAUUAAAUAAUCAUCAAGUCUUUUUCAAUUAAAAUAGGGGGUGCAGAACAACUGUCAAGAGAUAAUCAUUGUUUAUUAUAUUUUCGAUUAAAAUAGUUGCGCGUGAACGAUUGUCCGAAUUCGUAUAAAUUGUUGUAAGGUCUAUUAUAAUUAACAAGUGGAAUGGCCAAUGGAUGAAGAACCACUGUAAUUUCGUUUAUGAAUUUAAAAUGCUAAAGAAACUGGACACCAACGCUAAACGUGAGUCUGCCCAAUCUAGAUAAAUAGGAUAAAAAAUUAUCCGUCGGCUAUCUGAUCUUUUAGCCAUUAUAAAAAAUAUUAAAAAAAUAUACAAACAAUUUUUUUUUUUUUUCAACAAUCCAUCUGAUAUUUAUGAAGUGCAUUAGUGCUCCACUACUAUCAUAACCCUUUAAAAAUAUCGCUUAAACACAAGAACGUAUUGCCUAAAAUUAUUUUUCAAGCAAAUGUAACGACAUAUUUGGUUUUGAUCUUCGUGACUUUUUAAGUGUACAAGAACAAGAUGUAUGACCCUUUGUCGAGUUGAAGAAUUAAAAUAAAUCAGUUACAAAUCCAGAACAAACUUACGGGUGACAUUUUAGUAUUAAGCAAACUAUAAUUGAUCAUCCAAUGAUAGGCUUAUUUUCAAUUAAAUUAGAGUAAAUAUAGACAUUCCAAAUUUUUUCUCUCAAAUUUAAUCCUAGAUAAUGUGUUAUUAAUUGAGUGCUUGGUAAUUCUUUCAAGAUCUAAGUGAAUUAAUUAUAUUAUCUCUCCAACCAAUUGAUGAAUAUUAUAUUAUUAAAUAAUCAUCAAGUAAUACGACACUUCUCAUGUUCCGUUAACAUUUCAGUUAUAUUAUUAAUUAUCAUUUUAAUUUGGAUAGUAUUUUUGUUUAGGAGAAUAUAUCAAUUAUGAAAUUUUUAAUUUUGAAAAUUAAAGAAAUAAUUGAACUGAUUUUUUCUUAUUAAUUGAUAGCUUAGAUGCAUUUUGUUACAUGUUAAAAAAUUAUGAAUACAUAUCCUUUUUGGUAAUUUAAUUACACAAAAGCACUUUUAGUUUUGCACAACCAAACCGUUUAAUGGUUCAAAAGUACUUUUUUAAUUGACAACCAAACACCCAAUGACUUUUUUGUCCAAAAACUCUAUUGGUAUAAGCUCUACUUCUAUAAGCUCUACUGCUAUAAGCUCUAUUUAAUAAGUUGUACCAAACGGAGCCUUAAAAUCUAAGUGAAUUAAUUAUAUUAUCUCUCCAACCAAUUGAUGAAUAUUAUAUUAUUUGAGUUUUUUUUUUGUCUCAAAUCCCAGCAAAGAAAACAGAACAAACGGAGCAAAAAUAUUUUUACAAACCUAAAAUAACAAAAAAAGAACUUUUUCUUGUUUUUCUUAUUUUCCACUGUUAAACUUCAAAAUGAACAACUUUAUUCUACCAUCUCUCAAAUAAUAAUAAUAAUAACAACAAUGUCAUCAUCAUCAAUAAUAAUAAUAAUAAUAUAUUAACUUUGUAGGAUGGAGCUCUCGCAAAUCUUCAAGACACAAAAUGUGCUUGACCCCAUUGUUGUUAAUAUAAUUUCAAAAUCAUAUGUAUUAUAUAAUAUUAGAGAAUAUGACAUAGCAAAAUUGAUGGUACAUAUGCUGCAAUAUACUUGUUCAUGUGGCGACACAUUGAAGUAAAGCACAAGCAGAACAACGAAAAAUGUAACGGGAGAGCUCUCAUUAUGUAGAUUUUCAAUAGAAGUAAUGCAAAUUUCACAAGGGCAAUGGCCUUAUUUCGAAUGCUGCACCUGAGGAAUGACUUGAAUCUUCUUUAGAACUCAGGCAUUCUAUAAUCAUAGAGUAUAGCAUUUCAACAAAAAUAUUAUAUAAACAAAAAUAUUAUAUAGGUGGUUCCUUUAUAUAUUUUCUGGGUACACCUACAAAAAUAUUAUUUUAGGUACAUUUCUUGCAAUAAAACCUGCCCAAUCUAGCGUUUUCGUAAGUUGGGUUUCUCAUUUACAUUUUUUUCCAUUGGUUAAUUAUCACAAACCUCCACUGAGAUUUAGCAUGUUUUUAGUUUGAUAGAUUGUAUUCGCAUAUUCUCAAAUACCUUUUAGUUUACCACUUCGUAUAAAUUAAGUUGGUGAGGAUAAAAUCGUAAAAGUACACAUUAAUGAUAAAAAAAUUCAAGUAAACUUGAAAUUUUCAAGGAUUAAUUUUUCGGGACCUCCCUUGAGGUUCGGUGUAUUAAAAGUCUCAUAGAAUGUAUUCAUGUAAUUAUAAGAACCUCCCCUGGCGUUAGUACACAGUUAACUUGACUGUUAGUGGACUGAUAAAAAGUCAAAAAUGCCCUUGGCUACAAAAAUGAGUGCAACAAUUUGGAGCUAAAUAGUAAACACCACACUGGAGCACUAAAAAGUCUACAAUAAUCAUGGAAAACAAAUCAUUGACAUUUACAUAAUAUAAAAAAAAAAAGUAAAAUAUAAAUUAAGAAAAUCAACAAAAUUGUCAACGUAUUGAAUAUUUACAGCAGCAGUGGCUAUAAAUACAACCAUCGUCAAAUUAAAAUAUCACCAUUAGUAAACUACUUCAAUAAGACAAUAAACCAUGAUUCAAUCUUCAAUGCAUUCAAAAUACACAACCCGCACAAUAGAAUCACAUACGCACACCUGCUAAUGAAAUAUAAGAACAAACGGGAAAUUGAACUGACAUGGCUAAGAUACUCCUUCCCGAUAUCUAUUAGAAAGAUAAUGAGCGAUUUAUGAAUCAUGAUGCUUGCUUUACUUUCUGGCAGUGUUAACUUCAAAUUCAAUGAUAGUAAAUGAACAAUGGUUCAUUCAUUAUGAAAGUAAUUGUAAAGCUAGGAAUUUAUAAUAUUCAGAUGUUGGAAUUAGAAAAAUAUUUCUUAAUCGUUUCAAUUGAAGCCAAGGAAGAAAAAGAAAUGAGUCUUCUUUUUUCAGGCCACAAGCCAUAUGAAGAAGGCAGACCAGAGCAUAAGAACGAAUGCUAUUGCCACAGUAAAAGCCUGGAUCAAUGGGUAAUGGCACCUGCCAUGUCAAUUUCAUGACAAACAAAAAUCAAUUAUCAUCCCCAGACCACAACACCACCAAACCAACCUUUUGCAUCUAAAAUAACAAGUUAAUAAAUCAAAGAUUUCAAUUCAUUUAAGUUUGAAAUCAACUAAAAUAGAAAAAAAAAAACCCAAUUUCUUUUUUGUUCAAUAUAACUCAUUCAGCAUCUUCUUCAACACAUUUUUAUCAUUCUUCAUCAUCACAACAAUAAAAAGAACAAAAAACUUUGAGUUCAACAUGCAAUUCUUUUUUUUUGGGAAACUAACCUUUUUUAGGUUCCAAUUCUAGUAGUCUUAAACAGUAGCCGCCGAUGAAAUUCGCUUGGCAACACCCUUUUGCCACCAUUGCAGCUUGUCAUGUUCAUACUCAACUUAAAAUUACUUGAAGGCAGCAGGGAUUUUAUAGUUACAAAAGUUUCUUCAGAGCUUUUCAAGCUUGAAAAUGGAGUUUUCAUUCAUCUUAGAUAAAUUGAAGAUAAUUUGCAUUGUGGGUAAUAAAUUGAUUAUCAGUGUCUAAAUCUGGGUCAUCGACGCAACAUUGGAUUUUGUUUUGAUUUUCUUUGAUUUUUUUUAUGAAACCACUAAUUUACCCUCAUAUACUAACAAUAUACGAAAUGGUAUACUAACGUCAGUUACGUCAGGGAGCUCCCUAUAAUUACAUGAAUACUUUUCAUGAGACUGUCAAUACACAAAACCUCAGGGGAGGUACCUAAACAUUACCCAAUGGUAUCAUUUCUUGUAUGGAUAAUGGAUGAUUAGAUUUUGUUUUUUUGUUAUCCGACGAAGGAUAUUCAGUUGUUCUUUAUGUGUUCAUAGGCAAGAGCAUGAGCAUAUGCAUGAUUUGAUAUAUGCUUCUUGCAUUUUCUAAUUAAGUGUUCUCUUUCCUUGCCUUCUUAGUUUUGAAAGAAAGAUGUGAAGCAAGACAAACCCAGUGAAAUACACAGAGCAACAGAACCAUCAGAGGAAAAACUAAAUAACAGAACUACAAUUAAACCAAACAAAAUCAAAUAAACCGACGCAACAGAUGCCCUGAAUCAGGCAUUCCUUUUUCUCGAAAGAAAAUAUGUUUGCAUGGGUGGGAACCCAGUAUUUACUCAAGAGUUGAGGAGUUGGAAAGAUUUGGUAUUCAUAUCUUCUCAAUUCAUAUGCUUUAAUGCAGAAUCGACAGCUUUAUAUUAUUUUAUACACUUGCACUUGCUUGAGUAUUUGUGCCGACAUUUUCAUAUGUGAUGCUACUUCUUAGCCAGUAGAUAUGUUGAAGUACUACAAAACAGAGUAUUUGAUGAAGUUUUGCUACUUUCGUAUCCCCUUUUUUGUUGAAUUCUUUAUAAACAAAAAUUAGAAAGCUACAAAUAAUACAGUAGCUUGAAUUUAUAUGCUUUUAUGAUUAUUUGAUAGUUUAGUGCUGAUCAUAUGUGAUGAUAAACUUAGCUAGUAGUUUUAUAUUUAUUUUCAUAGUUUCCUUAGCGUUCACAUUUUGAUGAGUAAAUUAAGGAUUUCCAGAUGAAGUACAUAAUUAGAUGAAUGCUAAGGAACUGAAGUUUGAUUAAUUGAAAACAAAAAUAAUAAUGAACGUAAUUACGAAAAUGAACAAUGCAGAAGUAGUCCCUAUAGUAUUUCUAUAUUUUCUCUUGGUGUUUCUUAGUAUUCCUCAAUAUUUUUAAAAAAUGACAUGACGAUCUUUGAGUUGACAAAUCUUGGCCUGCUGCUUAGUACCCUUCCAACAUAUAAAGUACUAGAUGUUUUACUGAGAAAAUGACAAGAUCAUUUUUCAAAUUUCUUGCGCAUAUAUACGUAUGUACACGAGAAAUGAGAAUCAGUGAUUAUAAGACCUUGCAAUGAGACAAUAAUACAUCAUCAAAUCUAAAAAUACACAAGAAAUUCGGGACAUAUAAAUAACAAAAGACCUCUCAUUGAGUCAUCCAUAUUGAGAAUAAAAUGUCAAAAUGCAUACAAAGAGCUUAUACAGAAAAUGAAUGUACACAUAUUUAGAAUAAACUGUCUUUGAACUUUCGAUGGUCAAACAAAAGAAACAGACAGGAUAUAACACACACUAUCAUAGAUGUAGCGACACGGUGAAGUAAAUCACAUGAAGAUGGAAACGGAAACCCUUCACAACAUAAAAUUUGAAUAGAGGGGGAAAAAAAGGCUUCAUUUCGAAUGUUGCACGAAAGAAGAGUGACUUGAAUCUCCAUCAGUAUCCAAACAUUCUGCAAACAUAGUGCUGAGAAUUUUAACAAGAAUAACAGACAAAAUAUUGUGCUUCUAUACUUGUCAAAAAACUAGACAAAAAUAGUUCCCUUUUUGGUUUGUGAAAACUUGAUAUUUUUGAAAAUUCUAUCCAAUGCUUUCAAACAAUAUUUCCAUAAUAUAGUUGUUCAUAGCUAACCUUUGAUGGUGUAAGGAUUUGUUGUAGGCAUAAUGGGCUAAUUAUAUAUAUAUAUAUAUAUUUUUUUUUUUUUUUUUUUUACCCGCUGAAUGAUAUUCAGCUUCUUAAUUAUGUGUUCAUAGGCAGGAGCAUUUUCUUAAGUACUUUCGUUGCCUUCCAAGUUUCCAAUGAACAAACAGAGCACAAACAAAUUUAACGGAACAGUAACGAUGACAAUAAAUAAUUGGCAAGGAAAGAAAGAAAAAAGUUUGCAUGAUUUCAGGGAAUUAUAAAAUCUGAACACUUUCAACAUGCAAGUGUUGCCCCUCUUAAUGAAAUUUCAUCAUAAAAUGCUUGCAAGGAAUUAUAAAAUUUUAGAGAACAAGGGAACUCUCAAAACAAAAUACUCAAAUUAAAUUACAAUAGGCCAAAAGACGCUCAAUGACGCAAAUCUGCCCAUAAAAGCUUGAACGAAUCAUGAAAAGUGCAUUCCAUAUUGAUAGUAAACCAAGUGACCCAUUCUAAACAAUUGAGAUGAAAUUGUGAAACAACCCACGAGAUCAAAUAAAUAAAAUAAGAAUUAAUUACCAGCUGGGACUUUCUUCUUCAAAUUCGUAACUCCAAGUCAUAAGAAGCCUAUGAAAUUAGUCGUAAUCCACAGAGUAUGACGACGACCCCGCCAACAGCUGAAAAUAAAAUUCUUAUUCAUCAAUUUAAACUAACUUUAUAACAAAUAUCUUAUCGAUAUUUUAUUUAAAAAGAAAAAGCAAAUUUUGUAAAAUUUUUCCAUGGGAGAUAGAGAAUAACAUGUAUAUCCGUACCUUCUCAGCAUGUAAUUGUUGUAUGGUCGUCUUAAGAUCAUUACUAGCCCAACGCCGUUGAUUCGAUGUCUCUCCAUACCAAACGUUUACUCUUGGAGGCGUGCUUGAUUCUCCUGUAGUGAAAAUCUUCAAUUUGGGACAACCAAUCACAGAUAGAUCUUGCAAAGAUGGGAAUUUGAAGGUGUAAUUGGCAGAGCAAAAACUUGUGAGGCUAUCUAAAUCAAACAGUUCCAACCUCUUCAAUUUGCGGAAAACAAUCUCUUCUUUUUCAACCCCGUCUUUGUCAUUUAUUACCACCUCUGUCAUUGCUCUGCAUCCGUAUACACAAAGUGAUACGAGUUGCACUAGAGUUUUUGCUGUGGAGGAUGUUACCAAGUGUAUCAAUUCCUUGCAACCGAUAGCUACAAGUUUUGUUAGGUUCCGAAAAGAUACCGAUGAUGAUGGCAAUAGAAUUAACAGACUUUGACAAUGAUGUACUUUUAGAAUUUCAAGAUACUGAAAAAUGGGGCCAAGUUUGGAAUCUUGUUUGCACACCUGCUUCAGAUGAUAGUGCCGGUACAGCUUUAAUUCUUUUAUCAUUGCCAACUUCCCCACAUGUUUCUCUAAGCAUCCUUCCUUCGAAAAUACCUCUUCGUCGAAUGAAAAAAAAAACAGUGAGAGUAUUUCGAGAUUGUGAAAUCUCUCAAGUACGUUCCAGAUUGGAAAACCAGCUGAGUCAUCUUCAGCAAUCACUAGUCGUUUAAGACUGCCAAAAACGUGUUGUGGGAAAUCGGCCUGCAAAAUCAUCUUCGCGUCUUUUCCGCUUAGUGAUAGUUCCGUCAAGUUGGGUAGGAUCUGAUCAUCAUCAAUCAUAAUAACUGAUAAGGUCAAUUGGUGUUUUCUCAAAUGAUUUUAAGUAAUCCAAUCACAUGCAGUGACUUUAUAGUAUUUGUUUUAUAUUAUAUUUUACAAAAAAAAAAUUGAAUUAUUGAUAAAAUUUAUUAAAUGAUUUUUUAUAUAUUAAUUUUAGAGGUAAAAAAGAAAUUAGGGAAAAAAAGAAAUUAUUUUAUUGGUAAUUAAGUGUUUGGUAAAUUUUGUUUCAAGAAGUACUGUAAAUUUUGAAAACAAUUAUGGUCGUUUGGUAAAUUUUACUGUUAAACUGCUGAGAGAAAAUAAAUGACUAAAAUAUCCAUAAUAUAAGAUAAAAUUUACUUAUAUAUCUCCUAAAAGCAAUCCCAAACGGGCCCUAAGGAUUCUUUUAUAAAUGUUAUACCUAAAAAAGUUCAUAUAAUUAUUAAUCUACCACAUUGAUCCCUUAGUCUAGACUAGCAAAGAUUAUUGUAUAAUAAAAGUUUUCAAUUUAUUGAGUAUUAAUUUAUCAUUGCUUUGUCAUAUUUUUCAAAGUUAAAAAUAUGCUAUUGAUAAAAAAAUCUAGAAAAUGGCUUCAUACCUUUUCCAACGGCAAUGGGGGCUGUUGUGCAGGAAUACCAAGUUGAUCAUUCUCAUUAUUCUGCGAUAAAUCUGCAGCGAAUAUCUUUAAUUUGUCACAACGAUACACUAAAAGCAUUUCUAGCGCGAGCCAUUCCAAAGUAUGCAUUCCAGGGCACAAACAUCUAAGUUUUGGUAGAUCUUGGAGUCUCAGAGUGGUGAGCUGUGGAAAGACAGAAUAAGAAUUUGUCACUUGAUCUGCUCUGUUUUCAGAAAUAAUCUCCUGUAAAUCCUCACAGUCUCGUAUAUCUAGGUGUUGGAGCUGCUUGAGGCUUCCGAUCAUAGACGCUGCAAAUAUGUAUUUUAAUUUGUGACAACGCCACACAAUCAAUCGUGUUAAACUUUGAAAGUGAGGAAACACGGCCACCAGAAUUUGAUUGUAGUGCCAAAUCUUGUCGACAUUAAUUUCAGAUAUCUCCAAAGCCUCCAAGUUAGGCAACGCAACCUAAAAAAAUAAGAAUUUCUCGUUAGAUCCAAUAUCCAUAUGGGAAGCACUUGUUGAAAUUUUCUUCUUUGAUUACAAAUUAAUGCAAGUCUGAAUCAAUUUCCAACUGACAGCUGAGUAUGCAUUCUAAUUCAUACUACUUGUUAAGAGCUCAAUUAGUGAGUGCGUGAGAUUCUUUUUAUCCUUUUUUUCCAUUUUCUUUCACUUCUUUAAAUGAUUUAAUUAUUUUCCACGUAUGACAUCAAAAGAGAACGCAUGAUAGAAUAAAAUGUGUUAUACAUUAAAGAAAAUGUUAGCCUACGCACCUUCUCGUUGAAAAGCAGAGUUGAAAUACCCAAAGUGAUUUCGCUGGAGCAAUACAUAGUCGUCGAUUCCUCUUGCGACGCUCGUCUGUUCGGUGAUGCUGAAGGAGUCUCCACCUCACAGCAAAAACUUGUAACCUCUGGAAGAUUCCCCAGACUCAAAGAUCUUAAUUGAGCAAACUCUAUCUUCUCAAUUGCAUUAUCAACUUCUUCCCCAAUUGCAAAAAUCUCUUUCAUCUUGCUGCAAUUAAUAACAGCAAUUCUCUCAAGUCUUGGAAGGCAUUUUGUAGUAGAGAGCCAAAAGAUAUUACUCAACGUAUCACAACUAUAUGCUUCUAUGGUUUUGAGUUUGUUGAAAGACUCUACUUUGAGCCGAUCAACACAUAUCCUCUCCAUGUUGAUCAAAUUGUGAAGGAUAAGUGACUCCAAAAGAGGAAAGGCAUCACAAGCGACCAUCUCCCUUGAAUCGACGAUACAAAAGAUGUCAGGAUUAUUUUGAACCCAGAGAAGCUUCAAUUGUGAAAAGCCCUCCGUGUCCAAAUUGAAAAGAACAUUCUCGAUGCCUUGCAGCUUGUCCAACCAUAAGCAUUCAACGUUGGUGAUGCCCUGCAAUUUCAUGGAGCAAAUGUCCAUAAAAUCAAGCUUGAGCUUCAAUGUUCUUAAACUCUUGCGUUUACUGUUGAUCCAAAAGUGCGGCUGACUUUGGAACCAAUGUUGUCUAACACACUUGGGAGGCGUGAAUGACUCAUUUCCAAUAGAUAUUUUGAACCUUUCGAGCUUUCUGGCCAAAAAACCUUCUGGUAAAAUACUGUCAUUUUUAACGUCAAUUUCUAGAGUGGUUAGCCGAGGUAAAUGCAUCAAUUCGUCAAGGCUAGCAUUACUUCUUUUGCUGCUGGCUCUUUCAACCUCCCAUUCAAUGAAGCAAUUACCCAUAUACAGCUCUUCUAAUCGAGUUAAGCUUGAUAUGAGAUUGGGCGCAAUAACUUUCAGAUGGAAACAAUUGGUUAAAUCUAACAAUCUCAACUUAUUCAAUUGACCUAGUUCUUCUGGCAACUGCAUAAUAUCAGACAUCAGAAAGCUUAGGACUUCUAGAUUCUUCAACUUCCCAAUGAUUGCUAUGUCCCCCAACGCACUUUGAUCCAGACAUAGUGUGUGAAGAUUUACUAGAAGAUCAAUUGAAGAUGGAAAUGAAGAAAACUGCAUUCGAGUAAAAUCUAGAACUCUAAGCUUUUUCAUCCCUACAAAAAAGUUCUCAGGAAUAUUGAUUUCAAGAGAAGAAUCUUUGGGAGAGAUAAAUAAAAAUUCAAGGUUUGGGCAUUCUAAUCCUUCAGGAAAUUCACGAUUACUAUAAUUUCUUAAAGAGAUAGCAUUGCAUUUUCGAAGUGCAUCCUCUUCUGGCCAGUCCCACACAUCCUCAUUCCUCACCGAAAACACAUGUUGGUGGCGGCAUGCAAUCGAUAUUGCGACAUCGCGAACAACAUCAUGCAUUGAAAAUUCUUCAUUGCUAUCAUCCUCAAGCAACAAACAAGAGUCUCUAAGUUCAUGGACCAAUGCAUAUAAUUUGUCUCGUGCAUCUUCCAUCUUAUUGACUCCUUUAAAUAUACCCAAACCCAUGGAGUACUUAAACAAGUCCAAAGUAACAAUACGGUUAUUCAUUAGACUACAGAGCAGAAAAAUUUUCUUGAGUUGCUCACCUCUUAAAUGGUUGAAACUCAGCUCAAUACAUGAAUAAGUCUCUGCAGACACUCCUUCGAAGUUUACCAUUGAAGGCGUUCGGAGUUCUCGCAAGGAAUUCUUCCAUUCAUGCAGACUCUUGCUUCUCAGUGCCAUUGCCACUGUAGUCAAGGCAAUGGGCAAACCUCCACAUGCCCUGGCGACGUCUAUUGCUGUAGAUUUCAACUCACGAUUUUCAACAUCAUCACCGGCCAUCAUCUUAAACAAUCUCCAGGCUUCUUCUUCAUUUAAGUUGUUUAUCAAAAAGUUGUCUUUAGAUCCCAUUUUUAAGAGGACACUACGAUCUCUUGCUGUCAGCAGUAGUUUGCAUCCUUUAUGAUCUUCUCCAAAAGGAAUUNNNNNNNNNNNNNNNNNNNNNNNNNNNNNNNNNNNNNNNNNNNNNNNNNNNNNNNNNNNNNNNNNNNNNNNNNNNNNNNNNNNNNNNNNNNNNNNNNNNNNNNNNNNNNNNNNNNNNNNNNNNNNNNNNNNNNNNNNNNNNNNNNNNNNNNNNNNNNNNNNNNNNNNNNNNNNNNNNNNNNNNNNNNNNNNNNNNNNNNNNNNNNNNNNNNNGGCUUCCAUAGCUUGCCUGGCGACCUCCUUCAUCAAUGUCGUCUUUCCAAUGCCGCCAUGCCGUACACCCCAAUGAUGCUGACAUUAGCAUCGAUCAAUGCGUUUUUUAUGGCCUCCAAAGUAGAACGUCUUGAUUCGAAGGCCUCGCAGUCUUUGUUAGACUUGAGCCAUAUAUCCUCCGGAAUGGUAGGGUCGGAAAUUCUAUCAUCAAAUCUCCCAGCUUCUUCUCGGAGUUUAAAAAGGGCCUCCUUCUCUGUUUCUGCUUUCUUUCCACGCCGAUAGCGAGCAAACCAAUCAGGAAACAGCCCCAUGAGACAUCGACCGUCAUUUGCUGUCUCUUCGUCUUGAAUGAAUUUGGCUGCCUGCUCAAUGCUCUUGUUCGCAUUAACCAGCCAUUUCUCAACCUUCUCUACAAUCUUUUCACUUUUUCUUUCAGCCUCAGAAACUCUGCGCUGAAUCCUUUCUCUUUCAACCCUCAGCCUAUCGAGUUCUGCCUUGAGAUUCUCAAAGUUGGCAGCGGAGUUAUACCAAUAACUAAAUUCGCGUUGUGCGUGGGGAGACAAGCAGUUUACAACUCCUGGAGCAAUGCUUUUCAAAAUGUCCAUUUUUUUUUUUUUAUGGGGAAGUGAACGAAAUGGAAAUAGAACAGGGUCAACGACCGCGCAAUUGAUAAUCAAGUAGAAGCAAAACAAGCCAAAAUGGAAAAAGAAAUGAUAUUUGUACAAAACAAGGGGAAAAUCAGUGUAACAGAAGAGAAUCAAAGUGUUUUUGAGAUCAGAAAAUUGAACCAAGAAAAGGGUUGCUUGAUCCAAUGAAAAUGCAAAAAGCUGAUGGCAAAAGGGAACAAAGCUAAAUAAGAAAACGGCUAGCACGAGCAGUGACCACGAUCAACAGAAGCAAAGUGUGUAUGAGAUCAAAAGACGAAAAUGAGGAGAGGUUUUCUUGAUUGAGAAUUGAAGGCAAAGAGUAGGAGCUGACGAAUACGGGGAUCAAGAGGGAAAAACUGCUUGCUUGUAAAACUACUUUCAAGCGAAUCUGAUAAAAUUAUUUCAGUACUAGUGGGCGACUCCUUUUUAAACUGCAGAAGGGAAAAAAAAAAGUUCUGAAUUUCAAUAUAUUAAUCUCGUAAUCAAUGAUUAAUUAGUAGAUAAUCUUUCUAACAAAUAUGUGUUGAAUAGAUAUAUUUCUUGAUUAUUAGUAGGUUCGAUAUACUUUAGUAUAGGAAUGAAAGUACAAGUUGUGUCGUAUUAGAAUAAAAAUUGGACCUAAAAAUAUUGUUCUAUGGCCUUUUAAUUAUUUGUCAGCUAAUAAUGAAGUCAUAUAAAAAAAUUAAUAAUCUGAAUUAGUCUUUAGUAUUAUAAAUGUUUUUAGAUUUUUAAUUAUAAUAUCAUUAUUUAAAAAUAAUUGCUUGACUUACAUUCGUAACAUUACGAUUGUCAUAAAACAUGUGAUCCUCAUCCAAAGGCCAGGUGAACAACUCUUUGUCAAGUCAGUCAAAUAUAAACGACAAAUUCUUUUCAAUUAAAUAAUCAUCAAGAAAUAAUCUUCUAUUUCAGUACAAAUGGCGAGUGCAGAACAGCUGUCAAGAGAUAAUCAUUGUUUACGGAGCCAUAUAUAUUUUCUAUUAAAAUAGUUGCGUCACUUGCGUGAACAAUUGCCAGAAUCCGUAAAAAUUGUUGAAAGGUCUAUUAGUUUCGAGUAGAAUAUUUUCGAUUAAAAUAGUUGCGUGAACAAUUAUCAUAGAUAGUGUUUAUAUUUUGGAUUGAAGUGAGAAUUUUGAGAAAUAAAAAUCUAAGAUUGAGAGUGUAGAGUGGAAGUGAGUGUAAGUUAUUUACUUACACUGAAAAAUAAGCAUGGAAUGGAGAUCAUAAUCCAAUUUAUGUGUUUAUUUUAUCUUCAAUUGAGAAUAAAUAGUUUCAAAUUACAAUUUUACCUUUAUUUAAAGAAUUAUAUAUAUUUAAUGAAUAAACAUUUAUUUUAUUAUAUUUGUAAAUUUAUAAUAAUUGUUAAUAUUCUUAAUUAUGUACAUCAUAAUUUUUUAUUAAUUUUAAUUUUAAUUAUAUAAAUUAAAAAUUAUUGAUAAGAGCAAUAUAAAUGAAACAUUUUUACUAUUAACAUAGUACAAAAUUAAUAUUUUCUUAUAAUUAACUAUUUAUUAUUACUAAUUAUUGAUAUUAAAUAAAUAUAAUACUAUUAUUUUUAAAUAAAUAUAAUAAUAUUAUAUUUUCAAAUAAAGAUAGUAUAUAGUAAUAUUAUUAAUUCUCUAUUAAUAUAAUAAUAAUAUUUAAAUAAAUAAAAUAUUUUUUAUUUUAUUUUAUUAAUAUAUAAUUAUAGUAAAUUUAAUAAAAGGGGGUUAAAAAAGGAAGGUAAAUAUAAAAUGAAAUAUUAUUUUAUUUAAUUAUAUUAAAUUUAUUAUUAUAUAAAUAAUAAUAUAAUAUUAUUUAGUAUAAAAUUAAUAUUUUCUUAGAAUAAACUAUUUAUUAUUAUUAAUUAUUAAUAUUAAAUAAAUAUAAUACUAUAUAUUUAAAUAAAUAUAAUAAUAUUAUAUCUUCAAAUAAAGAUAACAUAUAGUAAUAUUAUUAAUUCUCUAUUAAUAUAAUAAUAUUAUUUAUUUUAUUUUAUUAAAUAUUAAAUAUUAAAUUUAAUUAAAUAAGGUAGAAAAUGGAGAGGUGGGAAUGGGUUUCCCAUGGGAGUCCCACUCCCACUCCCACUCCCCACUCCAAAAAUGGGUGGAGUUUAUGGAGUGAGAUUCCCAAUUCCUCCUUAAAAUGGUAAAGUAAAUAUUGAAGUGGGAGGAAUUCACACUGCUCACACCCACUCUAGAAAAUAAACACCGAAAAGGCCAAAGGAUGAAGAACCACUAUAAGUUCUUUUAUGAAUUUAAAAUGCUAAAGAAACUUGAUUUUGAUGAUAACAAACUACAUAGGGUACAAUGGUAAAUUUAUUUCUCACAAUCUCACAAGUUUUUGAAGGGCAAAAAUCAUUCAAGUGAGAUCAAGAUCAAGAUACUCAAUGGACAAUGACAAUCAAGGACGAAUACUAAGGGUACUAGUUUAAGCAAUCUUUAUUGUUAAAUUUAUUGUAAAGCCAGUAUAAUUUAAUGUGUGCAUGAUUUAACAUUUAAAAGCUCAAGAUAUUUUUCAUGACAUUUUCAAAUUAAAUCAUCAUUUUCUAUAAUAUAAAAGUUUUAACGAUUUUAUAAAAUUAGUUGCUUUUUCCAAAUUUAUGGACUAACUUGAAAAGUUUUGAGAACUUGGAAAUCAACCAAUAAUGUUUUAAAUCCUAGAAAUUGACAUAUUUGUAAAUAUUUCAAACAUUUUGGGUUGUAAUAUAAUUUCAAAAAAAUUAGGUCUAAUCUAUAAAUCCUGGAACAAUAGUGGCUAAUCGCUUAACCAAUAGCGGCUAACUACUUCAAGUCCAAAAACAUAGCAGCUAACCGCUUAAAUCAAGUGGAAUCCGCUUGAACCAAAGUUUUCAAAUUUGAUUUGCAACUGUAACUUACCAUAUCAACAUAGUGGCUAACCGCCUCAUUUUAACGGCGAUCCAGCAAGUCCCUAGAAAAGCCAAUAAUUGCUAGUUUGAUUGUUUAAACUAUAAAAUUCAAAUUAAACUCAAAUCUAACAAUUUUUUUCAAUCUCAAUUAAGCUAAAACUUAUUCAUAUAUCUUGAGGUUUCAUUUUGCUUAUCUACAUACAUUAAUCAUUAUAGGGCUAUCAUUUGCUUAUACACUCUUAUAGAGUGUAAUCUUUGUAAUCUUCAAUUAAAUAUCAAAAUUGAGUGAGUAUAAGUGUGGGAAACACUUGGGAAAAGAGGCGUGUGUAUACAUAACUACUUGUAAAGGUUUAUUGACACCUUAGAAGUCAAUUGUAAAAUCUUGGAGUCUUGGAAGGUUUAGAUAGUAGAAUUCUCAAGUUUGGAUUGCUUGGAGGCGUAGUCAUAGGCGGGUUUGCCGAACCACAUAAAAAUUCAUGUGUUUGUUAUCUUCUCCCUUAUCUUUUUAAUUUCACGCAUUGUUAAAUUUACCAUUAUUAAAUUUCUUGAAGCAUUUGUUUAAUUUGUAUUGUGUUUUUGUUAGUAUAAUUUUUAAUACCUAAUUCACCCUCUCUUGGGUUGCUUAGCUAGAAUUUUAUUUGGUAUCAGAGGAAGUUCUCUUAUUAUAACUUAACCAUCUAGAGUAAAAGAUCUAUAGUAAUCCAAAAUGAUCCCAGAUUUGGGAAAGGUUAAUCCCUUACUAGAUCACCAUUCUUUGAUGGGAAUGAUUAUCCAUGUUGGAAAAUUAUGAUAAGAAUUUAUUUGCAAGCAUUAUAUUAUGAAAUAUAGGAAGUUGAUUGUGAUGGUCCAUUCAUGCCUACUACUAAAAAUGAAGAAGGGAAAGAAAUUCUAAAACUUUCACAAGAAUGGAAUGUGUCAGAAAAGAGAAAAAAUUCUCUUAAUUUCAAAGUCAUGAAUGCUUUGUUUUGUGCCUUAAGGUUGUUCCAAUGCUUAUGAAAUUUGGAAAAAAACAUAAACUCGUUUAUAAAGCUACAAAUCAAGUUAAAUAGUCUAAAAUUAGUAGAUAUACUAGGCAAUACGAAUUGCUAUAAAUGGAACAAAAUGAGAGUGUUAAUUCCAUAUACACUAGAUUUACAAACAUUAUAAACACUUUAGAAGCUCUUAGAAAGGCCUUUUCAAAUAGCGAGAAGGUAAAAAAAAUCAGUAGGUCUUUACCAAAAGAAUAGAGACCUAAGAAAAUUGCCAUUGAGGAAGACAAUGAUACUUUAUCUAUUGAUGAUUUAAUUAGUUCAUUUAUUUCUUAUGAAAAGGAUUUGACAACUUGAAAAGGCAAUGAAGACGAGAAGAAGAAGAGUAUUUCCUUAAAAGCAUCAAGAUCUAAAAGUGACAACGAAAGUGAGAUCGAAAAUGAAGACAUGGCUAUGAUAGCUGGAAAAUUCAAAAAAAAUUUCAAGAAAUCCAUCGAGCGAAGGAAUUCAAAAAUCAGAAAGAAAAGGAGGCAAUUAUUUGCUUUAAAUGCAGGAAGCCUAGACACAUAACACUAGCAUGUCCUUUUCUCAAUAAAGUAAAGAAGAAAGCUAUGGUAGCAACACGGGAUGAUAGUGAUAAGGAGACUAUAGAUGAAGAGUAGUCUCAUGAAGUGUCAAAUUUGGCACUUAUAGUUAUAGGAGAUGAUUAUAGGAGAUGAACUUGAUGAGGUAAACCUCUUAGGAUGAGUUGUUUGAAGUAUUCUCUAAAUUGCAUAAAGAUUUAAAGAAGAUUGGAAUGUAAAAUGUUUCUCUUGGAAAGAAAAAAGUAGAACUUUUAUAUGAGAAUGACACUUUGAAUAAAAAGAUUAAGUGCCUAGAAUUAUUUGUGAAGAAAUUGCAUCUUUUAAAGAAAAAACAAAGUGUUUCAUCUAAGAAUAAAGGUUUACCUGUAAAUGAUUUGAAAAAGAAAAAUAAAAGAUAUUGCUUUAGAAUUUGCUUAGUAUUAGUCAAUUGUGUGAUAAAGGUUACAAAGUUAUUUUUAUGUGAUAAAGGCUAUAGAGUUAUUUUUUUAUAAAACAAAAUGUGUUAUUAAAAAUGCACGUGAUGGCAAAGUUUUAUUUGUUAGAUAAAGAUAUGUUAAUGUAUACACCAUUGAUAUAGAUUGUGUAUCAACUCAUAAUAAAUGUUUUUUUCACAUUACAUGAUGAUAGUUGAUAUGGCAUGGAAGACUAGGUCAUGCGAGCAUGGAUUUUAUUUCAAAAUUUUUUUAAAAUGAUUUGGUUAUAGGUCUUCCAAAAAUUGGUUCUAAAAUAGAUAGAAUUUGUGAAGUUUGCCAAUUUAGAAAACAAAUAAAAUGUCCUUUAAAAAUAAAAUUCAUAUUUCUACUUCAAAACCACUUUAACUUUUUCACAUGGAUUUGUUUGAAUUUUCUAAAUAUGCUAGUCUAAGUGGUAAAUAUUAUGCAUUUAUAAUUAUAGAUGAUUAUUCUAUAUACACAUGGUAUUACUCUUAACUAAUAAAGAUGACACCUUUAAUGCUUUCAAAAUUUCUAUAAAAAGGUUCAAAAUGAAAAAUGAUAUGUUAUUUCUUGCAUUAGAAGUGAUCAUGGUGGAGAAUUUAAAAAUUGUAAUUUUGAAAAUUUUUACAAUAACUUUGGCAUUGAGCAUCAAUUCUUGUCACCAAGAACUCCACAAUAAAAUGGAGUAGUUGAGAGAAAGAAUUAGUCUAUCCAAGAAAUGACUAGGACCAUGUUAAAUAAAAAUGCUUUACUAGAAUAUUUUUAGGUUGGAGCCGUCAAUAUUGUUUGUUAUGUUUUAAAUCGUGCAUUGAUUAGACCUUACUUCAAUAAAACUCCUUAUGAGCUUUGGAAAAAUAGAAAAACAUUGACUAUUUCAAAGUUUUUGGUUGCAAAUGUUUUCUAUUGAAUACAAAAGAUAAUCUUGGUAAAUUUGAUCUAAAAUCUGAUGUUGAUAUUUUUUCUUGGGUAUUCAAAUACAAGCAGAACUUAUAGAGUGUAUAAUAAAAGAACCUUGGUCGCUAAAGAAUCUAUACAUGUUGUGUUUGAUUAAAUCUAACUUUUCUUCUACGAAGAAAGUUGUUGUUGAUAAUGAUGCAUAUGAAGAGUUACAAAAAAAAAAGUCUUUAAAAGACAAACAAGAUGAUUUACUAGGAAAAAAUCAAGAUGAGCAACAAGAAGAACCAGUUAAAUAUAUUCAAAAUGAAGGUAAUUCACAAACACUCUCUAAGGAGCUAAGGUAUGUCUCUUCAGACCCUAAAGACUUAAUCUUAGGAGAUCCUUCAUGAGGUGUAACUACUAGAUAAUCACUUAGAAAUACAUGUGAACAUACUGUAUUCGUAUCUCAAGUUGAACCAAAAUCCUUUUCAGAUGUGGAAAAUUAUGAAUCUUGGAUCAUAGCAAUACAAGAAGAGUUAAAUCAAUUUGAAUGAAACAAUGUAUGGAAACUUGUUCAUAAACCAGAACAUCAAUCUGUAAUAGGCAGUAAAUGGGUGUUUAGGAAUAAAAUUGAUGAAUCUGGUGUGGUUGUAAGGAAUAAAGCUAGAUUAGUAGCUCAAUGAUGCAACCAAGAAAAAGAAAUUGAUUUUGAUGAAACCUUUGCACAUGUAGCUAGAUUAGAAUCCAUUACAUGCUUUUAUCAUUUGCAUAUCAUAAUGAUUUUAUUUUAUAUUAAAUGGAUGCUAAAAGUGCCUUUCUAAAUAGUUGUAUUAUAAAGGAAGCUUAAGUGAAACAAUCCCCUCGUUUUAAAAACGAAAAAUAUUUUUGGAUCAUGUUUACAAGUUGUCCAAAGUUUUAUAUAGUUUAAAGUAAGCAUCUAGAGCAUGACAUGGUAUACUUAGUAAAUUUCUUGUAGAAAAUAGUUUUUCAAUGGGUAAAGCGAAUACUACUCUAUUUGUUAAAUACAAGGAUCAAGGUAUACUUGUUCAAAUUUAUAUUGAUGAUAUUAUCUUUAGUUCUACUAAUGAGUUUCUGUGUAAGGAAUUUUCAUCUUGUAUGAGUAGAGAAUUUGAGAUGAGCAUGAUGAGAGAAUUGAAGUACUUUCUUGGACUUAAAAUUUAAAAAAAAAAUCAUUAAUCAAGCCAAGUAUUUUAGAGAUCUACUCAAAAGAUUUUGCAUUCAGGACUAAAGACACUCCAAUGAGUACUACAAUCAAGAUCGAUAAGGAUAAAAAAAGUAAAGAUGUUGUAUCAAAAGAUAUCGAGGUAUGAUCAUAUCUUUACUUUACUUUACUGCUAGUAGACAUUACUUUAGUGUAUGUUUGUGUGCAUGAUUUCAACCAUAUCUCAAAGAAUCUCAUUUGCUUGCGGUUAAAAGAAUUUUUCAUUAUUUAUGAGGAACAAUUGAUCUUGGUCUAAGGGAACUCAUAUAGAUUAGUAGCUCAAUAAAUUUGUCAAAGAAUCCCAUUCAACAUUUUAGGACCAAACAUAUUGAAAUUAGGCAUUAUUUCUCACGUGAUCAUGUUUAAAUGAGAGAUAUUGCUUUAGAAUUUGUUUCUAUGGAAAAAUAACUUGCUCAUAUUUUUACAAAGCCUUUUUGUGAAGAAUAGUUUUCAAAGAUUUGGCUUGAGUUUGGAAUGAUGACAUUUUCACAUCAAUAUUUCAUUACAUGAUAUUGAGACUACAAAUUUGCUUGAUUUUCUAUCUUGAUUGAUUGUAUGAUAAAAACUUGAUUUUAAUGUGUUAUAUGCUUGAAUUUACUUCUUUGAAUGUUUAUCAUCAUAUCUUAUGCAUUAAAAAUGGCUUUUGAAAUACUUCGGGAUCACAAAAUGGUCUCAAAAUUAAUUAAAUUUUGGCCAAAAAGCAAAAUCGUGCAAAAUUCAGGGGAACUAGCUAACCGUUAACCACAAGCGACUAGCCAAUUGUGAGGCAGAAACUAGCUGGCCAGCCGGCUUAAAGCAAACGGUUAAUUGCUUGGUUUCUAAAAAUGAAACGGUUAACCGCUUUCUUCAAGUGGCUAGCUGGCUUCACGUUUUCAAAUGUUGUUCAUCUUCUUUUUCCCACUUUCAGUUGUUACCCUCUCUCUAUCACUGUCAUCUCUCAUUUCUUUUACUCUCUCUCUAAAAUCUUCCAUUUUUACAUCACUUUUGUGUCAAAUUAAACUUUCCAAAUCAUUUCCCAUCAAUUAAUCUUCACUCAUUCGCUUUUAAAACACAAUCUAAUCACUCUUUUCUCAAAAUCUUAAAGCCUAAGUCACCAGUUUCAACAUUCUCAAAUUUGAACCAUUAUUUGACCAUUUUCGACCAAAAUAAACCCAUACAUUCCUUAGAUAUUCUCAAAGAAUAUUUUAACAUUUUAAUCGGUUCAAAAUCAUCUAUUUCUUUAAAAACUUACUAAACUCAAAUUUGUGCAAUUUUGGACACAUUUUGAUAAUUUCUUAAUGGCUAGUGGUGAGAAGUCCAAGGGUUAGCAUAUGCCUAAAAUGUAAAAAAAAGAUUCAUAAAGACAUUAUGAAAUUUAUUUCCACCCACUUUCCAAAUCCACCUCAAUAGAAUGAUUCUAUGAUCGAUUUAUGACAAGGUCAGUCCUCCCAUCCUAUAUAUGUUAAUCUUGAUUAAUUAGAAAAUUUGUCAAGUUGUAGCAAAACUUUUAGAACUUUACUUGCUGAAUUGGGUUGGACAAAUGUCUUAGUUCUUAAGGAACAUAUUUGUCCUAAUUUGGUACGAUUAUUUUAUUCGAACAUGCUUAUUUAUACAAUUACUGCCAAUAUGAUUAUUACUAAUGUUGCUGGGAUUCCUAUUAAGUUUACAGUAGAAGAUUUAAACAUGAAUCUCAGGACUAGGAAUGAUAGGUUGCAUUUGUAUACAUCUAGGACUAAAAUUGAUUAUCCCUGGUAUUCAGGACUAGGAAUGAUAGGUUGCAUUUGUAUACAUCUAGGACUAAAAUUGAUUAUCCCUGGUAUUUAGUUGUAGAUGAUGUUUGAAACAUAGAUGUUCGAAAAAUAUGUAGGUGAUCUGAUCUAUCCAUGGAGCUUUUUAAUUCCUCUCUUAGAUCACAAAUGUUGCCUCUUCAAGUUCGGAUCCUACAUAGUGUUCUUCAGCUUGCGAUCAGUCCUCGCAAGGGACAUGGUGCUAAGGUUACACGCUUAGAUGUUACUUUAUUAGAUAGCAUCCUUGAGGGUAAAAGCUAAAUGUGCGAAUAUUAUCAUUCAGCACAUGCUUAAUACACUGAGUAUAGGAAACCGAUCCUUUUCAGUUGAUAGUGUCAUUACCCAUAUCCUUCAAUAUUUUUGGGUCCCUAUAGCUGAACCAUCUCAUGAUGAACCCAAGGAGUUAGGGGAUGAGGUCAUUGCUAGCUUAGGAUUUGGGUGGGUAGAUGACCAAUAGGUUAAGAAUCAGAACUUGUUGAGCAAACCCACAAAGCUGGCUCUUUUUUAUCAUUGCAUCUUUAACGAUGUGCUUCCCAUUACUGGGUUCUUGAUCUUAGCUCUUCCCUGAGGUCACAAGCUCUACAUUGGCCUUCUGAUGCUCCACCACCAUCAUCUUCAGCCAUUCCCAAUAACCCAAUCCAGCAGUUGUUGAAUAAAGUGUGUUCCAUAUCCGAGUAGUAGAGCAAACUUAAGAUACCGUUCGCAGCAUUCCAGGAUCAUUUUCUUUCUGAGCAGCAGCGUCUCUUUCUUCAACAAUAACAAAUUCUAGACCAUCAGCAGCUUAUUUUCAUUGCUCUCAAAUUUUUGCCACCAUCCUUGUUAUCAUGUUUGCCGCCUCAUCAGUGAUUUUCUUUUAUCUCUUUUGCUUCCUUGUUUUAUGCACCGACAUUAUUUAUCAUAUGCAUUUUCGUUUUUAGCAUUAUGGAUACUUGAUGGAUGUUAUUUUACUUAUGCAUUAUAGAUACUUGAGUUAAUAUGGAUUAUCUUUAUGCAUUCUAGUUAUUGAUCGUGGUAUCUUUAUUAGUUAUCUUUAUGGAUUAUCUUUAUUGAUUAUGGAUUAUGUAUAUGGAUACUUGAUUAAUGGUCAUGUGUGGAUUCUUGAUUGAUGAUCUUUGUGGGGGAUAAUUAUUGAUAAUAUUUGUAUAAUAGAGGAGUGAUUUUUCAUGAUGAAGGGAGAGAAGAUAUUGACAUGUAUUUUGAAGUGUUUUGACAUGUUUUUGGCUCAUGGGGGUUGAUUGAGUGUUUGUAGUAUUUUAGUUACUUUAUGAGUCACUCAAGGAGAGUUUACAAAUGUUGUACAAUUAUAUGGAUCAUGUACUUAGAGGGAGUGAGUUUAUAUAUUUGGUUAUAUUUUUUGAAUUAUGUCAUAUAUUCAGGGGCAAUAGAAAUGUCAAAAUACAUAGAGUGUUUGUCAUCAUAAAAAAAGUAGAGAUUGUUGGGGUAAACGACUAUAUGAUCCUUAAUUUUGAUGAUAACAAACCACAUAAGGUAAAAUGGUAAAUUUAUUUCUCACAAUCUGACAAGUUCUUAAAGGACAAAAAUCACUCAAGUGAGAUCAAGUUCAAGUCACUCAAUGGACAACAACAAUCAAUGAUGAAUGCUAAAGGUACUAGCUUAAGCAAUCUUCAUAGUUAUAUUUCUUGUAAAGCUAAUAUGAUUUAAUGUAUGCAUGAUUUAGUAUUUAAGAGUUCAAGAUAUUUUUCAUACAAUUUUCAAAUUAAAUCAUCAUUUUCUAUAAUAUAAAAGUUUUAAACGUAAAUAAAAAUGAUUUUAUAAAAUUAGUUGUUUUCAAAUUUAUGGACUAAAUUGAAAAGUUUUGAGAACUUUGAAAUCAACUAGUAAUGUAUUAAAUUCUUGAAGUGGACCUAUUUAUAAAUAUUUCAAAAUUUUUAGGCCAUAGUAUAAUUUUAGGAACUUUUAGUUUAAAUCUAUAAAUUUUGAAACAGUAGCGACUAACUGCUUAACGAAUAGUGGCUAACUGCUUCAGGUCCAAAAACAUAGCUGCUAACCAUUUAAAUCAGGCGACAAUUCGCUUAGGCAAAAAAGUUUUUAAAUUUUAUUUGUAACGGUAACUUACCACAUCAAUAUAGCGACUAACUUCUUUAUUUUAACAGCAAUCCGGUAGGUCCUCAGAAAGUCAAUUACGACUAGUUUGAUUGUUUAAACUAGAAGAACCCAAAUCAAACUCAAAUCUAACAACUUUUUCAAUCUCAAUUAAGUUAAACUUGUUCAUACAACUAAUCCUGAGCUUUCAUUUUACUUAUCUACAUGCAUUAAAUCAUUAUUGAGUUAUCAUUUGCUUAUACACUCUUAUAGAGAUUAAUCUUUGUAAUCUUCAAUUAAAUAUCAAAAUUUUGUGAGUAUAAGUGUGGGAAACACUUGGGGAAAGAGGUAUGUGUAAACAUCACUACUUAUAAAGGUUUAUUGACACAUUACAAGUCAAUUGUAAAAUCUUAGAGCCUGAGAAGGCUUGGAUAGUGGAAUCCUCAAACUUAGUUUGCUCGGCAGCAUAAACAUAGGCGGGUUUUGCCGAAACAUGUAAAAAUUCGUUUGUCUGUUAUCUUUUCCUUUAUUUUUUUAAUUGCAUUCAUUGUUAAAUUUACUGUUAUAAAUUUCUUAAAGCAUUUGUUCAAUUUGUUUUGUAUUUUUGUAAGUAUAAUUUUAAUACCCAAUUCACCACCCUCUUAGGUUGUGUAGAUAGAAUUUCACAUUUGUUGUACAACAACAACAACAGCAAUAACAAUAAUAAUUGUUAUAAUGGUUGUAACAAUUACUAUUGAAAAAAAUUUAUUGUUAAUAAUAGUAGAAAAUAAGAAAAAAAAAGGAAAUUAUCCACUAACCAUGUAGUCUUUGGGACUUUUUCAAAAAUACACAAAAAAAAACUUUCUUUGUAGAAAUCCACCUAGAGUUUAUUAAUUAUUCAUUGUCAUCUUAGCUCAUUAGAUUCUUGUUGAUGUCAUAAGAUUAAAAUUAUCAUUUUACUUGAACACCUAAGAUUAAAAUUAUCCUUUAGAGUUUCUUUCGCUGGGGCUGGUGACCUUAGUGGUUAGAUUUGCUAGAUAUGGUCGUGAGAAACUCGACAAUGACCGAGGAUUGGCUGGAUUCACGGUGGUUUGGUCAAAAAUCUGACUUGAAUUGGCAUUUGUGGUGCUUCAUUCAUGUUGGAGAUUUUGAUUGCGAUUUGGAUAUCGACAAUGAGAAAGUGGCAUUUGCGGUGGCGCUAGGUGAAGCCCGGGUUUUGGGUUAGCGUUGUGGCGAUUUAUGGCGGUGAUCAUUGUUGGGUUUUGUCAAGUUAUGACCAGUGGAAUGUAGCAAGUUUAGUGGUGGUGUUGGUUGACAGUGAAGAUGGUUGGUUUCACGGUGGCAGCUGGUGGAUGCUCCCAGUUUUAGGUCUAGAUGAUUUAUAGUAGGUACAAGCGGCGAUUGAUGGCAGGAGUGGCUAAGGCUUGGUCAGUAGUGGCUAAUGAGUUUGGUAGAGGGAUUAGCCAAUGGUGAACUAUUAGUGAAGAGUGGCAGUGGCGGUGGGCGGCUGCUAAGGUUUUGUAAUUUUGUAAUAUUUUUUUGUUGGAUAAACAGUUAUGAAUUUGGUGGGGAUGGAUAUGGGUAGCCAGGAAAACUGUGCAAUUGGCAUUGAACCACUCUAAUACAAACUAACAAAUUGGAAUAGCGGAAGUGGAAUUGAUAGAGUAGGAAAUAUUAGCUAUCAUUCUAAUACUGGCUAAGGUAAUGUGGAUAGUUUACGUCCUAAUCGAAACGUGAGUAGAUCUCAUUCUAACAAUGGCUCAAUGAGAUUUUAAUAACGCAUAAAGCAAGAUUAGACGACGUUCUAAUCCAAAUAACUUUGUAAGAGAGAUUUUGAUAAAUAAUUUUAGAGAGAAUUAUUAAAAAGGGCUUUAUUAGUUGAUCAAUAGUUGAAGUUACAAUAAUAAGAUUUUGAUUUAUAAUAUAAUAAACCUACUUCACUAAGUUAACUUAAAAAGAAAAACUAAAUCACAAUUUUAAUAGAAAUAAAAAACUAAGACAUAUACCAUAGUUGACUAUAAUUAAAAUAGAAAACAAUAAAAUAAUAAAAAUUAUAGAAUCCUAAAAUAAUGUCUACAUCGUAUCCUCACUAAAAUAAAAAUAUAAAAGUAAAGCAAAUUGUGGUAUAACAGACUUUAAUUCUAUCACUCUUCAAUUUUUUUGUUUAUUAAUUAAUAUUGGUGUCUAUGGUUAAAUUUGUUAUUUUUUAUAACAAUUUUAUUUGUUAAUUGAAAUAUUUAGUCUAUGUAAACAAAAAAAAAAUGGUUGGAAAGAAUGAGAGACGAAGGGGGAGAGAGAGAGAGAGAACAAAGUCAAACAAAUAAUUUAUUGAAUUAUAUUUUAAAAUUAAAUUUUAAUUUGAUUAAAUAAAUGAUGUAGUGAGAAAAUGAGUAGGUUCAAAUAGCUUUACUUAUAUUUAUUUCAUUAAUGGCUCAAAAUUUAAUGAAAAUAAAUGGUUUUAAAAAAAUUGCAUUUAAGUUGCAUAAUUCAAUGAGUAGUGCCACACAUCCUAAAUCUUUUAUCUUAAAAAAUUAUCUCAAAUGAUAUGGUAUUCAUCAAUAGAUUGAAGAGAUAAUACAAUUAAUUCACUCAAAUCUUGAAAGAAUUACCUACUAUUCAAGUAAUGACACACCAUUUGGGAUAAAAAAAAUUUGGAAUAUCUAUCAUUACUCUAAUUAAAAAUAAACCUAUCACUGGAUGAUUAAUUAUAGUAGGUUGCUUAAUACUAAAAUGUCACUCAUAAAUUUUGUUUUGGAUUUGUAAUUGAUUUAUCUUAAUUCUUCAACUUGACAUAAGGUCGUUCUCCUCGUUUCUGUACACUUAAAAGUCACCAAGAUCAAAACUAGAUCUGUCGUUGCAUUUGCUUGAAAAAUAAUUUACAAGCACUAGGUUCUCCUGAUUAAGCAACAUUUUUAAAGGGUUAUGAUAGUAGUGGAGCACUUUGUAAAUAUUAGAUGGAUUGUUGAAAACAAUAAAAAAUGUUUGUGUGUUUUUUAUAAAGGCUAAAAGAUGAAGUGGUCUAUGGAUAAUUACUUAUUUUUUCCCUUUUUAUCUUAAUCAUAUUUGAACGACAUCCUUUUAUAGUUCCCAGGCAUUCUGCAACUAUAAUAGACAAUUUUAAUAGGAACUACAGAGAAAAUAUUAAUAUUUUUAUACUUAUUUACUUACCUGAUGGAUAGCUAGAUAAGUGUUACUUUUCACACAACUAGACCAAAUUAGUACCCUUUUUGGUUGGUGAAAACGUGAUUUUUAUGAAUAUGCUAUAGAUGCUUUCAAACGUUUCCACAGUUUACGAAUUUACGCAUUAAACGAAAACCUCCAACUAUCAAACAAAAAGGUGAAAAUUCAAUAGAAUCGACAACUUCUCAGACUCACGUAGGUGGUGGUUCAAGUUUCUAAACUACUAUUAUUAUUAACAGUUUUGAAAAGCAAAUAGUAACUUCAUUUCACAGCAUCUGCUUUUGAGAAAGCUCAGAUGUAAUCAAAAUUCCAAAACCACUCUAAAUAUGUUAGGGAUAUGACCAUAAAUAGAAGUUAAAUAUGAUAGGAUAUAUAGUUGUUCAUAGCUAACAUUUGAUGGUUUAAUUAUUUGUUCUAGGGAUUAUGCGCUGAUUAGUGUUUUUUGUUAUCCACUGAAUGAUAUUCAGUUUUUCUUACAUGUUCAUAGGCAAGAGCAUUUUCUAAGUACUUUCCUUCCCUUAAAAUUUUGAAAGAAAGAUAGAUAUGAUAUGUGAAGCAAGCCCAAUGAAAUAAGCAAAUAAAAUAGAAUAAACGAAGCAAAAAUAUUUCUAGAAACAAGAAAUGACAAAGGAAACACGAAUACAACUUUUUUCUUGUUUUCCUUAUUUUCCACUGUUAAGCUCCAAAAUGAAUAACUUUAUUCUACCAUCUCUCAAAUAAUAAAAACAUCAACAGCACAUCAUCGUCAUCAAUAAUAAUAAUAAUAAUAAUAAUAAUAAUAAUAAUAAUAAUAAUAAUAACAACAAUAAUAAUUUAACUUUGUAGUAUGGAGCUCUCGCAAAUCUUCAAGACACAAAAUGUGCCUGACCCCGUUGUUGUUAUUAUAAUUUCAAAAUGAUUUGUAUUAUAUAAAAUUAGGGAAUAAGACAUAGCAAAAUUGAUGGUACAUAUGUUGCAAUAUACUUGUUCAUGUAGCGACACAUUAAAGUAAAGCAAAAGCGAAACAACGAAAAAUGUAACGGGAGAGCUCUUAUUAUGUAGAUUUUCAAUAGAAGUAAUGCAAAUUUCACAAGGGCAAUGGCCUUAUUUCGAAUGUUGCACCGGAGGAAUGACAUGAACCUUCGAUACGUCACAAAUGUAUCAUGAAAGUGUGAUAGAUUUGUGACAUAUAUUUAUUUAUUUAUUUAUUUUUUGGUCUUAACCACGAGGUAUUCUGGGGAGGGCUCCAACUGUGGAAAACAUCUUUAAGCCCGUACCACAACUCAGACUACAAGUUUCCGCUCGAACCGGGAGGCAUAAGUUCUCCCAACAAAAGCGACUUUCCUACAACUCGAACUAGGGAGCAAACCCAGUCAAGCCACUUAAGGGGACUCCAUUGCCAGUGGAGCCAACACUUUGUUGGUGUGGCAUAUAUUUAUAUGUUCAGAGUUUAUGACAUAUUCAUGACUUAUAACUUAACUAACAUAAAUAAAUGAUAGAUAUAAGUGAUGCUCAAGUUUUGUGGAUUUAUAAUAUCAUAAAAUGAUGACUAUUUAAACGACGUCGUUUUUAUGAAACUUAAAACAUACCAACACUUCAGCCAAAUAUCGACAAGUGUUGAAUAAACCCCUCUCUCGCUGCAACCUAAAAUCAAUGAACUUUGAGCCAUUCUCAACAACAUUGUGUAGAACCCUAGCCCUAACCCUCACUUCCACCACCGAUAAAGCUAAGAAAGUUUUCCGUAUAUCAGAACCAUGGCGAAUUGCCUUCAGCUCUUAGGACCCAUAAUAAAUCUUGUAUUCCCUCGCUUUCACUUUGCUAAUUUUUUGUAUUAUUCCAUCUCUUUCACUUUAAUAACCCAAAAUCUUUCUCUGUUUCAAUCGAAAGAAGACCCUAGCUUAAAUUAAGCUGAAAUUUACAUAUCAAAGCUCUCGCUCAGCUUCCCUCCUUCAAUUGAAACAAAACGAAGCCAUAAGACCCCAAUAUGCCACGCCCUUUUGUCUCAGGCCAACAUUCAUUUAAACCCUACCUUUCGGUUCAAUGCCAUUUAAUGCGAUUGCAGAUGCCGUUUCAACUCAUUAUUUAGUUAACGCCAUUCAGUUCUUUGCGGUAAGCCUUAACCCUAAUAACUAAUCAACUGUGGUAGCACGUUGCUGACUGGGGUGGGAAUACAUUAAUUGAAUAUAUGAAUUGGGUGAUGUCAGUGAUUCAUCCCCCUAUUUGCCGUUAAUGGAGAUUUGUGUAUAAUGUUUGUAAGAUUGUUAAAAAUUUCAUGUUCCAGUCGAAUUUCUUGCUUGUGGAAGAUAAAACAAAAGUUUAAUCUAUAUAUAUAUAUAUAUAUAUAUUAGCUUCUUUAUAGUCAGGCUCUGGCUUUGCUGCUAUGCUUAGUGCAGUUUAUGGUUUCAAGAUUAAAUUAGGUUUAUUUGACGACAUUGAUAUCUUAUCUAGCUCCGCUUGAAAAUGAAAAUGUUGUACUAGUAAUCAUAGACUUUGUUUAUUCAGUUGAUAUUUUAAUUAUACAUAUAAGAAUGAAGGUUUAUUUGGGAAAAAAAGAAAUAAAGAAAUAGGCUCUGUUGAAGCUAAUUAAUACUUCAUUCUUUCUAUACGUGCGACCUGUGGUGGAAACAUGAUAUGAAAAUGUGUUACUGGUGAGGUUGCUGCUUGAGAUGAGAAUGAUGAGAAUGCCUUCUAUUCGGAAAUCCUUGGUAGGUAUUAUAUAAUUAUAUUUGAUGGAAUAUUAAAUAGCUAAAGAAUCUGUGAUAUUGUCUUUGUUCAAUUGUUACUGUAGUAGUGUUUGUUGGUCUUUUUCUGGUUGGCGUUUGGAUGUUAAUGUCAUCAUCAGUUGUACUGGUGUGGGAUCCAGGAUGUUGUCCUCUUAAGAGCCUAUAAGCAAAGUGAAACAGAGAGUAUCUGAGAUUUUUCUGGGCCUUUCGUAGAAAAUCAAGGUGAUGAAUGACAGGAUUCAACAAAUGGGGAUGGGGAUGAUGUUCCUGUUGAAAAGUUAGAGAAUAGAGUGGAAGAUAAUCACGAAGAGAUGAAUAUGUAUGAGGGUGAUGGUGAGACGAGUGAAUCUAAGAAUAUGGUUAAUCAAAACCAGGAAGAGAAUUUAGUGAAGGAGAGUUUUGAUGAGAAUACUGAGUCUGAAGAGGAAUCUAGGGCGGUGUCUAAAAAUUAUGAUGUUAGAAAAAAGGAAGAUAAGGAAUCUAAAAGUGAAGGUGGAGAUUUGAAUUAAGAAGCUGGAGAAACAGAAGGCGGCGAAUUGAAUAAAAUUGAGCAAAUUGAAUCAGAGAAGAGCUUGGAUGAAAAUAAAUGGAUCAGGCUAGUCAGAUUGAAAAGGAGAAGGAUUCUCAAGAUCAAGAUAAUGACACUGAGAGUCGUUGAAAGGAUCAGGCUUCAACUGAGAUUUUUCCUUUUGGUGACUAGUCAGAAAUUCUGAAGGAAACUAAUGCUCAGAAUGGGGCUUGCUCAACUCAACCUAUUGAGUCAUAGAAUCAGAAAAUAUCACAACAAUCUUCUAUAUCUAAGGACCAGUAUGGUCGUCGCUGGAAAGUGUGUAAUGCCACUGCUAGGCCAGAUUGCAUCCCUUGCCUGGAUAAUUUGCAAGCAAUUAGAAUGCUUUCCAGCACAAAAGCAUUAUGAACAUCGAGAGAGGUAUUGCCCUGAAGAAGCUUGUACCUGUAUUGCUCCUUUACCGGAAGGAUACAAACACUCAAUUAAGUGGCCCCAAAGCAGGGAUAGGGUAUGAUCUUAUAUUAUGCAUUAUAAAAUAUAUACUUGACUACUUUUAAUUCACUUGGGCUAAGAUUUGUUCUCAUGCUGUGUGGGAUAGAUUUGGUAUUAUAAUUUUCCCCACACAAAGCUUGCAGAAGUUAAGGGUUAGCAAAAUGGGGUUAAAGUUACUGGUGAAUACCACAUUUUUCCAGGUGGCAGAACUGAAUUUGAGAAUGGUGCUCUUCAUUACAUUGACUUCAUUCUGAAGGUGAGCAUUUUUCAUUUAUCAUUUUAUGUCUGUUGUUAGCUUCAAUUAAUAGGUGGCUUAUUCUUUUCUUUGUAUGAACCAUGGGCGGUCCAUUUCAUCUUAUAAGCUAUUUCUUGGGUUUUAGCAAGACAACUUAUGGAGGGUAUACAGAGGCUCAAGAGCUCGAUUGCCAUUCAUUUUACACUUGGCUGGGCUAUAGUAUACCAACUAGUGAUUAAUAAAGAGAAGGUAUGAAGGUCCUGUUGCUGGUGGUAUUAUCAAUCAGAAUUGUUAUUUUACUUAGUCAUACUUACCAUGUAUACUAUUCGUAGGCUUUUUCAUUUUCAUGCAUUCGCAUCAUCUUCUGGUUAAGCUACAGAUGGUUGAUUUGUGUACUCAUUUGUAUCACUUGUAGCUCUUGAGGAAUAAAAUUUAAAAUUAUGUUGCAUCCCUUGUACUAAAUAGUAAUUUUGUUGGCUUUAUGCAUGGGAAAUGGUUUGUUGUCUUAUUUCUUUGAUGUGUAUGGUGUUACACUGUCUAAAGUUAAGAAGUAUUUCUAUCACUUGUGUAAAAAACAACCUACUUUUUUCAUUCUUCUUAUAUUGAAUAAAAGAGGGACACCAAGAUUGAACGAAAUUUGAUUCAGAAAGCAUAGCAAUUAGGCCAGUUCAAAACAGCUUCCUUCUGAUUCUUUGAUAUUUGACUUAAAUCUUUUGUUUGUUUCAUUUAUCAAAGUCAUUUUGGAAAGUAACGGGGGUGAUUUGAUAUUUUCAUUGCAUUCACAUCCCUUAGGCACCAAAACAAGCAUGCUGGUACUAACCAACAAUUUUUUAUUUUCAGUAUACAAAUUAUUUUUUUCUAAAUUAGGGGUAUUAAGAAAAGGUAUACUAGCACCAGGGGAGGUAUUUGAGAAUACACAAAUACAAUCUAUUAAACUAAGAAUAUGUCAAACUUCAGGGGAGGUUUCUGAUAAAUCUCUUUUACUUUUUCCUCCAUUCACCAUAGGUUCAAUUUAGAACAGUUGACCAAACCGAAGGUUUAGGUUGGUAAACGCACUAGUGUUAAUGUCAACAACCCAAGGGGCUUCAUGGUCCUCUGGGCUGAAAUAGCGUAAUUAUUAAUUCUCCUCCAGUGAAAAUCUUCAUCUUGGGACAAAUAAUUACAAAUUGACAUUAUGGCUAUGCAAAUUUUGAGGUGUAAUAACCGGAAAAAUAAAAAUCUUAAGAGACUUUUUAAAUAAAAAAGAUACAACACCUUUAAUUUGCUAAAAGUAAUGAUAUCAUUACUUGUAUGGAAAAUGGAUGAUUAGAUUUUCUUUUUUGUUAUCCGACGAAGGAUAUUCAGUUGUUCUUUAUUUGUUCAUAGGCAAGAGCAUGAGCAUAUGCAUGAUUUGAUAUAUGCUUCUUGCAUUUUCUAAUUAAGUGCUCUCUUUCCUUGCCUUCUUAGUUUUGAAAGAAAGAUGUGAAGCAAAGCAAACCCAGUGAAAUACACAGAGCAACAGAACCAUCAGAGGAAAAACUAAAUAACAGAACUACAAUUGAACCAAACAAAAUCAAAUAAACGGACGCAACAGAUGCCCUGAACCUAGUAAUUACUCAAGAGUUGAGGAGUUGGAAUGAUUUGGUAUUCAUAUCUUCACAAAUCAUAUGCUUUAAUGCAGAAUCGACAGCUUUAUAUUAUUUUAUUCAAAAAACGAUAAAGCAGGAAAACCACAAUAAUCCACCAACUUUUGAUACUUGUAGGAAUUUUUUUUAGUCAAAUUAAGUUUCAUGAUAACACAAGUGGCUCGUCCACACACUUGCACUUGCUUGAAUAUUUGUGCCGACAUUUUCAUAUGUGAUGGUACUUCUUAGCCAGUAGAUAUGUUGAAGUACUACAAAACAGAGUAUUUGAUGAAGUUUUGCUACUUUCGUAUCCCAUUUUGUUGCAUAACUAAAUUCUUUAUAAACACAAAUUAGAAAGCUACAAAUAAUACAGUAGCUUGAAUUUAUAUGCUUUUAUGAUUAUUUGAUAAUCUAGUGCUGACAAUAUGUGAUGAUAAACUUAGCUAGUAGUUUUAUAUUUAUUUUCGUAGUUUCUUUAGCAUUCACAUUUUGAUGAGUAAAUUAAGGAUUUCCAGAUGAAGUACAUAAUCAGAUUAAUGCUAAGGAACUGAAGUUUGAUUAAUUGAAAACAAAAAUAAUAAUGAAGGUAAUUACGAAAAUGAACAAUGCAGAAGUAGUCCCUAUAGUAUUUCUAAAUUUUCUCUUGGGGUUCCUUAGUAUUCCUUAAUAUUUUUAAAAGAUGACAUGACGAUCUUUGAGUUGACAAAUCUAGGCCUGCUGCUUAGUACCCUUCCAACAUUUCAAGUACUAGAUGUUUUACUGAGAAAAUGACAAGAUCAUUUAUCAAAUUUCUUGCGCAUAUAUACAUAUGCAUACAAGAAAUGGGAAUCAGAGUGAUUAUAAGACCUUGCAAUGAGACAAUAAUACAUCAUCAAAUUUAAAAAUACACAAGAAAUUUGUGACGUAUAUAUAACAAAAGACCUCUCAUUGAGUUAUACAUAUUGAGAAUAAAAUGUCAAAAUGCAGACAAAGAGCUUAUACAGAAAAUGAAUAAACCGUCUUUGAACUUCCGAUGGUCAAACAAAGGAAACAGGCAGGAUAUAACACACACUAUCAUAGAUGUAGCGACACGAUGAAGUAAAUCACAUGAAGAUGGAAAGGGGAACCCCUCACAGCAUAAAAUUUGAAUAGAAGGGGGAAAAAGGCUUCAUUUCAAAUGUUGCACAGAAGAAGAGUGACUUGAAUCUCCAUCAGUAUCCAGACAUUCUGCAAACACAGUGCUGAGAAUUUUAACAAGAAUAACAGACAAAAUAUUGUGCUCUCUAUACUUUCACAAAACUAGACCAAAUUAGUUCCCUUUUUGGUUUGUGAAAACUUGAUAUUUUUUAAAAUUCUAUCCAAUGCUUUCAAACAAUAUUUCCACAAUAUAGUUGUUCAUAGCUAACCUUUGAUGGUUUAAGGAUUUGUUGUAGGCAUAAUGGGCUAAUUAGAUUUUUUUUUUUAUCCGAUGAAUGCUAUUCAGCUGUUCUUAAUUAUGUGUUCAUAGGCAAGACCAUUUUCUUAAGUACUUUCGUUGCCUUCCAAGUUUCCAAAGAACAAACAGAGCACAAACAAAUAUAACGGAACAGCAAUGAUGGCAAUAAAUAAUUGGCAAAGAAAGAAAGAAAAAAGUUUGCAUGAUUUCAAGGAAUUGUAAAAUCUGAAGACUUUCAACAGGAAUUAUAAAAUCUGAAGACUUUCAACAUGCAAGUGUUGCCCCUUUUGAUGAAAUUUCAUCAUAAAAUGCUUGCAAAGAAUUAUAAAAUUUUAGAGAACAAGCGAACUCUCAAACAAAAUACUCAAAUUAAAUUAAAUUAGACCAAAAGACACUCAAUGACGCAAAAUCUGCCCAUAAAAGCCUGAACAAAUCAUGAAAAGUGCAUUCCAUAUUGACAGUAAACCAAGUGACCGAUUCUAAAUAAUUGAGAUGAAAUUGUGAAACAACCCACGAGAUCAAAUAAAUAAAAUAAGAAUUAAUUACCAGCUUUGACUUUCUUCUCCAAAUUCGCAACUCCAAGACAUAAGAAGCCAAUGAAAUUAGUCGUAACCCAUAAAGUACGACGACGACCCCGCCAAUAGCUGAAAAUAAAAUACUUAUUCAUCAAUUUAAACUAACUUUAUAACAAAUAUCUUAUCGAUAUUUUAUUUAAAAAAAGCAAAUUUGUAAAAUUUUUCCAUGGGAGAUAGAGAGUAAUAUGUAUAUCCGUACCUUUUCAGCAUGUAAUUGUUGUAUGGUUGUGUUAAGAUCAUUAUUUGCCCAACGGCGUUGAUCCUCUUACUCUCCAUACGAGACGUUUACUCUCGGAGGCGUGUUUGAUUCUCCUGAAGUGAAAGUCUUCAUCUUGGGACAACCAAUCACUUCUAGAUAUUCCAGAGAUGGGAAUUUGAAGGUGUAAUUGGCAGAGCAGAAACUUGUGAGACUGUCUAAAUCGCACAGAAUCAACGCCUUCAAUUUGCUGAAAACAAUCUCUUCUAUGUCAACUCCUUCUUUGUCAUUUAUUACCACCUCUGUCAUUGCUCUGCAUCCAUAUACUUGCACUGAUACGAGUCGCACCAGAGUUUUUGCUGUGGAGGAUGUUACGAAGUGUAUCAAUUCCUUGCAACCGACAGCUACCAGUUUUGUUAGGUUCCGAAAAGAUACCGAUGAUGAUGGCAAUAGACUUAACAGAUUUUGACAAUGAUAUACUUUUAGAAUUUCAAGAUAUUGAAAAAUGGAGUCAAGUUUGGAGUCUUGUUUACAUAGCUGCUUCAGAUGAUUAAGGUGGCCCAGCUCUAUACAUUUUAUCAUUGCCAACUUCCUCAAACGUUUCUCUAAGCAUCCUUCCGUUGAAAAUAGCUCUUCGUAUGAACAAUGAUACAGUAAGAGUAAUUCGAGAUUGUGAAAUCUCUCAAGUACAUUCCUGAUUGGAAAACAAGCCGAGUCAUCAUAAGUUAUGUCUAGUUUUUUAAGACUGCCAAAAAGGUGUUGAGGGAAAUCGGCGUCCAAAAUCAUCUUCACAUCUUUUCCGCUUAACGCCAGUGACUCCAAGUUGGGUAAGAUCUGAUCAUUAUCAAUCACGUAGUAACUAAUCAGUCAGUUGAUGUUCUCUCCAAUAAUUUUGAGUAAUCCAAUCAUAUGCAGCGACCUUAUAGUACUUGUUGUAGAUUAUAUAUAUUUUACCAAAAAAAAAAAAAAAAGAAAGGAAAAAUUGAAUUAGUGAUAAAAUUCAUUCUAGGGGCCGUUGAAUUAGUGAUAAAAUUGAAUUAGUGAUAAAAUUCGGUUAUAUUUUUCAAAGUCAAAAGUCGCUAAUGAUCUAAUUGAUAAGAAAUCUAGAAAGCGGCUUCAUACCUUUUUGAACAAGAAUAGGGGCCGUUGUGCAGGAAUACCAAGUUGAUCAUCCUCAUUAUUUUGUGAUGAAUCUGCAGCGAAUGUCUUCAAUUUGUCACAACCAGACACCACUAAAAUUUUUAGUGCAGGCCAUUCCGAAGUAAGCAUUCCAUGGUAUAAACAUUUAAGUUCUGGUAGCUCUUGGAGUAUAAGAGUGGUCACCCGUUGAAAGACAAAACGAGGGGUCACAUGAUCUACUCUGUCUUCCGAAAUGAUCUCUUGCAAACCCCUACAAUUCACUAUCUCUACUUGUUGGAGAUGCUCAAAGCUUUGAAUCAUAGAAACUAAAAAUAUGUAUUUCAAUUUGUUACAGUGGCACACAAUCAAUCGUGUUAAACUUUGAAAGCGAGGAAGCAUGACCGGACGAUGAUUGUAAUGCCAAAUCUUGUCGACAUUAAUUUCAGAUAUCUCCAAAGCCUCCAAGUUAGGCAAGCCUACCUAAAAAAAUAUUAAUUUCUUGUUAGAUCCAACAUCCAUAUGAGAAGGACUUAUUGAAAUUUUCUUCUUUGAUUGCAGAUUAAUAAUUCAAGUCAAAAUCAAUUUCCAACUGACAGCUGAGUAUGCAUUCUAAUUCAUAUUACUUGUUAAGAGCUCAAUUAGUGAGUGCGUGAGAUUCUUUUUAUCUUUUUUUUUUCACUUUCUUUCAAUUCUUUAAAUGAUUUAAUUAUUUUCCACGUAUGACAUCAAAAGAGAAUGCACAAUAGCAUAAAGAAAGUGUUAGCCUACGCACCUUGCCGUUGAAAAGCAGGGUUUCCAAAUUGAUUUCGUUGGAGCAAGAACUUGUCAAUUCCUCUUGCAGCCCUUGUCUGUUUAGUGAUGCUGAAGGAGUCUUCAAUUUACGGAAAAAAGUUGUAACCUCUGGAAGAUUUCCUAAACUCAAAGAUCUUAAUUGAGCCAACUCUAUCUUCUCAGUAGCAUUAUUGUUGUCAACAUCAGCUUCUCCCCCAGUUGCAAAAAUCUCUUUCAUCUUGCUGCAAUUAAUAACUGCAAUUCUCUCAAGUCUUGGAAGGCAUUUUGCAGUGGAGAGCCAGAAGAUAUUACUCAACUCAUUACAAUUUUCUACUUUUAUUGUUUUGAGUUUAUUGAAAGACUCUACUUUGAGUCGAUCAAUGCAUAUCCUCUCCAUGUUGAUCAAAUUGUGAAGAGUCAGCGACUCCAAAAGAGGAAAGGCAUCACAAGCGACCAUCUCCAUUGAGUCGACAAUACAAAAGAAGUCAGGAUUAUUUUGAACCCAGAGAAGCUUCAAUUGUGGUACGCCCUUUGUGUCCAAAUCGAAAAGAACAUUUUUGACACCUUGUAGCUUGUCCAACAAUAAGUAUUCAACGUUAUUGAUGGCCUGCAAUUUCAUGGAGCAAAUGUCCAUAAAAUCAAGCUUGAGCUUCAACUCUCUUAAACGCUCAUGAUUAUUGUUGAUCAAAAAGUGCGACCGACUGCGAAACCAAUCUUUUGUAACAGGCAAGGAAGCCAUGAAUGACUUAUUUCCAAUAGAUAUUUUGAACCUUUUGAGCUUUCUGGCCAAAAAGCCUUCCGGUAAAAUACUGUCAUUUUUAACAUCAACACUUCGGGAAUGUCAUUAAUAAUACUAUCUUUUAAAAAAAUUGCAGGAUAUUUUUUUAAUGCAUCUGCAUCUGGCCAUUUCCACAAAUGCAAUUUUGUCACGACAUGCAAUUGAAAUGGCAACAUCGCGAACAACAUCAUGCAUGGAAAAUAAUUUACUGCUACCAUCCUUAAGCAACAAACAAGAGUCUCUUAGUUGAUUGACCCAUGCAUCUAAUUUGUUAUGUGCAUCUUCUAGUUUAUGGACACUUUCAAAUGCACCCAAGCCCACGCUAUAUUUGAACAAGUCCAUAAUUGAAGUUGGUGUAAUUAGACUACACAGUAAAAAAGUUUUCUUGAGUUGCUCACCUCUUAAGUACUUGUAACUCAGCUCAAUUGUUGAGUAUGCCUCUACUGGUACUCCUCCGUCGAAGCUUGCCUCUGAAGGCGUUUGGAGUUCUUGCAAGGCGUUUUUCCACACAGGCAGCUCUUUGUUUCUCAGUGCCUUUGCUACUGUGGUUAGGGCAAUAGGCAAACCUCCACAUGCCUUGGCUACACUUGUUGCUGUAGAUUUUAACUCACGAUUUUCAACAUAAUUACCAGCCAUUAUCUUGAACAAUCUCCAAGCUUCUUGCUCAUUUAGAAUGCAAAUCAAGAAGUUAUUUUCAUAUCCCAUACUUAACGAGACAUUACGAUCCUUUGCUGUUAAUAAUAAUUUGCAUCCUCUAUGAUCAUCGCCAAAAGGAAUUCCAACAGUCUCUAAAUCAAGAUAUUUCCAGAUUUUGUCCAGAAUCACAAGGAUCUUCUUAUGAUUCUUCAAUCGUUCAUAAAGUUUACUAGCUCUUCUAGAUUCAGCCUCCUCGGACAACUCCAGACCUAGUUUCUCUGCAAUUUCCCCUUGAAUCUUUUUUAUGUCUGGAGUUUGGGAAACCUCUGAAAAAACCACCUGAUCAAAGAGUUUCUCUUCACUGGCUUGCCUUGCAAACUCCUUCACCAGUGUUGUCUUUCCAAUGCCGCCCAUGCCGUAUACCCCAACGAUGCUGACAUUGACAUCAGUCAAUGCAUCUUGUAUAGACUUCAGAGUAGAAAGUCUUGAUUUAAAGGCCUCAUAACCUUUGUUAGACUUUAGCCAUACCUCCUCCACAAUGGUACGGUAGAAAAUUUGAUCAUCAAAUCUCCUAGCUUCUUCUUUGAGUUCAACAAGGGCCUUCACCUCUGUUUCUGCUUUCUUGCUAAGCUGAUAGCGGGUCUUCAAAUUAGGACACAAGCCCUUGAAACAUCGCUUACUUGUUGUCUCCCCAUCUUCAAUGAAUUUGGAUGCCUGCUCAAUGGUGUUGUUCGCACUAACCAGCUAGUUCUCAACCUUCUCUUCAAUCUUUUCUCCUUUUCUUUCAGCCUUAGAAACUCUGUGCUGAAUGCUCUUACUUUCAUCCUUGAGCUUGUCUAUUUCUGCCUUGAGAUUCUCAAAGUUGGCUUUAUAGUUACGCAAAUAACCAAGUUGGUGUUCUGUUGGAGGAGCGAAGCAUUUCACAACUUCUAACAGAACAGUAACAAUGCUUUCCACCAUCUUCGAUCCUCUUUUUUUCAAAGUUCCGAAAUGAAAAUAAACGACGAGCGAAACACAGAGAGAAAGAGAGGCAAAAAAAAAAAAAAAAAAAAAAAGAAAAUGAAACAACAAAGAUGACAAGUGUAUCUGUUUGUGGAAGCGGAGAAAUCAAAGAAAGCUUAAAAACUGUUGUGAAUCUGGUGAGAAGAUGGAAACAAGGAAAAGGUUUCUAGUUCAAAAGUGAUUGAAUUGAUAUAAGGAAUGAUUUAGAUAAUAGAGGAAAAGUGAAUCAGUCAAAAUAACUUAUGUAUUGACCAGAAGAAAGAUGCAAACAAUAUUGGAGACAACAACAACGCUAUGUGUUGUGCGCAGAAUGCGGAAACAAGUGCACUGAAUAAUCACAGAAAAAUAAAGGACACAAGAAUUACAUGGUUCGGCAAUAUGCCUACGUCCAUGGGAACAAGAGAAAAAUAAUUGUAUUAUUAACAAUUAUAGUACAAAUUUGAGUAAAGAAAUCUCACUUUCCCAUAACCCAAAUACACCAGUACUCUCACACACACUCUCCAAUUGCUCACACUCUCACAACUCUCAAAACCUUAGAAACUUAUACGCUUAACAAUUUAGGGAUGAUUUACAAAUGAAGAAUGCAUCUAUAUUUAUAGCAAAAAACGUUGCACUAUUGCACCAUCCGCUUUGCAAUUUGUCAAUUCUCCUAUCUGUCAAUUUGACAAAUUUUACUAACCUUUUUCAUUUUUCUUCAUUUGGUGCAGGAUUGUCAAAAGUCAUAUAUUCUACAGCUUGCAAUUUUGGUGCCGACUUUGAAAAACAAAAGCAAUGCAUGUGGCUCACUUUUAUUUUUCAACCAAUUUGAAAAAAACUCUUUGACUUUUCAACAAUUCUCCACCUCGGCGAAGAUUUGUUCAAAUCUGAGCCGACUACCAACCAAUCAUCAUCCCCAAAGUGGCUGCAUCUCUGUGACUGCCUACGUACCCAAAAUUUGGGAUCAAGCCAACCGUAGUUUAAAAUUUCCGAAGGACAUAUCUUAACACAAUCGAAGGAUUUGAAUUAGUUUCAAGCAAUGUUGAAACUUAACUCCAGAAACUACCUUCGUCAACAUAUCUGAUGGAUUAUCUUUGGUAUCGAUCUUUCUCAACAACACAACACCGCUCUCGAUAAUCUCUCUCACAUAAUGAUAUUUCACAUCUAUGUGUUUCGUCCGAGCGUGAUAUGUUUGAUUCUUCGCAAGGAAUAUCGCACUUUGAUUAUCACAGAAGACCGCAAUGUUCUCUUGGAUUACUCCUAAAUCACCUAACAAGCCUUUCAACCAGAGAGCUUCUUUUACAGCUUCAGUUACUGCCAUAUACUCUGCUUCCAUAGUGGACAAAGCAAUUAUCGAUUGUAGAAUCGACCUCCAGCUAACCGGACCUCCACCCAAUGUGAAUACGUAGCCCGUUGUUGAUCUUCGCUUGUCAAGGUCUCCAGCGAAAUCAGAAUCACAAUACCCAACACAUUGUUGACCACAAUCAUUCUUGAACAAUAACCCAACAUCAACUGUCCCAUACAGAUAUCGGAGAAUCCACUUUACUGCAAGCCAUUGAUUUAUACCCGGAUUGUGCAUGUAUCUACUAACCAUGCUCACUGCUUGAGAUAUAUCAGGCCUUGUACAUACCAUAGCAUAUAUAAGACUACCCACAGCACUAGCAUAUGGAACACGAGCCAUAUAAUCGCGCUCCUCUUGAGAUCUAGGACAUAAAGAAGAGCUUAAUUUGAAAUGAGGAGCUAAAGAUGUACAUACUGGUUUAGUUUUGUCAUCCAUGCCUAAUCUUUUUAGCACUUUCUUCAAAUAAGACUUUUGAGUCAACCAUACGCUCCCAUUCUUCUUGUCUCUACGAAUCUCCAUCCCAAGUAUUCUCUGUGCAUCACCCAAGUCUUUCAUCUUGAACUCAGAAGCUAGCUGCUUCUUUAAUCUUUCGAUCUCAUCUCUAUUCUUCGAAGAUAUAAGCAUAUCGUUGACAUAGAGUAACAAAUAGAUAAAAGCUUUAUCUAGUAGUCUUCUAAAGUAAACACAAUGAUCGUGUUCGCUUCUAGUGAAUUUCUGCCCUUGUAUAAAUUGAUCAAAUCUUUUGUACCACUGCCUUGGCGAUUGCUUCAGUCCGUACAAAGAUUUAAUCAACCUACACACAUGAUUCUCCUUUCCAGCAACUUUGAAACCACAAGGCUGAAUCAUAUAGAUUUCCUCCACUAAAUCUCCAUGUAAGAACGUCGUCUUAACAUCCAAUUGAGCCAACUCUAACUCAUAUUCUGCAAGUAAGGUAAGUAGGAUACGAAUGGAAGUAUAUUUUACAACUGGAGAGAAAACUUCAUUAUAUUCAAUACCUUCCUUUUGAGCAAAACCUUUCGCCACGAGCCUUGCCUUGUAUCGAGGAAUUGAUUGCUUCAGAGAUCCUUUCUUCUUGGUGUAGACCCAUUUAUUCCCAAUAGCCUUUUUUCCUUUUGGUAACUUUACAAGUUCCUAUGUCUGGUAACUUUACAAGUUCCCAUGUCUGGUUUUGAUGGAGAGAUUUCAUCUCUUUUUCCAUGGCUAACUUCCAUUGAUCACUUUCACUGCCGCGUAAUGCUUCACUGAAAGUGUUGGGGAUGUCAUCAUCAAUAACUAGAAGUGCAUAGGCUACCACCAUGUAUUUAGUAAGCCAUCCGGGUUUCUUUAUCUCCCUUCUUGGCCUCCUUAUUGCUAUAAAAUCAUCAUUAUCUACAUCAUAAAUUGUUUCUUCAUUUUGUGGGACAUCAGAAGAAACAACCUCUUCUUCAACUGUAGGUGUCACCUCCAUAGUUGAACCCUUCUUUGAUGUAGAAUUAACUGGUACAUAUGAAGUUGCAUCAAACUUCACCCGCUGCAAUACCUCUUUGGUCUUGUUCUCCACCUACUGAGAACUUGAAGCUUUCAUCAUUAAAGCUUCAUCAAAUGUGACAUCUCUGCUACACACAAACUUUUUGUCUUCGAGAUUCCAAAGCUUGAAGCCCUUUACUCCAUCUUUGAAUCCCACAAAGAUAGCUUUUCUAGCACGAGGAUCCAGUUUACCAUCUUUGACAUGAUAAUAAGCUGGACACCUGAAUAUACGAAGGAAAUCAUAGUCUUGUGCAUGCUUUCCAGACCACAUUUCCAUAGGAGUUUUACCUCUAAUUACAGUAGAAGGAACUCGGUUUAUCAAGUGACUUGCAUAGCUCACAGCUUCAGCCCAAAACUUUUUAUCUAAACCAGCAUUAGAUAAUAUACACCGUACUUUCUCCAGUAAAGUACGAUUCAUGCGCUCAGCCACACCGUUCUGUUGCGGAGUAUGUCUCACCAUGAAAUAUCUUUUAAUACCCUCGUUCUGGCAUACUUGCAAGAAUGGAUCAGAAGUAUAUUCACCCCCAUUAUCAUAUCGUAAUACUUUGAUCUUUCUGCCAGUUUAAGUCUCUACCAAUUUCUUCCAUUUCACGAAAAUCUCUAGAACAUCAUCCUUUGCUCGCAUGGUGUACACCCACACACGUCUAGAGAAAUCAUCAACAAAUGUAACAAAAUAAUGGCUUCCACCAAUUGAUGCAGUCUUGGUUGGUCCCCAUACAUCACUAUGAACAUAUGCAAGGAUCUCACGAGUAUCGUGAUUAGCCGUACCAAACUUGACCCUUGUUUUCUUGCCUACUACACAAUGCUCACAGAAAUUUAAUUUACAGGUUUUGGGACCUUUUAAGAGUCCGUGCCUCAUCAGAGUUUGCAAGGACUUCUCUCCAGCAGUCACAGUCGUACAUGCCAUAGCUUGGUGGUGUCACUGUGCGCCUCAACAACAUUUGCUUCAUCAAUUGUACCUCCCUUCAAAUAGUACAGAUUAUGACGCCGAACCCCUUGUAGAAUCACCAUAGCCCCAUGUGUAAACUUCAUUAUACCAUCUUUAAUGGUAACCUUGUAGCCUUUACCUUCCAAAGUACCCACAGAAAUUAGAUUUUUCUUGAAAACUGGAAUAAAUCUAACCUUUUUGAGUUCUCUGACCGUUCCAUCAAACAUUUUGAGCUGAAUUAUUCCUAUCCCCAUUGUGCGACAAGGUUGAUCAUUCCCCAUCACAACUGCACCAGAUUCCAGAUUACGAAAACCCGUAAAUCAUUCCUUAAUAAGACACAAAUGAUAGGUUGCUCCAGUAUCAAGUAUCCACUCGCUCGAAUUAGCUACAUAUACUACAGGAGUAAUACUUAGUGAAUAAUCAGAGUCUUCAUCUUUCCAUGCCAUGUUUGCUGGUGCUGGUUUCUUCCCAUCUCUCUUUUGAACCUUUGGCCAAUCUUUCCUCCAAUGGCCAUUUUCAUGACAAAAUGCACACUCAUCUCGAGCUAUAUUUCUGCUUCUCAAUUUGGAUCGAGAAUUUUUUCCACCAAGCUUUUUCUUUUUCUCCAUCACCCAAUCUUUACUCACCAAAGCUUCAAACGAUACUCGUUCAGAAUUUUUAUCAUUAUUCUGCAUCUCCAAGUUAGUCAAUGUUGUGCAAACAUCUUUGAAGACGAUCACACUCUUCCCGUAUAUCAAGGUAGUCACAAAAUGACUAUAUUCCUCUGGUAGUGAGUGUAACAAAAUUAUAGCUUUGACUUCAUCCUUAAUAUCUUCAUCGAGAUUCUUCAAAUCAGCAGGUAACUUUUCAAAUCUUGAGAUAUGAUCGUGCAUUGACACCCCAUGCUUCAUUCGAAAGCCAUAUACUUGGCUCAUUGUAUAAAGACGAUUUUCAGGACUUUUCAGCAGGUACUUCUCCUCCAAUGUACGCCACAAAGUCACCGCACACUCCUCAUCUUUCACCAAGUAUUUCACCUCCUUGGUCAAACAAGAUCUGAUCUGACCACAAGCUUUCUCGUUCAUACGAUCCCAAAUUUCUUCAUCAUACAAGUGUCUUUUAUUUUUCAGAACAACAUCGAGAUCGAUUUGAAUAAGGACAUCCAUAACUUCGCGCCUCCACAUGCCGAAGUUGAUUUUCCCAUCAAAUUUUUCAACAUCGAUCUUCUGGCCUCCUAUAACAGGUGCUGAGUAGGGAUUUGACAAAUCUCGCCUCCCACUUGAACUGUCUCCUGAAAUAGUCUCGGUAGAUCUCUCCUUACUUCUGGAAGUUUCACCUUCUACCAUUUUCUCAACGAACUAUUUCCACUUGAAAAACAGCCUCUGUGAUGUUAAUUUCGCAUGAAUAAAUGCACCAGGAAAGUUCCCAGGAAACUGGAUGGGAACUCGGUCCCAAUUAAAAACCAAAAUCCUUAGACGCUUAUUGCCUUGUUGACAGAACUUUCCUAGACAUGCAAAAAGACACACUACUUACAAUAGACUGUCUCCUAAAUACAAAUGGCCGUCUCAACCGUAUUCGUGAACAGUACCGUAUGUGAACAAUACCGUAUACAAGAAUAGUACCAUAUGUGUGAAUAGUAUUGUAUAUGUGAACACUUCCGUAUAUUAGAAUAGUAUCGUUUACGUGAACAGUACCGUAUCCCCCCAAGUACGAACCUUCGGCUCUGAUACAACUUGUUGUGCGCGGAAUGCGGAAACAAGCGCACCAAAUAAUCACAAAAAAAUAAAGGACACAAGAAUUACGUAGUUCGGCAAUAUGCCUACGUCCACGGGAGCAAGAGAAAAAUAAUUGUAUUAUUAAUAAUUAUUUAAGUACAAAUUUGAGUAAAGAAAUCUCAUUUUCCCAGAACCCAAAUACACCCAGUACUCUCACACACACUCUCCAAUUACCCACACUCUCAUAACUCUCAAAAGUUUAGAACUUAUAAGCUUAACAAUUUAGGGAUGAUUUACAAAUGAAGAAUGCAUAUCUAUUUAUAGCAAAAAACAUUGCACUAUUGCACCAUCCGCUUUGCAAUUUGUCCAUUCUCCUAUCUAUCAAUUUGACAAAUUUUGCUAACUUUUUUCAUUUUUCUUCAUUUGGUGCAGGAUUGUCAAAAGUCAUAUAUUCUACAGCUUGUAAUUUUGGUGCCGACUUUGAAAAACAAAAGCAAUGCAUGUGGCUCACUUUUCUUUUUCAACCAAUUUGAAAAAACUCUUUGACUUUAAUUUCAACAAAUAGAGAUGGAGAAAAAGAAAUAUCUUCACACGGUGGAAGUACAAAGGGUAGAUAUGGAACCAAACAGAGACAACAACAGGCCACAACUAGAUUGGGAAUGGAGAGAAACAAAUUAACAAAGACUGGAGAUUACAACAGAACAGAUGCCAAGAGAAAAGGGUUUCUUCAUCCAGUGAAAUUCAAGUGAGUUGACAGCAAAAGGGAGCAUAUGUGUUUCUUGAUUGAGAACGAGUGCAAAGGAUGACUUUUUAAUGAGGUUCUGAAGCUGACGGAUAACGAUUUGCUAAAAUUUUGAGAAAGUUAUAUAUUUCGUAACUUCAACAAGUGAAGAAUAAAAGAAUAAUAGUUCGUCAUCUUCACAAUGAAGAUCAUGGCCGAGAUUAAAAGCUAAAACUAGUCCAUUUGAAAAGCCAAAGUUCAAGUUCCUUGGCUAAGUUCAGAAGUGAAGCAAAGAAUAAAUAAAUAAAGAUCAAGGGAUGGGAAUAAAGUCACCCCCAGACAGUUGCAGAAAGAUUAUUAUUUGGUAAGUGUAGUUGAUUAUUAGUACAAAACAGAGUAGGUGAAACACAUCCUUUCUAUUUAGACUGAUCAGCAUCUAAAAUUUUAUGAAUUAUGAGUUGCAUUUUACUUUGUACAUUAUGUUAACACAUUUUAAUUUAGCCAAUUUUGCAAUAAAUGUUAUUGAUGUAUUAAAUAGAAAAUGAAUUGAAUUCCACUCAUCGUCAUCUUGGCAAAUCAAGUCAAAAAAUAAAAAUCCAUAUGCUUUUGUUAAAGUUAAAAGCUACAUAAAUAAUAUCACAGAAGCUUCUGCUAAGGUUCAUGUGAAGUCACAGCUUUGAUACUUGUAAUACAAGGAGCACGGAGAAACCAUAAACUUCAGUUUAGGUAUAUACAUUGCUUGUCUUUCAAACUUGAAUUGAUAAGGGGGAAAAAAUAAUACUAAAGCAAACAGAAGGAUCAUUUAGUUGACAAAAUUAUUAGCUGAUAUGCAUUAACAACUCCUAUCCUAUACUAUCAGCCAGUAGGUUGUUGCUGCUUCCCGAUUUUUAAUGAUGCGAACAUCUCAUACUUAGAAAUAAGGGCGGAGCCUGGAGAUUGAUUUAUAAGAUAAGAAGCAACAUUGUGUACAAUAUCAGAUUUCCAAUGUGAGAAAAAUAAAAUUGCGUUAUAAAAUUAAUCCCACUAAGAAAGUGGUCUACGAAAUUGCCACAUUAAAAGAAAUUUUUUCCAUAAAUUAAAAUAAAAUUAAAUGAAAACUAUUUUUCAGUAAAGUCAAUUGCCCACGCUAGGCUAAGGCGUUUGUUUUUUUGUUUUUUUUUUUUUAAAUCUGAAUAGGUAUAAAUUUUUCGUAAGCAUGAAUGGGCUGAGUACAAAUAUAUGAAUGACAUAUUUAUUUUUAUUUUUCUUAAUACCCGAAUAUAAGUGACAUCUUAUUUAUCUUAAAUAUGGUUAUUUGAUAUUUAUAUUUUUACAAAUCAAAAUAAAAAAAAAAAAGUAGUUAGAUUUUAUAGUUUAAGAAAUAAAUAUAUUUUAUAAAAAAAAAUUUAGAAUAUAUAUUUACUUCUUAUUCAGACUUUUUUCUAUUCAAUAAAAUUCACAAAAGUUACUUUUUCUAUUCAAAUGUAAAUGCUUAAAAAUCAUAUAUAAGUUACAAAAAAAAAUUUGGAAAAAGUCAUAAAUUAAUAAAAUUUCAGAUUUUAUAUAUUUAACUCCCAAUGCAGAUCCGUCCCUAUUAGUGUUAGGAAAUUGACUGGUGAAUGUUGAGUGUUAGAAAAUAGGAGAAAAUCGUCAUUUUACACUUCAAGUUUUACUAACAUCCUUACUUUUACGUAUUUAACCUUCUUGUGAUUUAAUUACGUGUUUUUUUAUUUUAAUUAAGUAUUUUAUGUAUUUUAGUGGCAUUAUAGUCAUUUCACAAUGAACGAGAGAUCAGACGGCAAAACGGACAUCACUUUUGAACUCAGGACGGUCGAAAACCUUAGGAGGAGCAUAAAAGGAAAAAUGACACUGUUCAUAUGUACGGUACUAUUUACAUGUACAGUACUGUCUACGUUACUGUUCACGACACUGUUCACAUAGACGGAUCGAUGAUGUGGCAUUGACCGAUGAUAUGGCAUUGACUGAUGAGGUGUCACGAUCUUGUUGGACUAAAAUUCUUAUGCACUGUUGAUUGGUGACGUGGCAGCAUGUUAGUGGACCAAAAAUUGCGCGUACGGUACAUGCAUAUACACAGGAUUAUUUUCAACCAAACCGCGUUACUGUUCAAGCCGGGUCAAACCGUGUUACUGUUCAAACCGCGUGGUCAAACCGCGUACUGUUGACUGAUGACGUGGCGCAAUCCUAAACGUCCAAACUGUUUUUAAUCCGAUGGCCAUGAUUUACUCAAUGUAUCUAUAAACAAGAUCCUUGUUUAUGGCUCUGAUACCAUAAAUCUUGUUGGUACGUGGCGUUGUUUUACCAUAAACAAGGAUCUUGUUGGUACGUGGCGUUGUUUUACCAGAUCAAUGCAAAAGUUAAUCUGCCUUAGGGACCAGAUCUGACUUAGAACAGAUCAAUAUCCCGCAUGUUCGGGUUUUCAGCCGAUAUACCACAAAGGCUCAACGAUAGUACUAGAUCUGGAUCCCAGAAAUAGUACUCUGAUUGAAUGGAGGGAGAAGAGAAAUACAACUAAGGUCAGAGAUCCGGUCUCUAUGCCUUAGAGGAUAUGUAACAGUUUAUAAAGAAAUUUAAAUAGACGUAAAAUAAAUUACAAAAUUUAAAACAUACAUGCUUUAUAAAAUUAAAAUAUUAAACUUACAUAUUAUUCUUGCUUGAAUCCAAGAAACCUUUACGUUACAAUAUAGUUUUACAGAAUAGGAAAGAUGAGAAAGUUCGGAGACAGGAAAAUUUCCUCCAAGUCUCUGAUUUCUUUCCAGAGGAGAAUACAAGAAGAAGUAAAAAAGAGAAGUGUCCUCCCCUUCUGCUCGAGGCCUCGAUUUAUAGAAUCAGAAGUGCCUUGGUAGCUGCAUCAGACCACUACUUGGAGAAACGUGCUUGUGGAGACAGCAUCGUCUGCUUUAUCACGUGGAGACAGCAUCUUCUGCUUUAUCACGCGGAGACAACAUCUUUUGCUUUAUCACGUGGAGACAGACAUCUUUUGCUUUAUCACGUGGAGACAGCAUCUUCUGCUUUUUGAAAAGCGUUGACGUGGACCAAAAAGUGAAAAUGAAAAUACAAGGAAAAAUACAUAAAUACAAAUUAUUUACAUAAUACUAAAUGAACAAUACAUAUGAUAAUUACUUUUUUUUUUAAAUGGUAACUUUAAAAGUGCUUUAUGGGAGAAAGAAUCCCGAAACAAUCAUCUUUAUUGUCGUCUCCCAGGGAAAUGAAUGGUUCAGCUUCUUCAUCGGUAGAACCUGCUGCAGAUGGUUCAGAUCUUGAGGCAAGGAGGUGUUCUAUAACUUGAAAAUAUUCGUUUUCAGUCUUUGCACUGGCCAAAAGAGAUUGGGCUUUUGACCGUUGGGCUAAGAAAGUACUCUGGGUUUUAACAUCUUGAAUGCUUGGCGCGAGAAGGCCUUUUGAGGAGAGCCAUUUCUGAACUGUGGCUACAGACAGCUUUGACUGUUCAUCAAACUUUGACCACCAUUUGACUUUAAAGGUUCUUUGUAGAAUGAAUUGGGCUUCCUGUUUGUGGUAUUGGAAAUUCCACAUCCAGACCCAAGGAAGGAAAAAGUUUGUACAGAAACAAAGAAAAGGAGGAAACCUUUUCUCGGACUCUGAAGGAACAUAAUGGGCUUUAAAAAUGUUUAAACAGUGAAUGGCAUUUGGAGUUAAAAUAUCGGGGCAUGGCCCAAAAUAAUUCCACCACUGUUGGAACCAGUUUGGAAGACUCUGAACGGUUAUUUUUGAAUUAAAGAAAAAUAACCAAGAAUGGGUCUUUUUUGGGUUUUGAAUAAAGAAUGUGUUAAAUCAGGCCUGUUGAUAGUCCCAGUAAGAGAAAAAUAAACAGUGGUUUAAACUCCGUUGGAAAUUGGCAGGAAAGGUUUUUAGUUUGUGAAGUUCAUCACCCCACUGUUUUGGACUCAAGACUUGUAAUAUGGUGGCUGUGGAAUAGGCGGGUCUUUAUGGGAUUCACUGAGGAAGAAAUGUUUGAAUUUUACAGACUCAGUGUAUUCCAGAAUGCUUUGGUAGAAAGACUGGGGUUUUGUCAAAUCCCAAGGUUUGAAAAACCAGCCUUUCGGAAAAAUCUUUGAAAUGGCUUGAAAUGGAUCAGAGUGAUAAAAUCCAUCUUCUAUAGAUAAAACAUUUUGAUGAUGGGUUUUAUUAAACCAAUCCGAAGAUUUUUUAGGAAGAUUUUGUUGUGAAACAAUAAUUUGAGAACUGGAACUUUCUCCAGAAAGAACUAUAUUUGAAGAGGAUUUUGAAAUAUCUUUAGAAAUAGUCUUUGAAACAGUUUUUUCUUCUUCAGGAUUUUUAGAAAAAGCUUUAUUUUGAGAAAUGCUUUGAAGAGCUAAUAAGAGUUCAGGAGAAUUGGAAAUGGAGUUCAUCCAUUCUUUUACCUGUACUUCCGAGGCGAUAGCUUUAGAAUGAGCUUCAUGCUCCUCAACCAUAUCAAUCCAAGAUUUAAUAGGCAUGGCUGAGGAUAAAAUUUUGUCUUUAGGAGGAGUUGAUAAAGAUUCUUUAGAAGCGGGUUGAGGUGGAGGGUCUUUGAGGACACCUUUUCCUUUGUCUUUUUUGGGCGGCAUUAUCUGUUUUGAAGAAAUUCCCUAGUUAGAAAGUCAGGGAUAGAAUUUGUAUCUCCUUUAAUAAAGUCAAUAUCAAAGUCAAAAACACUUAAAAUAGUUUGCCAUCGUGCAAAAAUUUGUUUUGAUGCAAUGUUUUGAACACCUUUUUCUAAAACAUGUUUUGCAGCUUUGCAAUCUAUCCUAAGUAAAAAAUUUUGAUUUAAUAAAUCACUUUGAAAUUUGGAUAUGCAUAAAACAAUGGAUAAAAUUUCUUUUUUAAUAGUAGAAUAAUUUUUCUGACAUUCAUUCCAAUGAGCAGAAACAUAUUGAACUAUUUGUUCUUUAGUACCAUUCUUUUGUUUUAAUAUUCCUCCAUAACCUAAAUCUGAAGCAUUGGUUUCAACAAUUUUAGGUAAUACAGGAUUUGCAAGAAACAAACAAGGGAUUUCUUUGACUGUAAGUUUUAUUAAUUUAACAACUUUAGUGUGUUCAUCAGUCCAAACAACAGGGUGUUUCUUUAAUCUAUCAUGCAACGGUUUUGAAAUCCUAUUAAUGUUAGGACAGAAAUCAAGAACAUAAUUCAAACUACCUAAAAAUCUAUGUAGUUGAGUUUUAUCAAGAAUUUUAUCAGGGAAUUUGUCGGCAAAUGCAAGAGAUCUUUCUAUAGGUGUUAUAGUACCUUUAGAAAUAUAAUGACCAAGAAAUCUAAUUUUGGUCUGAAAUAAAGAAACUUUAGAAUUAGAAAUAGCUAAGCCAGCUUUUCUAGUCGCAAACUAGAAAGUCUUUAAAUGUUUGAAAUGUUGAUCAAUAGACUGAGAAAAGAUUAAUACAUCAUCAAUAUAAACAAUGCAAAAUUCUGAAAAAGGAUUAUAAAUAUCAUUCAUUAUCCUUUGAAAUUCGGAAGGUGCAUUUUUUAAUCCGAAUGGCAUUACUGUCCAUUCAUACUGUCCAAAAGGAACAGUAAAAGCAGUUUUGUAUCUAUCUUUAGGAUGGAUUUGAAUUUGCCAAAAUCCUGAUUUCAUAUCAAAUUUUGAGAAAAUGAAAGCAGAGUGCAGUUUUUGGAGUAAAUCUUUUUUAUUAGGUAUGGGAUCCCUAAUCCAUUUUAAUGCUUUAUUAAGAGGUUUGUAAUUAAUAACUAAUCUAGGUGUUCCUCUUUCUAUUUCAGAAUUCUUAUUGACAUAGAAAGCGGCACAAGACCAAGGAGACCUAGAUUUGACAAUGAGUCCUUUAGACUCUAAAUCUUUGAUUUCGUUUUUACAGUGUUGUUCUAAGUCCAUGUUCAUUUGGAUUGGACGAGCUUUAGUGGGAAUUUGUCUUUCAUCAAAGGAAUUUUCAUAAGGCAAAUCAACCAAAUGUUGUUUUCUAUUCCAAAAGGCAGAAGGCAAAUCAGCACAUAUUUCUUUUUCAACUAGGGUUUUAUAUUCAGAAAUUUUUCUCUUUGAAAAAUCAUUUUGCAAUUGGCUUUCAAUUUUUUGUAAAUUCAAGUCUUUUGUAAACAAACCAAGUCAUUUUGUCUAGACUUGAGUAAAAUAUUGAUUUGGUUCUGAUAAACAGAACAUGCUUUUACAAUAUUCAAAUUUCUUGUUUUAGGUUUUUCAAUAAAAGGAAAAAAUAAUUUUUUGUUUUUUGCGUUAAAAGAUAUACUAUCAUAAUUGACAGUAUAAGGAGUAAUAAGGUUAAUGAAAGGAGUUCCUAAAAUAACAGUGUGAUGUAUGUCAUUUGUUAGGACGAAGGAAGUCCUAAAUUCAAAACCAUUAUUAUAAAUUGAGGCAUCAACUUUAGAUUUGACUUUUAACUUCGAGUUAUUGGCGACAGAAAGUCUUUCAUUGGUUUUCUCAUGAAAUCCUUUAGGGACAAUAUCUUCUCUAAUGCAAUUUAAAUCGGCACCUGUAUCAAAAAGGGCAAUUGUGUCAAUCUCAAAAUCUUUAGAAAGAAUUAAGGUGAUUUUAAUCAAAUAUUUUCUAGUGGUGAUCUGUUUUAAAACAAAAAGGAAAUCCUUGGGUAAAGAUUCAAUGUUUUCAAGGUUUUGUCCUUCAUUAUCACCAUCGGAUUCUGAUUCUUUAUUAUAAUUAUCUUGUAAUUGUUUUUGUAACAGAAGUUGGAUGGUUUCAGAAUCACUUUUCUGUUUUUCUUUCAAGUUUUUUAUCUCAAGUUUGAUUUCUUUUAUCUCUUUUUGGAGAUCUUGGAUAUUUGGUAUUGUUUUCUUUAUUUUCUUAUUGUCAAGGAUUUUUGUAAGAUCAUAAGUAUUCUUUUUAAUAGUAGGGGCUUUAGAGGUUUCUGCUUUAUCUCCUAAAUCUAAAGUUUUUAGGAGUUUAUCAAGGUACUCUUUUUGAAGAGUAUGGUCAGAAAUGUGUUUAACUAACUCAAGAAAAGUUUCUUGAUCUUUAGUUAACACAUUAACUUUCUUAAAAUAGGAAUCUGUUUCAGCAUCACUAUUACUAGUUACAGAUGUAUCUGAGUCAAGUAAUUCAUCAAUCUAUAAGGGCUCACUAUCUCCCGUCAUGGAAGAUUUAGAAUCAGAAGAUUCUACAAGUAAAGGGGCAACUUUAGAAAGUGUCUCUUCAUCAAGACCAAGUUCGUGAAGUUUUGUAUUUACUCUACAAAAUUUCUUGGUGUGGCAUUUUCUUCCACAUUUAAAACAUGUGGCUUCUUUGUAAUUGAAAGGAGGUUUUGUUGUGGCCUUAGGAUCCUUUCGUUUAGAGAAGCGAGGCUUCCUAUAAAAUUUCGAAGGUUUUUUAUAGGAAGAUUCCCUAAAAUCCGGAAAAGCUUUUUUACGAUUCUUAGAAUUGUAAUGUUUUUUGUAAGGUUUUGUAGAACAUUUACCAUUACAAUCCCUGGAAGUAGAGGCUUUAAAAGGAUCAUAGUUAAACUGUUUACAGAAACUGCCUAAUUCUUGCUUAGAUUGUCUAAGCUCCCAUUUUAGACGCUUCUGUAAUUUCAUAUCUUGGCAAAUCUUUAAUCCUUCUUUAUUGACAAAACUGACCAAUUCACCAUAGGUGAGUUCAUCAUAUGGAAUACGGUUGUCAUAAAGAGCUUUAAUGGAAUUCCUAACUUUUUCUCCUAAGAGAGUGGGUAAACCAGCAAGGAAUUUUUCUUUCCAAGUAACAUGGUUUGCAUCAUCUCGGAGAAAAAGUCUAGUGAAGAAAGUGGUUUUAUAACUUUGGAAUUCACUAAGUUUCCUACAUCUUAAGUUGUGUAGUAACUCAGCAUUUUUAUCUCUAAGGUGUGAAGGAUCACCUAUGAAGUGUAGAGAAAUAGUAAGGAUCAGGGUAGCUACAGCAUCUUGAAUAGGGCUAUUGAAUUCAUCACAGAUAGGUGCUCCAUUUUCAUCUGUUUAAAUAGCAUUAAGAAUAUCUAAUUGUUGUUGUUUGGUGAGAAGAUGAUCCCACCAGCCUUUAAGUUGACCAGUAAAACCAGCAAUGAGGAUCUCUGCAAUAGCUUUGUCAGAGGUUCCUGACUGGGUUUUAUAAGCAUUAGCUGCCAUGGUCAUCUGUUGCAACAAUCCUAAAAUAUUAUAUUCGGACAUACUAUCAAUGUUCCACUCAUAGACAGAGGAGGCAUUAAAUCGUGAUUGGUUUAAUGCGCUUGGUCUGUUGUCUAUGGCUAAGUCAGGAGGAGAAUUGAUAGUAGGAAGGGCUAAUUCCCAAUGAAUUUUAUUGGCGUUAUGAAUAGGUUCAUUUGUAAAGGCUUCUAUAUCUAAAGAGGCUAUAGACACUUGGUCUUGUUCAAGUACACCAAUUUUGCUAGAUUGGGCACUAUCAGGAGCUAUUUGUAUCUUACUAGAUGCAGAAGAAGAAGCUUCGAUCCUAUCUAGUUGUUCUCUAAUGGCUUUAGCAAAAUCUGAUUUUGACUCAUGGGCAAGCUUUUGACUAGUUUUCGAAACUUGGAAGGGUUUGAAAAUAGGCUCUUUAAGCCUUUUGUCAAUAUCCGAUUUUGAUGAACUAAUAGGGGAAACAACUAUUGUUGACUUUUGGAAUUGGUUUUCUAUUCUAGUCAACUGCUUUCCUAUUGUAUUUAGGUUAGUAUUACAGAAAUUAUUCUGUUGGAUAAUGUUACCUAAAUUAGUCUCUGGAUCAUUAGUUUUAUGGAUUUUAUAAGGUGAGGCUUUAAUUUGGACAGGAGGUUCACCAUGGUCAAUGGUCAGACUCCUAAGAGGUGGAUGCUCAGAUUCUAUAGUUCUGUCACUGUCAGAAAGAUUCCACUCAGUGAUCUUUUUUCUAACUGUGAUCGGGUUAGAUUCUUUAAAAGGAUAUGUAAUGUUAUUAUCAGAAGCAUACAUAGUCAACAGAAUGUAUAGAAGAGCUAGGUAUAUCCGAUGUGGAAAACCUAGGUUGACUUUUUACAGGUUGGAAAGGAAGAUUUAUAACAGAGGGAAGUUUUGAGAAUUUUCUCUCUAAAGAGGCGAUACUAGAACUUGAAUCUUUAUCAGAAAACCUAGAUGAUGUGGACCUUCUAAAAUAUAGUUUGACUUUACCAUCAGAAUAUUGAGUCACAUUUUGUAACACUGUAUUUGGUUCAAGUUGUUUUGGAAUCACUGGUUCAGUGGCUCCUUCAAGAAUCCAUUCUUCUGGAAGAUUGACAUCUUUCCAUUGGAUUGGUUUGGGAACAACAGUGUUGGCUUUAGACAGGUCAGUCUGCAAGAGAAGAGUCUCAUCUCUUUUUGACUGAAAUUUAUGUUGUGUAUUAAACGCAGAAUUCAUGGCUUUGUAUGAAAUUUUGAUAAUUAAGGCAACUGGGACAGAUCCCUCAAUCAUGUGAUAAUUAUGGGUUUUGAUUUGUAAAAUCAUGCUUUUCAAAAUGUUUUUGUCUUUUAAAGAAAUUGUUAUGUUCGGGUAACAGCUAAAUGAGAUGGGACCUUUACAAAGACUUGAUUCUAUACUACUUAAUAAAGAAUCAUCAAAAGAGAUGAAUCGCCCAUCUCUUAGGAUAGCAAGAAUAGAGGUAUUAAGACCUUCUUUAGUUAAGGGUUUUAUGCCAACUUGUAUUAAGCCGAUGUGAACAUAAUUAAAGUUCUUUUCUUUUAGUUUCUUUAAAGAGUGUUAUGAAAACAGGUGAAUUGUUUCAAAUGGCUUUGAAAGGGUUAUGUCACGUUCUUCAGUUUUUAUAACAAAAUCAGUCUUUAAAAAAUCAAGCUUUUUUAUUUUGUAAAUCAUGUCUUUAGAAAUCUUUGGUAAUUCCCAAUUAUCAAUUGCUUUAUUAAAGUCUUCAAUAAAAAAUUCUUCUGAAUUUACAACAUUCUUAGAAUCACUAGUCCUUCCAGAAGAAGAGCUAGAGAAAGAUGAUGCUCUACAGAGUAGAGAAUCCAUAUAAGCUGGAACCUAUAAAUGAUCUAGUUUUACAGGAAUGGAAAAUCAAUCCUAGGCUAAGAGUUGGUUUUACUGCCCUUCAACCAAAUCGGGACUUACGACCAAAUACUACCAAGGCACCCAAAGGUAACACCCUUUACCACUCAAGCAAAAGUUUAAUCACAUACAACUUCAGCCUACACAAAAACUCUAAACGAUAAAACACGACCCCCCUGGCUCUGAUACCAUAAAUCUUGUUUAUGGUAUAUAUAUAUAUAUAUAUAUAUAUAUCUUUUUAAUAUAUUCCAUUACUUUAAUAAUCAAUUUAAAAUAGUUUGUGAUAUUUUCAGCUAUUUACUUAUCUACUUUUAGCUAGUUAUUUACACCGAAUGAAGUGCUAGGGUCCAAAUUUUAGUAUCCUUCUCAGCUGUUUGGGGUUAGUAAAUACUAAUUAGCAUAUUCGUCCCGAACAGCUGUGUAAAUGCUGUUAGAUUUCGGAGAGAUGCUGAGGAUGGUACAAGAUUUAUCAAAUUGUGGCGACAUUUUUAUACCUUUAGAAUUUCAAGAUUUUGAAGAAAUAAAUGGGAUCUGUUUUCCAUAAGUGCUCCACUAUCCACCAGGAGGAAUUCUAAAAUACAUUACAGAUUAGUGAUUUCUCAGAAUAAAUAAACACAUAUUAUAACAUUAUUUACUUAUUGUAUGACUGAUAUGAUAUUUCUGAGAUAUUUUAGAAUUUUUAACGCACCAAAGUUCAUUUUUAGCUUUAAAGGUUUUUAUGUGUGAGCCUCUCAGCAUGUUCCCCAACCUCCUCACGUGAAAAUAUUUCUAUGUACGGUUACAAGCUUUUCCAGAUUGUGAGUAUUCCGAAGCAAUCCAACUUGAAAAACAGCUGGUUCGUAGAAAAUGACAGUUUACGAAGCUGGCCCUGCUGCCAUACAUAUGAUGAUGAAGACCAUUUGGCUUUAUGUCAAUUCCUCCAAGUUGAAAUCUUUCUCGGUCUGGGACACUUCCAACACAUAAAGUACUACUAGGCUAGAUGAUUUUAAAAAAUGUCCAGGUCCUUUAUCAAAUUUCAUUUGCAUUCAAGACCAAUCCCCUUUGAUGAAAAUCAAUAAUUAAAGGCUUUCCAAUGAGAAAUUAUUACGUCUUCAAAUCUCAAAAAACGCCAGAAUAUUAAUUCGCUACAUAUAAUCAAGAUAUCUCAUUGAGACGCAUUAAUAAAAAAUGUCAAAAUGCAUAGAAAGAGCAGACACACGGAUGAUGAAUUUACUCAUCUUUAGUAGUAUUUGAACUUGAGAGACAGAAUGAAGUACAUGUCAAGAAUAUCAUAAAGAUGGAAACCGGAAGUCCUCCGCACAUAAACUUUGAAGAAACUGGAAAACGACUUUANNNNNNNNNNNNNNNNNNNNNNNNNNNNNNNNNNNNNNNNNNNNNNNNNNNNNNNNNNNNNNNNNNNNNNNNNNNNNNNNNNNNNNNNNNNNNNNNNNNNNNNNNNNNNNNNNNNNNNNNNNNNNNNNNNNNNNNNNNNNNNNNNNNNNNNNNNNNNNNNNNNNNNNNNNNNNNNCCAUUUGGAGUCUUGUUUCCACAAUUGCUUCAGAUGAUUAAAUUUGUGCAGAUCUAAAUGUUUUAUCAUUGUAAACUUCCUCACUUGUUUCUUCAAGUAUCCUCCAUUCGAAAAUACCUCUUCGCAUGAACAACGACGCCGUAUGAGAGUUUCCAGAUUAUGAAAUCUCUCAAGUAAAUCAAGUGGAAAACAAGUUGAUUCAUCAUCCACUGUUUGUAGUAGUUUAAGACUGCCAAAGUCAUCCUCGAGUAUUUUCCACUUAAUGCCAGUUCCUUCUAAGUUGGGUAAGCUCUGAUCAUCAUCAAUCACGUAAUAACUUAUUAAGUCAAUUCAUAUUCUCUCAAAUAACUUUUAAUAAUCCAAUCAUACACAGUGACUUUAAUAUAAAUGCAUAAUAUUUUACAAACAAGAAGAAAAAAUCGAAUUAGAGGUAAAAGUUAUUCUACGAUUUUAUUUUUUAUAUAUAUCUUGCAUGCUAUUCCCAAAAGCAAUCCCAAACGGCCUUUAAAGCAAUUUUACAAAAGCGGCCUGCACAUAUAUUGCCAACUUUGUUGGGAAUGGCAAUGGGGAGAGGAGGGGAAGAGACCGAACUCCCCGUACCCAUUCAUGAUAUUCUGCAUAUAUCCUCGUCCUCUCCUCAUUUCUCACAAAAUUGCUUUAGGAAAUCCCCCUCCCCUCCCCAAAUAAUAAUAGGGGAUCCUUGAAGGCCCUCGAUCCUCGAAUAACUGAUACGUUUUUUGUUUUAAAUUUUAAUUUAAUCAUAUUAAAAUAAAAAAUAAAAAUAAAAAUAAAGUUUGACGAUAUAUCUUAUAUUAACAUUAAUCUAUUACAAAAGUCACAUUACAAAGUAUAAAUCACCAUAAUAAUUAUCUUCGGCAAUCUUCAAAAUCAUAUAAUAAAAAAAAGAAAUUACUUUUAUAUCAACAAUGAGAUAAAUGAAAUGAAUAUAGAUACUUAAUCAAUAUUUCUAAUAAAAGUAUUUACCUCUGCGUCUCCUACUCUUCUUGUUCUUCCUCGAGGAAUGUGACAAAUUGAGAGAUAGCCUCAGAUUUCAAAUUUAAAACAAUAAAAAUGAUAUAAGUAAUGUAAAUUCUAAUUAAAAUAAACUCAUACUGCCAUUGUAAGCUUGUGGUCAACUUUGACAACAUAUUAAAGCCUCCAAUGUGCUUGAAUAAAGCGUGUUACGGUACUCUACCACUGGUGCUAAAAGCUAAUUCAGAAGCAACAUUUGUAAUUAGAAUUGCCAAAAUAUCUCUAGGUGCCAAUAUAGGAUAUCUAUAGACAUUUAUUUUACAAAAACUCAAAAUAUUAAAAUCUUUCAUCCUAAGCAUAACUUUCUCAUCCAAAUAUUAAUGUAGUCAAUUAGGCCUAAAUUUUAAUAAUAUAAUUUUUUUAAUUUUUUUAUUUAUACUAAUAUUUAAUAUUUUAUUAUUUAUUUACAAAUAAUUUUAAAAAAAUUAAAAUUAAAUCAAAAAAUUAGAAGGGGAUAGGGAUUCCGCCGCAUCCCCGUUCUUUCUCUGAAUAAGAAAUUGAGUAAAAAAACUAUCUCCGUCCACUUUCCAAAUAAAAAAUUAAGUAAAAAAUUAUGUACCCUCCUGAAUUGGGAAAAUCUCGAGGGUCAUGUCCCCGCGGCAAUAUCUGCCAUUCCUAAACUUGUAACAGCCAGUUGCUUUUGUGACUGUUUAUGUGACGGCUAGACUGCUCUCACUUAUGUUACUAACCACGUGACGGUAGAGAGCCAAUUGGCAUACUAUUUUGACGGUAGAGUUAUAAAUUUGUUUCUAAAUAGAAAACUAUUUGCUGAAGUCAAUAUUUUGAAAACCAAAGUCCCAAAUUCUCUCUCGUGCGUGCCUGGUCAUCCUAAACCUUACUGGUAGCCGGAGAAUGGCGUAAAACGGCAGCGAUCUUCUUCUUCAUCUUAUUCUCUCUCUCAUCGUUUCAGGUAAGCUUGUGAUUAUGAGUUUCUUCUCUUUCUUAGCUUGUAAUUAUAGGUUUUGAUUUCUUUAAUUCGUAUUGUAGCCAUUAAUGUCAAUUUUUGUCCCACCGGCAAUUUUUUUUUGUUCCUAGAAGUUGAAGCCCUUCUGUUCUUGUGCCAUUGGUGAGUUUGCUCACUCAAAUUAAUUUUGUUCUGCGGAGUUUACAAAGUUCAAAUGGAUUCAUUUGGAUUACUAUUGAAUUUAGCUUUAAUUCCAACAUCCAUUCUAAUGUUUUGCUAUUAGAUUUACUUUAAUUUUAUGUUUAAAGCUUCUACAAUGAAUAGCGGAGCUUGGGUUUUAGUUUCAUUUUCUCAUUAACUUCUUUUAGUUUAUCUUAUAUGCUCGCCAAGUGCUUGUUAUAUUGUCUGAUAAGUUAUAUAACAUUGCUGAUUCUAUAUUAGUAAUGUCAUGUUCCAUUUUCGGAAAUUAUAACACAAAAGUUUUUACAAUGGCUUGCAUCUGCAAACUGAAUUGACUUGUAGAGUAAGAGCUUGGAUUAGUGUUAUGUUCUUGAAUAAAUGAAAGUUCAUAUUGUGUAAGAGCAUGUAGAUGUAAAGCAUCACUACCAUUUCUACAAACUGCUUUCAUUUUGUUCAGAUGCUCCUCUUGAACUUUGAAAGGUGCCUCAUUCAAGUCCUAGCUAUAACUACUAGCUCUGAUUGCUUAAGUUCCUGUGCUAGCUGAAACAGAUUUAUUUAAUUAAUUUAUUGUGUAUGUACUAAUUAUAUUGAAAGUAUAUGAAGAAAUUGUUUAACAUGAAUGACUUCUAAAUGACUUAAAAGCCUAAAGGAUAUGUGAAAUAAUGCUCAUUUCACUUGAACGAGCCUAUUAAUACUUGUAUGUCUAUGAUUGUCAAUCUUGCUUAAGUGUUUCAGUUAAGUGGUUUACCAAACAGGGAAAAAAAUUUAAUGGAAAACUUUAGAGUUCUAACAGAAAUAUAGUUGACUGCAGAUAUAGUUAUUUUAUGGUACAUAAAUCAUAUUGUCCUAUUCUCAAUGUCCUACGACCUAUUUUAUUUUAUAUGGUCAUUCAUUUUUGCGAUGGUUUUUUGUGCUUAUGAGUAUGGAAAUAGUGGGAUUUGGUGUGGCAAACAAAAAUAUACAUAUAAUCAAGUUUCUUAAUCAUUGUGCUUAUGAGUAUGGAAAUAGUGGGAUUUGGUGUGGCAAACAAAAAUAUACAUAUAAUCAAGUUUCUUAAUCAUGUAUAUUGGUUUUGGGUAUGAAUGUUUUCCUAUUCUAGUUCUAGGCAAAGUUUCUUCAUUUUGGUCUUCAGAUUUCCAGUAGGUUAAAGUUAAGCAACUAUCAUAACUAGCUAGCUAGUUAUUUGCCUUGCCUUUGUCGCCAUUACUGACGCCAUUUACAUUGCAUGGCAUAAGGAAUAGUAACUAGGUGAUUAUUGGUGAUUCCUUGAGUUUAUUAUUGGCCAAACAAACAUAUUNNNNNNNNNNNNNNNNNNNNNNNNNNNNNNNNNNNNNNNNNNNNNNNNNNNNNNNNNNNNNNNNNNNNNNNNNNNNNNNNNNNNNNNNNNNNNNNNNNNNNNNNNNNNNNNNNNNNNNNNNNNNNNNNNNNNNNNNNNNNNNNNNNNNNNNNNNNNNNNNNNNNNNNNNNNNNNNNNNNNNNNNNNNNNNNNNNNNNNNNNNNNNNNNNNNNNNNNNNNNNNNNNNNNNNNNNNNNNNNNNNNNNNNNNNNNNNNNNNNNNNNNNNNNNNNNNNNNNNNNNNNNNNNNNNNNNNNNNNNNNNNNNNNNNNNNNNNNNNNNNNNNNNNNNNNNNNNNNNNNNNNNNNNNNNNNNNNNNNNNNNNNNNNNNNNNNNNNNNNNNNNNNNNNNNNNNNNNNNNNNNNNNNNNNNNNNNNNNNNNNNNNNNNNNNNNNNNNNNNNNNNNNNNNNNNNNNNNNNNNNNNNNNNNNNNNNNNNNNNNNNNNNNNNNNNNNNNNNNNNNNNNNNNNNNNNNNNNNNNNNNNNNNNNNNNNNNNNNNNNNNNNNNNNNNNNNNNNNNNNNNNNNNNNNNNNNNNNNNNNNNNNNNNNNNNNNNNNNNNNNNNNNNNNNNNNNNNNNNNNNNNNNNNNNNNNNNNNNNNNNNNNNNNNNNNNNNNNNNNNNNNNNNNNNNNNNNNNNNNNNNNNNNNNNNNNNNNNNNNNNNNNNNNNNNNNNNNNNNNNNNNNNNNNNNNNNNNNNNNNNNNNNNNNNNNNNNNNNNNNNNNNNNNNNNNNNNNNNNNNNNNNNNNNNNNNNNNNNNNNNNNNNNNNNNNNNNNNNNNNNNNNNNNNNNNNNNNNNNNNNNNNNNNNNNNNNNNNNNNNNNNNNNNNNNNNNNNNNNNNNNNNNNNNNNNNNNNNNNNNNNNNNNNNNNNNNNNNNNNNNNNNNNNNNNNNNNNNNNNNNNNNNNNNNNNNNNNNNNNNNNNNNNNNNNNNNNNNNNNNNNNNNNNNNNNNNNNNNNNNNNNNNNNNNNNNNNNNNNNNNNNNNNNNNNNNNNNNNNNNNNNNNNNNNNNNNNNNNNNNNNNNNNNNNNNNNNNNNNNNNNNNNNNNNNNNNNNNNNNNNNNNNNNNNNNNNNNNNNNNNNNNNNNNNNNNNNNNNNNNNNNNNNNNNNNNNNNNNNNNNNNNNNNNNNNNNNNNNNNNNNNNNNNNNNNNNNNNNNNNNNNNNNNNNNNNNNNNNNNNNNNNNNNNNNNNNNNNNNNNNNNNNNNNNNNNNNNNNNNNNNNNNNNNNNNNNNNNNNNNNNNNNNNNNNNNNNNNNNNNNNNNNNNNNNNNNNNNNNNNNNNNNNNNNNNNNNNNNNNNNNNNNNNNNNNNNNNNNNNNNNNNNNNNNNNNNNNNNNNNNNNNNNNNNNNNNNNNNNNNNNNNNNNNNNNNNNNNNNNNNNNNNNNNNNNNNNNNNNNNNNNNNNNNNNNNNNNNNNNNNNNNNNNNNNNNNNNNNNNNNNNNNNNNNNNNNNNNNNNNNNNNNNNNNNNNNNNNNNNNNNNNNNNNNNNNNNNNNNNNNNNNNNNNNNNNNNNNNNNNNNNNNNNNNNNNNNNNNNNNNNNNNNNNNNNNNNNNNNNNNNNNNNNNNNNNNNNNNNNNNNNNNNNNNNNNNNNNNNNNNNNNNNNNNNNNNNNNNNNNNNNNNNNNNNNNNNNNNNNNNNNNNNNNNNNNNNNNNNNNNNNNNNNNNNNNNNNNNNNNNNNNNNNNNNNNNNNNNNNNNNNNNNNNNNNNNNNNNNNNNNNNNNNNNNNNNNNNNNNNNNNNNNNNNNNNNNNNNNNNNNNNNNNNNNNNNNNNNNNNNNNNNNNNNNNNNNNNNNNNNNNNNNNNNNNNNNNNNNNNNNNNNNNNNNNNNNNNNNNNNNNNNNNNNNNNNNNNNNNNNNNNNNNNNNNNNNNNNNNNNNNNNNNNNNNNNNNNNNNNNNNNNNNNNNNNNNNNNNNNNNNNNNNNNNNNNNNNNNNNNNNNNNNNNNNNNNNNNNNNNNNNNNNNNNNNNNNNNNNNNNNNNNNNNNNNNNNNNNNNNNNNNNNNNNNNNNNNNNNNNNNNNNNNNNNNNNNNNNNNNNNNNNNNNNNNNNNNNNNNNNNNNNNNNNNNNNNNNNNNNNNNNNNNNNNNNNNNNNNNNNNNNNNNNNNNNNNNNNNNNNNNNNNNNNNNNNNNNNNNNNNNNNNNNNNNNNNNNNNNNNNNNNNNNNNNNNNNNNNNNNNNNNNNNNNNNNNNNNNNNNNNNNNNNNNNNNNNNNNNNNNNNNNNNNNNNNNNNNNNNNNNNNNNNNNNNNNNNNNNNNNNNNNNNNNNNNNNNNNNNNNNNNNNNNNNNNNNNNNNNNNNNNNNNNNNNNNNNNNNNNNNNNNNNNNNNNNNNNNNNNNNNNNNNNNNNNNNNNNNNNNNNNNNNNNNNNNNNNNNNNNNNNNNNNNNNNNNNNNNNNNNNNNNNNNNNNNNNNNNNNNNNNNNNNNNNNNNNNNNNNNNNNNNNNNNNNNNNNNNNNNNNNNNNNNNNNNNNNNNNNNNNNNNNNNNNNNNNNNNNNNNNNNNNNNNNNNNNNNNNNNNNNNNNNNNNNNNNNNNNNNNNNNNNNNNNNNNNNNNNNNNNNNNNNNNNNCCCCCCCCCCCCACCACCAAAAAAAAAAACAAAACAAAUAGGAAGACUUUGCAAGAUUCACAACCAGGUUACAUUUAAUUUAUUAAUUGUGUGUACGUACUAGUUAUUUGUUGAUAGAAUAGGAAGAAGUAUUUUAAUAUGAAUGACUUAAAACUUAUUGCUCAGUAAACAUAAUGUGCAUCAGUGCUAGAAAAUGUAUUUAUUGUUUGUAAUUUUUUAUGGUUUUGCUUAAGAAAUGAAAUGUGAAAAAAUGCUACAUUGUAUUAGGAAUAAAAUGAAGAGAUUUAUGAUUUUUAUGUGUUAUUCAAGUUUCAGAUUCAAUUUUAAACUUUUGAUACAUGCAUUGAAAGCUUAAACUCCUUUAAGAAAUUAUUAAUAGACACAUGUUUUAUUAGUGUCAUCUUCUGGAUGAUAGUGAGGAUCUUAUGUCUAUUAAUAAUUCUUGAAUUAUCUAGGCUUGGACAGUUUGGUAAUGCAUAGUUUUCUAUGUUAGCUAGUGCCUGAAAUUUUUUUCCCACGUAAAAAUGGGGUUUUCAGCAGCUGCUCCUCAUGUUCUCUGGGUGCAUACUAGACAAAUGGGUGUCAUGUGUUGUUUUGGCAUAACACAUAAACACUCAUAUAUCUAUGUCGUGUACUUGAAGAACUAUAGGGAGAUGCUUCCGAAGUUUCUAUAAACGUAGAGGAAAACUUUAGAUACUUAAGAUUGAAGAAACUUAUGCAUUCUUGAGUGGGAUAUAUAGGACCACUUACCUUUUGUAAAUAUGAAGGGAAUGUUGGAUAUAUUGAUGGGAGUGGAGGAGCUGAGUGGGAUGAAUGUAAUCGGUUAUGAUUUUGCUGAGUCGACUUGGUUUUGAGUCUUGUAAUUUUUUUUAUAAAUGGAGUACUAUCUCCAAUGUUGGUUUAUAAAUAUGUUUCAGCUGGCUGACCUAAUUUUUUGUUUCUAGGUAACAGGCUUUAUAUAUCUGUAAUUGAUAGCCAAGUGAAGUUCUCAGCAGUGGGUGAGGAUAUUUCUUUACAGAAGGUAUUGCAAACUGUUUUUUAGAUUAAUUAUUAUUGUAUAUAUACUUUAAUUUUCACAUCUUUUUCUCUGAUUCUUGUGGCUUUGCUUGCUUCCAUAUAUAUAAAACCAUAAAAUUGUAUAAUAAUUUUUUUUAUUAUAUUGCGAAACUGCGCACACAUGAAAAUAUCUUGUUUAGUAGUAGAAAUGAAGAAUUAAAGUGAUUUAUUUAACUAAUUUUUCUAGUGCAAUAAAAGGAGAUAGUCAUGGACCAGAGUUGGGUUGGUUUGCCAAAUAGAUAUCCAAUUCAUAUACUGAUGGGGGUCAAAAAAUUUAUAGAUUUUGCAUUUGAGAAUGUUGUUGGUGAUAAAAGAAUUUAUUGUCCUUCUAAGAGGUGUUGUAAUAUCGAUAUUUCAUUAUAAGGAAAGUGGCAAGAGACCAUAUCAUUAUAAAUGGCUAUUGGUUAAAGUAUUAAAACUGGAUAUUGGAGGGUGAGCCAUCUUCAUCUUUGAAAUCUAACUAAGAAACAGGUUAGUCAUGACUCGGGUAGUGAUGCUAGUAUGGUUGGAAUGAUGCAUAAUGCAUCACGUAAUCAAAUGUUCAAGUCACACGCAGCAUUGUUAUGGACUAUCUCCGACUUUCUAGCAUAUGCCAACUUGUUUGGGUGGAGUAUUAAAGGUAAAUAAGCAUUUCUUGUUUGCCAACAAAACACUAGAUCUAAUUGGUUGAUACAUAGUAGAAAAUUGUCACGUGGGUCACUGUCGAUUUUUACCAACAAAUCAUAGGUUCCGAAAAUAUAGUGCCAUCUGAUAAAACUGGAGAGUGGGGACAAGCACCUUCUCGGUUGUCUGGAGCUGAGGUGAAAAAGCAGUUCAAUAAUGUACUUACUGAGUAUAAGAUUGAAGAUUUGAAAAGAGGAGAAUGAAUAAAAUGAAAGAAAUGAUAAGAUUACUUGGAAGAAGAAAAGCAUUUUUAAUGAACUAACGUAUUGGGAGUUCAAUUUGAUUCAUCAUAAUCUUGAUGUCAUACACCGUUUUUAUUUUUGUUAUGAACUCAGAUCAAAAGUUUAAUGUGAUCAAAAUUUCUUAAAAAUAGUGAAAAAGACUCCUAAUAAUAUGGAAGAUGGCUAUAAAAGAUAAUUUCUUAAAAGUUUAAUGUGAUCAAAAUUGCUUGUGAACGCAAGGGUUUUAGUUACACUGUCAACGCUGUCAAUGUAGUGAUACAAUGAAGAUGAAGUAAAGCAUUAGUAGAAUAAUGAAGUUGACCAGUAACACAGUAAAGCAUAUUUUAUUCCAGAGCAUGAAAACUUUUAAACAGUAACACAGCUCUUAUUCCAGAGGCUGCACACGAGUGACCUGAAUCUUCUUCAGAACUUUCAAAUUUUAUCAAGCAAAGAUUUCAAAAUCCUUGCCUUCCUAAGUUGGGAAAAAUAGAUGUGGAGCAAACCAAAUGAAAUAAAUGGGUAAACAGAACAAGCAGGGCAAAAAUUAAAAAUGAUAGCAAUUAACAAAUUAAUAGCAAUGUUACAUUUGACUCUUUAGCCCUUUGUUCCUUCUCUUAGCAUUCUUCAAAGUUUUUGAAAAUAGGAUGUGAAGCAAACAAAAUAAAAUAAAUUUAGACAACACAUGCCCUGUAUUCAGCAUCAUAUAUAUCUCGAAUAUCUAACAUAAUAAAUUUCACAUCUAAAAUACUAGAAUUUCAAACAGUACUAGUAGUGAAAAAAUGAUGACAACAACAAAAAUAGAAAAUUACAAGACUGCUGAUAAAAUUUCAUUUGCAUGCAUGUCUGACAAAAUUUCCGUGAUUUAAUGUGCUUUCAUGAACGCAAGUCCUAACGUUUCUGUGAUCACAAAAUGAAACUGAAGAUAAAACAGAACAACUACCAAACCUUUCAAGCUUGACGAAGCCAUGAGAAUUGAUAGCUCAGGCUCUGAUACCAAGUAAAAGUUUCUAAUCUGUUUGGUAAGUAAGAAAAUGAGAGAAAAUGAAAGAAAGAACAGAGAUCAUCUAAGAGCUGGAUUUGAUAAGUAAAUAUGAAUCAUCCAUUCAUUAGCUGAUUGCAAAUGUAUUUAUACAAGUGAUGGUUGUCGAAGCCAACAAAAAUAAAUUCCUACUAUAAAUAAAUUGUGUAUAGUGAUUGAGCAGGGUCGUGUCCACAGAGAUCGGUAAUUAUUUAAAUCCUUUUGAAACGUAAAACGUAAAAUGGGGGAAUUGUUGACAAUAAUAAAAAUCAAAUUAAAAUAACAAGAAUACAAAUUAAAGUUGUAAUUCAAAUUGGAGAAAGCUCUGGUUGAAGGAAUUAACUCAGCUUGAUUCGACUACUGAUCAUUGAUUCAAAUAUAGAUUAUUAUUACUUAUGAAUAGACCGGUUAUAGCUACUGAGACCCUCUAAUAGCCAAUCUCUCCUUAACUAGUCGAUAACCAAGGUAUGACCGUUGGUUAUUUCCCUAAUCAAUAGACAACCCUAGAUACGAUCAUAGGAUUUAAUCAAUUGACAACCUGAAAGACCAGAGAGACCCAAAUCCUAAUCAACACAUACGAUGAUUCAUUUAAAUUAGAUUGUUUAUUCUCAUAACACAACUCACUGCUAUGUUAUUCGUCACAAACAUUAAAAGCUUCAUACGAUGAAUCCUUUAAUUAACAAUAGAUUAAGUUGAUAAUUAAAUAGUGGCCAAUUACCUAAUUAACAAACAUAAUCAUGAAAAUAAUUCAGAGAAUAAACAAAUACCCAAAAAGUAAUAAAACAAUUAAAGUAUAAAAUAGAUCUCACAGUAGUGAUGAAUCAAAACUUCAUUAUCCUUCAACCAGAAAAAUAAGUUUAGUUCUUCAUAGAGAGAAGAGAAAAGUUUAGAUCUAGGGUUUCUCUCUUUUUCUCCAAUCCCCAUUUUUCACAAUAGAUUCCUCCCUUAAAUACUCUCUCUCUCUUCUCUUUUAGAAUUCUAUUUAAAAUAAAAUACUAAUAUCUGAAAUAUUAAAUUCGUAAUUACAAAAAUAACCAAAAAUACAAAACACGUUAAACUAAAAACUGCAGGUCCGCAGUUGACAGCACGUGCCCACGCCUUAUCAACAAAGUUCUUCUGACGCUCAUAAUUUCUCCAAGAGAACAAUCAUCCUUAAACAUCAUCUUGUAACUCAAUUUUAUCACCAAUCAAUAGAAUUGCACCUACAAAAGUAAAACACAAGUAAAUCACUAUUAUUAAGUGCAAAACAUCGAUAUUAAGGGAAGUAAACAAUGCAAAACUAGUGCAUAAAUUGCACUCUAACAACAAGGUUCCUGAACAUUUCAGAUUCUAUAUGCUCGAGCUAAGCACCUGAGAGUUGAGCAGUGUGCACUAACAAACUGCUAACAAAAUAACUAACUCAUGCCAGCUCAGCUAACACGUCAGUAACUCUAACUAUCUUGCUUAACAAACUGAAACAAUAACUAACCAUUUUAACUAUCUUAACAAUCCCAAUAAUUUCUCCAUUUGUGUACUUUUUUGAAUCAUAAUCAAAUGGAUAAAUGUUGCAACUAUUUUUUUAGAUAUUUUCACUUUAGGAUGUCAGCCCGAGGAAGUACGGGGGUCUGAGUUAUUCAACUGAAAAUGUCGGCCAAGUUCUUGCCAUCUCAAGUGCAAAACUGAAAAUGUUACUCGUUCUUCUUAACUUGUUUUCUCAUGCAUCAACCCCACAAAACUGCUCAUUGAAGGGGUAAAAUUUUGAACACACCAUGUGGCAUUUAGACCAUUUGAUAGUUUGUUUCAAACAUAUUUGUUUAUAAAAUACUUUUCUUCAUGGAUUUGGUUACGUAAUUGUCUAUGUAUGUACAGGUUUUAUCGAUACCUCUUUUGACAAGUUACAUAGCAAUGUUAUCUGGGUUCAGCCGUGCCUUAUUGAUAAACUGUGCUUCUGUAAUGAAGAAUGUUUUAUCUGUAAGUGGAUAUCCUAAUCGUUGAUCCAUAUCCAUAAGCAAGUAUGUAUAAAAUUAUUUUAUGUCUUUUUUAUUAGAAAUGUUGUAAUUCUUUUUUACUCUUCCUGAAUUAUAACAGCAGGUGUCUAUAAUAACUGGAUUGUUCCUUCUGCAAAACAGAGCAGUGGUAAAUAUUUUUUUCUUUUGUUUGUCUAGUACAUUUCCAUGAUUUCAGCUUUUUCAAAUUUUGUAUGUGUCAAAGUUUAAAUUUAAUUUGUUGGUUUAUGGCAACAACAGGAACAGAAUCAAAGAGGAGCUGCCAAUGGACUGCUAUGACUGUAGAGUCGCUUACCAAAACUGCUGGUUCAGCUGUAGGAGGUGCUAUGUAGGCGUCCUAUUGAUUUUGUAAAAUUAUAUGUAAAUGAUGUCAUAAUUUUUAUUGUCUCCCCCACCCCCUCUCCCCAAAAAAAAAAAAAAAUUAAAAAAUUAAAAACUAAGGCAUGAUUAAAUUGAUCAUUUGUUUGGUAACAACUUGAUUAAUCGGGUUCUGGCAGAUUUUCUUGGUCACAAAAGCGUCAAGAUGCUGGUUUCCUCCCAGGUAUGAUGAUUUACUAAUGAAAUUUAUCACUAGUAUGUGAAUUACUUGGUGCUAAUUAACUUAAUCAGCUGCUUAAAUUAAAGUGCAGGUAACCUUAUUUUUUUUUUCUUUUUACAAUAAUACUCUUGGAAUAAUAUUUCUGGGAAUAUUAAUGAAAAAUGGUAAUUCAUCCAGCCAGCCUUAAACAAAAUAAAUAUUAAUAAAAACUUUUAUGUUAUUAUUUUAGUUUUAGGACUAAUUUCGUAAAUUAAAUUUUUUAUGCAUUUAUUAGUAAGACUGCUUUAAGAAUAUUAAACAUUACUUUAAGUUGGCUGAUAUUAAUUUAUUUAUAAAUAAUUAUUAGCAAGAUUGUUGUAAAAGUACAAAAAAUACUAGUUAUUUCAUAUUGAUAUUUAUUGAUUAAUUUGGCAAUUAACUUUUUUAUAAAUAAAUUAAUUAAUUUAAGAAUAUUAUUGCCAAGAAAUUAUUGUAAAAGUAAAUAAAAUUUAAGGAAAAAAUGCAACAUAUUUAAUAUCAAGGUAUAUUGAGGUAUUUUUCAAAAUAUAAAGACAAAACAAGCACUGAAAUUAAAAUACAGAUACCAAACAAGCAUUUUCUCUCUUAGAAAAUUUUAUAUUUUAUUAAUGAAAGUCUAAAUAACAAAAUUAGGGUUUUGGACUCCUUUUAAACUAAGCCUAAAUAUCACGAAUUUACCAAUAUAGUAAACCUAAAAUAUUACUGCAUAAUAACAUUCUCCUAACUGAAAUAAGAUAAAUACUACUUCAAUUCUAUAUCUAAAUGAAAAAAAGAUAAAAAUCUUGAAAACAAUAGGAAAAUAGAACUUAAACUUGUAAACUAAUAUGAAAUAAAUAGAAUUCUCAAUCGAACCACGAGGCUAAUGCGGUGCUACAGUAUUAGAUUAGAUUUCCCUCAUUGCUAACUUCGAAAUGGUAUAUUAUACACCCUAUAUAGGUACUUAUAGCUAAGGGUGGGCAUGUGUUGGUUUGGGUUAGGUUUUAAGUCAAUCCAAACCAAACCAUAAAAUUUUGGGUUCAACCCAAAUUAACCCAAAUAUUUUUAACCCAACCCAAACCAACCCAUUUGGGUUUGGUUUGAAUUUUAUAAUUAAAAUAUUUUUUAUUUUAAUAAAUUUAACUAUAUCAAAUUAUAAUACUUAUUAAUUAAUAUUAAUUAUUAAAUUAAUAUUAAAAUACGAAAAAAUGUAGUGGAUAAAAAUUAUGAAUAAUGGAUUUUACAAUAACUUUGUUCUUAAAUAUUAACCAUAUUACAACAUAAAUUCUACCAAUGUCAAUACAAAUUAAAGUAAGAUAAGAUAUCUCAACUCAAGUAUCAAAGCAAUCCAUCAAAAUUAAAUUAUUUAAUUUUAUAAAUUUAAAUCUUCCGAGAAAUAAAUCUAAAAUUUAUUGUAAUUAGAAAAAAUGCCAAAAUUUUAAAUGCAGUAAGAAAAAUUAGACAUGAAAUCUAAUUAGGUUUAAAUUUAAUUAAAAAAUAACAAUAGAAUCAUAUUUUAUUUGAUAAAAUCUUAUAAUCAAUUACAUUUUUAAUUUUAGUAAGUUACAAUACAAAUAGGAUUAUAAAAUUAUAUUAGAGGAUUUCAUAAAAAUAUUGUUUGAGUAAUUUAUUAAAAUGUUAAUUUAGUCUUUUAACUCAAGUUGAGACCGUAAAAAAUUGUUAUAUAAUAGUGUAUUGUACAACCAAUUGCAUAUGUAUUUGCCCUAUGCAGCACUUCUAUUAUUAUUAUAUAAUAAUAAUUAGUAGUAGUAUAAUUACUAUAUAAUAAUAAUUAUUAGUAGUAUAAUUAUUAUAUAAUAAUAAUUUUAAUAAAAAAUUAUUAUUAAAAUAUUGAUUUAUCCUUUUAUUUUGUUUAAUUUAUUUUUCAUUAAUAUGUUAUUUUGAAUUUGUUCAUGACCCAUGGGUAAACCAUACCCAAGCCAUUGUAAAAUAAUUUCUUUCAUAAAAAUCCAAAUUUAACUCAUUUCAUGAUUUAUCCAACCCAAACCAUUUUAUUUGGUUUGGGUUUGGGUAAACCCAUGGGUUGUGGGUUUAUGCCCACCCCUACUUAUAGCUCAAGUUAUUACCUUAGAGAGAUACCCUACGCAUCCUACACAACCAUCCACUGCAUCAAAGUCGUUCCAAAACAGUAGUUCACAGUUGGUACUGCACAUGAUACUUGUUUCUCCUUUUGCAUCUACUUUUGUUGUUAACAUUAAUUUCAAUAGCAGCUCAUUAUGUAUGCAACAUUUCAAAAUUAAUCCAAAAAAACAAAAAUUAGUUCAGCUGACCAAAUUUGAAAGCAUGGAUUUGCUGUCGAUUAAAAAUCGUUUUGUAGGGAAAAUUUUUGGAUUGCAAUUCUCAUACAAUACAUAGAAUUAUCAUAAUCUAUAAAUUGUAUUUUUGCUUUUCUACGGUAGUAAGUCAAGAAUCCUACUUGUAUUUUUGCUUUUCUACGGUAGUAAGUCAAGAAUCCUUAGUGACAAUUUAAAUUGAAAAAAUAAAAUCAUAAAUAAGAAUUAUUUGAUAAGAAUUAAAAUAAUUGAUAAAUAUUUGAGAGGAGCAAUUUUGGAAGACUCGAUUUCUAAUAGGAGGGGAAUUUGAAUUUUACAACCUUCCGUGAGGAAUCCAAAAUGCACAAUUUGAUGAAAAUUAAAUUUCAAUAGAAAUUGAAUUCCCAUACAUUAGUGAAAACCAAACAACAGAAAAGUGAAAGGAAUUUGAAUUCAUUUCCUUCCCGUCUCAUCCCUCCAACUAAAUACCAUCGAUACCCAAAGGUAUGUGAUUGGGAUUCCAUACUGAUCAGAAUGGGAUUUGUCCAUAUUAUUAGGACCAAUUUUAAAAGCAGUCGGAGUUUAAAAUUGAAAUUAAUCCCAAUUUUUUAUUUGGGACUAGAUAAGAAUUUAUAUUGGAACUCCAAUUCUCCCAAUUAUUUUAGUUGAUAAUAUGUUUAACAUUAUUAAUUGCAUAUUAUUUAAUUAUCAGUAUAUAAUAUUCUUUAAUUUUCCAAUUUUAUAGGAUUAGACACAAAAUUGAUUAUGCCUUCUGAAAUUUAAGGGUUAUGUCAAUUGAACAGAAAACUUGGAGUUGAACUUUUGGAUGUUUUUGUUGAUUAUCAAUUUAUGCAUGAAUUUUUGUACGUUUACUUUGGUUUAUUAUUGUUACUUUUAGACAUUUUUAUUGGUUUGAUUUAGGGUCAUUUUGGUAAUCUUGUAAUUUUUAAAAUAGUUACAGUUAGCUAUGCUAUAGAAAUUGAUAAAUCGUGAAGAGAAUCAGCUGAACAUUUAGUAAAAUUUAUUUUUAAAAGUACUUUAGUUUUAAAAGCAGUUGUAUGUGUUUCGUAAAUCUUAUUUUUAAACAGGUGCAAGAAUAUAAAUAACUAAAUUGGACAUAAUGCUAAAUAAAAUUUAUUUACACAUUUACAAACAUGUAUAUAAAAUAUUUUUAUUAUGUACAUAUAAUUAUUGAUAACUAAAAUAAAUAUUUUAUAUUAUUAAAUUUUAUUCUUUAUUUUGUUAUCUCAAUAUAAUUGGUAAUAAUAAUAAUCUCUUAAAGUUAAUGAUUUUAUUUCUUAAUUAAUAAAGAUAAUUCUGGAUUUUUAUUAUAGAAUGAGGAUAUAUAUAUAUAUAUAUAUAUAUAUAUAUAUAUAUAUAGAAUUGGAUUAAGUAUAAAAGUGAUUUUCAAAAUCAAAUUUUGAAAAACUAUUCCUUCCAUACUUCUCAAAAUCCUCUGUAUGAUGAGAUGAUUUUUCCAAAAGUAAUUGCUAAAAAAUUAUAAAACACUAAAAAUUAGGUUUUAGUUUUUAAAAUCACUUUUGAGCUUCCCAAAAACAAGCCUAACGGGCCUUUAUUUGGGUGGUGUAGGAACUUAUAACUUUUGGAUCAUUUAGUUUUUAUUGGUUUGAUACAAUUGUUACACUAAAAAUUGAAUGUAUCUUAAACCCCAAACUUCUUCUUCUUCUUUUUUGAUUGCACAAAAUUAAAAACAAUAGUGAACGCAUUCUUUAAUAAACAAUAAGUAAUUACUAAAAUUGUGUUAAAGAAUUUAGUUGAAACAUAAAUUGAUUUCAAUGUUGUAUAUGCUAAAUUUCUUAAAAAUUUUCUUUCACGGUCUGCUGAAUAGUUUUAUUAGUAUUUUUAUUAUAUAAAAAUAAUUGAUUUAAUUUUUUAAAGAAAUUUAUUAGGUUCAUGUAAAUACGUUUUUGUUAUUUAAAAAGUGUACAAAGUAAAACUUAAUUUUUUAAAUUUAUUAGAUGAGUGGAUAAAAUAAUUGAGUGUUCAUAGUAAAUUUUAAGUAUAGAUAGUCAGACCCUAAUAUUUUUAAUAUAUGGAAAAUUUGAAAAUAUGUUAAUGAGAAUUAAAAUGAUAAUUAAGGGAGGCAUUCGAGACAUUCAGGAUUGUUAGGAUAGGACAUGAUUGUGAGCGGUUUGAGAUUGGCCCUAAUUUUGAUCACAAAUAUAUAAGCAGGAUGUUUAUCCAUACUUACAUUCCAUUUGAUAAUUAAGAUGAGAGUGGAAUUGUCAAAUCCCAAAUUAUCCCGGACCAUUGCCACCAAAGGUACUCUCACUAAUAAUAUCUAAAGAAAAAUCUACAUCUAUUUCAUACUUUUUUUUUAAACGGAAAGAGCCCUUAUGGGGCUUGAAAUAGUAUCCUAAAUAAUAUUCAGAAUAUCAGGCCAUGACUGGGUUUGUAACAAACAAAUAUUACAUAGUUGGGAUACGUAGUUACUAGUGUCCCAAUUUAUGUAGUAUCUAUCAUUUAGUACACAUAUAAAGUGUUUGGGACAUGAAAUAGGGUGACCAAGAUAAGGUGUUUGCUCAUACAAUAUCGUGCUCUUCUCAAAGUAAAAAGUGAAAAAAUAGUUGAUAGGCUACUAGGAGUUUAUUUGGUCACCUCGAGCACAUCAUCUCGACCAGGAUAUUAUUUGGUGAUCUCGAGCACAUCAUCUUGACUAAGAGAUUAUUUGGUCACCUUGAGUAUAUCACCUCGACCAGGAGAUUAUUUGGUGACCUCGAGUAGAUCAUCUUGAUCAGGAGGUUACCAGGAAGCACGACUCAGUCAAAACAAAUCUCACUUAUUUUCUUCGAAAUAUUAGGGAUCAUAUUCUUAGUGGGCUGAAAAUUAGUGAUUUUCUUAAGAGUUUUAGGUGAGAGGAUAAAAACCGCUAUAAUUUGCUAUAAAAACCCUGGGAAGGGAGGGAAAUAGGGAGAUUCUUUUUAUCUCUCUCUCUUUGGGUGACUGAACCCAUGGGAUCUUUUUCUCUCUACCACUGGGAAACUUCUCUUUCUCUCAUGAUUUAUUUUUCUUUAAGAUUGGUUAUUUUUUAUUCUUUUCCCAUAAAUUUACUUAAAAGCUUUUUGUUUAAAGUAUUCAUAAUUAAGCCGCGUGAAUUGUGGUACAAAUUUUUCCAAGUAGACCUAAAUCGCUGACUUGAGCGUCGGAGGAUUUUCUUUAAGAUUGAUUAUUGUUUCCAUAAAUUUGAACCAAGAAGGAUGACGCGAUAAAAUUUGUUUUUUAUUGUAUGGUUGAUUUCAUAUCUCAUGCACUCAUUUCUUAAGAUAAUUAGAUUUCAUCUUUUGCAAAUGUGGAAAUAUCAAUAAUGAUCAAUCAAAACGAUCUCAAAACCUUUCAACGCGACAUAUUUAUAAUACAAUAUUGUGAAAAUUACACCAAAAAUUUAAUUUAUGAUAUAUUAUUAUCCCACCAGCACACAGAAAUGAAUUCGUACAAAUCUAAAAUACUUAGCAAUUUUCAAAUAGAAUUUUAAAUUUAUUUCCAGUUAGAAAACUAUUCGCUGGACUCCGUAUUACUAGCCACCAUCGUAAGCCUAACCGGUUGCCGGCGAACGGCGUAAAACACCAGCCAUCUUCUUCUUCAUCAUAUUCUCCUUUCAUCUUUUGAGUUAAGCCUGUGAUUAUGAGUUUCUUCUCUUACUUAGCUUGUAAUUAUAGAUUUUGAUUCUUUUUAAUUCGUAUUGUAGCCGUUAUUGUCAAUUUUUGUCCCGCCAGCAAUAUUUUUUUAUUCCUACAAGUUGAAAAUGGAUUCAUUUGAAUUACGAUUGAAUUUAGCUUUAAUUUCAAUAUCCAUUCUAAUGUUUUGCUAUUAGAUUUACUUUAAUUUUAUGUUUAAAGCUUCUACAAUGACUAGCGGAGCUUGGGUUUUAGUUUCAUUUUCUGUAACUUGUUUUAGUUUAUCUUGUAUGCUCACCAAGUGCUUGUUAUAUUGUCUGAUAAUUUAUAUACAUUGCUGAUUCUAUAUUAAUAAUGUUAUGUUCUAUUUUCAGAAAUUAUAAUACAAAAUUUUUUACAAUGGCGUGCAUCUACAAACUGGAUUGACUCGUAGAAUAAGAGCUUGGAGUAGUGUUAUGUUCUUGAAUAAAUGAAAGUUCAUAUUGUGUAAGAGCAUGUAGAUGUAAAGCAUCAUUACCAUUUCUAUAAAGGACUUUCAUUCUGUUCAGAUGCUCUUCUUGAACAUUGAAAGGUGCCUCGUUCAAGUCCUAGCUAUAACUACUAGCUUUGAUUAAUUAAGUUCCUAUACUAGCUGAAACAGAUUUAUUUAAUUAAUUAAUUGUGUAUGUACUGAUUAUAUUGAAAGUAUAUGAAUUUUUUUUUUUUAACAUGAAUGACUUAAAAACCUAAAGGAUAUGUGAAAUUAUGCUCAUUUCACCUGAAUGAGCCUAUUAAUACUUUUAUGUCUAUGAUUCUCAAUAUUGGCUUAAGCAUUUCAGUUCAGUGGUUUACCUAACAGAGAAAAAAAUUUAAUAGAAAACUUCAGAGUUCUAACAGAAAUAUAGUUCACUAUGCAGAUAUAGUUAUUUUAUUUUAUAUAGUCAUUAAUUUUUGCCAUGGUUUUUUGUGUUUAUGAGUUUGAAAUAGUGGGAUUUGGUGUACCUUAGCAUCUUUUGAAAAUUCUCUUUAAGUGUGGCCAACAGAAAUAUACAUAUAAUCAAGUUUCUUAAUCCUGUAUAUUAGUUUUGGGUAUGAAUGUUCCUAUUCUAGUUCUAGGCAAAGCUUCUUUGUUUUGGUCUUCAGAUUUCCAGUAGGUUAAGUUAAUCAACUAUCAUAACUGGCUAGCUAGUUAUUGUCUGCCCUGGCGCCAUUACCCAGGCCAUUAUAUUGCAUAGCAUAAGGAAUAGUGAUUAGGUGAUUAUUAGUGAUUUGUUGAGCUUAUUAUUGACCAAACAAAUGUAUUCGCCUUUGGCCACAACUUAGUUUGAUUAGUUAUUAGACCAUAAAGAGCCUUGAUCUAUUCAUUGGCUUUAUUAUUUUUAUUUGGUUUUUCUUUCAACAACAUUGUUGAUAUCUUAUAAAAAUAUUCAGUGGUUUUUAAACACCUAAUCAUUGGCUAUAUUAAGCUAAUUAAAACUGAGGCUUUGGAUCAAUUUCUUCUAACAAGAUACAAAUGAGCAAAACCUUUCUCCUCUAAGUAAAUUUUUUUAAUAUCCCUUGAAUUGUAAGGAUCUGGAGGCGUGAAUCCUCUUGAUUUUUUUUAACACUGUCAAUGUUCUUUUUAUUCUGAGAAGGAAAUAAAAGGUUUUAUCUUUCAUACCCGAAUAGUAAGCUGGCCUUGUCUUAACAUGGCCUCCCGAGGACUUGCAAGAUUCAUAGUGUCCCCCACCCCAAAAAAAAUAUAAAAAACACAAAUAGGAAGAUUUUGCAAGAUUCACCACCAGGUUUUUUUUAAUUUAUUAAUUGUGUGUACGUGCUAGUUAUAUGUUGAAAGAAUAGGAAGAAGUAUUUCAACAUGAAUGACUUAAAACUUAUUGCUCAGUAAACAUAAUCUGCAUCAGUGCGAAAAUGUAUUUAUCGUUUGUAUUUUUUAUGGUUUUGCUAAAGAAAUGAUAUGUGAAAUAAUGCUACAUUGCAUCAGGAAUAAAUUGAAGAGACUUAUGAUAUUUAUGUGUUAUUCAAAUUUCAGAUUCAAUUUUAAACUUUUGAUACGUGCAUUGAAAGCUUAGACUUGUUUAAGAAAUUAUUAAUAGACACAUGUUUUAUUAGUGUCAUCUUUGGAUGAUAGUGAGGAUCAUAUGUCUAUUAAUAAUUCUUGAAUUGUCCAGGCUUGGACAGUUUGGGAAUGCAUAGUUCACUCUGGUAGUUAGUAGCUGAAGUUUUUUCCCACGUAAAAAUGGGUUUUUCGGUAGCUGCUCCUCGUGUUCUCUGGGUACGUACUAGGUGAAUGGGUGUCAUGUGUUGUUUUGGCAUAACGCAUAAACACUUAUAUAGCUAUGUCGUGUGCUUGGAGAAUUAUAGGGAGAUGGUGCCGAAAUUUUUAUAAACGUGGAAGAAAACUUUAGGUACUUGAGAUUGAAGAAACUUAUGCAUUCUUGAGUGGGAUAUGUAGGAUUACUUACCUUUUGUAAAUAUGAAGGGAAUGUUGGAUAUAUUGGGGAUAGUGUAGGAGCUGAGUUGGAUGAAUGUAAUUGGUGAUGAUUUUGCUGAGCUGACCUUGGUCUUGAGCUUGUAAUUUUGUUUGUAAAUGGAGUGCUAUCUCCAAUGUUGGUUUAUAAAAAUGUUUCAGGACUUGCUGAUCUAAUUUUUUGUUUCUAGGUUACAGGCUUUAUAUAUCUGUAAUUGAUAGCCAAGUGAAGUUCUCAGCACUUGGCAAGGAUAUUUCUUUACAGAAGGUAUUGGAAACUGUUUUUUACAUUAAUUAUCGUUGUUUAUAUACUUUGAUUGUCACAUCUUUUUCUCUGAUUCUUGUGGCUUUGCUUGCUUUCAUAUAUGUAAAUUCUAAUGAAAUUAACCAUAAAAUUGUAAAAUGAUCUUUUUAUUAUAUUGCAAAACUGUGCACACACGAAAAUAUCUUGUUUAGUAGUGGAAAUGAAGAACUAAUUUUUGUCGCGCAUUAAAAGGAGAUAGUCAUGGACAAGUGUUGGGUUGGUUUGCCAAAUAGAUAUCCAAGUCAUAUACUGAUGGCGUUGAAAAAAUUAUAGAUUUUGUAUUUGAGAAUGUUGUUGGUGGUACAAGAAUUUAUUGUCCUUCUUGAUAAGUUUUGUAAUCUAUAUUUCGUUAUAAGGGAAGUGGCUGAUGAUGAUAUGGUUGGAAUGAUACAGUGCAUCACGUAAUCAAAUGUUCAAGUUACACGCAGCAUUGUUAUGAACUAUCAGUGGCAACUUGUCUGGGUGGAGUAUUAAAGGUAAAUAAGCAUGUCUUGUUUGCCAACAAAGCACUGGAUCUAAUUGGUUGAUACAUAGUAGAAAAUUUUGUCACGUGGGUCACCGUCGAUUUUUCCCAACAAAUCAUAGGUUUCGAAAAUAUAGUGUCUUUGAAUAAAACUAGAGAGUAGGGACAAGCACCUUCUCAGUUGUCUGGAACUGAAGUGAAAAAGCAGUUUAAUAUAUUUACUGAGUAUAAGAUUGAAGACUUGAAAAGAGAAGAACGAAUAAAAUGAGAGAAAUGAUAAGAUUACUUGGAAGAAGAACUGCAUUUCUUAAGAUUACUUGGAAGAGAAAUGAUGUGGAAGAUGGCUAUAAAAGAUAAAAGGAAAGGCUUAAAAAGAAAAGCCAUGCCUGUCAAAAACAAAAAAACAAUUGCAGCGUCAAAUUUAUAACACAAAUCAAAACGGUGCGUUUGAGAGUGUAUAAAAUACAUUUAGAGUGGGAGUUGUGUUGUUGCUUGAAGGCAGAAUGUUUGUGAGAUAUUUGUCGACGAAGCCGAAACCAAAGAUGAAGCCCAUCAAAAGCAUUUAUAGUGUAAAAAGUAUAUUGUGGAAAUGUCUGGUCGGUAAUACAACUAUUUCUUGUAGUGUAAAUGAUACACUAAUUUGAAUUUAUAUGCUUUUAUGAUUAUUUGAUUAUCAAGUGGUGAUCAUAUGUGAUGAUAAACUUAGGUCGUACCUUUAUAUUUAUUGCCUUAGUUUUCUAAGCGUUCACAUUUUGAUGAGUAAAUUAAGGAUUUCAAGAUGAAGUACAUAAUUAGAUUAAUGCUAAGAAACUGAAGUUUGAUCGAUUGAAAACGAAAAUAAUAAUAAAGGUAAUUAAGAAAAUGAACAAUAUAUGCAGAAGCGGUCCUUAUUAGUACUUCUAGAUUUUCUCUUGGGCUUUCCUUAUUAUUGUUAAAAAAUGACACGAAGAACUUUGAGUUUAAAAAUCUGGCCCUGAUGCCUGGUAGCCCUUCAACAUAUGAAGAACCAGAUGUUUUGAUGAGAAAAUGACAAGACCAUUUAUCAAAUUUCUUGUGGAUAUAAAUACAUACACAUAGACGAGGCCAACCUCCUCAAAUGAGAAUCAGAGUGAUUACAAGACCUUGCAAUGAGACAAUGAUACACCAUCAAAUGUCAAAAUACAAUAGAAAUUCACGACAUAUAUAUAAUAAAAGACCUCUCAUUGAGUCAUAUAUAUUGAGAAUAAAAAUGUUAUAAUACAUACACAGAGCUUAGUUAGAAUAAAAUGUCUUUGAACUUGCGAUGAUCAAACAAAGGAAACAGACAGGUUGUAACUCACACUAUCACAGAUGUAGCGACACGAUGCAGUGAAUCACAAGAAGAUCACGAAGAUGGAAACGGGAACCCCUCAGAAUGUAAACUUUGAAUAGAGGAAAAAAGAAAAACGUCCUUAUUUCAAAUUGUGCACAGAAGAAGAGUGACUUAAAUCUUCAUCAGUAUCCAGGCAUUCUGCAAUCAUAAAGUAGAAAAAUUUUAACAGUAACAGCAGAGAAAAUAUUAUGAAUAUGCUAGACCAAAUUAGUCCCUUUUUUGGUUUGUGAAAACUUUAUUUUUUAUGAAUACGCUAUCCAAUAUUUUCAAUCAAUAUUUCCACAAUAUAGUUGUUCAUAGCUAACGUUUGAUGGUUUAACGAUUUGUUCCAAGAAUAAUGAGCUGAUUACGUUUUGUUUUAUUUUUAUUUUAUUUUUUUUAAUCCGAUGAAGGAUAUUCAGCUGUGUCUUUAAUUAUGCAUUCAUAGGGAAGAACAUUUUCUAAGUACUUUCCUUGCCUUCUAACUUUCCAAGGAAAGAUAGGUGUGAAGAAAAGCAAACCCAAUGAACAAACAGAGCACAAACUAAAAUAAUUAGCAAAUAAAGAAAGGAAAAAGUAUGCACGUUUUCAAGGAUUUAAAAAAUACGAAGGCUUUUAAUGAAAUUUUAUCAUAAAAAAGUAUGCAAGGAGUUAUAAAAUUUUAGAAGACGAGGGGAGCUCGCAAAAAAAAAAAAGAAAAAAAAAAGAAAAAGACUCAAAUUAAACUAGACUAAAAAGACAUUCAAUUACGCAAAAUCUGUCCAUAAAAGUCUGAAAGGAUCAUUAAAAUUGCAUUGCAAAUUUAACAGUAAACUGAGGAACCCAUUCUAAAUAAUUCAGAUGAAAUUGCGAAACAAACCAUGGGAUUAAAUAAAUUAAAUAAAAAUUAAUUACCAGUUGAGACUUUCUUCUAAAAAUUCGCAACUCCAAGUCAUAAGAAGCCUAUGAAAUUAGUAGUACAGCGUAGAGUAUGACGACGACACCGCCAACAGCUGAAAGUAAAAUUCUUAUUCAUCAAUUUAAACUUACUUUAUAACAAAUAUCUUAUCUAUAUUGUAUUUAAGAAAACAAAUUUUGUAAAAAUUUAUCAUGGGAGAUAGAGAGUAAUAUGUACAUACGUACCUUCUCAGCAUGUAAUUGUUGUAUGGUUGUGUUUAGAUCAUUAUUAGCCCAGCGCCGUUGAUCCGCUGUCUCUCCAUAGCAGACGUUUACUCUUAGAGGCGUGAUUGAUUCUCCUGUAGUGAAAAUCUUCAUCUUGGGACAACCAAUCACCCACAACUCUUGCAAAGAUGGGAAUUUGAAGGUGUAAUUGGCAGAGCAGAAACUUGUGAGGCUGUCUAAAUCACGCAGUUCCAACGUCUUCAAUUUGCGGAAAACAAUCUCUUCUUUUUCAACCCCGUCUUUGUCAUUUAUUACCACCUCUGUCAUUGCUCUGCAUCCAUAUAUACUCACUUUGACGAGUUGCACUAGAGUUUUUGCUGUGGAGGAUGUUACCAAGUGUAUCAAUUCCUUGCAACCGAAAGCUACAAGUUCUGUUAGGUUCCGAAAAGAUACCGAUGAUGAUGGCAAUAGAAUUAACAGACUUUGACAAUGAUAUACUUUUAGAAUUUCAAGAUACUGAAAAAUGGGGCCAAGUUUGGAGUCUUGUUUGCACAGCUGCUUCAGAUGAUAGUGCCGGUGCAGCUUUAAUUCUUUUAUCAUUGCCAACUUCCCCACAUGUUUCUCUAAGCAUCCUUCCAUCGAAAAUACCUCUUCGUGGAAUGAAAAAUUAAGCAGUGUGAGUAUUUCGAGAUUGUGAAAUCUCUCCAGUACGUUCCAGAUUGGAAAACAAGCUGCGUCAUCUCCAACAAUCUCUAGUUGUUUAAGACUGCCAAAAAGGUGUUGUGGGAAAUCGGCCUGCAAAAUCAUCUUCACAUCUUUUCCACUUAGUGAUAGCUCCUUCAAGUUGGGUACGAUCUGAUCAUCAUCAAUCGUAAUAACUAAUGAGGUCAAUUGAUGAUCUACGGUCACAGGCAGUGACUUUAUAGUAUUUGUUUUAUAUUAUAUUUUUAAAAAAAUUGAAUUAUUGAUAAAAUUUAUUUUAUAUGUUAAUUUUAGAGGUAAAAAAGAAAUUAGGGAAAAAGGUUGAUUUAUACUGGCUCGAAAUUAUUUUAUUGCACAAUAAUAAAUUACUAAUUUAUUUUGUAAGUUCUUCUAUAUGGAAAGACUAAGGAUUCUUUUAUAAAUGUUAUACCAAAAAAAGUUCAUAUAAUUAUUAAUCUACCCCAUUGAUCUCUUAAUCUAGACUAGCAAAGAUUAUUGUAUAAUAAAAGUUUUCAAUUUAUUGAGUAUUAAUUUAUCGAUGCUUUGCCAUAUUUUUCAAAGUUAAAAAUAAGCUAUAGACAAAAAAUCUAGAAAAUGGCUUCAUACCUUUUCCAACGGCAAUGGGGGCUGUUGUGCAGGAAUGCCAAGUUGAUCAUUCUCAUUAUUCUGCAAUAAAUCUGCAGUGAAUAUCUUUAAUUUGUCACAACAAUGCACUGAAAGAACUUCUAGCGCGGGCCAUUCCGAAGUAUGCAUUCCAGGGUACAAACAUCUAAGUUUUGGUAGACCUUGGAGUCUCAAAGUGGUGAGCUGUGGAAAGACAAAAUAAGGGAUCACUUCAUCUGCUCUAUUCUCAGAAAUGAUCUCCUGUAAAUCCUCACAGAAGCGAACUUCUAGGUGUUGGAGCUGCUUAAGGCUUCCGAUCAUAGACGCUGAAAAUAUGUAUUUUAAUUUGUGACAACGCCACACAAUCAAUCGUGUUAAAUUUUGAAAGCGAGGAAACGUGACAGGAAAAUGAUUGUAGUGCCAAAUCUUGUCGACAUUAAUUUCAGAUAUCUCCAAAGCCUCCAAGUUAGGCAACGCAACCUAAAAGAAUAAGAAUUUCUGGUUAGAUCCAAUAUCCAUAUGGGAAGCACUUGUUGAAAUUUUCUUCUUUGAUUGCAAAUUCAUGCAAGUCAGAAUCAAUUUCCAACUGACAGCUGAGUAUGCAUUCUAAUUCAUACUACUUGUUAAGAGCUCAAUUAGUGAGCGCGUGAGAUUCUUUUUAUCCUUUUUUCCGUUUUCUUUCAAUUCUUUAAAUGAUUUAAUUAUUUUCCACGUAUGAUAUCAAAAGAGAACGCAUGAUAGAAUAAAGAAAAUGUUAGCCUACGCACCUUCUCGUUGAAAAGCAGAGUUGAAAUAUCCAAAGUGAUUUCGCUGGAGCAAUACAUAGUCGUCGAUUCCUCUUGCGACACUUGUCUGUUCGGUGAUGCUGAAGGAGUCUCCACCUCACGGCGGCAAAAACUUGUAACCUCAGGAAGAUUCCCCAGACUCAAAGAUCUUAAUUGAGCAAACUCUAUCUUCUCAAUUGCAUUAUCAACUUCUUCCCCAAUUGCAAAAAUCUCUGUUAUCUUGCUGCAAUUAACAACUGCAAUUCUCUCAAGUCUUGGAAGGCAUUUUGUAGUAGAGAGCCAAAAGAUAUUACUCAACUUAUCACAAUUAUAUGCUUCUACGGUUUUGAGUUCGUUGAAAGACUCUACUUUGAGCCGAUCAACACAUAUCCUCUCCAUGUUGAUCAAAUUGUGAAUGGUAAGUGACUCCAAAAGAGGAAAGGCAUCACAAGCGACCAUCUCCCUUGAAUCGACGAUACAAAAGAAGUCAGGAUUAUUUUGAACCCAGAGAAGCUUCAAUUGUGAAAAGCCCUCCUUGCAGCUUGUCCAACCAUAAGUAUUCAACGUUAUUGAUGCCCUGCAAUUUCAUGGAGCAAAUGUCCAUAAAAUCAAGCUUGAGCUUCAAUGAUCUUAAACUCUUGCGAUCACUGUUGAUCGAAAAGCGGGGCCGACUUUUAAACCAAUGUUGUCCAACACUCAUGGGAUGCAUGAAUAACCCAUUUCCAAUAGAUAUUUUGAACCUUUCGAGCUUUCUGGCCAAAAAACCUUCUGGUAAAAUAUUGUCACUUUUAACGUCAAUUUCUAGAGUGGUUAGCCGAGGUAAAUGCAUCAAUUCGUCAAGGCUAGCAUUACUUCUUUUGCUGUUGGCUCUUUCAACCUCCCAUUCAAUGAAGCAAUUACCCAUAUACAGCUCUUCUAAUCGAGUUAAGCUUGAUAUGAGAUUAGGCGCAAUAACUUUUAGAUGGAAACAAUUGGUUAAAUCUAACAAUCUCAACUUAUUCAAUUGACCUAGUUCUUCUGGCAACUGCAUAAUCUCAGACUUCAAAAAGCUAAGGACUUCUAGAUUCUUCAACUUCCCAAUGAUUGCUAUGUCCCCCAACGCACUUUGAUCCAGACAUAGUGUGUGAAGAUUUUGUAGAAGAUCAAUUGAAGAUGGAAAAGAAGAAAACUGCAUUCGAGUAAAAUCUAGAACUCUAAGCUUUUUCAUCCCUACAAAAAAGUUCUCAGGAAUAUUGAUUUCAAGAGAAGAAUCUUUGAGAGAGAUAAAUAAAAAUUCAAGGUUUGGGCAUUCUAAUCCUUCAGGAAAUUCACGAUUACUAUUAUUUCUUAAAGAGAUCGCAUUGCAUUUUCGAAGUGCAUCCUCAUCUGGCCAGUCCCACACAUCCUUAUUUCUCACCAAAAACACAUGUUGGUGGCGGCAUGCAAUUGAUAUUGCGACAUCACGAACAACAUCAUGCAUUGAAAAUUGUUCAUUGCUCUCACCCUCAAGCAACAAACAAGAGUGUCUAAGUUCAUGGACCAAUGCAUAUAAUUUGUCUCGUGCAUCUUCCAUCUUAUUGACUCCUUUAAAUAUACCCAAACCCAUGGAGUACUUAAACAAGUCCGAAGUAAGAAUACGGUUAUCCAUUAGACUACAGAGCAGAAAAAUUUUCUUGAGUUGCUCACCUUUUAAAUGGUUGAAACUCAGCUCAAUACUUGAAUAAGUCUCUGCAGAUACUCCUUCGAAGUUUACCAUUGAAGGCGUUCGGAGUUCUCGCAAGGAAUUCUUCCAUUCAUACUCUUGCUUCUCAGUGCCUUUGCCACUGUAGUCAAGGCAAUGGGCAAACCUCCACAUGCCCUGGCGACGUCUAUUGCUGUGGAUUUCAACUCACGAUUUUCAACAUCAUCUCCGGCCAUCAUCUUAAACAAUCUCCAGGCUUCUUCUUCAUUUAAAUUGUUUAUCAAAAAGUUGUCUUUAGAUCCCAUUUUUAAGAGGAGACUACGAUCUCUUGCUGUCAGCAGUAGUUUGCAGCCUUUAUGAUUUUCUCCAAAAGGAAUUGCAGUAGUCCCCAAAUCAAGAGGUUUCCAGAUGUUAUCCAGAAUCACAAGGAUCUUCUCAUUCUCCAAUCUUUCAUAUAGUCUACUAGCUCUUCUAGACUCAGCUUCCUCGCGCAACUCCAAGCCCAACUUCUCGGCAAUUUCCUGUUGAAUCUGUUUUAUGUCUGGAGUUUGCGAAACCUCUGAAAAGACCACCAUAUCAAAGUGCUUGUCUUCCAUAGCUUGCCUGGCGACCUUCUUCACCAGUGUCGUCUUUCCAAUGCCGCCCAUGCCGUACACCCCAAUGAUGCUGACAUCAACAUCGAUCAAUGCGUUUUUUAUAGCCUCCAAAGUAGAACGUCUUGAUUCGAAGGCCUCGUAGCCUUUGUGAGACUUGAGCCAAAUCUCCUCCGGAAUGGUACGGUAGGAAAUUCUAUCAUCAAAUCUCCCAGCUUCUUCUCGGAGUUUAAAAAGGGCCUCCUUCUCUGUUUCUGCUUUCUUUCCAUGCUGAUAGCGAGUAAUCCAAUUAGGAAACAGCCCCAUGAGACAUCGUUCAUUUGCUUUCUCUUCGUCUAGAAUGAAUUUGGCUGCCUGCUCAAUGCUCUUGUUCGCAUUAACCAGCCAUUUCUCAACCUUCUUUUCAAUCUUUUCACUUUUUCUUUCAGCCUCCGAAACUCUGUGCUGAAUGCUUUCUCUUUCAUCCUUGAGCCUAUCGAGUUCUGCCUUGAAAUUCUGAAAGUUGGCAGCGGAGUUGUACCAAUAACUAAAUUCGCGUUGUGCGUGAGGAGACAAACAGUUUACAACUCCUGGAACAAUGCUUUUCAAAAUGUCCAUUUUUUUUUCUUUUUUGGGGAAGUGAACGAAAUAGAAAUAGAACAGGGUCAACGGCCGCGCAAUUGAUAAUCAAGUAGAAGCAAAACAAGGCAAAGUUGAAAAAAGAAAUGAUAUUUGUACAAAACAAGGGAAAUCAGUGUAACAGAAGAGAAUCAAAGUGUUUAUGAGAUCAGAAAAUUGAAUCAAGAAAAGGGUUGCUUGAUCCAAUGAAAAUGCAAAGAGCUGAUGGAAAAAGGGGACAAAGAUAAAUAAGAAAACGGCUAGCACGAGCAGUGACCACGAUAAACAGAAGCAAAGUGUGUAUGAGAUCAAAAGACGAAAAUCAGGAGAGGUUUUCUUGACCGAGAAUUGAAGGCAAUUAGUAGGAGCUGACGAAUACGGGGAUCAAGAGGGAAAAAUUGCUUUUAAGCGAAUCUGAUAAAAUUAUUUCAAUACUCGUGGGCGACUCCUUUUUAAACUGCAGAAGGAAAAAAAAAAUUCUGAAUUUCAAUAUAUUAUUUUUUAUCCUAAUUUAUGUUAGGACUCGUAAUCUCGUCUCAAAUAAUUAAUUAGUAGAUAAUUUUUCUAACAAAUAUGUGUUGAAUAGAUAUAUUUCUUGACUAUGAGCAGGCUAGAGAUAUUUUAGCAUAGGAAUGAAAGUACAAGUUGUGUCAUAUUAUAAUUAUCAAUUGACCUAAAAAUGUUGUUGUGAAUUGAAAUUAUUUCUGUAAAAUAAAAGGAUUUGGGUCAUUGUUCGUUAUUUUCUGGCAAUAUUGUCUGGUCGUGACUCUUUGUUAAAUAUUAAAAAAAUAAAUUUAUAUUUAUUAAGUAUAAAAAAUAAAUAAACAAACAAAAAUAAAAGGAAAAGUUUAUACAUUACGUAAAAUAAUAAGAACAAUAUCAAUAUUUCACACUCUAUAAUUGAGUGAUGUGUUAUCCAACUGCCAUACAUUGGUCCCAAACAGAGACUUAAAUAUUAAAGUCCAAAGUUAUUGUGAUGAUGACUUAUAAUUGCCAAACUUGACAUACGGGUAAUCAUGCAUUAUAAGGUGCUGAUUUCUUCCGAUCGGAACCUUAUUUUUCAUUUACAAAUAAAUAAAUGAUGUGACUUCACGGUUGGCGGGGUCCUUUGUGUCAUUUGGGCAUUUCACUAAAUGAUUGAUUGUAGCAGGGAGAUUCCUGGAAGUUGCCAUUUGCCAAUGCUACUAACAUUUUCAAACUUGGAAAACCCUUCAAUCAAUCUUUUAGUGGUAGGCUCCGGUAGCUUGGUUUGAUUAUGACAUAUGAUUAUUUGAUAAUGAAGCUAGAGGAUGUAUUAAUAUAAAAUUUGUUUAUUGGUGUUGAAGUUAAUUAUCUCAUUAAUAUUAGUAUAAAAAGUUAAUUACUAAGAAACACAUAGCAGUAGUUAAUUGGUGUCAUAUUAUUAGGAUUCUGGGAUAUAAUUUUAUAUCAUAACUUUGUAAGUGUAUACUUACUCAUCAAACUAAUAAAAUUAUUUAAAAAUUUCAGUUGGAAAAAAUAAAUUAUAUUAUUUUCAUUUCAAAUAAUCUAUAAGUUAACUCAAAACAUAAUCAAGCUGAGAAUUAAAAUAAUGCUACUGUAUGAGAGGAUUUUUAUUUUUUCCCGAAGUUUCACUAGGAAAUUAUUGAUACAUAGCUUUAUUCGGAUCAUCUCAGUUCAAACGACAAAUAAUUGAAAGACUAAGCUAAAUAGACCAGCCAACAACUUUGUACAAGAGAGUUCAAAAAUUAAGGUCAUGGUAUUAAGGUGUUCUAUCUUGAAAAGUAUAGCGUAGUAAUAAAAUAAAAACUAAUAGUCUUUGGUAAGAUAUGACAUUUAAAUAAUAAUUUUCACAAAAAUACAAAGAAUAUUUAUAAAGUACUUCUAUAGUGAGGAGACCCUCACUUUGUUAAAGUGAAAAUAUCAAUAAUAUACAAAAGACAUAUAUUUUAACACAUUAAAAAUUGUAUUUUUUUUAUCUAUUGGUGUAUUUGAAUAUGUGUUAUUUAGUUUGUUAGUGAUAUCAUUACUUUGUUAAAAUGAGAAUGUCGUUACUAGAGAAUCAUUAUAUAUACAUAUAUAAAGUGCUUCUGCCCAAGACCUAGACUUUAUUAAAAUUUAAGAAAGCAAGUAUAUUUUAUAUGGUAUAAUAGUGUAAUAACAUCACACUAUUAUAUCAUAUAGAGUAAUAGUUUUUCAAACUUUAAUAAAGUUCAAGAUUAUAGAAUGAAUGAUUUUUAUAUAUUAUAAAUUUUUUUAUCAUAAAUGGAGGACAAAAUUAACAUAUUUUCAAAUUAUAAUAAGUAUUUAUCAAAUAAUUUAACAUUGCAAUUUCUCCUAACUAGUAUAGUAAAUAAUACGACCUAGGAGAUACAUUCAAAGCAUUUCAUAAGUUAGUUGUUAAUAAUAAAUGAUAUAUGCAGCUCCAAUCAUCAUUGUACGGUGAGUAAUUUCCAGUUAUAAAUAGAUAUUACUCCCUUCCCAGCAAUUUUUGAUGACUUAAUUUAGUGAGAUCAAAAUCAACAUUGAAUUUUUGACCAGCUGCCAACAACUUGUGAGCAGUUCACAGUGGGUACUGCACAUGAUGCCUGUUUCUCCUUUUGCAUCUAUUUUGUUGUUAACAUUAAUUUCAAUAGCAGCUCGUUAAUCCCAAUUGUUGAUUUGGGACUAGAUAAGAGUUUAUCUUGGAACUCCAAUUCUCCCAAUUAUUUUAGUUGACAAUAUAUUUAACAUUAUUUUUUUAACAUUAUUAAUUGCAUAUUAUUUAAUUAUCAGUAUAUAAUAUUCUUUAAUUUUCUAAUUUUAUAGGAUUAGACACAAAAUUGAUUAUGCCUUUUGAAAUUUAAGGGUUAUGUCAAUUGAAUAGAAAACUUGGAGGUAAACUUGUGGAUGUUUUUGUUGAUUAUCAAUUUAUGCAUGAAUUUUUGUACGUUUACUCUGGUUUAUAAUUAUUACUUUUAAACAUUUUUAUUGGUUUGAUUUAGGGUCAAUUUAGUAAUCAUGUAGCUUUUAAAAUAAUUACAAUUAGCUAUGCUGUAGAAAUUGAUCAAUCGUCAAGAGAAUCAGCUGAACAUUUAGUAAAAUUUAUUUUUAAAAGUACUUUUAGUUUUAAAAGCGUUGUAUGAAUAAAACUGUUACACUAAAAAUUAAAUGUAUUGCCCACUUGGGUAAAUAAAGCUAUAUAUUACAACUGUUACACUAAAAAUUAAAUGUAUCUUAAACCCAAACUUCUUCUUCUUCUUUUUGACUAACAAAAUUAAAAACAAUAGUGAACACAUUCUUUAAUAAACAAUAAGUAAUAAAUAAAAUCGUGUUAAAUUGCUUAAAAACUUUCUUUCACGGUUUGCUAAAUAUUUGUAUUAGUAUUUUAAAUAAAUAAAAAUAGUUGAUUUAAUUUUUUUAAAUAAACUUAUUAGGUUCAUGUAAAGAUGUUUUUGUUAUUUUAAAAAGUGUAGAAAGUACUCCUAAAAAAAAGCGUAGAAAGUAAAACUUAAUUUUUUAAAUUUAUCAGCUGAGUGCAUAAAUAAUUGAGUGUUCAUAAUGAUUUUUAAAGUAUAGAUAGUCGGACCCUAAUUUAAUAUAUGCAAAUUUUGCUAAUAUGUUAAUGAGAAUUAAAAAGAUAAUUAAGGGAGGCAAUCGAGACAUUCAGGAUAGUUAGGAUGGGACAUGAUUGUGAGUGGUUAGAUAUUGGUCCUAAUUUUGAUCACAAAUAUAUAAACAGGACGAGUUUAUCUCUACUUACAUUCCAUUUGAUAAUUAAGAUGAGAGUGGAAUUGUCAAAUCCCAAAUCAUCCCGGAUCACUGCCACCAAGGGUACUCUCACUAAUAAUAUCUAAAGAAAAAUCUACAUCUAUUUCAUACUUUUUUUUAAUGGAAAGAGCCCUCAUGGGGCUUGAAAUGGUAUCCUAAAUAAUAUUCAGAAUAUCAGGUCAUGAUUGGGUUUGUGACAAACAAAUAUUACAUAGUUGGGAUACGUAGUUAUAGUGUCCCAAUUUAUGUAGUAUCUAUCAUUUAGUGCACAUAUAAAAUAUUAAUCAGCUUAAUUAAUUUAUAAAAUUUAAAUCUAAUUAAUAAGUGAUACAUAAAUGCCAAGUGCAGUACUGUAUAUGCAAAUCAUGUUUGUGGAUCAUUACAAAACUGGCUCUUGAAAACAAGCAAGAAAGCUUAAUUAAGAACUUAAAACAAAAAGAAUUAGAUUGAGAAUAGUCGAGCCUUAUUUUUUCAAGAAUGGAGCUUAUAAAUCUUCAAGUACCAACAUACGCUUGGCCCAAUUGUUGUUACUAAAAUUUCAAUAUACAUAUAUAAGUAUGAUAUAGCAAAAAUUUGAUGGUACAUAUGUCGGAAUAUACUAGUUCAUGGGUGCAUUUGAUUAUUGUUUCCAUAAAUUUGAACCAGGAAGGAUGACACGAUAAAAUUUGAUUUUAUAGUAUGGUUGAUUUCAUAUCUCAUGCACUCAUUUCUUAAGAUAAUCAAAUUUUCUCUGGCAUCUUUUGCAACUGUCGAAAUAUCAAUUAUGAUCAAUCAAAACGAUUUCAAAACCUUUCAACGAGAUAUAUUUCUAAUACAAUAUUGUGAAAAUUACACUAAAAAUUUAAUUUAUUAUAUAUUAUUAUCCAACGAGCACACAAAAAUGAUUUCGUACAAAUCUAAAAUACUGAGCAAUUUUCAAAUAGAAUUUACUAUGUACUACAAGAAAAUAGGGUAUAUGUGACCCCUAAUAUGAAUGCAAAAGCAGCCAUUACGCAUAUCACUAACUUCUAACUUUGUAACUCCGAGUUGCUUUUGUUACCCUUUAUGUGACGGCCACACUGCUGUCACAUAUGUUACGAACCGCGUGACGGCGAAGAGCCGUUCGGUAUACUAAUAUUUUAGAAUUUUAAAUUUAUUUCCAGUUAGAAAACUAUUCGCUGGACUCCGUGUUGCUGGCCACCAUCGUAAACGUAACUGGUUGCCAGCGAACGGCGUAAAACGCCGGCCAUCUUCUUCUUCAUCGUAUUCUCCCUUCAUCUUUUGAGGUAAGCUUGUAAUUAUAGAUUUUGAUUUUUUUUAUUUUGUAUUGUAGCCGUUAUUGUCAAUUUUUGUCCCGCCAGCAAUAUUUUUUUAUUCCUACAAGUUGAAGCCCCUGUGUUCUUGUUCCAUUGGUGAGUUUGCUCACUCAAAUUAAUUUUGUUCUGCGGAAUUUACAAAGUUCAAAUGGAUUCAUUUGAAUUACUAUUGAAUUUAGCUUUAAUUUCAACAUCCAUUCUAAUGUUUUGCAAUUAGAUUUAAUUUAAUUUUAUGUUUAAAGCUUCUACAAUGAAUAGCGGAGCUUGGGUUUUAGUUUCAUUUUCUGGAUAACUUGUUUUAGUUUAUCUUGUAUGCUCACCAAGUGCUUGUUAUAUUGUCUGAUAAGUUAUAUACAUUGCUGAUUCUAUAUUAAUAAUGUUACGUUCUAUUUUCAGAAAUUAUAAUACAAAAGUUUUUACAAUGGCGUGCAUCUACAAACUGAAUUGACUUGUAGAAUAAGAGCUUGGAGUAAAUGAAAGUUCAUAUUGUGUAAGAGCAUGUAGAUGUAAAGCAUCAUUACCAUUUCUACAAAGUGCUUUCAUUCUUGAACUUUGAAAGGUGCCUCGUUCAAGUCCUAGCUAUAACUACUAGCUUUGAUUAAUUACGUUCCUAUACUAGCUGAAACAGAUUUAUUUAAUUAAUUAAUUGUGUAUGUACUAAUUAUAUUGAAAGUAUAUGAAUUUUUUUUUUAACAUGAAUGACUCCUAAAUGACUUAAAAACCUAAAGGAUGUGUGAAAUAAUGCUCAUUUCACUUGAAUGAGCCCAUUAAUACUUUUAUGUCUAUGAUUUUCAAUAUUGGCUAAAGCAUUUCGGUUAAGUGGUUUACCUAACAGAGAAAAAAAUUUAAUAGAAAACUUCAGAGUUCUAACAGAAAUAUAGUUUACUAUGCAGAUAUAGUUAUUUUACGGUAUACAAAUCAAGUCGUCCUAAUCUCAAUGUCCUAUGACCGAUUUUAUAUUAUAUAGUCAUUAAUUUUUUCCUUGGUUUUUUGUGUUUGUGAGUAUGAAAUAGUGGGAUUUGGUGUACCUUAGCAUCUCUUGAAAAUUCUCUUUCAGUGUGGCCAACAGAAAUAUACAUAUAAUCAAGUUUCUUAAUCCUGUAUAUUAGUUUUGGGUAUGAAUGUUCCUAUUCUAGUUCUAGGCAAAGCUUCUUCAUUUUGGUCUUCAGAUUUCCAGUAGGUUAAGUUAAUCAACUAUCAUAACUGGCUAGCUAGUUAUUGUCUGCCUUGGCGCCAUUACCCAGGCCAUUAUAUUGCAUAGCAUAAGGAAUAGUGAUUAGGUGAUUAUUAGUGAUUUGUUGAGCUUAUUAUCGACCAAACAAACAUAUUCGCCUUUGCCCACAACUUAGUUUGAUUAGUUAUUAGACCAUAAAGAGCCUUGAUCUAUUCAUUGGCUUUAUUAUUUUUAUUUGGUUUUUCUUUCAACAAUAUUGUUGAUUUCUUAUAAAAAUAUUCAUUGGUUUUUAAACACCUAAUCAUUGGCUAUAUGAAGCUAAUUAAAACUGAGGCUUUGGAUCAAUUUCUUCUAACAAGAUACAAAUGAGCAUAACCUAUCUCCUCUGAGUAAAUUUUUUUAAUAUCCUUGAUUUGUAAGGAUCUGGAGGCCUGAAAUCCUCUAGAUUUUUUUUAAUACUGUCAAUGUUCUUUUUAUUCUGAAAAGGAACUAAAAGGUUUUAUCUUUCAUACCCUAAUAGUAAGCUGGCCUUGUCUUAACAUGGCUUCCCGAGGAUUUGGAAGAUUCAUAGGCCCCCCCCCCCCCCCCCCCCCCCACACACACACACACAAAAAGGAAGAUUUUGCAAGAUUCACCACCAGGUUAUUUAUUUAUUUAUGAAUUGUGUGUACAUACUAGUUAUAUGUUGAAAGAAUAGGAAGAAGUAUUUCAACAUGAAUGACUUAAAACUUAUUGCUCAGUAAACAUAAUAUGCAUCAGUGCGAAAAUGUAUUUAUCAUUUGUAUUUUUUAUGGUUUUGCUUAAGAAAUGAUAUGUGAAAUAAUGCUACAUGCCUACAUUGUAUCAGGAAUAACUUGAAAAGAUUUAUGAUAUUUAUGUGUUAUUCAAAUUUCAGAUUCAAUUUUAAACUUUUGAUACGUGCAUUAAAAGUUUAGACUUGUUUAAGAAAUUAUUAAUAGACACAUGUUUUAUUAGUGUCAUAUUUGGAUGAUAGUGAGGAUCAUAUGUCUAUUAAUAAUUCUUGAAUUGUCCGGGCUUGGACAGUUUGGGAAUGCAUACUUCUCUCUGGUAGCUAGUAGCCGAAGUUUUCUUCCCACGUAAAAAUGGGUUUUUCGGUAGCUGCUCCUCAUGUUCUCUGGGUACGUACUAGGUGAAUGGGUGUCGUGUUGUUUUGGCAUAACGCAUAAACACUUAUAUAGCUAUGUCGUGUGCUUGGAGAAUUAUAGGGAGAUGGUGCUGAAAUUUUUAUAAACGUAGAAGAAAACUUUAGGUACUUGAGAUUGAAAAAACUUACACAUUCUUGAGUGGGAUAUGUAGGAUUACUUACCUUUGGUAAAUAUGAAGGGAAUGUUGGAUAUAUUGAGGGUAGUGUAGGAGCUGAGUUGGAUGAAUGUAAUUGGUGAUGAUUUUGCUGAGCUGACAUUGGUUUUGAGCUUGUAAUUUUGUUUGUAAAUGGAGUGCUAUCUCCAAUGUUGGUUUAUAAAUAUGUUUCAGGACUUGCUGACCUAAUUUUUUGUUUCUAGGUUACAGGCUUUAUAUAUCUGUAAUUGAUGGCGAAGUGAAGUUCCCAGCACUUGGCGAGGAUGUUGGUUUAUAAACUGUUUUUUAUAUAUACUUUGAUUUUCACAUCUUUUUCUCUGAUUCUUGUGGCUUUGCUUGCUUUCAUAUAUGUAAAUUCUAAUGAAAUUAAACAUAAAAUUGUAAAAUGAUCUUUUUAUUAUAUUGCAAAACUGUGCACACACGAAAAUAUCUUGUUUAGUAGUAGAAAUGAAGAACUAAAAUGAUUUAUUUAACUAAUAUUUGUAGCGCAUUAAAAGGAGAUAGUCAUGGACAAGUGUUGGGUUGGUUUGCCAAAUAGAUAUCCAAGUCAUAUACUGACGGGGAUGAAAAAUUUAUAGAUUUUGCAUUUGAGAAUGUUGUUGGUGGUACAAGAAUUUAAUGUCCUUUUAAGAAGUGUUGUAAUCUAUAUUUCGUUAUAAGGAAAGUGGCUGAUGAUGAUAUGGUUGGAAUGAUACAAUGCAUCACGUAAUCAAAUGUUCAAGUUACACUCAACAUUGUUAUGGACUAUCAGUGACUUUCUAGCAUUGCCAACUUGUUUGGGUGGAGCAUUAAAGGUAAAUAAGCACGUCUUGUUUGCCAACAAAACACUAGAUCUAAUUGGUUGAUACAUGGUAGAAAAUUUUGUCACGUGGGUCACCGUCGAUUUUUACCGACAAAUCAUAGGUUUCGAAAAUAUAGUGUCUUUUGAUAAAACUAGAGAGUAGGGACAAGCACCUUCUCGGUUGUCUGGAACUGAAGUGAAAAAGCAGUUUAAUAUACUUACUGAGUAUAAGAUUGAAGACUUGAAAAGAGGAGAACGAAUAAAAUGAGAGAAAUGAUAAGAUUACUUGGAAGAAGAACAGCAUUUUUUAUGAGAACUACCGUAUUCAUCAUGAUCUUGUUGUCAUGCACUGCUUUGAUUUUUGUUAUGAACUCAGAUCAAAAGUUUAAUGUGAUCAAACUUUCUUAAAAAAAGUGAAAACGACUCCUAGUAAUAUGCUUUGAUUUUUGUUAUGAACUCAGAUCAAAAGUUUAAUGUGAUCAAACUUUCUUAAAAAAAGUGAAAACGACUCCUAGUAAUAUGGAAGAUGGCUAUAAAAGAUAAAAGGAAAGGCUUAAAAAGAAAAGCCAUGCCUGUCAAAAAAUAAAAAAAUAAAAAUGGCAGCGUCAAAUUUAUAACAAAAAUAAAAACGGUGCGUUUGAGAGUGUAAAAAAUACAUUUAGUGGGAGUUAUGUUGUUGCUUGAAGGCAGAUUGUUUGUGAGAUUUUUGUCGACGAAGCCAAAACCAAAGAUGAAUUACGAGGGUUAUGUUUGCCAUAGUCAAGGAACACGGUCCUCUCACCUUUGCCGAAACUUGGGAACGCGUCAAGGUGUGUGUAUCUAUUAAAUUGAAUUUCAACCGUUUGAUCUGUAAUUAUAAUUAAUCCAAUCAAUCUGACAGUGAUCGCUGACCAUAAUACUAGUAGUUGUUUUACAUUUUCAGCAAGCUGGAGCGAGUGGAUUGACGGGCAAAAGCCACAUGAAGAUUGUGUUGAGAUGGAUGAGGGAGAGACAAAAGCUCAGGCUCGUCUGAAAUCACGUGGGCCCUCAUAAGCAAAUCCUGUACACAACAACUUGAAGCAGCCAAAGUCAGGGAAUGAUCCUUCUCCGUCACAACCCUAGCUGCCUUAAAGUGAGACUGUGAAGAUGAAGUAAAGCACCAGUUGAACAAUGAAGAUGGAAACCCCUCAGCAUGUAAACUUUUCAACAGUGACACAGCUCUUAUUCCAGAGGCUGCACAGAAGAGCGACCUGAAUCCUCUUCAAGACUUUCAAAUUUUUAUCAAGUAAAGCUUCCAAAAUUUCUCAACAAAUUGAUUAUUUGGUGUGGUUGACACAUUUUGUGUAAUAACAGAAAAUUGAUUAUUUGGUGUAACAACAGAAAAUUACAAGAUCGCUGACAAAAUGACAAAAUGACAAAAUGACAAAAUGAAACUGAAGAUAAAUCAGAACAACUACCAAACCUUUGACUGAAAAUUCAAAAGAAUUUAUAUUCAAAAUGUCAAAAUAAACUGGAAAUUUAUUGCAUAUAUUACAAGAAGCAGUACACACCAAUUGUAAAUUGAUACAUCGUUUUUGAAAUUAAGAUAGUCAAAUGAAAGAAACACAACGGAGGGUUAAUGUAACACUUUCAAAGCUGCAUUAGUGAUACAGUAGAGUGAAUACCCUCAGCAUGUAAACUUAACUUCAAAGGACGGAGCACAAGUUUCACAGAAAAGUAGCUCUUAUUCCUGAUGCUGCAAACACAGAGGAGUGACCUCAAUCUUCUUCAUAACUUGGGAAUUCUGCAAUUAUAGAGCACGACAUUGAGCAUGAACUAGAAAAAAUAUUUAUUUUGUACAAUUUUCAUGUAACCUGACUAACCAAGAUUAAUUUGGUGGUAAUGCAUUGGGUCAUUACUUUAUAUGUUUUUACUGUCAUCACUUUAGAAAAAACUAAUUUCUCAAUGUGAAAUGGCCCACAAAAGUAUUAUCGUUUAAAAACUAAAGAUUAAAGCCCCCGGGGGGGGGGGGGUGUCUGAAGGCUUUUUACAUGAAAAUGUUGUCACUUUGAAUGAUAUUUUCAAGGAAUUUUAUUCUAAAAAUAAAAUACGUGGGACCUUAUUCUUCAAAUUGACAGCUCGCCAAGUACUAAAGGCGUAUGAGAUCAGUACUGCGGCGAGUAAGGAGACGACCCCUCCAACAGCUGAAAAUAAAAUUAGCAUUCAUCAAUUUAAAUUAAAAUUCAUAUUAUGAAAUAAAAACUAAUGAUUAAUGAAUUUCCGAGGAAUUUCAUAAGAUUCUCAUAUAAAAACGUGAUAAAAAACUCACUCAUCAAUAACAAAUAUUCUAACAGUUACCCGUACCUUUUCUUGAUGUAAUUGUUGUAUGAUUGUGUUAAGGUCAUUAUUAGACCAACGCAGUUUGUCUUCACUCCUUCCGUACCAGACGUUUACUCUCGGAGGCGUGGUUGAUUCUCCUUUGGUGAAAAUCUUCAUCUUGGGACAACCAAUCACCGACAAAUCUUGCAAAGAUGGGAAUUUGAAGGUGUAAUUGGCAGAGGAGAAGCUUGUGAGACUAUCUAAAUCAAGCAGGGACAAUGUAAUCAAUUUGCUGAAAACAAUCUCUUCUUUUAUAUUUGCUGUUUCAUCUUCGUCACAUACUACGACUUCUGUCAUUGCUGUGCAUCCAAAUACCUUCAAUGAUAAGAGUCGCUCCAGACUUUUUGCUGUGGAGCAUGUUAGUAAGUUCAUCAAUUUCUUGCAAGCAAAAGCUUGCAGGCGUGUGAGAUUCCGAAAAGAUACCGAUGAUGAUGGCAAUAGACUUAACAGAUUUUGACAGUGAUAUGCUCUUAUAAUUUCAAGAUGUUGGAAAAUGAAGUCCAGCUGUUUGGAGUCAUGUUUCCACAGUUGCUGCAGACGAUUAAGUCUGGUCAGGUUUAACCUUUUUAUCAGUGCCAACUUCCUCCCAUGUUUCUCCAAAUAUCCUUCAUUUGAAAAUACCACUUCAUACGAACAAUCCGACAGGAAGAGAAGUUCCAGAUUGUUAAACCUCUCAAGUAAACCAAGUUGAAAGCAAGCUAAGUCAUCAUCCCGAACCAGUAGUAGUUUAAGACUGCCAAAGAGGUGUUGUGUUGAACCUCGCAAAACCACCAGGGCUAGGAAGCCUAAUCCAAAGUAUCUGGCAUUUCUGGAUGUGAGCAAUACUAAUGACGUGGGGGCUAAAAGGCUUGGUCAAGUGUUGGAUGCAUAAAGGACCGAGUCUUGUGCUGGAAAAUCUCUAUAUCUUGUUAGUAGCUUCAGUAGUUGAGUUAAAAUAGGAGUUAGCCGUUGCCUUGCUUCAUUAUUUAAUAAGUUGUAAAACAAGUAGUUGGGGGAGAAAAAAAUAAGAUUUGUCAUUGUGGUUUACUCCAAACCCGAAUUGGAGAACUUUGAAAUAACAGAAGAAUUAUCAAAUUUAUUAAUUCUUGUUGCUGAGAUAAGAAUCUUCUUUCAUUCUAACUUGAGUUCUAACAUGUUGUGGAAAAUCGCCUUGCAAAAUCAUCGUGAUGUCUUUUCCACUUAAUGCCAGUUCCUCCAAGUUGGGUAAGAUCUGAUCAUCAUCGAGCUCAAAUUAUUAACUUAGCACAUUGAUCCAUAAUUCAAGACUGGCAAAAUUCAUUGUGUAAUCAAAGUUUUCAAUGAUCCAACUAAUAUAUAUAUAUAUAUAUAUAUAUUCCUUCUCUAGUGCGGACAUCCUCAUUUUUUUUCAUGUGGACCAGUUUUUAGACCCUAUGGUUUAAAAGAGUUAGUUUUUAACUCUCUAAAACCGCAUGGCUUCAUAAUUCAUUUAAAAACUAACUCUCUUAAACCGCACGGUUUAAAAGUAUGUCUACAUUAAAAAAAAUGCGGACCCCCACACUUGAGAAUGAUUAUAUAUAUAUAUAUAGAGAGAGAGAGACACACACACACACACGCUCUUAAACCGUGGGAUUUGAAAGUUUCUCCGCAUGAAAAAAGUAAAAAAUAAGGGCAUUCCCACUAGAAAAAAACACCAUAUAGGUAUUUAUUAAACCUCCGGAUCUGUGAGUGAGGAACAACAAAGAUAAUUGAUAAAAAAAAUCUAAAAUUUGGUUUCAUACCUUCUUGAACGAGAGUAGGGGUUGUUGUGCCGGAAUACCAAAUUGAUCAUUCUCAUUAUUCUGGGACAACGUUAUUUUAUCACAAUUACAGGCCUCCAAUUUUUUUAGUGCUGGCCAUUCUGAAGUAUGCAUUCCAGGGUAUAAACAUCUGAGUUCUGGUAGACCUUCGAGAUUCAGAGUGGUCACUUGUGGAAAGACAAAAUAUGGGGUCACUUGAUCUGCUCUGUCUUUGGAGAUGAUCUCUUGUAAACCCAUACAUAUCCGUAUCUCCAGGUGUUGGAGGUGCUUAAGGCUUUGGAUCAUAGAAGCUGAAAAUAUGUAUUUUAAUUUGUCACAGCCCCACACUAUCAAUCGUGUCAAACUUUGAAAGCAAGGAAUCAUGGCCGUAAGUUGAUUGUAAUGCCAAAUCUCGUCGACAUUAAUAGCAUUCAGCUCCAAAGCCUCCAAAUUUGGCAACACUACCUAAAGAUAAUUUUCUCUUUAGAUCCAAUAUCCGUAUGGAAAGCACUUGUUUUGACACAAUGUCCAUAUAAGCACUUAAUUAAGAGCUUAAUUAGCCUACGUACCUUCUCGUUGAAAAGCAGAGUUGACGUUUCCGAACUGAUCUCGUUGGAACUGGCUGUCAAUUCCUCUUGCGACUCUUGUCUGUUUGGUGAUGUGGAAGGAGUCUUCACUUCACCGCAAAACCUUGUAACCUUUGGAAGCUUUCCCAGACUCAAAGAUCUUAAUUGACCAAACUCUAUCUUCUCAUCAACAUCAACAUCAGCUUCUCCUCCAGUUGCAAAAAUCUCUUCCAUGCUGCUGCAAUUGAUAACUGCAAUCCUCUCCAGUCUUGGAAGGCAUUUUGUACUACUAGAGAGCCAGAAGAUAUUACUCAACUCAUCACAAUUUUCCACUUUUAUGGUUUUGAGUUCUUUGAAGGACUCUAUUUUGAGUCGAUCAAUACAUAUCCUCUCCAUAUUGAUCAAAUUGUGAAGAGUAAGGGACUCCAAAAGAGGAAAGGCGACACAUGGUUCUCUCUCCAUUGAAUCGACGAUACACAGGAAGUCCGGAUUAUUUUGAACAUGGAGAUGCUUCAAUUGUGAAAAGCCCUCAGUGUCCAAUUCUAAAACAACAUUCUUGAUUCCUUGCAACUUAUCCAAACAUAAGUAUUCAACGUUAUUGAUGCCCUGCAACUUCUCGGAGCAAAUGGCCAUAGAAUCAAGCUUGAGCUUCAAUGUUCUUAAACUCUCAUGAUUACUGAUCAUAAAGUGCUGCCGACUUUCAAACCAAUCAUUCUCAAUAACCAGGGUAGAGUCGAAUGAUGCAUCUCCUAUUGAUAUAUCAAACCUUUCCAGCUUUUUGGAAAAAAAGCCAUCCGGUAAAAUGGUAUCAUUUUUAACAUCUAUUUCUAAAGUGGUCAAUCGCCUCAAAUGCAUCAAUUCGUCGAGGGUGGCAUUACUUCUUUCACUAUUGGCCUUUUCAACUUCCCAUUCAAUAGGGGAAUUACCCAUAUACAGUUCUUCCAAUCGAGUGAAGCUUGAUAAGACGUUGGGCACAAUAAAUUUUAGUUGCAAACAAUCUGUUAAAUCUAACAGCCUUAACUUAGUCAGUUGACCUAGUUCGCCAGGCCACCGUACAAUAUCAGAAUUUAAAAAGCUAAGGAUUUCUAGAUUCUUCUACUUUCCAAUUAUGGCUGUGUCUCCCAACAUGCUUUGAUCUAGACAGAGUGUUUGAAGAUUUGCUAGAAGACCGAUUGAAGAUGGCAAUGAAAAUAAUCGCAUUCGUGUCAAAUCUAUAACUCGAAGCUUUUUCAUCCCUUUGAAAAUGUUGUCAGGAAUAUUGACCUCGACAAAAUAGUCUUUGGGAUGCAUAUGUAAAAAUUCAAGUUGCGGACAUUCAAAUUCCUCAGAAACUUCAUGAAUGCGACUAUUUAGUAAAGAGAUUGCAGAGCAUUUUUUAAGUGCAUCCUCAUCUGGCCACUCCCACACAGCCUCAUUUCUCACCAAGAAAGCAUGUUGGUCUCGACAUGCAAUUGAUACGGCAACAUCGCAGACAACAUCAUGCAUGGAAAAUUGUUCACUGCUAUCACCCUCAAGCAAUAAACAAGAGUCUCUAAGUUCAUGGACCAAUGCAUAUAAUUUGUUUCGUGCAUCUACCAUCCUGUUGACUCCUUGAAAUAUGCCCAAACCCAUGGAGUAUUUAAACAAGUCUGUAAACCAAAAACUGUUACCUAUUAGACUACAGAGCAGAAAAAUUUUCUUGAGUUGCUCACCUUUUAAAUACUUGAAACUCAGUUCAAUACUUGAAUAAGUCUCUGCAGGCACACCUUCGAAGUUUAUCACUGAAGGCGUUUGGAGUUCUCGCAAGGCAUUCUUCCACUCAUGCAGACACUUGUUUCUCAGUGCCCUCGCAACUGUAGUCAGGGCAAUGGGCAAACCUCCACAUGCCUGGGCUACAUUAAUUGCUGUAGACUUGAACUUACAAUUUUCAACAUCAUCACCAUUCAUUAUCUUAAACAAUCUCCAAGCUUCUUCUUCAUUUAGAUUGCCAAUCAAGAAGUUAUCUUUGGAGCCCAUACUUAAUAGCACAUUAUUGUCUCUUGCUGUCAGCAGUAGUCUACAUCCUUUAUGAUCAUUUCCGAAGGGAAUUCCAACCGUCUCCAAAUCAAGAUGUUUCCAGAUAUUAUCUAGAAUCACAAGAAUCUUAUUCUCAUUCUUCAGUCGUUCAUACAGCCUGCUAGCUCUUCUAUAUUCAGCUUCAUCGGACAACUCCAGACCUAACUUCUCUGCAAUUUCCCCUUGAAUCUUUUUUAUGUCUGGAGUUUGUGAAACCUCUGAAAAAACCACCCGAUCAAACAGCUUGUCUUCCCUGGCUUGCCUAGCAAACUCCUUCACCAGUGUCGUCUUUCCAAUGCCGCCCAUGCCGUACACCCCAAUAAUGCUGACAUUCACAUCAGUCAACGCAUUUUGUAUAGACUUCAAAGUAGAAACUCUUGAUUCGAAGGCCUCGUAACCUUUGUUAGACUUAAGCCAUAUCUCCUCCGGAGUGGUACGGUGGGAAACGAUAUCAAACUUCUUAACUUCUUCUCCAAGUUCAACAAGGGCCUUCACCUCUGUCUCUGCUUUCUUGCUAAGCUGAUAGCGGGUCUUCAAAUUACGACACAAGCCCUUGAGACAGCGCUUAUUUGUUGACUCUUCAUCUUCAACGAAUUUGGCUGCCCGGUCAAUGAUGCCGUUAACACUAACCAGCCACUUCUCAACCUUCUCUUCAAUCUCUUCCCCUUUUUCUUUCGCCUCUGAAACUCUGCGCUGAAUGCUCGUACGUUCAACCUUCAACUUCUCCAUUUCCGCCUUGAGAUUCUCAAGGUUGGCAUUGUGGUUCCGCCAUCGCAAAUAAACAACUUGGCGUUCUGUUGGAGGAGCCAAGCAUUUUACAAGUUCCAAAACGAGAGUAACAAUGAUUUCCAGCAUCUUGAAUCCUGACAACAAUGUAGAAGUGAAGAAGGCCAAAGGACAGUCAAAACAGAGAGACAGCGUUACGACAAGCAGUUAUGAAGCUAAAAAUAAAUAACAAACAAACAGAAGCAAAGUGUUUUUCGAAUGAGAAGAAGGAAGCAAGAAAAGGGUUUCUGUUUUAGAUUAAGGAUAAGAAAUGAUUAAGAGAGUGGGGGAGCUAAUAAGAGAGUGGAUUGAGCAAACGUAAAUAAAUUUUUCUUAACCUUUUGUCACACGCGUGUGACAAAUAAUAUAAUUAAUUUUAUAUUUUUAUUCAAUAACUAUUAAUUAUAAUUUUUAAAAAUUAUUAAAAAGAAUAAUUAAGUACUGAAUUCAAAUCCUAUCCUAAAUGGUUAGAUAAAAAUAAGUGAAUGAAAAGAGUAAUGGUAGAUUAAUGAGAAAGUGAUUGAUUAAUUUAUGAGGCCAAUUAACGAAACGACAGAUCUGGUUUCCAUGUUUGUAAUUUAAGUGUAUCAGUACGAGGUACACCGACUCUCCCAGUUUCUUUAGCAUUUCUCUCCGUGGAAAUAAGUGAAAAGCCAAAGUGAUUUGAUUAUUUUUAUGGCCAACUAAUGUAUGACAGAUCUGGUUUCAAUCUCUGCAAUGUAAGUGUAUCAAAACGAGGUCAACAACUCUUUGUCGAGUCAGUCAAAUACGCAAGCAGAGCGAACAAAUUUUUUUUCCAAUUAAGUAAUCAUCAAGUGAUAACCUUCUUUUUCUAUUAAAAUAAGGAGUGCAGAACAACUGUCAAGAGAUAAUCAUUGUUUAUUAUAUUUUCGAUUAAAAUAGUUGCGCGUGAACGAUUGCCCGAAUUCGUAUAAAUUGUUGUCAGGUCUAUUAUAAUUAACAAGUGGAAUGGCCAAUGGAUGAAGAACCACUGCAAUUUCGUUUAUGAAUUUAAAAUGCUAAAGAAACUGGACACCAACGCUAAACGUGAGUUUGAGGCCCUUGCCUCAGUGUCUUUCAGGCGUUACUCGGGGUAGUUGAUAUACUGACGGCCCCGUUAUCAAUUAAUCAUCGAAAUAGAUUAAAAUAUGAAUGGAUUGGAAUGGAAUGAGUUGGAAUUAAAAUAUGAAAUGAUAGUCAGAUUAAUUUAUUUUUUUUUAAAUUAGAAAAUUAGAAUAAAAAUAAAUUAUAUUAUUAUUGAUGCAUUUGCUUUAUCUUAAAAUUACGAUGAGUUAUUACAAGUUACUAAUAUGCCUUUGAUUUUUUAUUAUAAUUAUAGUUAUUUAUUAUAACAUUUGUCAUAUAAUAAUAAUAAUAAUAAUAAUAAUAAUAAUAAUAAUAAUUGUAACAAUUAAUAUUGAAAAAAAAUUUAUUGUUAAUAAUAAAUAGGCAAUUAUCCAUCGACCAUGUGAUCUUUCGAACUUUUUCAAAAAUAGAUAAACACUUUUUUCUUUGCAGAAAUCCACCUGAAAUUUACAAAGCGUUUCAAUUGUUUAUUGUCAUCUUAACUCUGUUAGAAUUUUGUUGAUGUCAUAAGGACAAAAUUAUCAUUUUCACCUAAAUAUCCAAAAAGGGUAUCUUUCAAACAUGAUUAAGAUAAAAAAGUAAAAUAAAUUAUCCAUUGACUAUAUAAUUUUUUAACCUUUAUAAAAAAUAUUAAAAAAAUAUAUGAACAUUUGUUUUUAUUUUUCAACAAUCUAUCGGAUAUUUGUGAAGUGCAUUAGUGCUCCACUACUAUCAUAACCCUUUAAAAAUAUCGCUUAAACACGAGAACCUAUUGCCUAAAAUUAUUUUUCAAGCAAAUGCAACGACAUAUCUGGUUUUGAUCUUCGUGACUUUUAAGUGUGCAAGAACAAGAUGAAUGACCCUUUGUCGAGUUGAAGAAUUAAGAUGAAUCAAUUACAAAUCUAGAACAAACUUACAUGUGACAUUUUAGAAUUAAGCAAACUAUAAUUGAUCAUCCAGUGAUAGGCUUAUUUUCAAUUAAAUUAGAGUAAAGAUAUACAUUCCAAAUUUUUUAUCUCAAAAUUAAUCUUAGAUGAUGUCAUUAAUUGAGUACUUGGUAAUUCUUUCAAGAUCUAAGUGAAUUAAUUAUAUUAUCUCUCUAACCAAUUGAUGAAUAUCAUAUUAUUUUGGAUAAUUUUUUAUCUCAAAUCCUAGAAAAGAAAACAAAAGAAAGGGAGCAAAAAUAUUUUUAGAAACGUAAAAUAACCAAAAAAACACCUUUUCUUGUUUUUCUUAUUUUCCACUAUUAAGCUUCAAAAUGAACAACUUUAUUCUACAAUCUCUCAAAUAAUAUUAAUAACAACAACGUCGUCAUCAUCAAUAAUAAUAAUAAUAGAUUAAUUUUGUAGGAUGGAACUCUCUCAAAUCUUCAAGACACAAAAUGUGCUUGACCCCAUUGUUGUUAUUAUAAUUUCAAAAUCAUAUGUAUUAUAUAAUAUUAGGGAAUAUAACAUAGCAAAAUUGAUGGUACAUAUGUUGCAAUAUACUUGCUCAUGUGGCGACACAUUGACGUAAAGUACAAGCAGAACAACGAAAAAUGUAACGGGAGAGCUCUCAUUAUGUAGAUUUUCAAUAGAAGUAAUGCAUAUUUCACAAGGGCAAUGGCCUUAUUUCAAAUGCUGCACCUGAGGAAUGACUUGAAUCUUCUAUAGAACUCAGGCAUUCUGUAAUCAUAGAGUAUAUCAUUUCAACAAAAAUAUUAUAUAGGUCGUUCCUUAUAUAUUUUAUGGGUACACAUACAGAAAUAUUACUUUGGGUACAUUUUUUGCAAUAAAGCCUGCCCAAUCCAGCGUUUUCAUAAGUUGGGUUUCUCAUUUACUUGUUUUUUCCAUUGGUUAAUUAUCACAAACCUCCACUGAGAUUUAGCAUAUUUUUAGUUUAAUAGAUUGUAUUCGCGCAAAUAUCUUUUCAGACAUUAGUUUACCACUUCGUAUAAAUUAAGUUGGUGAGGAUAAAAUCGUAAAAGUACACAUUAAUGAUAAAAAAAUUCAAGUAAACAUGAAAUUUUCACGUUGUGUUCUGAAAUUGGUCUCAACUUUUUAAAUGUCCAUUAGGUAAAGAACAGAAGCAAGCUUUACCCAGCACACAAAAGCAAGCUUUGCGCAGCACGCAUUAACGCCCGCAAAAAUGAAAAAGGAAAAAUGGUCAUCUCUUUCCUCCAUUCGAAUUGAAGCCAUGAAACGCAACAUCCCUUUCAUCUUCUCUCUAAUGCUUUGAUUAAAAAACUUGCUUACGAACGGGAGACCAUGACACUGAAUCCGGAGACGGCAAUACCAGAGACGAUUGAUCGAUUUGGAAGAAUACCAACCAGUGACUUUCGCCGUCGACCCACAAACAGUCCCAGUGUUUUCGAGCCGUGAAUGAGGUAUGAAUCAGAUUAUUUCCGUGCAUGUCAGUUUUGUUAGGUGAUUUGGUUUAAAAAAAGAAUAAUGGGUCUCGAAAAUUUUUUGAGAGUAUUUCUGUUGCUUACAUUUUUUUUCCAUUGAUUAAUGUUAGUUGUAGGUGAAUGAUUGUUUCAAAUGCAUGUUCGCGUGUGACUGAUUGAAAAUGGCUUGUGAUUUGUCAUGCUGCCGUAUGACUGAUUGAAAAUGGCUCUAAAAUUUUUUUUAUUUGUUUAAGCUACUGAUUCUGAUUAUUGAACAGGAAUUCAUGCUAGCUUUUGUGAAAUUAAAGAUGAGACUAUUUUUUAAGAGAUCUGCCAAACCUUCUCUACUAUAGAUUUGGCUUCUGACAUACCUGGUUGGCUGGAGAUAAUUGUUUAUAUAGUCAUUGUUGCCCGUAUUAUUUAGGAAUAUUGAUUAGCAAUGUACUGGAUUAGAGAUUGGUAUAAUUUUGGAAAAUUAGUCGUAGAUGCAACCUGAUUAUGGUCUCAAAUAGUGUGAUCUGUCAAUUUCGUCUGCUAUGGCCUAACAACCUUGAAUCUGAGCUAUGCUACUAUACAAAGUCCUGACCUAAUCAAGCUUGUUAGCCAAUGUCCAAAAUUGCAGUGUCUUUAGAUAAGUCCCAUCUUAUUUGUUUGAAUUAUAAAUGAAAAUUGCAGUGUCUUUGGAUAAUCACGCUGAAUGUUCAAGUUAUUGACAAGAAGGGACCCCCAGAUUCAAGGCCGGAGCUCCCUGUUGAGAAGCUUUAUAUAUAUAGGAUUGUCGCUGGGUGGAGGAUCGAUAUGCCCGGUUUUGUUUGGAAUAAGGAUGAAGAUUUUGCAUUGAGGCUUUCUUGACAGAUCAUUCUGCAAAUCAAGCUCCAUGUACCUAUCUUCAAACUCUAGGAUAUGUAUAAAGCAAGUGCAUGCUCUAUAUGUCACUUAUUGUAUCCCGAUUAUUUUUCUAUUACUUAAUAUAAUUGCAGUCCUUGAUGAAGUUGGAGACAACUUAUGGAGGGUAUCCAGGAGCUCGAGAGCUCGAUUGCCAUUCAUUUUACACUUGGCUGAGCUAUAGAAUACCAACUAGUGAUUAAUAAAGAGAAGGUAUGAAGGUCCUAUUGCUGGUGGUAUUAUCAAUCAGAAUUGUUAUUUUACUUGGUCAUAGUUACCAUGUAUACUAUUCAUAGACUUUUUGCAUGUUUAUGUAUUUGCGUUCAUCGUUUUGUUAAGCUAGAGAUGGUUGAUUUGUGUACUCAUUUGUAUCACUUGUAGCCCUUGAGGAAUAAAAUUUAAAAUUUUGUUGCAUCUCCUGUACUAAAUACUAAUUUUGUUGGCUUUAUGUAUGUGAAAUGGUUCAUUAUGUUAUUUCUUUGAUGUGUGUAUAGUGUUACGCUGUCUAAAGUCGAAAAGUAUUUCUAUCACUUGUGUAAAAAACAACCUACUUUUUUUCACUCUUCUUAUAUUGAAUAAAAGAGGAACACCAAGAUCUUCACCAAGAUUGAACGAAAUUUGAUGCAAAAUGCAUAGCAAUUAGGCCAGUGCAAAACAACUUCCUUCUGAUUCUCUGAUAUUUGACUUAAAUCUUUUGUUUGUUUCAUUCAUCAAAGUCAUUUUGGAAAGUAGCAGGGGUGAUUUGAUAUUUUCAUUGUAUUCACAUCCCUUGGCACCAAAACAAACAUGCUGGUACUAACCAACAAUUUUUUUUAAUUUUCAGUAUACAAAUUAUCUUUUUUUUUCUAAAUUAGGGGUAUUAAGAAAAGGUAUACUAGCAUCGGGGGAGGUAUUUGAGAAUACACAAAUACAGGCUAUCAAACUGAGAAUACGCCAAAUCUCAGGGGAGGUUUCUGAUAAAUCUUUUUUUUUCCUUUUCCUCCAUUUACUAUAGGUUCAAUUUAGACAUUGUUGACCAAACAGAAGGUUUAGGUUGGUAAACGCACUAGUGUUAAUGUCAACAACCCAAGGGGCUUCAUGGUCCUCUGGGCCGAAAUAGCGUAAUUAUUAAUUCUCCUCCAGUGAAAAUCUUCAUCUCGAGACAAAUAAAUACGAAUUGACAUUAUAGCUGUGCAAAUUUGGAGGUGUAAUAACCGGAAAAGUAAAAAUCUUUAGAGACAUUUCAAAUAAAAAAGAUACAACACCUUCAAUUUGCUAAAAGUAAUGGUAUCAUUUCUUGUACGGAUAAUGGAUGAUUAGAUUUUGUUUUUUGUUAUCCGACGAAGGAUAUUCAGUUGUUCUUUAUGUGUUCACAGGCAAGAGCAUGAGCAUGUUUAUGAUUUGAUAUAUGCUUCUUGCAUUUUUUAAUUAAGUACUCUCUUUCCUUACUGUGAAGCCGAAAUUAGUUAUAAUCUGUUAUGGACAUGCUGAGGUGGCAGGUGAGCUGGCAUAAGUGGGAUCCAAAUCAAGAGUUGGUUAGUUAGUUAAAUAACAGACUGACUCAUUGCAAGUGGAAACACACGUGAGAAGCAUACAUUUAUAAGCUGUCUCUAAGCUAGCUAAACAUACAUAGAAUCAUAGAGAAUUUACAGAGAGGAAACACUCGAUAGGUUUUAAUCUGUAAUUGGUGACUCAGUUGUAAACCAUCUUCUUCUUGUUGUUCAAUAAAGCCUCUGCCCUUGCUGGUUUUACAGCCGUGGAUGUAGGUUCCUUUGUGGAGCUUAACCACGUUAGUUUCUUGGUGUGUUGUGAAUCUUUGAUUGCUUGGUUCUUCUUUGUUCUUUUCUUAAUGUUGUUUCUGUAAACUCUGGUUUUGUGGGUUGCUUAAUUCUUGUUCAAGUAAGCGAAGUAAACACGUUUGCCAUAACAAACUGGUAUCAGAGCCUGGUAUUGGUUGGGAUCAGACUCAAAGAUGGCAAGCACCAGAGUUGAUCUUGAAAAGUUCAAUGGAGAUAAUGAUUUUUAUCUCUGGAGUUUGAAGAUGAGAGCAAUACUUAUUCAAUAAGGGCUUGACAGUGCCCUCGAUGAUGGAGAAGAUCCGAUGGCCAAGAAAGAAAAGGCAGAAGGCUCUUCAAGCCUUGGUGCAGAUCAGAGGAUCAUAAACAAUAAGGCCCAUAGCACCAUUAUCUUGCAUCUCUCUGAUGAAGUCUUGAGAGAAGUAUCCAAAGAAAGAACUGCAGCUGGUUUAUGGGCAAAACUAGAAGAAAUGUUUCUGAAGAAAUCAUUGGCAAAGAGGAUGUACAUGAAGAGGAGAUUGUACACAUUCUCAAUGAAAGAUGGAGUAGCCAUGAAAGAUCACGUGGAUGAGUUUAAUAAACUCAUUCUUGAUCUCGAGAAUGUCAACAUAAUUCUUGAAGAUGAAGACAAGGCACUCAUCCUCUUAAGUUCUCUUCCAGAAUCUUAUGAACAUUUUGUAGAUACCCUCAUCUAUGGCAGACAAACCCUCUCUUUGAAAGAUGUCAAAGAUGCUCUGAAAUCCAAGGAUUUGAAGAAAAGAUCAGACAUGAAAGAUCAAAACAAUGCAGAAGGUUUGGUUGCCAAAGGAAAGCCAGAAAAGAAACACAAUAAGCAGAAAAAGAACAACAGCCAGAAAGAUAAAGCUGAAAAGAAGAAGAAGAAGAAGAGAAAGUGUUACUUCUGUCAGAAAGAGGGACACUACAUUAAAGAUUGCUUUGAGAAAAAGAAACUAGAAGAACUGCAAAAGAAAUCAAAUGGGAAGACUGCUGUUGCCUCUGAAGAUGAAUGUGACUACGAUGAAGCAGAUGUCUUGGUGGCUGCAGAAAGGCACCCAACUGGUGAGUGGAUUCUGGACUCUGGUUGCUCAUUCCACAUGUGUCCAAAUAAAAGUUUCUUUAAGACCUUUGAAAGUGUAAAUGGUGGAAAGGUAUUGUUGGGAAAUAACCUAGCUUGCAAGGUGGCUGGAAUAGGAACCAUUAGCUUAAAAUUGCAUGAUGGUGUCACUAGAGACUUGCACCAAGUAAGAUUUGUCCUUGAACUGAAAAGAAACUUGAUAUCUCUAGGAAUGGUUGACCAAUCAGGGUGUACUAUUAAGGCUAAAAAUGGAGAGAUACAGGUCUUGGAUCAGGGUAAAAUUGUAAUGAAAGGGGUUAGGAAAAAUGGGCUGUACAUACUAGUUGGAUCCUCACUUGUGCAAGGGAUCUCAGCAAGUGUGACCAGAGAUAAAACCAAGCUCUGGCACAUGAGACUAGCUCAUAUCAGUGAGAGAGGUCUCAAGGAGCUAAGCAAUCAAGGUUUGCUUGGUGAUGACAAAGUUACUUCCUUAAAAUUCUGUGAGAAAUGUGUGUUUGGGAAGGCCACAAGACUAAAAUUCAGUUUAGGGAGAAAAGAAACCAAACAGACUCUAGAUUACAUCCACUCAAACCUUUGGGGGCCAUCACAAGUUCCAUCUUUAGGUGGAGCUAGGUACUUUGAGUCCUUAAUAGAUGACUACUCUAGGAAGGUUUGGAUCUAUGUGUUGAAACACAAAAGUGAAGCACUAGGGAAGUUCAAAGAGUGGAUUACUCUCAUUGAAAACCAAACUGAUAAGAAAAUAAAGAGGCUCAGAACAGACAAUGGGCUGGAGUAUUGCAGCAAAGAGUUUGAAGAUUUCUCCAAAUAUAAGGGCAUUACAAGGCAUAGAACUGUCACCUACACUCCACAGCAAAAUGGGUUGGCAGAAAGAAUGAACAGAACCAUAAUAGAGAGGGUAAGAUGCAUGCUGCUGAAUGCAAACCUAUCCAAAGGUUUUUGGGCAGAAGCAGUCACCACAACUGCCUACUUGAUAAACAGAAGCCCAUCCUCAGCUCUAGGUUUCAAGACACCUCAGGAGCUUUGGUCUGGAAAGCCACAAGACUUGAGCAAUUUGAGGAUCUUUGGAUGUCCAGCUUAUGCACACUUAAAGCAAGGUAAGCUUGAACCAAGGGCUGUUAAAGGGUAUUUCUUGGGCUAUCCUGAGGGCAUUAAGGGAUACAAGAUAUGGACCCUCAAUGGCAAACCAUCUAGGAUAUUAAUCAGUAGGGAUGUCACCUUUGAUGAAGAGCAAAUGCUUCAGUCAAAGGUAGAAACUGAGAUUGAAGCUGCUGAAAUAGAGGAAGAAGAAAGUGCUGGACAGAUGGUAAAGCAUUCUGAUAGUUGUAAGCCUUCUGAACAACCAUAAGACCAGACCAAGGAAAGAAAACAACCAUCAGAACUGGAAACAUAUCAGCUUGCUAGGGACAGAGAGAGGAGAGCCAUCAAAAUGCCAAAGAAGUAUGGCAUAGCUGACCUCAUUUCCUAUGCACUGACAGUAGCUGAUGAAGUAAAUGGUGGAGAGCCUUUGAGCUAUAAAGAAGCUAUGAGAUGUGAGGAUAAGCUGAAAUGGUAUGCUACAAUGCAGGAUGAAAUAGUCUCUUUAAAGAAGAAUAAUACCUGGAUCUUAGUGGACAGACCAUCUAAUAAGAAACUAGUUGGCAGCAAGUGGAUUUUCAAGUUGAAGGCUGGAGCUUCAGAGAAUGAACCACCAAGACAUAAAGCCAGACUUGUGGCAAAGGGAUUCACACAAAGAGAGGGAGUUGACUUCAAUGAAGUGUUCUCACCUGUAGUCAAAUACAGCUCAAUUAGGUUGCUGUUGGCCUUCUCUGCAUAUCAUGACCUGGAGCUGGAGCAGACGGAUGUUAAAACUGCCUUCUUACAUGGCAGUCUUGAUGAAGAGAUUUUCAUGGCACAGCCAGAAGGGUUCAUUGAGAAAGGAUCAGAGGACAAAGUGUGCUUAUUAAAGAAGAGCUUGUAUGACCUCAAGCAAUCUCCAAGGCAAUGGUAUUUAAAGUUUGAUGAGUUUAUGCUAAGCCAUGGAUACUGCAGAAGCAGAUUUGAUAAUUGUGUGUAUUAUAAAUUCCUGUCAAAUGGUGGUGGCAUCUACUUACUUAUGUAUGUGGAUGACAUGCUUAUUGCAUGUAAACAAAAUGAAAAGUAAAGAAGCUUAAGGUGGAGCUCAGCACUGAAUUUGAAAUGAAGGAUUUGGGUGCAGCUACAAAGAUUCUGGGAAUGCAGAUAAAGAGAGAUAGAGAGUCCAAAGUUUUGUAUCUGUCUUAGGAGGAUUAUGUGAAGAUGGUGUUAACCAGGUUCAAUAUGAAAGAUUCAAAGCCUGUUUCAACACCUCUGUCAGCUCACUUCCAGUUAUCUAAGUCACUGGAACCUACAACUGAUGAUGAUUUUAACUACAUGAGGGAGAUACCUUGCUCCAGUGCAGUUGGCAGCAUCAUGUAUGCCAUGGUGUGCACCAGACCUGACUUGGCUCAUGGAGUUGGAGUCAUCAGUAGGUUUAUAGGGAAUUCAGGGAAGGGUCACUGGAAUGCAGUGAAAUGGGUACUAAGAUAUCUUAAAGGGUCUGCUGUCACUGCCAUCAUGUUUGGUAAAAUAAGUGGAGCAUCACCUGUAGUGGCUGGAUUUGUGGACUCAGACUAUGCAGCAGACAAAGAUAGAAGGAGGUCCAUCACAGGUUUUGUGUUUACUAUAUGUGGAGGUGCUAUAAGUUGGAAAUCUUCCCUGCAGUCAGUGGUUGCCCUCUCAACAACAGAAGCUGAAUAUAUUGCACUUACAGAAGCUGUCAAAGAGGCAAUAUGGCUGAGAGGGCUGGUCUCUGAAUUGGGGUUUAAACAAGAAGUUGUUGUAGUUGGCUGUGAUAGCUUAAGUGCUAUUCAGCUAAGUAAAAAUCCUAAGUAUCAUGAGAGAACUAAACAUAUUGAUGUUAGAAUGCAUUUAAUUAGGGAUGAAAUCAGCAAAGGAGUAGUGAAUGUGGUUAAGGUGCCAUCUGAAGUAAAUCCAGCUGACAUGUUAACCAAGCCUUUGCCAUCAGUCAGGUUCAGGGACUUACUGAAUCUGAUUGGAAGUGUUAGCUUGUGAAACAAGCUUACUGGUGCUGUGUUGCAGUGAAGGGAGAAGCAUAAACAGAUUAGAACUAAGGUGGAGAUUUGUGAAGCCGAAAUUAGUUAUAAUCUGUUAUGGACAUGCUGAGGUGGCAAGUGAGCUGGCAUAAGUGGGAUCCAAAUCAAGAGUUGGUUAGUUAGUUAAAUAACAGACUGACUCAUUGCAAGUGGAAACACAUGUGAGAAGCAUACAUUUAUAAGCUGUCUCUAAGCUAGCUAAACAUACAUAGAAUCAUAGAGAAUUUACAGAGAGGAAACACUCGAUAGGUUUUAAUCUGUAAUUGGUGACUCAUUUGUAAACCAUCUUCUUCUUGUUGUUCAAUAAAGCCUCUGCCCUUGCUGGUUUUACAGCCGUGGAUGUAGGUUCCUUUGUGGAGCUGAACCACGUUAGUUUCUUGGUGUGUUGUGAAUCUUUGAUUGCUUGGUUCUUCUUUGUUCUUUUCUUAAUGUUGUUUCUGUAAACUCUGGUUUUGUGGGUUGCUUAAUUCUUGUUCAAGUAAGCGAAGUAAACACGUUUGCCAUAACACUUGCCUUCUUAGUUUUGAAAGAAAGAUGUGAAGCAAAGCAAACCCAGUGAAAUAUACAGAGAAGCAGAACCAUCAGAGGAAAAACUAAAUAACAGAACUACAAUUGAACCAAACAAAAUCAAAUAAACCGAGGCAACAGAUGCCCUGAAUCAGGCAUCGCUUUUCCUCGAAAGAAAAUAUGUUUGCAUGGGUGGGAACCUAGUAAUUACUCAAGAGUUGAGGAGUUGGAAAGAUUUGGUAUUCAUAUCUUCACAAUUCAUAUGCUUUAAUGCAGAAUCGACAGCUUUAUAUUAUUUUAUUCAACCAAAAACGAUAAAGCAGUAAAACCACAAUAAUCCACCAACUUUUGAUACUUUUAGGAAUUUUUUUAGUCAAAUUAAGUUUCAUGAUAAAACAAGUGGCUCCUCCACACACUUGCACUUGCUUGAAUAUUCGUGCCGACAUUUUCAUAUGUGAUGGUACUUCUUAGCCAGUAGAUAUGUUGAAGUACUACAAAACAGAGUAUUUGAUGAAGUUUUGCUACUUUCGUAUCCCUUUUUUUGUUGCAUAACUAAAUUCUUUAUAAACACAAAUUAGAAAGAUACAAAUAAUACAGUAGCUUGAAUUUAUAUGCUUUUAUGAUUAUUUGAUAAUCUAGUGCUGAUCAUAUGUGAUGAUAAACUUAGCUAGUAGUUUUAUAUUUGUUUUCGUAGUUUCCUUAGCGUUCACAUUUUGAUGAGUAAAUUAAGGAUUUCCAGAUGAAGUACAUAAUUUGAUGAAUGCUAAGGAACUGAAGUUUGAUUAAUUGAAAACAAAAAUAAUAAUGCAGGUAAUUGCGAAAAUGAGCAAUGCAGAAGUAGUCCCUAUAGUAUUUCUAAAUUUUCUCUUGGGGUUCCUUAGUAUUCCUUAAUAUUUUUUAAAAAUGACAUGACGAUCUUUGAGUUGACGAAUCUUGGCCUGCUGCUUAGUACCCUUCCAACAUAUAAAGUACUAGAUGUUUUACUGAGAAAAUGACUAGAUCAUUUACCAAAUUUCUUGCGCAUAUAUACGUAUGCAUACGAGAAAUGGGAAUCAAUGAUUAUAAGACCUUGCAAUGAGACAAUAAUACAUCAUCAAAUCUAAAAAUACACAAGAAAUUCGGGACAUAUAUAUAACAAAAGACCUCUCAUUGAGUCAUACAUAUUGAGAAUAAAAUGUCAAAAUGCAUACAAAGAGCUUAUACAGAAAAUGAAUUUACACAUAUUUAGAAUAAACUGUCUUUGAACUUUCGAUGGUCAAAUAAAGGAAACAGACAGGAUAUUGUUAACAUAUAUGUUUCCAUAAUGUUGAUUUUGAUGAUAACAAACAUGAUUAAGAAUAAUUAAUCUUUUAAGCUCAAAUUAUUUUCUUUUUAAAUAAAUCAUUAUUUUCACAUUUUAAAGGUUUUAUAUUUAAUGGAAAAAUGAUUUUAAGAAAUUGAUUGUUUUUAUUCUUUUUAAAUAAAUCAUUAUUUUCACAUUAUAAAUGUUUCAUAUUUAAUGGAAAAAUGAUUUUAUGCAAUUGGUUGUUUUUCAAGUUUAUGGUUUAUUUGAAAGAGUUUUGAAAACUUUGAAAUCAACAAGUAUUGCUUGAAAUUUUGGAGAAGGAUUUAUUUGAAAAGUAUUCAUAGCAUUUUGGGCUAUAUUAUAAUUUCAUAAAGUUUUGGAAAUAGUAAGUAUUAUUUAGAAAUUCUGAAAUUGGACUUAUUUGCAAAGUUUCAUAACAUUUUGGGCCGUAAUACAGUUUUAUAAAGUUUUGGGGUCAAACGAUAAUUUUAGAAAAUAUGUCACUGUAGCAGUUACUGUAGAAAACGGCGAUCCGACAUCUUGAUAACGGCUCGCCGACAUCUAACAGAAUUGAAGAUUAGUCUCUGGACCUAAACGGCGAACCGACAUGUGUGAUAAACGGCUCGCCGAUAUCAACCAGUAGCCUCUGGACCUAAACGGCGAUCCGACAUAUAGUUAACGGCGAGCCGACAAUUUGAAAAAUCAGCCCAACGGUCAUAUUGACCAGUCAAACGGCGAUCCGACAUCUAGCUAACGGCGAUCCGACAGUGUGCAGAAAGUCAAUAACGGCUAGUUUUCAGCUCUAACUAUAAAUAAGCUCAAUCCAAUUCAAACAAGGAGUGAUCCAAGAGUUAUCAUUGAGCUUGCCAUUGAGCAUAAAAUUAUUAUUGAGCUUUGAACUUGUUUUUGUUUCUUUGAUUCACACAUUGAGCAUUCAUUUGUAAUCAAACACAUUGUGUGAGAGAAAAUUCAUUUGUAAUAUUUAUCCUUGAGAGGUUGUAAGUGUUGGGAUACACUUGGGUUAAGAGAUUGGAGAUAAUCUCUUGUUGUAAAGGUCCAUUGACACCUUGAAAGUCAAUUGUAAGCGUUUGAAGCAUUGGGAGGCUAGCUUAGUGAAAUCCUCAAGCCCGGUGAGCUUGGAGGCGUGGACGUAGGCGGAGAUUGCCGAACCACGUAAAAAUCAUUGUGUUUGUUUUCUCUUCCCUUACUCUUUUAUAUUGUGAUUGAUUUAUUUGUUAUUGCUUUAAAUUAGUUUUGGAUUUUCAUUGUGUUUUGUUUUAGAAUUGAAUAAUUUUUUAAUAUCCCAAUUCACCCCCCCUCUUGGGUUGCAUAACUAGAAUUUCAGAUAUAACACACACUAUCAUAGAUGUAGCGACACGGUGAAGUAAAUCACAUGAAGAUGGAAACGGAAACCCUUCACAACAUAAAAUUUGAAUGGAGGGGGGAAAAAAGGCUUCAUUUCGAAUGUUGUACAGAAGAAGAGUGACUUGAAUCUCUAUCAGUAUCCAGACAUUCUACAAACACAGAGUUGAGAAUUUUAACAAGAAUAACAGACAAAAUAUUGUACUUCUAUACUUGUAACAAAACUAGACCAAAUUAGUUCCCUUUUUGGUUUGUGAAAACUUGAUAUUUUUUAAAAUUCUAUCGAAUGCUUUCAAACAAUAUUUCCAUAAUAUAUUUGUUCAUAGCUAACCUUUGAUGGUUUAAGCAUUUGUUGUAGGCAUGACGGGCUAAUUAGAUUUUUUUUUUUUUAUCCGAUGAAUGAUAUUCAGCUGUUCUUAAUUAUGUGUUAAUAGGCAAGAACAUUUUCUUAAGUACUUUCAUUGCCUUCCAAGUUUCCAAUGAACAAACAGAGCACAAACAAAUUUAACGGAACAGUAACGAUGACAAUAAAUAAUUGGCAAGGAAAGAAAGAAAAAAGUUUGCAUGAUUUCAAGGAAUUAUAAAAUCUGAACACUUUCAACAUGCAAGUGUUGCCCCUCUUAUUGAAAUUUCAUCAUAAAAUGCUUGCAAGGAAUUAUAAAAUUUUAGAGAACAAGGGAACUCUCAAAACAAAAUACUCAAAUUAAAUUAAAUUAGACCAAAAGACGCUCAAUGACGCAAAAUCUGCCCAUAAAAGCCUGAACGAAUCAUGAAAAGUGCAUUCCAUAUUGACAGUAAACCAAGUGACCCAUUCUAAACAAUUGAGAUGAAAUUGUGAAACAACCCACGAGAUCAAAUAAAUAAAAUAAGAAUUAAUUACCAGCUGGGACUUGCUUCUUCAAAUUCGUAACUCCAAGUCAUAAGAAGCCAAUGAAAUUAGUCGUAAUCCACAGAGUAUAACGACGACCCCGCCAACAGCUGAAAAUAAAAUUCUUAUUCAUCAAUUUAAACUAACUUUAUAACAAAUAUCUUAUCGAUAUUUUAUUUAAAAAGAAAAAGCAAAUUUUGUAAAAUUUUUCCAUGGGAGAUAGAGAGUAACACGUAUAUCCGUACCUUCUCAGCAUGUAAUUGUUGUAUGGUCGUGUUAAGAUCAUUACUAGCCCAACGCCGUUGAUUCGAUGUCUCUCCAUACCAGACGUUUACUCUCGGAGGCGUGCUUGAUUCUCCUGUAGUGAAAAUCUUGAAUUUGGGACAACCAAUCACAGAUAGAUCUUGCAAAGAUGGGAAUUUGAAGGUGUAAUUGGCAGAGCAGAAACUUGUGAGGCUGUCUAAAUCACGCAGUUCCAACCUCUUCAAUUUGCGGGAAACAAUCUCUUCUUUUUCAACCCCGUCUUUGUCAUUUAUUACCACCUCUGUCAUUGCUCUGCAUCCGUAUACACAAAGUGAUACGAGUCGCACUAGAGUUUUUGCUGUGGAGGAUGUUACUAAGUGUAUCAAUUUCUUGCAAUCGAAAGCUACAAGUUUUGUUAGGUUCCCAAAAGAUACCGAUGAUGAUUGCAAUAGAAUUAACAGACUUUGACAAUGAUAUACUCUUAGAAUUUCAAGAUACUGAAAAAUGGGGCCAAGUUUGGAGUCUUGUUUGCACAGCUGCUUCAGAUGAUAGUGCCGGUACAGCUCUAAUUCUUUUAUCAUUGCCAACUUCCCCACAUGUUUCUCUAAGCAUCCUUCCAUCGAAAAUACCUCUUCGUGGAAUGAAAAAUAACACAGUACGAGCAUUUCGAGAUUGUGAAAUCUCUCCAGUACAUUCCAGAUUGGAAAACAAGCUGAGUCAUCUCCAACAAUCUCUAGUUGUUUGAGACUGCCAAAAAGGUGUUGUGGGAAAUCGGCCUGCAAAAUCAUCUUCACGUAUUUUCCGCAUAGUGAUAGUUCCGUCAAGUUGGGUAAGAUCUGAUCAUCAUCAAUCAUAAUAACUAAUAAGGUCAAUUGAUGUUCUCUCAAAUGAUUUUGAGUAAUCCAAUCAGACGCAGUGAGUUUAUAGUAUUUGUUUUAUAUUAUAUUUUAAAAAAAAUUGAAUUAUUGAUAAAAUUUAUUAAAUGAUUUUUUAUAUGUUAAUUUUAGAGGUAAAAAAGAAAUUAGGGAAAAAAGGUUGAUUUAUACUGACUCGAAAUUAUUUUAUUGCACAAUAAUAAAUUACUAAUUUAUUUUGUAAGUUCUUCUAUAUGGAAAGACUCAAGAUUCUUUUACAAAUGCUAUACCUAAAAAAGUUUAUAUAAUUAUUAAUCUACCACAUUGAUCCCUUAAUCUAGACUAGCAAAGAUUAUUGUAUAAUAAAAGUUUUUAAUUUAUUAAGCAUUAAUUUAUCGAUACUUUGUCAUAUUUUUCAAAGUUAAAAAUAAGCUAUAGAUAAAAAAUCUAGAAAAUGGCUUCAUACCUUUUCCAGCGGCAAUAAGGGCUGUUGUGCAGGAAUACCAAGUUGAUCAUUCCCAUUAUUCUGCGAUAAAUCUGCAGCGAAUAUCUUUAAUUUGUCACAACGAUACACUAAAAGAAUUUCUAGGGCGGGCCAUUCCGAAGUAUGCAUUCCAGGGUACAAACAUCUAAGUUUUGGUAGAUCAUGGAGUAUCAAAGUGGUGAGCUGUGGAAAGACAAAAUAAGGGAUCACUUGAUCUGCUCUGUUUUCAGAAAUGACCUCCUGUAAAUCCUCACAAGAGCGUAUUUCUAGGCGUUGGAGCUGCUUAAGGCUUCCGAUCAUGGACGCUGAAAAUAUUUAUUUUAAUUUGUGACAACCCCACACAAUCAAUCGUGUUAAACUUUGAAAGUGAGGAAACACGGCCGCUGGAAUUUGAUUGUAGUGCCAAAUCUUGUCGACAUUAAUUUCAGAUAUCUCCAAAGCCUCCAAGUUAGGCAACGCAACCUAAAAAGAUAAGAAUUUCUUGUUGAAAAUUUCUCUUUGAUUACAAAUUAAUGCAAGUCAGAAUCAAUUUCCAACUGACAGCUGAGUAUGCAUUCUAAUUCAUACUACCUGUUAAGAGCUCAAUUAGUGAGUGCGUGAGAUUAUUUUUUUCCCCAUUGUUUUCAUUUUCUUUCAAUUCUCUAAAUGAUUUAAUUAUUUUCCACGUUUGACAUAAGAGAACGCAUGAUAGAAUAAACUCUGUUAUAUAUAUAUAUGAAUAAAAUGUUAGCCUACGCACCUUCUCAUUGAAAAGCAAAGUUGAAAUAUCCAAAGUGAUUUCGCUGGAGCAAUACAUAGUCGUCGAUUCCUCUUGCGACACUUGUCUGUUCGGUGAUGCUGAAGGAGUCUCCACCUCACGGCAAAAACUUGUAACCUCUGGAAGAUUCCCCAGACUCAAAGAUCUUAAUUGAGCAAACUCUAUCUUCUCAAUUGCAUUAUCAACUUCUUCCCCAACUGCAAAAAUCUCUUUCAUCUUGCUGCAAUUAAUAACUGCAAUCCUCUCAAGUCUUGGAAGGCAUUUUGUAGUAGAGAGCCAAAAGAUAUUACUCAACUUAUUACAACUAUAAGCUUCUAUGGUUUUGAGUUUGUUGAAAGACUCUACUUUGAGCCGAUCAAUACAUAUCCUCUCCAUGUUGAUCAAAUUGUGAAGGGCCAGUGACUCCAAAAGAGGAAAGGCAUCACAAGCGACCAUCUCCCUUGAAUCGACGAUACAAAAGAAGUCAGGAUUAUUUUGAAUGCAGAGGACCUUCAAUUGUGAAAAGCCCUCCGUGUCCAAAUUGAAAAGAACAUUCUCGAUGCCUUGCAGCUUGUCCAACCGUAAGUAUUCAACGUUAUUGAUGCCCUGCAAUUUCAUGGAGCAAAUGUCCAUAAAAUCAAGCUUGAGCUCCAAUUCUCUUGAAAUCUUGCGAUCACUGUUGAUCGAAAAGCGCGGCCGACUUUUAAACCAAUGUUGUCCAACACUCAUGGGAUGCAUGAAUAACCCAUUUCCAAUAGAUAUUUUGAACCUUUCGAGCUUUCUGGCCAAAAAACCUUCUGGUAAAAUAUUGUCACUUUUAACGUCAAUUUCUAGAGAGGUUAGCCGAGGUAAAUGCAUCAAUUCGUCAAGGCUAGCAUUACUUCUUUUGCUGUUGGCUCUUUCAACCUCCCAUUCAAUGAAGCAAUUACCCAUAUACAAUUCUUCUAAUCGGAUUAAGCUUGAUAUGACAUUUGGGGCAAUAACUUUCAGACGGAAACAGUCUGUUAAAUCUAACAGCCUUAGCUUAGUCAGUUGACCCAGUGCUUUAGGCAACUCUACAAUAUCAGAUUGCAAAAAGCUAAGGAUUUCUAGAUUUUCCAACUUUCCAAUAAUGGCUAUGUCUAUGCCUCCGAAAAUGCUUUGAUUAAGACAAAGUGUCUGAAGAUUUACUAGAAGACCAAUUGAAGAUGGCAAUGACAAUAACCGCAUUCUAGUCAAAUCCAAAACCCGAAGCUUUUUCGUCCUUUUGAAUAAGUUCUCAGGAAUAUUAGGCACAGCAAAAGAGUUCUUGGGAGACAUGACUAGAAGUUCAAGUUGUAGAGAUUCGGACCCUUCAGGAAUGUCAUUAACAAUACUAUCUUUAAAAGAAAUUGCAAAAUAUUUUUUAAUUCAUCUGCAUUUGGCCAUUUCCAAUCAUCCUCAUUUCUCACCACAAAUGCAUUCAUGUCACGAAAUGCAAUUGAAAUGGCAACAUCGUGAACAACAUCGUGCAUAGAAAUGUAUUUACUGCCACCAUCCUCAAGCAACAAACAAGAGUCUCUUAGUUGACUGACCCAUGCAUCUAAUUUGUUAUGUGCAUCUUCUAGCUUAUGGACACUUUUAAAUACACCCAAGCCCAUGCUGUAUUUGAACAAAUCCAUAAUUGGUGCUGGCGUAAUAAGACUACACAGUAAAAAAGUUUUCUUGAGUUGCUCACCUCUUAAGUACUUGUAACUCAGCUCAAUUGUUGAGUAUGCCUCUGCUCGUACUCCUUCGUCGAAGCUUGCCUCUGAAGGCGUUUGGAGUUCUUGCAAGGCAUUCUUCCACACAGGCAGCUCUUUUUUUCUCAGUGCCUUUGCUACUGUGGUUAGGGCAAUAGGCAAACCUCCGCAUGCCUUGGCUACACUGGUUGCUGUAGAUUUUAACUAACGAUUUUCAACAUAAUCACCAGCCAUUAUCUUGAACAAUCUCCAGGCUUCUUGUUCAUUUAAAAUGCCAAUCGAGAAGUUUUUUUCAGAUCCCAUCCUUAACAGCACAUCAAGAUCUCUUGUUGUGAAUAAUAAUUUACAUCCUCUGUGCUCAACUCCAAAAGGAAUGCCAAUAGUCCCCAAAUCAAGAGGUUUCCAGAUGUUAUCGAGAAUCACAAGGAUCUUCUUCUCAUUCUUCAAUCUUUCAUAUAGUCUACUAGCUCUUCUAGACUCAGCUUCCUCGGACAACUCUAGGCCUAACGUUUCCGCAAUUUCCUCUUGGAUCUUUCUUAUGUCUGGACAUUGGGUAACCUCCGAAAAAACCACCAUAUCGUAAAGCUUGUCUUCAAUGGCUCGCCUUGCAAACUCCUUCACCAGUGUCGUCUUUCCAAUGCCGCCCAUGCCGUAGACCCCAAUGAUGCUGACAUCAACAUCGAUCAAUGCAUUUUGUAUGGCCUUCAAAGUAGAAAGUCUUGAAUCGAAGGCUUCGUAGCCUUUGUGAGACUUGAGCCAUAUAUCCUCCGGAAUGGUACGGUAGGAAAUUCCAUCAACAAAUCUCCCAGCUUCUUCUCGGAGUUUAACAAUGGCCUUCACCUUUGUUUCUGCUUUCUUGCUAAGCUGAUAGCGGGUCUUCAAAUUAGGACACAAGCCCAUGAGACAUCGUUUAUUUGUUGUCUUCUCAUCAUCAAUGAAUUUGGCUGCCUGCUCAAUGAUGAUGUUCGCACUAACCAGCCACUUCUCAACCUUCUCUUCAAUAUUUUCCCCUUUUCUUUCAGCCUCAGAAACCCUGUGCUGAAUGCUUCUCCUUUCAUCCUUGAGCUUGUCUAUUUCUGCCUUGAGUUUCUCAACGUUGGCUUUAUAGUUACGCAAAUAACCAAGUCGGCGUUCUGUUGGAGGAGCCAAGCAUUUCACAAAUUCUAAAACACUAGUAACAAUGCUUUCCACCAUCCUGGAUCCCUUUUCUUUUUUUCGAAGUUUCUGACAAGAAAAUAAACAAUGAGCGAAACACAGAGAGAGUGAGGAGAAAAAGAAAAAGAAACGCAAAGAUGGACAGUUUAUCUGGUUGUGGAAGCGGAGAAAUGAAAGAAAUCGUAAUAGCUGUUAUGGAUAUGCUGAGAAGAUGGAAACAAGGAAAAGGUUUCUAGUUCAACAACUGGAUUGCGAGCGGAGAGACUAAUUAACAAAGACUGGAGAUUACAACAAAGCAGAUGCCAAGAGAAAAGUUGAUCCAGUGAAAUUCAAGAGAGUUGACAGCAAAAGGGAGCAAAGAUUAAUAACAAAACAGCAGUGACUACAAUGAACAAAAGCAUAUGCGUUUCUUGAUUGAGAAUGAGUGCAAAGAAUGAUCCUUAAUCAAUAAAAUAUCUGACAAUAUCUUCACCGAAAGUUUGAGACAUGUGAUCCUUAUUCCACUGCGUCAAUUACACUCCAGACCAAUGCUGCCGUCAUUAUCGAACGGUCGAUAUCCAACACUUGCACGAAGAUUCCAAGAAGUUGCGUGGCUGCCGACUUUUAGAUGCAAAGCCUCAUUGUGUCGAUGUUACACAAAAGAGAGCAGUCCGGGUAAUUGCCAAAACUUAGAACUAAACAGUAGCUUAGUCAGAAAAUCAAACGCCAGUACCGGUAAAAUGACCGAUAAAAAUAUAAAGAAAUAAAAAUUUUAAAGUUUUACUUCAUUGCUUUUUUAAUCUUAUUACUAUUUCUCCUUGCACUUCUAAAGAAACCAAAGCUUUAAAAGAAAUCAGCCAAAUCAAGAAGAUUGAAAAGUAAAUCUAUGGUUUUAGAUUUUUAUUUUAUUUUUUUAGAUAAUAGAUAUUGUUGAGUAAUGAAAAGUACCAGCUCCGCUAUCCCCUCUUUCCUCACCCUGGGGCGAAUUUCCCCAUAUGAAUGGCACGAGCAGAUUCCUGGUAAUACAUCCUGUACAAGGCAUAUGCCGACUAGAAACGAAUACCGACCAGAUGUACAUACCGACCAAGUACUCAUUAUUCAAAGAAAGAGGACACGAUCUCACAAACUCACGACAAUUUUGUCAUGCCCCAAACUGUUGGGGAGAACAUGACGCCCCACGUUUACCCACGAUUCGGUGGUUGGAAACCCAUGAAGGUCCGUCAUCACCCGAAAAUGAGGGGCAUGAAUAAUACUCAGAAAACAUGGGAUGAUUGCCUAUAAAAGGCCAAGAAAUCGAUGAAAAAGGGGAGACAAAAAUUGAGAGUAAAGGGGAAACUCUGUCAAAUUAUAAUCAGAAAUUCAUAUAUCAAAAUCCUUGAUACAUUUGGUAUUGAGAAUAUUGCAACUAAUAUGUACAACACAAAUCAUUCACUUUUCUCGUAAACACCUUGUACUAAAUUAAGUAUUGAAGGGUUUAUGCCCGAAAAACCACUGGCGUCUCUGAUUUGUUUCUGUGAACGCAGGCCUGGAAGGAAGAAGACGGGUGAUUUGGGUCCCAGAAGCUCGGGAAAUUGCUGAAGCUGAUGGAUCGCAGCCUCCGUUCCUUUGUCGAUACAAGCGUUGGUGAACCAAUCUAGUCGGUCCAAAGGCGACCAGAUUUUAGCAUCAACAUAUAUUAUUUUGAUGAAUUUUUUAAUAUGAGAAUAAUGUUAGGAAUUCCAAUAGUAAAAUUCUAAUUGAGACCCAAUUGUUAUGUGUUAUUUUUUUAUUGAAUAAUGAAUUUCACAACUAAUAAAAUUUAUAUUUCCAUCAUCUAAUAAAUGACUACCAUAUCAGUUGGGACUCAAUUAUUAGGAUCCUUAACAUUGCUCUUAGUAUUAAAUUGGACAUCUUAGCUAAAUCAGAUUAAAAAUCAAAUUAGAUUUUAGGCUUUUAUUCAACAUCUCUUUUUUUUUUUUGGUCUAUUGGAAGUGAACGAAAUAAAAAUACAACAGGGUCAACGACUGGGCAAUUGGUAGUCAAGUAGAAGCAAAUCAAGGCUAAAUGGGAAAGAGAAACGAUGUUUGUGCAAAACAAGGAGAAAAUCCAUGUAACAGAAGAGAAUCAAAGUGCUUUUGAGAUCAAAAAUUGAAACAAGAAAAAGGUCGCUUGAUCCAAUGAAAAUGCAAAGAGUUGAUGGCAAAAGGGAACAAAGUUAAAUACGAAAACAGCUAGCGCUAGCAGCGACCACAAUAAACAGAAAAUUUGAGAUGGAUUUACAAUAUUUCUGCCUUUCUUUAUGCUUUAACAAAUAUUGCUCUAUCAAAAAAAAUAUUGAACAUUUUUAUUAUUGGAGUCACAAAAGACCUACACAAUAUAGCAAGUGACUAGGAAUAAAUAAGAAUAUAUAACUCUCUCUCUAAUUCUCACUCUGGCUUUUAAUUGUCACUCAAAACCCAGAAUUCAUCCUUAAAGUGUAGGCAAAUCAGAGAUGACAUCGUUUGGUUGUCAUACGUGCCUUUUAGUUUUCGGAUGACAUGGCGUACACUUCUUCUGUAAACCCAACACGACAUGUCGUACUCUUUUGUUUUGAGAUCCUAUUUCAAACUUUUCAUGCUAUGAAUGAAAGAUAAACUCCAAUCAUCAAAAUAUUUAGUGUUUGUUUGGUAAUGUAAUGUCAUUGUUGUUGUGAAUUGAAAUUAUUUCUGUAAAAUAAAAGGAUUUGGGUCAUUGUUUGUUAUUUUCUGACAAUAUUUAUUAAAUAUUAAAAAAUAAAUUUAUAUUUAUUAGUUAUUAAAAAUAAAUAAACAAACAAAAAUAAAAGGAAAAGUUUAUACAUUACGUAAAAUAAUGACAAUAUCAAUAUUUCGCACUCUAUAAUUGAGUGAUGUGUUGUCCAACUAGCAUACUUUGGUCCCAAACGGAGACUUAAAUAUCAAAGUCCAAAGUUAUUGUGAUGAUGACUUAUAAUCGCCAAACUUGACAUACGGGUAAUCAUGCAUUAUAAGGUGCUGAUUUCUUCCGAUCGGAACCUUAUUUUUCAUUUACAAAUAAAUAAAUGAUGUGACUUCACGGUUGGCGGGGUCCUUUGUGUCAUUUGGGCAUUUCACUAAAUGAUUGAUUGUAGCAGGAAGAUUCUUGGAAGUUGCCAUUUGCCAAUGCUACUAACAUUUUCAAACUUGGAAACCCCUUCAAUCAAUCUUAUAGUGUUAGGCUCUGGUAGCUUGGUUUGAUUAUGACAUAUGAUUAUUUGAUAAUAAAACUAGAGGAUGUAUUAAUAUAAAUCUUGUUUAUUGGUGUUGAAAUUAAUUAUCUCAUUGAUAAUAGUAUAAAAAGUUAAUUACUAAGAAACACAAAGCAGUAGUUAAUUGGUGUCAUAUUAUUGAGAUUCUAGGAUAUAAUUUUAUAUCAUAACUUUGUAAGUGUAUAAUUACUCAUUAAAUUAACAAAAUUAUUUAAAAAUAUUUAGUUGGAAAAAAUAAAUUAUAGCCUUUUUAUUUCAAAUAAUCUAUAAGUUAACUCAAAACAUAAUCAAGCUGAGAAUUAAAAUAAUGCUACUGUAUGAGAGGAUUUUUAUUUUUUCCCAAAGUUUCACUAGGAAAUUAUUGAUAUAUAGCUUUAUUCGGAUCAUCUCAGUUCAAACCACAAAUAAUUGAAAGACUAAACUAAAUAGACCAGCCAACAACCUUGUACAAGAGAGUUCAAAAAUUAAGGUCAUGGUAUUGAGGUGUUCUUUCUUGAAAAGUACAGCAUAGUAAUAAAAUAAAAACUAUUAGUCUUUGGUAAGAUAUAAUUUUUAAAUAAUAAUUUUCACAAAAAUACAAAAAUAUUUAUAAAGUACUUCUAUAGUGAGGAGACCCUCACUUUGUUAAAGUGAAAAUAUCAAUAAUAAACAAAAGAAAUAUAUUUUAGCACAUUAAAAACUGUAUUUUUUUUAUCUAUUGGCGUAUUAAAAUAUGUGUUAUUUAGUUUGUUAAUGAUAUCACCACUUUGUUAAAAUGAGGAUGUCCGUCUCUAGAGAAUCAUUAUAUAUAUAUAUAUAUAUAUAUAUAUAUGUAUGUAUAUAUAUAAAGUGUUUCUCUCCAAGGCCUAGACUUUAUUAAAAUUUAAGAAAGCAAAUAUAUUUUAUAUGGUAUAAUAGUGUAAUAACAUCACACUAUUAUAUCAUAUAGAGUAAUAGUUUUUCGAACUUUAAUAAAGCUUAAGAUUAUAGAAUGAAUGAUUUAUACACAUUAUAAUUGUUUUUAAUCAUAAAGUGGAGGAUAAAAUUAAUAUAUUUUUUAAAUUAUAAUAAAUAUUUAUCAAAUAAUUUAACAUUGUAGUAUCUCCUAAUUAGUAUAGUAAAUACGACCUAGGAGGUACAUUAAAGUAGUUGUUAAUAAUAAAUGAUAUAUGCAGCUCCAAUCAUCAUUGUACGAUGAGUAAUUAUAUAUGAAUCUUCACUUAUAGGUGAAAGCACUUUGUCAGACAUCAAAUCUCUGCAAAAGAUACCCGUCUUUAUUCGCUCAUUAUCCACACACACACAUAUUUAAUCUCACCUUUUUUUUUCCAAUCAAACCGAACAGAAAAAGAAAAAAAAUAAUUUUUCUUUUAAAAAAAAUGUAAAUUGAGGUUAUGUGAUUGUAAAGGCUGAUGUUACAAUACCUGCAUGUAUCAGAUACAUGCAGGUUUUAUGGCCGUUGGAUUCAUUGUAUUGAAUCCAACGGCCAUAAAUGAAUUUAAACAAUAAAUAAUUAAAAAAAUAAAAAAAACUUGAAACCUAUAGAAUCGGUCUCAACACACACCAAACCCCCUCAACACACAUCAAACCCAGGCAAAUAUAUUUGUUGGGAAAAAAAACAAACAAAAGGCUCUCACCUCACGCGGGAAAUCAAUUUGUUCUUCCCUCCAUCCUCACUCACGGCUCACGACUCCUGAUAACUCUAUGAAAUGAGAGUUAUCAUAGCACUUUUAGACUUAAAUUAAUAUUACUUAGAGAGUAAAUGAUGUGAUUCUAUUGCAUUUUUGUUACAUUUUGCAUAAAUAUUCAUUUGAGUUUAGUCUUAAUGAGUUUUGCUUGAUUUAAAGUAAUUUGUGCUCAAAUUGUGUACAUAAUUGUAGGUUUCCAGAAGCUUAUAAUUCAUGGAAGGAAUGCUAUGCAAUAGGCUUGCAAAAUAAAAUCCACUGGAAAAAUAAAUUUAUCCACCUUCACCAACACAUCUUCAAUCUUCCCUUCUGGAUAUGCAUGAGAUCUGUCAGCAAGUUGUAAAGUCACUGUUGUUGGUCUACAUUCACCAACUCCCAAUUGCUUAAACACUGAUAAAGGCAUGAGAUUGAUGCUAGCCCCUAAAUCACAAAGUGCUUUGCCACUGUAUUCAGUGCCUAUGGAGCAUGGAAUUGUGAAGCUUCCUAGAUCCUUCAUCUUCUGUGGUAUCUUACUCUGAAGCAUUCGGCUGCACUCUUGUGUUAAAGCAACUGUCUCAAAUUCUCCAAGUCUUCUUUUCUUUGACAAGAUAUCCUUAAAAAUUUUUGCAUAAUUUGGCAUUUGCUCUAGAGCUUCCACAAAAGGGAUAUUGAUAUGUAGCUGUUUCAGCACCCCCAAAAUUUUGCUGAACUGCUUGUCUUAUUGUUGCUUCUGAAAUCUUUGAGGGAAUGGUGGUGGGUGUCUAAACUGCUGUGCUGCAGCAGGUUGUACAGACUGCUUCUCUUUUGCUCUACUCAGGUCUGUUACUAUUGGUGUUGUAGCUUCCUUACCACCAGAUGCUGGAUCAUAACUUUCUGUAAAUGUUGUAGCAGAGCUGUGUUGAUUUGCAUUCCGAAAAGUGGAAGACUGUGACUCAUUCUCUACUUGAGUGUCUUCUUGGCCUUUGUUGGACUCAAUUUUUCUUUUUGGUACACCAACGGGACUAUGAACAUCUUUUCCAGAUCUCAAGUUAAUUACUUUGCAGUGCUCUUUCCCUUCUCUUCUUGGGUCCUCUGUAUUAAUGGGUAAACUACCGUGAGGUCUGUUGCUUACUGCUGUAGCAAGCUGUCCAAUUUGAUUUUCCAAGUUUUUCAAAGAUGCAGCAUGACUUUGGACAACCACUUCAUUUUUCACAAUAUAAUCCUUAAUCAAACCUUCAAGGGAGCUAAGUUGAUCAUUGUUGAUACUUCUUUGCUCUUGAUUUUACUGAUAAAAUCCAGGUGGUUGAGCAAGUCUGUUAUGUCCACUGGGUGCUGCAGUAGUCUGGUUCUGAUAACUCCAUGAAAAGUUCGGGUGCUGUCUCCAUCCAGGGUUGUAAGUGUUUGAAUAUGGAUUGUCCUGGUUCUGUCUAUUAAAGCUGCCCAUAUAGUUAACCAAAGCUGGAUUACCAGGACAAUUGUCAAAUAAAUGCCCUUCUCCACAAUAAACGCAAGACAUAUCAGAAAUUUGGUUAACAGUUGCUGGAGCAGUAGUCAUAGCCUUUACCAUCCUUGUUAAUGAAGUUACUUGGGCUGACAAUGUUCUCAAGGCAUCUACGUUAUGAACUCCUGCAGUUCCUCUUGCUGCAGCUUGUUUGGUUGAUGGCCACUGAUAAUUGUUGUUAGCAAUCCUCUCUAAAAUUUCAUAAGCCUCAUUGUAAGACUUAGAUAACAAAGCCCCAUUUGCUGAAGCGUCCACCAUCAAUCUAGUGCUUGGGUUGAGACCAUUAUAGAAAGUUUCCAACUGUAUGCAUCAAGGAAUACCAUGAUGAGGACAUCUCCUAAGUAACUCCUUAAAUCUUUCCCAUGCAUCACCAAGCUCUCAUCUUCAAGUUGAUGGAAAGAUGUGAUCUCGUUCCUCAACUUUGCAUUCUUGGUUGGCGGGAAGUAUUUCAACAAAAAUUUGUCAGCCAAGUCACUUCAUGUAGUGAUAGAAUCUGGUGGUAGAGAAUUCAACCAUGCUCUUGCUCGAUCUCUCAAAGAAAACGGGAAAAGUCCGAGUCUCAAUGCUUCCUGCGAUGCUCCAGCAAUCUUGAAAGCAUCACUUACUUCCAAAAAUAACUUAAGGUGUAAAUGAGGAUCUUCGGAUGGCAAACCAUUAAAUUGCCCCACUGUUUAAAGCAUCUGAAACAUCACGAGUUUGAGUUCAAAAUUGUCAGCUUGAACGUCGGGUCUAACUAUUCCUGGAUGUAUGGCUUGAGGAGUCAACACUGCGUAAUCUCAAAUGGCUCUAUCUCUAUCGUUCACCAUGUGAAUAAUGUCGUUGUUCCCUGGUGGAUAAAUUUAUUUUUCCAGUGGAUUUUAUUAUGCUAGACUUUGAGGCAGACAAAGAAGUGCCAAUCAUUCUAGGGAGACCUUUCUUAGCUACGGGAAAGACUUUAAUUGAUGUUCAAAAAGGAGAAUUAACCAUGAGGGUGAAUAACCAGCAAGUUACAUUCAAUGUGCUGGAUGCCAUGAAGAGUCCCGAUGAGAUUGAAGAUUUUAAUUUUAUCAGUGCUGUGGACUUUGUUGUAACUGAGAGAUUACACAGUUGCUGCUGUAAGGAAGAAAUCAAUGCUGUAACAAUUGAAGGACUUGAUGAUGAAGAUCAUGGAGCAGCUAACAUAGCAUGGUUAAGGAAGAAGCAACCAUUCAGAAUUGACGAGCAAAUCCAGCAAAGGGAACUCACUCCAGAACAACAAGAAUUCAAGGUUAAUGGGCCAAGAGUAAAGCACUAUAUGGGAGAUGGUGUGAAUAGCCUAAAGAGGGAUCGGUUCUUGAAAGAUCUAGGUUGAGGAAACAAGAAAGGUCAGGCUGAAGGACCUAAAAUCAAGCGCUAAUUGGGAGGCAACCCAAUAAGGGAAGUUGUUUCAAGUUUUUAUGGCAUUGAAUUUAGCUUUUAAAUUAUUUAAUUUGUCUUUUUGUUAUUUUAAGUGUGCAUCUAAUUUUUUAUGUCUUUAUGUUACAUUGUAGCAAGUACAAAAAAAAAUGUGGGCAAAAAGAGCAGGAGGGAAUUGCUGCAGCAUCACUUACAGCAUGACAUAUAACAGAAGAUUCUCAAACAAUAGAGACAUUUCUUGCUUUUGCAGCAGCAAAUGGAUUGAUCAUAUUUUAUGAUAAGGAGCGUUUGAGAAGUGGAUCAAAGAAGAAGUGACCCUUUACAGCCUGUGCUACAGCAGUGCUUCCAGCAACAGGGCAGUGCCCCUAACCGCUAGUUUAUUUUACUUCUUGCUGUAAAACUUUUCUUUCAUUUAGUUUUAAUUUUCUAAUUCAUUUUGCAUGUCAUUUUAUUUAGUGUAUGCAUGUCUGGUUUAUGUGGUUUUGUUUUGUGUGCUUGUGAGGACACAGCACCACUCAAGUUUGGGGGGGUUGUGUUUAUGAGUGCAUGUGUUUAUGCUUGUGUUGUGUGAAGCUCUGUUAUCUAAUAUUUGUGUAUGGAUUUGAAAACCUAAUGAAGAUAAAUUGAGUGUUAUUCAGUAUUUAUGAGAAAGCCAAGUAGAGAUAGUUAUAGAUGGAGGUUGAACUUCAGUCCCGACACUUAGACUUUGGUUGAGUUUUAUGAGAAUGUUGUAGCAGAGCCAUGAAAACCAAAAAAAGAGUAGAAAAUAUCUCAAGUUUGGGGAAAACUUUUUGUUGGACUGUGCUUGUUAUGAAAUAAAUUCUGCUCCAAUGGUUUAAGUUGCUGAGUAACCAGGGUUGAGUAUGCACCCCAUAUGCAAACUUGAGUCCAAAGGCAACACGAGCUACGAGCAGUGCUGCAGCAAUUAUAAAAAAAAGAGAAAUGAUGAUAAAGUGGUCCGCUACCUAGAAUACUGAGUAACCUGGUCUGUUCAUGAGCCCCAUGUUCAGCCUUGAGUCAAAGGCGUCCAAAGGUAUGACCUAGAUAUAACAUCCUGAAUGCGUUGCUGUAGCAACUCUGACAUGUACUUUGAAUGAGUAAUUGGGUGUCGUCAUUACAAGUGAUAGGCAUUCACAUGAAAGCUCAAUGUUGCAUUGAAGGGUUUAACUGAAAAAAAAAUUAUUAUUGUUGUAGCACAGUUUGAAUAUAAUUGUGAGUUCUGAUCCCCCAUAUGUGAAUAUAUUUGUGUUCUACCUCUGAAUUGUAUACAAAGUUUGUGCAAUGCUGUAGCACCUCUGGAAUUUGAUCAAAGUGGAACAUACACACUUUGGACAGAAUGAACCCUAAGUCUAGAACUGAACUACUAUGGCUAUUUUGUAUGAUUAAGAGUGUGAUCUGAGGGUGGAAGAAUCCUUGCAAAUUUGAUGACAGAGCUAAGUUAUUUGUUGCAUGAUUGUGUGAUUGAAGUGUGAAUGUUGUUGUCAUUACUUGAGGACAAGUAAUGGUUUAAGUUUGGGGGUGUAAUAACUCUAUGAAAUGAGAGUUAUCAUAGCACUUUUAGACUUAAAUUAAUAUUACUUAGAGAGUAAAUGAUGUGAUUCUAUUGCAUUUUUGUUACAUUUUGCAUAAAUAUUCAUUUUAGUUUAGUCUUAAUGAGUUUUGCUUGAUUUAAAGUAAUUUGUGCUCAAAUUGUGUGCAUAAUUGUAGGUUUCCAGAAGCUUAUAAUUCAUGGAAGGAAUGUUAUGCAAUAAGCUUACAAAAAUGAGGAAGAACAUGGCUAUAAAAGAAUUGAAACAAAUCUGGAACAGUUCAGUUGCUGUAGCCAUUGCUGUAGAAAUCUUGGAACAACGACAGAAAAAAUUCCGUGCGGGAUACUUGCAGAAUUGCGAUCUGCAGUUUCCUAAUCUGACUUAUGCGCGACAAAGGCUUCCGUUUACCCUAAUUUUCAACUAUAAAAGAAGCACACAUCAUAAGGAAAAGGGAGAGCCGUCACCCAAGGAGAAAAACACAAAGAAACAUAAGAAAUACAAGAUUCAAGAGAGAGAUUAAGGGCUGCACAAGAGGAGAAUUUGCAGAAAUCAAUUGGGAGCUCAAUCCUUCUUAUUCUUCUCUUGUUUUCUCGUUUUCUAUUUAUUUAUGGGGAUGUGUUUCAUGGCUGAAACUUUGUUCUUUAUUUUUCUUUUGCAAACCACGAACUAAAUUUAUUUGUGGUUGAGUGAUAAACAAUCUUGAUGGUUUAUUGACUGAAUUUAUGUGUUGCUACAUGUUUGCUGUAGCAGUUUGUUUUGAUAGUAUAUAUUUUUAUUCAUUAUUUUGGUUGAUCACCCAUUUAAUGAUACAAGUUAGGAGAGAGCCGUAAAAGGGCCUAUCUUAGUGGAGCAUAUCAUAACAAUACUUGAUCUUAAAUUGAGUUUCCCGGAUUGAGUUUUACUUGAGUCCCAAAAAGGCCAUGCUUGAUUUAAGAUUAGUGAUGAACUAGACAUAAGGAUUCACCUUGUAGGGUAAAUAGAACCUAAGCAUGUAAUGCUAUAUCUUAUGUUGGCAUAGCAACUGAUCACUGUUAGGUUGCAUAUAGAUAUAAGAUAUCCAACAUGCGACGGUUGAGGAUAUAUAAGGAUUCUGCCCAGUGCUGUAGCAAAUACUAUAGCAACCGAGCCAACCAUUAGAAAAUAGUCAAGACCAUUAGGAGAGUUUAUUCACUCAACUACUAUAUACUCCCAUUAGUUUUAUCCUUGAGCUUGACGUAAUAGUUUACUUUAUUGCAUUUAUUUAUUGCGUUUUUAUUUUAAUUAGUACAUUAGUUUCAUUAAUUGUUUAUUUUAUUUUAGCACAAAAUCUGCACUGUUAAGAUUGUUGUAGCAAAUCUAAUAACAUCAAUCCCUGUGGAGACGAUCUUGAAUACUCAUCACUUUAUUACUUGUUGUGUACACUUGCACAUUGACACCAAUAGCAUUAGUAUUUAUACACCAACAACUCCUUCUCCCUCUCCCUCUUCACUCACCCUCACGGCUCCCUCUCUCUCUCCCUCUCCCUCUUCACUCACCCUCACGGCUCCCUCUCUCUCUCCCUCUCCCUCUUCACUCAUCCUCACGGCUCCCUCUCCCUCUCCCUCUCCCUCUCCCUCAUCAUUCACUCUCUCGCCUGCAGUCCCUCACGAGACGCCUCAUCAGGGCCACCAACGACGGCGCUAUCCGGCGAAGACACGCGGAGGUUGAUCUCUAUUGCCGGCAAGGAUUUGCAGUUACAGAUUCACAACCCACUCAGUUCCCGUCAGCCCAUUCUGAGUCGUUGUCAGGCCAUAUCUGCAGUCCACCUACGGUAAUGAGACAUGGGUAUCAUGGGUUUUGUUUGGUAUCAUUAUAUUUGUUGAUUGAGUGUUUUAUUUGAUGUGGUAAGAAGAAUCAUUCGCCUCUCAUAUUUAAAAAUUACAGGUUUUAUCAUGUAAGUUUAUUAGUGCGUAUUGUUGGGUAAUGUAAUAAUUUACAUGGAUUUAGAAUUCGCGGAGAGAGUUUGAUGACAUUAUCUGUGUGUAUUGACAGGGGACAUAAUUUUUAGUGUACACAGUAUAAUGGGUAAGCGUAAGGCCAAUGUCGCAGAUGACAUUAAUAUUCAGUCUGAAGCUGGAUCCUCCGAGGCCGGGCAAGCAUUCGUACAUAUACUACUUGUAAGAAACUAAUUCAUUGUUGAAUUUUAUUAUUGACAUUCUGUAGUCAUUUCAGUUUAAUAGUGCAAUAAUUUUAAUUGACAUAUAAAGAACUGAUAUUUCAUAUUAUUUUUCUAUCUACAGCAAGAUAGAAUCCCAAAAGUUAAAGGAGGAAUGUGUGAAGGUGGAUGAAACGGUUUGUAGACAACUUUUCUAUGUUGCAACCUACUAACUAAUAGUUUGGUUAAUGAUUGGCCAAUGAAUAUAUAUAUUUUUUUAGUGUAGGUUAAGGGGCGUAUACGUGACAAAUGGUUGAAACUCAGCGCGAAAGAUAAAGUCGAAUUCAUCAACAGUUAUAAUGAAAAGGCUGAAAUGAACUCGAGAUUGGCCAGUGGAUUGUUAAGUGAACCGAUUCCAACAGUGGAGAACAAUUCUGAUAAGGGUAAUCACCUAUCUCGAUGUAGUGUUUUACGGUUCUCCAACAUUGUUUCUUCGUUAUCUAUUGAACAGCAAGAUGCCGUGAGAGAAAUUGGUUUCGGAAGCUUGUUAGGUUUAAAAUGUGGGCGACUUAGGCAAGAUUUAUGUAGAUUGUUAGUUAAGCAAUGUAACGUAGAUAAGCGGUCGAUAACAGUCCAUGGAAUGGAAUACAAGCUUACUCCGAAAACUUUUACAAGCGUGAUGGGUGUUGGUGACGGAGGAACACCGAUUGUGCUUGGUGGUGAAGAUAGUGAAAUUACUGACUUACGAGCCAAGUAUUGCUCAGGAAAGAAAGGCAUCCCAAUAGGUAGUUUAGAUGAAAAAUUAAAGACAAAUAGUUGUGCAGAUGAAGAUUUCUGUAUUCUAUUUAGUCUAUUUGUGAUUGAAACUAUUUUGUGUCCAACUACAGCUACAUACAUCAACCCAUCAUACCUUUAUGCUUUAAAAGACGUGAAUAACAUUCGCGAUAAAAAUUGGGCCAACUGGUCUUUCAAUUUUUUAUGGGAAGAAGUUUCAAAGUUCAACGAAAAUAAAAUUUCCUCGAUGAGCGGAUGCGUUAUAUUUUUAAUGGUAUGAUUUAUUUAGUAAUUUGUAUUCUCGUUAGUUAAACGAUUAUGGUAUUAUCGAUCAUUAUUUCCGUAUUAACUAAUUUGUUGUUGUUUGCAACUGUUCUACAUGUCAUCAACUAAGUUUCAACUUUCUUCUGUUGCGGAGAAUGGAUGUCCUCUUAGUGCAUGGAUUGAUAGUGAAAUAAAAAGAUUCCUCAAGUGGUGACAAAAGUAUGGUGACUUUGAGAGCAAUGCGGUUUGUUCCCUUCCAUAAUUGUAUAGUGUUUUGUAGUUAUGUUAUUAAAUUGAAUAGAUUAUUUAUGGAUAUUUGUAGUUAAUGCAGGUUUCGAUGCGAGAAAUCAGUUGCAGCUCAUCAGGUGCUCAAAGUGAAGAACAAAUUGACGAUGUUGACACUGCAAGGCAGCAUCCAUUUCAUGCUAUAUUAGCAGUAAUGGAUAGAAUGGAGGAACAUAUGAGAAGAAAUAAUGAUUUACUAUAAAGAAUGGGCUUGAAAAUGGAUUCUCUUACUGAAAAGGUUGAAAAGUUGGAACGAGCAUAUUUUCGUCAAGAAGGAGCGAAUGUCGCUGAUGAUAGUCAAUCACCUCCUACAUGUACUGGUGCCGAGGCAACUGAUGGUCCAAUCUUUUCCUCUCCGAAUAUGAAGAUGCACCCACCUAUCCCAGAGUUGUCACGCUUUUAGAUCUAGUACAGGAAAAGCGUACGCCCAUCGAAGUUAAAGAACGAAAAGCUGUGUACCUCAGCACAUCCACUGAUGAAGAGGCUAUCCUAAAAGAAAAGUUGGCAGAAGUAUUGCAAGACGCGAUGAAGCCUAAAUUGGUGCCGGAACUUCAAGAUGAGGUAUACAUAGAGUAAUAAUUUGUUAACUUUUGUCUAAACUAUAUAUGAUUUAGUCUAAUCGAAACAAGAGAAGAAAUGUCAACAGCCGUAAGAUUUUAAUCCGCUGUCUUUAGGCCCUCCUCGGCCAUACAGAAAUCGAAAGCCGGGGCGGUACCAGUUGUCCCCGUAUGAUCAAGUCUCACGCGGUCCAAAGCCAAAAUAUCGAGCGGGCCCUUUUUUAGUGAAUGAGCCGGUGACCCUCGAUCAAUUGAAAAUGCUCUAGUAUGGAUUUGACAAAAGCACUAGCCUAGAGUAACAAUACCUUCAUGGCCACUCAUCAAGCUCUUUUCGUUUAAUAUGUUGUCAUAGUUGUUUGAUUUUGUUAAUAUAUCAUGUGAUUAACAUACAGUGAAAUAAUUGUGCGAUCAAGUCAUGAGGAUAUCACUCGGCGAGGCUUGUUAUCACUUUUGCCCGAUGCAUCACUUGACGAGGAGGUUUAUUCGUAAUUUGACUUUAAUGAUAAAAUUGUAGUUAAUAAAACCAAUUAUAAUUGUUCUUGUGUUUAGAUUAUUUGCAUGAUGAGUGAUUACCUUACACGACGUGAGUCGUGCAAAAGCCACGGGCAACCAAUCAGUUGGUUCCUACCAACAAGAUAUGCAGUUACUGAUCCGUUCCUGUUUUUUUUUUUUUCAUAUCCUUUUUUUCAUCAUUAACUAUGGUAAUUUCAGUUGUGUUCUAUAUGAAUUUGAUGUGAUGAAUAUGUAGCAAUUUGCUACAAUGCCAAAUGCACAUUUAGAUGGUUUCAAGGCUGCCUCCCAAUACCGCAAACGUUACAUGUAUGACCUGCACCGGUGCCAUCAGGUAGCGUGUGUGUUUGUUGAAAUGAUUUUUCGUUAUGAUCGAUAUUAUGUAUGGUAAAAGUGACCCUAAGUUGUUCUUGAAUAGAUCAUUGUUCCCAUGCAUGAUGGUGGCCACCAUUGGUUUAUGCUGUUGGUUAAAAUUAAAGACAAACAAGCAGAGAUCUGGGAUCCACUAUCGGAUGCACAACGGACACGAGAUCGAGAAAUCCAAGUGAAUAGUAUUGUAAGUCCAACUAAUUUUUUUAUAAAAACGAUGAGUUUAGUUUUCUAGGUAUUGUGUUAUUAAUACAUGUGAUGUAUUUUUGCACUUGAAAAUAGUUACACUCGUUGGAUGCUAUACUUCAUGGCGUUGUGGAUGCUACAUAUUCAGUAUCUUGGAGUUUCUUGUCAUUUGUAGUGACCCAUGGGGAAGGAGUUCCACGGCAACCUAACGGUUUUGAUUGUGGAGUUUACGUCAUCAAAUUUAUGGAUACUCCUGGAAUCAUCACCAACAAAUCGUAUGUGGUACGCUCCCUUAUUCGCCUUAUGUGGUUUUUUGGUUGAUUUUACUACUGUUGUUGGGCCACUGACAUGAUGAAAGUGCAUGAUUAUUUCUGCAGCAUGACUCACAGAAUGUUCGGGCGUAACUUGCGUUACAACUUAUAGACUCUCCGUUCAACAAACAACGCGAUCAAUUAUUGACGUUGGCUAAUGCACACUACAGUAACGCUGCAACGUACAUAAAUGAAUCGAAUCGAAGCUUGCAUCAACAGUGAAGCCUCGUAAUGUGUCCACCAAAAAAGGUCAUAAGAAUAGUUCCACAAAACGUCAUUUCAGGCGGAAGGUCUAAGAUUGUUGUGAAUAUAGAUUAUGAUAAUUUUUUGCUGACUUCAUUCACAACCCUAAACUUUUGCUAAAUUUACCUUGUAACUGGCGUUGACGUACGAGUCAUGUAAAUUGUUUUGGUGAUCCAAAGACGUAGAGGGAUUAAUGGGGCAAUUAUGAUUUUUUCCUUCGGCAACCGGUUGUCUUAAUUAAUAUAUGUUGAAAGGAAGAUAAUUGUUGUAAAUGUUGCUAUUAUCACUAAGUAUGCAAAAUAUAUUAUUACAUUGCCAUUGUUCACUUCUUACAUGAUAAUAUAACUCAAUGAUUUCCAAAAAGUUCAUUCUACCCCUCAGUUCAGAUCCAAAAAUUGUAUCAUUAGCGAUCAUCCUCCAUCCUCCAAGUAUGUGUACCGUCCUCAACUAAGCAUAAUGUUACUGCUGUCGUAAUGGUCGUCAAUUCCUUCUGAGAUGUUAAGCCUCCAAGGACAAGUUGUCUCGAACGUAAAUGUUGGGGAACUUGGCGAGCUUGAUUCCAUUGAAACAGGCGGUGUUAACACAUUAUAAGAACAAUGCCUUGGAUGAUCGUCAGUCGAAACACAACCAAUACCGCUAACGCUGCAAUGAAGGUCAUUGGGCUGUAUGUCCUUUGGCAGAUAUAGCGGGCAAGUCCGUUUAGUAUGGCCAGGCUGAAAACACUGACUGCAUUUGCGAUUUUUAGCCCCAUCGUGUUUAACGGUUUUAGAGCAACCUUUACUAUUAACCGUAACCGGGUCUUUCAACUUCAUACCUGCUUGAAGUACACAAUUCCUGGCUCGUUUAGCUGAUUCAUCAUCCGCAACCAUCUGUUCAACGCGAAGCGUCAGCCGUUGAAUCUCAUCUAUCGCUAUCAUAUAACUUUGUUCAUUCUUUGCGGCAAAAAGACAAAGAUUAGUACAUGCCGCUGAAAGUGAGGCAAACUUUGCUGUUUCUAACACUCCUUUAUCGAGGUGUGACGCUGCAGCGGUUAUUUUCAUCACUUUACUCACCUUCGCUGAUUUGGUCCAGCGACCAAGAAUCAAUAGUGGUGGUAUGCGAACUAGUUGCUCGAACUUCAUGACGUGAAAUAUAUCCCUACAUGGAAUACCUGCUGAUUCCAUCAUCUUACAUGAACAAGUAAUUGCAACUUCUUUACUAUAAAAUACCACUGUCCAUUUUUGUUCUGGAUGCUGAAAUUUCAUUAAAGUAUAGAUAUUGGAAUUAGCUGUCUUGGCACACUCAAGCAUAAUUAGCGUGGCUUCUCCGAGGAUCUCCAUCCGAACCCACUUCAAUACAUUCCUUGUAUAUAUUUCGGACGCAUGUUUUUCAAUGCUUAGCAGAUGUGUUGUAAGAACUGGGGCUGUGUGGUUUGUCUCAUACUCAUCUUGGACUUCUUUGUGCCGUAUGCAAUACAUUGCACGAUGAAUUUGUCUAAUGAAAUCAUACAGUUUUAACUUCUUCUCAACAAAGCGACGCAAGUAAGAAUUCAAGCUCUCACACCUUUAUGUGGUUCGCAUUCCGGCGAAAAAGGUUCCUUUCAAAUAAGCCACUGCCCAUUUUCUACGCUUUGCAUACAUUUUUUCCACCCAAGAAUUUUGUUCCAGUCCCAGAUCAUAGAGAACCAAUCUCGAUCAAACUCCUCCAUGGUCAUUGGAUUCAACAUUAACUGCCGAAACUUCGACGUGAACUUAUUUCUCUUCACAUUUGCUUGUGCAUUCCGCUCAAGAUGCCAGCAGCAGAGUCGAUGUACACAUCCAGGCAUAACAGUUUUAAUCGCUUUCGACAUAGCUUUAUCACCAUCUGUUAUGACACUUAUGGGUUUUUUUUGUUUCAUUGCCGAUAAGAAAGUCUGUAGCAGCCACACAUAUGAUUCAACAGUUUCGUCAAUCAGUAUCGUAAAUCCAAAAACAGUAGUUCUUUUAUGAUGAUUUACACCAACAAAUGCGACCAAAGGUUUGUUGUAUGCAUUUUUCUUGUACGUUGCAUCAAAACCUAAAACAUCUCCAAAUUGUUCAUAGUCGUACCGAGCAACAGUGUCGGUCCAGAACAAGUUUCGCAGUCGAUUUUCCUCAUCAAGAGUAUACUCGAAGUACACUCCAGCAUCAUAAUCAACCCUUGCAGAUAAGUACGCAAUGGUAGCCUUUGUGUCGGUGUCAAUAAUUUGUGCAUGGUGAUCUGCGUCUAUUCUAUUCCGCAUGUCCUUACCCAUAUACCCAACAUGAUGGAACCCUCCUGCUUGAUCAGACUUGUAGUUCAUGAGCUGGCACACUUUCACCCCAACUUGUCGCAAUGCCUUUGCGUGAGCCAAAUCAGCUUCGUUGACAAGUCUAUGCAAACGAAGAAAUUGUGUCUCGUGCGGUUCAACCAAGCGAUGAGUGUGCUCAAAAACGAAUUUAGUUACCACGUACUUCCCUUUAAACUUAUCAUAGUUCACGCGAAGUUCCGCCUUGCACCCGUUACGAGUAAUGCCCCUCGGUUCCCUGAUUCUGUCUGUUUUCUCCAUCCAUUUUUUUAGCUUGUAUCCCUGUCCUGAGCAAACCCAUCGCCGACUUGCUACUUCACCACUUUUGCCGUCACAACGAAGUUCAUCUUUUCUCACAGAGAAUCCAACCGACUUAGCAUACUUUUUAUACCAUAUGUGGGCAUCAUUGACAUUUUCAAAACAGGAUCCGACACCCACUUCAAUGAGUUCACUUUUUUUAGGCAAACUGUAGGUCGUAUGACUAGAUGAUCUUGUAGCAGAUUUGUCCCCAAAAUAAUCACUGAUUUCGCUAGUUUGUGGCGGUAAUGACGUACCUGCACUUGCACAAAUUUCCAUCCCAUUAUCAUAUGACGGGUUGUCGGGGGGUCCACUUAUUUUCUGUUCUGAUGGCUGGUUAUCAUUGAGGUCUAACACCCAUGCAGAAAUGCUUCCCACGUCUAAAGAUGUUGUCAUGCUCUCUGGUUAUCUUCUCUCAAGAUUCUAGCAUUUGAAGACCAUCAAAAGGACCUAGUUGAAGACUUAAAAGAGUACUGCGUGGGUUAUGUUUGUUGGCAUUCAAUGUCUUCAUUAAAUGAUGGGGUUUGGUUGGUGCUUGGGUUGGUGGAUACAACAUUUAAACGCCUAGCCUAUUACCUAUAAAAGGUUAGCCGGUUUCGCAUUUGUGCUCUCUGGACAUUAAACGGCAAGCCUUUUAAACUCAUGCGGCUAGCCUUUUUCGAAUUGAUGCUAACUGGAGGGGAAACGACUGGCCUCUAAAAUUUAAGAGGCUAGCCUUUUUCGCGUUGGGGCUCAUUGGAGGGGAAACAGCUAGCCUCGAAAAUUUAAGAGGCUAGCCUUUUUCGCGUUGGGGCUCACUGGAGGGGAAACAGCUAGCCUCAAAAAUUUAAGAGGCUAGCCUUUUUCGCGUUGGGGCUCACUGGAGAGGAAACGGCUAGCCUCGAAAAUUUAAUAGGCUAGCCUUUUUCGCAUUUGUGUAUGGGAUGCUCACCAUUAGCGAAAACGGCUAACCUUUAAAAUUUAGAGGCUAGCCGUUUUCGCUUUUGGUGCUCUCUGGACAUUAAACGGCUAGCCUCUAAAAAUAAAAGGCUAGCCGUUUUUUCUUACUAGAGUUUCUGGAACAUGAACGGUCACCCUAUUAAUUUGUAAAAGGUUAGCCGGGUUCAAAGGAAUCAAACUGUUUCGUCUUCACAAAACUGGUCAGCCGCUUCUAUCUCUAAAAGUCGAAUCCUCUCUCCUACGUUCUCAGCCGAAAGAUCCACCGUUUAUAAUCAGUUCAUAGCCCAAAUUCAACCUUAGAAAUCAUUUCCCACCAUUUGCUCUUGCUAAAUUUAACCCUCGAAACCGAAAAACCCUAAGUUGUAAACCCCUUUGACUUCGGUAAAUGUUUGCCGAAAUUGAACUCACAUAUCCCUUUUAAGCAUCAUUAUCUUCCAUUUAAUCGGUUUAUUCCUCUUCAAAUCGCUGAAAAAUCAUAAUGUCAACUUCAAGGCCACGUAGAGCGAAAGACAACGGGAAAGAUGCGAUUCCACCACCCAAACGGAAACGGAAGGACGGCGGCCCUGUAGAACAACCUGAUUUUGAAUCAAGACACUUCCCGGACAAGCGUUUGGCCACCCGUUUUUGCCAAAGAUUCAUGACCCGUAAGGUACUUGAUACAUUCUAUAUUGUGUCUGAUUGGCUUCGUAGCCUUAGUAUCAGUAAUGGAAAUUUGUUGCAAUUGUUGGAGGAAGUUGGUUGGAUUAAUGCCCUUACGAUUAAUGAGAAUGUGUAUCCUGACUUGGUGAAAGUAUUUUACUCGAAUAUGGAUACUUCCACGGAGAAAGAGAAUCGAGUAAUCACCAACGUUAGAGGAGUUUUGAUUGAAUUUGAUGAUACUAAUUUGAAUUCUAUCCUAGGAACCUCCGAAGAUGGGUUAGAAAUAUAUUCUGCUAGGAAAGUUCCUACGAUUGAUAACUUUGUUCAUGUUGAUGCCGUUAGAAACAUUUGUAGGCGCAUUGAUCUUUCUGAUGAGGUCUGUACAAUCGAUUUUCGUGCUCAAUGUCUAUGCCUUCAAUCGCGUAUUUUACAUCGUAUAAUUCAGAAUAUUGUCCUUCCUAGGUCGAGCCACUUAGAUGAUGUUACCCACAUGGAUGUUGCUUUGAUUGAUUCUAUCCUCAGGCAUCGUCCGGUUAGCCUCGGAUACACUAUUAUACGCACCAUGCUUUCCAUACCUAACUUGAUCAGUCGUGCUCUUCCAUACGGAAAUUUCAUCACGCAGAUCCUUAAAUACUUUAGGGUGCCCAUAAACGAACCGUCUUGUAAACCCUGUAGGAGUAUAGGAGAUGAGGCCGUGUAUGCCUUAGGAUUUUUGUGGCGUAAUGGAGCAUGGGUGAAGUAUACUGAAGCUAAGUACACAAUGCUUGCUCCGAAUGAUGAUCGUCCUUUGAAUUUUGUAGUUCCUGCUAAUCAGCUGCCUAAUUUUUCACUUCCUUUCUAGGGUCAACGUAGACGUGAGGACCCUCCUACAUGUGAACCUGAUCAUGAUGCUUCUGCAUCUGCUGUACCACCUGUAGAGCCACAUGACUCCAGCGAAGUUACUCUUCAAUAACUUAUGGACGAGGUGAGGACACUUUAUGUACAGCAGACCAGCUUUCAGCAGCACGUUUUGGAGGAGCACCGGCAUCUGUCACAGCAGCAUCAGUAGUUCCUUCACGGACAACGCCUCAUGUUCGAGCACUUUGGCAUUCCUUAUCCGUUUCCACCUCCACCACCACCAUCCCCACCGCCUCAGUAGUUUCCAUUUCUUUAUUCCAUUAUGUAUGUUUGGAUGUUAGUUUUAUGUUCAGAUGAUUGUUUUAUAUGUUCAGAUGGUUGUUUUAUAUGUUCGGAAGUUUGUUUGACAAGUUCGUUUAUAUGUUCGGAAAUUUGUUUUAUAUGUUUGGAUGGUUGUUUUACGUGUUCGGAUAUGGAUUUAAAGAGUUCGGAAGUUUGUUUAACAUGUUCGGAAGUUUAUUUUAUAUGUUUGGAUGGCUGCUGCUUAUUGUAGCAAUAACAUCAGCUGUCGGGUGCUUAUGACAGCAACUGUUAUUGCUGUUGCUGUCAUAAGGCAGCAGCUGCUGCUGGCAGCUAGCAGCAGCAGCAAGAAUUCGCAGCAAUUGUGUUUGCUGCUGCAACUACUUAUGCAGCAACAGCUACUGCUAGAAUGCCAGCAGCAGCUGGUAUAAUGCACACUACAGCUGCUUAUGCAGCAACAGCAGUUGGUGCCUGAAAAAGCAGCAGCUACCGUUGCUGGUUCUGCACUUGCCUGUUGCAGCAUAACCAGCAGCUGCUGGCAGCUAGCAGCAGCAGCAUCUGCUGCUGGUGUUGUUGCUGCUGCAUCUGCUUAUGCAGCAACAGCUGCUGGCAUUCCAACAACAGCUAGUGCCUGUAAAAGCAGCAGCUUCUCUAUCCAUUAUGUCUGCUGCUGGUGUUGUUACUGCUGUUGGUGCUUAUGCAGCAACAACUGCUGGCUACUUUUACAGCAGCAGCAGCUGGUGGAUGCAUAAGCACCAGUUACUGGCUACUGCAGUUGCUGGUUCUGCAGCUGGUGGCUGCUGCUGCUGUUGAUUCUACAGCUGCUGCAGCUACUGGCUGCAGCUGCUGGCUGCUUUUGCAGCAGCAGCAGCUGGUGGAUGCAUAAGCACCAUCUGCUGGCUACUGUUGUUGCUGGUUCUGCAGCUGGUGGCUGCUGCUGUUGUUGGUUCUGCAGCUGCUGGCUGCUUAUGCCAACAGCAACAGCAACUGAAAUCCCCAAAAUAAGCAUUAGCAGUAGGGCCAUUAGUAGCUGCCACUGCUGGCUGCUUAUGUCAACUCCUCAUUCACUUCUUAUUGCUGAAAUUACUCACGCACAUUGAUUUCAAACCAGUUUGCAUGCUAUUUAAUCGAUUCAUAUUCACCUAAAACACAAUAUUUGUUAUUCAGCGGAAGCAAAGGAAACUAAAGGAACAUUAAAUCAUUAACUUCAAACAUGUGAUCAUUAACUUGCACUAUGGAAAUCAUGCAGAUAAAAAUGAACUCAGGACUAUUAACUUGAUACCGGGACCAUUAAACUUGAAACCGAAGGAACCUGAAACUUAGGGCAACAAACAUGAAAUAGGAUCUCAUUAACGUGCAACCUUAAAAAUUAUAUAUUUAAUGGACCAAUAAACAUGAAACCAUCACCAUUAACUUGAUAUCGAAACCAUUAAACAUUAAACCAGUGAACUUGAAACAUAGGCCAAUAAACCUGAAAUAUGAGAUCAUUAAAUUGCAACCAUAAAAAUAAUUAAAUUAAUGAACUUGAAACUUAGGGCAAUGAACAUGAAACAUCGGAUCAUUAACUUGCAACCUUCAAAAUUAUAUAAUUAAUGGACCAAUAAACAUGAAAUCAUGACCAUUAAUGUGAUACCUAAACCAAUAAACUUGAAACUAAUGAACUUGAAACUUAAGGCAAUAAACCUGAAAUAUGAGAUCAUUAACUUGCAACCAUAAAAAUGAUUAAAUUAAUGAACUUGAAACUUAGGGCAAUGAACAUGAAACAUAUGAUCAUUAACUUGCAACCCAAAAAAUUAUAUAAUUAAUGGACCAAUAAACAUGAAAUCAUGACCAUUAACGUGAUACCUAAACCAAUAAACUUGAAACCAGUAAACUUGAAAUUUAAGGCAAUAAACCUGAAAUAUGAGAUCAUUAACUUGAAACCAUAAAAAUGAUUAAAUUAAUGAACUUUAAAUUUAGGGCAAUGAACAUGAAACAUCUGAUCAUUAACUUGCAACCAAAAAAAUUAUGUAAUUAAUGGACCAAUAAACAUGAAAUCAUGACCAUUAACGUGAUACCUAAAUCAAUAAACUUGAAACCAGUGAACUUGAAACUUAAGGCAAUAAACCUGAAAUAUGUGAUCAUUAACUUGCAACCAAAAAAUGAUUAAAUUAAUGAACUUGAAACUUAGGGCAAUGAACAUGAAACAUCUGAUCAUUAACUUGCAACCGAAAAAAUUAUGUAAUUAAUGGACCAAUAAACAUAAAAUCAUGACCAUUAACGUGAUACCUAAAUCAAUAAACUUGAAACCAGCGGACUUGAAACUUAAGGCAAUAAACUUGAAAUAUGAGAUCAUUAACUUGCAACCAUAAAAAUGAUUAAAUUAAUGAACUUGAAACUUAGGACAAUGAACAUGAAACAUCUGAUCAUUAACUUGCAACCGAAAAAAUUAUGUAAUUAAUGGACCAAUAAACAUGAAAUCAUGACCAUUAACGUGAUACCUAAAUCAAUAAAUUUGAAACCAAUGGACUUGAAACUUAAGGCAAUAAACCUGAAAUAUGAGAUCAUUAACUUACAACCAAGAAAAUUAUUUAAUUAAUAGACCAAUAAACAUGAAACCAUAAUCAUUAACUUGAUACCCGAACCAUUAAACAUGAAACCAAAGGAACAUGAAACGGAAGGCAAUAAACAUGAAAUAUGUUAUCAUUAACUUACAACUAUGAAAAUCAUUAAAUUAAUGAACCAAUAAACAUGAAACCGUGAUCAUUAAGUUGAUACCUUGACCAUUAAACUUGAAACUCCUUUUUUAUUAUUAUAAAAUUAAUUUUUUUGUUAUGUCCUUUACUAUUAAAAUAGUGAUUAUUUUAUUAUUAUUUAAUUUAUUUAAGGGGCAACCGGUUGCAAAAACCGGUUGCUCCCAUUUAUUUUUUUUAGGGAAAUUAUCACUGGUAUACCCUUAAAUGUCACCGGUAUCAAACGUAUUAUAACACUUUUUGCUUAUAUCACUCGUAUACCCUAAAUUGACAAAAGAGUUCUGGCGUCCACCUUUCUGUUUACUACCGUUAAGAACUUAACAAAAUUUGAGCAAAAUGACUAUUUUACCCUUUAAACUCAAAAUGAUGUAAAAAAACAAAUUUGCCUUGAAAAUUAAAGUAAAUUUUCAAUACACAAUUUUUUUAAUUUUGUUAUUAACAAUACAUUUUUUUAUUAAAAAAAUGAAUUAUUAAUGGUACAUAUUAUUAACAAUUAUCCAUAAAAAAAUAUUCAUCUUAUACCAUAAAAAAUUAUUAACAACAUAUUAUUUAUAAUUAUACAUAUUAUACCAUAAAAAAAAUAAUGAUGCUUGGAGGAGUAGAUCUUCAAUAAUUUAGGUUAAAUUUGGAGGAGUAGAUUCAGUUGUAAAGUAGCUUUUUUUUUUUUAGCAAUUAUUAACAAUUAUCCGAUAAAUGGGAUGACAUGUCAUUUUUAUCAAAAUAUAUCAUAUGACAUAUCGUUUUUUACUAGGUAAAUGGGAUGACAUGUCGUUUUUUUAAAAAGACUAAAUUACCCUUAUGAUGUCAGUGUUGUGCAAAUUUUAAUGUACUCGCAAGCGCACGAAUCUAUUGUAGUAUAGAUCAUGGUGACGAGUGUCGAUCCCACGAGGAGGUGGAUUUUAAUUGUGUGUAGAAUUAAUUUUGUAAAUGGGUGAUUGGAUUUGUGGUGGAAAUGGUUUGGAAUAUGCUAAAACUUAAAUUAAAAUGGCGAGAAUAAAUUCUAAAAUUGGAAUUGCAAUGGCGAGAAUAAAUUGAAGAUAAUUCUAUUGAAAUGACGUACUUGGGUAUUCGGAUCCGUAUCAACAUGCAUCAUGGGCUAAAUAAUCCUUAUUAAUGCCAAUUAAAUCAUGAGGGGGGAAUCCACACCUCAUGAACCACGCUCUAAUCAAUAUGGUGCUAAGGGCUUAUCGUGCCAAAUAAUAAUAACCUUGUACUAGAGAGCCGGUGUAACCAAGGCGGUAUCUAGACAAGAUUAUUAUUAUUUGUCGACGAAAAGUCAAAUCAUCCACAAAAACUAGAGGGGAAGAGAAAAUAAAUUUACCAAAUAAAGCCCAUGACACAUGUUGAGACUUCACCUUCAACCCAAGCUUGAAAGAAAAUUAGCCACUCAUAAUUGAACUAAGGGCAAAAUGGGAAUUUAUUAAAAUAUGUAGAAAAUACAAGAUGGAGAGAGAAUUACAGAAAAUGGAGUCCAAAAAUGGAUUCAGAGAUAUCAAAUUACAGUAGCGCGGUUUGGUUGAAAAUAAUCCUGUGUGAUGCAUGUACCGUACGCGAGAUUUUUCGUCCACUGAUAUGCUGCCACGUCACCAUCAACAGUACAUAAGAAUUUUAGCCUAACAGGAUCGUGACACCUCAUCAGUCAAUGCCACAUCAUCGGUCAAUGCCACGUCAUCGAUCCGUCUAUAUGAACAGUGUCGUGAACAGUAACGUAGACAGUACCGUACACGUGAAUAGUACCGUACAUGUGAAUAGUGUCAUUUUUCCUUUUAUGCUCCUCCUAAGGUUUUCGACCGUCCUGAGUUCAAAAAUGAUGUUCGUUUUGCCGUCUGAUCUCUCCUUUAUUGUGAAAUGACUAUAAUGCCCCUAAAAUACAUAAAAUACUUAAUUAAAAUAAAACACACGUAAUUAAAUCACAAGAAGUUUAAAUACAUAAAAGUAAGGGUUGUUAGUAAGACUUGAAAUGUAAAAUGACGGUUUUCUCCUUUAUAAAUAUACAUUUUCUAACACUCAAUACACCCCCCAACCAGCUUAUUGCUAGUCCCUAGCAAAUAAAGCGAAAACAAAAUUCAAAUUCAAAAUGAUUUUUUUUAUUUAUUUUUAGAAACACUCGUGUUUAUUCAAUCAGAUUAAUGAUAGCAAUCAAAUAAAAGUAUAAGUAUUAUCUCCAGUCUAAAGCAACAUCACACCCACAUCAACCAUCCACAUGAAUUAGCCCAGUAGACUUUGUUAUAGCUACUUUCAAGAAUGACAUGUCAAACCCCAAAAUCUCACUAGAAGUAGUGACACUCUCACAAAGAAAUUAAAACCAAUAAAAAUAGUCACUCCAAUGAAUGGUAAUUGAGAGAGAAAAUAAUAAAGAAGUGAUAUCACAUGCUCUCACCAAGAUGAAAUAAAUAUGCCCUCAGCUUAGAAAUAAUACGAUCUCAAGUCAAACAAAAAUGCUAGUCAACCCAAUUUAUUUAUCUUUUUUUUUCUUUUAUUUAUUUAUUUAUUUUUAUUAUGCACCACUACAUCUUUUUAGCCCACAUAACUAGCUUCUACUUCAAACUAUAGUUCCCUAAAAUCAAGAAGGACUUUUAUUAGGACGUAACGUAGGCUAGGGAUAUGGCUAACAAAGAAAGGAAAUAAGGAAAACAAAGUGUAUGUUUGAGAAAAAUGCAGGGAAAUUUUUUUUUUUUUUUUUGGAAGUUGCAAGGUAGAUUUCACCUAUUAUUGUUAUUUUUAUUCUUUUGAAACAACAACUUUUUUUUUCUUUUUGUUUGUUUUUUUUUUUUUGCUUUUAUUUGGCAUAACUUCACUGAACAACAUAAUUAUUUACAUUUUCUCAAACAUAAAUAGGUAAUGGAACUUAUAAGACAUCGGGUAAUACUCCAAAUCGGAGUGGGUCAAGAUGAUAAGUUGACAAAGAAAAGGUUUUUUUUUUUUUUUUAAAGGCUCAAAAGGGUUAACUAUAGAUAUUUAAUAAAAGGGAUGGCUAGAAAGGCUCAAACGGAUCAAAGAUGGCCUUUCCAUCGUCUUUUAGGGCUCUAAAUAAUCAUCCAUAUCUACUAGUUAGACGGGCCUCCCAAUGUAGCAACACACAUUUUUUUUUCUUUUUCUUCUUUUUUUUUUUUUAAUUUUACCAUUUUUUUUAAGGGUUAACUCAAAAGAAAUCUAGAGAUCGUGUAUAAAAUAAUAAACUGCUAAGCUGUAUGAAAAAUGGGCAAAAGAGUUAUUCUCCAAGAAAAAUAAUAGGCUCAAAAACUCACUUGGUACUUAUUACGACAUGUUCAUUCCUUCAAGCAACUCAUAUUUGUCUUCGACAUCAACAUGUAAAGUAGCAAACAUGACGUAACAUCACUUAAGACCAAAGAUAAUACAAAUACUAAAAUUUGAAAUUCAUCAUGUCAUCCAAUGUUAAAACAAAUCACACAUUUUUUUUUUCAAACAACAUUCUACCCCCCAACCUAUUCUAAACAUGAAAGGAAAAUAUGAAUGCAGAAAUGUGAAAAUGAUGUAGAAAAACUAAUUAGAAACGUUACACUUAAAAUGAUAGAAAAAGAAAAUGAUUUUUUUUUUUAAGAAGAUGUGUUUCUAGAGGCACUACACUCCAUAUUCAGCCAUCUUCGACUCAAAAGUUGGGAAAUGUAUAUUUAUAGAGGAGAAAUUAAAAAGAAGAAGAAAAAUGAACAUCAAAACUUAAUUAAGAAAAAGAAAAUGUCUGAAUUUUUUAUUAUUAUUAUUAUUUUUUAUUAUUUUAUUUAUUUAUUAUUUUUUUUAAACGAAGAAGAUGCGUUUCUAGAGUCACUACACUCCAUAUUCAGCCAUCUUCAACACAAAAAGUUAGCAACAGUUAGUUUCUACAACAAAAAAUCAGUAAAAACUUAACCAAGAUUCCACAAUUGUCGACUAUUCCCUCCCCCCAACCAGAACGAAACAUUGUCCUCAAUGUUUUAAAGGAAAGAAGUAGAGUUUAGAAGACAUCACCUGGGUGGUGCAACACAAAAGAAAAUAUUUACAGGCGGAGAGUUAAAUCUAAUUUGUACUUCUUAUUGCUGCUACUGUUACCAUCAUUAUUUGGUCUCUCCAACACAAAGGUCCAGGGGUUUGGCUCCGGUCUAUAAGCUUGUAACAGAUCAAGUAGCUCAUUAGCAGUGUGAGCACAAAUAAAAAGUUUUUUCGCAUGGGAAGGAAUGAAGUAGUUUUUUAUUGCAUGGUUAAGAAAUGCGAUAAAGCCAUCAUAAAAGUUAUUGACAUUUAACAAACCGAUGGGUUUUUGGUGGAUGUGCAGAUGGGCCCAAGAUGCUAGUGUGAUAAGUGCCUCUAGUGUUGCAAGAUCUCCUGGAAUGAAAAUAAAAGCAUCAGCAUGAUUAAGCAUUUCAGUUAUUCUUUCUUGCAUACCUGAGACGACUAACUCUUCUCCAGUUGAUGAGUCAGACGAACUGCCCAAUGGUUUUAAGACUCUUGGGAUGAUGCCUAACACUUGACUUUCUCUGAUAAAAGCUGCUUCUGAGACCAUUUUUUAUAACCCUCGGUUACCUCCUCCAUACACCAAGUGUAAUUUUCUCGCUGCUAUGCUUCGACCAAGAUCUAUGGCUGCCUCCACAAACUCUUUAUGUUUGCCAUAGUUAAAUCCAGAAAGCACACAAAUGUUCUUGAAUUAUCUAUUGGGAGUAGCUGCCAUUGUGAUACUUCUCAAAAACAAUUUGUGAGUGCUUGACAAAAAAGAAAUCACAUUUAAGAGUCUUGGUGACAGUGGGUCACAAUUGUGUAGGAGGUAACAUGUCAGUGUCAAAUAACGCGUAAAGCACGUGGCUCGCGAGUCAAAAAGGAAACAGUAAAAAGGAAAAAGCAAAUAGUAAUAAGGAAAAAAGCAAACAGUAAUAAAAUUAUUAAAGACAAUAAUGCACACAAUAAAACAACAGUGAAAUGAAAUAAAAUAACAGUAAAGUAAAAUGAUAUUUACACAUAGUUGCGACUGUGGCUCACAUCUUCCUCUGGUUUUACGUCCAGAAACGGCUUGAACGCCCUCUAUAGGUCGAGGAUAGGCUUCCUAUCCAGUUUUCUUAUAAACUGGCAAACAGGGUCGUUUAUAGUCAGAUUCCCGAGACUAUAUCGUGCAUGCUCUUUCUGGAAUAAUGGUCAUAACUGGAGAAUCGCUCCUUGCACAUAUCCACUGGGAUGCGUUUCAAGAGACAGAAGGAUAUCAUCCAAUGACUCCUUAUUCAAGCCAUCCCUAAUGAAUUGAAUCUUAUCUUCCCUGUUAUCAGACACCAUUCCUAAAGAACAUGGGUUUUUAUUGCAACUCAUUCUGGCACACUUAUGACAAGCAACAGAAAUUCUUCGAGCUCGUCGUUUUCUUGCAUAAUUUCCUUUACCACAACCAGGCAUGUAUGCAAUAAAUUUUGGAGGUAACUCACCUGCCGAUCGUACUUUAGCCUCGAUUGACCAACGGAUGUCAGCAGGUAUGUUAUUCAUCAUGAGUAAUCGCAUGCGUUCGGACCGAGCUUUAUAGAUCGUAAGGAGGGCAUUCUGAGGAAGUGAAGGGAAUCGCUUGUGAAGUUUCGCUAGAAUCUCGUUUCUGUCCAUACCUUCGCCUCAGAAUAUCAAUUAUUAUGCGAAACUGAAGUAACCGACUUGAUUGUCACGGAGUACCGUUAUCCGCCACUUCACCGGGGUAACAAACUAAAGCACACAAACAGAAAAACAAAUUAAACACACAAAGAAAAUUAAAAUCGUCCUCUUAUGGAAUUUACCUCAAGCUCCAACUGGAUGUCGUAAACACUUCUCUCAAUGUCUCUGAGUUGGCGUUCUAAACCCUCAACAUAGGCUACUAACUCUGGUGGUUGUAGAGCCCAAAUGCAAUGUGUUUUACAAAAUUGAAUCUGCCUUUUGAGAUGAGUUUUGACACGUUGAAGUGGUUUAAGAAUGUUCAGGAGGAACGGUCUUAGUAAGGUACUCAUGAUUAAAAAUGAUAAAAGAAAACUUAAUAGUUAAACAAACACACUUAUGCAAAAAUAAUUUCAAUUAGCAGAAGAAUAACAUAAAGAAAGAAAAAAAUCAAAUCAACGAAAAGAAAAAAAAGUCAAUUCAAAUCUGGUGGGUCACUCAAAUUUAUUUCGGUGUCUUCUCCAUGUGGUUGGUACUCUAGAUAUGGCUUUAAUCUUUGACCAUUAACUUUAAACGUGACACCGUUCUUGGGGUCCUUAAUUUCAAUUGUCCCAUGUGGAAAAACAGUAUGAACAAUAAAGGGACCAGACCAUCGAGAGCGUAACUUACCUGGGAAUAGGUGCAAGCGAGAAUUGCAUAAAAGCACUUUCUGACCUGGAGUGAACGAUUUUCUCAUAAUUUGCUUAUCAUGGAAGACUUUCAUUCGUUGCUUGUAAAUCUUGGCAUUUUCGUAUGCGUCAUUGCGAAUUUCUUCAAGUUCUGCCAGUUGUAAUCUUCUUUCUGAGCUGGCUUGCUGCAUGUCAAAGUUGAAUUUCUUGAUGGCCCAAUACGCACGAUGCUCGAGUUCCACAGGUAGGUGGCAAGCUUUUCCAUACACUAGCAUGUAGGGUGACAUCCCAAUCGGGGUCUUGAAAGUCGUUCUAUAUGCCCAUAAUGCAUCAUCAAGUCUUAAUGACCAAUCUUUUCUGUCCGGCCUCACCGUCUUUUCUAAUAUGUGCUUUAUUUCUCGAUUGGAGAUCUCAACUUGGCCACUGGUUUGCGGAUGACACGGGGUCGCCACUUUGUGUGUGAUUGAAUACUUUGUCAAAAGAGCUUUGAAUGCUUUGUUACAAAAGUGGGCACCACCAUCACUGAUUAUUGCUCGAGGGAAUCCAAAGCGCGAAACAAUGUUGCUUUUAAAAAAUCCUAUCACCACCUUGUGAUCAGUGGUUCUACAUGGAAUUGCUUCUACCCAUUUUGAGACAUAGUCAACAGCAACCAAUAUGUAUUGAUGGCCAAAAGAAGUGGGAAAUGGUCCCAUGAAGUCGAUACCCCAUACAUAAAAAAUCUCAACCACUAAAAUUGGAUUUAGUGGCAUCAUGUUCCUUCGUGUAAUGCUCCCCAUUCGUUGACACUUAUCACAUGAAGAACAAAAAGUGUAAGCAUCUCGAAAUAUAGUUGGCCAAUAAAAACCACAUUGUAAAACUUUAGUUGCUGUUUUCUUAGCACUGAAAUGGCCUCCACAAGCUUAUUCAUGGCAGAAUGAAAGAAUAUUCUGAAUUUCAAUUUCUGGGACACAUCGUCUAACAAUUUGAUCAGCACAAUACUUGAACAAAUACGGGUCAUCCCAAAAGAAAUUCUUUAUCUCUGCAAAGAAUUUAGCCUUGUCUUGCUUGGUCCAAUGCUCUGGAAGUUUACCUGUAACAAGAUAAUUAACUAUAUCAGCAUACCAAGGUAAUACUUCCACAUUCAUUAAUUGUUCAUCUGGAAAUGACUCAUUCAAUAUUAAUGGCUCUGUAAUUGUGUCAAAAUGGAGACGAGAGAGAUGGUCCGCCACAACAUUUUCAGUGCCUUUCUUAUCUUUGAAUUCCAAGUCAAAUUCCUGCAAAAGUAACACCCAACGAAUUAAUCUAGCUUUUGCAUCUUUCUUUGUGAGAAGAUAUUUAAGAGCAGCAUGAUCUGUGAAUACAAUUAUUUUACAACCAAUGAGAUAAGAUCGAAAUUUUUCUAAUGCAAACACUAUGCUAGCAUUUCUUUUUCAGUAGUUGAAUAGUUCAACUGUGCAUCAUUCAAUGUCAUACUAGCAUAGUAAAUAACAUGGGGAACUCGAUCAACUCUUUGUCCUAAUACUGCUCCUAUUGCAUAAUCAGAUGCAUCACACAUGAGCUCAAAUGGUAAACUCCAAUUUGGGGGCUGAAUGAUGGGUGAUGAUGUCAACAACUGCUUUAAUUUUCCAAAUGCCACAAGACAUGAAUCAUCAAAGACAAAAGGUACAUCCUUAGCAAGUAGAUUGCAUAAGGGUCUAGAAACUUUGCUAAAAUCUUUAAUGAAACGUCUAUAAAAACCAGCAUGCCCAAGGAAAGAUCUUACUUCUCUGACUGUUUUAGGUGGAGGAAGAUUAGAAAUGAGAUCCACCUUGGCUUUGUCAACCUCAAUACCUUUGCUUGAAAUGAUGUGACCGAGAACAAUACCUUGUUUUACCAUAAAAUGGCACUUCUCCCAAUUUAAGACUAAAUUCUUCUCGAUACAUCUCUGCAGAACUAGCGUUAGAUGAUGUAAACAUUGAUCAAACGAAUCACCAAAGACAGAAAAGUCAUCCAUAAAGACUUCAAGAAAUCGUUCAACCAUAUCAGAAAAAAUGCUCAACAUGCAUCGUUGAAAUGUAGCAGGUGCAUUACAUAAUCCAAAUGGCAUUCUCCUAUAUGCAAAAGUGCCAAAAGGGCAAGUGAAAGUAGUUUUCUCUUGAUCUUUUGGUGCUAUGGGGAUCUGAUUGUAUCCUGAGUAGCCAUCUAGAAAGCAAUAAAAUUCAUGGCCUACUAAUCUAUCAAGCAUUUGAUCGAUAAAUGGUAAAGGAAAAUGGUAUUUACGUGUGACAGAAUUCAACUUUCUAUAAUCAAUGCAUACACGCCAUCCUGUAGUCACUCUAGUGGGUAUCAAUUCAUUAUCAGCAUUCGUAACUACUGUGACUCCUAACUUUUUGGGGACAACUUGUACAGGACUGACCCAUGAACUAUCAGAAAUUGGGUAAAUGAUACCUGCGUCUAAUAGCUUAAGGACUUCAGUUCUAACAACUUCUUUCAUAUUAGGAUUUAAUCGCCGUUGCAUUUCCCUAGUAGAUUUAGUAUUUUCAUCAAGGUGAAUGUAAUGCAUGCAGUCUACUGGGUUUAUACCUUUUAUGUCUGCUAUGGUCCAUCCUAAUGCUCCUUUGUGCUCUUUUAAAACAUCCAACAACUUACCUUUUUGUUCGUCAUUUAGGGAUGAUGAGAUGAUUACCGGUAGAGUACUUUCUUCUCCCAAAAAUGCAUAUUCCAAUGUGUUGGGUAAUGGUUUGAGCUCGAGUUUUGGUGGUGAUUCUGAUGAUGGGAUGAGUUUCUUUUCUGAUGGUGCUAGUUGUUCAACUCUUGACUUCCAUUUAUUAGUGUCCAUAGAUGGUGCUGAGUCAAGUAGGGCGUUGACCUCAUCGACUGAUCUGUCAAUAUCAAAAUCCAAACCAAAGUGAGUUAAACAUGUUUGUAAAGGAUCAUCACUAAGGUUUGAAAGAAAAGUAUUAUCAACUAUUGUUUCUAUUAAAUCCACAUCAACAAUUCCAUCAUCUGCACUGUGAGGUUGUUUGGCAAUGUUGAAAAUAUUUAGCUCCAUAGUCAUGUUGCCGAAGGACAACUGCAUAUUUCCAGUCCUGCAUUGAAUGUGAGCAUCCGCAGUUGCCAAGAAAGGUCGGCCUAAGAUAAUGGGGAUAUGCUUCCUUGAAUCCUGUAUUGGUUGAGUGUCAAUUACAAUGAAAUCAACAGGAAAAUAAAACUUAUCUACCUGGAUAAGCACGUCCUCCACAAUGCCACGAGGUAUUUUCGUGGACCGAUCUGCAAGCUGUAACACCACUGGAGUUGGGUGUAAUUCUCCAAGUCCAAGUUUCAAAAAUACUGAGUAAGGCAACAGAUUUACACUAGCUUCUAAAUUCAACAAAGCAUUCUCAAUUGUGUGGUUCCCUAUGCUACAUGAGAUAGUGGGGGAGCCUGGGUCUUUGCAUUUUAAAGGAAUUUUGUGUUGGAGUAUAGAACUAAUGUUUCUGUUAAAAAUGCCUUCUUUUGAACAUGCAUAUUUCUUUUUUUAGUACAAAGGUCUUUAAGAAACUUGGCAUAAGAUGGAACUUGCUUUAUAGCAUCAAGUAAAGGGAUGUUAACACUUACCUGUUUGAAGAUUUCAAGAAUCUCACCUGUGGAUUUUCCCUUCUUUCCUUUCGCUAACCUCUGAGGAAAUGGAGCUUUCGGAAUGUAUUCUCGUGGGUUGGUUUCUUCUUUCUCCUCCGGUGAUGAGUCCUCAACACUUACAGGUACAAUUUGAUUUUCUUUUGCCACCGGCAUCUCCACUUUGUUGUCGACUUCUUUUCCUUUUCGCAAAGUCAUGACUGCUUUGACUUCUCCAUGCUGCUGUGGUGAACUGGUACUUGCUUCAUGCACUCCUUUAGGAUUAGGCACUGGUUGACUUGGAAACUUACCUUUCUCAACGGUCAUUGCCAAGGUCUGAACUGAAGAAGCAAGUUGUCCCACCAUCUUCUCGAGGCUUGAAACUGAUUGAGCUUGUGAGUUGAAGCCUGCUCUCAACUCAUUUCGUAGUCCAUCAAUGGUGCGGUUUUGUUGCUCAAUCAUGGAGUGAGUAAGAUUCUUGAGAUUCUGGAAUGAAUCCUCCCAUGGUAUGGGUUGAGAGUAGUUCUGGUUCUGAUUGUAUGGUCUAAAUGGUGGCUGGGAGGCUUGAGGAACUUGAGGAAUUUGUUGCAUUGGUGGAGUUGGAGCUUCUGGUCCAUUCUGUUGGAAUCCUUGAGACCAUGAAAAAUUGGGGUGGUCUCUCCAUCCAAGGUUAUAUGUGUUGGAGUAUGGGUUGUAAUUUGAUGGUUUUCUCAUUACACCUAUGGCAUUGGCUUGAUCUGAGUAUGAGUCAAGGUCAUGUGGUUCAGUUGAUUUAGCAGUCGAUAACGAUGCUAUUUGUCGAGCAAGACCUUCAACCAUCUCCUUGACUUCUUUGAUUCCCGAAGUUGACUCGCCAAUGUGAACCUCAUUCACUCCUUUAAUUCUUUUAGUAUUCCUGAGUGAUCGACUCCGUUGUUGGGAAUUAUCUGCUUGUCGCUGGAAGAAUUCUCAAAUUUCUGAUGCACUUUUUGACAUUAGCUCUCCUCCACUUGUUGCCAUUAGCCAUUCUUGCACAUUCGGCAAUAAUCCCUCCAAAUAGUAUUGGCAUUGGUGCCAUUUCUCGUACCCAUGAUGUGGACACUUCAAGAGUAGCCCAUUGAAUCGCUCCCAUGUUUCGAAAAAUUGCUCGUCCUCUCUCUGGGUAAACUCCGAGAUUUCCCUGCGAAUAGCAUUGGUUUUAUGCACUGGGAAAUAUUUAUUCAAAAAUUUUGUUACCAUUUGUUCCCAUGAUGAAAUGCUAUUAGCAGGUAAUGUAUUAAGCCAUGAACGAGCUCUAUCCUUUAAAGAAAAUGGGAAUAAUCUGAGUUUAACAUCAUCGUCUGAAAAAUUUUCGUAUUUAAAAGUUUGACAAAUAGCAUGAAAAUCAUUCAGAUGAUUAUAUGGAUCCUCAUUUUCUAAGCCAUAGAAUGUGGGGAGACAAUUUAGCACACUAGGUUUUAACUCAAAGCUCCUAGCAGCUACAUUUGGGUAUCUUAUGCAUGAUGUGCUCAAAUUAGCUAAGGGACUAAAAUAGUCCUUAAAUGGCCUCUCCUGUGGUUGCAAAUCCAUUUUAUUUUUAAUUUGUUUGUGUGUGCGAAGUGUUUUUCCUAAUUCAAGGUCUAUAGGUUCAAGAUUAGGAAAUAAUGACCUACGACCAUGCAUGCAAAACAAAUAAAAUAAAAAUAAAGAUGGGAACAAAACAAAUAAAAAUAAAGAAGAGGGAGAAAUUACGAUACUAACCUUAUUGCGCUAUUACAACCUUACUAUAAAAAUACACAAAAAAAAUACGUGAAAUAAAUUAACUAAAAAUAAAUUAAUAAGAUAAACAAAAAAAAAUUACAAAGAAAAAUAAAUUAAAAAUUAAAUUACAGAAUUUUAAAGAAGAGAAAAAGAAAAGAAAUACUAACCUUUAAAUGUAGAUUCACUUUUUUUUUUAAUAAGAAAAAACAAAUACAAGAAAACAAAUAAAAGAAAUUAUUCACAAAAAUUAAUUCUAUGAAUUAAAAUUACUUACCUCCCCGGCAACGGCGCCAAAAACUUGUUGUGCAAAUUUUAAUGUACUCACAAGCGCACGAAUCUAUUGUAGUAUAGAUCAAUGGUGACGAGUGUCGAUCCCACGAAGAGGUGGAUUUUAAUUGUGUGUAGAAUUAAUUUCGUAAAUGGGUGAUUGGAUUUAUGGUGGAAAUGGUUUAGAAUAUGCUAAAACUUAAAUUAAAAUGGCGAGAAUAAAUUCUAAAAUUGGAAUUGCAAUGGCGAGAAUAAAUUGAAGAUAAUUCUAUUGAAAUGACGUACUUGGGUAUUCGGAUCCGUAUCAACAUGCAUCAUGGGCUAAAUAAUCCUUAUUAAUGCCAAUUAAAUCAUGAGGGGGGAAUCCACACCUCAUGAACCACGCUCUAAUCAAUAUGGUGCUAAGGGCUUAUCGUGCCAAAUAAUAAUAACCUUGUACUAGAGAGCCGGUGUAACUAAGGCGGUAUCUAGACAAGAUUAUUAUUAUUUGUCGACGAAAAGUCAAAUCAUCCACAAAAACUAGAGGGGAAGAGAAAAUAAAUUUACCAAAUAAAGCCUAUGACACAUGUUGAGACUUCACCUUCAACCCAAGCUUGAAAGAAAAUUAGCCACUCAUAAUUGAACUAAGGGCAAAAUGGAAAUUUAUUAAAAUACAUAGAAAAUACAAGAUGGAGAGGGAAUUACAGAAAAUGGAGUCCAAAAAUGGAUUCAGAGAUAUCAAAUUAGGGGGGAGAGGCCCCCUUUUUAUAGAUACAUGGAGUAAAUCAUGACCAUCGGAUUAAAAACAGUUUGGACGCUCAGGAUUGCACCACGUCAUCAGUCAACAGUACGCGGUUUGACCAUGUGGAUGAACAGUAACACGGUUUGACCCGGAUGAACAGUAAUGCGGUUUGGUUGAAAAUAAUCCUGUGUGAUUCAUGUACCGUACGCGAGAUUUUUCGUCCACUGAUAUGCUGCCACGUCACCAUAAACAGUACAUAAGAAUUUUAGCCCAACAGGAUCGUGACACCUCAUCAGUCAAUGCCACAUCAUCGGUCAAUGCCACGUCAUCGAUCCGUCUAUAUGAACAGUGUCGUGAACAGUAACGUAGACAGUACCGUACACAUGAAUAGUACCGUACAUGUGAAUAGUGUUAUUUUUCCUUUUAUGCUCCUCCUAAGGUUUUCGACCGUCCUGAGUUCAAAAAUGAUGUCCGUUUUGCCGUCUGAUCUCUCCUUUAUUAUGAAAUGACUAUAAUGCCCCUAAAAUACAUAAAAUACUUAAUUAAAAUAAAACACACGUAAUUAAAUCACAAGAAGAUUAAAUACAUAAAAGUAAGGGUUGUUAGUAAGACUUGAAAUAUAAAAUGACGGUUUUCUCCUUUAUAAAUAUACAUUUUCUAACACUCAACAGUCAGCGCUCGCAAACGGCAGUUAACGGAUCGGUGGACGGCAGAAGUGUUUUGUCAACUUAGGGUAUACGAGUGAUACACUUGAAAAAUAUUGUAGCACGUUUGAUACUGGUGUCAUUUAAGAGUAUACGGCUGAUAAUUUCCCUUUUUUUUAUUGCUUGCAUGUAUCAUAUACAUGUAUAUACUGUAGCCGUCCCCUAUUGUGAAAGGUUGUUAUUCUUUAGUCUUUACUACACAAAUAGUAGUUUUUUUUUCCUUCUUUUUUCAAAUUUUGGGUUUUCUUUUACGGCUUCUGAGAGAAGUACCUGCGAAUGGAUCAAAACAAGGGAAUUUCAAUUUAAUGAUUUGACUCUUCUGCCAUGCUUUGCUUUUCAAAUCAUUUGAUAUGGAGCGGAGCAGUGAUGAGCUACAGAAAAUUCUUGACUCUGAGUGCGAGGAGAGGGAGAUGUGUGUGUCACUGUUUGUAAUUUUUUUGUAUUACCAAUGAAAUAUAUUUAGCAUGAGUGUGAUAAAUAUAUGUGGGUCCAGUUACCUUGCAACAAUUGCAAUACACCAUUUAUUUUUGUCUUAUGUGACGUUACAUUUCAUUUAACACCUUGUUUUUUUUCUUAUUUACAUUUUAUUUAUAAGUUUAUAUGUUUUAACUAGUGAACUUUUAAAAUGUAAACUUAUUUUUUUAAUAUUAUUUAUUUUUUUACAUUUAUUUAUAAUUUGUAUGCUUUAGCUGGUAACUUUUAUAAAAUGUAAUUUUAUUUUAUUUAACAUUAUUUAUCUUUAAAAAAAAAGAAUAAAUAUAAUAAUAAGCCUAUGACUAAAUAAUAUUAAAUAAAAUAAAUAAUAUUAAAUAAAUUAAAUUAAAUAAAUAAUAUUAAAAUUUUAACUUAAAUAAAAUAAAUAAUAUUAAAAAUGAUAUUAUUUUUAAGACACUAUUGAUUUUUUAAUGUUAUUCAGUUUUUAAAGAAUAAAUAUAAUAAUAAGCCAAUGAUUAAAUAAUAUUAAAUAAAACAAAAAUAAAAAUAUUAAAAAUAAUAUUUAUUUUUAAAGCUCCCUAAUGAUUAUUUUAUUUUAUUUAAUGUUAUUUAGUUUUUUGAAAGAAUAAAUAUAAUAAUAAGUAUAUGACUAAAUAAUAUUAAAUAAAAUGGAAUAAAUAAUAGUUAUUUAUUCUUUUAAAUAAAAUAUAUAAUAUUAAAAAUAAAAUUUAUUUUUUAAUACUCACUACUAAUUAAACAAUAUAAAUUGUAAACAAUCCGGACUUAUGUGCUAAAAUUUUUAACUCUUUAAUUUGUUUGUGUCUUUAAUAAAUAUCAGGGAGUGCAAUGUUAAUAUUUAAAUGAACAAAUCUCUACCAUUGAAACAACCUUUUCACUAAAUCCAACGUUUUGUCUAAAACUACCUUUUCACUAAACUACCUUUUGUCUGAAAUCAAGAAAAGACAAAACUUGAGGGUACCUUGCAACUGUUGUAAGGUAGCUGAGUCCAAUAUAUAUUGCCAUAAAACGAAAUAUCAUAUCCAAAAUAAUAAUAAUAAUAAGUGUGUCAGAUGACACAAACAGCUGAAAAACGAGGAAACGUCUUCUUCUAACAAAGUUUGUAAUUAAAAAUUUAUAAACGAAUACAUACAUAUAUAUGAAAGGAAAGAUGAUGAUGAUAAUGAUAAAGAGAAUAGGGUUGAAUUUGGCGAGAGGGGUCCCCCUAUUUGUUGAAUUUCAUAUUAAAUAAAUAUCCGUUUGUCUCUUUAAUGGCCAAACAGACCAGCUGCCAACAACUUAUUCCAAUGUGAGUAGAUCACAGUGGGUACUGCACAUGAUGCUUGUUUCUCCUUUUGCAUCUAUUUUUGUUGUUAAUAUUAAUUUCAAUAGCAGCUCGUUAUUAUGUAUGCAACAUUUCAAAAUUAAUCCAAAAAAAACAAAAAUUAGUUCAGCUGACUAAAUUUGAAAGCAUGGAUUUGCUGUCGAUUAAAAAUCGUUUUGUAGGGAAAAUUUUUGGAUUGCAAUUCUCAUACAAUACAUAGAAUUAUCAUAAUCUAUAAAUUGUAUUUUUGCUUUUCACUUAUAUUUAGAUAGUUCAACAUUUUUAUUGGUUUGAUUUAGGGUUAGUUUGGUAACGUUAGUUUAAUACUCUGAUUAUUAUUAUUCGAUUCGUUUACUUUGAUUAUUAUUAUUUUUUAAUAGAGAAUAAAUUAUUCGAUUAAAAAAGUGAUUUUUUCUCUAUUAACAAGUGAUUUUUCUCUAUUAAAAAAUAAUAAUAAUCAAAGUAAACGAAUCGAAUAAAAAAAUAAUAAUAAUCAAAGUUCACAUAAUCUAUAAAUAUCAUGUUUAUUUAUUUAAGAUAGUUCAAAAUUUUUAUUGGUUUGAUUUAGGGUUAGUUUGGUAAUCCUGUAGCUUUAAAAUUAAUUACAGUUAGCUAUGCUGUAGAAAUUGAUCAAUCGUAAAAAGAAUCAACCGAACAUUUAGUAAAUUUUAUUUUUAAAAGUACUUUUAGUUUUAAAAGCAGUCGUGUGUGUUUCAUAAAUCUUAUUAUUAAACUGGUGAAAAAAUAUAAAUGACUGAAUUGAACAUAAUGCUAAAUAAAAUUUAUUUACACAUUUACAAACAUGCAUAUAAAAUAUUUUUAUUACGUACAUAUAAUUAUUGAUAACUAAAAUAAAUAUUUUAUAUUAUUAAAUUUUAUUCUCUAUUUUGUUAUCUCAAUGUAAUUGAUAAUAAUAAUAAUAAUCUAUUUUAAGUUAAUGAUUUUAUUUCUUAAUUCAUAAAGAUAAUUUUAGAUUUUUAUUAUAUAAUGGGGAUAUAUAUAGAAUUGGAUUGAGUAUAAAAGUGAUUCUCAAAAUCAAAUUUUGAAAAACUAUUCAUUCACUACUUUUCAAAAUCUACUGUAUUAUGAGAUGAUUUUACCAAAGUAAUUACUAAAAAAAUUUAUAAAACACUAAAACUUAGCUUUUAUGGUGUGUUUACUUCAUGGAAUGGGGAAUGGGAAUAAAAUGUGUGGGUCUCACACAAUUUGGGAAUAAGGAAUGAGAAUCCCAUGCCCAUGAGUGGUUGGGAAUAAAAGUGAGGGAAUGAGAAUGGAAUAUAUAUUUACUUUUGUAUCCCUCUAAUUUUUUCAUAUUUUCCAAAUUACCCUCAUUCAAAUCACAAUUAAUUUUAUUAUUUAAAAUGUCAUUAAUAAUAAUAAUAUUAUUAUUAUUAAAUUUUAUUAACUUUAUUAUUUUAGUUAUUAUUAAUUAUUUUUAUUAAUAUUAUUAUUAUUAACAAUAAAAAUAAUAAUUGAUAAAAAAUAAUUAAUUUAUCAUUAUUAACAAUAUUAUCAUUAUUUUUGUUAUUAUUAUUAUUAUUAAAAAUAAAAAUAACAAUAAUUAAUAAUAACUAAAAUAAUAAAGUUAAUAAAAUUUAAUAAUAAUAAGUUAAUAAUGAUAAUUUUAAUAAAAAUAAUAUUAACAAUAAUUAGUAAUAACUAAAAUAAUAAAGUUAAUAAUAUUUAAUAAUAAUAUCUAAUAUUAUUAUUAUUAAAUAUUAUUAACUUUAUUAUUUCAGGUAUUACUAAUUAUUGUUAAUAUUAUUUUUAAUAAUAAUAAUAGUAAUAAUAACAACAAUAAUGAUAAAUUAAUUAUUAAUACUAUGGGUAUUUUGGUAAAUUGAUUCUCAUUCUCAUUCCUCAUUCUCAUUUAUUUUGCCAAGUAAACAUAUCAAUAGCAUUCCAGCACAUUCUCAUUCCCAUUUAUUUUUGUCAAGUAAACAUUGAAAUCUCAUUCAUAUUUCUCAUUUCCAUUCCAGUCCAUUCUCAUUCCCAAUCCACUCACAUUCCACCCCAUUCCACUUCCAUGAAGUAAAUGCACCAUUAAUUUUUAAAAUCAAUUUUGAGCUUCCCAAAAACAAUCCAAACAUGCCUUUAUUUGGGUGGUGUUAGAACUGUUAGCCUAAAGGACUAUACAUAAUGUGAUUUUGAUGAUAACAAACAUAUGUAUUAAGUGAUUUAAUAAAUAUUGUAUUUCACAUUUUCACUAGUUUUUGAAGGAUAAUAUUUAUGCAAGUGAAUCAAGUGAAAUCAAGAUUGAAGACACUCAACGGACAACGGUGACAUCAAGAAUAGUCUAGAGCUCCACGAACAAAUUAGUGCGAUAAAUUCUUGUAAAGCCGGUAUGAUUUAAUUGAUGUAUGAUUUAGCAUUUGAGAAGCUCAAGAGAUUAAUUUAAUUAAAUACUUUUCAUAAACUAAAAGUUUUAUUUUUAUAAAGUAAAGUAUUUUGUGGAUUUAAGUAAUUUGGACUUAAAUGCUAAUAUUUGAAAUCUUUGAUUUUAAAUAAGUAUUAAAUUUCAGAGUUGGACGUUUUUACAAAUAUUUGAAAUGUUUUGGGCCAUACUAUAAUUUAUGAAUAUGUUGGACUAAAGUGAAAGGUUUUGAGAACUUUGAAAAAUAUGGGUAUUAUGUUGAAAAGGACCUUUGUGCGAAAUAAUAAAAUCUUUGGGGCCAUAUCAUAAUUUUAGAAAGUUUGGGAAAGACGACUAUUCUUAGGAAGUUCUGAAAUUGGAUCUAUUUGUAAAGUUUUAUGACAUUUUGAGCCAUAGUAUAAUUAUAGAAAGUUUUGGGUCAAAGUAUAAAUUUAGUGAACAGAGUUACUGUAGUAAAUUCAAAAAUAACGGUAAUAUCACUGUUCCUGAGCGGCUAGCCGGAUAAUCAAGCGGCUAACCGCUUGGGCGCGGGAAUUUACCUAUAACGGCUAGUUUUCGGGCUUUCACUAUUAAAACUCAACUCAAACUUCAUUCCUUAAACGAAUGCAAGGAAAAACAAGAUCAUAUAACAUAUAUUGAGCUUCCAUUUCGCAAAUCAUCAUUGAUUGAAUGAUCAUUGAGCUAUAAUUUGUUAUCUACUCUUAAAGAGAGUUUCAUUGUUGUGAUUUUCAUUUCUCAUCAAAUUGUGAGUGUACAAGUGUGAGAAACACUUGGGGUGAAGAGAUUGGGGAGAUAAUCUCUUGUUGUAAAGGUUCAUUGACACCUUAGAAGUCAAUUGUAAACAUUUGAAGCCUUGGGAGGUUUGGAUAGUGAAAUCCUCAAGCCAGGUGUGCUUGGAGGCGUGGACGUAGGCAGGGAUAGCCGAACCACGUAAAAAUCCUUGUGUUUGUUUUAUCUUCCCUUACUCUUUUAAUAUUGUGCUUGAUUGAAUUUAUUAUUUUUUUAUUUGAUUAAGGCAAUAGAUUCAAUUGUUGUGCGAAUUGUAUUGCAUAAUUUUAAAAACCCAAUUCACCCCCCUCUUGGGUUGCAUAACUUGCAUUUCAUUUGGUAUCAGAGCGAGGUGCUCUUGUGUAGACUUAACCGUCUAGAGUAAAAGAUCCAUGGCAACCCAUAAUGAUUCAACCUUUAGGGAAGGACAAUCCACAAUUAGACCACCGUUCUUUGACGAUAAUGACUACCCAUAUUGGAAAACUAGGAUGAGAAUUUAUUUACAAGCUUUAGAUUAUGAAAUUUGGGAAAUUGUUUGUGAUGGUCCAUUUAUGCCUUUGACUAAAAACGAAGUCGGGGAAGAUAUUCCAAAACCUUCACGGGAAUGGAAUGAAUUGGAAAAGAGAAAAGCUUCUCUAAAUUCCAAAGCCAUGAAUGCCUUGUUUUGUGCACUUGAUAAGAAAGAGUUUCAUAGAGUGUCAAGUUGUGAAAGUGCUAAUAAAAUUUGGCACAAACUUGAAGUUGUUUAUGAAGGCACGAAUCAAGUGAAAGAGUCUAAAAUUAGUAGGUACACUCGACAAUAUGAAUUGUUUCAAAUGGAACAAAAUGAGAGUGUGUAUUCUAUGUAUACUAGAUUUACGGACAUAGUGAACACUCUAUGAGCCCUAGGAAAGACCUUUUCAAAUAGCGAGAAAGUUAAGAAAAUCAUUAGGUCUCUACCUAAGGAAUGGAGACAAAAAAAGACUGCCAUUGAGGAAGCCAAAGAUUUAAAUAUUUUACCUAUUGAUGAUUUAAUUGGUUCUCUUAUUUCUUAUGAGGAAGACUUGGCAGCUGAAAGAAGCAAUGAGGAGAAGAAGAAAAGUAUUGCUCUCAAAGCCUCGAAACACGAGAGUGAUGAGGAAAGCGAGCUGGAUGAGGAGGAGAUGGAUAUGCUGGCGAGGAGGUUUAGAAAACUUUUUAAGAAAUCCGGUGAGCGAAGAAAAUUUAGAGACCUCAAGAAAUGAAAGGAGAAGAAUGAAGUAAUCAAAUGUUAUGAGUGCAAAAAGCCUGGCCAUAUAAGAACGGAUUGCCCUCUUCUCAACAAACUCAAGAAGAAAGCAAUGGUAGCCACAUGAGAUGAUAGCGAUGAGGAAACAAGUGAUGAUAAAGAGCAUCAAGAAAUGACAAAUCUAGCUCUCAUGGCAAUUGGAGAUGAAUCGGAUGAUGAACUUGAUGAGGUAAAUGAUAUUUCUACUCAUGAUGAAUUAUAUGAUGCUUUUAAAGAAUUGCAUGAUAAUUGGAUAAAAAUUGGUAAAAAGAAUGCAUGUUUUAAAAAGAAAAUGGUAAAGCUCACAAAUGAAAAUGAAUCUCUAAGUGCAAAGAUUACAUGCCUAGAAUUAGAGAAUAAAACAUUACAUGAUAGAGUUGUAUUAUCAAAUGAGAAACCUAGCACUUCACAUGAGCAUCUAGAAUCAUAUGUAGAUGACUUGAAAAAUGAAAAUGAUGCUUUACAAAAAUGCAAUGAUUCAUUAAAUGAAAAGCUUAAAGGACUAGAGUUAGAUAAUAAAAUGUUGCAUGAUAGAAUUGUAUCAUUUAAAUGCAAACAAAGUACUUCAUAUGAGCAUGAGAAAUCACAUGUUGGUGAAUUAAUGAAAGAAAAUGAAGUGCUUAAGAAGAAGAGUAAUGAACUAAAUCAAAUUGUGUUAAAAUUCACAAAUUGGCAAAAGAUGUUGGAUAACUUGCUUAAUUCACAAAAAUGUGUGUUUGAUAAAGGAGGUAUUGGUUAUAAGCCAAAUUUGAAACAAAAAUAUUAUAAGAGUUAUUUUGUUAAAACUACCUCCAUUAAUGAUCAAAUUGUAUGUCAUUAUUGCAAUCAAAAUGGUCACAUAAAGAAUAGAUGUCCAGUUAAAAUAAAUGCAUAUUAUGGAGCAAAAUGUAUUUGGGUUCCAAAAGGAACCAUUACUAACACUCAGGGACCCAAGAAUAUUUGGGUACCAAAGUACACAACUUGAAUAAUUUUUGUAGGUACCACAAACAAGGAAGGGUGGAGAGUUCCUUGAUGAAACUUGUGAGGAUAAUCACUUGAUCAUGGUCUAGGCAAAAAUAAUGAGGCAAGAUGGUUUAAUUGUUUUGGUAACAAUUAUUGCCUUAUUGAUUAUAAGUUACGGUCUUUUAAUCUUAGUAAAUAUUUCAUAUUUCAUUAUAUCAUUAAGUGCUUUAUCAUGAUGGAUUUGUUUGAUUUUAAUGAUUAUGUAAUGCCUAAGUAUGAUAAAUGAGUAAUAUGCUUGAAUUAUUAAUCUUUGAAUGCUUAUAUGUUUCAUGAUUGAGUAAAAUAUAUACAUGAUGGAUGAAUUAUAUGUGUGAAUUAAUCAUGUCUUAAAUGUUUAUAAUUUCAACCAUAAAGGUUAUUGUAUCUCAUAAUUGUGAUGGAUAUGCAUGAUGAAUAUGUUAUAAAUUUGAGUUUUAUGAUUUUUUGGAUGUUAAUUAUAUUGAUCCAUGCAUUAAAAUGGUUUUUGAAAAUGUUUGGAUCACGAAAUGGUCUUAAAAUCGAUCAAAAAUAGCCAGAGAGCAAAAAUUGGUGCAGAUGGGCAGCCAUGAGGUAGCUAGCCGCCUGCCCCAAGCGGCUAGCCGCUUUGUCACGGGUUGGAGUAAUUGUUUUUGCUUCUUCUUCUUCCUUCGUUAUUUUUCUGCACUUGUUCCUCUCUCUCUCAAAACCGUGAGCCACCCUCUUCCAUUUCCAAUCAAUUUCUCUUUAUUUCUCAACCAUUUUUAUGCCAAAAUUAAUCAUUCAAACCAAUACCCAUGCAUUUCACUCUCAUUAAACACUUCCCAAUCAUCAUUUCUUCACUUGUUCUUGAUCAUUUCAUCAUCAUCUCUCACGCGUGAACAGUACCUCUCCAUUUCUCUCUCAAAUUUCUUCAUCUUUCACUCAUUCUCUUGCCAAAAUCAAUCAUCCAACUCAUUAUUCAUCCAUUACUCCUUCAAUUUUCACUCUCAAAACAUGAUUUCAUUAUCUCUCCACAUAAAACCCAAAAUCAAAAACCUAACUUACCCAUUUCUUUCUCUUCCAAUUUAAGCUCUUUUUAGUCCACUUUUGAUCCAAUCAACACCAUCCAUUAUCUUAAAUCAUCUCUUGGAUCAAUAUAAUCAGUUUAAAAUAAUCCAUUUCACUCAUUAUUUUACAAAACCGAGUUUGUGCAUUUUGGGUAUUUUAAAUUACCAUGGUUCCUUAUUAUAUUAUGCACCUACAUUUUCAUAUGCAUAAUUGUUUUAAUUGUAGAUUACGGAUGAUGGUUGUUUAAUAUUUGGAUAACUUAUAUUUGGAUGAUAUUUUCUGAAUUCUUAGAAUGAAUAUGACUCUUUAGUUAAUUGAAUGCUUAAUUUUUAUAUGUUUCUUGAUUAAUCAUUGAGAUAUUCUUUUUGGUAUAAGCAUAGAUUUAUAGUACUUUUGAUGAUUGAUGAUUAUAUGUGUGUUGCUUGAUGAAUUAAUGGAGUUGUUAGUUUGUUAUAAUUGUUUCAGCUUAUAUGGAAGUGUUUUUAACCAUGUUGUAUAUUUAAGGAUUUGUUCAUUUUAAGGGGAGAUUCUGCCGAAAUUUUUGCUCGCACAAAAUUGGUAAUAUCUUUAUCGAAUUAUUUUUGAUGCUCUUGUUUCGAUUGCAUCUAUCUAUUUUUUAUGAAGGGGAAGAUAAAUAUGAUAUGUUUUUGGAUAAUAUCAUUUUGGUUAAAUUUUUUAAUUGGCCAUAUAUUUAGGGGGAGCAUACAAUAUGAUUUUGGAUAAUAUGCAUUUUGAGCAUUCUUUUGAUGGGUUGAUGGUUCAUGAUCAUUUUAUGGUUAAUUGGAUGUUUGGUUAUUAUAUGUUUCUUGAUUAACCAUUGACAUAUUAUCGAUCUUCACAUGAAUUUCUAGUAAUUUUGAUGAUGAAGGGGGAGAAGUCAUGUAUUUUGAAUAUGAAGACAUAUAAUACGUAUUUUGUAUUUCAAGUAUUUAUGCAUGGUUUUGAAAUAUUAAGGGGGAGCUUACAAAUUAUCAUAAAUCAAAUAUUCAGGGGGAGUUUUUGUUUUGAAUUUGAUUUAUAUGUUUAAUUAUAUAUGCCAUGUAUUAAGGGGGAGUACAAAUGUCAAAAUACAUGAGAUGUUUGUCAUCAUCAAAAAGGGGGAGAUUGUUAGCCUAAAGGGCUAUACAUAAUAUAAUUUUGAUGAUAACAAACAUAUGUAUUAAGUGAUUUAAUAAAUAUUGUAUUUCACAUUUUCACUAGUUUUUGAAGGAUAAUAUUUAUGCAAGUGAAUCAAGUGAAAUCAAGAUUGAAGACACUCAACGGACAACGGCGACAUCAAGAAUAGUCUGGAGCUCAACGAAUAAAUUAGUGCGAUAAAUUCUUGUAAAGCCGGUAUGAUUUAAUUGAUGCAUGAUUUAGAAUUUGAGAAGCUCAAGAGAUUAAUUUAAUUAAAUACUUUUCAUAAACUAAAAGUUUUAUUUUUAUAAAGUAAAGUAUUUUGUGGAUUUAAGUAAUUUGGACUUAAAUGCUAAGAUUUGAAAUCUUUGAUUUUAAAUAAGUAUUAAAUUUUGGAGUUGGACGUUUUUACAAAUAUUUGAAAUGUUUUGGGCCAUACUAUAAUUUAUGAAUAUGUUGGACUAAAGUGAAAGGUUUUGAGAACUUUGAAAAAUAUGGGUAUUAUGUUGAAAAGGACCUUUGUACGAAAUAAUAAAAUCAUUGGGGCCAUAUCAUAAUUUUAGAAAGUUUGGGAAAGACGACUAUUCUUAGGAAGUUCUGAAAUUGGAUCUAUUUGUAAAGUUUUAUGACAUUUUGAGCCAUAGUAUAAUUAUAGAAAGUUUUGGGUCAAAGUAUAAAUUUAGUGAACAGAGUUACUGUAGCAAAUUCAAAAAUAACGGUAAUAUCACUGUUCCUGAGCGGCUAGCCGGAUAAUCAAGCGGCUAACCGCUUGGGCGCGGGAAUUUACCUAUAACGGCUAGUUUUCGGGCUUUCACUAUUAAAACUCAACUCAAACUUCAUUCCUUAAACGAAUGCAAGGAAAAACAAGAUCAUAUAACAUAUAUUGAGCUUCCAUUUCGCAAAUCAUCAUUGAUUGAAUGAUCAUUGAGCUAUAAUUUGUUAUCUACUCUUAAAGAGAGUUUCAUUGUUGUGAUUUUCAUUUCUCAUCAAAUUGUGAGUGUACAAGUGUGAGAAACAAUUGGGGUGAAGAGAUUGGGGAGAUAAUCUCUUGUUGUAAAGGUUCAUUGACACCUUAGAAGUCAAUUGUAAACAUUUGAAGCCUUGGGAGGUUUGGAUAGUGAAAUCCUCAAGCCAGGUGUGCUUGGAGGCGUGGACGUAGGCAGGGAUAGCCGAACCACGUAAAAAUCCUUGUGUUUGUUUUCUCUUCCCUUACUCUUUUAAUAUUGUGCUUGAUUGAAUUUAUUAUUUUUUGAUUUGAUUAAGGCAAUAGAUUAAAUUGUUGUGCGAAUUGUAUUGCAUAAUUUUAAAAACCCAAUUCACCCCCCCUCUUGGGUUGCAUAACUUGCAUUUCAAGAACUUGUAACUUUUGGAUCUUUUAGUUUUUAUUGGUUGGAUACAAUAUUAUGACUUGAGCGUCGGAAGGUUUUCACCGAAAUAACUUCCAGCACCCCCUGACUGUUCUUUGUGCUUGCAUGCUCGCGGGUUAUUUGCUCAUGGAUCAUCUGCUCAUAGAACAUCUGCUCACGGUGCUCACUGAUCAGCAGCUCGUGGAUUAUCUGCUCAUGGUGCUCACUGAUCAGCAGCUCAUAGAUUAUCGGCUCAUGGAUUAUCUGUUCAUGGUUAGAGGAUUUUCUUGGAGAUUAAUAAGUCGCUUCUCCACCAAACAAAUUUAUUGCUGAUGCGGGGAUGUGGUAUUGAGUCAACAACUGACUCGACUUUAUUUCUGCAUCAAUAUAAAGUAUUAAUCAGCUUAAUUAAUUUAUAAAAUUUAAAUCUAAUUAAUAAGUGACACAUAAAUGCCAAGUGCAAUAUAUGCAAAUCCUGUUUGUCGAUCAUUACAAAACUGGCUCUUGAAAACAAGCAAGAAAGCUUAAUUAAGAACUUAAAACAAAAAGUAUUAGAUUGAGGAUAGUCAAGCCUUAUUUUUUCAAGGAUGGAGCUUAUAAAUCUUCAAGUACCAACAUAUGCUUGGCCCAAUUGUUGUUUUUAAAAUUUCAAAAUAUAAGUAUGACAUAGCAAAAAUUUGAUGGUACAUGUGUCGGAAUAUACUAGCUAGUUCAUGGAUGCAUUUGAUUACUAUUUCCAUAAAUUUGAACUAAGAAGAAUGACACGAGAAAAUUUGAUUUUAUUAUAUGGUUGAUUUCAUAUCUCAUGCACUCAUUUCUUAAGAUAAUUAGAUUUUCUCUGGCAUCUUUUGCAAAUGUGGAAAUAUCAAUUAUGAUCAAUCAAAACGAUCUCAAAACUUUUUAACGAGACAUAUUUAUAAUACAAUAUUAUGAAAAUUACACCAAAAAUUUGAUUUAUUAUAUAUUAUUAUCCAACGAGCACACAAAAAUGAAUUCAUACAAAUCUAUAAUACUUAGCAAUUUUCAAAUAGAAUUUACCAUGUACUAUAAGAAAAUAUGGUAUAUGUGACCCCUAUUGUGAAUGCAAAAGCAGCCAUUACGUAUAUCACUAACUUCUAACUUUGUAACCCUGAGUUGCUUUUGUUACCCUUUAUGUGACGGCCAUACUGCUGUCACAUAUGUUACUAACCACGUGACGGUAAAGAGCCGUUCCGUAUACUACUAUUUUAGAAUUUUAAAUUUAUUUCCAGUUGGAAAACUAUUCGCUGGAUUACGAGUUUAAAUGCUGUCACCAUCGUAAACCUAACUGGUUGCCGGCGAACGGCGUAAAACACCGGCCAUCUUCUUCUUCAUCGUAUUCGCCCUUCAUCUUUUGAGUUAAGCUUGUGAUUAUGAGUUUCUUCUCUUACUUAGCUUGUAAUUAUAGAUUUUGAUUCUUUUUAAUUCGUAUUGUAGUCGUUAUUGUCAAUUUUUGUCCCGCCAGCAAUUUUUUUUAUUCCUACAAGUUGAAGCCCCUGUGUUCUUGUUCCAUUGGUGUGUUUGCUCACUCAAAUUAAUUUUGUUCUACAAAGUUCAAAUGGAUUCAUUUGAAUCACUAUUGAAUUCAGCUUUAAUUCCAACAACCAUUCUAAUGUUUUGUUAUUAGAUUUACUUUAAUUUUAUGUUUAAAGCUUCUACAAUGAAUAGCGGAGCUUGGGUUUUAGUUUCAUUUUCUAGAUAACUUGUUUUUCUUGUAUGCUCACCAAGUGCUUGUUAUAUUGUCUGAUAAGUUAAUAUAUUGCUGAUUCUAUAUUAAUAAUGUUACGUUCUAUUUUCAGAAAUUAUAAUAUAAACUGAAUUAACUUGUAGAAUAAGAGCUUGGAGUAGUGUUAUGUUCUUGAAUAAAUGAAAGUCCAUAUUGUGUAAGAGCAUGUAGAUGUAAAGCGCAUUGCCAUUUCUAUAAAGGACUUUCAUUCUGUUCAGAUGCUCCUCUUGAACUCUGAAAGGUGCCUCAUUCAAGUCCUAGCUAUAACUACUAGCUUUGAUUAAUUAAUUUCCUGUACUAGCAGAAACAGAUUUAUUUAUUUAAAUAAUUGUCUAUGUACUAAUUAUAAUGAAAGUAUAUGAAGAAAUUUUUUAACAUGAAUGACUUCUAAAUGACUUAAAAACCUAAAGGAUAUGAGAAAUAAUGCUCAUUUCACUUGAACGAGCCUAUUAAUACUUGUAUGUCUAUGAUUCUUAAUAUUGGCUUAAGCAUUUCAGUAAAUGGUUUACAUAACAGAGAAAAAAAUUUAAAUGAAAACUUUAGAGUUCUAACAGAAAUAUAAUUGACUAUGCAGAUAUAGUUAUUUUAUGGUAUACAAAUCAUGUUGCCUUAAUCUCAAUGUCCUAUGACCUAUUUUAUUUUAUAUAGUCGUUCAUUUUUGCCAUCGCUUUUUGUGUUUAUGAGUAUGGAAGUAGUGGGAUUUGGUGUAUCUUAGCAUCUUUGGAAAAUUCUCUUUAAAUGUGGCAAACAAAAAUAUACAUAUAAUCAAGUUUCUUAAUCAACUAUCAUAACUGGCUAGCUAGUUCUUGCCUGCCUUGCUGCCAUUACCCAGGCCAUUACAUUGCAUAGCAUAAGGAAUAGUGAUUAGGUGCUUAUUAGUGAUUCGUUGAGCUUAUUAUUGACCAAACAAACAUAUUCGCCUUUACCCACAACUUAGUUUGAUUAGUUAUUAGACCAUAAAGAGCGUUAAUCUGUUCAUUGGCUUUGUUAUUUUUAUUUGGUUUUUCUUCCAACAAUACUGUUGAUUUCUUAUAAAAAUACUCAUUGGUUUUUAGUUAUUAGACCAUAAAGAGCAUUAGUCUGUUCAUUGGCUUUGUUAUUUUUAUUUGGUUUUUCUUCCGACAAUACGGUUGAUUUCUUAUAAAAAUAUUCAUUGGUUUUUAAACACCUAAUCAUUGGCUAUAAUGAAGCUAAUUGAAACUGAGGCUUAUCAAUUUCUUCCUACAAGAUACAAUUGAGCAUAAACUAUAUCCUCAGUAAAUUUUUCUAAUAUCCUUGAUUUGUUAGGAUAUGGAGGCCUGAAAUCCUCUAGAUUUUUUUAACACUGUCAAUGUUCUUUUUACUCUGAAAAGGGAAAAAAAAGGUAUAUCUUUCAUACCCUAAUAGUAAGUAGGCCUUGACUUAACAUGCCUUCCCGAGGAUUUGCAAGAUUCACAAGCAGCUCACCCCCCCCCCCCCUCCCCCAACCCAAAAAAAAAAAAGAAAAACAAAUAGGAAGAUUUUGCGAGAUUCACAACCAGGUUAUAUUUAAUUUAUUAAUUGUGUGCACGUACUAGUUAUAUGUUGAAAGAAUAGGAAAGUAUUUUAACAUGAAUGACUUAAAACUUAUUGCUUAGUAAACAUAAUCUGCAUCAGUGCUAGAAAAUGUAUUUAUUGUUUGUAUUUUUUAUGGAUUUGCUUAAGAAAUGAUACGGGUAAUAAUGCUACAUUGUAUUAGGAACAAAUUGAAGAGAUUUAUGAUAUUUAUGUGUUAUUCAAAUUUCAGAUUGAAUUUUAAACUUUCAAUACAUGCAUUGAAAGCUUAGAUCGUUUAAGAAAUUAUAAAUAGACACAUGUUUUAUUAGUGCCAUCUUUGGAUGAUAGUGAGGAUCAUAUGCCUAUUAAUAAUUCUUGAAUUGUCUAGGCUUGAACUGUUUGGGAAUGCAUAGUUUUCUAUGGUAGCUAGUAGCUGAAGUUUUUUUCCCACAUAAAAAUGGGUUUUUCGCUAGCUGCUUCUCAUCUUCUUUGGGUGCAUACUAGAUAACACAUAAACACUCUUAUAUCUAUGUCGUUGCUUGGAGAACUAAAGGGAGAUGCUGCCGAAAUUUCUAUAAACGUAGAAGAAAACUUUAAAGUACUUGAGAUUGAAGAAACUUAUGCAUUCUUGAGAGGGAUAUAUGGGACCACUUACCUUUUGUAAAUAUGAAGGGAGUGUUGGACAUAUUGAUGGGAGUGGAGGAGCUGAGUUGGAUGGAUGUAAUCGGUUAUAGUUUUGCUGAGUUAACUUGGUUUUGAGCUUGUAAUUUUGUUUAUAAAUGGAGUACUAUCUCCAAUGUUGGUUUAUAAAUAUGUUUCAGCUGGCUGACCUUAUUUUUUGUUUCUAGGUAACAUGCUUUGUAUCUGUAAUUGAUAGCCAACUGAAGUUCUCAGCUGUGGGUGAGGAUAUUUCUUUACAGAAGGUAUUGGAAACUGUUUUUUACAUUAAUUAUUGUUGUAUAUAUACUUUAAUUUUCACAUCUUUUUCUCUGAUUCUUGUCACUUUACUUGCUUUCAUAUACAUAAAUUCUAAUGAAAUUAACCAUAAAAUUGUAUAAUGAUUUUUUAAUUAUAUUGCAAAACUGUGCACACACGAAAAUAUCUUGGUCAGUAGUAGAAAUGAAAAACUAAAAUGAUUUAUCUAACUAAUUUUUGUAGUGCAUUAAAAGGAGACGGUAAUGGAGAAGAGUUGGGUUGGUUUGGCAAAUAGAUAUCUAAGUUAUAGAUUUUGCAUUUGAGAAUGUUGUUGGUGAUGCAAGAAUUUAUUAUCCUUGUAAGAAGUGUCGAAUAUUUCGUUUUAAGGGAAGUAGCAAGAGACCAUAUCAUUAUAAAUGGUUUUUGGUUAAAGUUUUAAAACUGGAUAUUGCAUGGUGAGCCAUCUUCAUCUUUGGAAUCUAACCAAGAAACAGGUUAGUCAUGACUCGGGUGCUGAUGAUGAUAUGGUUGGAAUGAUACAUGAUACAUCACGUAAUCAAAUGUUCAAUUCACAGACAGCAUUGUUAUGGACUAUCAGUGACUUUCUAGCACAUGCCAACUUGUCUGAGUGGAGUAUUAAAGGUAAAUAAGCAUUUCUUGUUUGCCAACAAAACACCAGAUCGAAUUGGUUAAUACAUAGUAGAAAAUUGUCACGUCGGUAACGUCGAUUUUUACCGACGAAUCAUAGGUUUCGAAAAUAUAGUGCCUUUCGAAAAUCUGGAGCUGAAGUGAAAAAGCAGUUGAAUAAUAUCCUUACUGAGUUUAAGAUUGAAGACUUGAAAAGUGGAGAAUGAAUAAAAUGAGAGAAAUGACAAGAUUACUUGGAAGAAGAAAAGCAUAUUUUAUGAACUACCGUGUUGGGAGUUCAAUUUGAUUCAUCAUAAAAUGUGAGACAUGAGGGAGAGACAAAAGCUCAGGCUUGUCUGCAACCAUGUGGGCCCUCAUAAGCAAUUCGUGUACACAACUUGGUUCACCAAGCCCAACAACUUGAAGCAGGCAAAAUCCGGGAACGAUCCUUCUCCUUCGCAACCCUAGCUGCCUUAACCUUGUAUUUCUGAUAUUUAGUUAAAGAGUAAGAAGAUUGCUCCUCUGUCAAUUACCUUCGAGAGAGACUUUCUUUUUCAUUCAUCGAUGCUUGCUUGUGAAAGCAAGGGUUUUAGUUACACUUUCAACGCUGUCAAUGUAGUGAAGUAAAGCAUUCGUAGAAUAAUGAAGAUGGAAGCCCCACAGCAUGAAAACUUUUAAACAGUAACACAGCUCUUAUUCCAGAGGCUGCACGCGAGUGACCUGAAUCUUCUUCAGAACUUUCAAAUUUUAUCAGGCAAAGCUUUCAAAAUUUCUCAACAAAUUGAUUAUUUGGUGUGGUUGCCACAUUUUGAGUAACUGCUAUUUGUUCUCAAGUACAAAAUCCUUGCCUUCCUAAGUUAGGAAAUAUAGAUGAGAAGCAAACCAAAUGAAAUAAAUGGGUAAACAGAACAAACAGUGCAAAAAUUAAAAAUGAUGGCAAUUAACAAAUUAAUAGCAAUGUUACAUUUGACUCUUUAGCCCUUUGCUCCUUCUCUUAACAUUCUUCAAAGCUUUUGAAAAUUGGAUGUGAAGCAAACAAAAUAAAAUAAAUUUAGACAACACAUACCCUGUAUUCAGCAUCAUAUAUAUGUCGAAUAUCUAAUUUAAUAAAUUUCACAUCCAAAAUACUAAAAUUUUAUUUGCAUGCAUGUCUGUCAAAAUUUCCGUGAUUUAAUGUGCUUUCAUGCACGCAAGUUCUAACGUUUCUGUGAUCACAAAAUAAAACUGAAGAUAAAACAGAACAACUACCAAACCUUUCAAGCUUGACGAAGCCAUGAGAAUUGAUAGCUCAGGCUCUGAUACCAAGUUAAAGUUUCUAAUCUAUUUGAUAAGUAAGAAAAUGAGAGAAAAUGAAAGAAAGAACAGAGAUCAUCUAAGAGCUGGAUUUGAUGAAUAAAUCUGAAUCAUCCAUUCUUUAGCUGAUUACAAAUGUAUUUAUACAAGUUUUCUAAGCACCUGAGAGUUGAAUAACUUAUGCCAGCUCAGCUAACACGUCAGUAACUCUACCUAUCUUGCUUAACAAACUGAAACAAUAACUAACAAUUUUAACUAUCUUAACAAUCCCAAUAAUUUCUCCGUUUGUGUAUUUUUUUGAAUCAUAAUCAAAUGGGUAAAUGUUGCAACUAUUUUUUUAGACAUUUUCACUUUGGGAUGUCAGCCCGAGGAAGUUCGGGGGUCUGAGUUAUUCAACUGAAAAUGUCGGCCAAGUUCUCGCCAUCUCAGGUUCAAAACUGAUAAUCUUGCUCGUUGCUCCCCAUUUAUACUUAUUACGAAACUGAAAAAGUUACUCGUUCCUCUUAACUUGUUUUCUCAUGCAUCAACCCCACAAAACUGCUUAUUGCAGGGGGUAAAAUUUUGAACACAUCAUGUGGAAUUUGGACUAUUUGAUAGUUUGUUUCAAACAUAUCUGUUUAUAAAAUACUUUUCUUCAUGGUUUUGGUCCCAUAAUUUUCUAUGUAUGUACAGGUUUUAUCCAUACCUCUUUUGACAAGUUACACUUACAUAGCAAUGUUAUCUGGGUUCAGCCUUGCCUUUUUCAUAAACUGUGCUUCUGUGAUGAAGAAUGUUUUAUCUGUAAGUGGAUAUCCUAAUCAUUGAUCCAUAAACUUAGGUUAUAUUAUCCAUCAGCAAGUAUGUAUAAAAUUAUUUUAUGUCUUUUUUUAUUAGAAAUGUUGUAAUUCUAUUUUAAUCUUCCUGAAUUAUAACAUCAGGUGUCUAUAAUAACUGGAUUAUUCCUUCUGCAAAACAGAGCAGUGGUAAAUAUUUUUUUCUUUUGUUUGUUUAGUACAUUUACAUGCUUUCAGCUUUUUCAAAUUUUGUAUGUGUCAAAGUUUAAAUUUAAUUUGUUGGUUUAUGCCACAACAAAAGGAACAGCAUCAAAGAGGAGCUGCUAAUGGACUUGCUAUGACUGUAGUGUCGCUUACCAAAACUGCCGGUCCAGCUGUAGGAGGUGCUCUGUGAGUGUCCUGUUGAUUUUGUAAAAUUAUAUGUAAAUGAUGUUAUAAUAUUUUUUUUCAUUAAUUGGGGUUCUGGCAGAUUUUCUUGAUCACAAAAGCGUCAAGAUGCUGGUUUCCUCCCAGGUAUGAUGAUCUACUAAUGAAAUUAUAUUCUUUUUAUUUCAAAUAAUCUAUAAGUUAACUCAAAACAUAAUCAAGCUGAGAAUUAAAAUAAUGCCACUGUAUGAGAAGAUUUUUAUUUUUUUCCCGAAGUUUCACUAGGAAAUUAUUGAUAUAUAGCUUUAUUCGGAUCAUCUCAGUUCAAACGACAGCUAAUUGAAAGACUAAACUAAAUAGACCAGCCAACAACUUUGUACAGUAGAGUUAAAAAAAUAAAGUCAUGGUAUUGAGGUGUUCUGUCUUGAAAAGUACAGCAUAGUGAUAAAAUAAAAACUAUUAGUAUUUGGUAAGAUAUGACUUUUAAUUAAAAAAUUUCACAAAAAUAUAAAAAUAUUUAUAAAGUACUUCUGUAGUGCGGAGACCCUCACUUUGUUAAAGUGAAAAUAUCAACAAUAAACAAAAGACAUAUAUUUUAACACAUUAAAAACUGUAUUUUUUUAUCUAUUGGUGUAUUGAAAUAUGUGUUAUUUAGUUUGCUAAUGAUAUCAUCACUUUGUUAAAAUGAGGAUGUCAUCACUAGAGAAUCAUUAUAUAUACAUAUAUAUAAAGUGGUUCUCUCCAAGACCUAAACUUUAUUAAAAGUUUAGAAAGCAAAUAUAUUUUGUAUGGUAUAAUAGUGUAAUAACAUCACACUAUUAUAUCAUAUGAGUCCCAUAUAGAGUAAUAGUUUUUCGAACUUUAAUAAAGUUCAAGAUUAUAGAAUGAAUGAUUUAUAUAUAUUAUAAAUUUUUUAUUAUAUAGUGAAGGACAAAAUUAACAUAAUUUUCAAAUUAUAUUAAGUAUUUAUCAAAUAAUUUAACAUCAUAAUUUCUCCUAACUAGUAUAGUAAAUACGGCCUAGGAGGUACAUUCAAAGCAUUUCAUAGGUUCCUUGUUCGCUCCAGAUUCAGUCACAGACAAGGAGCCGUUUUUUGAGAAUAUUAAGCAUCAUCUUCAAAUGAAUUUUCUUGGCAAAGGUUUCAGAUCCAAAUUGUUGUUCCAGAUUAGUCCAAAGCUCAAGUAAGGUUUGAGAGUUUACCACAAGACUAAGGAUCUCGAUACUGAUGGAUGACAUUAACCAGCUCAACAACAAUUGAUCGUUUCUCUUCCACGAAGUUGAAUCUUCAAUUUCAGUAAAAAGAAAUUGGUUAGGACAGAGUUUUGAUCUAUCAAGUAGAUCUUCUAGUCCAUUGGCACGGACUGAAGACAAGACCUGUGAUUUCGAGAUCCUAUAAUUCGAUCGAUCCAGUUUGAUGGGUGAAGUGAAAGUAAACGAGGAAACAUAGGAGUUUGUAUUCUGAUUUGAGCUUGACGAAGCCAUGAGAAUUGAUAGCACAGGCUCGGAUAUCAAGUUAAAGUUUCUAAUCUGUUUGGUAAUUAAGAAAACCAGCGAAAAUGAAAGAAAGAACAGAGAUCAUCUAAGAGCUGGAUUUGAUGAAUAAAUCUGAAUCAUACAUUCUUUAGCUGAUUAAAAAUGUAUUUAUACAAGUUCCUGAAUAUUUUAGAUUCCAUAUGCUUGAGCUAAGCACCUGAGAGUUGAGCAGUGUGCACUAACAAACUGCUAACAAAAUAACUAACUUAUGCCAGCCCAGCUAACACAUCAGUAACUCUAACUAUCUUGCUUAACAAACUGAAACAAUAACUAACCAUUCCAAUAAUUUCUCCAUUUGUGUAUUUCUUGAAUCAUAAUCAAAUGGGUAAAUGUUGCAACUGUUCUUUUAGAUAUUUUCACUUUGGGCUGUCAGGCCGGGGAAGUGCGGGAGGUCUGAGUGACUCAACUGAAAAUGUCGGCCAAGUUCUUGCCAUCUCAGGUGUAAAACUGAUACUCUUGCUCCCCAUUUAUACUUACUACGAAACUGAAAAUGUUACUCGUUCCUCUUAACUUGUUUUCUCAUGCAUCAACCCCACAAAGCUGCUUAUUGCAGGGGUAAAAUUUUGAACACACCAUGUGGCAUUUAGACCAUUUGAUAGUUUGUUUCAAACAUAUUUGUUUAUAAAAUACUUUUCUUCAUGGAUUUGGUUACGUAAUUGUCUAUGUAUGUACAGGUUUUAUCGAUACCUCUUUUGACAAGUUACACUUCCAUAGCAAUGUUAUCUGGGUUCAGCCGUGCCUUAUUGAUAAAUCUGUAAUGAAGAAUGUUUUAUCUGUAAGUGGAUAUCCUAAUCAUUGAUCCAUAUCCAUAAGCAAGUAUGUAUAAAAUUAUUUUAUGUCUUUUUAUUAGGAUUGUUGUAAUUCUUUUUUACUUUUCCUGAAUUGUAACAUCAGGUGUCUAUAAUAACUGGAUUAUUCCUUCUGCAAAACAGAGCAGUGGUAAAUAUUUUUUUUCUUUUGUUUGUUUAGUACAUUUACAUGCUUUCAGCUUUUUCAAAUUUUGUAUGUGUCCAAGUUUAACUUUAAUUUGUUGGUUUAUCCCACAACAAAAGGAACAGCAUCAAAUUUUGUUGGUUUAUGCCAAAACUACCGGUCCAGCUGUAGGAGGUGCUCUGUGAGUGUCCUAUUGAUUUUGUAAAAUUAUAUGUAAAUGAUGUUAUGAUUUUUAUUGUCCCCCCCCCCCCCCCCCCAACACAAAAAAAAGCAUGAUUAAAUUGAUCAUUUGUUGGGUAACAACUUGAUUAACCGGUCCUGGCAGAUUUUCUUGGUCACAAAAGCGUCAAGAUGCUGUUUCCUCCCAGGUAUGAUGAUUUACUAAUGAAAUUUCUCACGAGUUGGUGAAUUACUUUGUGCUAAUUAGCUUAAUUAGCUGCUUAAACUAAAGUGCAGGUAACCAAAUGGUUUUUUUUUUCAUUCUGAAUUUGGUUGAGGCACUUGGAGUAAUAUUGACAUUCAAACCGUUUCUAACUCAACGCGCCCCGUGAGUUGAGAAAAGAUGCAUCUGUUGAAAUAUUCAAAUAUAUUUCAAGCAAAUUAAAGCUUUUCAAAAUCUAUCAACAAUAUGAUUAUUUGAUGUGGUUGCCACUUGCCAUAUUUUGUGUUACUGUUCUAAAGGGUUAAAUAUGAAAAUGGUUGUUGGUGCUCACACCAAUCGAUAGCUGGUAACAUUAACUCCUCAAUACUUAUACUUGUUCAUUUUCAGAACUACGACAAUUUAUCUUCACAAUGAUGCAAGCUAGAAAGAAUUUUUCAUGUUAAGUAAAACAUUGAAGCCAUAAAGAGUCUUAAUUGAGUACUAAGUUUUCUACCAUGCUUUCAACGGUAACAUAUUUGGAGCUCUUAUUCCAGGGGCUUCACAGUAGAGAGACCUGAUUUCGAUCUUCUUCAGAACUUGGGGAUUCCGUAAUAACAGAGGACAACAGUUAUAUAAGAAUAUUAUUUUGUACAAUUUUCGUAUAACCUGACCAAUGCAAGUAUAAUUUUAUGAUCUUAACUCAGAUCAAAAGACCUUCAAUGAUGUAAAUUUGCACAUAAAGCUGAGAUCCAAACAUUAGAACUUAUGAUGAAACGCAAACAAAAACGGUGAGAUUGAAAAGAUAGAGAAACACAAGCUUUUUAGUAGGAAUAAAUGCUCAUUUAGUCUCUAUAUUUUGACUCGAGCGCAUUUAGUUCUUAUAUUUUAAAAAGUGCCUCAACCUCAAGACACCCCCUAUUGUGAAAUAUAUUUUGUUUCUACCUUUUUUUUUUACAAUAAUACUCUUGGAAUAAUAUUUUUGGGAAUAUUAAUGAAAAUAAAAAAAUGGUAAUCAUCUAGCCAGCCUUAAACAAAAUAAAUAUUAAUAAAAACUUUUAUGUUAUUAUUUUAGUUUUAGGACUAAUUUCGUAAAUUAAAUUUUUUAUGCAUUUAUUAGUAAGAUUGCUUUAAGAAUAUUAAACAUUACUUUAAGAUGGCUGAUAUUAAUUUAUUUAUAAAGAAUUAUUAGCAAGAUUGUUGUGAAAGUACAAAAAAUACUGGUUAUUUCACAUUGAUAUUUAUUGAUUAAUUUGCCAAUUAACUUUUUUUAUAAAUAAAUUUAAGAAUAUUAUUGCCAAGAUAUUAUUGUAAAGGUAAAUAAAAUUUAAGGAAAAAAUGUAACGUAUUUAAUAUCAAGGUAUAUUGAGGUAUUUUUUAAAAUAUAAAAACUAAACGAGCAUUGAAAUUAAAGAGCAAUGAUAUAGCCACAAACUCUUGUACAAACUUAUUUUGUACAAACUGAUGUGGCAUGAUAAGAUUAGUUGAAUUAAAUAUCACUUUGCCCACAUGAUUUGUUUUUAUUAUUUUAUAUUUUCAUUCAACCAAUGAAUUAAUGCCACGUCAGUUUGUACAAAAUAAGUUUGUACAAGAGUUUGUGACUGUAUCAUUACUCGAAAUUAAAAUACAGGUACCAGACAAGUAUUUUCUCUUUUAGAAAGUUUUAUAUUUUAUUAAUGAAAGUCUGAAUAACAAAAUUAAGGUUUUGGACUUCUUUUAAACUAAACUUAAAUAUCACAAAUUUACCAAAAUAAGUAAACCUAAAAUAUUAAUACAUAAUAACAUUCUCCUAACUGAAAUAAAGAUAAAUGCUACUCAAAUUCUAUAUCUAGAAAAAAAAAAAGGUAAAAAUCCUGAAAACAAUAGGAAAAUAGAUCUUAAACUUGUAAAAUUAUAUGAAAUAAAUAUAAUUUUCAAUCGAACCACGAGACUAAUGUGGCGCUACAGUAUUAGAUUAGAUUCCCCUCGUUGCAAACUUCGAAAGGUAUAUUAUACACCCUAAAUACAUACUUAUAGCUCAAGUUGUUACCCUAGAGAGAUACUCUACUCAUCCUAUGCAACCAUCCGUUGCAUCAAAUUCGUUCCAAAAUUAAGAAUAAAUCAGCUGAUGCAUUCCAAAUAAUUUAGAUGAAACGAUAAAAUAAACCUAGAGAUCAAAUAAAAUGAAAUGAAAAUGAUAAUUACCUCGGACUAAAGCUCAUACAAAUUCAUUAUUUGACACCUCCAGCAAUUGUUGAAAUAAUAGUUAAUGAAAUAUAAAAUAAGACAAAAGUACAUAUUAAUGACACACCACUGUGAAUCGAUACAUCAACGUAAUACAUCAAUUGAAAUAUCAUACGAUAAAUUAGUCAGAGAAAGAAAUAAGUAAAUAAAUCAGCAAAGGAAACAUGCAUAAACAAAUUAAAAAAAAAACAAAGACAAAAGAAGGAAGAGUUGUCUGUGAGAAUCUUCUUCUAUGGUCAUUGAAGUCCCAAAACUAAUAAGGAUCGAUCAAUUGAACAGUUGCAAACUCAAUGGAAAUACAAUGGAACCUUAAAAAUGAACAGUGAAGGAAAAUGAAGAAAUCCGCAGGAAAUAAGGCGAGUAAGAGUGAAGAAUUAAUUACCACUGAGUAAAAUUGAGAGUUGUGAUCUAGAAGAGAUUCUUCUUCUCCGUAAUCCCCUUUUUUCUUUUAAUGUUGUUAUUAUUAUUAUUAUAUAUAUAUUUUCAAUUUCAUGAUUUCUUUUUUGUUUUAAACGGUAUUGGCAUAUUACAUUUAUUUAUGUUAAUUUUACAAUACCUCCCUUCAGAUUGCACAAAUUACAUAAAAAAAAAGCGCUUUAUGUAUAAAACUUUCAAACAAAUUGGGCCAAAAUCUAACUUUACCAAGUUUAGAGUAAUUUUGGGCUCGACAUUCCGUUUCCGACAAACGAAUUUUCUUUAUCACCAAGGUAUGAUACUUUUCAUAUUUAUCCAACGGCUCGUCAAUGACAAUACCUUUGUAAAAAGUACUUAUUUUGAAUAGUAUAUUGUGGAAAUGUCUGGUCGGUAAUACAACUAUUUCUUAUAGUGUAAAAAUGAUACACUAAGCGUUCACAUUUUGAUGAGUAAAUUAAGGAUUUCAAGAUGAAGUACAUAAUUAGAUUAAUGCUAAGAAACUGAAGUUUGAUCGAUUGAAAACGAAAAUAAUAAUGAAGGUAAUUAAGAAAAUGAACAAUAUAUGCGGAAGCGGUCCUUAUUAGUACUUCUAGAUUUUCUCUUGGGCUUUCCUUAUUAUUGUUAAAAAAUGACCCGAAGAACUUUGAGUUUAAAAAUCUGGCCCUGAUGCCUGGUAGCCCUUCAACACAUGAAGCACCAGAUGUUUUGAUGAGAAAAUGACAAGACCAUUUAUCAAAUUUCUUGUGGAUAUAAAUACAUACACAUAGACGAGACCAACCUCCUCAAAUGAGAAUCAGAGUGAUUACAAGACCUUGCAAUGAGACAAUGAUACACCAUCAAAUGUCAAAAUACAAUAGAAAUUCACGACAUAUAUAUAAUAAAAGACCUCUCAUUGAGUCAUAUAUAUUGAGAAUAAAAAUGUUAUAAUACAUACACAGAGCUUAGUUAGAAUAAAAUGUCUUUGAACUUACGAUGAUCAAACAAAGGAAACAGACAGGUUGUAACUCACACUAUCACAAGAAGAUCACGAAGAUGGAAAUGGGAACCCCUCAGAAUGGAAACUUUGAAUAGAGCAAAAAAGAAAAAACGACCUUAUUCACAGAAGAAGAGUGAUACAACUUGGCCAAUUGUUGUGAAUCAGAUCGAGCACAAUGAGACAGCAAGGGAAGAGACCCAGCCUGCAGAAAUAGAAGAAGUCCAACCCUUGAAUGAGACACAAGCUAAAGAGCAGCUCAAGACAGGUCCAGCUCGCGCGAGAAAGAAACCAGGAUGGCUCAAAGACUUUGUCAUUUGAGGAAUGUUCGAGAAUGCUUGAGAUAUCAUAAUAACGAAUAUUGUUCUGUUUUCAAUUAUUGUUUUGUUGUUAUCAAUUUUAUUCUAUUUAGUUAGUUAAGGGUGCGUGGCUGUUUUUGGAAGGGAGAAUAUAUUGUACUGUCAAGGGACCCAUGAGGGCAUGAAAAGAAAGGAUAUCAUUUUGUCUUUUUUCAGCUUCGUCUUCUUUCUCUUCUCUGUAACUCCCCUGUCCCAUUUCUCUUUCUUCAAAUUAUUUUCUCCACGAAUUGGAGCUUGCACUCGCUCAAAGAGUGUCGUAUCAACUGGUGCUUUCAUUGCAUUUAAUCUCUUUACACAAAACAAAAAAAAAAUGUCUCUCACAGAACCAACGACUGAUUCAGCAGUUCUCUCCACCAUGAAGACGCUCAUUGAAAAUCAAAUGCUUGCUGUUCAUCAGACCUUAUAGCAAUAUAUGUCCACGGUGGAUUCUCGAUUUGAGGAGCUACGUUCCCAAAUCAAUGGUUCCGUCGGAGGGUCAGUGGGUUCUUCCCGCCCAAUGGCGCCAGAACCAGCGUCUUCGACUGUACUGUCAGGUGUUACUGAUAUCUCUCCUCUGUUGCGUUCUAUGAAAAUGAAUGUCCCAAAAUUUGAUGGCACUGAUCCGAAUGGUUGGGAUUUUUGAAUCAAUGAGUUCUUUGAUUUUCACGGCACCCCUGACCAUUUACGCCUUCGUAUUGUAUCUUUUCACAUGGAGGGAAAAGCAGCAGCAUGGUAUCAAUGGAUGAAGGCCAACAACUUGCUGAGCACUUGGCAGAAUUUUUUACUCAAUCUUAAGCAAAGAUUUGGUACAUCCUGUUGAAAAGUCAAAGAGGUUUGGUUGAAAAAGAAAAGUGAGUCACAUGCAUUGCUUUUGUUUUUCAAAGUCAGCACCAAAUUGCAAGCUGUAAAAUAUUUGGCAUUUGACAAUCCUGCACCAAAUGAAGAAAAAUGGAAAAGUAAGCAAAAUUUGUCAAAUUGACAGAGAUGGAGAUUGACAAAUUGCAGAGGGAUUAGGUGGAAUAGUGCAUGCUUGAAGCCUAUAAAUUGAAGCCAUUUUUUUUCAUUCUAAAUCAUCCCAAAAUUUGUUAAGCUUAUAAGUUUCUAAGCUUUUGAGAGUUCUGAAAGUGUGAGCAAUUGGAGAGUGUGUGUGAGAGUACUGGGUGUAUUUGGGUUCUGGAAAAGUGAGAUUUCUUUACUCAAAUUUGUACUCAAAUAAUUGUUAAUAAUACAAUUAUUUUUCUCUUGCUCCCAUGGACAUAGGCAUAUUGCCGAACCACGUAAAUUCUUGUGUCCUUUAUUUUUCUAUGAUUAUUCGGUGUGUUUGUUUCCGCAUUCCGCGCACAACAAGUGGUAUCAGAGCCGACGGUUCGUACUUGGGGGGAUACGGUACAAUUUACGUAUACGGUACUAUUCAUGUAUACGGUACUGUUCACGAAUACGGUGGAGACGGCCAUUUGUACUUAGGAGACAGUCUAUUGUAAGUAGUGUGUAUUUUUGCAUGUCUAGGAAAGUUCUGUCAACAAAGGCGAUAAGAGUCUAAGGAUUCUGGUUUUUAAUUGGGACCAAGUUCCUGUCCAGUUUCCUGGAAACUUUCCUGGUGCAUUUAUUCACGCGAAAUUAACAUCAUAGAGACUGUUUUUCAAGUGAAAAUAGUUCGUUGAGAAAAUGGUAGAAGGUGAAACUUCCAGAAUUGGGGAGAGAUCUGCCGAGACUAUUUCAGGAGACACUUCAGGUAGGAGGCGAGAUUUGUCAAAUCGCUAUUCAGCACCUGUUAUAGGAGGCCAGAAGAUCGAUAUUGAAAAGUUUGAUGGGAAAAUCAACUUCGGCAUGUGGAAGCGCGAAGUUAUGGAUGCCCUUAUUCAAAUCGAUCUCGAUGUUGUUCUGAAAAAUAAAAGACACUUGUAUGAUGAAGAAAUUUAGGAUCGUAUGAACGAGAAAGCUUGUGGUCAGAUUUGAUCUUGUUUGACUAAGGAGGUGAAAUACUUGGUGAAAGAUGAGGAGUGUGCGGUGACUUUGUGGCGUACAUUGGAGGAGAAGUACCUGCUAAAAAGUCCUGAAAAUCAUCUUUCGAAUGAAGCCUGGGGUGUCAAUGCACGAUCAUGUCUCAAGAUUUGAAAAGUUACUUGCUGAUUUGAAGAAUCUUGAUGAAGAUAUUAAGGAUGAAAUCAAGGCUAUGAUUCUGUUACACUCACUGCCAGAGGAAUAUAGCCAUUUUGUGACUACCUUGAUAUAUGGGAAGAAUGUGAUCGUCUUCAAAGAUGUUUGCACAACAUUGACUAACUUGGAGAUUCGGAAUAAUGAUAAAAAUUCUGAACGAGCAUCGUCUGAAGCUUUAGUGAGUAGAGAUUGGGUGAUGGAGAAAAAGAAAAAGCGUGGUGGAAAGAAUUCUCGAUCCAAAUCGAGAAGCAGAAAUCUAGCUCGAGAUGAGUGUGCCUUUUGACAUGAAAAGGGCCAUUGGAGGAAAGAUUGUCCAAAGGCUCAAAAGAGAGAUGGGAAGAAACCAGCAGCAGCAAACAUGGCACGGAAAGAUGAGGACUCUGAUUAUUCACUAAGUAUUACUCCUGCAGCAUACGUGGCUAGUUCGAGUGAGUGGAUACUUGAUACUGGAGCAACCUAUCAUUUGUGUCCCAUUAAUGAAUGGUUUACGAAUUUUCGUAAUCUGGAAUCCGGUGCAGUUGUGAUGGGGAAUGAUCAACCUUGUCGCACAAUGGGGAUAGGAACAAUUCGGCUCAAAAUGUUUGAUGGAAUGAUCAGAGAACUCAAAGAGGUUAGAUUUGUUCCAGCUUUAAAGAAAAAUCUAAUUUCUGUGGGUGCUUUGGAAGCUAAAGGCUACAAGGUUACCAUUGAAGAUGGCACAAUGAAAUUUACACAUGGGGCUAUGGUGAUUCUGCAAGGGGUUCGGCGUCACAAUCUGUACUAUUUGAAGGGAGGUACAACUGAUGAAGCAAAUAUUAUUGAGGCGCACAGUAACACCACCAAGCUAUGGCAUGUACGGCUGGGACAUACUGGCGAGAAGUCUUUGCAAACUCUGAUGAGGCACGGACUCUUAAAAGGUACCAAAACCUGUAAAUUAAAUUUCUGUGAGCAUUGUGUAGUAGACAAGAAAACAAGGGUCAAGUUUGGUACAGCCAAUCACGAUACUCGUGAGAUCCUUGAAUAUGUUCAUAGUGAUGUAUAGGGAUCAACCAAGAUUGCAUCAAUUGGUGGAAGCCAUUAUUUUGUUACGUUUGUUGAUGAUUUCUCUAGAUGUGUGUGGGUGUACACCAUGCGAGCAAAGGAUGAGGUUCUAGAGAUUUUCGUGAAAUGGAAGAAAUUGGUGGUGACUCAAACUGGCAGAAAGAUCAAAGUAUUACGAUUUGAUAAUGGAGGUGAAUAUACUUCUGAUCCAUUCUUGCAAGUAUGCCAGAACGAGGGUAUUAAAAGACAUUUCACGGUGAGACAUACUCCGCAACAGAACGGUGUGGCUGAGCGUAUGAAUCGUACUUUACUGGAGAAGGUACGGUGUAUGUUAUCUAAUGCUGGUUUAGAUAAAAAAUUUUGGGCUAAAGCUAUGAGCUACGCAAGUCACUUGGUAAACCAGUUGCCUUCUGCUGCAAUUAGAGGUAAAACUCCUAUGGAAAUGUGGUCUGGAAAGCAUGCACAAGACUAUGAUUCUCUUCGUAUAUUCGGGUGUCCAGCUUAUUAUCAUGUCAAAGAUGGUAAACUGGAUCUUCGUGCUAGAAAAGCUAUCUUUAUGGGAUUCAAAUGUGGAGUAAAGGGCUUCAAGCUUUGGGAUCUCGAAGACAAAAAGUUUGUGUGUAGCAGAGAUGUCACAUUUGAUGAAGCUUCAAUGAUGAAAGCUUCAAGUUCUCAGCAGGUGGAGAACAAGACCAAAGAGGUAUUGCAGCGGGUGGAGUUUGAUGCAACUUCAUAUGUACCAGUUAGUUCUACAUCAAAGAAUGGUUCAACUAUGGAGGUGACACUUAGAGUUGAAGAAUAUGUUAUUUCUUCUGAUGUCCCACAAAAUGAAGAAACAAUUGAUGAUGUAGAUAAUUAUGAUUUUAUAGCAACAAGGAGACCAAAAAGAGAGAUAAAGAAACUCGAAUGGCUUACUAAAGAUAUGGUGGUAGCCUAUGCACUUUCAGUUAUUGAUGAUGACAUCCCCAACACUUUCGGUGAAGCAUUACGCAACAGUGAAAGUGAUCAGUGGAAGUUAGCCAUGGAGGAAGAGAUGAAAUCUCUCCAUCAAAACCAGACUUGGGAACUUGUAAAGUUACCAAAGGGGAAAAGGGCUAUUGGCAAUAAAUGGGUCUACACCAAAAAGCAAGGAUUUCCGAAUCAAACAACUCCUCGAUAUAAGGCAAGGCUCGUGGCAAAAUGUUUUGCUCAAAAGGAAGGUAUUGACUACAAUGAAGUUUUCUCUCCAGUUGUAAAACAUACUUUCAUUCGUAUCCUACUUGCCUUAGUUGCAGAAUAUGAGUUAGAGUUGGCUCAAUUGGAUGUUAAGACAGCGUUCUUACAUGGAGAGUUGGAGGAGGAAAUCUAUAUAAUUCAGCCUUGUGGUUUCAGAGUUGCUGGAAAGGAGAAUCAUGUGUGUAGAUUGAUUAAAUCUUUGUACGGACUGAAGCAAUCAUCAAGGCAGUGGUACAAAAGAUUUGAUCAAUUUAUACAAGGGAAGAAAUUCACCAGAAGUGAACACGAUCAUUGUGUUUACUUUAGAAGACUACUAGAUGGAGCUUUCAUCUAUUUGUUACUCUAUGUCGACGAUAUGCUUAUAGCUUCAAAGAAUAGAGAUGAGAUCGAAAGAUUAAAGAAGCAGCUGGCUUCUGAGUUUGAGAUGAAAGAUUUGGGUGAUGCACAGAGAAUACUUGGGAUGGAGAUUCAUAGAGACAAGAAGAAUGGGAGCGUAUGGUUGACUGAAAAGUCUUAUUUGAAGAAAAUGCUAGAAAGAUUCGGUAUGGAUGACAAAACUAAACCGGUAUGUACACCUCUAGCUCCUCAUUUCAAAUUAAACUCUUCUUCAUGUCCUAAAUCUCAAGAGGAGCGCGAUUACAUGGCUCGUGUUCCAUAUGCUAGUGUUGUGGGUAGUCUUAUGUAUGCUAUGGUAUGCACAAGGCACGAUAUAUCUCAAGCAGUGAGCAUGGUUAGUAGAUACAUGCACAAUCCGGGUAAAAAUCAAUAGCUUGCGGUAAAGUGGAUUCUCCGAUAUCUGUAUGGGACAGUUGAUGUUGGGUUAUUGUUCAAGAAGGAUUGUGGUCAACAAUGUGUUGGGUAUUGUGAUUCUAAUUUCGCUGGAGACCUUGACAAGCGAAGAUCAACAACAGGCUGCGUAUUCACAUUGGGUGAAGGUCCGGUUAGCUGGAGGUCGAUUCUACAAUUGACAAUUACUCUAUCCAGUACGGAAGCAGAGUAUAUGGCAGCAACUGAAGCUGUAAAAAAAGCUAUCUGGUUGAAAGGCUUGUUAAGUGAUUUGGGAGUAAUCCAGGAAAACAUUACGGUCUUCUGUGAUAAUCAAAGUGCGAUAUUCCUUGCGAAGAAUCAAACAUAUCACGCUCGGACGAAGCACAUAGAUGUGAAAUAUCAUUAUGUGAGGGAGAUUAUCAAGAGCGGUGUUGUGUUGUUGAAAAAGAUCGAUACCAAAGAUAAUCCAUCAGAUAUGUUGACGAAGGUAGUUUCUGGAGUUAAGUUUCAACAUUGCUUGAAACUAAUUCAAAUCCUUCGAUUGUGUUAAGUUAUGUCCUUCGAUAAUUUUGAACUACGGUUGGCUUGAUCCCAAAUUUUGGGUACGUAGGCAGUCACAUAGAUGUAACCACUUUGGGGAUGAUGAUUGGUUGGUAGUCGGCUCAGAUUUGAACAAAUCUUCGCCGAGGUGGAGAAUUAUUGAAAAGUCGCCGAGGUGGAGAAUUGUUGAAAAGUCAAAGAGAUUUGGUUGAAAAAGAAAAGUGAGUCACAUGCAUUGCUUUUGUUUUUCAAAGUCGGCACCAAAUUGCAAGCUGUAAAAUAUUUGGCAUUUGACAAUCCUGCACCAAAUGAAGAAAAAUGGAAAAGUAAGCAAAAUUUGUCAAAUUGACAGAGAUGGAGAUUGACAAAUUGCAGAGGGAUUAUGUGGAAUAGUGCAUGCUUGAAGCCUAUAAAUUGAAGCCAUUUUUUCAUUUUUUCUUACUUUUCCAUUUUUUAUGCAGAGGGAUUAGGUGGAAUAGUGCAUGCUUGAAGCCUAUAAAUUGAAGCCAUUUUUUUCAUUCUAAAUCAUCCCAAAAUUUGUUAAGCUUAUAAGUUUCUAAGCUUUUGAGAGUUCUGAAAGUGUGAGCAAUUGGAGAGUGUGUGUGAGAGUACUAGGUGUAUUUGGGUUCUGGAAAAGUGAGAUUUCUUUACUCAAAUUUGUACUCAAAUAAUUGUUAAUAAUACAAUUAUUUUUCUCUUGCUCCCAUGGACGUAGGCAUAUUGCCGAACCACGUAAAUUCUUGUGUCCUUUAUUUUUCUGUGAUUAUUCGGUGCGUUUGUUUCCGCAUUCUGCGCACAACACAUCCAUGUAUGAAGAUCAUCCAGGUAACCUCUCCAAGCUCUCCCAAACGUCGACUGUUGCUGAUUUUCAGUCUGCCUUUGAGGAUUUGAUGAACAAGGUCACGGGCAUCUCCGAGCCAUUGUUGGUUAAUUUCUUUAUCACGGGCUUAAAACCCGAUAUCAGGCGAGAAUUAUUAUUUGCAAGACCCACAUCUCUCAUGGAGGCUUUUGCUUUAGCCAUAGCUUAUGAGGCACGAUCGGAAGAAAUCAAGACCUCUAGCCGUUCUUGGACAAAGUGGACACCCUCAUCUACUUACACCCACCAAUCCACCAUUACUGCCUCCCCACAUCCUGCAUCAUAUAAAACCCCAACAACAACUACUCUUCCGAGUUUGUUAGCCACUAAACAGCCACCUCAACCCCCAUUAUUGCCUACUCCCACCUUGCCUAUUCAUCGAUUAACUCCAACAGAAUUAAGAGAGAAAAGAGAAAAAAGGGCUCUGUUACAACUGUGACAAAAAAUAUAGCGCCACACAUCGCUGUCGUAGCAAGUUUUUGUUAUUAAUGGGUACGGAUGAUGAAGAUGAUGAGCCAAGUGAGGACGCUUUUAUUCAUGCACAACCAGACGAAGUAGUCACAGCGGACAUAUCUAGUUUGCAUGCCUUGGCUGGGCAAACUAAUCCACGAUCUUUAAGGGUGAUGGGCACCGUUGUCAACUAUCAGUUUCAGGUGUUAAUUGACAGUGGCAGUACCCACAAUUUUCUUAAGCCGCCAUUGGCUAAACGCCUUGGCCUUUCCGUUCAAGCUAUAACUCCUUUUCGAGUUUACAUUGGCAAUGGCAAUUUUCUUACUUGUCGAUUUCUCUGCCCUAAAGUGCCUAUCAAUAUGCAGGGGCAUGAAUUUCUUUUGGAUUUCUUCCUUUUGCCAAUCGAAGGCCCUGAUGCUUUCCUUGGGAUUCAAUGGUUACAAAGCUUGGGAAGAAUUUCUACGGAUUAUUCCGAGAUGACGAUGGAGUUUCAGUAGGAGGGAAAAUCUGUCAUUUUACGAGGAGACCCAAUUCCAAAUCCGAAUUUAAUCUCUUUUAACCAGUUUCAUGCCUUGCUAUCCAACUCCAAAAUCGACAACGUAUUUGAACUUCAUUCUUUACCAACUGAACCAUCAACAACUCACACAUCUACCAACACAUUGCCGGAUAAUGACUUAGAAUUUCCGAGGUCGUUGCCUGAACCUAUUACUACUCUCCUUCAAAAAUUUAAGGCAUUAUUUGCUCCACCCACUGGUCUUCCCCCUCAACGGCUAUUUGAUCACAAAAUACACCUUAUUCCCAAUUCCAAACCAGUCAACGUUCGCCCAUAUCGGUAUCUUUAUUUUCAGAAAACCGAAAUGGAGAAAUUGGUGAGAGAAAUGUUAAAUCAAGGCAUCAUAAAACCCAGCCAAAGCCCAUUUUCUUCACCGGUAAUGCUAGUAAAGAAAAAGGAUGGCUCCUACAGAUUCUGUGUGGAUUACCGCGCUGUGAAUACGGUGACAGUGAAGGACAAAUUUCCCAUCCCCACUAUUGAUGAAUUGUUUGACGAACUUGGCGGUGCUAGGAUUUUCAGCAAACUUGAUCUAAGAGCCGGUUAUCACCAGAUAAGAGUUCACAAGAGGGAUACUUAUAAAACAGCGUUUCGCACGCAUGAUGGACACUACGAGUUUCUUGUUAUGCCGUUCGGUUUGACCAACGCGCCGUCCACUUUUCAAGCAACAAUGAACCAAUUAUUUGCUUCCUUUUUACGUAAAUUUGUUAUUGUCUUUUUUGAUGAUAUAUUGGUCUAUAGUGCAUCAUUGGCUGAUCAUGUGUAUCAUUUGGAGCAGGUUAUGAGUUGUUUAUACACAUAUCAAUUUUAUGUCAAAUUCUCCAAAUGUUUGUUUUGCCAGGAAUCAAUUGAUUAUUUGGGCCAUAUUGUGUCGGCUCGAGGAGUGCACGCUAAUCCGCAAAAGAUCACAGCCAUGGUAGAUUGGCCCUUGCCUAAAUCGGUGAAGCAACUGAGAGGGUUCUUGGGGCUGACAGGGUACUACUGACGUUUUAUUCAAGGCUAUGCAACCAUCGCAGCUUCUCUCACUGAGUUGCUUUGUAAGGAGGCUUUUUAUUGGAAUCUGGCAGCUACUCAAGCUUUUCAAGCAUUAAAGAAGGCUCUUGUGGAAGCCCCUGUACUUCACUUGCCGAAUUUUGCCUUGGAGUUUGUCAUUGAGACCGAUGCUUCUAAUGUCGGGAUCGGUGCUGUGCUAAUGCAAGUCGGGCAUCCUCUAUCUUAUUUUAGCAAAAAGUUGGGUCCUCGAAUGCGUGCAUCCUCGACAUAUUUGAAGGAAUUAUAUGCUAUUGUAGCUGCGGUUCAAAAAUGGCGUCAAUACCUCCUUGGUCGAUUUUUCCUUAUACGCACUGACCAUAAAAGCAUAAAGGAACAGUUUCAACAAGUUAUUCACACCCCAAAGCAGUAAUUUUACAUUCGCAAGUUGAUGGGUUAUCAAUACAGAAUCGAUUAUAAAGCUAGUAACUUCAAUAAAGUUGCUGAUGCUUUAUCGCGAAUUCAUGGGGACAACGUGACUGAAGAACCCAAACCAACAGCACUCUGUUUGUCAUUUGUAAGCCAACCUUCUAGUGAACUAUUGACAGCUCUGCACAAGGAAAAUUGCACUCUUCCUGAUAUGAAAUAACUCCAUCAGAGGUAUGCAGCCGGUUCACUUUCUUCUGACUUCUCGGUUCCUGCUAUUUCGACAUCGAUAUUACCUCAGCCCCAACUCAUCAUUAAAAGCCGUGCUACUCAAAGAGUUUCACGAGACACCUAUGGCAGGACAUGCUGGUAUUAAAAAGACAUUGGUACGUCUUUCAUCGACUUUUUUUUGGCCUAAGAUGAGGAAAGAUGUUGAGCAAUAUGUAGCCGCUUGCCUUGUUUGCCAGCAAAUUAAAUACUCAACUCAAGCGCUGGCGGGUCUGUUACAACCUUUGCCCGUCCCUUCAUUAGUUUGGGAUGAGUUAACCAUGGAUUUCAUUACAGGGCUGCCACUUUUGAGAGGAUUUGAAGCAAUUCUGGUUGUUGUGGAUCGUUUAUCAAAGUCAGCUCACUUUGGAGCCUUGCCUUCUCAAUUUACUGCCAUCAAAACAGCAGCUUUAUUUGCUGACAUGGUUGUAAAAUUACAUGGAUUUCCUAGCUCUAUAAUUUCAUAUCGUGAUCCUAUAUUCAUGAGCAACUUUUGGCAAAAAUUGUUUGAUUUAAGUGGGACAUAGUUAUGCCACAGCACGGCUUAUCACCCUCAAACGGAUGGCUAAUCCGAAGUAGUUAACCGAGGGCUUGAGCAAUAUUUACGAGCCUUCGCACAAGACAAGCCACAGACAUGGUCUUCAUUUUUAGGCUGGGCUGAAUUUUACUACAAUACCAGUUAUCACAGCAGCUUGCGUAUGACUCCCUUUCAAGCCCUUUAUGGACGUCUUCCUCCCACAAUUCCAAGUUACUCAAGGGGCUCUACUUCAAUCCAAGCGUUAGAAGACAUGUUAAUUGAGAGGGAUGCCAUGCUUUGCUCAUUGAAAGAGAACUUACGACAAGCUCAGCAUCGAAUGGCUCAAAAGGCUAAUUUACAUCGCCGAGAAAUUCAAUUGCAGGUAGGUGAUAAAGUGCUGGUACACCUUCAACCAUAUCGCUAGACAUCAGUUGCUAAGCGCUCAUCUCACAAGCUGGCAAGGCACUAUUAUGGACCAUUCACAGUGGUAAAGCGUAUUGGACCCGUUGCUUACAAGUUAGAGUUACCCACAAAUUGUAGAAUUCACUCGGUGUUCCAUAUUUCCUUACUAAAACCUUAUGUGGGAAACUUCCUCAUUGAUGUUUAUUCACUGCCUCCAGGAAGUGUGGAUAACAAGCCCCUGUCAUCGCAAAUUGCAGUAUGUGCUGAGCGAAAGAUACUUCAACAAGGCAAAGUAAUUCCACAAAUUUUGGUGCAAUGGUCUGAUAGCUCACCAGAAAAUUCGACUUGGGAGGACUUUGAGGAAUUUCGUAAACUCUACCCUGCACUACACCUUGAGGACAAGGUAAGCUUUCAAGGAAUGGGGAAUGAUACAACUUGGCCAAUUGUUGUGAAUCAGAUCGAGCACAAUGAGACAGCAAGGGAAGAGACCCAGCCUGCAGAAAUAGAAAAAGUCCAACCCUUGAAUGAGACACAAGCUAGAGAGCAGCUCAAGACAGGUCCAACUUGCGCGAGAAAGAAACCAGGAUGGCUCAAAGACUUUGUCAUUUGAGGAAUGUUCGAGAAUGCUUGAGAUAUCAUAAUAACGAAUAUUGUUCUGUUUUCAAUUAGUGUUUUGUUGUUAUCAAUUUUAUUCUAUUUAGUUAGUUAAGGGUGCGUGGCUGUUUUUGGAAGGGAGAAUAUAUUGUACUGUCAAGGGACCCGUGAGGGCAUGAAAAGAAAGGAUAUCAUUUUGUCUUUUUUCAGCUUCGUCUUCUUUCUCUUCUCUGCAACUCCCCUGUCCCAUUUCUCUUUCUUCAAAUUCUUUUCUCCACGGAUUGGAGUUUGCACUCGCUCAAAGAGUGUCGUAUCAAAGAGUGACUUAAAUUUUCAUCAGUAUCCAGACAUUCUGCAAUCAUAGAGUAGAGAAAUUUUAACAGGAACAGCAGAGAAAAUAUUAUGAAUAUGCUAUAGACCAAUAUACUUGUUCAUAGCUAACGUUUGAUGGUUUAAGGAUUUGUUCUAGGAAUAAUGGGUUGAUUACUUUUUUUAUUUUAAUUUUUUUUAAUCCAAUGAAUGAUAUUCAGCUGUUAAUUAUGUGUUCAUAGGGAAGAACAUUUUCUAAGUACUUUCCUUGCCUUCUAACUUUCCGAAAAGCAAACCCAAUGAACAAACAGAGCACAAACUAAAAUAAAAGAACAGCAAUGAUGACAAUAAAUAAUUGGAAAAGAAAAAAAGGAAAAAGUAUGCACGUUUUCAAGGAAUUAUAAAAUACGAAGGCUUUUAAUGAAAUUUUAUCAUAAAAACGUAUGCAAGGAGUUAUAAAAUUUUAGAAGACGAGGGGAGCUCCCAAAAAAAAAAAAAAAAGAAAAAGACUCAAAUUAAACUAGACUAAAAAGACAUUCAAUUAUGCAAAAUCUGUCCAUAAAAGUCUGAAAGGAUCAUUAAAAUUGCAUUGCAAAUUUAACAGUAAACUGAGGGACCCAUUCUAAAUAAUUCAGUUGAAAUUGCGAAACAAGCCAUGGGAUUAAAUAAAUGAAAUAAAAAUUAAUUACCAGUUGAGACUUUCUUCUAAAAAUUCGCAACUCCAAGUCAUAAGAAGCCUAUGAAAUUAGUCGUAAUACGUAGAGUAUAUCGACGACACCGCCAACAGCUGAAAGUAAAAUUCUUAUUCAUCAAUGUAAACUUACUUUAUAACAAAUAUCUUAUCUAUAUUGUAUUUAAGAAAGCAAAUUUUGUAAAAAUUUAUCAUGGGAGAUAGAGAGUAAUAUGUAUAUCCGUACCUUCUCAGCAGGUAAUUGUUGUAUGGUUGUGUUUAGAUCAUUAUUAGCCCAGCGCCGUUGAUCCGCUGUCUCUCCAUACCAGACAUUUACUCUUGGAGGCGUGAUUGCUUCUCCUGUAGUGAAAAUCUUCAUCUUGGGACAACCAAUCACCCACAAAUCUUGCAAAGAUGGCAAUUUGAAGGUGUAAUUGGGAGAGCAGAAACUUGUGAGGCUAUCUAAAUCAAACAGUUCCAACGUCUUCAAUUUGCGGAAAACAAUCUCUUCUUUUUCAACUCCAUCUUUGUCAUUUAUUACCACCUCUGUCAUUGCUCUGCAUCCAUAUAUUUCUAUUGCUACGAGUCGCACCAGAGUUUUUGCUGUGGAGGAUGUUACCAUGUGUAACAAUUUCUUGCAACCGAAAGCCACCAGAGCUGUUAGGUUCUGAAAAGAUACCGAUGAUGAUGGCAAUAGAAUUAACAGACUUUGACAAUGAUAUGCUUUUAGAAUUUCAAGAUACUGAAAAAUGGGGCCAAGUUUGGAGUCUUGUUUGCACAGCUGCUUCAGAUGAUAGUGCCAGCGCAGCUCUAAUGUUUUUAUCAUUGCCAACUUCCCCACAUGUUUCUCUAAGCUUCCUUCCUCCGAAAAUACCUCUUCGUGGAAUGAAAAUUGAAACAGUGAGAGUAUUUCGAGAUUGUGAAAUCUCUCAAGUACAUUCCAGAUUGGAAAACAAGCUGAGUUAUCUUCGGCAAUCUCUAGUUGUUUAAGACUGCCAAAAAGGUGUUGUGGGAAAUCGGCCUGCAAAAUCAUCUUCACGUCUUUUCCAUUCAAUGAUAGGUCCUUCAAGUUGGGUAAGAUCUGAUCAUCAUAAAUCAUAAUAACUAAUGAGGUCAAUUGAUGUUCUCUCAAAUGAUUUUGAGUAAUCCAAUUACCAGCAGUGACUUUAUAGUAUCUGUUUUAUAUUAAUUUUACCCCCAAAAAAAAUUUAAUUAGUGAUAAAAUUCAUUAUAUGAUUUUUUAUAUGUUAAUUUUAGAGGUAAAAAAGAAAUUAGGGAAAAAGGGUUGAUUUAUAUUUGCAUGAAUUUCACAACAAUAAAUUAUUAAUUUAUUUUGUAAGUCGUUGUAUAAAGAAAAACUAAGGAUUCUUUACCUAAAAAAGUUCAUAUAAUUAUUAAUCUCCCACAUUGAUCCCUUUGUCAAGACUAGCAAAGAUUAUUAUGUAAUAAAAAUUUUCAAUUUAUUAAGUAUUAAUUUAUCAAUGUUUUGUUACAUUUUUCAAAGUCAAAAGACGUCAAUGAGAUAUUGAAAAAAAUAUCUAGAAAAUGACUUCAUACCUUUUCCAAUGGCAAUAGGGGCUGUUGUGCAGGAAUACCAAGUUGAUCAUUCCCAUUAUUCUGCGAUAAAUCUGCAGCGAAUAUUUUUAAUUUGUCACAACGACACACUGCAAAAUUUUCUAGUGCUGGCCAUUCCGAAGUAUGCAUUCCUGGGUAUAAACAUCUAAGUUUUGGUAGACCUUGGAGUAUCAGAACGGUGAGCUGUGGAAAGACAAAAUAAGGGAUCACUUCAUCUGCUCUGUUUUCAGAAAUGAUCUCCUGUAAAUCCUUACAGUCUCGUAUAUCUAGGUGUUGGAGCUGCUUAAGGCUUCCGAUCAUAGACGCUGAAAAUAUGUAUUUCAGUUUGUCACAGUACCACACAACUAAUCGUGUUAAACUUUGAAAGUGAGGAAACACGGCCGCCGGAAUUUGAUUGUAGUGCCAAAUCUUGUCGACAUUAAUUGCAGAUAUCUCCAAAGCCUCCAAGUUAGGCAACGCAACCUAAAAAAAAUAAGAAUUUCUCGUUAGAUCCAAUAUCCAUAUGGGAAGCACUUGUUGAAAUUUUCUUCUUUGAUUACAAAUUAAUGCAAGUCAGAAUCAAUUUUCAACUGACAGCUGAGUUUGAUGCAUUCUAAUUCAUACUACUUGUUAAGAGCUCAAUUAGUGAGCGUGUGAGAUUCUUUUUAUCCUUUUUUCCAUUUUCUUUCAAUUCUUUAAAUGAUUUAAUUAUUUUCCACGUAUGACAUCAAAAGAGAACGCAUGAUAGAAUAAAAUCUGUUAUAUAUAUAUAUAUGAAGAAAAUGUUAGCCUACGCACCUUCUUGUUGAAAAGCAGAGUUGAAGUAUCCUCUUGCGACGAUGGUCUGUUUAGUGAUGCUGAAGGAGUCUUUACUUCACGGCAGACAUUUGUAACCUCUGGAAGAUUCCCCAGACUCAAAGAUCUUAAUUGAGCAAACUCUAUCUUCUCAAUUGCAUUAUCAACUUCUUCCCCAAUUGCAAAAAUCUCUUUCAUCUUGCUGCAAUUAACAACUGCAAUUCUCUCAAGUCUUGGAAGGCAUUUUGUAGUAGAGAGCCAAAAGAUAUUACUCAAUUUAUCACAAUUAUAUGCUUCUACGGUUUUGAGUUAGUUGAAAGACUCUACUUUGAGCCGAUCAACACAUAUCCUCUCCAUGUUGAUCAAAUUGUGAAGGAUAAGUGACUCCAAAAGAGGAAAGGCUUCACAAGCUACCAUCUCCAUUGAGUCCACGAUACACAGGAAGUUAGGAUUAUUUUGAACAUGGAGAUGCUUCAAUUGUGAAAAGCCUUCUGUGUCCAAAUAAAAAAGAACAUUCUUGACACCUUGCAGCUUGUCCAACCAUAGGUAUUCAACGUUAUUGAUGCCCUGCAAUUUCAUGGAGCAAAUGUCCAUAAAAUCAAGCUUGAGCUUCAAUUCUCUUAAACUCUCACGAUUACUCUUGAUCAAAAAGUGCGGCCGGCUUUGAAACCGUUCUCUUGUAACAUUCUUGGGAGGCAUGAAUGACUCAUUUCCAAUGGAUAUAUUGAACCUUUCGAGCUUUCUGGCCAAAAAGCCUUCCGAUAAAAUACUGUCAUUUUUAACAUCAAUUUCUAGAGUGGUUAGCCAAGGUAAAAGCAUCAAUUCAUCAAGGCUAGCAUUACUUCUUUCACUGUUGGCUCUUUCAACCUCCCAUUCAACGGAGCAAUUACCCAUAUACAAUUAUUCUAAUCGGAUUAAGCUUGAUAUGACAUUUGGGGCAAUAACUUUCAGACGGAAACAGUCUGUUAAAUCUAACAGCCUUAGCUUAGUCAGUUGCCCUAGUGCUUUAGGUAACUGUACAAUAUCAGACCGCACAAAGCUAAGGAUUUCUAGAUUUUCCAACUUUCCAAUAAUGGCUAUGUCCAUGUCUCCCAAAAUGCUUUGAUUAAGACAAAGUGUCCGAAGAUUUACUUGAAGAUCAAUUGAAGAUGGCAAUGACAAUAACCGCAUUCUAGUCAAAUCCAAAACCCGAAGCUUUUUCGUCCUUUUGAAGAAGUUCUCAGGAACAUUGGGCCCAACAAAAGAGUUAUUGGGUGACAUGAAUUAAAAUUCAAGUUGUGUAGAUUCCAACACUUCAGGAAUGUCAUUAAUAAUACUAUCUUUUAAACAAAUUGCAAAAUAUUUUUUUAGUGCAUCUGCAUCUGGCCAGUUCCACACACCCUCAUUUCUCACCGCAAAUGCAAUUUUGUCACGACGUGCUAUUGAAAUGGCAACAUCGCGAACAACAUCAUGCAUGGAAAAGAAUUUACUGCUACCAUCCUCAUGCAACAAACAAGACUCUCUUAGUUGAUGGACCCAUGCAUGUAAUUUGUUUGUUAUGUGCAUCUUCUAGCUUAUGGACACUUUCAAAUGCACCCAAGCCCAUGCUAUAUUUGAACAAGUCCAUAAUUGAAGUUGGUGUAAUUAGACUACACAGUAAAAAAGUUUUCUUGAGUUGCUCACCUCUUAAAUACUUGUAACUUAGCUCAAUUGUUGAGUAUGCCUCUACUGGUACUCCUUCAUCGAAGCUUGCCUCUGAAGGCGUUUGGAGUUCUUGCAAGGCAUUCUUCCACACAGGCAGCUCUUUGUUUCUCAGUGCCUUUGCUACUGUGGUUAGGGCAAUAGGCAAACCUCCACAUGCCUUGGCUACAUUUGUUGCUGUAGAUUUUAACUCACGAUUUUCAACAUAAUUACCAGCCAUUAUCUUGAACAACCUCCAAGCUUCUUGCUCAUUUAGAAUGCCAAUCAAGAAGUUAUUUUCAGAUCCCAUACUUAACAAGACAUUACGAUCCCUUGAUGUUAAUAAUAAUUUGCAUCCUCUAUGAUCAUCGCCAAAAGGAAUUCCGACAGUCUCUAAAUCAAGAUAUUUCCAGAUGUUAUCCAGAAUCACAAGGAUCAUCUUCUCUUUCUUCAAUCGUUCAUAAAGUCUACUAGCUCUUCUAGAUUCAGCCUCCUCGGACAACUCCAGACCUAGUUUCUCUGCAAUUUCCCCUUGAAUCUUUUUUAUGUCUGGAGUUUGGGAAACCUCUGAAAAAACCACCUGAUCAAAGAGUUUCUCUUCACUGGCUUGCCUUGCAAACUCCUUCACCAGUGUUGUCUUUCCAAUGCCGCCCAUGCCGUAUACCCCAACGAUGCUGACAUUGACAUCAGUCAAUGCAUCUUGUAUAGACUUCAGAGUAGAAAGUCUUGAUUUAAAGGCCUCGUAACCUUUGUUAGACUUUAGCCAUACCUCCUCCGCAAUGGUACGGUAGAAAAUUCUAUCAUCAAAUCUCCUAGCUUCUUCUUUGAGUUCAACAAGGGCCUUCACCUCUGUUUCUGCUUUCUUGCUAAGCUGAUAGCGGGUCUUCAAAUUAGGACACAAGCCCUUGAAACAUCGCUUACUUGUUGUCUCCCCAUCUUCAAUGAAUUUGGCUGCCUGCUCAAUGGUGUUGUUCGCACUAACCAUCCACUUCUCAACCUUCUCUUCAAUCUUUUCUCCUUUUCUUUCAGCCUCAGAAACUCUGUGCUGAAUGCUCUUACUUUCAUCCUUGAGCUUGUCUAUUUCUGCCUUGAGAUUCUCAAAGUUGUCUUUAUAGUUACGCAAAUAACCAAGUUGGCGUUCUGUUGGAGGAGCGAAGCAUUUCACAACUUCUAACAGAACAGUAACAAUGCUUUCCACCAUCUUCGAUCCUAUUUUUUUCAAAGUUCCGAAAUGAAAAUAAACGACGAGCGAAACACAGAGAGAGAGAGAGAGGCAAAAAAAAGAAAAACGAAAAAAAGAAAAUGAAACAACAAAGAUGACAAGUGUAUAUGGUUGUGGAAGUGGAGAAAUCAAUGAAAGCUUAAAAACUGCUGUGAAUCUGGUGAGAAGAUGGAAACAAGGAAAAGGUUUCUAGUUCAAAAGUGAUUGAAUUGAUAUAAGGAAUGAUUUAGAUAAUAGAGGAAAAGUGAAUCAGUCAAAACAACUUAUGUAUUGACCAGAAGAAAGAUGCAAACAAUAUUAGAGACAACAACCGCGCUAUUGACUGGUAAUAGAGAUGGAGAAAAAGAAAUAUCUUCACACGGUGGAAGUACAAAGGGUAGAUAUGGAACCAAACAGAGACAACAACAUGCCACAACUAGAUUGGGAAUGGAGAGAAACAAAUUAACAAAGACUGGAGAUUACAACAGAACAGAUGCCAAGAGAAAAGGGUUUCUUCAUCCAGUGAAAUUCAAGAGAGUUGACAGCAAAAGGGAGCAUAUGUGUUUCUUGAUUGAGAACGAGUGCAAAGGAUGACUUUUUAAUGAGGUUCUGAAGCUGACGAAUAACGAUUUGCUAAAAUUUUGAGAAAGUUAUAUAUUCCGUAACUUCAACAAGUGAAGAAUAAAAGAAUAAUAGUUCGUCAUCUUCACAAUGAAGAUCAUGGAUGAGAUUAAAAGCUAAAACUAGUUUUCAAAAUAAUUCCUUAUGAANNNNNNNNNNNNNNNNNNNNNNNNNNNNNNNNNNNNNNNNNNNNNNNNNNNNNNNNNNNNNNNNNNNNNNNNNNNNNNNNNNNNNNNNNNNNNNNNNNNNUCUUUUUUCUUUAAUACACGAAUAUACGCGACAUCUUAUUUAUCUUAAUAUGGUUAUUUGAUAUUUAUAUUUUCACAAAUCAAAACAAAAAAAAAGUAGUUAGAUUUUAUAGUUUAAGAAAUAAAUAUAUUUUAUAAAAAUAUUUUUAGAAUAUAUAUUUACUUCUUAUUCAAACUUUUUUCUAUUCAAUAAAAGUCACAAAAGUUACUUUUUCUAUUCAAAUGUAAAUGCUUAAAAAUCAGAUAUAAGUUACAAAAAAUGUUUUUAGAAAAAGUCAUAAAUUAAUAAAAUUUCAGAUUUUAUAUAUUUAACUCCCAAUGCAGAUCCGCCCCUAUUAGUGUUAGGAAAUUGACCGGUGAAGUAGGUCCACAACUAAAAUGAAAUUGAAAGAAAAUGAAGAACAAGCACACAGAGAACACCAAAAAUUACAUGGUUCGACUUUUAGCCUACGUCUACAGGUAAAGACAGAAGGAUAAAACUUUACUGGUGAAAUGAGGAUUACUAGUAUUAUAAUAUUUUGUUUCACUUCCCAGAACCUCAAUCCACUCAAUCUCUUAAAACACUAAUCACUCAAGAGCAUUAAAACUCUUAGUCUCUCACUCUAGAAUUGAAGAAGAAAAGAAUGAAAUGCGGGGGUGAACCCCUCAUUUAUAGUUAAAAAUUUGGGCACUAUUUAUAUAUUUAUAUAUUUUUUUUUAAAUUCAAAGUUUGAACUUGACAUUCAAACUUUGAAUAUCAAAAGGUAUUGGUCGCUCUUCUAGAAAAGCGAUAUUGACUUUGACAUUCUCCCACUUAGAAAUUUAAUUGAGAAUCAAUCAAUCUCCACACCAUCCUUUCUACUUCGCCGCUAUCAUGUUGCUUAUGUCUCUACUAGGCCAUAAAAUGAUCUACUCCAAACAAAUUUAUCAACAUUGAUAGGCUUGGGCAAAACAUUUGUUAGGUUCUCCUUGGUAUCCACUCUUGUAUCUUUCACUACUUCAUGAAGAAGUGAUAUUGUACUCCUAUAUUCUUUGUCCUGGAAUGAAAGGUUGGAUUCCUUGCAUCCUAACUAUCACAAGCCAUAAAAAAUUUUAUGCCCAAGCUCCUUCAGUAACCUUUGUAUCCAAAUAGCCCUUCCAAGCUUGUGUAGCUGCUAUGUAAUCUACUUCUGUUGUUGAUAAAACCACAACGGUCUGCAAUUUUGAAAUCCAACUAACAAUUUCUCCUUCUGGUGUAAAUACUUAGCCAGUAGUGGAUUUCCUUUUAUUAAGAUUUUCUGUAAAAUCUAAAUGCACAUAGCCCUUGACAGUAAAUUCUAAUCCUUCGUAACAUAAUGCAACAUCUAAUGUUCCUCUGAUAUAUCUCAGAAUCCUCUUAAUAGUCUUCCAAUGUUCUUUGCAAGGAUUCGCUAUGUAUCGACUAACCGCUCCCACUACUUGUACAAAUCAUAGUGAACCUUAAAUUUUCCACUGCUGAUGCAUACAGUGCUCAAGACAUCUCUUCUUCUCUACUUCAUUACCAGAUGAAUACUUAAGAAUAACUUAAAAUUAAUAGGAGGCGGGGUAGAAAGCCAAAUCUUCUUGCUAUUACUAUCUCGGUGAAUUUGCAUCCCUAAAAUCUUGUUUACUAGUUCUAAGUCUUUUAUUUCAAACUCCCUAGUUAACUGUGCCUUCGGUUCUUGGACUCGGUCUUUGUUGGGGUCUGCUACCAAUAUGUAAUCCACAUACCACAAUAAAAUGAUGAAAUCAUUAUUAUCAAACUUGUUGUAAUAUGUACAACAAUCUGAACUGAUUCUAUUGUAUCCAAUGUUUAUGAUGAAGGGAUUAAAAUCUCUUAUUUCAACAUUUCGGUGCACGUUUGAGAUCGUAUAGAGAUUUGUUCAACUUGCAAACCAAGUGUCCCUUUUUAGUAAAAUCUUCUAGUUAGAACAUAUAAAUCUUUGUUUCAAGUUCUCCAUGAAGAAAUGAAAUUUUCACAUCUAACUGCUCCAAAUAUAGGUCAAAUGUAGCACACAUUGACAAGACCACUCUGACUGUCCUAGGUCAAAUCACUGGAGAAAAUAUGUCAUUGAAGUUAAUACAUUCUUUCUAAGCAUAUUCUUUCACCACCAAUCUUUCACGAUACCGCUCCACUAAGUUAUUACCAUCACAUUUGAUCUUGUGGACCCAUUUGCAACCAAUGGUUUUUUUUUUUUCAUAUGGUAGUAGUACGAGUUCCUAUGUCAUAUUCUUGUGUAGAGCCUUAAUUUCUUCCUGCAUUGCUAUCAUUCACAAAGUAACAUCUGAGCUGUUUAAAGUUUCAUGGAAAGUUGAUGGCUUUCCAUUCUCUGUUAAAAGACAGUAUGCAAAAUUGAUAUCUAUGACAUAAUCCAAAUGCCACACUGACAGUUAUCUAUCACGAGUUGACCAACAAACUUUUGGGGCCUCAGACUCGAUUGGUUCUUGUUCUCAUACUUUGGUGUUGCUUCAAAAAAAUAUGAAUCUUCAUUUUCCAGAUUAUUUUCAACAUAUAUUAGCACAAUCUCUGAAUUUUUAUAGUGCUAUCAUCCAUAUCUCUCUUUUGCAUUUGAUCUUCUACAAAGAUAAUAUCUUUGCUGAUAACGAUCUUGUGAGCAUUGAGGUCCCAUAGAUAAUACCCUUUCACUCCAUCAAUAUAUCCUAAGAAGAUACAUCUCUAGGAUUUUGGAUCCAUCUUUAAUCUCACUUGGGUAUUGUAUAUCACGUAAAAGGACAUCAAAAUGCCUGAGAUGAGAGUAAUCAAUUGGCUUUCCUGUCCAUUUUUCCAUUGGAAUCUUCAACCUGAUUGCCUUGAAUGAUGACCCAUUUACCACAUAACAAGUAGUUUUUGCUACUUCCGCCUAGAAUGAGUUGAUAGACCAGCAGUUCUCAACAUAACUCUUAUUUUUUCUAUAAGAGUCCUGUUCUUUCACUCUACUACUCUAUUUUAUUGAGGAGUGUAUGCCACCGUGAACUAUCUCUAGAUACUUUCUUGCUUACAUAUGCAAGAAACAUGUUAUCUGUAUACUCUCCACCAUUGUUUGUCCUCAGGCACUUGAUCCCUUGCCCUGAUUUAAGUUCAAUCUACGCUUUGAAUUCUUUGAACAAUAGAAAUACAUUUGACCUUUUCUUGAUUGGAUACACCAAAUAUCUCCUAGAAUAAUCAUCAAUAAAAGUCACCAAGUACUUUGCACCUCCUAUAGAUAUAUCAAGUUAUUCCCAAACAUUAGAAUGAAUCAAGUCUAAAUACAUUUACUUUUGAAAGUGGAUCUGCUAAACUUUCAUCUAUGAUGCUUCCUUGUUUCGACAUGUGGCCAAGUUUAAGAUACCACAUCAUCGUUGAAUUUUCUCUAUUUGAUGUGACACACAUAAAAGCUUUCUGUAGUGUUUCCCUUUAAGUAUGAAUAGAUUAGCACCGAUCUUUUCCACUUUCAUUAAUGCAAGUGCGCCUUUGACUAUCUUUAUGAUCCCAUUUUCUACAUGAGUUUUGCGCGCAAGACUAUUUAUUUGUCCUAAAGAUAAGAGAUAUUUUUCAAGUCUUUGACAUGUCUUACCUUCUCAAUUGUGUGAACCGUACUAUUAAACAUAUUUAUUUUGACAGUACCAAUAUCAGUAAUCUCAAAGGCAUGAUCAUUACCUAUGUAUACAAAUUCUCUUGAAAUAGGUUCAUAUUUGUGAAAUCAUUCUCUUGGAGAGAUCAUGUGCCAGGCAACUAUUAAGUCUAUAAGCCAGACGUCAUAUAGUGGUUUUCUGCCUUUUGAAGUAGUUGUUGCCUUACUGUAGAGAAUUUUGCCCUCAUACGAGGUACUUACUACAUACCCUUGAGCAUUUGAUGACUUAGGAUCUUUACCCUCUCUUCUCUUCUAGUUGUUCCAAUACUCUUCCUUGCCACGCCCUUUCUUGCCACAAUUGUUGCAUUUGACAUUCUUCUUACUUCUUGAUUUUGAUCUACCGUGAUUGUGGCUCUCACUAGGGCCACGUUCCAUGGAUCUUCCUUUCAUCACCAAUAGUGCUUCUACUUGUUGCGAACUCGUUUGUCUAUCUUUUUUAUUUUUUGCUACUCUCCUCAUUUAAUACGGAGGCUGCCAUAUUGUCAAAGACUAACUUGUCUGCUCGAUUGUUAUUAGUUAGAUUAAUGACGAAUUGAUCAUACGAAUCUGGUAAACCUUGAAGUAGAAGCUCCACAUGUUCAUUUUCCUCUAUUUUAUGACCUAACGUUGUAAGUUAUGAAAAUAAAGUCUUUAAAGUGUUGAUAUGGUCGAUCACUGAUGUAGAUUCCGCCAUUCGAAGAGUAUAAAGCCUCCUCUUUAAAAAGAUUUUAUUUUGUAGUGAUUUGACCUCGUAUAGUCUUGUGAGAGUAAACCAUAUUUCCUUUGCUUUCUUUUACUCUACCAUAUUGAAUAAUACCCUAUCUGAAAGUGGGAAGUGUAGAUCUGCAAUGGCAUUAUUGUCUAUUUGAAAGUGGUAAGUGUAGAUCUGAAAUGGCAUAAUACCACUAUUAGAAAAUUGAUUGGUGAAGUAGGGUCACGAUUAAAAUAAAAUUGUAAGAAAAUGAAGAACAAGAACACAGAGGACAUCAUCAAUUAUUUAGUUCGGCUUUUAACUUAUGCCCAUAGGCAAGGACAAAAGGAUAAAACUUUACUAGUGAAAUGAGGAUUAUAAGUAUUUUAGUAUUUUGUUUCACUUCUCAAAACCUUAAUACACCCAAUCUCUCUAAACACUCUUAAUCACUCAUUAUAGAACUAAAGAAGAAAAGAAUGGAAUGAAUGAAAUGAGGGGGUGAACCCCUCUAUUUACAGCUAAAAAUUUGGGCAUUUUUAUAUUUAUUAUUAUUAUUAUUAUUUCUAAAUUUAAAGUUUGAACUUGAUAAUCAAACUUUGAAUAUCAAAAGAUAACGGCACCAACCUUGACUCUUAGGCUGACCUUUAGAGCUUUAAAUAAAGAAAAAGCUUUUAAAAAUGUCAUGUGUACUUGAUUAUACAAAAAUCUCCACCACAUAGAAUGAUUUGAUAAAAGAAAAUUUUUAUUUUUAAUUUUACUUUUAUCAGGCACAGUGCAUUUCCCCUUGGGCUCAUAUGUAAGGAUGUCAAUAAGAAGGGAAGGAGAGGGGAUUGAUUUCCCCAUACUCAUCUUUAAUACUCUGUCUAUCUCUUUGUACUCUAGACAUUUCCUUCAAAAUUACUUGAAAUGAGGGGAUGGAUGUUUCUAAAUAAUACAAAGGGAUCUCCGAUGGUAUCCGAUCGCUGAUUAUUUAAUUUCUUUUUUUUUCUUAAUUUAAUCAUCUUAAAGUAAAAAUAUAAAAUCAUAUUAACACAAAAAUAUCAAAUUAACUAAAGUGAUUAAAAUCAUUUCCAUCAAAUUAAGUCAAUGUCAUCAAAUUAGAACAUAAUCUUUGAACUAAUUAAGCAAAAGUAAAUCUUCAAAGUUGAACUCAUCCAUAAAUGUCAUAUAGUAUAAACCAUCAAUUAAAUUAUCUUUGUCAAUUUUAAAUUGUUUAUAUUUACUUUAUAUUGGCUGUUAUUUAUAUUAUUUUUAUAAAUGUAUUAUAAUAUUUUUUAUUUACAUCACACUAUUACAAUUGAAAUUUUAAAUGUAUUUACUAUAAAUUUGAAAAAAAUGAAUUAAAAAUAGAAACUAAAGAUAGAAAUAGAAAAAUGUGGAGCCAAAUAAAAUAUUAGGGCAAACACCAAGUUAUAUUUCAUGUAACUUACACCCACACAUAUUAAUUUAUCAGAUUCUUGUCUCCACAUAGAAAAAUUAGAUCUAAAAUUAUCAAACUCCCGAAUGAGGAAGAUCCCUCGGGGCCAUCGUCCCUGUGGAAAUUUCUGCAUCCCUGCAGUCUACAACGCCUAAUAAUGAAUUGAACGGUUGAAAUCCCUCUAAAUUUUUGAUAAUUUCUAAUCGCCCCUCCGUAUUUGAUUGAACAUCAAAACUAUUGAGUCCAAAUUUAUAACUUUGAUUUAUCUUCCAUUCCAUAGUUUUCAAGUUCUCUCUCUCUCUCUCUCUCUCUCUCUCUUAAUCCUUUUUACUGCAACCACCAUCAAAGCCUAGUAGUUAAUAUGUAUGCUGCUUUGCUUUCAAAAUCGGACACUACUGCUAUUUAUGGUUUUUAUUCUUUAUUUGACACAAAAUUUGGUGAUAUCUCCGUGGAAAAACACUACUGGUGUAUUCAAUUUUAUCCGGUAAUGGUUAAAUUGAUUAGUUAUAUGAACGGUAACUUCGCCAAGACGAAAAUACAUAUUAAGUUAUAAAGUGUUGGCACUCAUUAUUUUUCGCAAAAAGUUUCGCCCAAAAUACAUAUAUUUUUUUAUUGUUUUAUUUGACACAAAAUAUUGACAAAUUUUUCUGUGAAAAAACACUACUAUUAUAUUCAAUUUUAUCAUUAAAGUUGUUAGUUACAUGAACCUUAAAUUUGUUGGAUCAUAAACUUGAUCCAAGAUGAAUAAAUUCAAGCCCAAUUCAUGGAAGAUUCCAUGAGUAGGUAUGGUUGGUGAAGUAGGUGAGUGGUAGGUUUUAAUAAAUGGUGAUGAUUUAUGUAGUAGUUGAAUAAAUGAAUAGUUGUGAUUAGUUUGUAUCAUGUAUAAAUACCCCCUCUCCCCUUUGGUUUAAGCAUCAAGUGAAGUAACAAAAUCUCUAAGGUGUAGAGAAUGAAAAAUAAGAGUUGUAAUUGGUAAGGAGUGUUGUUGAAGAAAUAAAAUAGUGUGAUUUGUGUGUUUUAUUUGUUAAUUCUCCAACAAAAUUAACACGAACCGUAACUUAGCCAAGCCCAUAAUACAUAUUUCAUAUUUGUAUGAACUUUAAAGUUUUUCCACUUAUUAUUUUUCGCUAAAAGUUUCUAAAUUGUAUUGUAGUUUGAACUUGCCCAUCAUUCAAUUUUUUAACUCCACAAUUAUUUGACCUUACCAAGCUUGAAAAUAUCCUUCCAUACAUAUUUAAUUUUCUCCAAGUAUGAUCAAGAUUUAAUCAAGAGCCUCCGGGAUCUUAAAGUAUAAGAAAGGUCCGGAAAAUCUUUAAAACCCCACUGUUUAAAGUUUUUUUGGACUUUCCUGUACUUUAAAAUCUUGAAUUGAUAUAUAUAUAUAUAUAUAUUAUCAUUGUUAGGUGCUAGUACCCUCAUUUUUUUUUUUAAUGCAAACACCCUCUUAAGCAGUAGGGUUUAAUAGGAUUAUUGUUGAAUAAACUAUAAAGUCGUGCAUCUUAAUAACAUUAAAAACUAACUUUCAACUAGCUCUCUUAAAUUGUACGGCUUAAAAGCAUGUCCGCAUGAAAAAAUAAACAUGCCUGCACCAAAAAAGGACUAUAUAUAUUAUUUAUUUUAUAUAUACAUACGUGUGCACGCUCGUGUAUAUAUAUAUAUAUAUAUAUAUCUUUUUAAUAUAUUCGAUUACUUUAAUAAUCAAUUUAAAAUAGUUUGUGAUAUUUUCAGCUAUUUAUUUAUCUACUUUUAGUUAGUUAUUUACACCGAAUGAAGUGCUAGGGUCCAAAUUUUAGUAUCCUUCUCAGUUGUUUGGGAUUAGUAAAUACUAAUUAGCUUAUUCGUCCCGAACAGGCGCGUAAAUGCUGUUAGAUUUCGGAGAGAUCGAUGCUGAGGAUGGUACAAGAUUUAUCAAAUUGUGGCGACAUUUUUAUACCUUUAGAAUUUCAAGAUUUUGAAGAAAUAAAUGGAAUCUGUUUUCCAUAAGUGCUCCACUAUCCACCAGGAGGAAUUCUAAAACACAUUACAUAUUCGUGAUUUCUCAUAAUAAAUAAACACAUGUUAUAACAUUAUUUACUUAUCGUAUGACUGAUAUGAUACUUUGGAUUGCAAUUCUCAUACAAUACAUAGAAUUAUCAUAAUCUAUAAAUUGUAUUUUUGCUUUUCUACGGUAGUAAGUCAAGAAUCCUUAGUGACAAUUUAAAUUGAAAAAAUAAAAUCAUAAAUAAGAAUUAUUUGAUAAGAAUUAAAAUAAUUGAUAAAUAUUUGAGAGGAGCAAUUUUGGAAGACUCGAUUUCUAAUAGGAGGGGAAUUUGAAUUUUACAACUUUCGGUGAGGAAUCCAAAAUGCACAAUUUGAUGAAAAUUAAAUUUCAAUAGAAAUUGAAUUCCCAUAUGUUAGUGAAAACCAAACAACAGAAAAGUGAAAGGAAUUUGAAUUCAUUUCCUUCCCGUCUCAUCCCUCCAACUAAACACCAUCGAGACCCAAAGAUAUGGGUUUGGAAUUCCAUACUGAUCACAAUGGGAUUUGUCCAUAUUAUUAGGACCAAUUUUAAAAGCAGUCGGAGUUUAAAAUUGAAAUUAAUCCUAAUUUUUUAUUUGGGACUAGAUAAGAAUUUAUAUUGUAACUCCAAUUCUCCCAAUUAUUUUAGUUGAUAAUAUGUUUAACAUUAUUAAUUGCAUAUUAUUUAAUUAUCAGUAUAUAAUAUUCUUUAAUUUUCCAAUUUUAUAGGAUUAGACACAAAAUUGAUUAUGCUAAUAUUCUUUAAUUUUCCAAUUUUAUAGGAUUAGACACAAAAUUGAUUAUGCCUUCUGAAAUUUAAGGGUUAUGUCAAUUGAACAGAAAACUUGGAGUUGAACUUUUGGAUGUUUUUGUUGAUUAUCAAUUUAUGCAUGAAUUUUUGUACGUUUACUUUGGUUUAUUAUUGUUACUUUUAGACAUUUUUAUUGGUUUGAUUUAGGGUCAUUUUGGUAAUCUUGUAAUUUUUAAAGUAGUUACAGUUAGCUAUGCUGUAGAAAUUGAUCAAUUGUGAAGAGAAUCAGCUGAACAUUUAGUAAAAUUUAUUUUUAAAAGUACUUUAGUUUUAAAAGCAGUUGUAUGUGUUUCGUAAAUCUUAUUUUUAAACAGGUGCAAGAAUAUAAAUAACUAAAUUGGACAUAAUGCUAAAUAAAAUUUAUUUACACAUUUACAAACAUGUAUAUAAAAUAUUUUUAUUAUGUACAUAUAAUUAUUGAUAACUAAAAUAAAAAUUUUAUAUUAUUAAAUUUUAUUCUUUAUUUUGUUAUCCCAAUAUAAUUGGUAAUAAUAAUAAUCUCUUAAAGUUAAUGAUUUUAUUUCUUAAUUAAUAAAGAUAAUUCUGGAUUUUUAUUAUAUAAUGAGGAUAUAUAUAUAUAUAUAUAUAUAGAAUUGGAUUAAGUAUAAAAGUGAUUUUCAAAAUCAAAUUUUGAAAAACUAUUCCUUCCAUACUUUUCAAAAUCCACUGUAUGAUGAGAUGAUUUUUCCAAAAAUAAUUGCUAAAAAAUUAUAAAACACUAAAAAUUAGGUUUUAGUUUUUAAAAUCACUUUUGAGCUUCCCAAAAACAAUCCUAACAGGCCUUUAUUUAGGUGGUGUUGGAACUUGUAACUUUUGGAUCAUUUGGUUUUUAUUGGUUUGAUACAACUGUUACACUAAAAAUUGAAUGUAUCUUAAACCCCACACUUCUUCUUCUUCUUUUUUGAUUGCACAAAAUUAAAAACAAUAGUGAACGCAUUCUUUAAUAAACAAUAAGUAAUUACUAAAAUUGUGUUAAAGAAUUUAGUUGAAACAUAAAUUGAUUUCAAUGUUGUAUAUGCUAAAUUUCUUAAAAAUUUCUUUCACGGUUUGCUGAAUAGUUUUAUUAGUAUUUUGAAUAAAUAAAAAUAAUUGAUUUAAUUUUUUAAAGAAAUUUAUUAGGUUCAUGUAAAUACGUUUUUGUUAUUUUAAAAGUGUACAAAGUAAAACUUAAUUUUUUAAAUUUAUUAGAUGAGUGGAUAAAAUAAUUGAGUGUUCAUAGUAAAUUUUAAAGUAUAGAUAGUGAGACCCUAAUAUUUUUAAUAUAUGGAAAUUUUGAAAAUAUGUUAAUGGGAAUUAAAAUGAUAAUUAAGGGAGGCAUUCGAGACAUUCAGGAUUGUUAGGAUAGGACAUGAUUGUGAGCGGUUUGAGAUUGGCCCUAAUUUUGAUCACAAAUAUAUAAGCAGGAUGAGUUUAUCCAUUCUUACAUUCCAUUUGAUAAUUAAGAUGAGAGUGGAAUUGUCAAAUCCCAAAUUAUCCCGGACCAUUGCCACCAAAGGUACUCUCACUAAUAAUAUCUAAAGAAAAAUCUACAUCUAUUUCAUACCUUUUUUUUAAACGGAAAGAGCCCUUAUGGGGCUUGAAAUGGUAUCCUAAAUAAUAUUCAAAAUAUCAGGCCAUGACUGGGUUUGUAACAAACAAAUAUUACAUAGUUGGGAUACGUAGUUACUAGUGUCCCAAUUUAUGUAGUAUCUAUCAUUUAGUGCACAUAUAAAGUGUUUGGGAAAUGAAAUAGGGUGACCAAGAUAAGGUGUUUGCUCAUACAUUAUCGUGCUCUCCUCAAAGUAAAAAGUGAAAAAAUAGUUGAUAGGCUACUAGGAGUUUAUUUGGUCACCUCGAGCACAUCACCUCGACCAGGAUAUUAUUUGGUGAUCUCGAGCACAUCAUCUUGACUAAGAGAUUAUUUGGUCACCUUGAGUAUAUCACCUCGACCAGGAGAUUAUUUGGUGACCUCCAGUAGAUCAUCUUGACCAGGAGGUUACCAGGAAGCACGACUCAGUCGAAACAAAUCUCACUUAUUUUCUUCGAAAUAUUAGGGACCAUAUUCUUAGUGGGCUGAAAAUUGGUGGUUUUCUUGAGAGUUUUAGGUGAGAGGAUAAAAAUCACUAUAAUUUGCUAUAAAAACCCUGGGAAAGGGAGGGAAAUAGGGAGAUUCUUUUUAUCUCUCUCUCUUUGGGUGACUGAACCCAUGGGAUCUUUUUCUUUCUACCACUGGGAACCUUCUCUUUCUCUCAUGAUUUAUUUUUCUUUAAGAUUGGUUAUUUUUUAUUCUUUUCCCAUAAAUUUACUUAAAAGCUUUUUGUUUAAAGUAUUCAUAAUUAAGCCGCGUGAAUUGUGGUACGGAUUUUUCCAAGUAGACCCAAAUCGCUGACUUGAGCAUCGGAGGAUUUUCUUUAAGAUUGAUUAUUGUUUCCAUAAAUUUGAACCAAGAAGGAUGACGCGAUAAAAUUUGUUUUUAUUGUAUGGUUGAUUUCAUAUCUCAUGCACUCAUUUCUUAAGAUAAUUAGAUUUCAUCUUUUGCAAAUGUGGAAAUAUCAAUUAUGGUCAAUCAAAACGAUCUCAAAACCUUUCAACGAGACAUAUUUAUAAUACAAUAUUGUGAAAAUUACACCAAAAAAUUAAUUUAUGAUAUAUUAUUAUCCCACCAGCACACAAAAAUGAAUUCGUACAAAUCUAAAAUACUUAGCAAUUUUCAAAUAGAAUUUUAAAUUUAUUUCCAGUUAGAAAACUAUUCGCUGGACUCCAUAUUACUAGCCACCAUCGUAAGCCUAACCGGUUGCCGGCGAACGGCGUAAAACACCAGCCAUCUUCUUCUUCAUCAUAUUCUCCUUUCAUCUUUUGAGUUAAGCCUGUGAUUAUGAGUUUCUUCUCUUACUUAGCUUGUAAUUAUAGAUUUUGAUUCUUUUUAAUUCAUAUUGUAGCCGUUAUUGUCAAUUUUUGUCCCGCCAGCAAUAUUUUUUUAUUCCUACAAGUUGAAAAUGGAUUCAUUUGAAUUACUAUUGAAUUUAGCUUUAAUUUCAAUAUCCAUUCUAAUGUUUUGCUAUUAGAUUUGCUUUAAUUUUAUGUUUAAAGCUUCUACAAUGAAUAGCGGAGCUUGGGUUUUAGUUUCAUUUUCUGUAACUUGUUUUAGUUUAUCUUGUAUGCUCACCAAGUGCUUGUUAUAUUGUCUGAUAAGUUCUAUACAUUGCUGAUUCUAUAUUAAUAAUGUUAUGUUCUAUUUUCAGAAAUUAUAAUACAAAAGUUUUUACAAUGGCGUGCAUCUACAAACUGAAUUGACUUGUAGAAUAAGAGCUUGGAGUAGUGUUAUGUUCUUGAAUAAAUGAAAGUUCAUAUUGUGUAAGAGCAUGUAGAUGUAAAGCGUCAUUACCAUUUCUAUAAAGGACUUUCAUUCUGUUCAGAUGCUCUUCUUGAACAUUGAAAGGUGCCUCGUUCAAGUCCUAGCUAUAACUACUAGCUUUGAUUAAUUAAGUUCCUAUACUAGCUGAAACAGAUUUAUUUAAUUAAUUAAUUGUGUAUGUACUGAUUAUAUUGAAAGUAUAUGAAUUUUUUUUUUUUUUAACAUGAAUGACUUCUAAAUGACUUAAAAACCUAAAGGAUAUGUGAAAUUAUGCUCAUUUCACAUGAAUGAGCCUAUUAAUACUUUUAUGUCUAUGAUUGUCAAUAUUGGCUUAAGCAUUUCAGUUAAGUGGUUUACCUAACAGAGAAAAAAAUUUAAUAGAAAACUUCAGAGUUCUAACAGAAAUAUAGUUCACUAUGCAGAUAUAGUUAUUUUACGGUAUACAAAUCAAGUUGUCCUAAUCUCAAUGUCCUAUGACCAAUUUUAUUUUAUAUAGUCAUUAAUUUUUGCCAUGGUUUUUUGUGUUUAUGAGUUUGAAAUAGUGGGAUUUGGUGUACCUUAGCAUCUUUUGAAAAUUCUCUUUAAGUGUGGCCAACAGAAAUAUACAUAUAAUCAAGUUUCUUAAUCCUGUAUAUUAGUUUUGGGUAUGAAUGGUCCUAUUCUAGCUCUAGGCAAAGCUUCUUUGUUUUGGGCUUCAGAUUUCCAGUAGGUUAAGUUAAUCAACUAUCAUAACUGGCUAGCUAGUUAUUUGUUUGCCUUGCGGCCAUUACCCAGGGCAUUAUAUUUGCAUAGGCAUAAGGGAAUAGUGAUUAUUAGUGAUUUGUUGAGCUUAUUAUUGACGAAACAAAUGUAUUUCGCCUUUGCCCACAACUUAUUUGAUUAGGUAUUAGACCAUAAGGAGCCUGGAUCUAUUCAUUGGCUUUAUUAUUUUUAUUUGGUUUUUCUUUCAACAAUAUUGUUGAUUUCUUAUAAAAAUAUUCAUUGGCUUUUAAACACCUAAUCAUUGGCUAUAUGAAGCUAAUUAAAACUGAGGCUUUGGAUCAAUUUCUUCUAACAAGAUACAAAUGAGCAAAACCUUUCUCCUCUAAGUUAAUUUUUUUAAUAUCCCUUGAUUUGUAAGGAUCUGGAGGCCUGAAUCCUCUUGAUUUUUUUUAACACUGUCAAUGUUCUUUUUAUUCUGAGAAGGAAAUAAAAGGUUUUAUCUUUCAUACCCGAAUAGUAAGCUGGCCUUGUCUUAACAUGGCCUCCCGAGGACUUGCAAGAUUCAUAGUGCCCCCCACCCCAAAAAAAAACAUAAAAAACACAAAUAGGAAGAUUUUGCAAGAUUCACCACCAGGUUUUUUUUAAUUUAUUAAUUGUGUGUACGUGCUAGUUAUAUGUUGAAAGAAUAGGAAGAAGUAUUUCAACAUGAAUGACUUAAAACUUAUUGCUCAGUAAACAUAAUCUGCAUCAGUGCGAAAAUGUAUUUAUCGUUUGUAUUUUUUAUGGUUUUGCUAAAGAAAUGAUAUGUGAAAUAAUGCUACAUUGCAUCAGGAAUAAAUUGAAGAGAUUUAUGAUAUUUAUGUGUUAUUCAAAUUUCAGAUUCAAUUUUAAACUUUUGAUACGUGCAUUGAAAGCUUAGACUUGUUUAAGAAAUCAUUAAUAGACACAUGUUUUAUUAGUGUCAUCUUUGGAUGAUAGUGAGGAUCAUAUGUCUAUUAAUAAUUCUUGAAUUGUCCAGGCUUGGACAGUUUGGGAAUGCAUAGUUCACUCUGGUAGCUAGUAGCUGAAGUUUUUUCCCACGUAAAAAUGGGUUUUUCGGUAGCUGCUCCUCGUGUUCUCUGGGUACGUACUAGGUGAAUGGGUGUCAUGUGCUGUUUUGGCAUAACGCAUAAACACUUAUAUAGCUAUGUCGUGUGCUUGGAGAAUUAUAGGGAGAUGGUGCCGAAAUUUUUAUAAACGUGGAAGAAAACUUUAGGUACUUGAGAUUGAAGAAACUAAUGCAUUCUUGAGUGGGAUAUGUAGGAUUAGUUGCCUUUUGUAAAUAUGAAGGGAAUGUUGGAUAUAUUGGGGAUAGUGUAGGAGCUGAGUUGGAUGAAUGUAAUUGGUGAUGAUUUUGCUGAGCUGACCUUGGUUUUGAGCUUGUAAUUUUGUUUGUAAAUGGAGUGCUAUCUCCAAUGUUGGUUUAUAAAAAUGUUUCAGGACUUGCUGACCUAAUUUUUUGUUUCUAGGUUACAGGCUUUAUAUAUCUGUAAUUGAUAGCCAAGUGAAGUUCUCAGCACUUGGCAAGGAUAUUUCUUUACAGAAGGUACUGGAAACUGUUUUUUACAUUAAUUAUCGUUGUUUAUAUACUUUGAUUGUCACAUCUUUUUCUCUGAUUCUUGUGGCUUUGCUUGCUUUCAUAUAUGUAAAUUCUAAUGAAAUUAACCAUAAAAUUGUAAAAUGAUUUUUUUAUUAUAUUGCAAAACUGUGCACACACGAAAAUAUCUUGUUUAGUAGUAGAAAUGAAGAAAUAAUUUUUGUAGCGCAUUAAAAGGAGAUAGUCAUGGACAAGUGUUGGGUUGGUUUGCCAAAUAGAUAUCCAAGUCAUAUACUGAUGGCGUUGAAAAAUUUAUAGAUUUUGUAUUUGAGAAUGUUGUUGGUGGUACAAGAAUUUAUUGUCCUUCUUGAUAAGUGUUGUAAUCUAUAUUUCGUUAUAAGGGAAGUGGCUGAUGAUGAUAUGGUUGGAAUGAUACAGUGCAUCACGUAAUCAAAUGUUCAAGUUACACGCAGCAUUGUUAUGAGUGGCAACUUGUCUGGGUGGAGUAUUAAAGGUAAAUAAGCAUGUCUUGUUUGCCAACAAAGCACUGGAUCUAAUUCGUUGAUACAUAGUAGAAAAUUUUGUCACGUGGGUCACCGUCGAUUUUUCCCAACAAAUCAUAGGUUUCGAAAAUAUAGUGUCUUUGAAUAAAACUAGAGAGUAGGGACAAGCACCUUCUCAGUUGUCUGCAACUGAAGUGAAAAAGCAGUUUAAUGUAUUUACUGAGUAUAAGAUUGAAGACUUGAAAAGAGAAGAACGAAUGAGAAAUGAUAAGAUUACUUGGAAGAACAACAGCAUUUCUUAAGAUUACUUGGAUGAGAAAUGAUGUGGAAGAUGGCUAUAAAAGAUAAAAGGAAAGGCUUAAAAAGAAAAGCCACGCCUGUCAAAAACAAAAAUCAAUGGCAGCGUCAAAUUUAUAACAAAAAUCAAAACGGUGCGUUUGAGAGUGUAUAAAAUACAUUUAGAGUGGGAGUUGUGUUGUUGCUUGAAGGCAGAAUGUUUGUGAGAUAUUUGUCGACGAAGCCGAAACCAAAGAUGAAGCCCAUCGAAAGUAUUUAUAGUGUAAAAAGUAUAUUGUGGAAAUGUCUGGUCGGUAAUACAACUAUUUCUUGUAGUGUAAAUGAUACACUAAUUUGAAUUUAUAUGCUUUUAUGAUUAUUUGAUUAUCAAGUGGUGAUCAUAUGUGAUGAUAAACUUAGGUCGUACCUUUAUAUUUAUAGCCUUAGUUUUCUAAGCGUUCACAUUUUGAUGAGUAAAUUAAGGAUUUCUAGAUGAAGUACAUAAUUAGAUUAAUGCUAAGGAACUGAAGUUUGAUCAACUGAAAACGAAAAUAAUAAUGAAGGUAAUUAAGAAAAUGAACAAUGCAGAAGCGGUCCUUAUUAGGACUUCUAGAUUUUCUCUUGGGCUUCCUUAUUAUUGUUAAAAAAUGACACGAAGAACUGAGUUUAAAAAUCUGGCCCUGAUGCCUGGUAGCCCUCCAACAUAUGAAGCACUAGAUGUUUUAAUGAGAAAAUGACAAGACCAUUUAUCAAAUUUCUUGUGGAUAUAAAUACAUACACAUAGACGAGACCAACCUCCUCAAAUGAGAAUCAGAGUGAUUACAAGACCUUGCAAUGGGACGAUAACACACCAUCAAAUCUCAAAAUACAAUAGAAAUUCAUGACAUAUGUAUAAUAAAAGAUCUCUCAUUGAGUCAUAUAUAUUGAGAAUAAAAAUGUUAUAAUACAUACAAAGAGCUUAGCUAGAAUAAAAUGUCUUUGAACUUGCGAUGAUCAAACAAAGGAAACAGACAGGUUGUAACUCACACUAUCACAGAUGUAGCGACACGAUGCAGUGAAUCACAAGAAGAUCACGAAGAUGGAAACGGGAACCCCUCAGAAUGUAAACUUUGAAUAGAGGAAAAAAGAAAAACGUCCUUAUUUCAAAUUGUGCACAGAAGAAGAGUGACUUAAAUCUUCAUCAGUAUCCAGGCAUUCUGCAAUCAUAAAGUAGAGAAAUUUUAACAGGAACAACAGAGAAAAUAUUAUGAAUAUGCUAGACCAAAUUAGUCCCUUUUUUGGUUUGUGAAAACUUUAUUUUUUAUGAAUACGCUAUCCAAUAUUUUCAAUCAAUAUUUCCACAAUAUAGUUGUUCAUAGCUAACGUUUGAUGGUUUAACGAUUUGUUCCAAGAAUAAUGGGCUGAUUACGUUUUGUUUUAUUUUUAUUUUAUUUUUUUUAAUCCGAUGAAGGAUAUUCAGCUGUCUUUAAUUAUGCAUUCAUAGGGAAGAACAUUUUCUAAGUACUUUCCUUGCCUUCUAACUUUCCAAGGAAAGAUAGGUGUAAAGAAAAGCAAACCCAAUGAACAAACAGAGCACAAACUAAAAUAAAAGAACAGCAAUGAUGAGGAUAAAUAAUUAGCAAAUAAAGAAAGGAAAAAGUAUGCACGUUUUCAAGGAUUUAAAAAAUACGAAGGCUUUUAAUGAAAUUUUAACAUAAAAAAGUAUGCAAGGAGUUAUAAAAUUUUAGAAGACGAGGGGAGCUCGCAAAAAAAAAAGAAAAAGACUCAAAUUAAACUACACUAAAAAGACAUUCAAUUAUGCAAAAUCUGUCCAUAAAAGUCUGAAAGGAUCAUUAAAAUUGCAUUGCAAAUUUAACAGUAAACUGAGGAACCCAUUCUAAAUAAUUCAGAUGAAAUUGCGAAACAAGCUAUGGGAUUAAAUAAAUUAAAUAAAAACUAAUUACCAGUUGAGACUUUCUUCUAAAACUUCGCAACUCCAAGUCAUAAGAAGCCUAUGAAAUUAGUCGUACAGCGUAGAGUAUGACGACGACACCGCCAACAGCUGAAAGUAAAAUUCUUAUUCAUCAAUUUAAACUUACUUUAUAACAAAUAUCUUAUCUAUAUUGUAUUUAAGAAAGCAAAUAUUGUAAAAAUUUAUCAUGGGAGAUAGAGAGUAAUAUGUACAUACGUACCUUCUCAGCAUGUAAUUGUUGUAUGGUUGUGUUUAGAUCAUUAUUAGCCCAGCGCCGUUGAUCCGCUGUCUCUCCAUAGCAGACGUUUACUCUUAGAGGCGUGAUUGAUUCUCCUGUAGUGAAAAUCUUCAUCUUGGGACAACCAAUCACCCACAACUCUUGCAAAGAUGGGAAUUUGAAGGUGUAAUUGGCAGGGCAGAAAUUUGUGAGGCUAUCUAAAUCAAACAGUUGCAACGACUUCAAUUUGCAGAAAACAAUCUCUUCUUUUUCAACUCUAUCUUUGUCAUUUAUUACCACCUCUGUCAUUGCUCUGCAUCCAUAUACUUGCACUUUGACCAGUCGCACUAGAGUUUUUGCUGUGGAGGAUGUUACUAAGUGUAUCAAUUCCUUGCAACCGAAAGCUACAAGUUUUGUUAGGUUCCGAAAAGAUACCGAUGAUGAUGGCAAUAGAAUUAACAGACUUUGACAAUGAUAUACUCCUAGAAUUUCAAGAUACUGAAAAAUGGGGCCAAGUUUGGAAUCGUGUUUGCACAGCUGCUUCAGAUGAUAGGGCCGGUACAGCUUUAAUUCUUUUAUCAUUGCCAACUUCCCCACAUGUUUCUCUAAGCAUCCUUCCAUCGAAAAUACGUCUUCGUCGAAUGAAAAAAAAGACAGUGUGAGUAUUUCGAGAUUGUGAAAUCUCUCCAGUACGUUCCAGAUUGGAAAACAAGCUGAGUCAUCUGCAGCAAUCUCUAGUUCUCUAAGACUGCCAAAAAGGUGUUGUGGGAAAUCGGCCUGCAAAAUCAUCUUCACAUCUUUUCCACUUAGUGAUAGUUCCAUCAAGUUGGGUACGAUCUGAUCAUCAUCAAUCAUAAUAACUAAUGAGGUCAAUUGAUGAUCUACGGUCACACGCAGUGACUUUAUAGUAUUUGUUUUAUAUUAUAUUUUAAAAAAAAUUGAAUUAUUGAUAAAAUUUAUUAAAUGAUUUUUUAUAUGUUAAUUUUAGAGGUAAAAAAGAAAUUAGGGAAAAAGGUUGAUUUAUACUGGCUCGAAAUUAUUUUAUUGCACAAUAAUAAAUUACUAAUUUAUUUUGUAAGUUCUUCUAUAUGGAAACACUAAGGAUUCUUUUAGAAAUGCUAUACAAAAAAAAGUUCAUAUAAUUAUUAAUCUACCACAUUGAUCUCUUAAUCUAGACUAGCAAAGAUUAUUGUAUAAUAAAAGUUUUCAAUUUAUUGAGUAUUAAUUUAUUGAUGCUUUGCCAUAUUUUUCAAAGUUAAAAAUAAGCUAUAGACAAAAAAUCUAGAAAAUGGCUUCAUACCUUUUCCAACGGCAAUGGGGGCUGUUGUGCAGGAAUGCCAAGUUGAUCAUUCUGCGAUAAAUCUGCAGUGAAUAUCUUUAAUUUGUCACAACAAUGCACUGAAAGAAUUUCUAGCGCGGGCCAUUCCAAAGUAUGCAUUCCAGGGUACAAACAUCUAAGUUUUGGUAGACCUUGGAGUCUCAAAGUGGUGAGCUGUGGAAAGACAAAAUAAGGGAUCACUUCAUCUGCUCUAUUCUCAAAAAUGAUCUCCUGUAAAUCCUCACAGAAGCGAACUUCUAGGUGUUGGAGCUGCUUAAGGCUUCUGAUCAUAGACGCUGAAAAUAUGUAUUUUAAUUUGUGACAACGCCACACAAUCAAUCGUGUUAAAUUUUGAAAGCGAGGAAACGUGACCGGAAGAUGAUUGUAGUGCCAAAUCUUGUCGACAUUAAUUUCAGAUAUCUCCAAAGCCUCCAAGUUAGGCAACGCAACCUAAAAGAAUAAGAAUUUCUGGUUAGAUCCAAUAUCCAUAUGGGAAGCACUUGUUGAAAUUUUCUUCUUUGAUUGCAAAUUCAUGCAAGUCAGAAUCAAUUUCCAACUGACAGCUGAGUAUGCAUUCUAAUUCAUACUACUUGUUAAGAGCUCAAUUAGUGAGCGCGUGAGAUUCUUUUUAUCCUUUUUUCCGUUUUUUUUCAAUUCUUCAAAUGAUUUAAUUAUUUUCCACGUAUGAUAUCAAAAGAGAACGCAUAAUAGAAUAAAGAAAAUGUUAGCCUACGCACCUUCUCGUUGAAAAGCAGAGUUGAAAUAUCCAAAGUGAUUUCGCUGGAGCAAUACAUAGUCGUCGAUUCCUCUUGCGACACUUGUCUGUUCGGUGAUGCUGAAGGAGUCUCCACCUCACGGCGGCAAAAACUUGUAACCUCAGGAAGAUUCCCCAGACUCAAAGAUCUUAAUUGAGCAAACUCUAUCUUCUCAAUUGCAUUAUCAACUUCUUCCCCAAUUGCAAAAAUCUCUUUCAUCUUGCUGCAAUUAACAACUGCAAUUCUCUCAAGUCUUGGAAGGCAUUUUGUAGUAGAGAGCCAAAAGAUAUUACUCAACUUAUCACAAUUAUAUGCUUCUACGGUUUUGAGUUCGUUGAAAGACUCUACUUUGAGCCGAUCAACACAUAUCCUCUCCAUGUUGAUCAAAUUGUGAAUGGUAAGUGACUCCAAAAGAGGAAAGGCAUCACAAGCGACCAUCUCCCUUGAAUCGACGAUACAAAAGAAGUCAGGAUUAUUUUGAACCCAGAGAAGCUUCAAUUGUGAAAAGCCCUCCGUGUCCAAAUUGAAAAGAACAUUCUCGAUGCCUUGCAGCUUGUCCAACCAUAAGUAUUCAACGUUAUUGAUGCCCUGCAAUUUCAUGGAGCAAAUGUCCAUAAAAUCAAGCUUGAGCUUCAAUGAUAUUAAACUCUUGCGAUCACUGUUGAUCGAAAAGCGAGGCCGACUUUUAAACCAAUGUUGGCCAACACUCAUGGGAUGCAUGAAUAACCCAUUUCCAAUAGAUAUUUUGAACCUUUCGAGCUUUCUGGCCAAAAAACCUUCUGGUAAAAUAUUGUCACUUUUAACGUCAAUUUCUAGAGUGGUUAGCCGAGGUAAAUGCAUCAAUUCGUCAAGGCUAGCAUUACUUCUUUUGCUGUUGGCUCUUUCAACCUCCCAUUCAAUGAAGCAAUUACCCAUAUACAGCUCUUCUAAUCGAGUUAAGCUUGAUAUGAGAUUAGGCGCAAUAACUUUUAGAUGGAAACAAUUGGUUAAAUCUAACAAUCUCAACUUAUUCAAUUGACCUAGUUCUCCGGGCAACUGCAUAAUAUCAGACUUCAAAAAGCUAAGGACUUCUAGAUUCUUCAACUUCCCAAUGAUUGCUAUGUCCCCCAACGCACUUUGAUCCAGACAUAGUGUGUGAAGAUUUGGUAGAAGAUCAAUUGAAGAUGGAAAAGAAGAAAACUGCAUUCGAGUAAAAUCUAGAACUCUAAGCUUUUUCAUCCCUACAAAAAAGUUCUCAGGAAUAUUGAUUUCAAGAGAAGAAUCUUUGAGAGAGACAAAUAAAAAUUCAAGGUUUGGGCAUUCUAAUCCUUCAGGAAAUUCACGAUUACUAUUAUUUCUUAAAGAGAUCGCAUUGCAUUUUCGAAGUGCAUCCUCAUCUGGCCAGUCCCACACAUCCUUAUUUCUCACCAAAAACACAUGUUGGUGGCGGCAUGCAAUUGAUAUUGCGACAUCACGAACAACAUCAUGCAUUGAAAAUUGUUCAUUGCUCUCACCCUCAAGCAACAAACAAGAGUGUCUAAGUUCAUGGACCAAUGCAAAUAAUUUGUCUCGUGCAUCUUCCAUCUUAUUGACUCCUUUAAAUAUACCCAAACCCAUGGAGUACUUAAACAAGUCCGAAGUAAGAAUACGGUUAUCCAUUAGACUACAGAGCAGAAAAAUUUUCUUGAGUUGCUCACCUUUUAAAUGGUUGAAACUCAGCUCAAUACUUGAAUAAGUCUCUGCAGAUACUCCUUCGAAGUUUACCAUUGAAGGCGUUCGGAGUUCUCGCAAGGAAUUCUUCCAUUCAUGAAGACUCUUGCUUCUCAGUGCCUUUGCCACUGUAGUCAAGGCAAUGGGCAAACCUCCACAUGCCCUGGCGACGUCUAUUGCUGUAGAUUUCAACUCACGAUUUUCAACAUCAUCUCCGGCCAUCAUCUUAAACAAUCUCCAGGCUUCUUCUUCAUUUAAAUUGUUUAUCAAAAAGUUGUCUUUAGAUCCCAUUUUUAAGAGGACACUACGAUCUCUUGCUGUCAGCAGUAGUUUGCAGCCUUUAUGAUCUUCUCCAAAAGGAAUUGCAAUAGUCCCCAAAUCAAGAGGUUUCCAGAUGUUAUCCAGAAUCACAAGGAUCUUCUUCUCAUUCUCCAAUCUUUCAUAUAGUCUACUAGCUCUUCUAGACUCAGCUUCCUCGCGCAACUCCAAGCCCAACUUCUCGGCAAUUUCCUGUUGAAUCUGUUUUAUGUCUGGAGUUUGCGAAACCUCUGAAAAGACCACCAUAUCAAAGUGCUUGUCUUCCAUAGCUUGCCUGGCGACCUUCUUCACCAGUGUCGUCUUUCCAAUGCCGCCCAUGCCGUACACCCCAAUGAUGCUGACAUCAACAUCGAUCAAUGCGUUUUUUAUAGCCUCCAAAGUAGAACGUCUUGAUUCGAAGGCCUCGUAGCCUUUGUGAGACUUGAGCCAAAUCUCCUCCGGAAUGGUACGGUAGGAAAUUCUAUCAUCAAAUCUCUCAGCUUCUUCUCGGAGUUUAAAAAGGGCCUCCUUCUCUGUUUCUGCUUUCUUUCCAUGCUGAUAGCGAAUAAUCCAAUUAGGAAACAGCCCCAUGAGACAUCGUUCAUUUGCUUUCUCUUCGUCUUGAAUGAAUUUGGCUGCCUGCUCAAUGCUCUUGUUCGCACUAAACAGCCAUUUCUCAACCUUCUCUUCAAUCUUUUCACUUUUUCUUUCAGCCUCAGAAACUCUGCGCUGAAUGCUUUCUCUUUCAUCCUUGAGCCUAUCGAGUUCUGCCUUGAGAUUCUCAAAGUUGGCAGCGGAGUUAUACCAAUAACUAAAUUCGCGUUGUGCGUGAGGAGACAAGCAGUUUACAACUCCUGGAACAAUGCUUUUCAAAAUGUCCAUUUUUUUUUUCUUUUUUGGGGAAGUGAACGAAAUAGAAAUAGAACAGAGUCAACGACCGCGCAAUUGAUAAUUAAGUAGAAAACAAGGCAAAAUUGAAAAAAGAAAUUAUAUUUGUACAAAACAAGGGGAAAAUCAGUGUAACAGAAGAGAAUCAAAGUGUUUUUGAGAUCAGAAAAUUGAACCAAGAAAAGGGUUGCUUGAUCCAAUGAAAAUGCAAAGAGCUGAUGGCAAAAGGAAACAAAGCUAAAUAAGAAAACGGUUAGCACGAGCAGUGACCACGAUCAACAGAAGCAAAGUGUGUAUGAGAUCAAAAGACGAAAAUGAGGAGAGGUUUUCUUGAUGGAGAAUUGAAGGCAAAGAGUAGGAGCUGACGAAUACGGGGAUCAAGAGGGAAAAACUGCUUGCUUGUAAAACUACUUUCAAGCGAAUCUGAUAAAAUUAUUUCAGUACUCGUGGGCGACUCCUUUUUAAACUGCAGAAGGGGGAAAAAAAAAGUCUGAAUUUCAAUAUAUUAAUCUCGUAAUCAAUGAUUAAUUAGUAGAUAAUCUUUCUAACAAAUAUGUGUUGAAUAGAUAUAUUUCUUGAUUAGUAGUAGGUUCGAUAUACUUUACUAUAGGAAUGAAAGUACAAAUUGUGUCAUAUUAGAAUACAAAUGGGACCUAAAAAUCCCGUUUUAUGGCCUUUUAAUUAUUUGUCAGCUAAUAAUGAAGUCAUAUACAAAAAUUAUUAAUCUGACCUAGUCUUUAAGUCUUAUAAAUGUUUCUAGAUUUUUAAUUAUAAUAUCAUUAUUUAAAAAAUAUUGCUUGACUUACAUUAGUAACAUUACGAUUGUUCAUAAAACAUGUGAUCCUCAUCCAAAGGCCAGGUGAACAAAUAUAAACGACAAAUUCUUUUCAAUUAAAUAAUCAUCAAGAGAUAAUCUUCUAUUUCAGUACAAAUAGCGAGUGCAGAACAGCUGUCAAGAGAUAAUCAUUGUUUAUGGAGCCAUAUAUAUUUUCUAUUAAAAUAGUUCGUGAACAAUUGCCAGAAUCCGUAAAAAUUGUUGAAAGGUCUAUUAUUUUCGAUUAAAAUUGUUGAAAGGUCUAUUAGUUUCGAUUAAAAUAUUUUCGAUUAAAAUAGUUGCGUGAAUAAUUACCAUAGAUAGUGUUUACAUUUUGGAUUGGACUGAAAAUCUUGAAAAGUAGAAAUCUUGGGAUUGAGAGUAUGGAGUAAAAGUGGGUGUAAGUUGUUUACUUACACUGGAAUAUCAGCAUGGAAUAAAGAUUAUAAUCCAAUUUAUGUGUUUACUUUAUCUUGGAUUGGGAGUAAAUAGUUUCAAAUUAUAAUUUUAUCUUUAUUUAAAGAAUUAUAGUUUUUAAUUACAAAGUUAAUAAAAAAAUAUAUUUAAUGAAUAAAAAUUUAUUUUAUUAUAUUUGUAAAUUUAUAAUAAUUAUUAAUAUUCUUAAUUAUGUACAUCAUAAUUUUUUAUUAAUUUUAAUUUUAAUUAUAUAAAUUAAAAAUUAUUGAUAAGAGCAAUGUAAAUGAAACAUUUUUACUAUUAACAUAGUACAAAAUUAAUAUUUUCUUAUAAUUAACUAUUUAUUAUUACUAAUUAUUGAUAUUAAAUAAAUAUAAUACUAUUAUUUUUAAAUAAAUAUAAUAAUAUUAUAUUUUCAAAUAAAGAUAGUAUAUAGUAAUAUUAUUAAUUCUCUAUUAAUAUAAUAAUAUUAUUUUUAAGUAAUUUAAACUUAGAAUCAAACCAAAUUAUUAUUUAGUUAAAUAUAAUAAUAUUAUUUAAAUAAAUAAAAUAUUAUUUAUUUUAUUUUAUUAAAUAUAAUUAUAGUAAAUUUAAUAAAAGGGGGUUAAAAAAGGAAGGUAAAUAUAAAAUGAAAUAUUUUUUAUUUAAUUAUAUUAAAUUUAUUAUUAUAUAAAUAAUAAUAUAAUAUUAUUUAGUAUAAAAUUAAUAUUUUCUUAGAAUAAACUAUUUAUUAUUAUUAAUUAGUAAUAUUAAAUAAAUAUAAUACUAUUAUUUUUAAAUAAAUAUAAUAAUAUGAUAUCUUCAAAUAAAGAUAGCAUAUAGUAAUAUUAUCAAUUCUCUAUUAAUAUAAUAAUAUUAUUUAUUUUAUUUUAUUUUAUUAAAUAUUAAAUAUUAAAUUUAAUUAAAUAAAGGUAGAAAAGGGAGAGGUAGGAGUGGGUUUCCCAUGGGAGUCCCACUCACACUCCCCACUCCAAAAAUGGGUGGGGUCCACGGAGUGGGAUUCCCAAUCCCUCCUUAAAAUAGUGAAGAAAACACUGAAGUUAGAGGAAUUCACACUGCGCACACUCACUCCAGAAAGUAAACAUCGAAAAAGCCAAAGGAUGAAGAACCACUAUAAGUUCUUUUAUGAAUUUAAAAUGCUAAAGAAACUUGACACCAACGCUAAGCUAACAAGUGCAUAUUUUUCUGUGGCCCUUGCCUCAAUGUCUUUCGGGCAUUGCUCGGGGGUAGUUGAUAUACUGAUUAAAAUAUGAAUGAAUUGGAAUGGAAUGAGUUGGAAUUAAAAUAUGGAAUGAUAAUUAAUUAAUUUAUUUAAAUUGUAAAAAUUAAAAUUAAAAUAAAUUAUAUCAUCAUUGAUAUAUUUAUUUUAUUUUAAAAUCACGAUGAGUUGUUACAAAUUACAAAAUAUCUUUAAUUUUUUAUCAUAAUAAUUAUUAUUUAUUAUAAUAUUUUGUUGGCCUAAAUGGUUAUAUAAUCCUUGAUUUUGAUGAUAACAAACUACAUAGAGUACAAUGGUAAAUUUAUUUCUCACAAUUUCACAAGUUUUUGAAGGGCAAAAAUCAUUCAAGUGAGAUCAAGAUCAAGAUACUCAAUAGACAAUGACAAUCAAGGAUGACUACUAAGGGUACUAGUUUACGCAAUCUUUAUUGUUAAAUUUCUUGUAAAGCUAGUAUAAUUUAACGUGUGCAUGAUGUAACAUUUAAAAGCUCAAGAUAUUUUUCAUGACAUUUUCAAAUUAAAUCAUCAUUUUCUAUAAUAUAAAAGUUUUAACGAUUUUAUAAAAUUAGUUGCUUUUUCCAAAUUUAUGGACUAAAUUGAAAAGUUUUGAGAACUUUGAAAUCAACUAAUAAUGUUUUAAAUCAUAGAAAUUGACAUAUUUGUAAAUAUUUCAAACGUUUUGGGUCGUAAUAUAAUUUCAAAAAAUUAGGUCUAAUCUAUAAAUCCUGGAACAAUAGUGGCUAAUCGCUUAACCAAUAGCGGCUAACUACUUCAAGUCCAAAAACAUAGCAGCUAACCGCUUAAAUCAAGUGGUAAUCCACUUGAACCAAAGUUUUCAAAUUUGAUUUGCAACUGUAACUUACCAUAUCAACAUAGUGGCUAAUCGCCUCAUUUUAACGGCGAUCCAGCAAGUCCCUAGAAAAACCAAUAAUUGCUAGUUUGAUUGUUUAAACUAUAAAAUUCAAAUCUAACAAUUUUUUUCAAUCUCAAUUAAGCUAAAACUUAUUCAUAUAUCUUGAGCUUUCAUUUUGCUUAUCUACAUACAUUAAUCAUUAUAGAGCUAUCAUUUGCUUAUACACUCUUAUAGAGUGUAAUCUUUGUAAUCUUCAAUUAAUAUCAAAAUUGAGUGAGUACAAGUGUGGGAAACACUUGGAAAAAGAGGUGUGUGUAUACAUAAUUACUUGUAAAGGUUUAUUAACACCGUAUAAGUCAAUUGUAAAAUUUUAGAGCCUUGGAAGGUUUGGAUAGUAGAAUUCUCAAGUUUGGAUUACUUGGAGGCGUAGUCAUAGGCGGGUUUGCCGAACUACAUAAAAAUUCAUCUGUUUGUUAUCUUCUCCCUUAUCUUUUUAAUUUCACGCAUAGUUAAAUUUACCAUUAUUAAAUUUCUUGAAGCAUUUGUUUAAUUUGUAUUGUGUUUUUGUUAGUAUAAUUUUUAAUACCUAAUUCACCCCCUCUUGGGUUGCUUAGCUAGAAUUUCAUUUGGUAUCAAAGGAAGUUCUCUUGUUAGGACUUAACCAUCUAGAGUAAAAGAUCCAUAGUAAUCCAAAAUGAUCCCAGAUUUGGGGAAGGUUAAUCCCUUCUAGAUCACCAUUCUUUGAUGGGAAUGAUUAUCCAUGUUGGAAAAUUAUGAUAAGAAUUUAUUUGCAAGCAUUAUAUUAUGAAAUAUAGGAAGUUGAUUGUGAUGGUCCAUUCAUGCCUACUGCUAAAAAUGAAGAAGGGAAAGAAAUUCUAAAACCUUCACAAGAAUGGAAUGAGUUGGAAAAGAGAAAAGAUUCUCUUAAUUUCAAAGUCAUGAAUGCUUUGUUUUGUGCCUUAGAUAAAAAAAAAUUCUAUAGAGUUUAAGGUUGUUCCAAUGCUUAUGAAAUUUGGAAAAAACAUAAAGUCAUUUAUAAAGCUACAAAUCAAGUCAAAUAAUAUAAAAUUAGUAAAUAUAGUAGGCAAUACGAAUUGCUAUAAAUGGAACAAAAUGAGAGUGUUAAUCCCAUAUACACUAGAUUAACAGACAUUAUAAACACUUUAGGAACUCUUAGAAAGACCUUUUCAAACAGCGAGAAGGUAAAAAAAAUCAGAAGGUCUUUACCAAAAGAAUGGAGACCUAAGAAAAUUGCCAUUAAGGAAGCCAAUGAUACUUUAUUUAUUGAUGAUUUAAUUAGUUCAUUUAUUUCUUAUGAAAAGGAUUUGACAACUGAAAAAUAUAUUGAAGACUAGAAGAAGAAGAGUAUUUCCUUAAAAGCAUCAAGAUCUAAAAGUGACAACGAAAGUGAGAUCGAAAAUGAAGACAUGGCUAUGAUAGCUGGAAAAAUCAAAAUAAUUUUCAAGAAAUCCAUCGAGCGAAGGAAAUUCAAAAAUCAGAAAGAGAAGAAGGAGGCAAUUAUUUGCUUUAAAUGCAGGAAGCCUAGGCACAUAAAACUAGCAUGUCCUUUUCUCAAAAAAUUAAAGAAGAAAGCCAUGGUAGCAACACGGGAUGAUAGCGAUAAGGAGACUAUAGAUGAAGAGUAGUCCCAUGAAGUGUCAAAUUUGGCACUUAUGGUUAUAGGAGAUGAUUAUAGGAGAUGAACUUGAUGAGGUAAACCUCUUAGGAUGAGUUGUUUGAAGUAUUCUCUAAAUUGCAUAAAGAUUUAAAGAAGAUUGAAAUGUAAAAUGUUUCUCUUGGAAAGAAAAAAGUAGAACUUUUAAAUGAGAAUGACACUUUGAAUAAAAAGAUUAAGUGCCUAGAAGUAUUUGUGAAGAAAUUGCAUCUUUUAAAGAAAAAACAAAAUGUUUCAUCUAAGAAUAAAGGUUUACUUGUAAAUGAUUUGAAAAAGAAAAAUGAAAUAUAUUGCUUUAGAAUUUGCUUAGUAUUAGUAAAUUGUGUGAUAAAGGUUACAAAGUUAUUUUUAUGUGAUAAAGGCUAUAGAGUUAUUUUUUAUAAAACAAAAUGUAUUAUUAAAAAUGCAUGUGAUGACAAAGUUUUAUUUGUUAGAUAAAGAUGUGUUAAUGUAUACACCAUUGAUAUAGAUAGUGUAUCAACUUAUGAUAAAUAUUUUUUUCACAUUACAUGAUGAUAGUUGAUAUGGCAUGGAAGACUAGGUCAUGCGAGCAUGGAUUUGAUUUCAAAAUUUUUUUAAAAUGAUUUGGUUAUAGGUCUUCUAAAAAUUGGUUCUAAAAAAGAUAGAAUUUGUGAAGUUUGCCAAUUUAGAAAACAAAUAAAACGUCCUUUAAAAAUAAAAUUCAUAUUUCUACUUCAAAACCACUUUAACUUUUUCACAUGGAUUUGUUUGAAUUUUCUAAAUAUGCUAGUUUAAGUGGUAAAUAUUAUGCAUUUAUAAUUAUAGAUGAUUAUUCUAUAUACACAUGGUAUUACUCUCAACUAAUAAAGAUGACACCUUUAAUGCUUUCAAAAUUUCUAUAAAAAGAUUCAAAAUGAAAAAUGAUAUGUUAUUUCUUCCAUUAGAAGUGAUCAUGGUGGAGAAUUUGAAAAUUAUAUUUUGAAAAUUUUUACAAUAACUUUGGCAUUGAGCAUCAAUUCUUGUCACCAAGAACUCCACAAUAAAAUUGAGUAGUUGAGAGAAAGAAUAUGUCUAUCCAAGAAAUGGCUAGGACCAUGUUAAAUGAAAAUACUUUACUAGAAUAUUUUUGGGUUGGAGCCGUCAACAUUGUUUGUUAUAUUUUAAAUCAUGCAUUGAUUAGACCUUAUCUCAAUAAAACUCCUUAUGAGCUUUGGAAAAAUAGAAAAACAUUGACUAUUUCAAAGUUUUUGGUUGCAAAUGUUUUCUAUUGAAUACAAAAGACAAUCUUGGUAAAUUUAAUCUAAAAUCUUAUGUUGAUAUUUUUCUUGGGUAUUCAAAUACAAGCAAAACUUAUAGAGUGUAUAAUAAAAUAUCCUUGGUCGCUAAAGAAUCUAUACAUGUUAUGUUUGAUGAAUCUAACUUUUCUUCUAUGAAGAAAGUUGUUGUUGAUGAUGAUGCAUAUGAAGAGUUACAAAAACAAAAAGUCUUUAAAAGACAAACAAUAUGAUUUACCAGGUAAAAAUCAAGAUGAGCAACAAGAAGAACAAGUUAAACAGAUUCAAAAUAAAGGUAAUUCACAAACACUCUCUAAGGAGCUAAGGUAUGUCUCUUCACACCCUAAAGACUUAAUCUUAGGAGAUCCUUCAUGAGGUGUAACUACGAGAUAAUCACUUAGAAAUACAUGUGAACAUACUGUAUUCAUAUCUCAAGUUGAACCAAAAUCCUUUUCAGAUGUGGAAAAUGAUGAAUCUUGGAUUAUAGCAAUACAAGAAGAGUUAAAUCAAUUUGAAUGAAACAAUGUAUGGAAACUUAUUCAUAAACCAUAACAUCAAUCUGUAAUAGGCAGUAAAUGGGUAUUUAUGAAUAAAAUUGAUGAAUCUAGUGUGGUUGUAAGGAAUAAAGUUAGAUUAGUAGCUCAAUGAUGCAACCAAAAAGAAGAAAUUGAUUUUGAUGAAACCUUUGCACAUGUAUCUAGAUUAGAAUCCAUUACAUGCUUUUAUUAUUUGCAUAUCAUAAUGAUUUUAUUUUAUAUUAAAUGGAUGCUAAAAGCACCUUUCUAAAUAGUUGUAUUAUGAAGGAAGCUUAAGUGAAACAACCCCCUCAUUUUAAAAACGAAAAAUGUUUUUGGAUCAUGUUUACAAAUUGUCCAAAGUUUUAUAUAGUUUAAAGUAAGCAUCUAGAGCAUGAUAUGAUAGACUUAGUAAAUUUCUUUUAGAAAAUAGUUUUUCAAUGGGUAAAGCGAAUACUACUCUAUUUGUUAAAUACAAGGAUCAAGGUAUACUUGUUCAAAUUUAUAUUGAUGAUAUUAUCUUUAGUUCUACUAAUGAGUUUCUGUGUAAGGAAUUUUCAUCUUGCAUGAGUAGAGAAUUUGAGAUGAGCAUGAUGGAAGAAUUGAAGUACUUUCUUGGACUUAAAAUUUAAGAGAAAAAAAAGAAUUCAUUAAUCAAGCCAAGUAUUUCAGAGAUCUACUCAAAAGAUUUUGCAUUCAAGACUAAGGACACUCCAAUGAGUACUACAAUCAUGCUCGAUAAGGAUAAAAAAAGUAAAGAUGUUGUAUCAAACGAUAUCGAGGUAUGAUCAUAUCUUUACUUUACUUUACUGCUAGUAGACAUUACUUUAGUGUAUGUUUGUGUGCAUGAUUUCAACCAUAUCUCAAAGAAUCUCAUUUUCUUGCAGUUAAAAGAAUUUUUCAUUAUUUAUGAGGAACAAUUGAUCUUGGUCUAAGGGAACUCAUAUAAAUUAUUAGCUCAAUAAAUUUGUCAAAGAAUCUCAUUGAACAUUCUAGGACCAAACAUAUUGAAACUAGGCAUUAUUUCUCACGUGAUCAUGUUCAAAUGAGAGAUAUUGCUUUAGAAUUUGUUUCUAUGGAAAAAUAACUUGCUGAUAUUUUUACAAACCCUUUUUGUGAAGAAUAGUUUUCAAAGAUUUAGAUUGAGUUUGGAAUGAUGACAUUUUCACAUCAAUAUUUCAUUGCAUGAUAUUGAGACUACAAAUUUGCUUAAUUUUCUAUCUUGAUUGAUUGUACGAUAAAAACUUGAUUUUAAUGUGUUAUAUGCUUGAAUUUACUUCUUUGAAUGUUUAUCAUCAUAUCUUAUGCAUUAAAAAUGGCUUUUAAAAUACUUCAGGAUCACAAAAUGGUCUCAAAAUUAAUUAAAUUUUGGCCAAAAAGCAAAAUCGUGCAAAAUCUAGGGGAACUAGCUAACCGUUAACCACAAGCAACUAGCCAAUUGUGAGGCAGAAACUAGCUGGCCAGCCGGCUCAAAGCAAACGGUUAAUUGCUUGGUUUCUAAAAAUGAAACAGUUAACUGCUUUCUUCAAGAGGCUAGCUGGCUUCACGUUUUCAAAUGUUGUUCAUCUUCUUUUUCCCACUUUUAGUUGUUACCCUCUCUCUAUCACUGUCAUCUCUCAUUUCUUUUAACCUCUCUCUAAAAUCUUCCAUUUUUACAUCACUUUUGUGUCAAGUUAAACUUUCCAAAUCAUUUCCCAUCAAUUAAUCUUCACACAUUUGCUUUUAAAACACAAUCUAAUCACUCUUCUCUCAAAAUCUUAAAGCUUAAGUCACCAGUUUCAAUAUUCUCAAAUUUGAACCAUUAUUUGACCAUUUUCGACCAAAAUAAACCCAUACAUUCCUUAGAUCUUCUCAAAGAACAUUUUAAUCGGUUCAAAGUCAUCUAUUUCUUUAAAAACUUUGUGAACUCGAAUUUGUGCAAUUUUGGACACAUUUUGAUAAUUUCUUAAUGGCUAGUGGUGAGAAGUCCAAGGGUAAGCAUAUGCCUAAAAUGUAAAAAAAAAAAAGAUUCAUAAAGACAUUAUGAAAUUCAUUUCCACCCACUUCCCAAAUCCGCCUCAAUGGAAUGAUUCUCUGAUCGAUUUAUGACAAGGUCAGUCCUCCCAUACUAUAUAUGUUAAUCUUGAUUAAUUAGAAAAUUUGUCAUGUUGUAGCAAAACUCUUAGAACUUUACUUGCUGAAUUGGGUUGGACAAAUGUCUUAGUUCUUAAGGAACAUAUUUGUCCUAAUUUGGUACGAGUAUUUUAUUCGAACAUGCUUAUUUCUACAAAUACUGCCAAUAUGAUUAUUACUAAUGUUAUUGGGAUUCCUAUUAAGUUUACUGUAGAAGAUUUAAACAUGAAUCUCAUAUGAUAGGUUGCAUUUGUAUACAUCUAGGACUAAAAUUGAUUAUCCCUGGUAUUUAGUUGUAGAUGAUGUUUGAAACAUAGAUGUUCGAAACAUAUGUAGGUGAUCUGAUCUAUCCAUGGAGCUUUUUAACUCCUCUCUUAGAUCACAAGUGUUGCCUCUUCAAGUUCGGAUCCUACAUAGUGUCCUUCAGCUUGUGAUCAGUCCUCGCAAGGGACAUGGUGCUGAGGUUACACGCUUAGAUGUUACUUUAUUAGAUAGCAUCCUUGAGGGUAAAAGCUAAAUGUGCGAAUAUUAUCAUUCAGCACAUGCUUAAUACACUGAGUAUAGGAAACCGAUCCUUUUCGGUCUGUAGUGUCAUUACCCAUAUCCUUCAAUAUUUUUGGGUCCCUAUAGCUGAACCAUCUCAUGAUGAACCCAAGGAGUUAAGGGAUGAGGUCAUUGCUAGCUUAGGAUUUGGGUGGGUAGAUGACCAAUAGGUUAAAAAUCAGAACUUGUUGAGCAAACCCACAAAGCUGGCUCUUUUUUAUCAUUGCAUCUUUAACGAUGUGCUUCCCCUUACUGGGUUCUUGAUCUUAGUUCUUCCCUGAGGUCACAAGCUCUGCAUUGGCCUUCUGAUGCUCCACCAUCAUCAUCUUCAGCCAUUCCCAAUAACCCAAUCUAGCAGUUGUUGAAUAAAGUGUGUUCCAUAUCCGAACAGUAAAGCGAGCUUAAGAUAUCGUUCGCAGCAUUCCAGGAUCAUUUUCUUUCUGAGCAGCAACAUCUCUUUCUUCAACAAUAACAAAUUCUAGACCAUCACCAGCUUAUUUUCAUUGCUCUUAAAUUUUCACCACCAUCCUUAUUAUCAUGUUUGCUGCUUCAUCAGUGAUUUUCUUUUAUCUCUUUUGCUUCCUUGUUUUAUGCACCGACAUUAUUUAUCAUAUGCAUUUUCGUUUUUAGCAUUAUGGAUACUUGAUGGAUGUUAUUUUACUUAUGCAUUAUGGAUACUUGAGUUGAUAUGGAUUAUCUUUAUGCAUUCUAGUUAUUGAUUGUGGUAUCUUUAUUAAUUAUCUUUAUGGAUUAUCUUUAUUGAUUAUGGAUUAUGUAUAUGGAUACUUGAUUAAUGGUCAUGUGUGGAUUUUCGAUUGAUGAUAUUUGUGGGGGAUAAUUAUUGAUAAUAUUUGUAUAAUAGAGGAGUGAUUUUUCAUGAUGAAGGGAGAGAAGAUAUUGACAUGUAUUUUGAAGUGUUUUGACAUGUUUUUGGCUCAUGGGGGUUGAUUGAGUGUUUGUAGUAUUUUAGUUACUUUCUGAGUCACUCAAGGAGAGUUUACAAAUGUUGUACAAUUAUAUGGAUCAUGUACUUAGAGGGAGUGAGUUUAUAUAUUUGGUUAUAUUUUUUGAAUUAUGUCAUAUACUCAAGGGCAAUAGAAAUGUCAAAAUACAUAGGGUGUUUGUCAUCAUAAAAAAAGGAGAGAUUGUUGGGGUAAACGACUAUAUGAUCCUUAAUUUUGAUGAUAACAAACCACAUAAGGUAAAAUGAUAAAUUUAUUUCUCACAAUCUGACAAGUUCUUGAAGGACAAAAAUCAUUCAAGUGAGAUCAAUUUCAAGUCACUCAAUGGACAACAACAAUCAAGGAUGAAUACUAAAGGUACUAGCUUAAUUAAUCUUCAUAGCUAUAUUUCUUAUAAAGCUAAUAUGAUUUAAUGUAUGCAUGAUUUAGUAUUUAAGAGUUCAAGAUAUUUUUCAUACAAUUUUCAAAUUAAAUCAUCAUUUUCUAUAAUAUAAAAGUUUUAAACGUAAAUAAAAAUGAUUUUAUAAAAUUAAUUGUUUUCAAAUUUAUGGACUAAAUUGAAAAGUUUUGAGAACUUUGAAAUUAAUUAGUAAUGUAUUAAAUUCUUGAAGUGGACCUAUUUGUAAAUAUUUCAAAAUUUUAGGCCAUAGUAUAAUUUUAGGAACUUUUAGUUUAAAUCUAUAAAAUUUGAAACAGUAGUGACUAACCACUUAACGAAUAGUGGCUAACUGCUUCAGGUCCAAAAACAUAGCUGCUAACCAUUUAAAUCAAGCGACGAUUUGCUUAGGCAAAAAAGUUUUUAAAUUUUAUUUGUAACGGUAACUUGCCACAUCAAUAUAGCGACUAACUUCUUUAUUUUAGCAGCAAUCCGGUAGGUCCUCAGAAAGUCAAUUAUGACUAGUUUGAUUGUUUAAACUAGAAGAACCCAAAUCAAACUCAAAUCUAACAACUUUUUCAAUCCCAAUUAAGUUAAAACUUGUUCAUACAACUAAUCUUGAGCUUUCAUUUUACUUAUUUACAUGCAUUUAAUCAUUAUUGAGUUAUCAUUUGCUUAUACACUCUUAUAGAGAUUAAUCUUUGUAAUCUUCAAUUAAAUAUCAAAAUUUUGUGAGUAUAAGAGUGGGAAACACUUGGGGAAAGAGGUAUGUGUACACAUCACUACUAUAAAAGUUUAUUGACACAUUAAAAGCCAAUUGUAAAAUCUUGGAGCCUGAGAAGGCUUGGAUAGUGGAAUCCUCAAACUUAGUUUGCUCGAGGCAUAAACAUAGGCGAGUUUUGCCGAAACACGUAAAAAUUCAUUUGUUUGUUAUCUUCUCCCUUAUUUUUUUAAUUGCAUUCAUUGUUAAAUUUACUAUUAUAAAUUUCUUAAAGCAUUUGUUUAAUUUGUUUUGUAUUUUUGUAAGUAUAAUUUUAAUACCCAAUUCACCGCCCUCUUGGGUUGUGUAGAUAGAAUUUCACAUUUGUUGUACAACAACAACAACAACAACAAUAACAAUAACAAUAAUAAUUGUUAUAAUGGUUGGAACAAUUACUAUUGAAAAACUUUUAUUGUUAAUAAUAGUAGAAAAUAAGAACAAAAAAGGAAAUUAUCCAAUAACCAUGUAAUCUUUGGGUCUUUUUUAAAAAUACACAGAAACGUUUUUCUUUGUAGAAAUCCACCUAGAGUUUAUUAAUUAUUCACUGUCAUCUUAGCUCAUUAGAAUCUUGUUGAUGUCAUAAGAUUAAAAUUAUCAUUUUACUUGAACACCUAAGAUUAAAGUUAUCCUUUAGAGUUUCUUUCGCUGGGGCUGGUGACCUUAGUGGUUAGAUUUGCUAGAUAUGGUCGUGAGAAACUCGACAAUGGCCGAGGAUUGGCUGGAUUCACGGUGGUUUGGUCAAAAAGUUGACUUGAAUUGGCAUAUGUGGUGCUUCAUUCAUGUUAGAGAUUUCGAUUGCGAUUUGGAUAUCGACAAUGAGAAAGUGGCGUUUGCGGUGGCGCUAGGUGAGGCCCGGGUUUUGGGUUAGCAUUGUGGCGGUUUAUGGCGGUGAUCAUUGGUGGGUUUUGUCAAGUUAUGACCAGUGGAAUCUAGCAAGUUUAGUGGUGGUCUUGGUUGACAGUGAAGAUGGUUGGUUUCACGGUGGCAGCUGGUGGAUGCUCCCAGUUUUUAGGUCUAGAUGAUUUAUAGUAGGUACAAGCGGCGAUUGAUGGCAGGAGUGGCUAAGGUUUGGUAAGUAGUGGCUAAUGAGUUUGGUAGAGGGAUUAGCCAAUGAUGAACUAUUAGUGAAGAGUGGCAGUGGCGGUGGGCGGCUGCUAAGGUUUUGUAAUUUUGUAAUAUUUUUUUGUUGGAUAAACAAUGAUGGAUUUGGUGGGGAUGGAUAUGGGUAGCCAGGAAAACUGUGCAAUUGGCAUUGAACCACUCUAAUACAAACUAACAAAUUGGAAUAGCGGAAGUGGAAUUGAUAGGUCGGAAAUAUUAGCUAUUGUUAUAAUACUGGCUAAGGUAAUGUGGAUAGUUUACGUCCUAAUCGAAACGUGUAGAUCUCAUUCUAACAAUGGCUCAAUGAGAUUUUAAUAACGCAUAAAGCGAGAUUAGACGACGUUCUAAUCCAAAUAACUUUGCAAGAGAGAUUUUAAUAAAUAAUUUUAGAGGGAAUUAUUAAAAAGGGCUUUAUUAGUUGAUCAAUAGUUGAAGUUACAAUAAUAAGAUUUUGAUUUAUAAUAUAAUAAACCUACUUCACUAAGUUAACUUAAAAAGAAAAACUAAAUCACAAUUUUAAUAGAAAUAAAAAAACUAAGACAUAUACCAUAGUUGACUAUAAUUAAAAUAGAAAACGAUAAAAUAAUAAAAAUUAUAAAAUCCUAAAACAAUGUCUACAUCAUAUCCUCACUAAAAUAAAAAUAUAAAAGUAAAGCAAAUUGUGGUAUAACAGACUUUAAUUCUAUCACUCUUCAAUUUUUUUGUUUAUUAAUUAAUAUUGGUGUCUAUGGUUAAAUUUGUUAUUUUUUAUAACAAUUUUAUUUGUUAAUUGAAAUAUUUAGUCUAUGUAAACAAAAAAAAAUGGUUGGAGAGAAUGAGAGAGGAAGGGGGGGAGAGAGAGAGAACAAAGUCAAACAAAUAAUUUAAUGAAUUAUAUUUUUAAAAUUAAAUUUUAAUUUGAUUAAAUAAAUGAUGUAGUGAGAAAAUGAGUAGGUUCAAAUAGCUUUACUUAUAUUUAUUUCAUUAAUGGCUCAAAAUUUAAUGAAAAUAAAUGGUUUUAAAAAAUUGCAUUUAAGUUGCAUAAUUCAAUGAGUAGUGCCACACAUCCUAAAUCUUUUAUCUUAAAAAAUUAUCCCAAAUGAUAUAGUAUUCAUCAAUAGAUUGAAGAGAUAAUACAAUUAAUUCACUCAAAUCUUGAAAGAAUUACCUACUAUUCAAGUAAUGACACACCAUUUGGGAUAUCUAUCAUUACUCUAAUUGAAAAUAAACCUAUCACUGGAUGAUUAAUUAUGGUAGGUUUGCUUAAUACUAAAAUGCCACUCAUAAGUUUUGUUUGGAUUUGUAAUUGAUUUAUCUUAAUCCUUCAACUUGACAUAAGGUCGUUCUCCUCGUUUCUGUACACUUAAAAGUCACCCAGAUCAAAACUAGAUCUAUCGUUGCAUUUGCUUGAAAAAUAAUUUACAAGUAAUAAGUUCUCGUGAUUAAGCAACAUUUUUAAAGGGUUAUGAUAGUAGUGGAACCGUGAUACAAUUUGUAAAUAUUAGAUGGAUUGUUGAAAACAAUAAAAAAUGCUUGUAUGUUUUUUAUAAGGAUCUCCCUAUCUUACAUGCAUGUAAGAUAGGAAUUGCCUUUUUAUAAAGGCUAAAAGAUAAAGUGGUGCAUGGAUAAUUACUUUUUUUUUCCCUUUUUAUCUUAAUCAUGUUUGAACGACAUCCUUUUAUAGUUCCCAGACAUUCUGCAACUAUAAUAGACAAUUUUAAUAGGAACUACAGAGAAAAUAUUAAUAUUUUUAUACUUAUUCACUUACCUGAUGGAUAGUUAGAUAAGUGUUACUUUUCACACAACUAGACCAAAUUAGUACCCUUUUUGGUUUGUGAAAACGUGAUUUUUAUGAAUAUGCUAUAGAUGCUUUCAAAUGUUUCUACAGUUUACGAAUUUACGCAUUAAACGAAAACCUCCAACUAUCAAAUAAAAAGGUGAAAAUUCAAUAGAAUCGACAACUUCUCAGACUCACGUAGGUGGUGGUUCAAGUUUCUAAACUACUAUUAUUAUUAACAGUUUUGAAAAGCAAAUAGUAACUUCAUUUCACAGCAUCUGCUUUUGAGAAAGCUCAGAUGUAAUCAAAAUUCCAAAACCACUCUAAAUAUGUUAGGGAUAUGACCAUAAAUAGAAGUUAAAUAUGAUAGGAUAUAUAGUUGUUCAUAGCUAACAUUUGAUGGUUUAAUUAUUUGUUCUAGGGAUUAUGCGCUGAUUAGUGUUUUUUGUUAUCCGAUGAAUGAUAUUCAGUUUUUCUUACAUGCUCAUAGGCAAGAGCAUUUUCUAAGUACUUUCCUUGCCUUCAAAUUUUGAAAGAAAGAUAGAUAUGAUAUGUGACGCAAGCCCAAUGAAAUAAGCAAAUAAAAUAGAAUAAACGAAGCAAAAAUAUUUCUAGAAACAAGAAAUGACAAAGGAAACACGAAUACAACUUUUUUCUUGUUUUCCUUAUUUUCCUCUGUUAAGCUCCAAAAUGAAUAACUUUAUUCUACCAUCUCUCAAAUAAUAACAUCAACAGCACAUAAUCGUCAUCAAUAAUAAUAAUAAUAAUAACAAUAAUAAUUUAACUUUGUAGGAUGGAGCUCUCGCAAAUCUUCAAGACACAAAAUGUGCUUGACCCCGUUGUUGUUAUUAUAAUUUCAAAAUCAUUUGUAUUAUAUAAAAUUAGGGAAUAAAACAUAGCAAAAUUGAUGGUACAAAUGUUGCAAUAUAUUUUUUCAUGUAGCAACACAUUGAAGUAAAGAAAAGCAAAACAACGAAAAAUGUAACGGGAGAGCUCUCAUUAUGUAGAUUUUCAAUAGAAGUAAUGAAAAUUUCACAAGGACAAUGGCCUUAUUUCGAAUGCUACACCUGGGGAAUGGCUUGAAUCUUUUAUAGAACUCACACUAUUAUAAAAAACGCUAAACAAUGACAAAAAUUUUAUAACAUAUAUCGAUAUGUCAAAAUCAUUUGAUGGUACAUUUUAUAACAAAAAAUGAAAAAUGUAACGGGAGAGCUCUCAUUAUGUAGAUUUUCAAUAGAAGUAAUGAAAAUUUCACAAGGGCAAUGACCUUAUUUCGAAUGAUGCACCUGAGGAAUGACUUAAAUCUUUUAUAGAACUCACACUACUAAAAAAACGUUAAAUAAUGACAGAAAUUUUAUUACAUAUAUAGAUAUGUAACAAAUGUAUCAUGAAAGUGUGAUAGAUUUGUAACAUAUAUUCAUAUGUCUAGAGUUUAUGACAUAUUCAUGACUUAUAACUUAGGGAAAUUUACGAAAAUAACCAUUAAUAUUUUAUUAUUUUCGCAAUUAAUCCUGUCAACUUUUUUCUAUCAACAUUAGCCAAACACAAGCCUUUCUUCCCAAAUUACCCUUCUUUACAGAACAAAACCAACAUUGUUUCUCCCAUGUCGCCAAACCAAAAGCAGCUUGUCACUCUUGAAUCAUCAGCCAACGGCGACCACAAAAGACAACGAUAAAAGUGAUAUCCGAUCAUAAUCUAUCCGGAUCCAACACAAAUCGACAUCAUUUAGUGGUAUGAAUUAUUUUCUGAACUUACUGAACUGAGUUGGGUGAAUCUGAAUCUGCCGACAGGCUAAUGUCGCAGUAAAACUCGGUGCGACAGGCGCCUGUCGCACCGAGCAAGGUGCGACAGGCACCCUGUCGCACCAAGAUUCGGGCGACAGGUUGUCUGUCGCACCCACCCUGGAGAUUCAUUAAAACUGUAUUAUUUUAAUAGGACUGAAAUAAAUUUUUUUUUAUAAUUUCAGGCUUAAUGGAUUCAGUUGUACUUGAAUUGUGUUACGAUGGUUGGUGGGAGACAUUAGAGAAUGGUCGUAUGGAGCAUGUGAAUGGUAAAAAUCGAGCUUUUUUGGUUGGAAAAAAUUAUCUGUUUGAUCAGUUAUUGGCAAGAGUAUACGAGGUGUUACAAAUAAACCCUAAUGAUUAUAGUAUCACAAUGAAGAUAACUUUGAGGUCUAGUAACACAUUAUAUCGUAUAUGUGCAAUGCCCAUGGAUAUAUGUGAUGAUGAAAUGGUGAGGGUUGUGUUGCAUAUGGCAUUUGACGUAGCUAAUGUUGGAUGCAUUCCUAUAUUCGUGACCACAUCACCUUGAGUUCCGAGCGAAGGUAUUGAGCCACUUGUCGAUACAGAAACUUCGUUUAGAGCAAAUAUGUCUGGCCCCGAUAAUGAUGAAGAGGUGUUGCCAAGGACAAUAUCGUUGCAGCAAUAUUACUCUCCAAUCCACGAAAAUUAUGACAACAUUGAUGAUAAUGGCGUUACGUUACAGGAUGUUGGAGCAACGGUAUUUCCAAUAACAACGUCGUUGGAGCAACGAUAUUCUCCGUAUCACAACAAUGAUUUUCGGGACAAUGAUGAUUUUAAUAAUGAGACAGAGGGGGAUAAUGUUUGUGCAGAACCUUCUAAUAAUACGAGGCGGGGCACUCGUUUCAAUAAUGAUGGUGAUGAUAGAGGAGCCGGUCCUUCGAAUGUUCCGUCGUUUCAGCAUGAGGAUGAGUGUGAAGACAAUACUCCUGUGAAUAACAGAGGCAAUAGACCUAUUCCUUCUACGGUUCGAUCGAGAAGGAGAAUUGACCCCCUUACAAGUCUUGCUCCAACUUUGCCUUCGAACAUGGUUGCUCCAAGCUUUGUUAGCAAUUGUGACUCAGAUGAUAUCAGCGUGGGUAAGCUAUUUGCUGAGAAGAAUGAGCUUAUAUUACAACUACGCAAGGUGGCCUUUAGAGAUAAGUUUGAUUUCAAGAUUGCACAGUCUACUAUGACACGUUUCGAGGCUCACUGUUGUUCAGAAUCAUGUAAAUGGCGUAUUCGAGCAACUAGAAGUUCGAACGAGCAAAAUGUUCCUUGGGUGGUGAAGAGAAUUGAUAAUGUACACACUUGUCAUAAUGAGGUAUUGGUUGAUGGACGUCAUCAAGUAAGGAGCCGGGUUGUCGGUCAUAUUAUCGCAGAAAAAUAUAUUCAAGAUAAGAGGAUUUAUACUCCCAAUGACAUAAGAGCAGAUAUGCAACAGGAAUACGGUGUUCAGUUAACAUACCAGCAGGCAUAUAGGGCGAGAGAAGUUGGUCUUGAAAUAGUUCGCGACAACCCUGCAGAGUCAUACAACUUGCUCCCUAAAUACUCUCACGUACUAACUACAGCGAAUGAGGGUACAGUCACUCACCUCAAGCAAGAUGGAGAUGGUAAUUUCUUAUACUAUUUUGUAGCACUCGGAUCUUCCAUCAAGGGGUUUAUGCAGUACAUUCGGCCUGUCAUUGCUGUAGAUGGUACUCAUCUGAAGGGACUAUAUCGUGGAAGCAUGUUCGUGGCAACAUGUCUUGAUGGUAACAAUCAAUUGUAUCCGUUAGCUAUUGGGAUCAUGGAUUCAGAAAACAAUGAUGCUUGGGAAUGGUUUAUGAUGAAGUUACACGAAGUGAUUGGUGAUAGACCUGAGUUGGUAAUUAUCUCUAAUCGAUGCACUACCAUAAGGAGAGCCGUUCUUAAAGUAUUUCACAAUGCAACUCAUGGCGUUUGUUUUUACCACGUCAAAGGUAACAUUAAGUCACAAUUUAGAAUGUCCAAAGCUCUUUGGGAUGAAUUUGAGCCUGCCUUUAUUAAUGCAGCAAAAGCAUAUGGCCAUGAGGAAUUUAAGAGACAACUUGAGGGGUUGUGGAUGGAUCCACUCGGGUGCGGCUGAUUACCUAGAAAAUAAUGUCGGUACGUGUAAUUGGGCAAGGUCUCAGUUUGAAGGUAGGAGGUACAACAUUCUUACCACCAACAUCGCGGAGAGUGUUAAUGCUUUCAUGAGGGAACCUCAAAAAUUUCCUGUUACUCAUCUUGUUGAUCACUUUAGGAAAACAUUGCAGCAAUGGUUUUAUGAUAGAAAAAUUGUGGCUGAAUCAAUGACUACUCGGCUAACAACAUGGGCGGAUGAAAUAGUCACUGAGAGGAGAACUAUAGCUGAAAGAAUGAUAGUUCGGCCGGUGUCUCCGCAUCGCUUUCAAGUUAUAGGCGGUGGGCUUAAGGAAGGGUUGGUUGACUUGCAAAAGAGAAUUUGCUCCUGCAGAGUGUUUCAGCUUGAUCAGCUUGUGUGUGCUCAUGCAAUUGCGGCGUGUCUAACAUACCGGGUGGAUUUUAUUAACCUUUGUUCAGACUUUUACACUACAGAAUCGUUGGCGAUGGCUUAUGCACAACCAGUGGAGCCAGUUGGUGAUGUGGCUGAUUGGGAAGUUCCAGAUGAAAUUCAGGAGAUGCAAGUAUACCCACCAGUUGAGGCACCACCACCUGGCCGUCGUAAAGAGCUCAGAAUACCCUCGGCUGGCGAGGACGUUGACCGGCGGACUGUAAGAUGCUGCCGGUGUCAUGAACUAGGCCAUAAUAGUAAGCGAUGUAAGAAUCCUAUUGCGUCGACUCGAAGUUAGUUGUAUUUUGUGUGUUAUUCGGUGGUUAAAACUAUUAUUGUUUUUGUGUUUCGUUGGUUAAAACUGUUAUUGUUUUUUGUAUUUCGUUGCUUAAAACUGUUAUUGUUUUUUGUAUUUCGUUGCUUAAAACUGUUAUUGUUUUUUGUAUUUCGUUGGUUAAAACUGUUAUUGUUUUUUGUGUAUUGUACACUUAUAUUUCAUAAAACUUUAUUUUAUUUUAAAGUUCAAAAUGUGAGGCAUUAAAAUUAUAUAAACUUAAGUGCGCAAAUUAAAAAAAAAUUCAAAUUUCAACAUUAAAAUUACUACAUAGGUCUAUAAUAUAAUAUCGUCAUUAAAUAUAUCAACCGCAAUCUUCUUUCUAAAGUACUCGACAUGACUAGCGUUAAACUCCAAUCUAAGCCCAAACAUUAAAUACAUCGUAACCAUCAAUACAAAAACACCGCAAUCGCCAGUUCCGGGCUCUUGUUGCGGCGCGCUCUUAACUGCGAUAACUUUCCACGGGUCUUCACUCCGCAACUCAGGUCGGAUAUUGUAGAAGCCAACAUAUUCCAACCAGCGAGGGAAUAUAACUUCAAGUGGCUUGAAUUUCAACUUGUACCUUUUGUCGUCGCGAAAUGUGAGUAAUGAGUCAUAGAUCCAGACUUUAUUUUUCCGAAAGUCAACUCGUGCUAGUACCCAAUGCGCGCCGUCCAAGUUAACAGGGAUGAGUAAAUGCAUAUAAAAAUUGAAAAACAUGUUCGUUAUAUAUGCAAUUGAAAUACAACAAAGAAAAAGCAACAACUCGAAUAUUUUCAUUAUAGAACAUGUGAAAUGUAAUAAAAUACAUACCAUAUCGACAUCUGUCAUUGAUUUUGACAUUGUGUGCUGUCGCCCACAAAGAUAACUAUUUAAGCGGUCGUCGAAUACUAUUGAAUCGACUGCACAAUUCUCGUUAUUCCAUAACUGAUUCAAGAACACCUAGUACAUAGAUAACCAAGAAAUGCAUAAAUUAAUAAAACUUAAAGGCAAUAAUUAAAAAAAAAUUAAAUAGUAUUUAUAAGUUUUGUCGGCACGUUACCCAAAAAAAUGUGUCAGUAUGUGUGACACGUUGGAGUAAGGCAUUUGGAUACUGCCGUUGUUUCUCGCUAAUCAAGCGGAGAUACUCGUGAAUAUGCUGUAGAGAAACAGAAAUAUUACGAUUUAAAAAAAAUUAUACACAAAUCCACAAUAGAAUACACCACGAGGAAAAUAUAAAUACCUCAUCGCCUAGCCAUCCCAUCGAAGCUGUCCCCAAAAUUAUUUGAAAGAAUGACCGCGGGUGCUGGACUCUCCGGCGGACUCUGCUAUCACCAGUGAACCAUCGAUCAAACUCAGCAAACAAACUAGAGUCCUCCAAUUCUCUAAGUGGAUUUACAUCCACACUUGUACUCAUGUCAAUCGCAUGCUCCAUGAUUUGGGGUCGAGGUAAGGGCCGGACGUUCUGUCCUCGCCUGACCGGAGGAAUCAUGUAAGGACUGUUAUAAACAUAUGACGGUAUGUACGCGCGGCCGAACUUACUAAAGCCCGGAGGCACCUCUGUGAACACCUGCACGCUCUCCCCACUAACAUCCCCGUAGAAACUAUACAAUGACGUGGGCGUAGACAAAUUUUCAUUGCCCACGUCAGUAUACACUCCAUAGUCAUCCGGGGCCUAUACAUUCGCCAAAAAGAACAUAUUAAAUAACUAUCAAAUUAAAAGUUAAACGAACAUAAUUAUUAAAUUUAAAUUAGCUUACCGCAUACGAGCGUGCAGUGGGAGAAUCCUUAUUUGGACGUUUAGAAAAUGUGUCGAUGAAGCCAACAACGGUUUCUUUAAAAUCUUUUAAUUCGGACUUUAUUUCAUACACGUUACGAUCAAUCUUAUCCAGCCGUCGUUGUACAUAAUCAUUAAACUGCUUUGUCCUCGACUAUUACAAAAGAAAAAAAUAAAACUUUAGAAUAACAAUAAAAAAAUAAUAAUUUAUAAAGGAAAAAUAUCGUAUAUUAUUUCUAACCUCAGAAUCCCGUGUGUCAUCAGAGUUGUCUGUUUGCUGGUGGUGGUCAUCAACAGCCACCUCAUCCUCAAAAGUGUCAUGACCCACCUCAUCCUCAAAAGUGUCAUGACGCUGCUCUGGUAUUGGGUUUGGUAUGUCGUCAUGAUCGUCAUGCUCGUCUGAUUGCCUUGUAACCGACGGCAUCGCGUUGAUCGAGGGUUGGUGCUGUAUAAAGUAUCAUUUAAAAUUAGUAAAUGAAAAGCCAAAAAUUUCGAUUAACAAAUUUUUAGUACUUAGAGUAUACCGACCUUAUGAACCCAGUCUGGAAUGCUUGGCAAGUAAUUCUUCACAGAGAGCCAAUAUUUUCUGCUACUCUCCUUUGAAUUUGGCUCAAGAGUUUGUAAAAAGUCCCCCUGCCAUAAAUUCAAUUGAAAAUUUUAAGUAAGUAUACAUAACUUAAAUUUAGUAAAGUUAAAAAAAUAAGUAAUACAUAUUACUUACAAGACGAGAUUCGUCGUUGAAGAACGAAUAAACCUCCGCAAAGUUGAUUCUCGAAGACGCCAUGGGAUUCCAUUGCAGAAUGCGGGGAAUCUUAUUCUUCGUUUUGACGACCCAUGUUGAUGGCAACCCUCCGAUUGCUUCGUAAAUCCAAGCCUACAACAACCAAAGUGAAAAAUCAAAUAAAACAACUAUCAAAUAUUUAAUACUAUAAAACUUAUUAAUAAACAAAAAAAAAAAGCACCUGAACCCCAGACGUAAAGCCGUAAAGAUUGUAUAUUUCAAUAUUAUGAUUUGGAUUUUUCAACCGAGUCUUCUUAAAUUUCUCGUCUUUCUCGAACAGUGCAUUGUCAAGACUCUCGUAAAUCAUUUCCCACGACAAUAGACCCCAUGGACGUUUUCGGAAGUACUGUACAUCAUCAACUUGGUCAAGCCAAUCGAAAUUAAUUUGACAGUGAUUUUUUCUUGCAUUUAGUACUCUGUCCGUAAAAUAAAACAGCGUAAUCUUUAAUGCGUCCAUAUCGUCCAUUUCCUCGAAUUUCAACUUCUUAAAUACUGCAUCGAAUUGCUUCACAUUAAUCUUACGAUGCACACCACCAAAAUACGUAUUCCGUAGCCUCUGCUCCAUUUCAUCAUUUUUUUCAUUGGUAUCAACACCAAAUGAAAGUCCAGUAACCAAGCACCAUUCGACAAUUGACAAGCGAAUCAAACGCUUACCAAUUUGAAACCAUAACUGAUCCUCACGGCUAUCGUCUUCAUGGGCCACUUGCCGCAGUAAAAGAUUGUGCAAAAUUACCCCACUAAACGAAAAACUUCGACACUCCAAGAAAUGCUCAAAUAUAUCCUUUUUGAACAUACUCAACUGCCGCAUUGUUAAUUUUUCCUCGAUGGCUUUUACGACCGAAGAUAACAUACACAUGCUCGAAAUUCGACCAGGAAAGUGAUCAGCAUAACGAAAAUACAUCUUGCCUACUUCAAUAUCCGGUGAUUCUGAUUUCGCCAUGUAUCUGUAAUAUUUAUAAAAUUAUUACAUUACAUUUACAGAAAAAAUAUACUCGUUAAAAAAAAAUUAUAAUUUUUGGUCCAAAGCUGGUGCGACAAUGCCUGCUGUCGCACCAAAUCUGGUGCGACAGCGUGCCGCGCAUGGGUGCGCGCGCGCCCCCUGCCCCCCUCCCUCCCCACCCCCAAAAUUAAGCGCAAUCACUCCAAAAUCGAAAACAAUACUCCCAAACACCACCAACCACCACAAACAUCAUCACCACCACUAUUAUUCUCAAGCUAUAACUAUUAUUAUUCUAAAAUCUCAUUUUAAAUUAAUGAAAAUAAGAAAAAUGACUAACCUAGGUUUUGUUGAAGGUUGUAGAUCGUAGAUCGGAUGCCGGUGAGAGAUGGAGCCGCCGCCGACGAGGGUUGAUGUCGCCGCCGAUGAUGGGAGUUGGAUCGGUUUGGGAGAGAUGAGUGCAAGAGAGUGUUGGGGGAGAGAUGAGGGAGGGAUAUUUUGGUCUCAAAUGUUGUUUUAUGGCUAAUGUUGAUAGAAAUAUUUUUGGGGGGGUAAGAUGAAAAAAAGUAAAAUUUUUUUGGUUAUUACUGUAAAUUUCCCUAUAACUUAACUAACAUAAAUAAAUGAUAGAUAUGAGUAAUGUUCAAGUUUUGUGGAUUUAAUAUUUUAAAAUGAUGCCGUUUAAAUUAACGACGCCGUUUUUAUGAAACUUAAAACAUAUCAACACUUCAGCCAAUUAUCGACCAAGUGUUGAAUAAACCCCUCUCGCUGCAACCUAAAAUCAUUGAACUUUGAGCCACUCUUAACAACAUUGUGUGGAACCCUAACCCUAAGCCUCAUUUCCACCACCGAUAAAGCUAAGAAAGUUUCCCGUAUAUCAGAACUAUGGCGAAUUGCCUUCAGUCCUUAGGACCCAUAAAAAAUCUUGUAUUCCCUCGCUUUUACUUCGCUAAUUUUUUGUAUUAUUCCAUCUCUUUCACUUUAAUAACCCAAAAUCUCUCCUCUGUUUCAAUCGAAAGAAAACCCUAGCUUAAAUUAAGCUGAAAUUUACAUAUCAAAGCUCUCGCUCAACUUCCCUCCUUCAAUUGAAACAAAAUGCAGCCAUAAAACCCCAAUACGCCACACCCUUUUGUCUCAGGCCAACAUUCAUUUAAACCCCACCUUUCGGUUCAAUGCCAUUUAAUGCGAUUGCAGAUGCCGUUUCAACUCAUUAUUUAGUUAACGCCAUUCAGUUCUUUGCUGUCAGCCUUAACCCUAAUAACUAAUCGACUGUGGUAGCACGUUGCUGACUCGGGCUGAGGAUACAUGAAUUAAAUAUAUGAAUUGGGUGAUGUCAGUGAUUCAUCCUCCUAUUUGCCGUGAAUUGAGAUUUGUGUAUAAUGUUUGUAAGAUUGUUAAAAAUUUCAUGUUCCAGUCGAAUUUCUUGCUCUCUCUCUAUAUAUAUAUAUAUAUUAUCUUCUUUAUAGUCAGGCUCUGGCUUUGCUGCUAUGCUUAGUGCAGUAUAUGGUUUCAAGACUAAAUUAGGUUUAUUUGACGACAUCGAUAUCUUACCUAGCUCUGCUUGAAAAUGAAAAUGUUGUACUAGUAAUCAUAGACUUUGUUUAUUCAGUUGAUAUUUUAAUUAUAUGUAUAAGAAUGAAGCUUUAUUUGGGAAAAAAAGAAAUAAAGAAAUAGGCUCUGUUGAAGCUAAUUAAUACUUCAUUCUUUCUAUACGUGCGACCUGUGGUGGAAACAUGAUAUGAAAAUGUGUUACUGGUGAGGUUGCUGCUUGAGAUGAGAAUGAUGAGAAUGCCUUCUAUUCGGAAAUCCUUGGUAGGUAUUAUAUAAUUAUAUUUGAUGGAAUAUUAAAUAGCUAAAGAACCUCUGAUAUUGUCUUUGUUCAAUGGUUACUGUAGUAGUGUUUGUUGGUCUUUUUCUGGUUGGCGUUUGGAUGUUAAUGUCAUCAUCAGUUGUACUGGUGUGGGAUCCAGGAUGUUGUCCUCUUAAGAGCCUAUAAGCAAAGUGAAACAGAGAGUAUCUGAGUUUUGUCUGGGCCUUUCGUAGAAAAUCAAGGUGAUGAAUGACAGGAUUCAACAAUGGGGAUGGGGAUGAUGUUCCUGUUGAAAAGUUAGAGAAUAGAGUGGAAGAUAAUCACGAAGAGAUGAAUAUGUAUGAGGGUGAUGGUGAGACGAGUGAAUCUAAGAAUAUGGUUAAUCAAAACCAGGAAGAGAAUUUAGUGAAGGAGAGUUUUGAUGAGAAUACUGAGUCUGAAGAGGAAUCUAAGGCGGUGUCUAAAAAUUACGAUGUUAGAAAAAGGGAAGAUAAGGAAUCUAAAAGUGAAGGUGGAGAUUCGAAUUCAGAAGCUGGAGAAACAGAAGGCGGCGAAUUGAAUAAAAUUGAGCAAAUUGAAUCAGAGAAGAGCUUGGAUGAAAAUAAAUGGAUGAGGCUAGUCAGAUUGAAAAGGAGAAGGAUUCUCAAGAUCAAGAUAAUGACACUGAGAGUCGUUGAAAGGAUCAGGCUUCAACUGAGAUUUUUCCUUUUGGUGACUAGUCAGAAAUUCUGAAGGAAACUAAUGCUCAGAAUGGGGCUUGCUCAACUCAACCUAUUGAGUCAUAGAAUCAGAAAAUAUCACAACAAACUUCUAUAUCUAAGGACCCGUAUGGUCAUCGCUGGAAAGUGUGUAAUGCCACUGCUAGGCCAGAUUGCAUCCCUUGCCUGGACAAUUUGCAAGCAAUUAGAAUGCUUUCCAGCACAAAAGCAUUAUGAACAUCGAGAGAGGUAUUGCCCUGAAGAAGCUUGUACCUGUAUUGCUCCUUUACCGGAAGGAUACAAACACUCAAUUAAGUGGCCCCAAAGCAGGGAUAGGGUAUGAUCUUAUAUUAUGCAUUAUAAAAUAUAUACUUGAGUACUUUUAAUUCACUUGGGCUAAGAUUUGUUCUCAUGCUGUGUGGGAUAGAUUUGGUAUUAUAAUUUUCCCCACACAAAGCUUGCAGAAGUUAAGGGUUAGCAAAAUGGGGUUAAAGUUACUGGUGAAUACCACAUUUUUCCAGGUGGCAGAACUGAAUUUGAGCUCUUCAUUACAUUGACUUCAUUCUGAAGGUGAGCAUUUUUCAUUUAUCAUUUUAUGUCUGUUGUUAGCUUCAAUUAAUACGUGGCUUAUUCUUUUCUUUGUAUGAACCAUGGGCGGUCCAUUUCAUUUUAUAAGCUAUUUCUUGGGUUUUAGCAAGACAAAUAAUAAGAUUUGUGCUGUUUUUGUUUUAUGCGUCUAUAUAAAUUGUGUGUGCGCAUAUCAUACUAGGGGAGUAUUGCUUUAAUGCUAUAUACAGUCAAGGACACACGGUGGGUCACAUUCUGACUCGUUUCAAUGCUUAUUUUAUAAAUAUUUACUUGUAUAUAUUUUGUAGUACUUUUAGAGAUGUAUUCUGCACUGGAUUUUUUAAGUGCUUUUAAUGUAGACUACUGUCUUUGUCUUUAUCUCUCUUUCUGUGAAACUGAAAGGUUCAUAGAAUUUUUUAGAAACCAGUAAUCUUACAAAAAAUUUUAACCUGUUAAUUAAUGCGGUUUCAUUAUCUUGAAAAAUUUUCAAGCGUGCUUGCUUUUUUCUUUUUCUUUCUUCUGAAAUAAUUGUUGAUAUUCCCCUUCUCUUCUAUCAAGUUUCUGAUUCUCUAAAGCCCACAUUAUUUUUGUCUUUCUUUAUACAGGCCUUUAUCAUUUAUUGGCCAGCACCCUUUCCUCGGUUCUAUAUAAGAAUGUAAUUUCGUCCGAAUCUGCCAAAAACCGUGUGCUAUUGUCAACAACAAAUCAGAAUUCCAUCUCCACCUCCUGACAAACCAUGCGUCACCACCUGCUUAGGAAUCCAAAGCCUUUGCUGGUGUUGAUAGUAUGUUCUCUCUCUAUCUCUGUUUUUCCUCGGUUGAGAAUUUAAAACAACAUCAUACUCAUCAUAUACUCUGUUUGGAUUCCUUGAAAUAAUAUUUUUUUAAUUUUUAUUGUUAUUUUGAAUUGUUUCUACAUAUUUUGAAUCAGAGUUGUUUGAGUAAAAUUUAAAUAUCAAUAUUACUGAUACGUGUCUAAUCUGAACUUCUUACCUUAAUAGCUUACUCACCUGUGCUUUUUUUUCUCCCCCCUUUUAAGAAUUCAAAAGCUAUAUUAUGGAUUUUGUUUUUGUUGUUUAUUGUCAUGAAGUAGGAGUGGGCAGAAAAUUGAAGAACCGUAUCAGAUUCGGUUCGAUAUUUGAUUCGGUUGUGCAAUAACCUAAAUUGGACGGUUUCAUUUCGGUUGGGAUGAAUGAAAACCGAAACCGAACCAAUAAUAAAAUUAACAAGCAAACCAAAUGAAAGUCCCAAAACAGUAACAAAACAAACACAGGUUUCUUAUCAAAUUUCACAGCACGACAUGGUCGCUCUAUUUGGUAAAAAAAUAGAAAAAAGAAUAAUGGGUCUCGAAAAUUUUUUAGAGUAUUUCUGUCGCUUACAUUUUUUUCCAUCGAUUAAUGUUAGUUGUAGGUGAAUGAUUGUUGCAAAUCCAUGUUAGCUUGUGAUUGAUUGAAAAUGGCUUGUGAUUUGUUAUGCUGCCAUGUGACAGAUUGAAAAUGGCUCUGAAAUUUUUUUAUUUGUUUAAGGUAUUACUGCUGAUUAUUGAACAGAGAUUCAUGCUAGUUUUUGUUAAAUUGAAGAUGAGAUUUUUUUUAGGAGAUCUGCAAAACCUUCUCUACUAUAGAUUUGGCUUCUAGCAUACCUGGUUGGCUGGAAAUAAUUGUUUAUACAGUCAUUGCUGCCUAUAUUAAUCAGGAAUAUUGAUUAGCAAUGUACUGGGUUAGAGAUUGGUAUAAUUUUGGAAAAUUAGUUGUAGAUGCAACCUGAUUAUGGUCUCAAAUAGUGUGAUCUGUCAAUUUUGUUUGCUCUGGCCUAAUAACCUUGAAUAUGAGCUAUGCCACUAUACAAAGUCUUGACCUAAUCACACUUGUUAGCCAAUGUCCAAAAUUGCAGUGUCUUUAGAUAAGUCCUUUCUUAUUUGUUUCGGUUAUAAAUGAAAAUUGCAGUGUCUUUGGAAAAUCAUGCUGAAUGUUGAAGUUAUGGACGAGAGGAGACCCCCAGAUUCAAGGCCGGAGCUCCCUGUUAAGAAGCUUUACAAAUAUAGGAUUGUCGCCUGGCAGAGGAUUGCUAUGCCUGGUUUUGUUUGGAAUAUGGAUGAAGAUUUUGCAUUGAGGCUUUUUUGAUAGAUCAUUUGGCAAAUCAAGCUCCAUGUAUCUAUCUUCAGACUCUUGGAUAUUUAUAAAGCAGGUGCAUGCUCCAUAUGUUACUCAAUGUAUCACGAUUAUUUUUCUAUUGCUUAAUAUAUUUGCAGUCCUUGAUGAAGUUGACAACUUAUGGAGGGUAUACAGAGGCUCAAGAGCUCAAUCGCCAUUCAUUUUANNNNNNNNNNNNNNNNNNNNNNNNNNNNNNNNNNNNNNNNNNNNNNNNNNNNNNNNNNNNNNNNNNNNNNNNNNNNNNNNNNNNNNNNNNNNNNNNNNNNGGAUUUUGUUUUUGUUGUUUAUUGUCAUGAAGUAGGAGUGGGCAGAAAAUUGAAGAACCGUAUCAGAUUCGGUUCGAUAUUUGAUUCGGUUGUGCAAUAACCUAAAUUGGACGGUUUCAUUUCGGUUGGGAUGAAUGAAAACCGAAACCGAACCAAUAAUAAAAUUAACAAGCAAACCAAAUGAAAGUCCCAAAACAGUAACAAAACAAACACAGGUUUCUUAUCAAAUUUCACAGCACGACAUGGUCGCUCUAUUUGGUAAAAAAAUAGAAAAAAGAAUAAUGGGUCUCGAAAAUUUUUUAGAGUAUUUCUGUCGCUUACAUUUUUUUCCAUCGAUUAAUGUUAGUUGUAGGUGAAUGAUUGUUGCAAAUCCAUGUUAGCUUGUGAUUGAUUGAAAAUGGCUUGUGAUUUGUUAUGCUGCCAUGUGACAGAUUGAAAAUGGCUCUGAAAUUUUUUUAUUUGUUUAAGGUAUUACUGCUGAUUAUUGAACAGAGAUUCAUGCUAGUUUUUGUUAAAUUGAAGAUGAGAUUUUUUUUAGGAGAUCUGCAAAACCUUCUCUACUAUAGAUUUGGCUUCUAGCAUACCUGGUUGGCUGGAAAUAAUUGUUUAUACAGUCAUUGCUGCCUAUAUUAAUCAGGAAUAUUGAUUAGCAAUGUACUGGGUUAGAGAUUGGUAUAAUUUUGGAAAAUUAGUUGUAGAUGCAACCUGAUUAUGGUCUCAAAUAGUGUGAUCUGUCAAUUUUGUUUGCUCUGGCCUAAUAACCUUGAAUAUGAGCUAUGCCACUAUACAAAGUCUUGACCUAAUCACACUUGUUAGCCAAUGUCCAAAAUUGCAGUGUCUUUAGAUAAGUCCUUUCUUAUUUGUUUGAGUUAUAAAUGAAAAUUGCAGUGUCUUUGGGAAAUCAUGCUGAAUGUUGAAAUUAUGGGCGAGGGGAGACCCCCAGAAUUCAAGCCGGGAGCUCCCCGGUAAGGAAGCUUUCCAAAUAUAGGAUUGUCGCCUGGCAGAGGGUUGCUAUGCCUGGUUUUGUUUGGGAAUAUGGAUGAAGAUUUUGCAUUGAGGCUUUUUGGAUAGAUCAUUGGGCAAAUCAAGCUCCAUGUAUCUAUCUUCAGACUCUUGGAUAUUUAUAAAGCAGGUGCAUGCUCCAUAUGUUACUCAAUGUAUCACGAUUAUUUUUCUAUUGCUUAAUAUAUUUGCAGUCCUUGAUGAAGUUGACAACUUAUGGAGGGUAUACAGAGGCUCAAGAGCUCAAUCGCCAUUCAUUUUACACUUGGCUGGGCUAUAGCAUACCAACUAGUGAUUAAUAAAGAGAGGGUAUGAAGGUCCUGUUGCUGGUGGUAUUAUCAAUCAGAAUUGUUAUUUUACUUGGUCAUACUUACCAUGUAUACUAUUCGUAGGCUUUUUUCAUUUUCAUGCAUUCGCAUCAUCUUCUUGUUAAGCUACAGAUGGUUGAUUUGUGUACUCAUUUGUAUCACUUGUAGCUCUUGAGGAAUAAAAUUUAAAAUUAUGUUGCAUCUCUUGUACUAAAUAGUAAUUUUGUUGGCUUUAUGUAUGGGAAAUGGUUUGUUGUCUUAUUUCUUUGAUGUGUAUGGUGUUACACUGUCUAAAGUUCAGAAGUAUUUCUAUCACUUGUGUAAAAAACAACCUACUUUUUUCGUUCUUCUUAUAUUGAAUAAAAGAGGGACACCAAGAUUGAACGAAAUUUGAUUCAGACAGCAUAGCAAUUAGGCCAGCGCAAAACAGCUUCCUUCUGAUUCUUUGAUAUUUGACUUAAAUCUUUUGUUUGUUUCAUUUAUCAAAGUCAUUUUGGAAAGUAACGGGGGUGAUUUGAUAUUUUCAUUGCAUUCACAUCCCUUGGCACCAAAACAAACAUGCUGGUACUAACCAACAAUUUUUUAUUUUCAGUAUACAAAUUUUUUUUUUUCUAAAUUAAGGGUAUUAAGAAAAGGUAUACUAGCACCAGAGGAGGUAUUUGAGAAUACACAAAUAUAAUCUAUCAAAUUGAGAAUACGCCAAAUCUCCGGAGAGGUUUUUGAUAAAUCCUUUUUUUUCUUUUUCCUCCAUUCACUAUAGGUUCAAUUUAGGGUGGUUGUUAAGUUAUAUCAUUGUGUAACAUAGAUCAAUUCAACAGUUGUUACCAGUAACACAAAAGUAUAACGAACAAAAACUAAUUGUGUUACUGGUAGUAACUAUUAAAUUGAUGUAUGUUACAUAAUUAUGUAACUUAACAAGGUCUUCAAUUUAGACACGGUUGACCAAACUGAAGGUUUAGGUUGGUAAACGCACUAGUGUUAAUGUCAACAACCCAAGGGGCUUCAUGGUCCUCUAGGCCGAAAUAGCGUAAUUAUUAAUUCUCCUCCACUGAAAGUCUUUAUCAUCUUGGGACAAAUAAUUACAAAUUGACAUUAUAGCUGUGGAAAUUUGGAGGUGUAACAACCGGAAAAAUAAAAAUCUUAAGAGACUUUAAAUAAAAAAGAUAACACCUUCAAUUUGCUAAAAGUAAUGGUAUCAUUUCUUGUAUGGAUAAUGGAUGAUUAUAUUUUGUUUUUGGUUAUCUGACGAAGGAUAUUAAGUUGUUCUUUAUGUGUUCAUAGGCAAGAGCAUGAGCAUAUGCAUGAUUUGACAUAUGGUUCUUGCAUUUUCUAAUUAAGUGCUCUUUUUCCUUGCCUUCUUAGUUUGAAAGAAAGAUGUGAAGCAAAGCAAACCCAGUGAAAUGUACAGAGAAACAGAACCAUCAGAGGAAAAACUAAAUAACAGAACUACAAUUGAACCAAACAAAAUCAAAUAAACGGACGCAACAGAUGCCCUGAACCUAGUAAUUACUCAAGAGUUGAGGAGUUGGAAUGAUUUGGUAUUCAUAUCUUCACAAAUCAUAUGCUUUAAUGCAGAAUCGACAGCUUUAUAUUAUUUUAUUCAAAAAACGAUAAAGCAGGAAAACCACAAUAAUCCACCAACUUUUGAUACUUGUAGGAAUUUUUUUUAGUCAAAUUAAGUUUCAUGAUAACACAAGUGGCUCGUCCACACACUUGCACUUGCUUGAAUAUUUGUGCCGACAUUUUCGUAUGUGAUGGUACUUCUUAGCCAGUAGAUAUGUUGAAAUACUACAAAACAGAGUAUUUGAUGAAGUUUUGCUACUUUCGUAUCCCCUUUUUUUGUUGCAUAACUAAAUUCUUUAUAAACACAAAUUAGAAAGAUACAAAUAAUACAGUAGCUUGAAUUUAUAUGCUUUUAUGAUUAUUUGAUAAUCUAGUGCUGAUCAUAUGUGAUGAUAAACUUAGCUAGUAGUUUUAUAUUUGUUUUCGCAGUUUCCUUAGCGUUCACAUUUUGAUGAGUAAAUUAAGGAUUUCCAGAUGAAGUACAUAAUUAGAUGAAUGCAAAGGAACUGAAGUUUGAUUAAUUGAAAACAAAAAUAAUAAUGCAGGUAAUUGCGAAAAUGAGCAAUGCAGAAGUAGUCCCUAUAGUAUUUCUAAAUUUUCUCUUGGGGUUCCUUAGUAUUCCUUAAUAUUUUUAAAAAAUGACAUGACGAUCUUUGAGUUGACGAAUCUUGGCCUGCUGCUUAGUACCCUUCCAACAUAUAAAGUACUAGAUGUUUUACUGAGAAAAUGACGAGAUCAUUUACCAAAUUUCUUGCCCAUAUAUACGUAUGUAUACGAGAAAUGAGAAUCAGUGAUUAUAAGACCUUGCAAUGAGACAAUAAUACAUCAUCAAAUCUAAAAAUACACAAGAAAUUCGGGACAUAUAUAUAACAAAAGACCUCUCAUUGAGUCAUACAUAUUGAGAAUAAAAUGUCAAAAUGCAUACAAAGAGCUUAUACAAAAAAUGAAUUUACACAUAUUUAGAAUAAACUGUCUUUGAACUUUCGAUGGUCAAACAAAGGAAACAGACAGGAUAUAAUACACGCCGUCAUAGAUGUAGCGACACGGUGAAGUAAAUCACAUGAAGAUGGAAACGGAAACCCUUCACAACAUAAAAUUUGAAUAGAGGGGGAAAAAAGGCUUCAUUUCGAAUGUUGCACAAAACUAGAAUAACAGACAAAAUAUUGUGCUUCUAUACUUGUCACAAAACUAGACCAAAUUAGUUUCCUUUUUGGUUUGUGAAAACUUGAUAUUUUUGAAAAUUCUAUCCAAUGCUUUCAAACAAUAUUUCCAUAAUAUAGUUGUUCAUAGCUAACCUUUGAUGGUUUAAGCAUUUGUUGUAGGCAUGACGGGCUAAUUAGAUUAUUAUUUUUUUUAUCCGAUGAAUGAUAUUCAGCUGUUCUUAAUUAUGUGUUAAUAGGCAAGAGCAUUUUCUUAAGCACUUUCGUUGCCUUCCAAGUUUCCAAAGAACAAACAGAGCACAAACAAAUUUAACGGAACAGUAACGAUGACAAUAAAUAAUUGGCAAGGAAAGAAAGAAAAAAGUUUGCAUGAUUUCAAGGAAUUAUAAAAUCUGAACACUUUCAACAUGCAAGUGUUGCCCCUCUUAAUGAAAUUUCAUCAUAAAAUGCUUGCAAGGAAUUAUAAAAUUUUAGAGAACAAGCGAAUUAAAUUAAAUUAGACCAAAAGACGCUCAAUGACGCAAAAUCUGCCCAUAAAAGCCUGAACGAAUCAUGAAAAGUGCAUUCCAUAUUGACAGUAAACCAAGUGACCCAUUCUAAACAAUUGAGAUGAAAUUGUGAAACAACCCACGAGAUCAAAUAAAUAAAAUAAGAAUUAAUUACCAGCUGGGACUUUCUUCUUCAAAUUCGUAACUCCAAGUCAUAAGAAGCCUAUGAAAUUAGUCGUAAUCCACAGAGUAUGACGACGACCCCGCCAACAGCUGAAAAUAAAAUUCUUAUUCAUCAAUUUAAACUAACUUUAUAACAAAUAUCUUAUCGAUAUUUUAUUUAAAAAGAAAAAGAAAAUUUUGUAAAAAUUUAUCAUGGGAGAUAGAGAGUAAUAUGUACAUACGUACCUUCUCAGCAUGUAAUUGUUGUAUGGUCGUGUUAAGAUCAUUACCAGCCCAACGCCGUUGAUUCGAUGUCUCUCCAUACCAGACGUUUACUCUUGGAGGCGUGAUUGAUUCUCCUGUAGUGAAAAAAUUCAUCUUGGGACAACCAAUCACACACAACUCUUGCAAAGAUGGGAAUUCAAAGGUGUAAUUGGCAGAGCAGAAACUUGUGAGGCUGUCUAAAUCGCGCAGUUCCAACCUCUUCAAUUUGCGGAAAACAAUCUCUUCUUUUUCAACCCCGUCUUUGUCAUUUAUUACCACCUCUGUCAUUGCUCUGCAUCCAUAUAUACUCACUUUGACGAGUCGCACUAGAGUUUUUGCUGUGGAGGAUGUUACCAAGUGCAUCAAUCCCUUGCAACCGAAAGCUAAAAGUUUUGUUAGGUUCCGAAAAGAUACCGAUGAUGAUGGCAAUAGAAUUAACAGACUUUGACAAUGAUGUACUCCUAGAAUUUCAAGAUACUGAAAAAUGGGGCCAAGUUUGGAGUCUUGUUUGCACAGCUGCUUCAGAUGAUAGUGCCAGCGCAGCUCUAAUGCUUUUAUCAUUGCCAACUUCCCCACAUGUUUCUCUAAGCAUCCUUCCAUCGAAAAUAGCUCUUCGUGGGAUGAAAAAUUAAACAGAGUGAGUAUUUCGAUAUUGUGAAAUCUCUCCAGUACGUUCCAGAUUGGAAAACAAGCUGAGUCAUCUCCAAUAAUCUCUAGUUGUUUAAGACUGCCAAAAAGGUGUUGUGGGAAAUCGGCCUGCAAAAUCAUCUUCACAUCUUUUCCACUUAGUGAUAGUUUCUUCAAGUUGGGUACGAUCUGAUCAUCAUCAAUCAUAAUAACUAAUGAGGUCAAUGAUGAGCUUUUUUUCAUUUUUUAAAACAAAAAUAUAAAAGGUUUUUUAAAAUUUUUAAAAAAUAAUUUUUUAAGAANNNNNNNNNNNNNNNNNNNNNNNNNNNNNNNNNNNNNNNNNNNNNNNNNNNNNNNNNNNNNNNNNNNNNNNNNNNNNNNNNNNNNNNNNNNNNNNNNNNNGUUCAGCUGGCUGACCUAAUUUUUUGUUUCUAGGUAACAGGCUUUAUAUAUCUGUAAUUGAUAGCCAAGUGAAGUUCUCAGCUGUGGUGAGGAUAUUUCUUUACAGAAGGUAUUGCAAACUGUUUUUUAGAUUAAUUAUUAUUGUAUAUAUACUUUAAUUUUCACAUCUUUUUCUCUGAUUCUUGUGGCUUUGCUUGCUUCCAUAUAUAUAAAACCAUAAAAUUGUAUAAUAAUUUUUUUUAUUAUAUUGCGAAACUGCGCACACAUGAAAAUAUCUUGUUUAGUAGUAGAAAUGAAGAAUUAAAGUGAUUUAUUUAACUAAUUUUUCUAGUGCAAUAAAAGGAGAUAGUCAUGGACCAGAGUUGGGUUGGUUUGCCAAAUAGAUAUCCAAUUCAUAUACUGAUGGGGGUCAAAAAAUUUAUAGAUUUUGCAUUUGAGAAUGUUGUUGGUGAUAAAAGAAUUUAUUGUCCUUCUAAGAGGUGUUGUAAUAUCGAUAUUUCAUUAUAAGGAAAGUGGCAAGAGACCAUAUCAUUAUAAAUGGCUAUUGGUUAAAGUAUUAAAACUGGAUAUUGGAGGGUGAGCCAUCUUCAUCUUUGAAAUCUAACUAAGAAACAGGUUAGUCAUGACUCGGGUAGUGAUGCUAGUAUGGUUGGAAUGGUGCAUAAUGCAUCACGUAAUCAAAUGUUCAAGUCACACGCAGCAUUGUUAUGGACUAUCUCCGACUUUCUAGCAUAUGCCAACUUGUUUGGGUGGAGUAUUAAAGGUAAAUAAGCAUUUCUUGUUUGCCAACAAAACACUAGAUCUAAUUGGUUGAUACAUAGUAGAAAAUUGUCACGUGGGUCACCGUCGAUUUUUACCAACAAAUCAUAGGUUCCGAAAAUAUAGUGCCAUCUGAUAAAACUAGAGAGUGGGGACAAGCACCUUCUCGGUUGUCUGGAGCUGAGGUGAAAAAGCAGUUCAGUAAUGUACUUACUGAGUAUAAGAUUGAAGACUUGAAAAGAGGAGAAUGAAUAAAAUAAAAGAAAUGAUAAGAUUACUUGGAAGAAGAAAAGCAUUUUUUAUGAACUAACGUAUUGGGAGUUCAAUUUGAUUCAUCAUAAUCUUGAUGUCAUGCACCGUUUUGAUUUUUGUUAUGAACUCAGAUCAAAAGUUUAAUGUGAUCAAAAUUUCUUAAAAAUAGUGAAAACGACUCCUCCUAAUAAUAUGGAAGAUGGCUAUAAAAGAUAAUUUCUUAAAAGUUUAAUGUGAUCAAAAUUGCUUGUGAACGCAAGGGUUUUAGUCACACUGUCAACGCUGUCAAUGUAGUGAUACAAUGAAGAUGAAGUAAAGCAUUAGUAGAAUAAUGAAGUUGACCAGUAACACAGUAAAGCAAAUUUUAUUCCAGAGCAUGAAAACUUUUAAACAGUAACACAGCUCUUAUUCCAUAGGCUGCACACGAGUGACCUGAAUCUUCUUCAGAACUUUCAAAUUUUAUCAAGCAAAGCUUUCAAAAUCCUUGCCUUCCUAAGUUAGGAAAGAUAGAUGUGGAGCAACCCAAAUGAAAUAAAUGGGUAAACAGAACAAGCAGGGCAAAAAUUAAAAAUGAUGGCAAUUAACAAAUUAAUAGCAAUGUUACAUUUGACUCUUUAGCCAUUUGUUCCUUCUCUUAGCAUUCUUCAAAGGUUUUGAAAAUUGGAUGUGAAGCAAACAAAAUAAAAUAAAUUUAGACAACACAUACCCUGUAUUCAGCAUCAUAUAUAUGUCGAAUAUCUAAUAUAAUAAAUUUCACAUCCAAAAUACUAGAAUUUCAAACAGUACUAGUAGUAAAAAAAUGACGACAACAACAAAAAUAGAAAAUUACAAGACUGCUGAUAAAAUUUCAUUUGCGUGCAUGUCUGACAAAAUUUCCGUGGUUUAAUGUGCGUUCAUGCAGGCAAGUCCUAACGUUUCUGUGAUCACAAAAUGAAACUGAAGAUAAACCUUUCAAGCUUGACGAAGCCAUGAGAAUUCAUAGCUCAGGCUCUGAUACCAAGUUAAAGUUUCUAAUCUGUUUGAUAAGUAAGAAAAUGAGAGAAAAUGAAAGAAAGAACAGAGAUCAUCUAAGAGCUGGAUUUGAUGAAUAAAUCUGAAUCAUCCAUUCUUUAGCUGAUUACAAAUGUAUUUAUACAAGGUUUCUAAGCACCUGAGAGUUGAAUAACUUAUGCCAGCUCAGCUAACACGUCAGUAACUCUACCUAUCUUGCUUAACAAACUGAAACAAUAACUAACCAUUUUAACUAUCUUAACAAUCCCAAUAAUUUCUCCGUUUGUGUGUUUUUUUGAUUCAUAAUCAAAUGGGUAAAUGUUGCAACUAUUUUUUUUANNNNNNNNNNNNNNNNNNNNNNNNNNNNNNNNNNNNNNNNNNNNNNNNNNNNNNNNNNNNNNNNNNNNNNNNNNNNNNNNNNNNNNNNNNNNNNNNNNNNNNNNNNNNNNNNNACUAACUUGAAUUUAUAUGCUUUUAGGAUUAUUUGAUAAUCAAAUGGGUAAAUGACAGGAAGAACUUUGAGUUUAAAAAUCUGGGCCUGAUGCCUGGUAGCCCUCCAACCUAUGAAGCACUAGAUGUUUUAAUGAGAAAACGACAAGACCAUUUAUCAAAUUUCUUGUGGAUAUAAAUACAUACACAUAGACGAGACCAACCUCCUCAAAUGAGAAUCAGAGUGAUUACAAGACCUUGCAAUGAGACAAUAAUACACCAUCAAAUCUCAAAAUACAAUAGAAAUUCAUGACAUAUAUAUAAUAAAAGACCACUCAUUGAGUCAUAUAUAUUGAGAAUAAAAUUUUUUUAAUACAUACAAAGAGCUUAGCUAGAAUGAAAUGUCUUUGGACUUGCGAUGAUCAAACAAAGGAAACAGACAGGUUGCAACUCACACUAUCACAGAUGUAGCGACACGAUGCAGUGAAUCACAAGAAGAUCACGAAGAUGGAAACGGGAACCCCUCAUAAUGUAAACUUUGAAUAGAGGAAAAAAGAAAAACGACCUUAUUCACAGAAGAAGAGUGACUUAAAUCUUCAUCAGUAUCCAGACAUUCUGCAAUCAUAGAGUAGAGAAAUUUUAACAGGAACAACAGAGAAAAUAUUAUGAAUAUGCUACACCAAAUUAUCCCUUUUUUGGUUUGUGAAAACUUGAUUUUUUAUGAAAUAUUUUCAAUCAAUAUUUCCACAAUAUACUUGUUCAUAGCUAACAUUUGAUGGUUUAAGGAUUUGUUAUAGGAACAAUGCACUGAUUACGUUUUUUUUUUAAUUUUUUUAAUCCGAUUAAUGAUAUUCAGCUGUUCUUUAAUUAUGUGUUCAUAGGGAAGAACAUUUUCUAAGUACUUUCCUUGCCUUCUAACUUUCCAAGGAAAGAUAGGUGUGAAGAAAAGCAAACCCAAUGAACAAACAGAGCACAAACUAAAAUAAAAGAACAGCAAUGAUGAGAAUAAAUAAUUGGCAAAGAAAGAAUGGAAAAAGUAUGCACGUUUUCAAGGAAUUAUAAAAUACGAAGGCUUUUAAUGAAAUUUUAUCAUAAAACUUAUGCAAGGAGUUCUAAAAUUUUAGAAGACGAGGGGAGCUCGCAAAAAAAAAGAAAAAGACUCAAAUUAAACUAGACUAAAAAGACAUUCAAUUAUGCAAAAUCUGUCCAUAAAAGUCUGAAAGGAUCAUUAAAAUUGCACUGCAAAUUUAACAGUAAACCGAGGGACCCAUUCUAAAUAAUUCAGAUGAAAUUGCGAAACAAGCUAUGGGAUUAAAUAAAUGAAAUAAAAUUAAUUACCAGUUGAGACUUUCUUCUAAAAAUCGCAACUCCAAGUCAUAAGAAGCUAUGAAAUUAGUCGUACUGCAUAGAGUAUAUCGACGGCACCGCCAACAGCUGAAAAUAAAAUUCUUAUUCAUCAAUUUAAACUAACUUUAUAACAAAUAUCUUAUCGAUAUUUUAUUUAAAAAGAAAAAGAAAAUUUUGUAAAAAUUUAUCAUGGGAGAUAGAGAGUAAUAUGUACAUACGUACCUUCUCAGCAUGUAAUUGUUGUAUGGUCGUGUUAAGAUCAUUACCAGCCCAACGCCGUUGAUUCGAUGUCUCUCCAUACCAGACGUUUACUCUUGGAGGCGUGAUUGAUUCUCCUGUAGUGAAAAAAUUCAUCUUGGGACAACCAAUCACACACAACUCUUGCAAAGAUGGGAAUUCAAAGGUGUAAUUGGCAGAGCAGAAACUUGUGAGGCUGUCUAAAUCACGCAGUUCCAACCUCUUCAAUUUGCGGAAAACAAUCUCUUCUUUUUCAACCCCGUCUUUGUCAUUUUUUACCACCUCUGUCAUUGCUCUGCAUCCAUAUAUACUCACUGUGACGAGUCGCACCAGAGUUUUUGCUGUGGAGAAUGUUACCAUGUGUAACAAUUUCUUGCAACCGAAAGCCACCAGAGCUGUUAGGUUCUGAAAAGAUACCGAUGAUGAUGGCAAUAGAAUUAACAGACUUUGACAAUGAUAUACUUCUAGACUUUCAAGAUACUGAAAAAUGGGGCCAAGUUUGGAGUCUUGUUUGCACAGCUGCUUCAGAUGAUAGUGCCAGUACAGCUCUAAUUCUUUUAUCAUUGCCAACUUCCCCACAUGUUUCUCUAAGCAUCCUUCCAUCGAAAAUACCUCUUCGUGGGAUGGAAAAAAAAGCAGUGAGAGCAUUUCGAGAUUGUGAAAUCUCUCAAGUACGUUCCAGAUUGGAAAACAAGCUGAGUCAUCUCCAGCAAUCUGUAGAUGUCUAAGACUGCCAAAAAGGUGUUGUGGGAAAUCGGCCUGCAAAAUCAUCUUCACAUCUUUUCCACUUAGUGAUAGUUCCUUCAAGUUGGGUACGAUCUGAUCAUCAUUAAUCAUAAUAACUAAUGAGGUCAAUUGAUGAUCUACGGUCACACGCAGUGACUUUAUAGCAUUUGUUUUAUAUUAUAUUUUAAAAAAAUUGAAUUAUUGAUAAAAUUUAUUUUAUAUGUUAAUUUUAGAGGUAAAAAAGAAAUUAGAGAAAAAGGUUGAUUUAUACUGGCUCAAAAUUAUUUUAUUGCACAAUAAUAAAUUACUAAUUUAUUUUGUAAGUUCUUCUAAAUGGAAAGACUGAGGAUUCUUUUAUAAAUACUAUGCCUAAAAAAGUUCAUAUAAUUAUGAAUCUACCAUAUUGAUCCCUUAGUCUAGACUAGCAAAGAUUAUUGUAUAAUAAAAGUUUUCAAUUUAUUGAGCAUUAAUUUAUCGAUGCUUUGUCAUAUUUUUCAAAGUUAAAAAUAAGCUAUUGAUAAAAAAUCUAGAAAAUGGCUUCAUACCUUUCCCAACGGCAAUGGGAGCUGUUGUGCAGGAAUACCAAGUUGAUCAUUCUCAUUAUUCUGCGAUAAAUCUGCAGCGAAUAUCUUUAAUUUGUCACAACGAUACACUACAAGAAUUUCUAGCGCGGGCCAUUCCGAAGUAUGCUUUCCAGGGUACAAACAUCUAAGUUUUGGUAGAACUUGGAGUAUCAGAGUGGUGAGCUGUGGAAAGACAAAAUAAGGGAUCACUUGAUCUGCUCUGUUUUCAGAAAUGAUCUCCUGUAAAUUCUCACAGAACCAUACUUCUAGGCGUUGGAGCUGCUUAAGGCUUCUGAUCAUAGACGCUGAAAAUAUGUAUUUUAAUUUGUGACAAUGCCACACAAUCAAUCGUGUUAAAUUUUGAAAGCGAGGAAACGUGACCGGAAGAUGAUUGUAGUGCCAAAUCUGGUCGACAUUAAUUUCAGAUAUCUCCAAAACCUCCAAGUUAGGCAACGCAACCUAAAAAAAUAAGAAUUUCUCGUUAGAUCCAAUAUCCAUAUGGGAAGCACUUGUUGAAAUUUUCUUCUUUGAUUACAAAUUAAUGCAAGUCAGAAUCAAUUUCCAACUGACAGCUGAGUAUGCAUUCUAAUUGAUACUACUUGUUAAGAGCUCAAUUAGUGAGCGCGUGAGAUUCUUUUUAUCCUUUUUUCCAUUUUCUUUCCAUUCUUUAAAUGAUUUAAUUAUUUUCCACGUAUGACAUCAAAAGAGAACGCAUUAUAGAAUAAAGAAAAUGUUAGCCUACGCACCUUCUCGUUGAAAAGUAGAGUUGAAAUAUCCAAAGUGAUUUCGCUGGAGCAAUACAUAGCCGUCGAUUCCUCUUGCGACACUUGUCUGUUCGGUGAUGCUGAAGGAGUCUCCACCUCACAGCAAAAACUUGUAACCUCUGGAAGAUUCCCCAGACUCAAAGAUCUUAAUUGAGCAAACUCUAUCUUCUCAAUUGCAUUAUCAACUUCUUCCCCAAUUGAAAAAAUUUCUUUCAUCUUGCUGCAAUUAAUAACUGCAAUUCUCUCAAGUCUUGGAAGGCAUUUUGUAGUAGAGAACCAAAAGAUAUUGCUCAACUUAUCACAAUUAUAUGCUUCUAUGUUUUUGAGUUGGUUGAAAGACUCUACUUUGAGCCGAUCAAUACAUAACCUCUCCAUGUUGAUCAAAUUGUGAAGGAUAAGUGACUGCAAAAGAGGAAAGGCAUCACAACCGACCAUCUCCCUUGAAUCGACGAUACAAAAGAUGUCAGGAUUAUUUUGAACCCAGAGAAGCUUCAAUUGUGAAAAGCCCUCCGUGUCCAAAUUGAAAAGAACAUUCUCGAUGCCUUGCAGCUUGUCCAACCAUAAGCAUUCAACGUUAUUGAUGCCCUGCAAUUUCGUGGAGCAAAUGUCCAUAAAAUCAAGCUUGAGCUUCAAUUCUCUUAAACUCUCACGAUUACUGUUGAUCAAAAAGUGCGGCCGGCUUUGAAACCAUUCUCUUGUAAUACUCUUGGGAGGCAUGAAUGACUCAUUUCCAAUGGAUAUUUUGAACCUUUCGAGCUUUCUGGCCAAAAAACCUUCUGGUAAAAUACUGUCAUUUUUAACGUCAAUUUCUAGAGUGGUUAGCCGAGGUAAAUGCAUCAAUUCAUCAAGGCUAGCAUUACUUCUUUCCCUGUUGUCUCUUUCAACCUCCCAUUCAAUGCAGCAAUUACCCAUAUACAGCUCUUCUAAUCGAGUUAAGCUUGAUAUGAGAUUGGGCGCAAUAACUUUUAGAUGGAAACAAUUGGUUAAAUCUAACAAUCUCAACUUAUUCAAUUGACCUAGUUCUUCUGGCAACUGCAUAAUAUCAGACAUCAGAAAGCUAAGGACUUCUAGAUUCUUCAACUUCCCAAUGAUUUCUAUGUCCCCCAACGCACUUUGAUCCAGACAUAGUGUGUGAAGAUUUACUAGAAGAUCAAUUGAAGAUGGAAAUGAAGAAAACUGCAUUCGAGUAAAAUCUAGAACUCUAAGCUUUUUCAUCCCUACAAAAAAGUUCUCAGGAAUAUUGAUUUCAAGAGAAAAAUCUUUGAGAGAGAUAUAUAAAAAUUCAAGGUUUGGGCAUUCUAAUCCUUCAGGAAAUUCACGAUUACUAUUAUUUCUUAAAGAGACAGCAUUGCAUUUUCGAAGUGCAUCCUCAUCUGGCCAGUCCCACACAUCCUCAUUUCUCACCGAAAACACAUGUUGGUGGCGGCAUGCAAUUGAUAUUGCGACAUCGCGAACAACAUCAUGCAUUGAAAAUUCUUCAUUGCUAUCACCCUCAAGCAACAAACAAGAGUCUCUAAGUUCAUGGACCAAUGCAUAUAAUUUGUCUCGUGCAUCUUCCAUCUUAUUGACUCCUUUAAAUAUACCCAAACCCAUGGAGUACUUAAACAGGUCCAAAGUAUGAAUACGGUUACCCAUUAGACUACAGAGGAGAAAAAUUUUCUUGAGUUGCUCACCUUUUAAAUGGUUGAAACUCAGCUCAAUACUUGAAUAAGUCUCUGCAGAUACUCCUUCGAAGUUCACCAUUGAAGGCGUUCGGAGUUCUCGCAAGGAAUUCUUCCAUUCAUGCAGACUCUUGCUUCUCAGUGCCUUUGCUACUGUGGUCAAGGCAAUGGGCAAACCUCCACAUGCCCUGGCGACGUCUAUUGCUGUAGAUUUCAACUCACGAUUUUCAACAUCAUCACCGGCCAUCAUCUUAAACAAUCUCCAGGCUUCUUCUUCAUUUAAAUUGUUUAUCAAAAAGUUGUCUUUAGAACCCAUUUUUAAAAGGACACUACGAUCUCUUGCCGUCAGCAGUAGUUUGCAGCCUUUAUGGUCUUCUCCAAAAGGAAUUCCAACUGUCUCCAAAUCAAGGUGUUUCCAAAUGUUAUCUAAAACCACAAGGAUCUUCUUGUGAUUUCUCAAUCGCUCAAAUAGUCUACUUGCUCUUCUAGAUUCAACUUCCUCGUGCAACUCCAGGCCCAACUUCUCGGCAAUUUCCUGUUGAAUCUUUUUUAUGUCUGGAGUUUGCGAAACCUCUGAAAAGACCACCAUAUCAAAGAGCUUGUCUUCCAUAGCUUGCCUGGCGACCUUCUUCACCAGUGUCGUCUUUCCAAUGCCGCCCAUGCCGUACACCCCAACGACACUAACAUUAACAUCGAUCAAUGCAUUUUGUAUGGCCUUCAAAGAAGAAAGUCUUGACUCGAAGGCCUCGUAGCCUUUGUGAGACUUGAGCCAUAUCUCCUCCGGAAUGGUACGGUAGGAAAUUCUAUCAUCAAAUCUUGCAGCUUCUUCUCGGAUUUUGACAAGUGCCUUCACCUCUGCCUCUGCUUUCUUGCUAAGCUGAUAGCGGGUCUUCAGAUUAGGGCACAGACCCUUGAGACAUAGCUUAUUUGUUGCCUCCUCGUCGUCAAUGAAUUUGUCUGCAUGGUCAAUGAUCUUGUUCGCAUUAACCAGCCAUUUCUCAACCUCCUCUUCAAUCUUUUCUCCUUUUCUUUCAUCCUCUGAAACUCUGCGUUGAAUGCUCCUACUUUUAUCCUUGAGCUUCUCGAUUUCAGCCUUGAGAUUCUCAAAGUUGUCAUUGGAGCAACGCAAGUAACGAAGUUGGUGUUGUGCUGGAGGAGCCAAGCAUUUUACAACCUCUAAAACGACAGUAACAAUGGAUUCCAUCACCUUCAAUACUUUUUCUUUUCUUUUUUUUUUUUUGGGGGGGGGGGGGUUUGUGGGAGGAUGGAUUGAUCUGAAGUGAAAGAAACAGAAAAAGAACAGGGGAAACGACUGGACAAUUGUUAAUCAAUGAAGAAGCCGAAGAAAAAACAGAUGACGGUGAAAGGGAACGGGACUAAAUUAGGAAGAGAAAUUGUAUUUGAGCAAAACAAGGAAAAAAUCAGUGUAAUAGAUGAGAAUCAAAGUGUUGUUGCGAUCAGAAAAUUGAAACAAGAAAAGGGUUUCUUGAUCCAAUGAGUAUACAGAGAGGUGAUGGCAGAAGGGAGCAAAGCUAGGUCAGGAGAGGGUUUCUUGAUUGAGAAUUGAACGCAAAGAGUAGGAGCUGAUGAAUUAUAACUGGUAAAACUGAUUUGAAGCAAUUCUAUUGAGCGAUCUGAAAAAAAUUAUUUUGUUCAAUAUCAUACAGUAAAAGGAACAAAACAGUAAAAAGAAAUUAUUUAUUUAUUUUGUCAAAUGUGAAUACAGAGAGUAUCCAAACGAGCAAUUAUUUCUUUCUCGUCUCAGUAAACUAUAACGACAAAACAGCAAAAGAGAAAAUUAUUGUCAAACGUGAAUCACGUUUCUAAUCUAUUAAUUAAAAUGAUGUUAUACAAAAAAUGCUAAUGCUGGGAUGAUUUAACUUCUAACUGAAAAUUGCUAAUAUCAAUGUCGGGGGUGAAGGACAUAAAUUAUUCGUAAUUGCGAUGUAACAUUUGCUGGCAUAUUAUGAAUGAAAGAUAAAUUAUAAUCAUCGAAAUGUGUGGGGUCAGCUGUCAGUUGUAAUAAAAUGAAAGUUUUAAUUUUUGAAAUAAAAAUUAAUAAUACCUGAUAAAGUGGUACCAUUGAAUCAGUCUACGGAAGUCAUCAGAGUUGUCAAUGGUUAGACCCAACUAUAAUAUGGUCCAACUAUGGUAUCCCAUUAAAUGAGCCCUAAAACUAAACUCAAAGCCACAAUUGCUAGAAGAGAAAUUUACACGAGAUAGGUCAUGAUGAACUUCUCUAAUGAUAUUUUCUCAUGUGCUAUAGUGAGACUCACAAUAAACCUUACUAAUUUUUUAAAUAUAAAAUCUUAUGAAUCCCAUUAUAAAACACAUCUAUAAUUUCGCUUUGAAAUUUACUGCUCUGCACGUCUAAGCUAAGCGGAGAAUAGACUUCAUCAACAACGCUUUUGUGAAUAUGUGUUGCAUUACAACACUCCAAUGUGAUCCUCAUCCAAUAUCCAUUAUUUGUGAUCCUUAUUCCUCUGCGUCAAUUAAAUAUUGUUCCAUGAAUUUUUAAUUAUUUGUCAGCUAAUAAUUAAGUCAUAUAAACAAAUUAAUAAUCUGAAUUAGUCUUUAGGUAUUAUAAAUAUUUGUAGAUUUUUAAUUAUAAUAUCAUUAUUUAAAAGUAAUGCUUCACUUACAUUAGUGGCAUGCCAUUACCACUGUCAUAAAACAUGUGAUCCUCAUCCAAUAGCCAUUAUUUGUGAUCCUUAAUCAAUGAAAUAUCUGACAAUAUCUGCGUCAAUUACAGUCCAGUCCAAUGCUGCCAUCAUUAUCGAACAGUCGAUAUCCAACACUUGCAUGAAGAUUCCAAGAAGUUGCAUGGCUGCCGACUUUUAGAUGCUAAGCCUCAUUGUGUCGAUGAUACACGAAACAGAGCUUAGAACUAAACAGUAGCUUAGUCGGAAAAUCAAACGCCAGUGCCGGUAAAAUGACCGAUAAAAAUAUAAGGAAAUAAAAAUUUUAAAGUUUUACUUCAUUGCUUUUUUAAUCUUAUUACUAUUUCUUCUUGCACUUCUAAAGAAAUCAAAGCUUUAAAAGAAAUCAGCCAAAUCACGAAGAUUGAAGUGAACAAAAAUUUUAGGUUUUAUACAACAUCUCUUUUUUUUUUUUUUUUGGUUCUAUUUGAAGUGAACGAAAUAAAAAUACAACAGGGUCAGCGACUGGGCAAUUGAUAGUCAAGUAGAAGCAAAUCAAGGCUAAAUGGGAAAGAGAAAUAAUAUUUGUACAAAACAAAGAGAAAAUUAGUGUAACAGAAGAGAAUCAAAGUGCUUUGGGAUCAGAAAUUGAAACAAGAAAAGGGUCGCUUGAUCCAAUGAAAAUGCUAAGAGCUGAUGGCAAAAGGGAACAAAGUUCAACAAGAAAACAAAUAGCACUAGCAGCGACCAAAAUAAACAGAAAAUUUGAGAUGGAUUUACAAUAUUUCUGCCUUUCUUUAUGCUUUAACAAAUAUUGCUCUAUCAAUAUAUAUAUAUAUAUAUAUUGAGCGUUUUUAUUAUUGGAGUCACAAAAGACCUACACAAUAUAGCAAGUGGCUAGGAAUAAAUAAGAUAUAUAACUUUCUCUCUAAUUCUCGCUCGGGCUUUUAAUUGUCACUCAAAACCCAGAAUUCAUACUUAAAAUUGUAAGCAAGUCAGACAUGACAGCGUCUGGUUGUCAUACGCGCCUUCUAGUUUCCGGAUGACAUGGCAUACACUUAUUCUGUAAAUCCAACAUGACAUGCCGUACUCUUUGUUUUGAGAUCAUAUUUCAAACUCUUCAUGCAAUGAAUGAAACAUAAACUACAAUCAUCAAAACUUUAGUGUUUGUUUGGUAAUGUAACGUCACGGUUGUUGUGAAUUGAAAUUAUUUCUGUAAAAUAAAAGGAUUUGGGUCAUUGAUUGUUAUUUCUGGCAAUAUUUGUUAAAUAUUAAAAAAAUAAAUUUAUAUUUAUUAAGUAUAAAAAAUAAAUAAACAAACAAAAAUAAAAGAAAAAAUUUAUACAUUACGUAAAAUAAUAAGAACAAUAUCAAUAUUUCACACUCUAUAAUUGAGUGAUGUGUUGUCCAACUGCCAUACAUUGGUCCCAAACAGAGACUUAAAUAUUAAAGUCCAAAGUUAUUGUGAUGAUGACUUAUAAUCGCCAAACUUGACAUACGGGUAAUCAUACAUUAUAAGGCGCUGAUUUCUUCCUAUCGGAACCUUAUUUUUCAUUUACAAAUAAAUAAAUUAUGUGACUUCACGGUUGGCGGGGUCCUUUGUGUCAUUUGGGCAUUUCACUAAAUGAUUGAUUGUAGCAGGAAGAUUCCUGGAAGUUGCCAUAAUGCUACUAACAUUUUAAAACUUGGAAAACCCUUCUAUCAAUCUUUUAGUGGUAGGCUCUGGUAGCUUGGUUUGAUUAUGGCGUAUGAUUAUUUGAUAAUAAAGUUAGAGGAUGUAUUAAUAUAAAAUUUGUUUAUUGGUGUUGAAGUUAAUUAUCUCAUUAAUAAUAGUAUAAAAAAUUAAUUACUAAGAAACACAUAACAGUAGUUAAUUGGUGUUAUAUUAUUGGGAUUCUGGGAUAUAAUUUUAUAUCAUAACUUUGUAGGUGUAUACUUACUCAUCAAACUAAUAAAAUUAUUUAAAAAUUUCAGUUGGAAAACAUAAAUUAUAUUAUUUUCAUUUCAAAUAAUCUAUAAGUUAACUCAAAACAUAAUCAAGCUGAGAAUUAAAAUAAUGCUACUGUAUGAGAGGAUUUUUAUUUUUUCCCGAAGUUUCACUAGGAAAUUAUUGAUACAUAGCUUUAUUCGGAUCAUCUCAGUUCAAACGACAAAUAAUUGAAAGACUAAGCUAAAUAGACCAGCCAACAACUUUGUACAAGAGAGUUCAAAAAUUAAAGUCAUGGUAUUAAAGUGUUCUAUAUUGAAAAGUACAGUGUAGUAAUAAAAUAAAAACUAAUAGUCUUUGGUAAGAUAUGACAUUUAAAUAAUAAUUUUCACAAAAAUACAAAGAAUAUUUAUAAAGUACUUCUAUAAUGAGGAGACCCUCACUUUGUUAAAGUGAAAAUAUCAAUAAUAUAAAAAAGACAUAUAUUUUAACACAUUAAAAAUUAUAUUUUUUUUUGUCUAUUGGUGUAUUGAAAUGUGUGUUAUUUAGUUUGUUAAUAAUAUAAUCACUUUGUUAAAAUGAGGAUGUCGUUGCUAGAGAAUCAUUAUAUAUACAUAUAUAUAUAAAGUGCUUCUGUCCAAGACCUACACUUUAUUAAAAUUUAAGAAAGCAAAUAUAUUUUAUAUGGUAUAAUAGUGUAAUUACAUCACACUAUUAUAUCAUAUAGAGUAAUAAUUUUUCGAACUUUAAUAAAGUUCAAGAUUAUAGAAUAAAUAAUUUAUAUAUAUUAUAAAUUUUUUUUAUCAUAAAGUGGAGGACAAAAUUAACAUAUUUAUUAAAUUAUAAUAAGUAUUUAUCAAAUAAUUUAACAUUGCAAUUUCUCCUAACUAGUAUAGUAAAUAAUACGACCUAGGAGGUACAUUCAAAAGCAUUUCAUAAGUUAGCUGAUAAUAAUAAAUGAUAUAUGCAGCCCAAUCAUCAUUGUACGGUGAGUAAUUUUUGAUGACUUAAUUUAGUGGGAUCAAAAUCAACAUUGAAUUUUUGACCAGCUGCCAACAACUUGUGAGCAGUUCACAGUGGGUACUGCACAUGAUGCCUGUUUCUCCUUUUGCAUCUAUUUUUGUUGUUAACAUUAAUUUCAAUAGCAGCUCGUUAAUCCCAUUUGUUGAUUUGGGACUAGAUAAGAAUUUAUCUUGGAACUCCAAUUCUCCAAUUAUUUUAGUUGACAAUAUAUUUAACAUUAUUAAUUGCAUAUUAUUUAAUUAUCAGUAUAUAAUAUUCUUUAAUUUUCUAAUUUUAUAGGAUUAGACACAAAAUUGAUUAUGCCUUUUGAAAUUUAAGGGUUAUGUCAAUUGAAUAGAAAACUUGGAGUUAAACUUGUGGAUGUUUUUGUUGAUUAUCAGUUUAUGCAUGAAUUUUUGUACGUUUACUUUGGUUUAUAAUUAUUACUUUUAAACAUUUUUAUUGGUUUGAUUUAUGGUCAAUUUGGUAAUCCUGUAGCUUUUAAAAUAAUUGCAAUUAGCUAUACUGUAGAAAUUGAUCAAUCGUCAAGAAAAUCAGCUGAACAUUUAGUAAAAUUUAUUUUUAAAAGUACUUUUAGUUUUGAAAGCGUCGUAUGAAUGAAACUGUUACACUAAAAAUUAAAUGUAUUGCCCACUUGGGUAAAUAAAGCUAUAUAUUACAACUGUUACACUAAAAAUUAAAUGUAUCUUAAACCCAAACUUCUUCUUCUUUUUUUUUUUUGACUAACAAAAUUAAAAACAAUAGUGAACACAUUCUUUAAUAAACAAUAAGUAAUAACUAAAAUCAUGUUAAAUUUCUUAAAAAAUUUCUUUCACGGUUUGCUAAAUAUUUUUAUUAGUAUUUUGAAUAAAUAAAAAUAGUUGAUUUAAUUUUUUUAAAUAAACUUAUUAGGUUCAUGUAAAGAUGUUUUUGUUAUUUUAAAAAGUGUAGAAAGUACUCCUAAAAAAAAGCGUAGAAAGUAAAACUUAAUUUUUUAAAUUUAUUUGCUGAGUGCAUAAAUAAUUGAGUGUUCAUAAUGAUUUUUAAAGUAUAGAUAGUCGGACCCUAAUUUUUUAAUAUAUGGAAAUUUUGCUAAUAUGUUAAUGAGAAUUAAAAAGAUAAUUAAGGGAGGCAAUCGAGACAUUCAGGAUAGUUAGGAUGGGACAUGAUUGUGAGCGGUUUGAUAUUGGUCCUAAUUUUGAUCACAAAUAUAUAAACAGGACGAGUUUAUCUCUACUUACAUUCCAUUUGAUAAUUAAGAUGAGAACGGAAUUGUCAAAUCUCAAAUCAUCCCGAACCAUUGCCAUCAAAGGUACUCUCACUAAUAAUAUCUAAAGAAAAAUCUACAUCUAUUUCAUACUCUUUUUUUUUAAAUGGAAAGAGCCCUCAUGGGGCUUGAAAUGUUAUCCUAAAUAGUAUUCAGAAUAUCAAGCCAUGAUUGGGUUUGAGACAAACAAAUAUUACAUAGUUAGGAUACGUAGUUAUAGUGUCCCAAUUUAUGUAGUAUCUAUCAUUUAGUGCACAUAUAAAAUAUUUGGACAUAUAAAAUAUUAAUCAACUUAAUUAAUUUAUAAAAUUUAAAUCUAAUUAAUAAGUGAUACAUAAAUGCCAAGUGCAAUACUGUAUAUGCAAAUCAUGUUUGUGGAUCAUUACAAAACUGGCUCUUGAAAACAAGCAAGAAAGCUUAAUUAAGAACUUAAAACAAAAAGAAUUAGAUUGAAAACAGUCAAGCUUUAUUUUUUCAAGGAUGGAGCUUAUAAAUCUUCAAGUACCAACAUAUGCUUGGUGUUGUGCAAAUUUUAAUGUACUCGCAAGCGCACGAAUCUAUUGUAGUAUCGAUCAAUGGUGACGAGUGUCGAUCCCACGAGAAGGUGGAUUUUAAUUGUGUAGAAUUAAUUUUGUAAAUGGGUGAUUGGAUUUGUGGUGGAAAUGAUUUGGAAUAUGCUAAAACUUAAAUUAAAAUGGCAAGAAUAAAUUUUAAAAUUGGUAUUGAAAUGGCGAGAAUAAAUUGAAGAGAAUUCUAUUGAAAUGACGUACUUGGGUAUCUGGAUCCGUAUCAACAUGCAUCAUGGGCUAAAUAAUCCUUAUUAAUGCCAAUUAAAUCAUGAGGGGGGAAUCCACACCUCAUGAACCACGCUCUAAUCAAUAUUGUGCUAAGGGCUUAUCGUGCCAAAUAAUAAUAACCUUGUACUAGGGGGCCGGUGAAACCAAGGCGGUACUAGACAAGAUUAGUAUUAUUUUUCGACGAGAAGUCAAAACAUCCACAAAAACUAGAGGGGAAGAGAAAAUAAAUUUACCAAAUAAGCCAUGACACAUGUUGAGACUUCACCUUCAACCCAAGCUUGAAAGAAAAUUAGCCACUCAUAAUUGAACUAGGGGCAAAAUGGAAAUUUAUUAAAAUAUGAAGAAAAUACAAGAUGGAGAAGGAAUUACAGAAAAUGGAUCCCAAAAAUGGAUUCAGAGAUCUCAAAUUAGGGGGGAGAGGCCCGCUUUUUAUAGAUACAUGGAGUAAAUCAUGACCAUCGGAUUAAAAACAGUUUGGACGCUCAGGAUUACGCCACGUCAUCAGUCAACAGUACGCGGUUUGACCACGCGGAUGAACAGUAAUGCGGUUUGGUUGAAAAUAAUCCUGUGUGAUGCAUGUACCGUACGCGAGAUUUUUCGUCCACUGAUAUGCUGCCACGUCACCAUCAACAAUUCAUAAGAAUUUUAGCCCAAUAGGAUCGUGACACCUCAUCAGUCAAUGCCACAUCAUCGGUCAAUGCCACGUCAUCGAUCCGUAUAUGUAAACAGUGUCGUGAACAGUAACGUAGACAGUACUGUACACAUGAAUAGUACCGUACAUGUGAAUAGUGCCAUUUUUCCUUUUAUGCUCCUCCUAAGGUUUUCGACCGUCCUGAGUUCAAAAGUGAUGUCCGUUUUGCCGUCUGACCUCUCCUUUAUUGUGAAAUGACUAUAAUGCCCCUAAAAUACAUAAAAUACUUAAUUAAAAUAAAACACAUGUAAUUAAAUCACAAGAAGAUUAAAUACAUAAAAGUAAGGGUUGUUAGUAAGACUUGAAAUGUAAAAUGAUGGUUUUCUCCUUUAUAAAUAUGCAUUUUCUAACACUCAACACACCCCCCAACUAGCUUAUUGCUAGUCCCUAGCAAAUAAAGCGAAAAUAAAAUUCAAAUUCAAAAUGAUUUUUUUUUUUUUAGAAACACUCGUGUUUAUUCAAUCAGAUUAAUGAUAGCAAUCAAAUAAAAGUAUAAGCAUUAUCUCCAGUCUAAAGCAACAUCACACCCACAUCAACCAUCCACAUGAAUCAGCCCAGUAGACUUCGUUAUAGCUACUUUCAAGAAUGACAUGUCAAACCCCAAAAUCUCACUGGAAGUAGUGACACUCUCACAAAGAAAUUAAAACCAAUAAAAAUAGUCACUCCAAUGAAUGUAAUUGAGAGAGAAAAUAAUAAAGAAGUGAUAUCACAUGCUCUCACCAAGAUGAAAUAAAUAUGCCCCCAGCUUAGAAAUAAUACGAUCUCAAGUCAAAUAAAAAUGCUAGUCAACCCAAUUUAUUUAUCUUUUUUUUUCUUUUAUUUAUUUAUUUAUUUUUAUUAUGCACCACUACAUCUUUUUAGCCCAUAUAACUAGUUUCUACUUCAGAUUAUAGUUCCCUAAAAUCGGGAAGGACUUUUAUUAGGAUGUAACGUAGGCUAGGGACAUGGUUAACAAAGAAGGGAAAUAAGGAAAACAAAGUGUAUGUUUGAGAAAAAUGCAGAGGAAAUUUUUUUUUUUUUGGAAGUUACAAGGUGGAUUUCACCUAUUAUUGUUAUUAUUAUUAUUAUUUUUUUUUUUUGCUUUUGCUUGGCACAAUGUCACUAAAUAAAAUAAUUAUUUACAUUUUCUCAAACAUAAAUAGGUGAUGGAACUUAUAAGACAUCGGGUAAUACUCCAAAUCGGAGUGGGUCAAGAUGAUAAGUUGACAAAGAAAAUAUAUAUAUAUAUUUUUAAAGGCUCAAAAGGGUUAACUAUGGAUAUUUAAUAAAAGGGAUGGUUAGAAAGGCUCAAACGGAUCAAAGAUGGCCUUUCCAUCGUCUUUUAGGGCUCUAAAUAAUCAUCUAUAUCUACUAGUUAGAUGGGCCUCCAAAUGUAGCUACACACAUUUUUUUUCUUUUUUUUUUAAUUUUAUAAUUUUUUUUUUAAGGGUUAACUCAAAAGAAAUCUAGAGAUCGUGUAUACAAUAAUAAACUGUUAAGCUGUAUAAAGAAUGGGCAAAAGGGUUACUCUCCAAGAAAAAUGAUAAUCUCAAAAACUCACUUGGUACUUAUUAUGACAUGUUCAUUCCUUCAAGCAACUCAUAUUUGUCUCCGACAUCAACAUGUAGAGUAGCAAACAUAAUGUAACAUCACUUAAGACCAAAGAUAAUACAAAUACUAAAAUUUGAAAUUAAUCAUGUCAUCCAAUGUUAAAACAAAUCACACAAUUUUUUUUUUAAACAACAUUCUACCCCCCAACCUAUUCUAAACGUGAAAGGAAAAUAUGCAUGCAGAAAUGUGAAAAUGAUGCAUAAAAACUAAUUAAAAAAAGUUACACGUAAAAUGAUAGAAAACGAAAAUGGUUUUUUUUUUUAAGAAGAUGUGUUUCUAGAGGCACUACACUCCAUAUUCAGCCAUCUUCGACUCAUAAGUUGGAAAAUGUAUAUUUAUAGAGGAGAAAUUAAAAAGAAGAAAAAUAAACAUAAAAACAGAAUAAAGAAAAAGAAAAUGUCUGAAUUUUUUUUUUGUUUUUUAAUUUUUUUUUAAACGAUGAAGAUGCGUUUCUAGAGUCACUACACUCCAUAUUCAGCCAUCUUCAACACAAAAAGUUAGCAACAGUUAGUUUCUACAACAAAAAAUUAGUAAAAACUUAACCAAAAUUUCACAAUUGUCGACUAUUCCCUCCCCCCAACCAGAACGAAACAUUGUCCUCAAUGUUUGAAAGGAAAGAAGUAGAGUUUAGAAGACAUCAACUGGGUGGUGCAACACAGAAAACAAUAUUUACAAGUGGAGAGUUAAAUCUAAUUUGUACUUCUUACUGCGGCUACUGUUACCAUCAUUAUUUGGAUGCUCCAACACAAAGGUCCAGGGGUCUGGCUCCGGUCUAUAAGCUUGUAACAUAUCAAGUAGCUCAUUAGCAGUGUGAGCACAAAUAAAGAGUUUUUUCGCAUUAGAGGGAAUGAAAUAGUUUUUUAUUGCAUGGUUAAGAAAUGCGAUAAAGCCAUCAUAAAAGUUAUUGACAUUUAACAAACCAAUGGGUUUCUGGUGGAUGUGCAGAUGGGCCCAAGAUGCUAGUGUGAUAAGUGCCUCUAGUGUUGCAAGAUCUCCUGGAAGGAAAAUAAAAUGAUUAAGCAUUUCAGUUAUUCUUUCAUGCAUACUUGAGACGACUAACUCUUCUCCAGUUGAUGAGUCAGACGAACUGUCCAAAGGUUUUAGGGCUCUUGGGAUGAUGCCUAACACUUGGCUGCCUCUGAUAAAAGCUGCUUCUGAGACCAUUUUUGAUAACCCUCGAUUACCUCCUCCAUACACCAAGUGUAAUUUUCUCUCUGCUAUACUUCGACCAAGAUCGAUGGCUGCCUCAACGAACUCUUUAUGUUUGCCAUAGGUAAAUCCAGAAAUCACACAAAUGUUCUUGAAUUGUCUAUUUGGAGGAGCUACCAUUGUGAUACUUCUCAAAAAAUAAUUUGUGAGUGCUUGACAAAAAAAAAUCACAUUUAAGAGUCUUGGUGACAGUGGGUCACAGUUGUGUAUGAGGUAACACGUCAGUGUCAAAUAACGCGUAAAGCACGUGGCUCGCGAGUCAAAAAGGAAACAGUAAAAAGGAAAAAGCAAACAGUAAUAAGGAAAAAGUAAACAGUAAUAAAAUUAUUAAAGACAAUAAUGCACACAAUAAAACAAUAGUGAAAUAAAAUAACAGUAAAGUGAAAGGAUAUUUACAGGUAGUUGCGACUGUAGCUCACAUCUUCCUCUGGUUUUACGUCCAGAAACGGCUUAAACGCCCUCUAUGGGUCGAGGAUAGGCUUCCUAUCUAGUUUUCUUAUAAACUGGCAAACAGGGUCGUUUAUAGUCAGAUUCCCGAGACUAUAUCGUGCAUGCUCUUUCUGGAAUAAUGGCCAUAACUGGAGAAUCGCUCCUUGCACAUAUCCAUUGGGAUGCGUUUCAAGAGAUAAAAGGAUAUCAUCCAAUGACUCCUUAUUCAAGCCAUCCCUAAUGAAUUGAAUCUUAUAUUCCCUGUUAUCAGACACCAUUCCUAAAGAACAUGGGUUUUUAUUCCUGCUCAUUCUGGCACACUUAUGACAAGCAACAGAAAUUCUUCGAGCUCGUCGUUUUCUUGCAUAAUUUCCUUUACCACAACCAGGCAUGUAUGCAAUAAAUUUUGGAGGUAACUCACCUGCCGAUCGUACUUUAGCCUCGAUUAACCAACGGAUGUCAGCAGGUAUGUUAUUCCUCAUGAGUAAUCGCAUGCGUUCGGACCGAGCUUUAUAGAUCGUAAGGAGGGCAUUCUGAGGAAGUGAAGGGAAUCGCUUGUGAAGCUUCGCUAGAAUCUCGUUUCUGUCCAUACUUUCACCUCAGAAUAUCAGUUAUUAUGAGAAACUGAAGUAACCGACUUGAUUGUCACGGAGUACCGUUAUCCGCCACUUCACCGGGGUAACAAACUAAAGCACACAAACAGAAAAAUAAAUUAAAACACACAAAGAAAAUUAAAAUUGUCCUCUUAUUGAAUUUACCUCAAGCUCCAACUGGAUGUCGUAAACACUUCUCUCAAUGUCUCUGAGUUGUCUUUCUAAACCCUCAACAUAGGCUACUAACUCUGGUGGUUGUAGAGCCCAAAUGCGAUGUGUUUUACAAAAUUGAAUCUGCCUUUUGAGAUGAGUUUUGACACAUUGAAGUGGUUUAAGAAUGUUCAGGAGGAACGGUCUAAGUAAGGUACUCAUGAUUAAAAACGAUAAAAGAAAACUUAAUAGUUAAACAAACACAUUUAUGCAAAAAUAAUUUCAAUUAGCAGAAGAAUAAUAUAAAGAAAAAAAAAUCAAAUCAACGAAAAGAAAAAAAAUCAAUUCAAAUCUGGUGGGUCACUCAAAUUUAUUUCGGUGUCUUCUCCAUGUGGUUGGUACUCUAGAUAUGGCUUUAAUCUUUGACCAUUAACUUUAAACGUGACACCGUUGUUUGGGUCCUUAAUUUCAAUUGCCCCAUGUGGAAAAACAGUAUGACCAAUAAAGGGACCAGACCAUCGAGAACGUAACUUACCUGGGAAUAGGUGCAAGCGAGAAUUGAAUAAAAGCACUUUCUAACCUGGAGUGAAUGAUUUUCUCAUAAUUUGCUUGUCAUGGAAGACUUUCAUCCGUUGCUUGUAAAUCUUGGUAUUUUCGUAUGCGUCAUUGCGAAUUUCUUCAAGUUCUGCCAGUUGUAAUCUUCUUUCUGAGCUGGCUUGCUGCAUGUCAAAGUUGAAUUUCUUGAUGGCCCAAUACGCACGAUGCUCGAGUUCCACAGGUGGGUGGCAAGCUUUUCCAUACACUAGCCUGUAGGGUGACAUCCCAAUCGGGGUCUUGAAAGCCGUUCUAUAUGCCCAUAAUGCAUCAUCAAGUCUUAAUGACCAAUCUUUUCUGUCCGGCUUCACCGUCUUUUCUAAUAUGUGCUUUAUUUCUCGAUUGGAGAUCUCAACUUGGCCACUGGUUUGCGGAUGAUACGGGGUCGCCACUUUGUGUGUGAUUGAAUACUUUGUCAAAAGAGUUUUGAAUGCUUUGUUACAAAAGUGGGCACCACCAUCACUGAUUAUUGCUCGAGGGAAUCCAAAGCGCGAAACAAUGUUGCUUUUCAAAAAUCCUAUCACCACCUUGUGAUCAUUGGUUCUACAUGGAAUUGCUUCUACCCAUUUCGAUACGUAGUCAACACCAACCAAUAUGUAUUGAUGGCCAAAAGAAGGGGGAAAGGGUCCCAUAAAGUCGAUACCCCAUAUGUCAAAAAUCUCAACCACUAAAAUUGGAUUUAGUGGCAUCAUGUUCCUUCGUGUAAUGCUCCCCAUUCGUUGACACCUAUCACAUGAAGAACAGAAAGUGUAAGCAUCUCGAAAUAUAGUUGGCCAAUAGAAACCACAUUGUAAAACUUUAGUUGCUGUUUUCUUAGCACUAAAAUGGCCUCCACAAGCUUGUUCAUGGCAGAAUGAAAGGAUAUUCUGAAUUUCACUUUCUGGGACACAUCGUCUAACAAUUUGGUCUGCACAAUACUUGAACAAAUACGGGUCAUCCCAAAAGAAAUUCUUUAUCUCUGCAAAGAAUUUAGCCUUAUCUUGCUUGGGCCAAUGCUCUGCAAGUUUACCUGUAACAAGAUAAUUAACUAUAUCAGCAUACCAUGGUAAUACUUCCACAUUCAUUAAUUGUUCAUCUGGAAAUGACUCAUUCAAUAUUAAUGGCUCUGUAAUUGUGUCAAAAUGGAGACGAGAGAGGUGGUCCGCCACAACAUUUUCUGUCCCUUUCUUAUCUUUGAAUUCCAAGUCAAAUUCCUGCAAAAGUAACACCCAACGAAUUAGUCUAGUUUUUGCAUCUUUCUUUGUGAGAAGAUAUUUAAGAGCAGCAUGAUCUGUGAAUACAAUUAUUUUACAACCAAUGAGAUAAGAUCGAAAUUUCUCUAAUGCAAACACUACUGCUAGCAUUUUUUUUUCAGUAGUUGAAUAGUUCAACUGUGCAUCAUUCAAUGUCAUACUAGCAUAGUAAAUAAUGUGGGGAAUUCGAUCAACUCUUUGUCCUAAUACUGCUCCUACUGCAUAAUCAGAUGCAUCACACAUGAGCUCAAAUGGUAAGCUCCAGUUUGGGGGCUGAAUAAUGGGUGAUGAUGUCAACAACUGCUUUAGUUUUUCAAAUGCCACAAGACAUAAAUCAUCAAAGAUAAAAGGUACAUCCUUAGCAAGUAAAUUGCAUAAGGGUCUAGAAACUUUGCUAAAAUCUUUAAUGAAACGUCUAUAGAAACCAGCAUGCCCAAGGAAAGAUCUUACCUCUCUGACUGUUUUGGGUGGAGGAAGAUUAGAAAUGAGAUCCACCUUGGCUUUGUCAACCUCAAUACCUUUGCUCGAAAUGAUGUGACCGAGAACAAUACUUUGUUUUACCAUAAAAUGACACUUCUCCCAAUUUAAGACCAAGUUCUUCUCGAUACAUCUCUGCAGAACUAAUGUUAGAUGAUGUAAACAUUGAUCAAACGAGUCACCAAAGACAGAAAAAUCAUCCAUAAAGACUUCAAGGAAUCGUUCAAACAUAUCAGAAAAAAUGUUCAACAUGCAUCGUUGAAAUGUAGCAGGUGCAUUACAUAAUCCAAAUGGCAUUCUCUUAUAUGCAAAUGUGCCAAAAGGGCAAGUGAAAGUAGUUUUCUCUUGAUAUUUUGGUGUUAUGGGAAUCUGAUUAUAUCCUGAGUAGCCAUCUAGAAAGCAAUAAAAUUCAUGGCCUACCAAUCUAUCAAGCAUUUGAUCGAUAAAUGGUAAAGGAAAAUGGUCUUUACGUGUGAUAGAAUUCAAUUUUCUAUAAUCAAUGCAUACACGCCAUCCUGUAGUUACUCUAGUUGGUAUCAAUUCAUUAUCAGCAUUGGUAACUACUGUGACUCCUGACUUUUUGGGGACAACUUGUACAUGACUGACCCAUGAACUAUCAGAAAUGGGGUAAAUGAUACCUGCAUCUAAUAGCUUAAGGACUUCAGUUCUAACAACUUCUUUCAUGUUAGGAUUUAACCGACGUUGCAUUUCCCUAGUAGAUUUAGCAUUUUCAUCAAGGUGAAUGUAAUGCAUGCAGUCUAUUGGGUUUAUAACUUUUAUGUCUGCUAUGGUCCAUCCUAAUGCUCCUUUAUGCUCUUUUAAAAUAUCCAACAACUUACCUUUUUGUUCGUCAUUUAGGGAUGAUGAUAUGAUUACCGGCAGAGUACUUUCUUCUCCCAAAAAUGCAUAUUCCGGAGUGUUGGGUAAUGGUUUGAGCUCAAGUUUCGGUGGUGAUUCUGAUGAUGGGAUGAGUUUCUUCUCUGAUGGUGCUAGUUGUUCAACUCUUGACUUUCAUUUAUUAGUGUCCAUGGAUGGUGCUGAGUCAAGUAGGGCGUUGACCUCAUCAACUGAUCUGUCAAUAUCAAAAUCCAAACCAAAGUGAGUUAAACAUGUUUGUAAAGGAUCAUCACUAAUGUUUGAAAGAAAAGUAUUAUCAACUAUUGUUUCUAUUAAAUCCACAUCAACAAUUCCAUCAUCUGCACUGUGAGGUUGUUUGGCAAUGUUGAAGAUGUUCAGUUCCAUAGUCAUGUUGCCGAAGGACAACUGCAUAUUUCCUGUCCUGCAUUGAAUGUGAGCAUCCGCAGUUGCCAAGAAAGGUCGGCCUAGAAUAAUGGGGAUGUGCUUCCUUGAAUCCUGUAUUGGUUGAGUGUCAAUUACAAUGAAAUCAACAAGAAAAUAAAAUUUGUCUACCUGGAUAAGCACGUCCUCCACAAUGCCACAAGGUAUUUUCGUGGACCGAUCUGCAAGCUGUAACACCACUGGGGUUAGGUGUAAUUCUCCAAGUCCAAGUUUCACGAAUACAGAGUAAGGCAAAAAAUUUACACUAGCUCCUAAAUCCAACAAAGCAUUCUCAAUUGUGUGGUUCCCUAUGCUACAUGAGAUAGUGGGAGAGCCUGGGUCUUUGCAUUUUAGAGGAAUUUUAUGUUGGAGGAUAGAACUAACGUUUUCUGUUAAAAAUGCCUUCUUUUGAACAUGCAUAUUUCUCUUUUUAGUACAAAGGUCUUUAAGAAACUUGGCAUAAGAUGGAACUUGCUUUAUAGCAUCAAGUAAAGGGAUGUUAACACUUACCUGUUUGAAGAUUUCAAGAAUCUCACCUGUGGAUUUUCCCUUUUUGCUUUUAGCUAACCUCUGAGGAAAUGGAGCUUUGGGAACGUAUUCUCGUGAGUUGCUCGUCCUCUCUCUGGGUAAACUCCGAGAUUUCCUUGCGAAUAGCAUUGGUUUUAUGCACUGGGAAAUAUUUAUUCAAAAAUUUUGUAACCAUUUAUUCCCCAUGAUGCAAUGCUAUUAGCAGGCAAUGUAUUAAGCCAUGAACAAGAUCUAUCCUUUAAAGAAAAUGGGAAUAGUCUAAGUUUAACAUCAUCGUCUGAAAAAUUUUCAUAUUUAAAUGUUUGACAAAUGGCAUGAAAAUCAUUCAAAUGAUUAUAUGGGUCCUCAUUUUCUAGGCUAUAAAAUGUUGGGAGACAAUUUAGCACACUAGGUUUUAGUUCAAAACUCCUAGCAGCUACAUUUGGGUAUCUUAUGCAUGAUGUGCUCAAAUUAGCUAAAGGACUAAAAUAAUCCUUAAAUGGCCUCUCAUGUGGUGCUUGUAAAUCCAUUUUAUGUUUAACGUGUUUGUGUGUGCGAAGUGUUUUCUCAAGUUCAAGGUCUAUAGGUUCAAGAUUAGGUAAUAAUGACCUACGACCAUGCAUGCAAAACAAAUAAAAUAAAAAUAAAGAUGAGAACAAAACAAAUAAAGAAGAGGGAGAUAUUACGAUACUAACCUUAUUGCGCUAUUACAACAUUUCUAUAAAAAUACACAAAAACAAAUACGUGAAAUAAAUUAACUAAAAAUUAAAUUAAUAAAAUAAACAAAAAUUACAAAGAAAAAUAAAUUGAAAAUUAAAUUACAGAAUUUUAAAGAAGAGAAAAAGAAAAGAAAUACUAACCUUUAUAUGUAGAUUCACUUUUUUUUUCUUUUUUUUUAAUAAUUAAAAAAAUACAAGAAAACAAAUAAAAGAAAUUAUUCACAAAAAUUAAUUCUAUGAAUUAAAAUUACUUACCUCCCCGGCAGCGGCGCCAAAAACUUGUUGUGCAAAUUUUAAUGUACUCGCAAGCGCACGAAUCUAUUGUAGUAUAGAUCAAUGGUGACGAGUGUCGAUCCCACGAGGAGGUGGAUUUUAAUUGUGUAGAAUUAAUUUUGUAAAUGGGUGAUUGGAUUUGUGGUGGAAAUGAUUUGGAAUAUGCUAAAACUUAAAUUAAAAUGGCAAGAAUAAAUUCUAAAAUUGGUAUUGAAAUGGCGAGAAUAAAUUGAAGAGAAUUCUAUUGAAAUGACGUACUUGGGUAUCUGGAUCCGUAUCAACAUGCAUCAUGGGCUAAAUAAUCCUUAUUAAUGCCAAUUAAAUCAUGAGGGGGGAAUCCACACCACAUGAACCACGGUCUAAUCAAUAUGGUGCUAAGGGCUUAUCGUGCCAAAUAAUAAUAACCUUGUACUAGGGGGCCGGUGAAACCAAGGCGGUACUAGACAAGAUUAGUAUUAUUUGUCGACGAGAAGUCAAAACAUCCACAAAAACUAGAGGGGAAGAGAAAAUAAAUUUACCAAAUAAAGCCCAUGACACAUGUUGAGACUUCACCUUCAACCCAAGCUUGAAAGAAAAUUAGCCACUCAUAAUUGAACUAGGGGCAAAAUGGGAAUUUAUUAAAAUACGAAGAAAAUACAAGAUGGAGAAGGAAUUACAGAAAAUGGAUCCCAAAAAUGGAUUCAAAGAUCUCAAAUUAGGGGGGAGAGGCCCCCUUUUUAUAGAUACAUGGAGUAAAUCAUGGCCAUCGGAUUAAAAACAGUUUGGACGCUCAGGAUUGCGCCACGUCAUCAGUCAACAGUACGUGGUUUGACCACGCGGAUGAACAGUAACACGGUUUGACCCGGAUGAACAGUAACACAGUUUGGUUGAAAAUAAUCCUGUGUGAUGCAUGUACCGUACGCGAGAUUUUUCGUCCACUGAUAUGCUGCCACGUCACCAUCAACAAUUCAUAAGAAUUUUAACCCAACAGGAUCGUGACACCUCAUCAGUCAAUGCCACAUCAUCGGUCAAUGCCACGUCAUUGAUCCGUAUAUGUAAACAGUGUCGUGAACAGUAACGUAGACAGUACCGUACAUGUGAAUAGUGCCAUUUUUCCUUUUAUGCUCCUCCUAAGGUUUUCGACCGUCCUGAGUUCAAAAGUGAUGUCCGUUUUGCCGUCUGAUCUCUCUUUUAUUGUGAAAUGACUAUAAUGCCCCUAAAAUACAUAAAAUAUUUAAUUAAAAUAAAACACAUGUAAUUAAAUCACAAGAAGGUUAAAUACAUAAAAGUAAGGGUUGUUAGUAAGACUUGAAAUGUAAAAUAACGGUUUUCUCCUUUAUAAAUAUGCAUUUUCUAACACUCAACACUUGGCCCAAUUGUUGUUAUUAAAAUUUCAAUAUACAUAUAUAAGUAUGAUAUAGCAAAAAUUUGAUGGUACAUAUCUCGGAAUAUACUAGUUCAUGGAUGCAUUUGAUUAUUAUUUCCAUAAAUUUGAACCGAGAAGGAUGACAUGAUAAAAUUUGAUUUUAUGGUAUGGUUGAUUUCAGAUCUCAUGCCCUCAUUUCUUAAGAUAAUCAAAUUUUCUCUGGCAUCUUUUGCAACUGUGGAAAUAUCAAUUAUGAUCAAUCAAAACGAUUUCAAAACCUUUCAAUGAGACAUAUUUAUAAUACAAUAUUGUGAAAAUUACAACAAAAAUUUAAUUUAUUAAAUAAUAUAUUACUAUCCAACAAGCACACAAAAAUGAAUUCGUACAAAUCUAAAAUACUUAGCAAUUUUCAAAUAGAAUUUACCAUGUACUACAAGAAAAUAGGGUAUAUGUGACCCCUAAUGUGAAUGCAAAUUUGCAAAAGCAGCCAUUACGCAUGCCACUAACUUCUAACUUUGUAACCUCGAGUUGCUUUUGUUACCCUUUAUGUGACGGCCGCUGUCACAUAUGUUACUAACCACUCGUCACGGGAUGAGUAUUUUGCGCAGCUAACCCGUGCGGCACUUAGACAACUUUACCAAAUGUUGCUAAGUAAGCCUAGAGCUUCUCGAACUAGAGAAGAGAGCAAUUGAGCUGAAUGAGAAAACUUGUAUUGCACAAAGAGAGAAUACAAUGCUUGAGUUGCUUACAAAGCUUGUUGUUGUGAGUUUGUUGGAUGCAAAUGCCUAAUGCCAUCCCAUAUUUAUAGGGGAGGCUUGCCAAGCUCUAGAGAUUCUAGAGAAUUCUACCAUUUCCUAGCUAUUUACAUGUGCUGGAAAUGUAAAGAGAAUUCUAGAGUAUUUACAAGCUCACAUGUGCUAGAGUUGCCUAGAACUUUCCGGAAUUGGGCCAAGCUAGAACUCUUGGCCUUGUGUUGGCUCUCUAGCCCAAAAUUGUGGGUAAUUGGGCUAGCGAAUUGGGCGGACCGUAACAUCCUCCCCCACCUAAGCUCGCGGCGUCCUCGUCGCGAUCUCGUCCUUGCUCCUUUAGGGACUUGUUCCGCGAUUUGUCGUUAGUCUUCUUGUGCUUCACUCUUGGGGAGGUUCCGCCACUUGCUCCGCAUAUGAUCGUUUCCUUCUUUCGGUUGGUGUUGCGGCGUCCCCUCUUGUGUUUCCACAACUCAUCAUGCUCGGAUGGCUUUGUGCGUUGCUCAACCACUUGUCUUGAUGGGAGCUUCGGAGGCAUGGCGUCCUUGCCUUUAUCAUGGACGGUUCGUGCUUGUUGUGGGACUUGGCUUGGAGGGCUUUUGGAAUCCUCUCCCUUGUGGUGUUGCCGGAUGGAGACCAAGUGGUCCGAAUUCUUCUUGAAUCCUCAUCUGCAUUGCAUGACCGAGACCGCCUUUUUUACGGGUUGUGCACGCUCGACCGGUGCCACGCAUGCCUUACUCCCAUCGAAGAUGCUAAGGGAGUUCGUUGCUGGAAGUGGGAAGGCAUGUACCUUGUCGAAGAAUUCCAUGCCAAGGAUCAUUGCGAAGUCAUCCAUCGGCACAAUCGAGAAGUCGAGCUUCCCAUUCCAUGUCCCAAGCGUAACGUGUACGCCUCGUGUGGUUCCCCUAAAUGGCUUGGCGGGUGAGUUUACAGCCUUGAUGGUGCCUCCGUCUUGCGUUACCUUAAGGCCUAGACAUUUAGCCUCUUCUUCGGAGAUGAAGUUGUGUGCUGCUUCGGUGUCAAGGAGCGCACGAACGGUUUGACCAUUGAUGAGCACACUUACGAACAUGAGCCCUUUCCUUGUAGGUGUUGGUGGUUGGCUCACGAGUGUGCUAAGACGUUGGAGCGAACCCAAGUUGUGUUGAGGUUCCUCCGUAGGCGGUGUGUGUCGGCCCUUGAGUUGUGCCACGAGGGCACUCAGCGACUUUUUAUCCAGGCAGUCGCGCACUCAAUGAGGACCGUUGCAUAUGAAGCAUGGGCUUCGCGGCUUGGGUGACUUCUCGGAUUUACUUUGCCCGCCCUUGCCGCUUGGAAGCUUUUUCUUGCUCCACUCCUUGCAAUUGCGGUCGUUGUCCUCAUGGCUCUCUCCCCCACCUUGAUCGUAGCUAGACCUCUUGUCCUUGAGAUGGGCGGAGUAUUCGGUGAGAGACUCCGCAAUAGCAAUGGCGUCGUCAAGUGUUUGUAUGCCACGCCUGUCAAGCUCGGUCUUAGCCCAAUCCUUGAGGCCAUCUUGGAAGUAGAAGAGCGAAUCCUUGUCGGACAUGUUGCUUAUCUCCAACAUAAGGGUAGUGAACUCAUUGAUAUAGUCCCGAAUGCUACCCGAAUGCUUGAGGCGACGUAAGCGCGCUCGCGCUUCCUUCUCCGCAUUGCUUGGGGCGAACUGCUUUCGGAGUUCUUGCUUGAAGUCGGCCCAAGUGUCGAUGGUACAAAUGCCUUUGCCCAUCUCGCCAUGCUUGCGACGCCACCAUAGUUGUGCAGGGCCUCUAAGAUAGGUGGGUGCAGUGCACACUUUCGAUGCCUCAUCACGGACACCCAUGGCAUCGAAGUAUUGAUCCAGCCCGAAUAGGAAGUUGUCCACGAUUGUGGCAUUGUGUGUGCCAUCGUAUGUGUCGGGCUUUGGCACAUCAAUACGGUGCGCAUCACUCGAGUUUGUGGAAGCUGGACUUGCGGAGAGUGUGCGCUUGUGCCAUGCCCAAUCUGAGCGGACUUCAUCCACUUCCGCACGGACAGCGUGUAGUUCGUCCUGAACAAAACUACGAAGUUUGAGCAACUCAUCAUGGAAAGAACGAAACUCACCUCGGAGAGUGUUCGCUUGCUCUUGGAUGAGAGCUUUUGUUGCCACCGUGAACUCGGCGUAUUCCCCCUCGAGACUGUCCACUCGUUCCUCCAAUCCCUCGAGGCUAUCUUGAGCGGCGGACAAUGCGAUUUCGAGAGUAGUCACACGAGGCUCCAACGCAUCCACUGAUGCGGCUUUGGACUUGCCGCGAGUCUUGCUUUGGGCGCGUUCUCCCUCUCGGCUGCAGCUUGGUUCCGAUGGAACAUCCACACCAACAACACCCUCUUGUGCUACGUUCGAAGGGUUGGCCAUUGCUCGUGAGCUAACUUGCGUGCGUGCAAACCUUAGCUCUGAUACCACUUGUCACGGGAUGAGUAUUUUGCGCAGCUAACCCGUGCGGCACUUAGAUAACAUUGCCAAAUGUUGCUAAGUAAGUCUAGAGCUUCUCGAACUAGAGAAGAGAGCAAUUGAGCCGAAUGAGAAAACUUGUAUUGCACAAAGAGAGAAUACAAUGCUUGAGUUGCUUACAAAGCUUGUUGUUGUGAGUUUGUUGGAUGCAAAUGCCUAAUGUCAUCCCAUAUUUAUAGGGGAGGCUUGCCAAGCUCUAGAGAUUCUAGAGAAUUCUACUACUUCCUAGCUAUUUACAUGUGCUGGAAAUGUAAAGAGAAUUCUAGAGUAUUUACAAGCUCACAUGUGCUAGAGUUGCCUAGACCUUUCCGAAAUUGGGCCAAGAUAGCACUCUUGGUCUUGUGUUGGUUCUCUAGUCCGAAAUUGUGGGCAAUUGGGCUAGCGAAUUGGGCAGACCGUAACAACGUGACGGUACAGAGCCGUUCGGUAUAGCACUAUUUUAGAAAUUUAAAUUUAUUUCCAGUUAGAAAACUAUUCGCUGGACUAGCCACCAUCGUAAACCUAACUGGUUGCCGGCGAACGACAUAAAACACCGGGCAUCUUCUUCUUCAUCGUAUUCUCCCUUCAUCUUUUGAGGUAAGCUUGUGAUUAUGAGUUUCUUCUCUUACUUAGCUUGUAAUUAUAGAUUUUGAUUUUUUUUUAAAAUUCGUAUUGUAGCCAUUAUUGUCAAUUUUUGUCCCGCCAGCAAUAUUUUUUUAUUCGUACAAGUUGAAGCCCCUUUGUUCUUGUUCCAUUGGUGAGUUUGCUCACUCAAAUUAAUUUUGUUCUGCGGAAUUUACAAAGUUCAAAUGGAUUCAUUUGAAUUACUAUUGAAUUUAGCUUUAAUUCCAACAUCCAUUCUAAUGUUUUGCUAUUAGAUUUAGUUUAAUUUUAUGUUUAAAGCAUCUACAAUGAAUAGCGGAGCUUGGGUUUUAGUUUCAUUUUCUGGAUAACUUGUUUUAGUUUAUCUUGUAUGGUCACCAAGUGCUUGUUAUAUUGUCUGAUAAGUUAUAUACAUUGCUGAUUCUAUAUUAAUAAUGUUACGUUCUAUUUUCAGAAAUUAUAAUACAAAAGUUUUUACAAUGGCGUGCAUCUACAAACUGAAUUGACUUGUAGAAUAAGAGCUUGGAGUAAAUGAAAGUUCAUAUUGUGUAAGAGCAUGUAGAUGUAAAGCAUCAUUACCAUAUCUACAAAGUGCUUUCAUUAUGUUCAGAUGCUCUUCUUGAACUUUGAAAGGUGCCUCGUUCAAGUCCUAGCUAUAACUACUAGCUUUGAUUAAUUAAGUUCCUAUACUAGCUGAAAUAGAUUUAUUUAAUUAAUUAAUUGUGUAUGUUCUAAUUAUAUUAAAAGUAUAUGAAUUUUUUUUUAACAUGAAUGACUUGUAAAUGACUUAAAAACCUAAAGGAUGUGUGAAAUAAUGCUCAUUUCACUUGAAUGAGCCUAUUAAUACUUUUAUGUCUAUGAUUGUCAAAAUUGGCUUAAGCACUUCAGUUAAGUGGUUUACCUAACAGAGAAAAAAAUUUAAUAGGAAACUUCAGAGUUCUAACAGAAAUAUAGUUCACCAUGCAGAUAUAGUUAUUUUACGGUAUACAAAUCAAGUUGUCCUAAUCUCAAUGUCCUAUCACCGAUUUUAUUUGAUAUAGUCAUUAAUUUUUACCAUGGUUUUUUGUGUUUAUGAGUAUGAAAUAGUGGGAUUUGGUGUACCUUAGCAUCUUUUGGAAAUUCUCUUUAAGUGUGGCCAACAGAAAUAUACAUAUAAUCAAGUUUCUUAAUUGUGUAUAUUAGUUUUGGGUACGAAUGUUCCUAUUCUAGUUCUAGACAAAGCUUCUUCGUUUUGGUCUUCAGAUUUCCAGUAGGUUAAGUUAAUCAACUAUCAUAACUGGCUAGCUAGUUAUUGUCUGCCUUGGCGCCAUUACCCAGGCCAUUAUAUUGCAUAGCAUAAGGAAUAGUGAUUAGGUGAUUAUUAGUGAUUUGUUGAGCUUAUUAUUGACCAAACAAACAUAUUCACCUUUGCCCACAACUUAGUUUGAUUAGUUUUAGACCACAAAGAGCCUUGAUCUAUUCAUUGGCUUUAUUAUUUUUAUUUGGUUUUUCUUUCAACAUAAUUGUUGAUUUCUUAUAAAAAUAUUCAUUGGUUUUUAAACACCUAGUCAUUGGCUAUAUGAAGCAAAUUAAAACUUAGGCUUUGGAUCAAUUUCUUCUAACAAGAUACAAAUGAGCAUAACCUUUCUCCUCUAAGUAAUUUUUUUUAAUAUCCUUGAUUUGUAAGGAUCUGGAGGCGUGAAAUCCUCUAGAUUUUUUUUAACACUGUCAAUGUCCUUUUUAUUCUGAAAAGGAAAUAAAAGGUUUUAUCUUUCAUACCCUAAUAGUAAGCUGGCCUUGUCUUAACAUGGCUUCUUGAGGAUUUGCAAGAUUCGUUUAGAUGAUUAGAAUGAAACUAAGCGACUGGAAAGAGUGGAUGGUAGACUAAAGAGAAAGUGAUUGAUUAUUUUAUGAGGCCAAUUAACGUAAUGACAGAUCCGGUUUCGAUGUUUGUAAUUUGAGUAUGAGGUAAAUCGAUUCUUUGUCGAGCCAGUCAAAUACAAAGGCAAAUUAGUAAAACAAGAGCCAGCAACUUUUACUCACACAUAAGGCAAUAAUAUAUUGAGAUCACGCAACAUUGCAAUAAAGUUAUCAUCAAGUUGUAGCCUUCUUAUUCAAUCAAUUAUAGCAUUAUCUCUAGCUCUGUAUUUUUCAAAAAAAAAUUAUUCAAAAGAUGUCUGUCAUUAGUUUUUCAAUGAUUAAAAUUAUAAUUUUUGUUUAAUAUAUAUAACGUAAAAUUUUAAAAGAAUCAGACAUGCAUUAGGGUAAAAAUAAAAAAUAUGGAGGUAGCUUUUAACUAGGCAAUUGGCUCAACUAUGGAUCAGUGUGAGAUCGCUAUUUUUCUUAUAAAAAAAAUAUUCCAGCCAAACAAUUGUCGCAAAAUUUUAAUCGAAAUUACAAAAUAUAUAUAUUUUGAAUACCUGUAAAUAAACCACUUAGAAAGCUAUCGAAACACGAAUAUUAAUUUUUUAAAAUAUAUAUUUUUUCAAGCAAAUGCAGUGACAGAUCUGGUUUUGAUCCUCGUGACUUUUGGGUGUAACUGUGUAAGUACGGGUGAACGACUCUCUAGUCCAGGACAACUUGCACGUGACAUUUUAGUAUUAAGCAAACGGAAUUUUUUUAAAUUAAAUUAAUCUCAAAGUGAUAGGCUUCUCAUGAAUCAUGUAAUGUUGUCGUUUUUCAAGACAUGACAUUGCCCAUCACUUGUUUGUCACAAUGUCCAAAUAAAUAAUUUUUUUUUAAAAAAAAAGUUAUUUUCAUUCUUUCUUUUCAAGUAUCCUAAUUCCUUUCGCAGUUUGAUUCCUCUUUUCCUGAAAUUUGUUCCUUCCAUUAAACUAAUAAUUUAUUUAAAGGUAAUUAAGCGUCAGCCCCAAUUAUUUAGUAUUUCACACAGCACACCCACAUCUUUCGAUCAUGUGCACCUCUUCCUUAUUUCCGUUAAAAAAUCAACUAUCAACUAAUUCUAACUGUUUAGGCUGUUAUAAAUUUAAAAGACUAUACUACCCCUAUUUUGAAAUGAAUUGGGUAUAUAAGUACUAAAAUACCCUUACAACUAAUAAAAUUUAAAUCAAAAAGUAAAAAUUUAUUAUAAUAUUUUUAAAAUUACAUGGAAACAAUUUUUUUUCCGGAUUACGAACCCAAGAUUAUAAACCUAGUAAAUUACAAAAUCAGAGGCAAAGCAUGAUUCCAAUGUGAAAGAAAAAAAUCAAACACACAUUCAUCAAUACAUUACAAAAUAAGUCCAAUAAUCCCACCAAAACAAAUAAAACCCAAUAAGAAAGAAACCCGAAACUAAUGAUACCAAAAUCCAUGACAACAAAUUUCAUUGUAAAAUUCUAUUACAAAAUAAAUUCAUACUAAGAAAAUUCAAUAAAAAGAAACUCAAUAAUCAAAAAUCCUAAGACUAAAGAUAUCAAACCCUAAAUUAAAUUAUAGAGGCGGCGAAGGAAAAAGGGGUUUUUUUUUAUUAUAUAAAUUAUUUUAAUCUUGUAUUAAUUACCAUUCUACCCUUCUUUCCGUUAACGUUAGAUUUGAAAGAAAUGGGGGUGGUGGACGUGGUCAGAAGAUUGGAGGCACAAUGCAAAAUGUCGAAACAAUUGGGGCUAACGCUAAAUUACACAUUAUUUAAAUUAAAUUAUCCUAGUUGUAUUUGACUGUGACUGUGACUGUGACCGGAACCGUUACAAUCACUUAGUAUUUUUAUUAAUUAAUUAACAAUUUGUUUCAUCAUUAGACGGUACUAUGAUAGUUUUGUCACUAUGUUUGGUACCAUCUCUUAAAUCGUGUAACAAAGAUUUCAUGAAAAAUUAGAAAACAGCACGACAUGAUACAAACUCUUUUUUAAUACAUGUAGACCUUAUUUUUAAAAAAUGAACAUACAAACUUUUUUUAAUACGUGUAGACCUUUUUUUGUAUUUAAAAAUAGUUACACAGAUCCUCAAUUUGUGUGUCCCUCAAUAAAUUUUCAUGAUCAUUUUUUAAAAUAAGGGAUUUUUGUGAUUAUUUUGCCACGUCCAAGGAUGCCGCUAUUCUUGUCACCAAAAAUUAUUCUCAUUAAGAGUCAUGAUUAAUUGGACGUCAACAAUGUCCAAAUAAAUAAUUUUUUUUAAAAAAAAGUUAUUUUCAUUCUUUCUUUUCAAGUAUCCUAAUUCCUUUCGCAGUUUGAUUCCUCUUUUCCUGAAUUAUGUUCCUUCCAUUAAACUAAUAAUUUAUUUAAGGGUAAUUAAGCGUCAGCCCCCAAUUGUUCAGUAUUUCACACAACGCACCCACAUCUUUCGACCAUGUGCACCUCGCCCCUAUUUUCAUUAAAAAAAUCAACUAAUUCUCACUAUUACUGUUAUAAAUUUAAAAGACUAUACUACCCCCAUUUCGAAAUGAAUUGGGUAUAUAAGUACUAAAAUACCGUUACAACUUAUAAAAUUUAUAUCAAAAAGUACAAAUUUAUUAUAAUAUUUUUAAAAUUAUAUGGAAACGAAUUUUUUCCGGAUUACGAACCCAAGAUUAUAACCCUAGUAAAUUACAAAAUCAUAGGCAAAGCAUGAUUCCAAUGUGAAAGAAGAAAAUCAAACACACAUUCAUCAGUACAUUACAAAAAAUUGAUGGUUUAGCUUAUAGAGUCAUGUCUAUUAUUAUUACCUUGUAAACAAGUCAAAUGUCUCAAUAAUUUGACACCUCAAUAACUGAAACAAUUUAAACCCUUGUUUAGUAUUAAAGUUGGGCAGGUGUAGCUUAAAAGUUACAGUACCAAAGUGUUUAGUAAACACUAGCUAUUGCCGCUUAGAAAUUAAGUUGAUUUGAUCUCACACUUGUAUGACAAAACCUAUAGUGUCUUUAUUAUUUUUGUCAAAUUAUUAUUUAAUAAUUAUUUUAUUAUACAUUAUCAACUUUUAUUUAAUAGUUGCAACUUCUUUUUCUUUUUUCUUACUAUGCUAUAGCAUUUCAAUAUCAAAUAGGGCUUAAAUGAGAAACAACUUCUAAAUUAAAUGCGACGUCUCUCUUCUUAUUAUUUGCAUAAGUUUGCCUAGUGGAUUAAAUGAGCAUUGGUAACCAUAAAUUAUGUAGAAUUAUUUUAUUGAUAUAUUUUUUCUAUGAUUUUCAAAUUAUACACAAGAGCCAAAACGUUUUCAUGAUGGCAGAUUUAUUGAGAAAAAAAGUGUUCAUUCAAAUAAACCUCAUGAAUAUUCACAUGAAUUUAUGUGAUGAGAAAGGGAAAAAAAAUUCUUCCAUUCAUUCAUAUGAACAUCUUUAACUAUUUCCUAAAAUUUAGGAGGAAAAAAAUGAAUUCUUCAUUUAUUCAUAUAUCGAGUUUCAUAAUCACUCGUACUAGGUUCCUGGGUGUAAAUGACUGAGAUUUACGAUUUGAGGACAAUUUUGAUAUUUCAAUAGACUACAAAUGCAUGUUGCGUUCAUUUCACACCAUCUGAUACGAAAAAAAAAAUUGAUGUUUUGGCUUCUAGAAUCAUGUCAAUUAUUGCCAUAUAAAUAGGUCAAUUGUCUCAAUAUCAGACCUUUUAAGAAGCCAAACAAAUUAAAAAUCAGUUUAAUAGUGCUGUAGUUUUUAAAAUAAUUACUGUUAGCAGUACUGUAAAAAUAAUUAGUUGUAAAAAGAAUCAGUUAAAUAUUUGAUAAAAUUUCUUUUUAAAAUUACUGCAAAUUUUAAAAGUAGUCGUUUGUGUUUAGUAAAUUUUACUAUUAAACUGCUGUAAAAAUAUAAAUAAAUCAAUUGAACACAAUAUUGAAUAAAAUUUAUUUACGCAUUUAUAAACAUGUAUGAAAUUUUUUUUAUUGUGUAUAUAUGAUAAUUGAUAACUAAAAUAAAUAUUUUAAAUUAUUGAUUUUAUUUUUUUAUUUGGUUAUCUUAAUAUAAUUGGUAAUAAUAAUCUCUUUAAAUUAAUGAUUUUAUUUCCUAAUUAAUAAGGAUAAUUGUAGAUUUUUAUAAUAUAAUUGAAUAUAUAUAUAUGAAAUUGUACUAACUGUAAAACUGAUUUUCAAAAUCCGAUUAUGAAAAGAUACUCCUUCCACGCUUUUCAAAACCUGCUAUAGGACGGGGUGAUUUAGCUAAAAGUAAUUUUAAAAAAAAAUUGUCAAACACCAAAAUUGACAUUUAGUUUUUUAAAAUUACUUUUGGGAACUCCCAAAAGCAAUUUCAAACGGGCUUCAAGGUCUUAUUUGAUACUAAAGUUGGGCAGUUAUAUCUUAAAAGUUACAGCUAUUUAGUAUAUAAUAGUUGUUGUGAUAUUGAAAAUACAAAUUGAAGGACUCUUUUUGUCCCAAAACUGAUAUUGAAAUCCGAAAAGUUACAGAAAUGGUGUGUCCACGUAUAAAAGUGAAGAGACAUAUUUGAUUUUAGGUUUAAAACUCAGGGUCCACGUACUGAAACUUCCGUAAUAAACAUAGGGCGAUUUUAUUGCAAUGGUCACCUACACUGGCCUACUUAUUUAUUUGAGUUGGCACCGAGCUUGAAAACUGCGGGAAAGCAAACUGACUGACAAUGACAAUACGAAGCUUGGCCUUUGGCCGGAACCACAUUUCACCACACAUUAUGAUAUUAGAUCUUUCAUUAUUGAUCACAUAUUCACAUUAUCUAACUUCAACGGAAAAUUACCUUCUAGAAAGUGCUCGUAUAAUUGUUUAUAUAUAAGCAGUCUCCAAACUUAUCAUCAAUUUUCCAGAUUCACCGAAAAAUGAGCUGGCGCUGGGCAGGUAGUAUUGGCGCUGCUAAGGUAAAGAUCAACCCUCUAAUUAAGUCUCUUCACUUGAAAAGCUUAUAGAUACACGUAACAUGCUGAUAUUUAAAAUAAUGUUUGUUUAAUUUUCGCUGUACAGAACAAAUUGGAAGAAGAUGCGCGACUUCAAGACUACCAGAACGUGGGACUUGUAGUAGGCGUGACAGGAAUUGUAGGCAACAGCCUAGCUGAGAUUUUGCCCCGAUCAGAUACCCCCGGUGGCCCGUGGAAGAUCUACGGGGUGGCGCGACGUCCCAGGCCUAACUGGAACGCCAAGUACCCUAUUGAUUACAUCCAAUGCGACGUUUCCGACCCAGACGAUACGCAAGCCAAGCUCUCAAAACUCGCUGACGUCACCCACAUAUUCUAUGUGACGUGGGCCAGCCGUCCCACUGAAGCCGAGAAUUGUCAGAUCAACGGCGCCAUGUUUCGUAACGUGCUCCGUUCUGUAAUCCCGAAUGCGCCUAAUCUCCGCCACAUCUGUCUCCAAACGGGAGGCAAACAUUACGUCGGUCCAUUCGAGUGUAUUGGCAAGAUACCGUCUCACGAUCCGCCUUUUACUGAGGAUUUGCCAAGACUAAACGUAUCACUUUUUUACUAUAAUCAGGAAGAUAUAUUGUUUGAAGAAGUUGACAAAAGACGGGGUUUGACUUGGUCCAUACACCGACCUUCCGGAAUAUUUGGGUUUUCACCUCAUAGUUUGAUGAAUAUUAUAGGCACUCUCUGCGUGUACGCAGCUAUUUGUAAACACGAAGGUGCUCCUCUUGUAUUUCAUGGGACUAGAGAUGCUUGGGAAGGUUUCCAAGAAUUUUCAGACGCAGAGUUGGUUGCGGAGCAGGAAAUUUGGGGGGCAGUGGAUCCUAAUGCAAGAAACGAAGCUUUCAAUUGCACCAAUGGAGAUGUUUUUAAGUGGAAGCAUUUAUGGAAAGUGUUGGCUGAGCAGUUUGAGAUUGAGAAUUAUGGGUUUGGAGAAGAAAUGGGUAGUGAGAGGGUGAGAUUGGAGGAAGUUAUGAAAGGUAAAGAAAGUGCGUGGGAGGAGAUUGUGAGAGAGAAUCAGCUGCAGCCAACAAAAUUGAAUGAGGUUGCUGUUUGGUCAUAUGCAGAUGUGGUGUUGAAUAUUGGUGCGGGUUAUUUUGUUAGCAUGAACAAGAGUAAGGAGCACGGGUUCUUGGGUUUCAGGAACUCUAAGAAUUCGUUUAUCACAUGGAUUAAUAGGUUGAAAAGUCACAGGAUUGUGCCUUAAGUAUUUUUUUUUUUUUUUCACUUUUUGAUUUGGUGCCUCGAGUAAUUGAAAAGCCACGAAAAAUUAAUAGUUCAACCCGUGAUUGGUUUGGCUGGAAAUUGUACCCUUUUGUUAGAUCCUUGUUUUGUUAAUCAAAGAAUUUUACCUCAGGUAGAAAAAAAAAAAAAAAGAUGCCUUUGUUGUUGCUAAAGAGUUAAUAAAUAAAUACAGUACUGAAUUAUCAACCUUAGAAAACCUCCAUUAUACAUUUCUGAAUCACGUACCUUCAAGUUAUAACGACCCAAUGUUCAAGUAAUGCCUAAUCCUAGUAGUCUAAAGCUUCUUUAAAUGGUUCGUGUGUCGAAAGCACUCUCUUUCGAACCAACCGAUUCACUAGACCAGGAAAAAAAAAAGAUUGACUGUGAAAAUAUUAAAAAUUAAAAAUGAAGUCUUUCGAAAUUUUUUAACCGGACAGCAUUUGUUAGAAAGGGGAGAGAGAGAGCAAAGGGUAAGAAAAGAAAAUUAAAAUAAAGUUUAUGGACAUUUAUCAUUUUACAUUAAUUAUUCGUUAUAAUUAAAGGAUGAAAUUAUAAUUUUAUUUGGUCAAAUUGGUCAACACUUUCAUUUAAUAGAAAAUCUAAAAGACCAAGCCUAUUCUCAGGCAUUCUUGGGGAAGAAUAAACUAUUUAUGUCUAUUUUAAAACUUUGAUGGUAGAUCUAUACUAAACUAAAAAUUGUUACGGGAGAUUCUUGUACCACUACGUAGCUCGAAAGAGGAAGACUGAAGUGGUACUAAAUUUGCUAUGAAAUGAGUUUAACGACCGCAUGCAAACGAACAAUUAUAAGAAAAGUUUAGUUGAGGAGCGAGCAAAGAUAUGCUGACCAAUACAAUAUUUGAAAAAUAUAAACAUAUGUUUUUAAACUAUUAUUAUUAGGCUAAUGCUAAGUUACAUGCAUGUGACUUAUAACCCUCUCACAUAAAUAGUGAAUAAUGUUGGUCCACUCACUAUUAAUGUGAGAUGGUUGUAAGUUACAUGCAUGUAACUUAGGGAGAUCUUAUUAUUAUCAUCAUCAUCAUCAAAUAAAUAUAGUGCAAACAUGUCUAAAAACAGGCGGGAGCCGGGUUUGAUUUAUGUUGUAUACUUGUGUAGGCCGCUGUUCAGAUAUAGUCCAGCCCAAUGGAAGCAAUAUGUAAGCCCAACACGGGUCUUCAUCGAUUUAUGCAAUGCAGUAAAAAAACAUAUCUAAUGGAAACAUCUACUGAAUUUGAAUCAGUUACUGCAAUUAAAGUUACCAACCUUGUAUGAUUGAACGAAAAUAUUAAUAUUAAGUAUACAUUAUUGGUAGAAGAAAAAUGACAUUUUUUGGAGAAAUUCUAUAAUGCAUUAGAAGUAUUAUAACAGUUAUAUAACAAGUAAAUGAUACUGUGAUAUUUAUGUAUUUAUUGUGAAAGAUCAUUAUGUAAAAUAAUGGUUACAUUAAAUUUAAUUAUACAUGUCAUGCAUACAUCAAUCGAUUAUAUUACUACUAAUGAAUUAUAAAAUUUCUCAAUUCGCUGAUAUUAUGUUUAAUAUUAAAUAAAAAAAUAUCAGUAUUUGAUGACUUACGUAGUUUUUAACAUUUUUAACGUACCAGCAUCAACAGUUAUUGAUAUUAUAGGAUCAUAAACCUUCACUCAUGCGAAGAUUUUAUAUUUUAUUUUAUUUUGAAAUUUAUUAUUUCAUUUAUUCUUAACGAUGUCGUUUUGGACAUAAAAUUUAGAUAAAUUAUUAAGUCUUCAUCUUCUCUUUCUUCACAAAAUCGUUUCCCUCUCUUUCCUGACACAGUAUCUCAACAAAACAAAAUACCAAAAUAAAACAAAGGCCAAAACCAAAAGCAGAAACAGAUCAAGCAGCUCAACCUCUCUAGCCUCUUAAUGAAUAAUGAUAGAUCGAACCAGAAGCAAAACAGUUGAGUUGAAGAUCGAAGCUCUAGGUCAAAACACACUCUCUCUUUCUCAAUUUUUGUAGUUUUUUCUUUCGACUUCAUCAAAGUCUAAACCCUAAAUGCUCGCCUUCUCAAGCACAACAACUUCAAAAGGAUUUAUCAUUUUCUUGGAGAUCUUAUAGAGUCGUAUUCUUAGCAUCAUCAAAGUCAGCCGCGUCGAGCCGUCAUGGUCUGUGUGACAAGCUAAAAGGUCACAUUGACUUGAGCAAAAGAAUAGUUAAGCUUGUAAAUAGAGGCAGAACAAUUAGCAAGCUCGUUCACUCUAUCGUGCGACCCGUGCCUGAGACUCUUGGAAUCGAAUUAGAGGUAUUGAUUUUGAUUUGAUUGUCGACAUAUUUUUGUUUUUAGAUUUUUUUUUUUUUUAUAUUUUAUAGUGUUUAAUUAGCAAUAAAUUUGAAUUUCUAGAGUAAUUUAGGUGUACUGGCGAAUUAAAUGUUGAUUUUAUGUAUUUACUUUUUGAUUUGAAAUCCGCUUUCUCUUAAGUGUUAUUCGUUUGUGUUUCGAAUGCAGGUUUAGUGCUUGAUGAAUUGCCUCAUUCGGGUCUACUUUUUAUGAUGCAGAAAACUUAUUGUUUUUUUUUUCUAUCUAAAUUUGGUUGUUAUUAAUUAAUAAAAGUAGAGAGAUUCAGUUGUUAUUCUUGGUUCUUUAUGCAGAUGGUGCUCUUGCUUUUCUUCUGUGUUCUAUUCUUUUUGUUCAAGAUAUUUAUAGUUGUCGAUCCAAUAUUUAUUUAUUCAUUAGUUUUUACUGAAAGCAUAAAUACUCUUCCACUCGCCAAAAAUUAUUUUAUUCCAGUAGUUUUUCAAUUGUAAUGCCAGCUAGGUCCUACCAAUGCUAUUAUUUUAUGCCAGUAGUUUGAGUUCAGGUUCCCAGUGGUUUUCUUCAUUUUAAACGUGGUUAGGCAAUUGGAGUAUUGAUAACAUUCAAGCCGUUUUUAGUUCAACGCCGCAACUAGAGAAAGAUCCUUUUAAUUUUCAAGCCAAUUAAGUUUUCGGAAUGCUUCAACCAAGUUAUUUCUUUGGGGUUCCACAUCAGUUUUUGGGGUAGCCAUAAACUUAUGAUGAUGAUGAUGAUGAUGAUGCUCUCGCCAAUUGAUUAUUGCUAAUUUUCUUUGUACCUAUUAGCUGUUCCAGGCUAUCUUAUUGCCAUUUUUACAAUGUUACUAAAAUUUGUUGGUAUAGCAGUGCCCUUUCAUUAUAGUUGGCCUCUUAUGAGUGUAAUUAAUCUCAAAUAUCAACAUUAUAAAUUAUGAGUGUAAUUGAUUGGGUAAAUACUCGUUUAAUCCCUAAAUUUUGAUAUAAGUGUCCGUUUAAUCUCCAAAUUUUAAAAAGUGCGUAAAAACACUCUUAUUGUUCAAUAUGUUACAUUCUUAUCAUUGUUUGUUUCUUUUCUUUUACAAUAAUAAUAUUGCAACAAUAUUCUUGACAUUAAUUAAUUUAUUUAUAAAAAAAUUAAUUAGCAAAUUAACCAAUAAAUAUAAGUGUGAAAGAACUAAUAUUUUUUGUAUCUGUUAAACAAUCUUACUAAUAAUUUUUUAUAAAUAAAUUAAUAUUAGCCUACUUAAAGUAAUGUCUAAUAUUUUUACAAUAAUUUUACUAAUAAUUAUCACGUCGGUAACGUCGAUUUUUACCGACGAAUCAUAGGUUUCGAAAAUAUAGUGCCUUUUGAUAAAUCGAGAGAGUGGGGACAAGCACCUUCUCGGAUGUCUGGAGCUGAAGUGAAAAAGCAGUUGAAUAAUAUCCUUACUGAGUUUAAGAUUGAAGACUUGAAAAGUGGAGAAUGAAUAAAAUGAGAGAAAUGACAAGAUUACUUGGAAGAAGAAAAGCAUAUUUUAUGAACUACCGUGUUGGGAGUUCAAUUUGAUUCAUCAUAAAAUGUGAGACAUGAGGGAGAGACAAAAGCUCAGGCUUGUCUGCAACCAUGUGGGCCCUCAUAAGCAAUUCGUGUACACAACUUGGUUCACCAAGCCCAACAACUUGAAGCAGGCAAAAUCCGGGAACGAUCCUUCUCCUUCGCAACCCUGGCAGCCUUAACCUUGUAUUUCUGAUAUUUAGUUAAAGAGUAAGAAGAUUGCUCCUCUGUCAAUUACCUUCGAGAGAGACUUUCUUUUUCAUUAAUCGAUGCUUGCUUGUGAAAGCAAGGGUUUUAGUUACACUUUCAACGCUGUCAAUGUAGUGAAGUAAAGCAUUCGUAGAAUAAUGAAGAUGGAAGCCCCACAGCAUGAAAACUUUUAAACAGUAACACAGCUCUUAUUCCAGAGGCUGCACGCGAGUGACCUGAAUCUUCUUCAGAACUUUCAAAUUUUAUCAAGCAAAGCUUUCAAAAUUUCUCAACAAAUUGAUUAUUUGGUGUGGUUGCCACAUUUUGAGUAACUGCUAUUUGUUCUCAAGUACAAAAUCCUUGCCCUCCUAAGUUAGGAAAUAUAGAUGUGAAGCAAACCAAAUGAAAUAAAUGGGUAAACAGAACAAACAGUGCAAAAAUUAAAAAUGAUGGCAAUUAACAAAUUAACUUGUAUUUCUGAUAUUUAGUUAAAGAGUAAGAAGAUUGCUCCUCUGUCAAUUACCUUCGAGAGAGACUUUCUUUUUCAUUCACCAAAAUAAAAUAAAUUUAGAAUUUCAAACAGUACUAGUAGUAAAAAAAUGACGACAACAACAAAAAUAGAAAAUUACAAGACUGCUGAUAAAAUUUCACUUGCAGGCAUUUCUCACAAAAUUUCUGUGAUUUAAUGUGCUUUCAUGCACGCAAGUCCUAACGUUUCUGUGAUCACAAAUGAAACUGAAGAUAAAACAGAACAACUACCAAACCUUUCAAGCGUGACGAAGCCAUGAGAAUUGAUAGCUCAAUGUCAUGGGAUGAGUGUUUUGUCACUAAAACAGAACAAUAAUUUUGAACACACCAUGUGGCAUUUAGACCAUUUGAUAGUUUGUUUCAAACAUAUUUGUUUAUAAAAUACUUUUCUUCAUGGUUUUGGUCCCAUAAUUUUCUAUGUAUGUACAGGUUUUAUCGAUACCGCUUUUGACAAGUUACACUUACAUAGCAAUGCCCUUUUUGAUAAACUGUGCUUCUGUGAUGAAGAAUGUUUUAGCUGUAAGUGGAUAUCCUAAUCAUUGAUCCAUAUACUUAGGUUAUAUUAUCCAUCAGCAAGUAUGUAUAAAAUUAUUUUGUGUCUUUUUUUAUUAGAAAUGUUGUAAUUCUAUUUUACUCUUCCUGAAUUAUAACAUCAGGUGUCUAUAAUAACUAGGUUAUUCCUUCUGCAAAACAGAGCAGUGGUAAAUAUUUUUUUUCUUUUGUUUGUUUAGUACAUUUACAUGCUUUCAGCUUUUUCAAAUUUUGUAUGUGUCAAAGUUUAAAUUUAAUUUGUUGGUUUAUGCCACAACAAAAGGAACAGCAUCAAAGAGGAGCUGCUAAUGGACUUGCUAUGACUGUAGUGUCGCUUACCAAAACUGCCGGUCCAGCUGUAGGAGGUGCUCUGUGAGUGUCCUGUUGAUUUUGUAAAACUAUAUGUAAAUGAAGUUAUAAUUUUUUUUUUCAUUAAUUGGGGUUCUGGCAGAUUUUCUUGAUCACAAAAGCAUCAAGAUGCUGGUUUCCUCCCAGGUAUGAUGAUCUACUAAUGAAAUUUCUCACGAGUUGGUGAAUUACUUUGUGCUAAUUAGCUUAGUUAGCUGCUUAAACUAAAGUGCAGGUAACCAGAUGAUUUUUUUCAUUUUGAAUUUGGUCGAGGCACUAGGAGUAAUAUUGACAUUCAAACCAUUUCUAACUCAACGUGCCCCGUGAGUAGAGAAAAGAUGCAUCUGUUGAAAUAUUCAAAUAUAUGUCGAGCAAAUUAAAGCUUUCAAAAUCUAUCAACAAUUUGAUUAUUUGAUGUGGUUUGCCACUUGCCGUAUUUUGUUUUGCUGUUCUAAAGGCUUAAAUAUGAAAAUGGUGGUUGGCGCUCACACCAAUCGAUUGCUGUUAACAUUAAUUGUUCAGUACUUUUCUCUGUCGACAUUUAUACUUGUUCAUUGUCAGAACUACGACAAUUUAUCUUUACAAUGAUGCAAGCUAGAAAGAAUUUUUCAUGUUAAGUAAAAUAUUGAAGCCACAAAGAGUCUGAAUUAAGUACUAAGUUUUCUGCCAUGCUUUCAACGGUAACACAUUUGUAGCUCUUAUUCCAGGGGCUUCACAGUAGAGAGACCUGAUUUCGACCUUCUUCAGAACUUGGGGAUUCCGUAAUAACAGAGGACAACAGUUAUAUAAGAAUAUUAUUUUGUACAAUUUUCGUAUAACCUGACCAAUGCAAGUAUAAUUUGAUGAUCUUAACUCAGAUCAAAAGACCUUCAAUGAUGUAAAAUUUGAACAUAAAGAUGAGAACCAAACAUUAGAACUUAUGAUGAAACGGAAACAAAAACAUUGAGAUUGAAAAGAUAGAGAAACACAAGCUUUUUAAAAGGAAUAAAUAUUCAUUUAGUCUCUAUAUUUUGACUUAAGAGCGCAUUUAGUUCUUAUAUUUUAAAAAGUGCCUCAACCUCAAGACACCCCUACUGUGUUGGAAUAAUAUUUUUGGGAAUAUCAAUGAAAAGAAACGAAUGGUAAUUCAUCUAGCCAGCCUUAAACAAAAUAAAUAUUAAUAAAAACUUUUAUGUUAUUAUUUUAGUUUUAGGACUAAUUUCGUAAAUUAAUUUUUUUAUGCAUUUAUUAGUAAGAUUGCUUUAAGAAUAUUAAACAUUACUUUAAGAUGGCUGCUAUUGAUUUAUUUAUAAAGAAUUAUUGGCAAGAUUGUUGUAAAAGUACAAAAAAAUACUGGUUAUUUCAUAUUGAUAUUUAUUGAUUAAUUUUCCAAUUAAAUUUUUUAUAAAUAAAUGAAAUUAAUUUAAGAAUAUUAUUGCCAAGAUAUUAUUGUAAAAGUAAAUAAAAUUUAAGGAAAAAUGUAACGUAUUUAAUAUCAAGGUAUAUUGAGGUAUUUUUUAAAAUAUAAUAACUAAACGAGCAUUGAAGUUAAAAUAUAGGUACCAGACGAACAUUUUCUCUUUUAGAAAGUUUUAUAUUUUAUUAAUGAAAGUCUGAAUAACAAAAUUAAGGUUUUGGACUUCUUUUAAACUAAACUUAAAUAUAACAAAUUUACCAAAAUAACUAAACCUAACAUAUUACUACAUAAUAACAUUCUCCUAAUUGAAAUAAGAUAAAUGUUACUCAAAUUCUAUAUCUAGAAAAAAAAAAGAUAAAAAUCCUAAAAACAAUAGGAAAAUAGAUCUUAAACUUGUAAAAUAAUAUGAAAUAAAUAUAAUUUUCAAUCGAACCACGAGACUAAUGCGGCGCUACAGUAUUAGAUUAGUUUCCCCUCGUCGCGAACUUCGAAAUGUAUAUUAUACACCCUAAAUAGAUACUUAUAGCUCAAGUUGUUACCCUAGAGAGAUACUCCACUCAUCCUACGCAACCUAGAGAGAUACUCCACUCAUCCUACGCAACCAUCCGCUGCAUCAAAUUCGUUCCAAAAUUAAGAAUAAACCAGCUGAUGCAUUCCAAAUAAUUUAGAUGAAACGAUAAAAUAAACCUAGAGAUCAAAUAACAUGAAAUGAAAAAGAUAAUUACCUUGGACUGAAGCUCAUACAAAUUCAUUAUUUGACACCUGCGGCAAUUGUUGAAAUAAUAGUUAAUGAAAUAUAAAAUAAGACAAGUACAUAUUAAUGAAACACCACUGUGAAUCGAUAGCUAAGGACGGAGUAAAAUUUAAUUGUAAAUUAGGACAGUAGAGCAAGCAUCCAUAAACAUAACAUGAACGUAAUACAUCAAUUGAAAUAUCAUAGGAUAAAUUGGGACAUCAGAGAAAGAAAUAAGUAAAUAAAUCAGCAAAGGAAACAUGCAUAAACAAAUAAAAAAACAAAGACAAAAUAAGGAAGAGUUUGUGAUAAUUUUCUUCUAUGGUCAUUGAAGUCCAAAAACUAAUAAGGAUCGAGCAAUUGAACGGUUGCAAACUCAAUGGAAAUACAAUGGAACCUUAAAAAUGAACAGUGAAGGAAAAUGAAGAAAUCUGCAGGAAAUAAGACGAGUGAGAGUGAAGAAUUAAUUACCACUGAGUAAAUGCGAAUGAAGAAUGGAGACAGAUCCUUCUUCGCCCCAUUGAGAAGUGAGAUUCAUAGAUUGCAUUGAAAUUGAGAGUUGAGAUCAAGAAGCGAUUCUUCUUCUCCGUAAUUUCCUUUUUCUUUUAAUGUUGUUAUUAUUAUUAUUUUUUUUUUUUUUCAAUUUCAUGAUAUCUUUUUUGUUUUAAACAGUAUUGGCAUAUUACAUUUAUUUAUGUUAAUUUUACAAUACCUCCCUUCAGAUUGCACAAAUUACAUUAAAAAAAAAAGUGCUUUAUGUAUAAAACUUUCAAACAAAUUGGGCCAAAAUCUAACUUUACCAAGUUUAGAGUAAUUUUGGGCUCGACAUUCCAUUUCCGACAAACGAUUUUUCUUGGCGUUUGAUUUUUCUUUAUACUUUUCAUAUUUAUCCAACGGCUCGUCAAUGACAAUACCUUUGUAAAAAGUACUUAUUUUGAAUAUUAUAUUGUGGAAAUGUCUGGUCGGUAAUACAACUAUUUCUUAUAGUGUAAAACUGAUACACUAGCGUUCACAUUUUGAUGAGUAAAUUAAGGAUUUCAAGAUGAAGUACAUAAUUAGAUUAAUGCUAAGAAACUGAAGUUUGAUCGAUUGAAAAUGAAAAUAAUAAUGAAGGUAAUUAAGAAAAUGAACAAUAUAUGCAGAAGCGGUCCUAUUAGGACUUCUAGAUUUUCUCUUGGGCUUUCCUUAUUAUUGUUAAAAAAUGACACGAAGAACUUUGAGUUUAAAAAUCUGGCCCUGAUGCCUGGUAGCCCUCCAUGAAGCACCAGAUGUUUUGAUGAGAAAUGACAAGACCAUUUAUCAAAUUUCUUGUGGAUAUAAAUACAUACACAUAGACGAGACCAACCUCCUCAAAUGAGAAUCAGAGUGAUUAAAAGACCUUGCAAUGAGACAAUGAUACACCAUCAAAUGUCAAAAUACAAUAGAAAUUCACGACAUAUAUAUAAUAAAAGACCUCUCAUUGAGUCAUAUAUAUUGAGAAUAAAAAUGUUAUAAUACAUACACAGAGCUUAGCUAGAAUAAAAUGUCUUUGAACUUGCGAUGAUCAAACAAAGGAAACAGACAGGUUGUAACUCACACUAUCACAAGAAGAUCACGAAGAUGAAAAUGGGAACCCAUCAGAAUGGAAACUUUGAAUAGAUGAAAAAAGAAAAACGACCUUAUUCACAGAAGAAGAGUGACUUAAAUCUUCAUCAGUAUCCAGACAUUUUGCAAUCAUAGAGUAGAGAAAUUUUAACAGGAACAGCAGAGAAAAUAUUAUGAAUAUGCUAUAGACCAAUAUACUUGUUCAUAGCUAACGUUUGAUGGUUUAAGGAUUUGUUCUAGGAAUAAUGGGCUGAUUACUUUCUUUUUAUUUUAAUUUUUUUUUAAUCCAAUGAAUGAUAUUCAGCUGUUAAUUAUGUGUUCAUAGGGAAGAACAUUUUCUAAGUACUUUCCUUGCCUUCUAACUUUCCGAAAAGCAAACCCAAUGAGCAAACAGAGCACAAACUAAAAUAAAAGAACAGCAAUGAUAACAAUAAAUAAUUGGCAAAGAAAAAAAGGAAAAAGUAUGCACGUUUUCAAGGAAUUAUAAAAUAUGAAGGCUUUUAAUGAAACUUUAUCAUACAAAGUAUGCAAGGAAUUAUAAAAUUUUAGAAAACAAGGGGAGCUCUCAAAAAAAAAUGAAAAACUCAAAUUAAACUAGACUAAAAGACAUUCAAUUUUGCAAAAUCUGUCCAUAAAAGUCUGAAAGGAUCAUUAAAAUUGCAUUGCAAAUUUAACAGUAAACCGAGGGACCCAUUCUAAAUAAUUCAGAUGAAAUUGCGAAACAAGACAUGGGAUUAAAUAAAUGAAACAAUCUAAUAAAAAAAAAAUAAAUGAAACAAAAAUUAAUUACCAGUUGAGACUUUCUUCUAAAAAUUCGCAACUCCAAGUCACAAGAAGCCUAUGAAAUUAGUCGUACUGCGUAGAGUAUGACGACGACACCGCCAACAGCCGACGACACCGCCAACAGCUGAAAGUAAAAUUCUUAUUCAUCAAAUAUCUUAUCAAUAUUGUAUUUAAGAAAGCAAAUUUUGUAAAAAUUUAUCAUGGGAGAUAAGAGUAAUAUGUAUAUACGUACCUUCUCAGCAUGUAAUGUUGUAUGGUUGUGUUUAGAUAAUUAUUAGCCCAGCGCCGUUGAUCCGCUGUCUCUCCAUACCAGACAUUUACUCUUGGAGGCGUGAUUGCUUCUCCUGUAGUGAAAAUCUUCAUCUUGGGACAACCAAUCACCCACAACUCUUGCAAAGAUGGGAAUUGGAAGGUGUAAUUGGCAGAGCAGAAACUUGUGAGGCUAUCUAAAUCACGCAGUUCCAACGUCUUCAAUUUGCGGAAAACAAUCUCUUCUUUUUCAACUCCAUCUUUGUCAUUUAUUACCACCUCUGUCAUUGCUCUGCAUCCAUAUAUUUCUAUUGCUACGAGUCGCACCAGAGUUUUUGCUGUGGAGGAUGUUACCAUGUGUAACAAUUUCUUGCAACCGAAAGCCACCAGAGCUGUUAGGUUCUGAAAAGAUACCGAUGAUGAUGGCAAUAGAAUUAACAGACUUUGACAACGAUAUGCUUUUAGAAUUUCAAGAUACUGAAAAGUGGGGCCAAGUUUGGAGUCUUGUUUGCACAGCUGCUUCAGAUGAUAGUGCCAGCGCAGCUCUAAUGUUUUUAUCAUUGCCAACUUCCCCGCAUGUUUCUCUAAGCUUCCUUCCUCCGAAAAUACCUCUUCGUGGAAUGAAAAUUGAAACAGUGAGAGUAUUUCAAGAUUGUGAAAUCUCUCAAGUACAUUCCAGAUUGGAAAACAAGCUGAGUUAUCUUCGGCAAUCUCUAGUUGUUUAAGACUGCCAAAAAGGUGUUGUGGGAAAUCGGCCUGCAAAAUCAUCUUCACGUCUUUUCCAUUCAAUGAUAGGUCCUUCAAGUUGGGUAAGAUCUGAUCAUCAUAAAUCAUAAUAACUAAUGAGGUCAAUUGAUGUUCUCUCAAAUGAUUUUGAGUAAUCCAAUUACAAGCAGUGACUUUAUUGUAUCUGUUUUAUAUUAAUUUUACCCCCAAAAAAAAUUGAAUUAGUGAUAAAAUUCAUUAUAUGAUUUUUUAUAUGUUAAUUUUAGAGGUAAAAAAGAAAUUAGGGAAAAAUGGUUGAUUUAUAUUUGCAUGAAAAUAUUUUAUUUCACAACAAUAAAUUAUUAAUUUAUAUUGUAAGUCCUUGUAUAAAGAAAAACUAAGGAUUCUUUACCUAAAAAAGUUCAUAUAAUUAUUAAUCUCCCACAUUGAUCCCUUAGUCAAGACUAGCAAAGAUUAUUAUGUAAUAAAAAUUUUUAAUUUAUUAAGUAUUAAUUUAUCAGUGUUUUGUUACAUUUUUCAAAGUCAAAAGUCGUCAAUGAGCUAUUGAAAAAAAUAUCUAGAAAAUGACUUCAUACCUUUUCGAACGGCAAUAAGGGCUGUUGUGCAGGAAUAUCAAGUUGAUUAUUCUCUUUAUUCUGCGAUAAAUCUUCAGCAAAUAUUUUUAAUUUGUCACAACGACACACUGCAAAAUUUUCUAGUGCUGGCCAUUCCGAAGUAUGCAUUCCUGGGUAUAAACAUCUAAGUUUUGGUAGACCUUGGAGUAUCAGAACGGUGGGUUGUGGAAAGACAAAAUAAGGGAUCACUUCAUCUGCUCUGUUUUCAAAACGAUCUCCUGUAAAUCCUUACAGUCUCAUAUAUCUAAGUGCUGGAGCUGCUUGAGGUUUCCGAUCAUAGACGCUGAAAAUAUGUAUUUCAGUUUGUCACAGUACCACACAACUAAUCGUGUUAAACUUUGAAAGUGAGGAAACACGGCCGCCAGAAUUUGAUUGUAAUGCCAAAUCUUGUCGACAUUAAUUGCAGAUAUCUCCAAAGCCACCAAGUUAGGCAACGCAACCUAAAAAAAUAAGAAUUUCUCGUUAGAUCCAAUAUCCAUAUAGGAAGCACUUGUUGAAAUUUUCUUCUUUGAUUACAAAUUGUUGAAAGUCAGAAUCAAUUUCCAACUGACAGCUGAGUUUGAUGCAUUCUAAUUCAUACUACUUGUUAAGAGCUCAAUUAGUGAGCGUGUUGUUAAGAGCUCAAUUAGUGAGCGUGUGAGAUUCUUUUUAUCCUUUUUUCCAUUUUCUUUCAAUUCUUAAAUGAUUUAAUUAUUUUCCACGUAUGACGUCAAAAGAGAACGCAUGAUAGAAUAAAAUCUGUUAUAUAUAUAUAUAUAUAUAUGAAGAAAAUGUUAGCCUACUAUCACGGGAUGAGUAUUUUGCGCAGCUAACCCGUGCGGUACUUAGACAACUUUGCCGAAUGUUGCUAAGUAAGCCUAGAGCUUCUCGAACUAGAGAAGAGAGCAAUUGAGCCGAAUAAGAGACAUUGUAUUGCACAAAGAGAGAUUACAAUGCUUGUUGUUGUGUUUGUUGGAUACAAAUGCCUAAUGCCAUCCCAUAUUUAUAGGGGAGGCUUGCCAAGCUAGAGGCUCUAGAGAUUCUAGAGAAUUCUACCAUUUCCUAGCUAUUUACAUGUGCUGGAAUUGUAAGGAGAAUUCUAGAGUAUUUGCAAGCUCACAUGUGCUAGAAUUGCCAAGAACUUUCCGGAAUUGGGCCAAGCUAGCACUCUUGGCCUUGUGUUGGCUCUCUAGCCCGAAAUUGUUGGCAAUUGGGCUAGCGAAUUGGGCGGUCCGCAACAUCCUCCCCCACCUAAGCUCGCGGCGUCCUCGUCGCGCUCUCGUGCUUGAAAUUCUAGAUGUGCUCAGCGAAUUGCCAUAAGUCAUCUUCACGUUCCCAAGUGGCUUCGCUCUCGGGGAGGUUUUUCCACUUCACCAAGUACUUGCUAUGUGCUGGCACGCCCCUCCUCGAAACCGUGCGGUCCGCAAUGAUGUAGUCCACAUCUUUGUCGAAUGCGGUGACAAGCAGUUGGCACGCGCCUCGAUUCUCCGCGACUUGGUUCUCCCAUGUCUUCGUGAUAUGGCUUGAGAAGGCUCACAUGGAAGACCGGAUGGAUCUUGAGUCUUGGCGGAAGUUGGAGUUGAUAUGAGACGUUGCCCACACGUCGAACAACUCGGAAGGGUCCCUCAUAGCGCCUCACUAACCCCUUGUGGACUUUCCGCAAUGUCUUGAAUUGUUGGGGUAGGAGCUUGAUCAUGACUUGAUCUCAUUCAUUGUACUCAACAUGCCGUCUCCUUGUAUCCGCCCAUUUCUUCAUUUUCCUCGCGGCUUUGUCGAGGUAGGCUCGCGUGAUGUCCGCUUCCUCAUGCCAUUCGCGGGCGAACUUGUGUGCCGCGGGGCUUUUCCCGCCGUAAGUCGAGGCUAUGGCGUUGGGGGUCAUGGGCUGGAAUCCCAUGAUGAUCUCGAACGGACUCUUGCCCGUAGCCUCACUUCGCUGCAAGUUAUAAGAAAAUUGGACGAUGUCGAGUAGCUUCGCCCAAUCCCACUGAUGAGCGCUCACAUAAUGCCUCAAGUACAUUUCGAGGAGGCCAUUGAUGCACUCGGUCUGCCCAUCCGUUUGUGGGUGGAAGCUUGUCGAGAACUUGAGAUCGGUCCCCAACAUCUUGAAGAGCUCCGUCCAAAAACGCCCAGUGAACCGAGGGUCUCACAAUGCUCCUUGGAACUCCCCAAAGCUUCACAAUGUGCUUGAUGAAUAGGCAGGCUGCCUCAUCCGCUUUACAAUCGAUUGGUGCGGCAAUGAAUGUGGCGUACUUGCUGUAUCGGUCGACAACGACCAUGAUGCUUCCGCAACCUUCGGAUUUGGGCAGCGAAGUAAUGAAGUCCAUGGAGACAUUUUCCCAUGGCCUUGUUGCUAGUGGUAGCGGCUCCAAUAAUCCCGCUGGAAGUUGAUGAUCCACCUUGUCUUGUUGGCACACAAGACAAGUUCGCACAUCUGCUUCGAUGUCGUCCCUCAUGUACGGCCAAAAAUACGAGGCUUGAACUAGUGCGGUGGUGCGCUCGAUUCCUGGGUGACCAGCCCACUUAGAGUCGUGGCACUCCUUGAUUACCUCCUUCCGUAAGUUUCCCCACCUUGGCACGAACAGCCGAUCUCCCUUGGUGUGGAGGAUGCCUUCCUCUUGCCAAAAUCGCCUUGUCUUGCCUUCGAGCACCUUCUCCAGCAAAUCCUUUGCUAGCGGAUCUUGUUGGAGGCCUUCCUUGAUGCGUGAGACAAGGUCGGACUUUGGUUGGCUCAUGCUAAUUGUUGCCAAUUCGGCCUUACGGCUUAGAGCGUCUGCAACGACAUUGGCUUUCCUCGGUUUGUACUCGAGCCAAUAGUCGAAUUCCGUAAGGAAAUCUUGCCACCGUGCUUGCUUCGGGCUCAACUUUUUUUGUGUUUGAAAGUAGCUCGUCGCUACGUUGUCCAUCAUAGUCAUGAAGUGAGAGCCUAGCAAGUAAUGUCGCCACACCCGCAAGCAAUGUAUGAUUGCGGUCAUCUCCUUCUCUUGCACCGUGUAGCGGCGUUCCGUAUCGUUUAGCUUUCGACUCUCGAACGCUAUGGGAUGGCCUUCUUGCAUAAGGACUCCACCUAUGGCGAAAUCCGAGGCAUCCGUUUGAACUUCGAAGGGUUUAGUGUGGUCCAGAAGAGCGUGGACGGGUUCCUCCGAAAUUGCCUUCUUCAACUGCUCGAAUGCGCGUUGGCACUCUUCGGACCAAUGCCACGUUCUGUUUUUCUUGAGCAUAUCCGUCAAGGGUGCUGCCUUGGCUGAGUAGCCCUCGAUGAAGCGGCGGUAGCAGUUCACCAACCCAAGGAAUGAGCGAAGCUCGGGUACUUUCGAGGGAGGUUCCCAUUCGAGGAUGGCCUUUACUUUGGCAUUCUCCAUCAUGAUCUUUCCGCCCGCAACCUUGUGGCUAAGGAACUCCACUUCUUGUUGGGCAAACGAGCACUUCUCCAACUUGAGGAAGAGCUCGUUGUCUCGGAGUACUUGGAGGACUUGUCGUAAGUGUUGGGCAUAAUCCUCGAGUGUGGUGCUAUACACCACUAUGUCGUCCAAGUACACGACCACGAAGCGGUCGAGGAAUGGUUGGAGUAUCUUGUUCAUGAGCGUGCAAAAUGUAACAGGUGCAUUAGUAAGGCCAAAAGGCAUCACAAGGAAUUCGAAAGACCCAUACCUUGUAGUGCACGCUGUCUUCGGUUCGUCUCCCUUGGCGAUGCGCACUUGAUAGUACCCGGAGCGCAAGUCAAGUUUGGUGAAGUACCGCACUUUGCCAAGUUGGUCGAACAAGUCCGCGAUCAAGGGAAUCAGAUACUUGUUCUUGAUGGUGAUCUUGUUGAGCGAUCUAUAGUCGAUGCACAUCCGCAGCGAUCCAUCCUUUUUCUUUUGGAAGAGGACCGGUGCACCGAAUAGGGCCUUUGAGGGGUGAAUGUAGCCUGCGUCCAGCAAGUCUUUGAGUUGUCUCCGCAACUCCUCUAAUUCGGGUGGCGCCAUGCGGUAGGGCGCCAAGGCUGGUGGCUUCGCGCCUUGUUCCAGCUCGAUCGCAUGAUCUACCUCUCGCCGAGGUGGGAGCUUCUUCGGAAGUUCCAGAGGCAUCACGUCCUUGUAUUCAUUGAGAACGGCUUGAAUUCGCGAAGGGACUUGGCUUGGCGACGUUCUGCUCUUUCCUUCCUUGUUUAGUUCCCGGAUGGAGACCAAGAAGCUUGGGUCCUUCUUGAAAGCCCUUUUGAAUUGCAUGGCGGAGAGUGUCUUCUCCUCGGACUUGCCUCGCUCCGUGGGUACCAUGCAUGCUUUGCUCCCGUCGAGGAUGCUUAGGGAGUUUGUAGCGGGCAGUGGGAAGGCAUGGACUUGGUCGAAAAAUUCCAUGCCGAGGACUAUCUUGAAGUCAUCCAUGGGGAUGAUGGAGAAAUCAAGCUUUCCGCUCCACGUACCGAGUGUUAAGUGCACGCCUUGUGCAAUUCCCGCAAUUGGCUUGGCGGGUGAGUUUACUGCCUUCAUUGUGCUUCGUGAGCUAACUUGCGUGCGUGCAAACCUUAGCUCCGAUACCACUUGUCACGGGAUGAGUAUUUUGCGCAGCUAACCCGUGCGGCACUUAGACAACUUUGCCGAAUGUUGCUAAGUAAGCCUAGAGCUUCUCGAACUAGAGAAGAGAGCAAUUGAGCCGAAUAAGAGAAAUUGUAUUGCACAAAGAGAGAUUACAAUGCUUGUUGUUGUGUUUGUUGGAUACAAAUGCCUAAUGCCAUCCCAUAUUUAUAGGGGAGGCUUGCCAAGCUCUAGAGAUUCUAGAGAAUUCUACCAUUUCCUAGCUAUUUACAUGUGCUGGAAUUGUAAGGAGAAUUCUAGAGUAUUUGCAAGCUCACAUGUGCUAGAAUUGCCUAGAACUUUCCGGAAUUGGGCCAAGCUAGCACUCUUGGCCUUGUGUUGGCUCUCUAGCCCGAAAUUGUGGGCAAUUGGGCUAGCGAAUUGGGCGGUCCGCAACAUCCUCCCCCACCUAAGCUCGCGGCGUCCUCGUCGCGCUCUCGUGCUUGAAAUUCUGGAUGUGCUCAGCGAAUUGCCAUAAGUCAUCUUCACGUUCCCAAGUGGCUUCGCUCUCGGGGAGGUUUUUCCACUUCACCAAGUACUUGCUAUGUGCUGGCACGCCCCUCCUCGAAACCGUGCGGUCCGCAAUGAUGUAGUCCACAUCUUUGUCGAAUGCGGUGACAAGCAGUUGGCACGCGCCUCGAUUCUCCGCGACUUGGUUCUCCCAUGUCUUCGUGAUAUGGCUUGAGAAGGCUCACAUGGAAGACCGGAUGGAUCUUGAGUCUUGGCGGAAGUUGGAGUUGAUAUGAGACGUUGCCCACACGUCGAACAACUCGGAAGGGUCCCUCGUAGCGCCUCACUAACCCCUUGUGGACUUUCCGCAACGUCUUGAAUUGUUGGGGUAGGAGCUUGAUCAUGACUUGAUCUCAUUCCUUGUAUUCAACAUGCCGUCUCCUUGUAUCUGCCCAUUUCUUCAUUUUCCUCGCGGCAUUGUCGAGGUAGGCUCGCGUGAUGUCCGCUUCCUCAUGCCAUUCGCGGGCGAGCUUGUGUGUGACGAUGGUCUGUUUGGUGAUGCUGAAGGAGUCUUUACUUCACGGCAGAAAUUUGUAACCUCUGGAAGAUUCCCCAGACUCAAAGAUCUUAAUUGAGCAAACUCUAUCUUCUCAAUUGCAUUAUCAACUUCUUCCCCAAUUGCAAAAAUCUCUUUCAUCUUGCUGCAAUCAACAACUGCAAUUCUCUCAAGUCUUGGAAGGCAUUUUGUAGUAGAGAGCCAAAAGAUAUUACUCAAUUUAUCACAAUUAUAUGCUUGUAUGAUUUUGGGUUCGUUCAAAGACUCUACUUUGAGCUGAUCAAUACAUAUCCUCUCCAUGUUGAUCAAAUUGUGAAGGAUAAGUGACUCCAAAAGAGGAAAGGCUUCACAAGCUACCAUCUCCAUUGAGUCCACGAUACACAGGAAGUUAGGAUUAUUUUGAACAUGGAGAUGCUUCAAUUGUGAAAAACCUUCUGUGUCCAAAUCAAAAAGAACAUUCUUGACACCUUGCAGCUUGUCCAACCAUAGGUAUUCAACGUUAUUGAUGCCCUGCAAUUUCAUGGAGAAAAUGUCCAUAAAAUCAAGCUUGAGCUUCAAUUCUCUUAAACUCUCACGAUUACUGUUGAUCAAAAAGUGCGGCCGGCUUUGAAACCAUUCUCUUGUAACACUCUUGGGAGGCAUGAAUGACUCAUUUCCAAUGGAUAUUUUGAACCUUUCGAGCUUUCUGGCCAAAAAGCCUUCCGGUAAAAUACUGUCAUUUUUAACAUCAAUUUCUAGAGUGGUUGGCCAAGGUAAAAGCAUCAAUUCAUCAAGGCUAGCAUUACUUCUUUCACUGUUGGCUCUUUCAACCUCCCAUUCAACGGAGCAAUUACCCAUAUACAAUUCUUCUAAUCGGAUUAAGCUCGAUAAGACAUUUGGGGCAAUAACUUUUAGAUGGAAACAGUCUCUUAAAUCUAACAGCCUUAGCUUAGUCAGUUGCCCUAGUGCUUUAGGUAACUGUACAAUAUCAGACCGCACAAAGCCAAGGAUUUCUAGAUUUUCCAACUUUCCAAUAAUGGCUGUGUCCAUGUCUCCCAAAUGCUUUGAUUAAGACAAAGUGUCCGAAGAUUUACUAGAAGAUCAAUUGAAGAUGGCAAUGACAAUAACCGCAUUCUAGUCAAAUCCAAAACCCGAAGCUUUUUCGUCCUUUUGAAGAAGUUCUCAGGAACAUUGGGCCCAACAAAAGAGUUCUUGGGUGACAUGAAUAAAAAUUCAAGUUGUGUAGAUUCCAACACUUCAGGAAUGUCAUUAAUAAUACUAUCUUUUAAACAAAUUGCAAAAUAUUUUUUUAGUGCAUCUGCAUCUGGCCAGUUCCACACAUCCUCAUUUCUCACCGCAAAUGCAAUUUUGUCACGACGUGCUAUUGAAAUGGCAACAUCGCGAACAACAUCAUGCAUGGAAAAGAAUUUACUGCCACCAUCCUCAAGCAACAAACAAGAGUCUCUUAGUUGAUGGACCCAUGCAUGUAAUUUGUUAUGUGCAUCUUCUAUCUUAUGGACACUUUCAAAUGCACCCAAGCCUAUGCUAUAUUUGAACAAGUCCAUAAUUGAAGUUGGUGUAAUUAGACUACACAGUAAAAAAGUUUUCUUUAGUUGCUCACCUCUUAAAUACUUGUAACUUAGCUCAAUUGUUGAGUAUGCCUCUACUGGUACUCCUUCAUCGAAGCUUGCCUCUGAAGGCGUUUGGAGUUCUUGCAAGGCGUUCUUCCACACAGGCAGCUCUUUGUUUCUCAGUGCCUUUGCUACUGUGGUUAGAGCAAUAGGCAAACCUCCACAUGCCUUGGCUACAUUUGUUGCUGUAGAUUUUAACUCACGAUUUUCAACAAAAUUACCAGCCAUUAUCUUGAACAACCUCCAAGCUUCAUGCUCAUUUAGAAUGCCAAUCAAGAAGUUAUUUUCAGAUCCCAUACUUAACAAGACAUUACGAUCCCUUGCUGUUAAUAAUAAUUUGCAUCCUCUAUGAUCAUCGUCAAAAGGAAUUCCAACAGUCUCUAAAUCAAGAUAUUUCCAGAUGUUAUCCAGAAUCACAAGGAUCAUCUUCUCUUUCUUCAAUCGUUCAUAAAGUCUACUAGCUCUUCUAGAUUCAGCCUCCUCGGACAACUCCAGACCUAGUUUCUCUGCAAUUUCCCCUUGAAUCUUUUUUAUGUCUGGAGUUUGGGAAACCUCUGAAAAAACCACCUGAUCAAAGAGUUUCUCUUCACUGGCUUGCGUUGCAAACUCCUUCACCAGUGUUGUCUUUCCAAUGCCGCCCAUGCCGUAUACCCCAACGAUGCUGACAUUGACAUCAGUCAAUGCAUCUUGUCUAGACUUCAGAGUAGAAAGUCUUGAUUUAAAGGCCUCGUAACCUUUGUUAGACUUUAGCCAUACCUCCUCCGCAAUGGUACGGUAGAAAAUUCUAUCAUCAAAUCUCCUAGCUUCUUCUUUGAGUUCAACAAGGGCCUUCACCUCUGUUUCUGCUUUCUUGCUAAGCUGAUAGCGGGUCUUGAAAUUAGGACACAAGCCCUUGAAACAUCGCUUACUUGUUGUCUCCCCAUCUUCAAUGAAUUUGGCUGCCUGCUCAAUGGUGUUGUUCGCACUAACCAGCCAGUUCUCAACCUUCUCUUCAAUCUUUUCUCCUUUUCUUUCAGCCUCAGAAACUCUGUGCUGAAUGCUCUUACUUUCAUCCUUGAGCUUGUCUAUUUCUGCCUUGAGAUUCUCAAAGUUGGCUUUAUAGUUACGCAAAUAACAAAGUUGGCGUUCUGUUGGAGGAGCGAAGCAUUUCACAACUUCUAACAGAACAGUAACAAUGCUUUCCACCAUCUUCGAUCCUCUUUUUUUCAAAGUUCCGAAAUGAAAAUAAACGACGAGCGAAACACAAAGAGAAAGAGAGGCAAAAAAAAAAAAAAAGAAAAACGAAAAAAAGAAAAUGAAACAACAAAGAUGACAAGUGUAUCUGGUUGUGGAAGCGGAGAAAUCAAAGAAAGCUUAAAAACUGUUGUGAAUCUGGUGAGAAGAUGGAAACAAGGAAAAGGUUUCUAGUUCAAAAGUGAUUGAAUUGAUAUAAGGAAUGAUUUAGAUAAUAGAGGAAAAGUGAAUCAGUCAAAAUAACUUAUGUAUUGACCAGAAGAAAGAUGCAAACAAUAUUAGAGACAACAACCGCGCUGUUGAUGCCCAAAUCUGAUCUAGUCUAUCAGCGACUUAAUGUCAGAUUUCUACACCAGUAUUAGAUUUAUUUGGUAGAGAAUCGAUUGGUCAAUCGUCAAGAUGUCCUGCAACCACUAGCGAUUAACCUAGGAAUACCUGAAAUCAUAGAAGAAGGUUAGAGGCGCCGGAAGUUUUUCCGGCGUGAACCCUCCGACACUCAAGUUAGUUUCUAGGCCUUUCGGAAAAACUUGUGCCACCACUCAUGUGGCUUAAUAAACAUUGCCUUAAAACCCAAGGCUUUUCGAGUAAUUUACAGAAAGUAAAGCAGAGUGUCAAAGAAAGAAUUUUCCAUGAGAGGAAGAGAGCCCAAAAAGCCCCCCUAGCUAACUCCCCACUCCCCUCUUUCCCCCCUUGUUCUCUCCCACUUUCGGAAGUUAAGGAUGAGAUAAAAGUAAUGCCCCCACUCUCCUUUUUUUCCUCCUUUUUCCGUUACCAAACACGCGCUAUUGACUGGUAAAAGAGAUGGAGAAAAAGAUAUAUCUUCACACGGUGGAAGUACAAAGGGUAGAUAUGGAACCAAACAGAGACAACAACAUGCCACAACUAGAUUGGGAAUGGAGAGAAACAAAUUAACAAAGACUGGAGAUUACAACAGAACAGAUGCCAAGAGAAAAGGGUUUCUUCAUCCAGUGAAAUUCAAGUGAGUUGACAGCAAAAGGGAGCAUAUGUGUUUCUUGAUUGAGAACGAGUGCAAAGGAUGACUUUUUAAUGAGGUUCUGAAGCUGACGGAUAACGAUUUGCUAAAAUUUUGAGAAAGUUAUAUAUUUCGUAACUUCAACAAGUGAAGAAUAAAAGAAUAAUAGUUCGUCAUCUUCACAAUGAAGAUCAUGGCCGAGAUUAAAAGCUAAAACUAGUCCAUUUGAAAAGCCAAAGUUCAAGUUCCUUGGCUAAGUUCAGAAGUGAAGCAAAGAAUAAAUAAAUAAAGAUCAAGGGAUGGGAAUAAAGUCACCCCCAGACAGUUGCAGAAAGAUUAUUAUUUGGUAAGCGUAGUUGAUUAUUAGUACAAAACAGAGUAGGUGAAACACAUCCUUUCUAUUUAGACUGAUCAGCAUCUAAAAUUUUAUGAAUUAUAAGUUGCAUUUUACUUUGUACAUUAUGUUAACACAUUUUAAUUUAGCCAAUUUUUCAAUAAAUGUUAUUGAUGUAUUAAAUUGCAACAACAAAACACAAUUAUUGGUUUUAAAGAAUGAAAAAAAAAAUACAAAAAUAGAAAAUGAAUUGAAUUCCACUCAUCGUCAUCUUGGCAAAUCAAGUCAAAAAAUAAAAAUCCAUAUGCUUUUGUUAAAGUUAAAAGCUACAUAAAUAAUAUCACAGAAGCUUCUGCUAAGGUUCAUGUGAAGUCACAGCUUUGAUACUUGUAAUACAAGGAGCACGGAGAAACCAUAAACUUCAGUUUAGGUAUAUACAUUGCUUGUCUUUCAAACUUGAAUUGAUAAGGGGGAAAAAAAUAAUACUAAAGCAAACAGAAGGAUCAUUUAGUUGACAAAAUUAUUAUUAUUUUUAAAUUCGGGUCAUUCAGUUACUUUCAUUUCAGUUUCACUACUGAUUCAAUUUAACCAGUUAACGUUGACAAAAAUAAAAUGCAAAUAUAAGGCUAAGGCUGCUAAUUUGAUGAACUAAUUAUCUCAGGAACCAAAGCAUCUAUAAGCAUGCAUGGGUGGCAACACCAUAAUUACUCAAGACUGGAGGAGUAAAAAGAUUGGAGAUGAUAAACAUUAAAUUUCAGGAAAAUCAUUCACAAAUAUGCUUUUAUAAAAGUUUUGCUGGUAAAGUUCGAGAAAUGCAUACAUGUCAAAUUUCCAUUUCUUGUGAGCAUUUCACCAAAUAGCUGAUAUGCAUUAAUAACUCCUAUCCUAUACUAUUGGCCAGUAGGUUGUUGCUGCUUCCCCAUUUUUAAUGAUGCGAACGUCUCAUACUUAGAAAUAAGGGCGGAGCCUGGAGAUUGAUUUAUAAGAUAAUCUUUUGAAUAAAAAUAAAAACAAUUACAGAUUUCAAAUGUGAGAAAAAUAAAAUUGCGUUAUAAAAUUAAUCCCACUAAGAAAGUCGUCUACGAAAUUGCCACAUUAAAAGAAAAUUUUUCCAUAAAUUAAAAUAAAAUUAAAUGAAAACUAUUUUUCAGUAAAGUCAAUUGCCCACGCUAGGCUAAGGCGUUUGUUUAUUUGUUUGUUUGUUUUUAUAAUCUGAAUAGGUAUAAAUUUUUCGUAAGCAUGAAUGAGCUGAGUACAAAUAUAUGAAUGAUAUAUUUAUUUUUCUUUUUCUUAAUACCCAAAUAUAAGUGACAUCUUAUUUAUCUUAAAUAUGGUUAUUUGAUAUUUAUAUUUUUACAAAUAAAAACAAAAAAAAGUAGUUAGAUUUUAUAGUUUAAGAAAUAAAUAUAUUUUAUAAAAAUAUUUUUAGAAUAUAUAUUUAAUUCUUAUUUAGACUUUUUCCUAUUCAAUAAAAGUCACAAAAGUUACUUUUUCUAUUCAAAUGUAAAUGCUUAAAAAUCAGAUAUAAGUCACAAAAAAAAUAAAUUUUAGAAAAAGUCAUAAAUUAAUAAAAUUUCAUAUAUUUAACUCCCAAUGCAGAUCCGCCCCUAUCAGUGUUAGGAAAUUGACUGGUGAAGUAGGUUCACAGCUAAAAUGAAAUUGGAAGAAAAUGAAGAACAAGCACAUAGAGGACACCAAAAAUUACAUGGUUCGACUUUUAGCCUACGUCUACGGGUAAAGACAAAAGGAUAAAACUUUACUGGUGAAAUGAGGAUUACUAGUAUUAUAAUAUUUUGUUUCACUUCCUAGAACCCCAAUCCACUCAAUCUCUUAAAACACUAAUCACUCAAGAGCAUUAAAACUCUUAGUCUCUCACUCUAGAAUUGAAGAAGAAAAGAAUGAAAUGCAGGGGUGAACCCCUCAUUUAUAGUUAAAAAUUUGGGCACUAUUUAUAUUUUUAUAUAUUUUUUUUAAAUUAAAAGUUUGAACUUGACAUUCAAACUUUGAAUAUCAAAAGGUAUUGGUCACUCUUCUAGAAAAGUGACAUUGACUUUGACAUUCUCCCACUUAGAAAUUUGAUUGAGAAUCAAUCAAUCUCCACACCAUCCUUUCUGCUUCGUCGCUAUCAUGUUGCUUAUGUCUCUACUAGGCCAUAAAAUGAUCUACUCCAAACAAAUUUAUCAGCAUUGAUAGGCUUGGGCAAAACAUUUGUUAAGUUCUCCUUGGUAUCCACUCUUGUAUCUUUCACUACUUCACGAAGAAGUGAUAUUGUACUCCUAUAUUCUUUGUCCUGAAAUAAAAGGUUGGAUUCCUUGCAUUCUAACUAUCACAAACCAUAAAAAUUUUUAUGCCCAAGCUCUUUCAGUAACCUUUGUAUCCAAAUAGCCCUUCCAAGCUUGUGUAGCUGCUAUGUAAUCUGCUUCUGUUGUUGAUAAAGCCACAAUGGUCUGCAAUUUUGAAAUCCAACUAACAAUUUCGCCUUCUGGUGUAAAUACUUAGCCAGUAGUGGGUUUCCUUUUAUUAAGAUUUUCUGCAAAAUCUGAAUGCACAAAGCCCUUGACAGUAAAUUCUAAUCCUUCGCAGCAUAAUGCAACAUCUGAUGUUCCUCUGAUAUUUCUCAGAAUCCUCUUAAUAGUCUUCCAAUGUUCUUUGCAAGGAUUCGCUAUGUAUCGACUAACUGCUCCCACUACUUGUACAAAUCAUAGCAAACCUUAAAUUUUCCACUGCUGAUGCAUACAGUACUCAAGACAUCUCUUCUUCUCUACUUCAUUACUAGAUGAAUACUUAAGAAUAACUUGAAAUUAAUAAGAAGCGGGGUAGAAAGCCAAAUCUUCUUGCUAUUACUAUCUCGGUGAAUUUGCAUCCCUAAAAUCUUGUUUGCUGGUUCUAAGUCUUUUAUUUCAAACUCCCUAGUUAACUGUGCCUUCAGUUCUUGGACUCGAUCUUUGUUGGGGCUUGCUACCAAUAUGUCAUCCACAUACCACAGUAGAAUGAUGAAAUCAUUAUUAUAAAACUUGUUGUAAUAUGUACAACAGUAUGAAAUGAUUCUAUUGUAUCCAAGGUUUAUGAUGAAAUGAUCAAUUCUCUUAUAUCAACAUCUCGGUGCAUGUUUGAGAUCGUAUAGAGAUUUGUUCAACUUGCAAACCAAGUGUCCCUUUUUAGUAAAACCUUCUAGUUAGAGCAUAUAAAUCUUUCCUUCAAGUUCUCCAUGAAGAAAUGAAAAUUUCACAUCUAACUGCUCCAAAUAUAGGUCAAAUGUAGCACACAUCGACAAGACCACUCUGACUGUCCUGGGUCAAAUCACUGGAGAAAAUAUCUCAUUGACGUUAAUACAUUCUUUCACCACCAAUCUUUCACGAUAUCGCUCCACUAGGUUAUUACCAUCACGUUUGAUCUUGUGAACCCAUUUGCAACCAAUGGUUUUUUUUUAUAUGGUAGUAGUACGAGUUCCUAUGUCAUAAUCUUGUGUAGAGCCUUAAUUUCUUCCUGCAUUGCUAUCAUUCACAAAGUAACAUCUGAGCUGUUUAAAAUUUCAUAGAAAGUUGAUGGCUUUCCAUUCUCUAUUAAAAGACAGUAUGCAAAAUUGAUAUCUGUGACAUAAUCCAAAUGCCACACAUACAUUUAUCUAUCACGAGUUGACCAACAAACUUUUGGGGCCUCAGACUUGAUUGGUUCUUGUUCUCAUACUUUGGUGCUGCUUCAAAAAAAUCUGAAUCUUCAUUUUCCAGAUUAUUUUCAACAUAUAUUAGCACAAUCUCUAAAUUUUAAUAGUGCUAUCAUCCAUAUCUCUCUUUUGCAUUUGAUCUUCUACAAAGACAAUAUCUCUGCUAAUAACGAUCUUGUGGGCAUUGAGGUCCCACAGAUAAUACCCUUUCACUCCAUCAAUAGAUUCUAAGAAGAUACAUCUCUUGGAUUUUGGAUCCAUCUUUAAUCUCACUUGGGUAUCGUAUAUCACGUAAAAGGACAUCAAAAUGCCUGAGAUGAGAGUAAUCAGUUGGCUUUCCUGUCCAUUUUUCCAUUGGAAUCUUCAACCCGAUUGCCUUGAAUGAUGACCCACUUACCACAUAAUAAGUAGUUUUUGCUACUUCCGCCUAGAAUGAGUUGGUAGACCAGCAGUUCUCAACAUAACUCUUAUUUUUUCUAUAAGAGUCAUGUUCUUUCACUCUACUACUCUAUUUUAUUGAGGAGUGUAUGCCACUGUAAAUUAUCUCUAGAUACUUUCUUACUUACAUAUGCAAGAAACAUGCUAUCUGUAUACUCUCCACCAUUGUCUGUCCUCAGGCACUUGAUCCCUUGCCCUGAUUUAAGUUCAAUCUACGCUUUGAAUUCUUUGAACAAUAGAAAUACAUUUGACCUUUUCUUGACUGGAUACACCAAAUAUCUCCUAGAAUAAUCAUCAAUAAAAGUCACCAAAUACUUUGCACCUCCCAUAGAUAUAUCAAUUGAUUCCCAAACAUUAGAAUGAAUCAAGUCUAAAAUACAUUUACUUUUGAAAGUGGAUCUGCUAAACUUUCAUCUAUGUUGCUUUCUUGUUUCGACAUGUGGCCAAGUUUAAGAUGCCACAUCAUCGCUGAAUUUUCUCUAUUUGAUGUGACACACACAAAAGUUUUCUGUAGUGUUUCCAUUUAAGCAUGAAUAGAUUAGCACCGAUCUUUUCCACCUUCAUUAAUGCAAGUGUGCCUUUGACUAUCUUUAUGAUCCCAUUUUCUACAUGAGUUUUGUGCACAAGGCUAUCUAUUUGUCCUAAAGACAAGAGAUAUUUUUCAAGUCUUUGACAUGUCUUACCUUCUCAAUUGUGCGAACCAUACCAUUAAACAUAUUUAUUUUGACAGUACCAAUAUCAAUGAUCUCAAAGGCAUGAUUAUCACCUAUGUAUACAGAUUCUCUUGAAAUAGGUUCAUAUUUGUGAAAUCAUUCUCUUGGAGAGAUCAUGUGCCAAACAACUAUUAAGUCUAUAAGCCAGACGUCAUAUAGUGGUUUUCUGCCUUUUGAAGCAGUUGUUGCCUUACUGUAGAGAAUUUUUCCAUUAUACGAGGUACUUACUACAUACCCUUGAGCAUUUGAUGACUCAGGAUCUUUACCCUCUCUUCUCUUCUAGUUGUUCCAAUACUCUUCCUUGACAUGCUCUUUCUUGCCACAGUUGUUGCAUUUAACAUUCUUCUUACUUCUUGAUUUCGAUCUACUGUGAUUGUGGCUCUCACUAGGGCCACGUUCCAUGGAUCUUCCUUUCAUCAUCAAUAGCGCUUCUACUUGCUGCGAACUUGUCUGUCUAUCUUUUUUAUUUUUUGCUACUCUCCUCAUUUAAUACGGAGGCUGCCAUAUUGUCAAAGACUAACUUGUUUGCUCGAUUGUUAUUAGUUAGAUUAAUGACGAAUUAAUCAUACGAAUCUGGUAAACCUUGAAGUAAAAGCUCUACAUGAUCAUUUUCCUCUAUUUUAUGACCCAACGUUGUAAGUUAUGAAAAUAAAGUCUUUAAAGUGUUGAUAUGGUCGAUCACUGAUGUAGAUUCCGUCAUUCGAAGAGUAUAAAGCCUCCUCUUUAAAAAGAUUUUAUUUUGUAGUGAUUUGACCUCGUAUAGUCUUGUGAGAGUAAACCAUAUUUCCUUUGCUCUCUUUUACUCUACCACAUUGAAUAAUACCUUAUUUGAAAGUGGUAUGUGUAGAUUUGCAAUGGCAUUAUUGUCUAUCUCAUUCCACUUGUCAUCAUCAGUUAUCUUUGUGAGCCUCUCUUCAAUUGUUGCCAAGCAAUUACUCUUCCUCAAUACAACUUUCAUCUUCAUUUUUCAUGACGAAAAAUUAUUUUUGUUGAACUUCUCAAUUUUGUAUUUUUCCGCCAUCAUUGUUCACCACGAGCUACCUUUGCUAAGAUCGAUUCCUACCAUUUCAUAUGAGCAGUAACUGUAUAUAUGAAUAAAGUGUUGUAUACAGAAACAAUAUCAUAUACAUGAACAGUACAAUAUAUGUAAACAGUAUCUUGACCCCAAAAAAUACAACCCGACUCUGAUACCACUAUUAGAAAAUUAAUUUGUGAAGUAGGGCCGCGACUAAAAUGAAAUUGGAAGAAAAUGAAGAGCAAGCACACUGAGGACACCAUAAAUUAUUUGGUUCGACUUUUAACUUAUGCCCAUAGGUAAGGACAAAAGGAUAAAACUUUACUAGUGAAAUGAGGAUUAUAAGUAUUUUAGUAUUUUGUUUCACUUCUCAAAACCUUAAUACACCCAAUCUCUCCAAACACUAGUCACUCAAGAGUAUAAAACUCUUAAUCUCUCAUUAUAGAACUAAAGAAGAAAAGAAUAGAAUGAAUGAAAUGAGGGGGUGAACCCCUCUAUUUAUAGCUAAAAAUUUGGGCACUUUUUAUAUUUAUUAUUAUUAUUAUUUCAAAAUUUAAAGUUUGAACUUGAUAUUCAAACUUUGAAUAUCAAAAGAUACGGGUUGUUCUUCUAGAAGAACGGCACCAACCUUGACUCUUAGGCAGACCUUUAGAGCUUUAAAUAAAGAAAAAGCUUUUAAAAAUGCCAUGUGUACUUGAUUAUACAAUAAUCUCCACCACAUAGAAUGAUUUGAUAAAAGAAAUUUUUUAUUUUUAAUUUUACUUUUAUCAGGCACGGUGCAUUUCCCCUUGGGCUCAUAUGUAAGGAUGUCAAUAAGAUGCGAAGGAGAGGGGAUUGAUUUCCCCAUACUCAUCUUUAAUACUCUGUCUAUCUCUUUGUACUCUAGACAUUUCCUUCAAAAUUACUUGAAACGAGGGGUUGGAUGUUUCUAAAUAAUACAAAGGGAUCUCUUAUGGCAUCCGAUCUCUGAUUAUUUAAUUUCUUUUUUUUCUUAAUUUAAUCAUCUUAAAGUAAAAAUAUAAAAUCAUAUUAACACAAAAAAUAUCAAAUUAACUAAAGUGAUUAAAAUCAUUUCCAUCAAAUUAAGUCAAUGUCAUCAAAUGAGAAGAUAAUCUUUGAACUAAUUAAGCAAAAGUAAAUCUUCAAAGUUGAACUCAUCCAUAAAUGUCAUAUAGUAUAAACCAUCAAUUAAAUUAUCUUUGUCAAUUUUAAAGUGUUUAUAUUUACUUUAUAUUGGCUGUUAUUUAUAUUAUUUUUAUAAAUGUAUUAUGAUAUUUUUUAUUUACAUCACACUAUUACAAUUGAAAUUUUAAAUGUAUUUACUAUAAAUUUGAAAAAAAAAAGAAUUAAAAAUAGAAACUAAAGAUGGAAAUAGAAAAAUGUGGAGCCAAAUAAAAUAUUAGGGCAAACACUAAAUUAUACACCCACACAUAUUAAUUUAUCAGAUUCUUGUCUCCACAUAGAAAAAUUAGAUCUAAAAUUAUCAAACUCCCGAAUGAGGAAGAUCCCUCGGGGCCAUCGUCCCUGUGGAAAUUUCUGCAUCCCUGCAGUCUACAACGCCUAAUAAUGAAUUGAACGGUUGAAAUCCCUCUAAAUUUUUGAUAAUUUCUAAUCGCCCCUCCAUAUUUGAUUGAACAUCAAAACUAUUGAGUCCAAAUUUAUAACUUUGAUUUAUCUUCCAUUCCAUAGUUUUCAAGUUCUCUCUCUCUCUCUCUUUUAAUCCUUUUUACUGCAACCACCAUCAAAGCCUAGUAGUUAAUAUGUAUGCUGCUUUGCUUUCAAAAUCGGACACUACUGGUAUUUAUGGUUUUUAUUCUUUAUUUGACACAAAAUUUGGCGAUAUCUCCGCGGAAAAACACUACUGGUGUAUUCAAUUUUAUCCGGUAAUGAUUAAAUUGAUUAUUACAUGAACCGUAACUUCGCCAAGCCCAAAAUACAUAUUAAGUUAUAAAGCGUGGCACUCAUUAUUUUUCGCAAAAAGUUUCGCCCAAAAUACAUAUAUUUUUUUAAUUUUUUCUGUGAAAAAAACUACUGUUAUAUUCAAUUUUAUCAUUAAAAACUACUGUUNNNNNNNNNNNNNNNNNNNNNNNNNNNNNNNNNNNNNNNNNNNNNNNNNNNNNNNNNNNNNNNNNNNNNNNNNNNNNNNNNNNNNNNNNNNNNNNNNNNNNNNNNNNNNNNNNNNNNNNNNNNNNNNNNNNNNNNNNNNNNNNNNNNNNNNNNNNNNNNNNNNNNNNNNNNNNNNNNNNNNNNNNNNNNNNNNNNNNNNNNNNNNNNNNNNNNNNNNNNNNNNNNNNNNNNNNNNNNNNNNNNNNNNNNNNNNNNNNNNNNNNNNNNNNNNNNNNNNNNNNNNNNNNNNNNNNNNNNNNNNNNNNNNNNNNNNNNNNNNNNNNNNNNNNNNNNNNNNNNNNNNNNNNNNNNNNNNNNNNNNNNNNNNNNNNNNNNNNNNNNNNNNNNNNNNNNNNNNNNNNNNNNNNNNNNNNNNNNNNNNNNNNNNNNNNNNNNNNNNNNNNNNNNNNNNNNNNNNNNNNNNNNNNNNNNNNNNNNNNNNNNNNNNNNNNNNNNNNNNNNNNNNNNNNNNNNNNNNNNNNNNNNNNNNNNNNNNNNNNNNNNNNNNNNNNNNNNNNNNNNNNNNNNNNNNNNNNNNNNNNNNNNNNNNNNNNNNNNNNNNNNNNNNNNNUCUAAGUUUUGAAAGAAAGGUUGAAAUAAACAGAGAAACAGGACAAACAGAAGAAGACUGAAUUAACAGAUCAACAAAGAUGGCAACUAACAAAUGGAAAAGUUCUCUUGUAAUCAAACUAUAGCAAACAGAUGACACCAUUACCAUAUAUCUUAAUGAGUAGAUUGAUUCUAAACAUAUAUGUUAGGAUACAUUUGGUUGUUUAAUAGUUUGAAAUAAGGAGGAUGAGAUGGUUUCCACAUAAAAGUGCUGGCCCUUUCAAUGACAUUUUCAAGGAAUUAUAAAAUUCAAAAUUAAAAAAAAAUAGCACAUUAUAAAGCCACACCGUCAAAUAAAUAAAUAAAUAAGUGAAGACCAAACUAAGUCACUAAGACCUUUAAUGAUAUAAAAUAAGCAUAUAAAUCUCAGAACAAAACAUUAAAACUCAUUCUAAAAGUAAAAAUAAACUAGUGGUGUAUUCCAAACAAUUUAGAUGAAGCGAUAAAACAAGCCAAGAAAUCAAAUAAAAUGAAAUGAAAUUGAAUUACCUGGGACUUUGUUUUUCAAAUUCACAACUCGAUUGUAAUUAAAGUAAAAUGCCAUUGCCAUUAGGACAUACACAUCAUUGAAUAAGAUGAGGACCCCUCCAACAGCUGAAAGUAAAAUUUUCAUUCAUUAGUUUCAAUUAAAAGUAAAGCACACAGAUUUGCAGGGAAGCAAGAGAUUUAAUAAAUUUAACAACAGCAAUUUAAUUUGACAGGACUUCCAUACAGUAAUGAAGCUAAAACUUAAUGAUUAACGAAUUUUUGUAAUUGAAUGAAUAAGAUUCUCUGAUUUUGGAUAAUUGAAUGAAUAUGAUUCUCUAACUCUUGUGAAAAUAUCAAUUUUAAAUAGGGUAGAGUUUCAAGAAUUAAGCACAUAUGUAUCCCAAGGCUGUUGAUCAUCUCUCUCUCCAUAGUAGAAGUUUACUCUCAGAGGCGCGUUUAAUUCUCCUUUAGUGAAAAUCUUCAUCUUGGGACAACCAAUUAUAGAUAAAUCUUCCAAAGAUGGGAAUUUGAAGGUGUAAUUGGCAGAGCAGAAACUUCUGAGACUAUCAGCAGAAACUUGUGAGACUAUCCAAAUCAUACAGAUACAAAAUCUUCAAUUUGGUGAAAACAAUCUCUUCUUCAAAAUUUGCUGCUCCAUCUUCUUCAUUUAUCACCACCUCUCUCAUUGCUCUGCAUCCAUAUACCAACAUUGAUAAGAGUCUCUGUAGAGUUUGGAGUGACAGAUUCGAUAAUGAUAAACUCCAAAUACUCGCCAAGAUCGCAAAUCAAACAACCAAGAUGCAAAAAGAAUCAAUCCAGAACAAAUCACAGAGACACUUAAGAACCUAAAAGAAUUAAAGAAUUAGCGGCAAAGACAAAAGAAUUAACGUGGUUCAGCUAGCUUUCACUAGCUUACAUCCACAGGAAAAACCAGGAUCAAGUUUAUUGAUUUUCAGAAGAUGAUUACAGAGAGUUUUAAGAGCUAAUAACAGAGUAUUUCUUGAAGCCUUCUCACGAAUCUUCUAAUCACUCAAUAGCUCUCACGCACAUGCCUCCUGUUGCACCAGAAGAAGCUGUUUAUAACAGCUUCUUCAACAAACCAAAAUGAACCCAGAAACUCACGUGAUUGGCAUGCGUUAUAACAGACUCAUAACGACCUUGAGCAGCUUCUUCGAGCACGUGUUUCUCUCGUGCUUUACUUAAAUUCCAGAGACAAAACAAAUUGCUCUUCAAAACGCAAUCAGCAAUUGUCGUAUUGUAGUUUACUUAAGCUGCAAAACGCAAGUCCAACUUGUCGUUUCAAAUAUCUUGAUUUGCUUCACAACACAACAGUCGCUCUAGACUUUUUGCUGUGGAGGAGGUUGCUAAGCUCAUCAAAUUCCUUGCAACGAAGAACUAGAAGUUCUUUUAGGUUCCCAAAAGAUACCGAUGAUGAUGGCCAUAGAUAUAACAGAUUUUGACAAUAAUGUACAUUUAGAAUUUCAAGGCAUUGAACAAAGGAGUCCAAUUUGGAGUCUUGUUUCCACAAUUGCUUCAGAUGAUUAAAUUUGUGCAGAUGUAAAUGUUUUAUCAUUGUAAACUUCCUCGCAUGUUUCUUCAAGUAUCCUCCAUUCGAAAAUACCUCUUCGCAUGAACAACGACGCCGUAUGAGAGUUUCCAGAUUAUGAAAUCUCUCAAGUAAAUCAAGUGGAAAACAAGUUGAGUCAUCAUCCAUUGUUUGUGGCAGUUUAAGACUGCCAAAAAGGUGUCGUGGGAAAUCGCUUUGCAAAGUCAUCCUCGGGUCUUUUCCACUUAAUGCCCGUUCCUCCAAGUUGGGUAAGCUCUGAUCAUUAUCAAUCACGCAAUAACUUAUUAAGUCAAUUCAUAUUCUCUCAAAUAACUUUUAAUGGCUAACACUAAGUUACGUUUAACGUAACAUACAUUCAGAUAACGAAAAUAUCUGUUAGCACCCCUAAACUUAAUGGAAACUACAUUAAUAGAGUUAAAAGAAAUACUUUUAAAUCUUAAAGAGGAAAUAAAAGAAAUUAAACAGGAAAUAGGAAAAAUAAAAAUAGAAAUGACUGUAAUACAAAUGAAUCAAAAGAAAAAUAAAAAAUUAGAAAGGUUUGAAAUAAUAAAAUCAAGAAUAAUUGGAACAAGUUUUAAGAAGCCCACACAAAAACCACAAGCAGGUAGUUAUGAUGCAUGGUUUAUGGACACCCAGUAUCCUAAAAUACUAAGAGCAUCACCAAAAAACUCUUCAAAUAAGAUUUUAUUACUUAUUUGAAGAGCUACAUCAACAUUUAAGGCUCCAAAAGACACUCCAAUUAAGAUUCUUGAAAUAAGAAAUGAUCAUCUCUCUUCAAAUUUGAAGAGUUACUUUCUCCCUCUUCAAUUUAUAUUUUAUUACUUUUUGUUGAAGAAAAAGAGAAAUGUGUUUUAAUUACUAUUGACUUUUCCUUUAAAAAAAUAGUUAUUUAUUUAAAAUAAUAUUAACUCAUUUCUAUUUGAAGAGUCUUUUGGAGAACAAUAUCUUUUUUCACUCAUCUAUUUGCCACAUAGGUAAGCAAAUGAAUAUUUGAAGAGUAAAAUUUAUAGAGCCUUUUGGAGAUGCUCUAAAAGAAACAGAAGAAUUAAGAGCAGAAUUAAAAAAUAAAGAAAAAGGAAAAGAAAAACUAGAAAUAAAAGAAACAACUCCUAGUGAUUCAGAUUAAUGGAAAACACAUUAGAAGAAUUAACUGAAAAAUUCAGUGAAAUAAACCUUAGUGAUUUAGAAGACUUUGAAAAAGAAUAUCAUAUAAAAAUGAAUACUUCUGGAGGACCAGAAUUGAAACCUGACAUAGGAGAACCAAGUCAUAGAUAUGCAACAAACAAAAAGAAAAAUAGACCAUUUUUUGAGUAUAUACCACCCGUUAAAAAUACUCCUUGGAAAAAAGAAUAUCAACCUAACAAUGAUAAUUUAACACCAAUAAGUAAUGCAGGAACAUUUUUAAAUCUAGACUGCAAAAUAAACCCCCAUAAGGUUUUAAUUGAAUGGGGAAUGCAAAUGUGAUUAUUUUUUCUAUAUAAUGGCUCUAAAGUCGAUUGGAAUGUAGAAACAGAAGAAGAAAAAAUAAAUUUAUUCGCUGACAUCCUCAUAGCCAGUUUUACAGGUAAUGUAUUUAACUGGUGGAAAGGAUUAAGUGAAGACACUCAAAGACUAAUAAAAGAUUCAACUAAAAUAGCUUUAGCCAGAAGUAGAGGAUUAGGAAUUGAAAGAAUAAUCGAAUAUAUUGCUAAUGAAUUCUUAGGAGAAAACUGGUUAGAAAAUACAGAAAGAGAAACAAAAAAUGAAAAAUUAGAGGCAAGGAUGAAAUUAAUAAACUUAACAAUUUGUAACAUGUGUUUCGUGAAAGAAUAUACCUGUGAAUUUAGUAAAUAUUAUUAUACACAAUUCUAUAGCCAAGAAGAUCAAAAUAUUUAUAAAAAUUUAUAUUAUUCCAAAUUACCAUAUCCCUGGAAUGGAUAUUUUAUAAAUGAGUAUGAGAAAAAUAGUACUGCUAAUAGAUCUCCAGACACAUUAGGAUCUAGAAUAAGGUUUUUGAAUACAAGAUUAAGUGAAAUAUGCAUUCAAAGAAAUUUAAUGAAAAAGAGUAAAAAUAUAGGAGAUACAUGUUGUGGAAAAACAGAAAUGCCAACCCAAUGGGGUUGUUAUACACCAUAUAAACGAAAAAGAAAGUUAUAUAAGAAAGAGAAAAAAUAUAAAAAAUACAAUAACUUUAAAAGAAAAUAUAGAAAACUGGAAAGAAAAUACUAUAAAAGAAAAUAUAAAAACCAAAAAAGAAAAUUAGAUAAAUCUAAAUGUAAAUGCUGGAAUUGUGGAGAAAUAGAACAUAUUAGCACAGAUUGUACAAAAAAGAAAGUAAGACUCUUAGAAGAAGAUUUUGAAAAUAUAAAAAAUGACUUAGAAGAAAUAAGUGAUAUAUCAGACUAUGAAGGAAAAGAAGUUUACAUGGUGAAAGAAUUAGAUGAUGAGUCAGAAUAAAGACGAAAUUAUAGAAAAUGAAAGAAUAGAAGAAAUAGAAGAAAUAGAAAAAGAAGAAAAUAAAAGUGGAUAUAGUCUUGUUGCCACUUUUAAUAAUGAAAAAUAUAAUAAACUUUUGAAAAUAAAUAUGGAAAAACCAGAAUAUGGAAUAAUACAUAAACUUAGAGAUAUGUUUAAAAGAAAAAGAAUAGUAUUACAUGAAUAUUAUGAACAAGAAAAAGUUGUUACAAUUACACAAGCUGAAGGAAAUAUCAGAUUCAGUUUAAUAAAUAAAAGAUCUAUAGAUUUAGCAUUAAGAAAGAUAAAAAAUGAAUCAACAAAAGAAAAAAUUCAAUAUGUAUAUCUAGCAGAAAUUCAAAUCUUAAUAAAAUCUCUUUUCAAAGAAGGCAUAGAUAGUCCCAUAGUAUUGUCACUACAUGAUCAAAGAUUUAAUGACCCUAGUACAGGACAUUUAGGAACAAUAGAAGGAAACUUAUGUUAUACUAAGUUAUUAUUCACAUGUCAUCCUAGAUAUUGUGUACAUAUAAAAGAUAAAAAUAUAGAUGAAACGCUAAGCUUACAUUUUAAACUACUAAAAAGAAACUUAAUGAAAGAAGGGAAUAGAAUAAUGACAAUACAUUAUUCUGCACUAUAUAGUUUUUGCAAUUCAAAUUACGGAGAAGUAUAUGGGAAUAAGCCUUACAUCGAAAUAAAUAAAGAAUGUGAAGAUAUAGCAACAUUCAUAGAACCAACAAUCCAGGAAUAUAAAAUUCCUAUAAACUAUGAGCUAAACAUAGAUGACAAAAAACAAUUUUUAGAUAUUGCUAACGAAAACUCCAUAAUCCCCAUAAGCUUUGCAGGAAGAACCUUAGUAAGAGGAGGUUCAUCUAGAAGGUUAAGUACUGAUAAACAAAUAACUAGAUCUAUAGUAACUAAUAACGUAAUAAAAAUAUUUGGACAAUAUUUUAAUGGAAUAGAUUAUACAACAAAAAUACCUAUAUUGGUAGAUACAGGUACAAGUCAUAAUUAUAUGAAUCACACAAAAAAUAAAGGACUCUUAAUAAAAGAAAAAGAAAUCCCGUAUCAAUAUACUGAUUUUAAUGGUAAUAAACAUAUUUGUAAACAAGAAGUUAAAGUCCCUAUAAUUAUAGAAGGAUUUAGAAUAAUAGUAUCUUGCUAUAUAGAUUCGUUCAUGACCACAGACCCAGAAAAACAUAUAGUACUAGGAAAUAGUUUUUUAAAUGAUUUAGAAUACUACAAAAUUGAAAAACAUAAAGUAACUCUACAAAUAGAAGGUAAAAAGAUAGUAUGUGAAACAUGUUAAAACAAGCUUAUAUAAAAUACCCUAUGUCCGUAUAUAUACAAAUAAACAUAACAGAAAAAGAUAUAGAUACAUGUGCCUUAAUAGACGGCAGUGAAAUAACGAUUAUGAAAUCCUUUCUAUCAAACCAAUGGAAACCAAACGAGAAAUUAAAAAUCAUUGGAAUAACAGGCGAUAAACAACAAGUAAACCAAUCUUUAAUAAACUUUGAAAUACUCUUAGGUAGUAAGAUAGUAUGUAUCAACCAAAUAUAUCAAUAUGAUGGUAUGGAUUGCGAUAUACUCCUAGGAAAUGACUUUAUACAAUAAUUCCAAUAUUAUCAACAAACUACCUAUAUGGUCACUUUAAAAACCCAUUGUAAUCAUAUUCUUCGCAUUCCUCGUGAAUUUAAACCUUAUCGAGUUCGGCCAGCCCAGCGUGGUGAUACAUUUAUUUAUGAAAAACAUUAUCUAAUACAAAAAUGACAGAGUUACAAUAUACAACUAGAAACAAUAAAAUCACAGCUUGAACAAGUCUAUAAAGAAAAUCCAUUAGCAUUAUGGAAACCAGAACAUCCUAGAGCAAAGAUAGAAUUAAUCGAAAAUAGAAUAAUAAGACUCAAACCUAUGAUGCACACAGAGGAAGAUAGAGAAGAAUUUAAAAUUCAAAUAAAAGAAUUAUUAAAUUUAAAGUUAAUUAGAACUAGCAACAGCCCACAUAAUAGCCCAGCCUUUAUGGUUAGGAAAAGAUCAGAACAGGUAAGAGGAAAAGCAAGAAUGGUAAUAAAUUAUAAAGAGUUAAAUAAAUACACAAAAUUUGACGGAUAUUUCCUCUCAAAUAAAGAAGUAUUAAUAAAUCUUGUAAAAAAUAAAACAUACUACUCAAAAUUUGAUUGUAAAUCAGGAUUUUGGCAAAUAAUAACAGGCGAUAAACAACAAGUAAACCAAUCUUUAAUAAACUUUGAAAUACUCUUAGGUAGUAAGAUAGUACGUAUCAACCAAAUAUAUCAAUAUGAUGGUAUGGAUUGCGAUAUACUCCUAGGAAAUGACUUUAUAUAAUAAUUCCAAUAUUAUCAACAAACUACCUAUAUGGUCACUUUAAAAACCCCUUGUAAUCAUAUUCUUCGCAUUCCUCGUGAAUUUAAACCUUAUCGAGUUCGGCCAGCCCAGCGUGGUGAUACAUUUAUUUAUGAAAAACAUUAUCUAAUACAAAAAGGACAGAGUUACAAUAUACAACUAGAAACAAUAAAAUCAUAGCUUGAACAAGUUUAUAAAGAAAAUCCAUUAGCAUUAUGGAAACCAGAACAUCCUAGAGCAAAGAUAGAAUUAAUCGAAAAUAGAAUAAUAAGACUCAAACCUAUGAUGCACACAGAGGAAGAUAGAGAAGAAUUUAAAAUUCAAAUAAAAGAAUUAUUAAAUUUAAAGUUAAUUAGAACUAGCAACAGCCCACAUAAUAGCCCAGCCUUUAUGGUUAGGAAAAGAUCAGAACAGGUAAGAGGAAAAGCAAGAAUGGUAAUAAAUUAUAAAGAGUUAAAUAAAUACACAAAAUUUGACGGGUAUUUCCUCCCAAAUAAAGAAGUAUUAAUAAAUCUUGUAAAAAAUAAAACAUACUACUCAAAAUUUGAUUGUAAAUCAGGAUUUUGGCAAAUAAAAAUGGAAGAAAACAGUAUCCCUUAUACAGCAUUUAGCACUCCACAAGGACAUUACGAAUGGAUAGUAAUGCCUUUUGGACUAAAAAAUGCCCCUCAAAUAUUUCAAAGUCGAAUGGAUAAAAUAUUUAGAGAUUAUAGCUAUAUCAUAGUCUAUGUUGAUGACAUAUUAAUAGCAUCAGAAACAUUAGAAGACCAUAGAACCCAUUUAAAAGAAUUCGUUAACGUAUGUAUUAGAGAAGGUAUAGUAUUAUCAGAAAGAAAAGCAGUCAUAGAACAUAAAAAAUAAAAUUUUUAGGAAUGAUUCUUGAUAAAAAAGGAAUAAGACUCCAAAGCCAUAUAGGAAAAAAGAUUACAGAAUUCCCAAAUAAAUUGGAAAAUAAACAACAAAUACAAAAAUUCUUAGGUUGUUUAAACUAUGCAGAAGGAUUCAUAAAAGACUUAGCAAAAAAGAGAAAUAUACUCCAGAAACUACUUAGAAAAAAUAAUACUAAAGGAUGGAACGAAGAACAUACGGAAACUGUAAUAAAUCUAAAAGAAGAAUGUAAAAACCUCCCAGCAUUAAGGUUACCAGAAGAAAAUGAUAAGUUAGUAAUACAAACUGAUGCAUCUGAUUUAUAUUGGGGAGCAAUACUUAAAACUGAUAUAAAUGAAAUUUGCUGAUAUACUAGUGGAACAUUUAAUCAAGCACAAGUUAAUUACCCAGUUCAUGAAAAAGAACUCCUUGCAAUAUAUAAAUGAAUAAAAAAGUUCUCGUUAUUUUUACUCCAGAAAUAAUUUAUUGUAGAAACAGAUAAUUCUCAGGUAAGUUCACUUAUUAGUAGAAUUUUGCCAAAUGAACCCCAAUACAGGCGACUGCAUAGAUGGCAAGCUUAUUUAUCUUAUUAUAAUUUCAAAAUCAUACAUAUAAAAGGAACUAACAAUUUUCUUGCAGAUUUCCUAAGCAGGAACAUAGAAUUCAGAGAAUGAAUGCAGAAGUAAAUAAAAUCAUUUCUGUAAUAAACACAGAAAUACAAAGGCUCAAAGCUGAAGCAUCAGACAUGCUUGAUGCCAUAAAUUACAUAAAAGAAGCCACAGAGGCUCAUGAGAAGGGAAUACAUUUGUUAGAGUCAUACAUAAACGACCUAACAAAAGGGCUUUCAAUAAACACUAGCCCAAUAGAGAUAGGAAGUAGUAGUGGACCACUCCCACAACAAGAACCAGUCUCUGACCCAUCAUCCAGCCGAACCAUAUCCAUAAGUGUUGAAUCACCUAAAGCAACUUCUUCAAAAAAGUUUAUCAAAAUAAACAACACUCCCUCAGAAGAAGAAGAAAAACCUUCUCCACUAAAUCCAAGAGAAGAAGAGUAUAAACAGUUCUCCACAUGGGUAUACUCUACAUGUACCCACAACAACACCAUUUUCAAAGCCCCUGGCAAAAAUAUAUAUCCCAGAAUGAUAGCCAUAAAAGGAGCAGAUCCUCUCCUUAUUGGAAAAAUAGCAAAAUACGGAUAUCUAGAUUUAAUAUAUCCAGAUACAGACCUAAGAGAAAUAGCCAGUUUAGAUGAGCUAUUAGUCAAAGAAGUCUCAAAAUUUGCCCAAAAAAGGCCCAUAUACUUAAAAUUUUACACUAUUAGCCCAGAAUACCACCAAAAUGUCGAAUACCAAGCAUUUUACAUGAUCUCUGUAGGCCACCUCACAAAAAAUUUUCAGAUAGAAGUAGGAACUGAAUAUACAAAUGUUCCUCAAAUAACCAAAGCAUGGAUCAGAACCCGUAGAGCCCGAGGAAUAAAAGCAAUAUGGAGUAUUGCAAAAGACCUUUAUAAAAGAAACUUUAGAACAAUCAUCCGAUUCCAAAAUUAUAUCCUCGUAACUUCUGAAGAUAGCCAUACACCAUCAAAUAUCUUCUUGGAACUCAUGAACGAAAUCAGCACCAUGAGAUUCCCCAGCAGUAGUGAGACCAUGCAGCAAGCUUAUCAGCUUAUGGAGAUGAAGAUGCCCGACAAAUAAAGUUGUUCGUGGCAGACAAAGAAGAUAUGUGGCAGACAAGAAGAUAAAAAGAAGAUAAAAAAGUUGUACGUGGCAGACAAGAAGAUGCUCGUGAUAAAAAACAGAGAAAAAGAAGAUGCUCGUAAAAAGCAAGAAGACAAGAAGACAAGAAUUCAAGAACCUCUUGUAAUGAUAGAGUGAUGAUGUAAGCAGUGUGAUCAGAAAGCAAUAAUGUAAAUCAAUAAUGGGAUCAUCUUUUCUAAUAUAAAUAGAAAGAGAAGGAGAAAGCAGAAAAAGCUUUCGAAGACAUUCGAUAACUCUCGAUCCAAAAAAUUCUCUGAAAAAGAAUGAAGCUCUAAACACUCUCUUGCUCGAAAUCCAAAAUCAGUACAUCAUAAACCAAAAACAAAAACCAUUAGAGAAAGAGACGAGAAACCUAACUUCACUCAAUACCUCUUUAACAAGAAGAUCGAAAUCUAUACAGUAAAGCCAUCUGAGUCCACAGAUCCCGCUGAGGCAGGAGGCCGUUAAGGGAACAGGACAACCAGGCUGCAGGUCACUGGAAGGAGAUCAGAAAUCAAAGAAGUAACAGUGAGCUAGGUAAUAAUACUCAACUCUUAUCUCUUGGUGGUGGUUGUUGAUGGUGGUUGAUGGAAUGAUUUUUGGAGAAAGAGCAGAUUCUUAAACUGAAGCAGAUCUGUAAUUAAUUUUAUGACAUGAAUCACAGAAUUUACUUAGGAGAAUCUAAAGAAUACAUGAUAAACCCAACUACUAAAAUAACUUAUAAUGAGUACAUGAUGAUAAUAGACUUCGAUUUAGGUUCAUUUAAACAAAGUUCUUAUCUAUUCAGUAAACAAGAACUUGUUAGAACAGAAGACCUAUUAGCCAUAGACCUUCUUAAGUUACCCCAAGAAAUAAAAAGAAAAAUUAUAAAUAACAUUGAAACAGAUAACCUAAAACAUAAUAUAAUUAUGUUGACAAUAGAAGAAGGAAUAGAUGUAGCAAAAGCCUAUUUAGAGCAAAAAACUUAUGAAUCUGGACCUUCAUAUAUCUAUGAUUCAGAUAACGAAGAAUUUGAAAUAUAACUGUGAAAGGUAUAUAGGCUGGGAACCUCUUCGGGUUGCGGACUACUAGUCCAAAGGGCGACCUGGAUCGCUGUACCUAGAGGUAAAACAACGCCACGUACUUUUCUAAUAAAAAUUUAGGACAGAUAAAGAUAGAUAAACAUCAAUUUGAUAAUUAUAAUCAAUAAUAAUCCUGAAUGGUUGAUUUUGUUUUACUGCUCUUGUAAUUUUAUUUUGAAUAUAUUUGUCUAGUCUUGUCAUAUUUUUAUAAUUCUGUUUGUACUUUUGUAUUUGUAAUUUUGUAAUUUUAUUUGUAUUUUUGUAAUUUGUAUUUUUGUUUGAAUUUGUAAUUUCGUAUUUUUGUUUUAAAUACACACCUGAAAAUGGUAUCAGAGCCAGCAGAAUCAUAAGACAUGGACCCUAUACAAGCAAUAGUAGAUAGCUUAUAUACAUUAAAGGUAUAUAAUAAAGAAGAAAUAAAAAAUUUAAUAAAGGCCAUCAAAACUGACAAAAAUAAUAUAAGAAAUAUAGAACUUGAGUUAACUCAGGAGCUUAGAGAAAGAUUUAUAGAAACAACAGGAGGAGAAAUUUUAAUAGAAAAGAAAAUGAAAUUUAUAGAUAAAUUUAUAAAGUUUUUAAUAUAUUGGUGUAAAACAGAAACAUUAUGAAUCAACAGGCUGUUAAUGUAAUACAGGGAUUGGCAAGCUGCAUAGAUCACCUACUCUUAGGAUGGGAAAAUACAGUAAAUGCAUAUAUAAAUCUAAUAAACCAAAAAAUAGAUUUAUUAGAACAAGAAAGGAUAGGACUGGUAAAUUUAGGACCAGAGGUCUAUUAUGAAUUUGUAGAUUUAUAUGAAUUUGAUAACCAUAUAUUGCUGUUUAAAGAAAUAAAAUAAAGUUCUCGAAAGAUUAAAAAAUAGAUGUGCAGGGAUGGAAGAAGACAAAUACAUCCAGGAUUAUAAAAAUUGGAAAUAGAAAGAAUUAUAAGAAUCCUUAUGAAAUUAACCAGGAGAAUAAGACAAAAUUAUAAGAUACAAUCAACGUAAGUUAGAGGCCCCCACUUUUAAUAAUCCAAUCAUAUACAGUGACUUUAAUAUAAAUGCAUAAUAUUUUACCAAAAAAAAGGGAAAAAAUCGAAUUAGAGGUAAAAGUUAUUCUACGAUUUUAUUUUUUGUAUAUAUCUUGCAUGCUAUUCCCAAAAGCAAUCAUAAACGGCCCUUAAAACAAUUUUACAAAAGCGGCUGUUACUUAUAUCACCAACUUUGUUAGGGAUGACAAUGGGGAGGGGAGAGGAGGAGACCAAUCUUGUAGUAUCUAUCCCUGAUAUUUUGCGUAUAUUCUCGUUCUCUCUCCAUCCCCGACAAAAUUACUUUAGGGAAUCACCUCCUCUCCCUGAAUAAUAAUAUGGGAUCUCCGUGGGUCAUUGAUCCCUGAAUAACUGAUAUGUUUUUAGUUUUUUAUUUUAAUUUAAUCAUAUUAAAAUAAAAAUUUAAAUAAAAAUAAAGUUUGAUGAUAUAUCUCACAUUAGCAUUAAUCCAUUACAAAAGUCACAUUACAAAGUAUAAAUCACCACAAUAAUUAUCUUCGUCAAUUUUCAAAAUCCUACAAUAAAAAAAAAAGAAAUUACUUUUAUAUCAACAAUGAAAUAAAUAAAAUAAAUAUAAAUAAAUACUUAAUCAAUAUUUCUAAUAAAAGUAUUUACCUCUUGCGUCUCUUGCUCCUCUUGUUCUUCCUCGAUGAAUGUGGCAAAUUGAAAGAUAGCCUCAGAUUUCAAAUUUAAAACAAUAAAAAUAAUAGAAGUAAUGUAACUUAUAAGCGAAAAUAUUAAUUAUUAUAUAAUAUAAUUACAAUGUAAAAUAAACUCAUACUGCCAUUUUAAGCUUGUAGCUUAUUUUGACAACACAUUAAAUCCUCCAAUGUGCUUGAAUGAAGCGUGUUACGAUACUCUACUAAUGGUGUUAAAAGUUGAUUCAGAAGCAACAGUUGUAAUUGGAAUUGUCAAAAUAUCUCUAGCAAUUCGUGCCAAUAUAUGAUACCUAUGGACAUUUGUUUUUAACCAACUCAAAAUAUUAAAAUCUUUCAUCUGUAGCAUAACUUUCUCAUCCAAAUAUUAAUGCAGUCAAUUAGGCCUAAAAGUUUAAUAAUAUAAUUAUUUUGAUAUUUUUUAUUUAUACUAAUAUUUAAUAUUUUAUAAUUUACAUUUUAUUAUUUAUUUACAAAUAAUUUAUAAAAUUAAAAUUAAAAUUAAAAUCAAUAAAUUAGGAGGGGAUGAGGAUUCUACUGUAUCCUCAUCCCUUUCUCGAAUAAGAAAUUGGGUAAAAAAUUAUUCUCGUCCCUUCCUUGAAUAAGAAAUUGGAUAAAAAAUUAUCUCUUUACCCUCUCCGAAUGGAGAAAAAUUCCGAGAAUCCCUAUCCCUGCGGGGAUUUCUGCCACCCCUAAACUUUGCAACAGCCAGUUGCUUUUGUGACCAUUUAUGUGACGGAUAGACUGCUCUCACUUAUGUUACUAAUAAGCUUGGCAAAAUCAGGGUCCGGUCCGGGCUUCUAAGCCCGCAUGUGAUAACUUUAAUUUUUUUCUUCAAUUUUUUCUUUCAUUUCUCUAACAAUGCAAAUUUUAAAAAAGAAAAUAGUCAAAUAAAUUCAUUCAAUCUCAAGCUUUAGAAAAGAAAAUAGUCAAAUAUAAAUAUAUAACAUACUAACAAUGCAAAUUUUACACAAAUAAUAAAUAAAAAUUGUUUCAAUCUACUUUAUAAUACCUAAAUUCAUCUAAUUUCUAACCUAAACUCAUUCAAUCUAUAUAAAAAUAAAAUAAAUUCAACAACACAAUAGUCACACAAUAAAUCUAAAUAACAUCCAACAUAUCAUAAAAUUCAUAAUUAUAUAUUUAUAUAUAAUAUAUUUAUAUAUUUUUUUUAAUUUAUUAAGAAAUCGGGUCUGAGUCUAGCUUCCUGGUUUUUGGUGUUGAGAAUUUCAAAUCCGGGUCUGGUUUUUUGUGUAUGCGGUCCGGGUUUUACCCGACUGGAUUGCCUGGGUUCGGUUCGGACGAGCUUUUUUGACGCCCUUACUAACGGGCUUUUUUGACGCCCUUACUAACCACGUGACGGUAGAGAGCCAAUUGGCAUGCUAUUAGUUUAGAGUUAUAAAUUGGAAAAUGAGACUCUUAGAGCAUCACCAAAAGGCUCUUCAAAUAAGAUUUUAUUACUUAUUUGAAGGGCCACAUUAAUAUUUAAAGCUCCAAAAGACACUUCAAUUAAAAUUCUUCAAAUAAGAAUUGAUUCUCUCUCUUCAAAUUUGGAGAGUUAAUUUCUCCCUCUUCAAUUUGUAUUUUAUUACUUUUUAUUGAAGAAAAAGAGAGAAAUACUUUAAUUGUUAUUGACUUUUCCUUUAAAAAAAUAAUUAUUUGAUUAAAAUAAUAUUAAUUUAUUUUCAUUUGAAGAGUUUUUUGGAGAAUAUUAUAUUUUUUUACCCUUCUAUUUACCACAUAAGUAAGUAAAUAGAUAUUUAAAGAGUAAAAUUUAGAGAGACUUUCGGAGAUGCUCUUACAACAUUAAGCACAACACAUAGCACCGAACGGUGCGUUUAAAGGCAACUAUAAAAGGUCACAGUAAUCGACAAUUGCAACACACACGUUCUCAACUACAGCACACGCUCUCUCCCUCACAUUCUUCCUCACGCUCUCUCUGUUCUCCCUCACAACACACGGCUCUCUCUCUCCCCCCUCCAAAUCCAACAGCCGUGGGUUACUCUCGCUCUUCGCCCUCCAAAUCCAAGACCUAUGGAUGCAUAAUAGAGUAAAUAGCAAUUCCCAUCCACUCUAGUAACAGAAAAUGACAGCUUCUGUGAUUGUGGUGAAAAGUUUCCCCUAGUAAUGCUAAGUACAGCGAGGAAACCAGCAAGGAAACCAUCAAUUCUGUACACAUAUAGAUGCCAAAAACAAGCAGUGAAUUGCAUCAGAUAUUAGUGAAGAAUAAUUACCAGCCGUAAACUCAGCUCCUUCGGUUGCUAGUGUACAAUAGAGCAAUAGGUUGUGUUUGGGGAUGUUAGAUGUCGAAAUAAUUGAGGCAAAAUUCUUUUAUGCAAUAGUUGGCUUGUGUCGACUUUUGAAAGGAAACUUAUUUUUGUGCUGUCAAUGUUACUUAUUUGUUAGUUUAUUUCUUAGGUUUUGUUGUUCGGGAUAUUAUGUAUUGGAUUUCAUUUCCUUUUGCCUCUGGUAUGGCCCCUAAUAGAACUUGACGUAAUUCUUUUUGGGAUAUGUUUUUCUGAACUAGAGAUGACAUCACUAGCAUCUGGUCUUUCUCUUUGAGACAGCCGAGAGAGUGAGGUGCCGUGAGAGAUGCAAUCGAUGGGGGGUGGAGAGAGGUAGCCGACAGUGAGAAUGGUAAGGAAGAACGGAGCGUAGUGAGAUUAGUGGAUUGGUGAGGAAGAGCGUGAGGGAGAGAAUGAGAGAGCAUGUGUUGUGGUUGAGAAUGUUGCAAUUGAGAAUUUACUGUGACCUUUUAUGCUUGCCUCAAAACUCACCGUUUUGUGCUAACUGUUGUACUCAAUGUUGUAAGAAUAUCGGAACUGUUAUAAAUUUGUUUCUAAAUAGAAAACUCUUUUGUGGAGUCAAUAUUUUGAAAACCAAAGUCUCGAGUUCUUUCUCGUGCGUGCCUGGCCAGCAUCCUAAACCUUACUGGUAGCCGGAGAAUGGCGUAAAACGGCGGCGAUCUUCUUCUUCAUCUUAUUCUCUCUGUCAUCGUUUCAGGUAACCUUGUGAUUAUGAGUUUCUUCUCUUUCUUAGCUUGCAAAAAUAGGUUUUGAUUUCUUUAAUUCGUAUUGUAGCCAUUAAUAUCAAAUUUUGUCCUGCCGGCAAUAUUUUUUUGUUCCUAGAGGUUGAAGCCCUUCUGUUCUUGUUCCAUUGGUGACUUUGCUCACUCAAAUUAAUUUUGUUCUGCAGAAUUUACAAAGUUCAAAUGGAUUCGUUUGGAUUACUAUUGAAUUUAGCUUUCAUUUCAACAUUCAUUCUAAUGUUUUACAAUUAUGUAUUUAGAUUUACUUUAAUUUUAUGUUUAAAGCUUCUGCAAUGAAUAGCUGAGCUUGGGUCUUAGUUUCAUUUUCUAAUUAACUUGUUUUAGUUUAUCUUAUAUGCUCACCAAGUGCUUGUUAUAUUGUCUGAUAGGUUAUAUAACAUAGCUGAUUAUAUAAUAAUAAUGUCAUGUUCCAUUUUCAGAAAUUAUAAUAUAAAAGUUUUUACAAUGGGGUGCAUCUACAAACUGAAUUGACUUGUAGAGUAAGAGCUUGGAGUAGUGUGCAUUCUUGAAUAAAUGAAAGUUCAUAUUGUGUAAGAGCAUGUAGAUGUAAAGCAUCAUUACCAUUUCUACCAAGUGCUUUCAUUCUGUUCAGAUGCUCCUCUUGAACUUUGGAAGGUGCCUCAUUCAAGUCCUAGCUAUAACUAAUUGCUCUGAUUAAUUAAGUUCAUAUGCUAGCUGAAACAGAUUUAAUUAAUUAAUUAAUUAAUUGUGUAUGUACUAAUUAUAUUGAAAGUAUAUGAAGAAAUUGUUUAACAUGAAUGACUUCUAAAUGACUUAAAAGCCUAGAGGAUAUGUGAAAUAAUGCUCAUUUCACUUGAACGAGCCUAUUAAUACUUGUAUGUCUAUGAUUGUCAAUAUUGCUUAAGUGUUUCAGUUAAGUGGUUUACCUAGCAGGGAAAAAAAUUUAAUGGAAAACCUUAGAGUUUUAAUAGAAAUAUAGUUGACUAUGCAGAUAUAGUUAUUUUACGGUAUAUAAAUCAUGUUGUCCUAUUCUCAAUGUCCUACAACCUAUUUUAUUUUAUAUAGUCAUUCAUUUUACGAUGGUUUUUUGUGUUUAUGAGUAUGGAAAUAGUGGGAUUUGGUGUACCUUAGCAUCUUUCGAAAAUUCUCUUUAAAUGCGGCAAACAGAAAUAUACAUAUAAUCAAGUUUCUUAAUCAUGUAUAUUAGGUUUGGGUGUGAAUGUUUUCCUAUUCUAGUUCUAGGCAAAGUUUCUUCAUUUUGGUCUUCAGAUUUCCAGUAGGUUAAGCUAAUCAACUAUCAUAACUGGCUAGCUAGUUAUUGCCUGCCUUGUCGCCAUUACCGACGCCAUUACAUUGCAUGGCAUAGGGAAUAGUAACUAUGUGAUUAUUGGUGAUUUGUUGAGCUUAUUAUUGACCAAACAAACAUAUUCGCCUUUACCCACAACUUGGUUUGAUUAGUUACUGGACAAUAAAGAGCCUUAAUCUAUGCAUUGGCUUUCUUAUUUUUAUUUGGUUUUUCUUUCAACAAUAUUGUUGAUUUCUUAUAUCAUUGGCUAUUUAAUGAAGCUAAUUAAAACUAAGGCUUCGGAUCACUUUCUUCUAACAACAAACAAAUGAGGAUAACCUAUCUCCUCUAAGCAAAUUUUUCUAAUAUCCUUGAUUUGUUAGGACCUGGAGGCCUGAAAUCCUCUAGAUUUUUUUAGCACUGCCAAUGUUCCUUUUAUUCUGAAAAGGAAAAAAAGGUUAUAUCGUUUAUACCCUAACAGUAAAAUGGCCUUUGACUUAACAUGCCUUCCUGAGGAUUUGCAAGAUUCACAAGCAGCCUAGCCACCCCCCAACGCAAAAAAAAUAAAAAAAAUAAAAAACUAAUAAAAAUAAAAAAUAAAACAACCCAAAUAGGAAGACUUUGCAACAUUCACAACGUGGUUACAUUUAAGUUAUUAAUUGUGUGUGUGUGUACUAGUUAUAUGUUGAUAGUAUAGGAAGAAGUAUUUUAACAUGGAUGACUUAAAACUUAUUGCUCAGUAAACAUAGUCUGCAUCAGUGCUAGAAAAUGUAUUUAUUGUUUGUAUUUUUUAUGGUUUUGAUUAAGAAAUGAAAUGUGAAAAAAUGCUACAUUGUAUUAGGAAUAAAUUGAAGAGAUUUAUGAUAUUUAUGUGUUAUUCAAGUUUCAGAUUCAAUUUUAAACUUUUGAUACAUGCAUUGAAAGCUUAAACUCCUUUAAGAAGUUAUUGAUAGACACAUGUUUUAUUAGUGUCAUCUUUGGAUGAUAGUGAGGAUCUUAUGUCUAUUAAUAAUUCUUGAAUUAUCCAGGCUCGGACAUUUUGGUAAUGCAUAGUUUUCUAUGGUAGCUAGUACCUGAAAUUUUUUUCCCACUAAAAAUGGGCUUUUCAGUAGCUGCUCCUCAUAUUCUGGGUGCAUACUAGACGAAUGGGUGUCGUUUUGUUUUGGGAUAACACAUAAACACUCAUAUAUCUAUGUCAUGUACUUGAAGAACUAUAGGGAGAUGCUUCCGAAAUUUCUAUAAACGUAGAGGAAAACUUUAGAUACUUAAGAUUGAAGAAACUUAUGCAUUCUUGAGUGGGAUAUAGAGGACCACUUACCUUUUGUAAUAUGAAGGGAAUGUUGGAUAUAUUGAUGGGAGUGGAGGAGCUGAGUGGGAUGAAUGUAAUCGGUUAUGAUUUUGCUGAGUUGACUUGGUUUUGAGUCUUGUAAUUUUGUUUAUAAAUGGAGUACUAUCUCCAAUGUUGGUUUAUAAAUAUUGUUUCAGCUGGCUGACCUAAUUUUUUAUUUCUAGGUAACAGGCUUUAUAUAUUCGUAAUUGAUAGCCAAGUGAAGUUCUCAGCAGUGGGUGAGGAUAUUUCUUUACAGAAGGUAUUGGAAACUGUUUUUCACAUUAAUUAGUAUUGUAUACAUACUUUAAUUUCACAUCUUUUUCUCUGAUUCUUGUGGCUUUGCUUGCUUUCAUAUAUAUAAACAUUCUAAUGAGAUUAACAUAAAAUUGUAUAAUGAUUUUUUUUAAUUAUAAAUUGCGCGCACACGAAAAUAUCUUGUUUAGUAGUAGAAAUGAAGAACUAAAAUGAUUUAUUUAACUAAUUUUUCUAGUGCAUUAAAAGGAGAUAGUCAUGGACAAGAGUUGGGUUGGUUUGCCAAAUAGAUAUCCAAGUCAUAUACUGAUGGGGUUGAAAAAUUUAUAGAUUUUGCAUUUGAGAAUGUUGUUGGUGAUAAAAGAAUUUAUUGUCCUUGUAAGAAGUGUCGUAAUAUCGAUAUUUCAUUAUAAGGGAAGUGGCAAGAGACCAUAUCAUUACAAAUGGCUUUUGGUUAAAGUAUUGAAACUGGAUAUUGCAGGGUGAGCCAUCUUCAUCUUUGAAAUCUAACUAAGAAACAGGUUAGUCAUGACUCGGGUGCUGAUGAUAGUAUGGUUGGAGUGAUACACGAUGCAUCACAUAAUCAAGUGUUCAAGUUACACACAGCAUUGUUAUGUUAUGGACUAUCAGUGACUUUCUAACAUAUGCCAACUUGUUUGGGUAGAGUAUUAAAGGUAAAUAAGCAUUUCUUGUUUGCCAACAAAACACUAGAUCUAAUUGGUUGAUACAUAAUAGAAAAUUUUGUUACUGGGUUACGGUCGAUUCUUACCAACGAAUCAUAGGUUUCGAAAAUAUAGUGUCUUUUGAUAAAACUAGGGGGUAGGGAUAAGCGCCUUCUCGGUUGUCUUGAACUGACGUGAAAAAGCAGGUGAAUAAUAUAUUUACUAAGUAUAAGAUUGAAGACUUGAAAAGAGGAGAAUGAAUAAAAUGAAAGAAAUGAUAAGAUUACUUGGAAGAAGAAAAGCAUUUUUUAUGAACUAACGUAUUGGGAGUUCAACUUGAUUCAUCAUAAUCUUGAUGUCAUGCAUAUGAUCUACUUUCUUUCAUUUUCUCACCUCCCAAACAUCCAUUAUACAAUAAAGUUUUUUUAGAUUUUAUUGUUUCAUAGAAUUAUAUUUUGCAUAUGAUGAAAUAACUUAACAUUUUAGUAUUCAUUUGCAUAUAAUAAUUAUAAGUAAGAAAAAAUAUUUGUUUACAAUCACUACUAGUUUUAUUGUCGUGAUUACAAAUAAAUUGCUCAAAUUUUCUGCUUCAGCUAUCAAACCUUUUAGCUGCUUCCAGACAUGAAGAAAUUAAACCCAUAAUUUCUAGGUACAAUUGCAUUCGUAUAUGCCAUGAUACAUAUGAUAUGAUUAGAACCAAAAGGAGAAAUAAAUUUUUGGGACUUAUUGUGAUGGUGAUUAAUCUUUUUCUACCUUAACUUUGAUAAGGUUAUAAUUAAAUUUUAUAUGAUUAAAGUGGUCAAUGGUUAAAUAAAUAAAUAAAUAAAACAGAUGAGGAUGGACUAAUGAAAUGACCCACCCCGAACUCCACAAGGUGAGUCUAUGUAAUAUCGUCUUACUUGACUGAUAAUAAUCUAAUUAGUAAGGAUUUUGCCGAAAAUUUGAUAGAGUCUCCACUUUGAAUAUAACAUUUCCAACCUGCAAAUGUGUAAAACAAGCACUCUCAAAUAAAUCAGUAUACAACCAACUUCAUUGAUCAACCUCCUCAACUAUAUUACUGAAUAUUACCCAAAAUAUCUACAAAGUAUCAAAAGAUUAUAUUAUACCUACUGUUGACAUAUAUUAAACUAUUUUUAAUCACAAAAAAUAUUAAAAAAUUAUAUAAUCCAAAAAAUAAGAAAUCAAAAUGCCCUGACAAUAUAAUCUAUAUCUCCUAGUACCAUCACAUGGCCAAAUUUCAAAAUACUAUAGUUGCUAAGUCAACUGGUGUCUUGCAACCUCCUGAGGGGUGGGAGCGAAUUAUAACAAAACGGGUGAGUAUAAAACUCAGUGAGCUCGGUGAGUGGAUAAUAGUUUUUGAAAAUAACUUACCAUAAAUAAUUAUACCACUUUUAUAUAUGAUUUUAUCAAACUAUAUGUAAGAAACAUGAAUAAAUUAUUUAACCUUUGAAUCAAGUAAUUGACAUUGAAAAGAAUACAUUAAGAGGUGCAUAAUAAUCAUGGAAAUUGUAUCACAAUAUAAAAUACAUGAUUAUGAAAUUAUCACAAAACAAGUACCUAAGGGAAUAAUCUUGUCGUACCUAGAGCUCAUACGGGCAAUGCAAUGACAUAUUCUCUAGGUACUGUCAUCCUCGGAGCUAGCACCGGUAGAUCAAUGAAGUGUCAUCUUAUAUAUCUUAUCAUAUCUUUGCAUGCAUAAACUAGUCCCCAAAAGACAAAGGUGUCCAAGCACAUAAUCCAAGGCCUCUAUGAGCCCCAAAGGCCCCUAUUUCAUUUGUAUCUUAGUAACUGAAUCUUUGUUAUCAUCAUAUUUCAUGCAUAAGCGCCCAAAAGGCAAAAGUGCCUAAAUAGACGGCCCAAAGCCUCCCUGUGUGUUCAGACGGGCCCCAAAGUCCUCUCAUCUCAUCUGUAUAAUUGUAAUUGGAGGGGAAGGGCAUUGUUCAACGAGUUUGAGAACAAACUUAUAUAUAUACACACAUAAACAUUUUAAUCAUACUUUAAACUCUUAUUUCCUUUUCAUUACAUACUUUAAAUUUGAUUUUCUUUUCUUUAUAUUACUCUCAUGUAUAUACUCAAAAUCGAUAAUAAAACCAAUAAUCAUACUUUUUAAUAAUAAAUAUCAAUACUUAAAUAAAACCUAUUUCUAGAAAAUCAUUAGAUCGGAGCAUUAAACACUUAUUUCCCAAACCUGCUUUACUAUACUUUAAAAUCAUAAUAAAAUAUGAAAAAUAGGUUUUGCUUAUUUCACUCACCGUGACGAUACUCAAACUCGGCUAUCAUUAAUGUCUGCAGGAUGGGUCUCACUCACUAUUCCUCCUAAAUCAAGGAUACGACAUAAUUACUUUCCAUAAAUGUGAAAUACAACUAACUGUAUGUAAUAUACUCGAAACGAACAUCUAUCCACAAUAUGCUACUCCUAUGUCUGUAACGUUACCAAAAAUACCCCCAAAAUCAUAAAUUGUCAAACAACCCUCAAAAUCAUAAAUUACCAAACUAUCCUCUAUAAAAUAUUAUUAAAAUAUCCACAAAGUCAGAAAUUAAAAAAUUACCAUCAAAAUAUAAAUUUAUCAAAAUGCCUUUGUUGGUCAAUGGUGAUCGGGAGUCAAGUGAUGGUGGUUGGAAUGGUCAAGAUAAAUGCUUUGGACCACGCUGAAUUUAAUGGUGGCAAAUUGACCAUUUCUGGUGACAUGGGUGAUUAAAAAUUGUAGAGGGUGUCGUGAGGGAGAAAACUAAGCAGUAGUGUGCCACAAGUUCGACGAAAUCCCAUCGAAUCGAGGUGGUAGUACCAAAGCUCUUCACAUUCUUGAUUGGUGGUCUUUUAGCAGUUAUUUAGUGACCAUGAUGGUUGGGGAAUGACUAGCAUUGGUUAAGGAUUCGAUCGAUACCUUCUGUUGUCGAUAGAGUGGCCGAAAAUAGUAGUUAGCGGCGGGUGGGGUUUCAAGUCUAUCAGUUAGGUUGAUAGCUCUUCCUCUCUUUGUUUUUCUCUUCCCCUCGAUUCCGUGUCAUAACAAGUUUAAACUAGUCCAAACUCGAACCAUUUAACAAGCGUGUCAAAUUUAACAACCCACACAUUUAUUCAUGUUGAGUAAUUGAGUCGUGUCAAAUCUGCCAAUAACAAUUAUAAUAAUGACUUUUAAAACUUCAAGUCAAAGAGGAGGAUAAAAUAAUGCAUUUGAUUAAACAUAAAAUGCAUAUGUUACAACUAAUCACUAUUCAAAAUAUUAAGAGUGGAGUAGCAAAUGUCAAUUUAUUUGGUUGCAGUCAAAUUUAUCCUAUGAUAAAUAGUGAUUAUUAAAUAAUAUAUAGAUCUAUUAUAUAGUCAAUUAAUAAUAUAUAUUAAUGAAAAUUUAAAAAUAAAUUAUUUAAAAAAGUCAAACUAGGUAAUGGACUUAAAUGUGAAAAUUUAAAAUAAUUUGGAGUUAUGUGUUAAAAUAUUGAAACUUUGUCAUUUUUUAAUGUGCAAGCAAAUAAUAGGGACUAUAGACUUAAUAAACUAUUAAAUCCAUCUAAGCCACUAAGCUACGUUUAUGUUAAAUCUAAUGGUUAGUAAUAGCUAAUAAGAAAAGGACAAAAAUUGGGGUAUGAUGUCACAGGGACACCAUAGUCGGACCCAUUAUUAAUGUUUAGUACAAGUAUUUUCUGAAAUAACAACUACAUAAUUAUUAUCUUAUGUAUCUAAUGAGAUUAUUAAUUUAGUAUAUUAGCCCAAGUUAGGAACGUAAGAUUUUGUUAUUUAAUCAAGUAUAUUAAUUUAUAAAACAUUCAUUUAUUGAGAUUUUAUUGUAUAUUACAUUUGCACACUUUCUUUUUAAUGUGAAGUAAAAACUAAUGUUACACAUGAACUUAUUGCUGACAACAUUAGUACAUAAUUGCUGUCAUAAGAAAAUUUAUCAAUCCAGGAAUUUUGGAUUUUAUAAAGUCUUUACAAGUGAAAAGAGUAGUUUAUAACAUUGUAAAUGUGACCUCGACCUGGAAGCGAACUCGGCUGUCAUAAAUUGAUCAAAGCCACACUUAACUUCUACUACUACUUGCAUUGUUACCACCGUCUUCAGCCUUCUGCUUUGCCCAUUCAAAAAAAAAAAAAAAUUAUAUAACUUUUGUCAGCCAACAAUUAUAAUAAACUAAAAACAUGUCCAAAGAUUCAAAAAAAAAUUUUUCCCUUUUUUUGGUUUUAGCUCCUCUGACAUAUCAAAUCCUAUUGCCGUGAAAAGUUUCCCUUGCAGCGCAUAAUUUUGCCACAGCAUCUCUCAUCUCCAUUCGCUCAGUUGGAGACUCCAUUGAGCAGGAAACCCCAAUUCCAAUUACAGCAGACAAGCAUUGCUCAGUCCUGACUCUUAUCUCUCCAUCAGUAUUUCUUGCAAUUUCCUCAGUUAGAAGUGAAGGCUCAACAAUAUUCACCACUUCUUCUGGCAAAGCCCUUUUGGCAAAUUCAUGGAGAGUUAAGCCAUCAUUGAACAUACUGUCCGUGGGCCGCUUUCCUGUGAACAUUUCUAGCAAAAGAAUUCCGAAGCUGUACACAUCACCUCGCAUGGAGACUUCGCCACCCGUACCGUACUCUGAAAAAAACAUGUUAGAUAUAUUACUCAGUUAGUUGCCACAUAUACGAGUUCUAACAAACAGCAGAUUAAUUCAAAAAAUGUAAAAUUACAAUAUCAAAAUAUCUAUCUAAAGAGGAAUAUAUAUAAUUACCUGGAGCUACAUAACCGACUGUUCCUUUUAUCCCAAUUGAGCUUGAUUGAGAUUGAGGAGCAGUCACCCACAUGGGCAACCAUGUCAUGAUCAAAAAGAAUAUUGCUGGGCUUUAGAUCACCAUGAAUUAUUGGUGGUUGACUGUGGUGGUGGAGAUACUCGAUUGCAGAAGCUACAUCAAUGGCUAUGUCCAGUCUUUGAAUGAGACUUACAUUGCACGCUUCUAGGUGAUCAUUCCUCUGAUGCAACCACUCCUCUAGACUUCCGUUUUCCAUGUAUUCGUAAACGAGAGCCUUGAAAUCAGCUCCUUUAGAAUCAAUGCUUGAGCAAAUAGUGAUGAUUUUAAUGAGAUUCCGGUGGCGAAUAUUUCUCAAAGCUUCACAUUCUGCUACAAAACUCCUGAAACCCCCUUUCUGAUUAAGAUUGAUCACCUUCACAGCAACUACCAUUCCAUUUUCACUAAAAAUUCCCUUGUAAACAAUGCCAAAGCUUCCUUGACCAAUCAUGUUUGAUGUUGAAAAUUCAUUAGUUGCCUUCCUUAGCGCCGCGUACGAGACAAAUGGGAACUUUUGUUCUAUUAGCAACGAAUUAGAAUCUUUGUGUGCUGAUCUCCUUCUUCGAGCAUAAACAACAAGAAAGCAUGCUGAUAAGAUUAAACAUGACAUAAUGACUGGAAAUAUCACUUUGACUAGGAAAGUAACUUUUGAUUUUCUUGAUCCUUUCAAAGGACAUGAUGGUAAAUGCAAUUCAUCCAACCCUCCACAAAGAUUCUCAUUCCCAACCAGUGAAAUGCUUGUCUUAUUGUGAAAAACUCCUUUUGCUGGUACCUGGCCCUCAAAAUGAUUGUAAGAAAGAUCCAAAUAUUGCAAGAAUGGUAGAUUCUCAAGAUAUUCUGGAAUCUUGCCGGACAAAUUGUUACGGGAUAGAUCUAACACUUUCAAGCUUUUCAAGGAAAUCAGAGAAAGAGGAAUCCUUCCUCCAAAGGAAUUGCCUUGCAUAUAAAGAUAUUCUAAGCUUGUACAAGCACUUAGAGUCGCAGGAAUCUCACCAAAAAAAUGGUUCAUGGAAAUAUCUAAUCGAGCGAGAUUCUUCAAGUUUCCCACCCGAAAAGGAAGAUAGCCACUGAGAAGGUUAUUAGACAAAUCUAGUUGAAAUGAAAGGGUCCUUAUUUCAAGAAUUUGUUGUGGCAAAGUUCCAUUAAGCUUAUUGUGAGAGACAAUCAAUUCCAUCAAAUUCUGACAACUUCCGAGGGAUGAGGGGAUAUUUCCUUGCAAGUUGUUGAAGUCCAGUGCAAGCUUUGUUAGUAGUGUUAGAUUACCUAGAGAGGAGGGUAUGUUCCCUUCUAAAGAGUUUCCAUACAGAUAUAGUAAUUGUAAGUUUUAAGACUACCGAUAACAUGAGGAAUAGUGCCAAUUAAUUGGUUUAAAUGUAAAGAAAAUAAAUUUAGAUUGACAAGAUUUCCUAUCCCAAGAGGUAUGGUUCCAGAUAAUUUAUUCUCCCCCAUGUCGAUUAUGGUCAUUGUUUUUGAGAGAUUGGCUAUAAAAUGCGGCAGGUUUCCUCCAAAUUGAUUCUUACGUAACUCAAGCCAUUCCAAUUUGCUACAGUUUGUCAGGGAGAAUACAAAAUCAAGGUCAUUGCUAGCCUCAGCUCCUAAAUUAUUAGCCUCAAAACUUAGCCAAGCUAGAUCCGAAAGACCGUUAAAAUCUAUGCUCACUUUUCCUGUGAAAUGAUUUUGUCCAAGGUUAAGCUCUAUGAGAUUUGAAGCAUUGGACAAUGAAUGUGGGAUAGGUCCUGUCAGAUUGUUUUGAGCUACAAUAAGAGAUUUCAGGUUUGGAAGAUUGAAACCUAUAUUAAGGGGAAGAAUACCUUCGAGUCUGUUUGACGGUAGAAAAAUCAUCUCAAGCGAUGAGAUGUUGUAAAUUGAAACAGGAACCAUACCGGAGAAAUUAUUUUCUUCUACGUUAAGAAACUUUAAGCUUCUUAAUUGACCAAGACUUUCAGGAAUUCUCCCGUGCAGUGUAUUCUCUCCAACAUCAAAUGCCUGCAGAGCAGAAAGAUUCCCAAUGGAAGCAGGGAGCUGUCCUCUCAAAUGAUUGACAGCAAUGGACAGUUUCUCAAGCUUCGACCAGCUGCUGUAACCGAUAUCAGCUGGAAUUUCUCCCACGAGGUUGUUUUUAUGGGAUAAAAAGUUGAUGAGGUUGGAGCAACGGGACAAAUUUGUUGGUAUUUUCCCUGAAAAAGAAUUAUUUGCCACGACUAGAGUUUCAAGUCUGGAAAGACGACCAACCUCAUCCGGAAUUUCGCCAUCGAAAUUGUUGUCUCCCAGGUGGAUUAACUUGAGGAAGCUAAGAUUGCCAACAUAAGGAGACAAGGUACCUCCUAGACUUUGGUUCCUCAGAUACAACUCGGUUACCCUUUGAUGCCGACGACCACAAGUCACUCCUGUCCACUGGCAUAAGUUUACAGAAGUGUCCCACGAACUUGUUACUUCUAGUGGAUCAUGGAACUGUGACUUUAUAGCAAGUAAUGCUAGACGAUCUGUCUCGUUUGUGUGGACAGAAAAGCUGUGUGAACUAAGCAACAAACUGAAGCACCAUAUAAGAGUUGCAAGGCUGGUAGUGGUAGUAAAAAUGGAGCUAAACAUGUUUAGCGGCUGCAGGGUAUAAGAUAAUAAGACUAAUGAAAAGCGUGGCGUGAUCGUUGAAGUUCAUGUGAAGGGUUUUUAAAGUCGAAAAAUGAGUGUACGGUAAAAUCUCUUUAUAGUUAUAAUAUGAAGAGUAAAUUAUUUUUAUGAGAAGGUUAUAAUUUAAUUAAGGUUUAGUUAAAAAAACUUAUUAUUUUGGUAUAGUUAACCUUAGUGCAAGUGACAUAGAGAUAAAGUAUGCUUUAUAUUAAUAGUCAACUGCUAGAACACGUCAAAUUGAAUAUAUAAACAUUGACAAAAGAGAUAGACAUAAUUUCAAAAAGCUAUCAUAAAUUUUUUACAAUAUAAAGGUAGUUAUUAUUAUUUUAUGGAGGCAAGUUCAUGAAGAGGAAUUUAAAAAAAUUUAGACUGUUACAAUAUAAAAUUUAGGGCUUGUUUGGGAUUGUUUUUGGGAGACUCAAAAGAUAUUUUGAAAAGUUAAAAAUUAAUUUUAAUAUUUGAUAUAUUUUUUAAGAAUUAGUUUUGAAAAAAUUACUCUAUCGUACAAUAGAUUUUAAAAAGUAAAGAAUAGUUUUUUAAAAGAUGAUUUUGAAAAUCAUUCUUAUAUUGAAUACAAGUUUAUAUAUAUUCUCAUUUAUAUUAUAAAAAUUCAAAAUUAUCCUUUUUAAUUAAGAAGUAGAAUCAUUAAAUUUUAAAAGAUAUUAUUACUACCACUUAUAUUGAGAUAACUAAAUUAAAAUUAAAAUUAAUAAUAUAAAACAUUUAUUUUAGCUAUCAAUUAUUAUAUGUUAUAAAAAAAUUUUAUACACAUAUUUAUAAAUGUUUAAAUAAAUUUUAACUAACAUUAUAUCUAAUUGAGUCAUUUACAUGAUUACAACAAUUUAACGUCAAGAUUUAUCAAACUAAUUGUUUUUAAAAAUCACAAUACUUUUAAAAAUUUAUUUUACUAAAUGUUUAACUGAUUUCGUCGUAGCUGAUUAUUUCUAUAUUACAAUCAAUAAUAAUUAUUUUAAAAAUUAUAGUAUUACCAAACUAACCCAUAUUCUUAUUUAUAACCGAUCAAAUUGUUACCGAGAUUUUUAAAAUUAUGUGAAAAUGACUUUUAUGGAAUAUCAUUGUAAAAGAAUUUUAUCAAUACAUAUAUUUUUUUCAACUGCGGCUGCGGGAUUAGGCAAGGCUAAUGAAAGCUUUUGUUAAAAAUGUGUGGGUGGUCGUUAAAAGUCACGGGCACUCCAGUUCCUUGAUUAGAUUGAUUCUCGUCGUUGUUCUGAGUGCAAGUUGCCUUAGCACUUUCGUGAGUGAAUGAGAUUUUUCCUUUGUUGCUUUGGCAAGAGGUCGCUUUGGUGUGAUGUCAACUUGUGAAAUAGUCAAGGGUCUUUGGCUCUUUGCUACCUUUACAUCGCAUGCAAAGAUUUGACAAGUGAGCAAUUAGAAUUUCUCUACCUUUACGAUAGAGAAAAGCGAAAACAGUUCCCGUCCGGUCACACAACUGGCUUCAAGAGUUCCUCGCUGGUUGCAAAAAUUAAUUUCUUUUUAAUCUUUGUAAUUUGUUACAUAAAUAAAAAACAAUUUUUGAAAUAAAAAUGAUAAAUAUAGUUGAACCUCAAUGAAUUGAUUACCAGGAUUAAAUAAUAGUUUUUAUUGGUCUCAAAUUGGGUCAACAUAUUAAAUUAAUAAUUUGAUAAAUUUAUUAAUAAUAAAAAUAAAUAUUUUAUAUUUACUAAAAUAUUAAGACUGAUCUACUAUAUAAAUUAAUAAUUUAUUAACUUGAAACUAAGGUACUGUUCAUUUUUUAACUUAAUGAAUUAAUUGAUUAAUUUUAAUUAAACCAUUGAAUCUUUUCAUUUUUUUCAACCUAAUGAAAUUUUAAUGUAAAUUGUGCAAAUUCUUGUAGUAUUAAGGGAAAAAGAUAUCUACACCCAAAGGUUUAGAGAAAAAGUCAAGUAAAUCCUUAAGUUUUCAAUAAGGAAUAUCAAAACUCCCUUUAAUUGUAAUAUCUUUUGUAAAUAGUAAUUAAAAAUUUUACUUCAAAAUUUUUUAAUAAACACAAAUAUAAUUUAAACAGUUUAAUUUGUCAAGUAGACUAAUAAUAUUAGGAUAUUUUUAAUAUAUAAUAUAAUUUUUAAAGUGUAAAUUAGUGUAUUUAUUUUAAUAAUAUAUGUUAUUUAUUAUAAAAUUUUAAUUAAAUGUUUCGGUUAAAUUGAUUUUAUAGUUAAUAAAAUAUAUCUCAUGUAUUCAUAAUAUCUAAAUUAUUUUAUAUAAUAUUCAAAAUAAUGUAAAUUUUUAAAAAAUUUGUUAUAAAAUUUAGUUUAAUAUAAUAUAAGAUUGUAAAGUAUUAAAAUAUUUUUUAAAUAUUAAAAUUACCUUAAAAUGUUUAUAUUAUUAUAUUUAUUUUAAUAUUAUAUUUCUAUUUAAUAUAAAACAUUAGAGUUAAUUUUUUUUGAAUUAAUAGAACCAAAAGUUAUUAUAGUCAAAAGAGAAUUUUAAUAUCUUUUAUUAAGAACUUGAAAUUUAUAUGAUUAUUUUUCUAAAUUUUGAAGGUAUAAAUAUCAUUUCUCAUAUUAUUAAUGUCGCUUUAAAAUAGAGUACCCAAUAUUUCUAGUUCACCAAUUAUUGAAAAACAUUUUGACUCAUUACAGCCUGUUAUUAGUUUUGGUCAUAUUAUUUUCCAUCACUCGGUUAUUGAUUUUCAAAUCUACCGAUUAGUAACUAUUCUUAGGCCAUAAAUAAUAUUGAGGUACUAUAACUUUUAAGUUAUAGUUAUUAUAAAAAAAGUAUAAUAAUGAAAUAAUAAUUUAUAAUUUAUAAUAAAUAUAAUUUUUAAAUAAUAAUUUUAAUAAAAAUACAAUAAAAUUAUUAAAUUUUUUCAUGUAAGUAUAAAAUUAAAUUAAUUUAAUUUUUAAACUAUAAUAAUUAGUAUAUUUUAUAGAUGUCCAAUCUCAAUUUUAAUCACAGCCUUAAUAAUAUAAGUUAGCCAUGGCCAAAAAAUCAAAUAUCAAUUGUCAAACCUGCUGUGUACGCUAUGUUGCCGUGUACGCUAUGUUUAAGUCUAGCUGUGUGGAAUUUGUUUGUCCAUGUAUUUUAUAGACUUCAUUGAUCCAAUUCCAAUCUUUUUUCCUGUGGAAAACCCUCUUUUUCCGCAAAUCAAUUAAAUCAAUCAUGGAAUUAAAUACUAUACGGGAUAUUGGUGUAAAUAUUUGAAGAUGAAGCCACGUUUGGAAGACAUGUUCGCAUGUUCAAUAAAUGCAAAAACAGCCAGUUCUGUGCAUGGCUUUAAUGCAUGCAUCGAGAGUAGUAACUUCCACGUGAUGGCAAGUUGACGAUUGGCAAUUGGUGCUCCUUUUGUCAAGAUUUGCUUGAGAUAGCGGCUGUUUCACUAGAUUUUUUACCGUAAAGUUUGAUUUCUCAAUCCAUCCUGAUACUAUAAAUAGAGCUUAAUAUAUUCUCGAGAGUAAAUCAUCCCGUUUGCGAGGGAUAAAAGUUUAUUUAGUCCCUAUAUUUUAAGAUUAGUGUCUAUUUAGUUUUUAUAUUUUUAAAAAUAUUUUGAAACAUCUCUACUGUUAAAGUAUUGAUACCCCUAUUGUUACUUUUUAUUUUUUAUUUACUUUUACAAUAUUAUCUUUUUAUAAUAAUGUUUUUGUUUAGACAUUAAUUAAAAAAUAAUUAAAUUAUCAAUUUAAUUCUAAAAAAUAAAAAUAAAAAAUUACAUUAAUUUUUAAUUGUCAAAAAUUAAAUUAUCAAAAAAGUCAAAAAUUAUAUACAAACUACCAAGCGUGCAAAUAGUACUUGCAAAAAAAUUAAUAAAUUUUUUAUUUUUAUUUUUUAGGAUUAAAUUGAUAAUUUAAUUAUUUUUUUUAUUAAUAUCCAAAUAAAAAAAUUAUUAUAAAAAGAUAAUAUUGUAAAAGUAAGCCAAAAGAAAUAAAAAAUAACGGCAGAGAUAUUAAUACUUUAACGGUAUGAAUGUUUCGAGGUAUUUUUAAAAAUACAAGAAUUAAAUAAAUACUAAUUAUAAAAUAUAGAGACUAAAUGAACUUUUACCCGUUUGCGAGAGUUGCGAGCAUUUAAAUAUUGAUGGGCAAACAGAUCAGCUGUCAACAACUCAUUCCUAUAAUCCCAUGUGAGUAAUUCACAUUGAGUACUGCACGUGACGCCUGUUUCUCUACUUUUCAUGUUAACAUUAUUUUCAGUAGCAGCCGGUUAUGUAGGCAACAUUUCAAAAUUAAUUAAAAAAUAAAAAUUAGUUCAGCUGACUAAAUUUGAGAGAAUGAAUUUACUGUUGGUUAAAAAUUAUUUUGCAGCAAAAUUUUUGAAUCGUAACUCUUUUACAAUAUAUAGAAUUAUCAUAAUUUAUAAAUUACAUCUUUGCUUUUUUUGUGAUAGUAAUUCAGAUUCUCAAGUUACGAUUUAAACUGAAAAAAUAAAACUAUGAGUAAGAAUUGUUUUAUGAGAAUUAAAAUAAUUGAUAAAUAACUGAGAGGGAUAAUUUUGAAAGAUUUAAAUUCUAAUAUGAUAACAAUUUUAAUUUUUCACCCUCUGGUAAGGAAUCGAAAAUCACAAUUUAUUAGAUUAGCACAUAAAAUAAUUGAGUAUUCAGAAUAAUUUUUGAAGUACAAAUAAUUGGACCCUAAUAUUUUUAAUAUAUGAAAAUCUUACUAAUAUGUUGAUGAGAAUUAAAUUAAUAAUUAAGGGAGACAUUAAGACAUUUAGAAUAGUUGAGAUGAGACCGGAUUUUACGUUAUCCGAAAUUGAUCCUAAUUUUGAUCACAAAUGUAUUAAAAAGACGAGUUUCGGUCCAUAAUUAUGUGCCAUUUGAGUAAUUAAAAUGGGAAUGUGAUUGUCGAAUUCCAAACUUUCCCGAACCAUUGCCAUCUUUACCCAAAACACUAAAAAUAUCUAAAGAAAAGUCUGCACCUAUUCCAUUUUUUUUUAUCAAAUAGGAAAGAGCCCUCACGUGGCGUGAACUGGUAUCCUAAAUAAUUUUAAGAGUAUCAGCCCAUGAUUGGGUUUGUGACAAAUAAAUUACAUAUUUGAGGUACAUAGUUAUUGGUGUCCUAGUUUAGGUGGCACCUACCAUUUAUUGCACAUAUAAGGUAUUAAUUGACUUAAUUAAUAUACAAAGUUUAAAAUCUAAUUAAUUAGCGACACAAAUGCCAAGUACAGUAUAUGUAAAUCAUAUUUGUCGAUUAUCACAAAACGAGCUCUUGAAAAUAAGUAAGAAAGCUUAAUUUGUUGAAAUGAACUCAAACUCGUCAAUCGAUUUGUCGUCUAAAGGUUGGAAAAAUGAGUGAUAUGUCAUUUCAAGCUGAUCAUGGAUCCAGAACCGACGACUUGGUGCUGUUGUUCAAGGUCGUUAAACUCUCACGUGAAUAACAUACGCCUGUCUUAAGUCUAAAACGGCACGCCUUGUCGUCGUUUUAGGAAGGGUUUAAGUUUCACGUGAAAGGCUCUUGAUCAAGCAGUUAAGUUUGUCGGUUUUGGAGGGAAUCAUCUGGAUCUGUAACACCAACAGCAGCUGAUAUAUAUGUUGGUUCUGGUUUCAUCUAGAUCGAUUGAAGAGAGAGUGAUAAGGAAGCAUUAGAGAGAGUGAAACUUUUCUGGGUGUUCUCUGUAUUGUGUUUGUCACCUUUGUAACCAUUGAAGCUUAAUAAAAUUACUCCCUGAGUUGUUUUCUCCAGUGCACGUAGGCACUGUUAAAGGUGCUGAACCACUUAAGUCUUUGUGUGUUCUUGAUUCUUUGUGUUGAUUUUUCUUUGAUCUGGUGAUUGUUACGACUUGCUUAGACUUGGUUCUUAAAUCUUAGAGUCUUAAUUAGAUCUUGGGGUGAGAUAAAUCUGGUGUAAAGAGGGUUUGUUUCACAACAAUUGGUAUCAGAGCUUUAAUUCUGAUUCCAAGGUUCAAGAAUGGCUUCAAAGGUGGAUCUUGAGAAGUUUACAGGGCAAAAUGACUUUAAUAUGUGGAAGAUCAAGAUGGAGGCUUUGUUGAUCACUCAGGGUCUGGGAGAUGCCAUAGAGCUAGUCUCUAAACUUGAAGGAAAUGAAGCUUCAUCAUCCAAGACUCCAGAACAAGCAGUAGAGAUAGACAAGAAUGCUAGAAGCACAAUUAUUAUGAGUAUGGGUGACUCUGUAAUCAGAAAAGUGGCAAAAGAAAAGAUUGUUGCUGGUUUAUGGGCCAAGUUGGAGAAUUUGUAUUUGACAAAGUCUUUAGCUAAUAGGCUUUACAUCAAGAAGAAGAUGUUCUCACUAAAGAUGAUUGAAGGAGCAUUACUUGAUGAGCAUAUAGAUGAGUUCAAUAAGGUUUGUGAUGAAUUGGAAACCAUUGAUGAAAACUGAGUGAUGAGAGCAAGGCUCUGCUGUUAAUUAGUUCUUUACCAGAGUCAUACGAGCACUUUGUGGAUGCCUUGUUAUAUGGGAGACAAACACUCUCUCUGGAAGAGGUUAAAUCUACUCUUGGCACCAAGAAGUUGAAAGACAAGCAAGAUAAUCCAGAAAGUGAAUCAAGUGAGGGGUUGAUGGUUAGAGGCAGAUCUGAAAAAAAGGGAAAACAAGGGAAAUAAACAAGGCAGAUCAAAGUCCAAAUAGAAGCAUUUGAAGUGUUUUCAUUGCCAUAAAGAAUGGCAUUUAAAAAGAGAUUGCCCUGAAAGAAAGAACAAAAAUAAAGAAACCAAGGAAAAGACAAGAAAUGCAGCCAUAACCACAAAAGUUCCAAGCUUUGAAACAACUGGAGUGCUCAUUGCCUCAAAUGAAAAAUUUCAAGGUCACUGGGUUCUUGACUCAGGUUGUACCUUCCAUGUGUCCAAAUAGAAGCUAUAUUACUACAUAUCAGUUGUGUGAUGGGGUAUGAUUUUAAUGGGUAAUAACUAAAUGUGUAAAGUGGUUGGUAUUGGGAUUGUUAGCCUUAAAAAGUUUGAUGGUGUGGUGAAGGAAUUAACACAUGUUAGGUUUGUUCCUGACUUGAAAAGAAACUUGAUCUCAAUUGGCAUGCUAGAUCCAAUAGGUUGUGUCAUUAGGGCUAAAAAAUAAGUGUUGAGGAUAAUUAAAGGCUCAAUGGUGAUUAUGAAAUGUAUAAAAGAAAAUAGCUUGUAUGUGUUGGAUGGACAUACUGCUGUUGGAGAGGCAAGUGUAACUGAUAGUGGUGGGAACAAAUUAGUGUUGUGGCAUUUUAGGCUGGGGCAUAUGAGUGAGAGAGGCUUAAAAGAACUACAAUGGAACAUUGAGGAUAGAUAAUGGCUUGAAGGUGAAAACAUUGAGGACAGAUAAUGGCUUGGAGUACUGUAAUAAGUUGUUUGAAGGAGUACUGUGAGAAGAAAGGGAUUUAGAGGCACAAAACUAUCACCUAUACUCCUCAACCAAAUGGCCUUGCUAAGAGGAUGAACAGAACCUUGGUGGAGAAAGUAAGGUGCAUGUUGAUCUACUCUAAACUUCCAAAAACUCUAUGGGUAGAAACUUUAAACAUUGUAUGCUAUCUAGUCAAUAGGAGCCCAUCAACUGCCAUAAGAUGUAAAAAACCAAUGGAACUGUGGUUAGGAAGAAUAGCUGACUAUUCAAAACUCAAAAUCUUUGGCUGCAUAGCAUAUGCUCAUGUAAAGUAAGGUAAGCUGGAACCAAGAGCAUUAAAGUGUAGGUUUCUAGGGUAUCCAGAAGGUGUCAAAGGCUAUAGAUUGUUGUGUGUUGAUUCCAAGCCACCUCAGUGUCUAAUAAAUAGAGAUGUAACUUUCCAUGAAGAUGAGAUCUUGAAUCAAUCAAGGAGUCUUGUCAACGGCUCUGAAUUAGGUGAUGAGUCUAAUAAAGUGAAGUUUCAAGUGGAGCCUCAUACCUUGAAAAAGCUUGAUCUAGAAAUUAAGAGUGCUAAAAAAGAACUUGAAGCUGGUGUUGAGCAUGAAUCAGUAGAAAGUGAAGAGGACACCUAUCAAUUGGUAAGAGACAGAAAAAGAAAGAUUAUUAGACCACCUAAGAGAUAUGCAAUGGCUGAUUUAAUUGCAUAUGAUUUGACUGUUACUCAAAAGUUGAAUGUUGAUGAACUAGGACUUAUCAAGAAGCUAUCACAAGCAAAAGCAAGAUGGAAUGGAGGAAGGCAAUGGAUGAGGAGAUGGCAUCUCUAAUGAAGAAUAAAACUUGGGAAAUGAUUAUAAAACCAUAAAAGAGGAAGAUAGUAAGCUAUAAAUAAAUCUUCAAGAUAAAAAAAAAAGGGAUAUCUGGUGCUGAGCCUAGAAUAUGUAAAGCUAAACUGGUGGCAAGGGGUUUCACACAAAAGGAAGGUAUUGACUUCACUGAAGUUUUAUCCCCAGUGGUGAGACAUGCUUCCAUCAAAAUUAUUCUUGCACUUGUUGUUGUUCAGGACAUGUAUCUUGAGCAAAUGGAUGUCAAAACAACUUUUUUGCAUGGUAAGUUACAAGAAUAGAUUAUAAUGCAGCAGCCAAAGCGUAUGUGGUUUUUGGUAAAGAAGAUCAUGUUUGUUAUUUAAGAAGUCUCUAUAUGGUUUGAAGCAAUCACCUAGACAAUGGUAUUUGAGGUUUGACAACUUCAUGAUAACACAUGCCUUUAAUAAAUGCAGUUAUAAUUGUUGUGUGUAUUUCAAGAAGAUAAGUGGAGGAAGGAUGAUAUAUCUCUUAGUGCAUGCAGAUGAUAUGCUGAUUGCAUGUCAUGACAAGAAAGAAAAUGAUCAUCUGAAGAAACUCUUAAGCAGGGAAUUUGAAAUGAAGGAACUUGGGGAACCUAAGAGGAUUUUAGGGAUGGAUAUUAUCAGGGAUAGGAGCAAGAAGGUUUUGUUUUUAACUCAACAGAGCUACAUUAAAAGGGUUCUAGUGAGGUUUGGAAUAAAUGAUGCGAAGCAAGUGCAGACACCAUUGGCAAACCAUUUCAAGUUGUCUGCUGCACAAUGCCCCCAAACUGAUGCAGAACAAUAGAAAAUGGCUUGUAUACCCUACUCAAGUGUUGUGGGUAGCCUCAUGUACGCCAUGGUACUCACCAGGCCUAAUAUCUCACAUGCUGUGAGUAUGGUAAGUAGGUUUAUGGCAAAUCUAGGCUAGGAACAUUGGAAAGUUGUUCAGUGGAUUAUGAGAUACCUCAAAGGGACUUUGGAGGUUACUUUGAUUUAUGGUGGAAAGGAUAGCAAUGGACACACAUUGAUUGGUUAUGUAGAUGUUGACUUUGCUGGUGACCUUGAUAAAAAGAAGUCACAAACAGGGUAUAUGUUUACUCUGGGGGGAUGCACAGUUAGCUGGAAAGCAACAUUACAGAACAUAGUGGCUUUGUCCACUACAGAGGCAGAGUAUACUGCAGCAGCUGAAGCCUUUAAAGAAGCCAUUUUGCUGAAAGGCAUGAUAACUGAGCUAGGAGCUGAGCAAGGGACUAUAACAGUAUACAGUGAUAGCAAGAGUGCCAUACAUCUUAGUAAAAAUCAAACUCAUCACGAGAAGACAAAACAUAUAGAUGUUAAGUUACACUUUGUGAGACUUGAAGUGUCAAGGGGGGCUGUUAAGUUGCUGAAAAUUCAUACUGAAGAAAAUCUAGCUGACAUGUUAACCAAGGUUGUUCCCACUACCAAGUUCAUCCUUUGCAUGUAUUUAGCAGGAAUCUGCAGGUUUUAAGAAGCUGCAGAUGAGGAGAAAACAAACAAAGAAGAGGGAGCUAUGAGUGUUGGGUUCAAGGUGGAGAUUGUUAAAAUAAACUCCAAUGAACUCAAACUCGUCAAUUGAUUUGUCGUUUAAAGGUUGGAAAAACGAGUGACAUGUCAUUUCAAGCUUAUCAUGGAUCCAGAACCGACAACUUGGUGCUAUCGUCCAAGGUCAUUAAACUCUCACGUGAGUAACAGAUGCAUGUCUUAAGUCUAAACGGCACGCCUUGUCGUCGUUUUCGGAAGGGCUUAAGUUUCACGUGAAAGGCUCUUGAUCAAGCAGUUAAGUUUGUUGGUUUUGGAGGGAAUCAUCUGGAUCUGUAAUGCCAGCAGCAGCUGAUAUAUAUGCUGGUUCUGGUUUCAUCUAGAUCGAUUGAAGAGAGAGUGAUAAGGAAGCAUUAGAGAGAGUGAAACUUUUCUGAGUGUUCCAUGUAUUGUGUUUGUCACCUCUGUAACCAUUGAAGCUUAAUAAAAUUACUCCAUGAGUUGUGUUCUCCAAUGGAUGUAGGCAUUGUUAAAAGUGCUGAACCACUUAAGUCUUUGUGUUCUUGAUUCUUUGUGUUGCUUUUUCUUUGAUCUGGCGAUUGUUACGACUUGCUUAGAGUUGGUUCUUAAAUCUUAGAGUCUUAAUUAGAUCUUGGGGUGAAAUAAAUCUAGUGUAAAGAGGGUUUGUUUCACAACAUAAUUAAUAACUUAAAAUUAAAGGAAUUAGAUUGAGAAUAGUCUUUUUUUUAGGAUGGAGGCUCCUAAAUCUUCAAGAAUCAUUAUGUGCUUAUUAAAAUUUCAAAAUCAUUUGGAUUAUGACAUAGCAAAAAUUUGAUAGUACACAUGUUGGAAUACACCAAUUCAUAGAUGCAUUUGAUUAUUGUUUUCAUAAAUUUUAACUAGGAAGGAUGACAUGAUAAAAUUUGAUUUUAUUGUAUGGUUGAUUUCAUAUUUCAUGUGCUCAUUUCUUAAUAUAAUCAAAUUUGAUCUAGCAUAUUUUGCAACUGUAUAAAUAUCAAUUAUGAUCAAUCAAAAUGAUUUCAACACCUUUCAACCAGACAUAUUUAUAAUACAAUAUUGUCAAACUUACACCAGAAAUUUAGUUUAUUACAUAUUAUUAUCCAAUGAGCACACAAAAAUGAAUUUGUACAAAUUUAGUUUUGGAAUGCUGUAGCUCUUAAAAUAAUUGUUGUUAGUUGUGCUAUAGAAAUAAUUUACUGUGAAAAGAAUCAGUUAAUUGUUGGGUAAAUUUUAUUUUCAGAAAUACUGUGAGUUUUGAAAACAGUUACGGAAAUUUGGUAAAUUUUACUGUUAAAUUGCUGAAAGAAAACAAAUGAUUAAAAUGUAUAUAAUGUAGAAUAAAAUUUACUUAUACAUAUAAAAAUAUGUACAUAUAAUAUUUUUAAUUAUAUAUUAUAAUAAUUUUUACUAAAAAUAAAAUUUAUAAUAUAUUGAUUUUUUUUUAUAUUUUUACCUUAAAAUAAUUGUUAAUUAAAUUUGUAAUAUAGUGAAACAAGUUUAAUAAUAAUUCGACCAACAAAUUGAUAUUAAUAAAUUUAUAUUGAUGAAUUACAAUAAAAAUUUAUUAAAAUAUUAUUUUUUUCAAUUUCAAUAAGGAUAAUUUUGGAUUUACAUAAUAAUUUUGAAGAUAUUUAUAAAAUUAUAUUAAAAGAUAAAAUUAAUUCUCAAAAUCAGAAUCUAAAAAAUACUCCAUCCCUACUUUUCAAAAUCAACUAUAGAAGAAGUUGAUUUUGACAAAAAUAAUUUAAAUUUUUUUACUAAAUACUAAAAUUAACUUUUAAUUUUUUAAAAUUAAUUUUAAACCACAAAUUCAGACGACCCUUAAACCAAUUUUGCAAAAGCAGCCGUUACAUGUAUCACCAACUUUUUAACAGUCAGCUGCUUUUGUGACCGUUAUGCGACGGCUAGACUGCUGUCACUUAUGUUACUAUCACGUGACGGUUAAGAGCCAAUUGGCAUACUAUUUUUUUAAAGUUUUAAAUUUGUUUCUAAAUAGAAAACUAUUCGCUGGUGUCAAUAUUUUGAAAACCAAAGUCCCAAAUUCUCUCUUGUGCGUGCCGGGCCAGCAUCCUAAACCUUACUGGUUGCCGGAGAAUGGCGUAAAACGGCGGUGAUCUUCUUCUUCAUCUUAUUCUCUCUCAUCGUUUCAGGUAAGCUUGUGAUAAUGAGUUUCUUGUCUUUCUUAGCUUGUAAUUAUAGAUUUUGAUUUUUUAAUUCGUAUUGUAGCCGUUAAUGUAAAUUUUUGUCCCGCUGGCAAAUUUUUUUGUUCCUACAAGUUGAAGCCCUUCUGUUCUUGUUCCAUUGGUGACUUUGCUCACUCAAAUUAAUUUCGUUCGGCGGAAUUUACAAAGUUCAAAUGGAUUCAUUUGGAUUACUAUUGAAUUUAGCUUUCAUUUCUACAUUCAUUCUAAUGUUUUACAAUUAUGUAUUUAGAUUUACUUUGAUUUUAUGUUUAAAGCUUCUACAUUGAAUAGCUGAGCUUGGGUCUUAGUUUCAUUUUCUAAUUAACUUGUUUUGGUUUAUCUUAUAUGCUCACCAAGGGCUUGUUAUAUUGUCAGAUAAGUUAUAUAACAUUGCUGAUUCUAUAUUAAUAACGUCAUGUUUUAUUUUCAGAAAUUAUAAUAUAAAAGUUUUUACAAUGGCAAGCAUCUACAAACUGAAUUGAUUUGUAGAAUAAGAGCUUCGAGUAGUGUUAUGAUCUUGAAUAAAUGAAAGUUCAUAUUGUGUAAGAGCAUGUAGAUGUAAAGCAUCAUUACCAUUUCUGCAAAGUGCUUUCAUUCUGUUCAGAUGCUUCUCUUGAACUUUGAAAUGUGCCUCGUUGAAGUCCUAGCUAUAACUACUAGCUUUGAUUAAUUAAGUUCCUAUACUAGCUGAAACAGAUUUAUUUAAUUAAUUAAUUGUGUAUGUACUAAUUAUAUUGAAAGUAUUUGAAAACUUUUUUAUCAUGAAUGACUUCUAAAUGACUUAAAAACCUAAAGGAUAUGUGAAAUAAUGCUCAUUUCACUUGAACGAGCCUAUUAAUACUUGUAUGUCUAUGAUUGUUAAUAUUGGCUUAAGCGUUUCAGUUAAAUGGUUUACAUAACAAGGAAAAUAAUUUAAUGGAAAACUUUCGAGUUCUAACAGAAAUAUAAUUGACUAUGCAGAUAUAGUUAUUUUAUGGUAAUACAAAUCAUGUUGCCUUAAUCUCAAUGUCCUAUGACCUAUUUUAUUUUAUAGAGUCAUUCAUUUUUGCCAUGGCUUUUUGUGUUUAUAAGUAUGGAAAUAGUGGGAUUUGGUGUAUCUUAGCAUCUUUGGAAAAUUCUCUUUAAAUGUGGCAAACAAAAAUAUACAUAUAAUCAAGUUUGUUAAUCAACUAUCAUAACUGGCUAGCUAGUUCUUGCCUGCCUUGCUGCCAUUACCCAGGCCAUUACAUUGCAUAGCAUAAGGAAUAGUGAUUAGGUGAUUAUUAGUGACUCGUUGAGCUUAUUAUUGACCAAACAAACAUAUUCCCCUUUACCCACAACUUAGUUUGAUUAGUUAUUAGACCAUAAAGAGCGUUAAUCUGUUCAUUGGCUUUGUUAUUUUUAUUAGGUUUUUCUGUCAACAAAACUGUUGAUUUCUUAUAAAAAUAUUCAUUGAUUUUUAAACACCUAAUCAUUGGCUAUAAUGAAGCUAAUUGAAACUGAGGCUUUGGAUCAAUUUCUUCUAGCAAGAUACAAAUGAGCAGAACCUAUAUCCUCUAAGUAAAUUUUUCUAAUAUCCUUGAUUUGGUAGUAUCUGGCGGCCUGAAAUCCUCUAGAUUUUUUUAACACUGUCAAUGUUCUUUUUACUCUUAAAAGGGAAAAAAAAGGUUAUAUCUUUCAUACCCUAAUAGUAAGUUGGCCUUGACUUAACAUGCCUUCCUGAGGAUUUCCAAGAUUCACAAGCAGCCCCCCCCCAAAAAAAAAAAACAAAUAUGAUUUUGCAAGAUUCACAACCAGGCUAUAUUUAAUUUAUUGAUUGUGUGCACGUACUAGUUAUAUGUUGAAAGAAUAGGAAAAAGUAUUUUAACAUGAAUGACUUAAAACUUAUUGCUCAGUAAACAAAAUCUGCAUCAGUGCUAGAAAAUGUAUUUAUUGUUUGUAUUUUUUAUGGAUUUGCUUAAGAAAUGAUACGCGAAAUAAUGCUACAUUGUAUUAGGAAUAAAUUGAAGAGAUUUAUGUGUUAUUUAAAUUUCAGAUUGAAUUUUAAACUUUCAAUACAUGCAUUGAAAGCUUAGAUUGUUUAAGAAAUUAUUAAUAGACACAUGUUUUAUUAGUGUCAUCUAUGGAUGAUAGUGAGGAUCAUAUGUCUAUUAAUAAUUCUUGAAUUGUCUAGGCUUGAACUGUUUGGGAAUGCAUAGUUUUCUAUGGUAGCUAGUAGCUGAAGUUUUUUUCCCACGUAAAAAUGGGUUUUUCGCUGGCUGCUUCUCAUCUUCUGUGGGUGCAUACUAGAUAACACAUAAACACUCAUAUAUCUAUGUCGUGUGCUUGGAGAACUAUAGGGAGAUGCUGCCGAAAUUUCUAUAAACGUAGAAAUCCCAUUGGACCACUUACCUUUUGUAAAUAUGAAGGGAGUGUUGGACAUAUUGAUGGGAGUGAAGGAGCUGAGUUGGAUGGAUGUAAUCGGUUAUGGUUUUGCUGAGUUAACUUGGCUUUGAGCUUGUAAUUUUGUUUAUAAAUGGAGUACUAUCUCCAAUGUUGGUUUAUAAAUAUGUUUCAGCUGGCUGACCUAAUUUUUUGUUUCUAGGUAACAGGCUUUAUAUCUGUAAUUGAUAGCCAACUGAAGUUCUCAACUGUGGGUGAGAAUAUUUCUUUACAGAAGGUAUUGGAAACUGUUUUUUACGUUAAUUAUUGUUGUAUAUAUACUUUAAUUUUCACAUCUUUUUCUCUGAUUCUUGUCGCUUUGCUUGCUUUCAUAUGUAUAACUAAAAUGAUUUAUCUAACUAAUUUUUGUAGUGCAUUAAACGGAGAUGGUAAUGGAGAAGAGUUGGGUUGGUUUGGCAAAUUGAUAUCCAAGUUAUAUACUGAUGGGGUUGAAAAAUUUAUAGAUUUUGCAUUUGAGAAUGUUGUUGGUGAGGCAAGAAUUUAUUAUCCUUGUAAGAACUGUCGAAUCUUUCGUUUUAAGGGAAGUUGCAAGAGACCAUAUCAUUAUAAAUGGUUUUUGGUUAAAGUAUUAAAACUGGAUAUUGCAUGGUGAGCCAUCUUCAUCUUUGGAAUCUAACCAAGAAACAGGUUAGUCAUGACUCGGGUGCUGAUGAUGAUAUGGUUGGAAUGAUACAUGAUACAUCACGUAAUCAAAUAUUCAAUUCACACACAGCAUUGUUAUGGACUAUCAGUGACUUUCUAGCACAUGCCAACUUGUCUGAGUGGAGUAUUAAAGGUAAAUAAGCAUUCUUGUUUGCCAACAAAACACUAGAUCUAAUUGGUUGAUACAUAGUAGAAAAUUUUGUCACGUCGGUAACGUCGAUUUUUACCGACGAAUUAUAGGUUUCGAAAAUAUAGUGCCUUUUGAUAAAUCUAGAGAGUGGGGACAAGCACCUUCUCGGAUGUCUGGAGCUGAAGUGAAAAAGCAGUUGAAUAAUAUCCUUACUGAGUUUAAGAUUGAAGACUUGAAAAGUGGAGAAUGAAAAAAAUGAGAGAAAUGACAAGAUUACUUGGAAGAAGAAAAUCAUAUUUUAUGAACUACCGUGUUGGGAGUUCAAUUUGAUUCAUCAUAAAAUGUGAGACAUGAGGGAGAGACAAAAGCUCAGGCUUGUCUGCAACCAUGUGGGCCCUCAUAAGCAAUUCGUGUACACAACUUGGUUCACCAAGCCCAACAACUUGAAGCAGGCAAAAUCCGGGAACGAUCCUUCUCCUUCGCAACCCUAGCUGCCUUAACCUUGUAUUUCUGAUAUUUAGUUAAAGAGUAAGAAGAUUGCUCCUCUGUCAAUUACCUUCGAGAGAGACUUUCUUUUUCAUUCACCGAUGCUUGCUUGUGAAAGCAAGGGUUUUAGUUACGCUUUCAACGCUGUCAAUGUAGUGAAGUUAAGCAUUCGUAGAAUAGUGAAGUUAAGCAUUCGUAGAAUAGUGAAGUAAAGCAUUCGUAGAAUAAUGAAGAUGGAAGCCCCACAGCAUGAAAACUUUUAAACAGUAACACAGCUCUUAUUCCAGAGGCUGCACGCGAGUGACCUGAAUCUUCUUCAGAACUUUCAAAUUUUAUCAAGCGAAGCUUUCAAAAUUUCUCAACAAAUUGAUUAUUUGGUGUGGUUGCCACAUUUUGAGUAACCGCUAUUUGUUCUCAAGUACAAAAUCCUUGCCUUCCUAAGUUAGGAAAUAUAAAUGUGAAGCAAACCAAAUGAAAUAAAUGGGUAAACAGAACAAGCAGGGCAAAAAUUAAAAAUGAUGGCAAUUAACAAAUUAAUAGCAAUGUUACAUUUGACUCUUUAGCCCUUUGUUCCUUCUCUUAGCAUUCUUCAAAGGUUUUGAAAAUAGGACGUGAAGCAAACAAAAUAAAAUAAAUUUAGACAACACAUGCCCUGUAUUCAGCAUCAUAUAUAUCUCGCAUAUCUAAUAUAAUAAAUUUCACAUCUAAAAUACUAGAAUUUCAAACAGAAUAUCUAAUAAUAGUAAAAAAAUGACGACAACAACAAAAAUAGAAAAUUACAAGACUGCUGAUAAAAUUUCAUUUGCAUGCAUGUCUGACAAAAUUUCCGUGGUUUAAUGUGCUUUCAUGAACGCAAGUCCUAACGUUUCUGUGAUCACAAAAUAAAACUGAAGAUAAAACAGAACAACUACCAAACCUUUCAAGCUUGACGAAGCCAUGAGAAUUGAUAGCUCAGGCACUGAUACCAAGUUAAAGUUUCUAAUCUGUUUGGUAAGUAAGAAAAUGUGAGAAAAUGAAAGAAAGAACAGAGAUCAUCUAAGAGCUGGAUUUGAUAAGUAAAUAUGAAUCAUCCAUUCAUUAGUUGAUUGCAAAUGUAUUUAUACGAGGUUCCUGAACAUUUCAGAUUCUAUAUGCUCGAGCUAAGCACCUGAGAGUUGAGCAGUGUGCACUAACAAACUGCUAACAAAAUAACUAACUUAUGCCAGCUCAGCUAACACGUCAGUAACUCUUAACUAUCUUGCUUAACAAACUGAAACAAUAACUAACCAUUUUAACUAUCUUAACAAUCCCAAUAAUUUUUCCAUUUGUGUAUUUUUUUGAAUCAUAAUCAAAUGCGUAAAUGUUGCAACUAUUUUUUUUAGAUAUUUUCACUUUGGGCUGUCAGCCCGAGGAAGUACGGGGGUCUGAGUUAUUCAACUGAAAAUGUCGGCCAAGUUCUUGUGUUAGUUUUAGUAUAUUGUGUAAAAAUGAUACACUAACUUGAAUUUAUAUGCUUUUAUGACUAUUUGAUAAUCAAAUGGGUAAAUGACACGAAGAACUUUGAGUUUAAAAAUCUGGCCCUGAUGCCUGGUAGCCCUCCAACCUAUGAAGCACUAGAUGUUUUAAUGAGAAAACGACAAGACCAUUUAUCAAAUUUCUUGUGGAUAUAACUACAUACACAAAGACGAGACCAACCUCCUCAAAUGAGAAUUAGAGUGAUUCAAAUCUCAAAAUACAAUAGAAAUUCAUGACAUAUAUAUAAUAAAAGACCUCUCAUUGAGUCAUAUAUAUUGAGAAUAAAUUUUUUUUAAUACAUACAAAGAGCUUAGCUACAAUGAAAUGUCUUUGGACUUGCAAUGAUCAAACAAAGGAAACAGACAGGUUGCAACUCACACUAUCACAAAUGUAGCGACACGAUGCAGUGAAUCACAAGAAGAUCACGAAGAUGGAAACGGGAACCCCUCAGAAUGUAAACUUUGAAUAGAGGAAAAAAGAAAAACGACCUUAUUUCAAAUUGCGCACAGAAGAAGAGUGACUUAAAUCGUCAUCAGUAUCCAGACAUUCUGCAAUCAUAGAGUAGAGAAAUUUUAACAGGAACAGUGGAGAAAAUAUUAUGUAUAUGCUAGACCAAAUUAGUCCCUUUUUUGGUUUGUGAAAACUUGAUUUUUUAUGAAAUAUUUUCAAACAAUAUUUCCACAAUACACUUGUUGAUAGCCAACAUUUGAUGGUUUAAGGAUUUUUUAUGGGAACAAUGCACUGAUUACGUUUUUUUUUUUUAAUUUUUUUAAUGCGAUGAAUGAUAUUCAGCUGUUCUUUAAUUAUGUGUUCAUAGGGAAGAACAUUUUAUAAGUACUUUCCUUGCCUUCUAACUUUCCAAGGAAAUAUAGGUGUGAAGAAAAGCAAACCCAAUGAACAAACAGAACACAAACUAAAAUAAAAGAACAGCAAUGAUGAGAAUAAAUAAUUGGCAAAGAAAGAAUGGAAAAAGUAUGCACGUUUUCAAGGAAUUAUAAAAUACGAAGGCUUUUAAUGAAAUUUUAUCAUAAAAACGUACGCAAGGAGUUAUAAAAAUUUUAGAAGACGAAGGGAGCUCCCAAAAAAAAAAAAAAAGAAGAAAAAGACUCAAAUUAAACUAGACUAAAAAGACAUUCAAUUAUGCAAAAUCUGUCCAUAAAAGUCUGAAAGGAUCAUUAAAAUUGCAUUGCAAAUUUAACAGUAAACAGAGGGACCCAUUCUAAAUAAUUCAGAUGAAAUUGCGAAACAAGCCAUGGGAUUAAAUAAAUGAAAUAAAAAUUAAUUACCAGUUGAGACUUUCUUCUAAAAAUUCGCAACUCCAAGUCAUAAGAAGCCUAUGAAAUUAGUCGUACUGCGUAGAGUAUAUCGACGACCCCGCCAACAGCUGAAAAUAAAAUUCUUAUUCAUCAAUUUAAACUUUUACUUUAUAACAAACAUUUUAUUUAAAAAGAAAAAGCAAAUUUUGUAAAAAUUUAUCAUGGGAGAUAGAGAGUAAUAUGUAUAUCCGUACCUUCUCAGCAUGUAAUUGUUGUAUGGUUGUGUUUAGAUCAUUAUUAGCCCAACGCCGUUGAUUCAAUGUCUCUCCAUACUGGACGUUUACUCUCGGAGGCGUGAUUGAUUCUCCUGUAGUGAAAAUCUUCAUCUUGGGACAACCAGUCACUCCCAGAUAUUCCAAAGAUGGGAAUCUGAAGGUGUAAUUGGCAUAGCAGAAACUUGUGAGGCUAUCUAAAUCACGCAGAGCCAACGUCUUCAAUUUGCGGAAAACAAUCUCUUCUUUUUCAACUCCAUCUUUGUCAUUUGUUACCACCUCUGUCAUUGCUCUGCAUCCAUAUACUUGCACUUUGACGAGUUGCACUAGAGUUUUUGCUGUGGAAAAUGUUACCAUGUGUAACAAUUUCUUGCAACCGAAAGCUACAAGUUUUGUUAGGUUCCGAAAAGAUACCGAUGAUGAUGGCAAUAGAAUUAACAGACGUUGACAAUGAUAUACUCCUAGAAUUUCAAGAUACUGAAAAAUGGGGUCAAGUUUGGAGUCUUGUUUCCACAGCUGCUUCAGAUGAUAGUGCCGGUGCAGCUCUAAUGUUUUUAUCAUUGCCAACUUCCCCACAUGUUUCUCUAAGCUUCCUUCCUCCGAAAAUACCUCUUUGUUGAAUGCAAAAAAAGACAGUAUGAGUUUUUCAAGAUUGUGAAAUCUCUCAAGUACGUUCCAGAUUGGAAAACAAGCUGAGUUAUCUGAACCAAUCUCUAGUUCUCUAAGACUGCCAAAAAGGUGUUGUGGGAAAUCGGCCCGCAAAAUCAUCUCCACAUCUUUUCCACUUAGUGAUAGUUCCUUCAAGUUGGGUACGAUCUGAUCAUCAUCAAUCAUAAUAACUAAUGAGGUCAAUUGAUGUUCUUUCAAAUGAUUUUGAGUAAUCCAAUCACAAGCAGUGACUUUAUAGUAUUUAUUUUAUAUUAAUUUUACCCCUAAAAAAAAUGAAUUAGUGAUAAAAUUCAUUAUAUGAUUUUUUUUAUAUGUUAGUUUUAGAGGUAAUAAAGAAAUUAGGGAAAAAAACGAAAUUAUUUUAUUGCAUGAUAGUAAAUUACUAAUUUAUUUUGUAAGUUUUUCUGUAUGGAAAGACUAAGGAUUCUUUUAUAAAUGCUAUACCUAAAAAAGAUUAUUGUAUAACAAAAGUUUUCAAUUUAUUGAGCAUUAAUUUAUCGAUACUUUGUCAUAUUUUUCAAAGUUAAAAAUAAGCUAUAGAUAAAAAAUCUAGAAAAUGGCUUCAUACCUUUUCCAAUGGCAAUAGGGGCUGUUGUGCAGGAAUACCAAGUUGAAAAUCUGCAGCGAAUAUCUUUAAUUUGUCACAACCAUGCACUAAAAGAAUUUCUAGUGCGGGCCAUUCCGAAGUAUGCAUUCCAGGGUACAAACAUCUAAGUUUUGGUAGAUCUUGGAGUUUCAGAGUGGUGAGCUGUGGAAAGACAAAAUAAGGGAUCACUUGAUCUGCUCUGUUUUCAGAAAUGAUCUCCUGUAAAUCCUCACAGAAGCGUAUAUCUAGGUGUUGGAGCUGCUUAAGGCUUUCGAUCAUAGACGCUGAAAAUAUGUAUUUUAAUUUAUGACAACGCUGCACAGUCAAUCGUGUUAAAUUUUGAAAGCGAGGAAACAUGACCGGAAGAUGAUUGUAGUGCCAAAUCUUGUCGACAUUAAUUUCAGAUAUCUCCAAAGCCUCCAAGUUAGGCAACGCAACCUAAAAAAAAGAAGAAUUUCUCGUUAGAUCCAAUAUCCAUAUGGGAAGCACUUGUUGAAAUUUUCUUCUUUGAUUACAAAUUAAUGCAAAGUCAGAAUCAAUUUCCAACUGACAGCUGAGUAUGCAUUCUAAUUCAUACUACUUGUUAAGAGCUCAAUUAGUGAGCGCGUGAGAUUCUUUUUAUCCUUUUUUCCAUUUUCUUUCAAUUCUUUAAAUGAUUUAAUUAUUUUCCACGUAUGACAUCAAAACAAAACGCAUGAUAGAAUAAAGUCUGUUAUAUAUACAUAUAUAAAGAAAAUGUUAGCCUACGCACCUUCUCGUUGAAAAGCAGAGUUGAAAUGUCCAAAGUGAUUUCGCUGGUGCAAUACAUAGUCGUCGAUUCCUCUUGUGACGCUUGCCUGUUCGGUGAUGCUGAAGGAGUCUUCACCUCACGGCAAAAACUUGUAACCUCUGGAAGAUUCCCCAGACUCAAAGAUCUUAAUUGAGCAAACUCUAUCUUCUCAAUUGCAUUAUCAACUUCUUCCCCAAUUGCAAAAAUCUCUUUCAUCUUGCUGCAAUUAACAACUGCAAUUCUCUCAAGUCUUGGAAGGCAUUUUGUAGUAGAGAGCCAAAAGAUGUUACUCAACUUAUCACAAUUAUAUGCUUCUAUGUUUUUGAGUUGGUUGAAAGACUCUACUUUGAGCCGAUCAAUACAUAUCCUCUCCAUGUUGAUCAAAUUGUGAAGGAUAACUGACUCCAAAAGAGGAAAGGCAUCACAAGCGACCAUCUCCCUUGAAUCGACGAUACAAAAGAAGUCAGGAUUAUUUUGAACCCAGAGAAUCUUCAAUUGUGAAAAGCCCUCCGUGUCCAAAUUGAAAAGAACAUUCUCGAUGCCUUGCAGCUUGUCCAACCAUAAGCAUUCAACGUUAUUGAUGCCCUGCAAUUUCAUGGAGCAAAUGUCCAUAAAAUCAAGCUUGAGCUUCACUGCUCUUGAAAUCUUACGAUCUCUGUCGAUCAAAAAGUGCUGCCGACUUUUAAACCAAUUUUGUCCAGCAAUCAUGGGAUGUGUGAAUAACCCAUUUCCAAUAUGUAUUUUGAACCUUUCGAGCUUUCUGGCCAAAAAGCCUUCUGGUAACAUACUCUCAUUUUUAACAUCAAUUUCUAGAGUGGUUAGCCGAGGUAAAUGCAUCAAUUCAUCAAGGCUAGCAUUACUUCUUUUGCUGUUGGCUCUUUCAACCUCCCAUUCAAUGGAGCAAUUACACAUAUACAAUUCUUCUAAUCGGAUUAGGCUUGAUAUGACAUUUGGAACAAUAACUUUUAGAUGGAAACAGUCUGUCAAAUCUAACAGCCUUAGCUUUGUCAGUUGACCUAGUGCUUUAGGCAACUCUACAAUAUCAGACCGCACGAAGCUGAGGAUUUCUAGAUUUUCCAACUUUCCAAUAAUGGCUAUGUCUAUGCCUCCGAAAAUGCUUUGAUCAAGACAAAGUGUCUGAAGAUUUACUAGAAGACCAAUUGAAGAUGGCAAUGACAAUAACCGCAUUCCAUUAAAAUCCAAAACCCGAAGCUUUUUCGUCCUUUUGAAGAAGUUCUCAGGAAUAUUAGGCACAGCAAAAGAGUUCUUGGGAGACAUGAGUAGAAGUUCAAGUUGUAGAGAUUCGGACCCAUCAGGAAUGUCAUUAAUAAUACUAUCUUUUAAAGAAAUUGCAAGAUAUUUUUUUAAUUCAUCUGCAUUUGGCCAUUUCCAAUCAUCCUCAUUUCUCACCACAAAUCCAAUUUUGUCACGACAUGCAAUUGAAAUGGCAACAUCGCGAACAACGUCGUGCAUAGAAAAGUAUUUACUGCCACCAUCCUCAAGCAACAAACAAGAGUCUCUUAGUUGAUGGACCCAUGCAUCUAAUUUGUUAUGUGCAUCUUCUAGCUUAUGGACACUUUUAAAUACACCCAAGCCCAUGCUAUAUUUGAACAAGUCCAUAAUUGGUGCUGGCGUAAUAAGACUACACAGUAAAAAAGUUUUCUUGAGUUGCUCACCUCUUAAGUACUUGUAACUCAGCUCAAUUGUUGAGUAUGCCUCUGCUGGUACUCCUUCGUCGAAGCUUGCCUCUGAAGGCGUUUGGAGUUCUUGCAAGGCAUUCUUCCACACAGGCAGCUCUUUUUUUCUCAGUGCCUUUGCUACUGUGGUUAGGGCAAUAGGCAAACCUCCGCAUGCCUUGGCUACACUUGUUGCUGUAGAUUCUAAUUCACGAUUUUCCACAUAAUCACCUGCCAUUAUCUUGAACAAUCUCCAGGCUUCUUGUUCAUUUAAAAUGCCAAUCGAGAAGUUUUUUUCAGAUUCCAUCCUUAACAGCACAUCGAGAUCUCUUGUUGUGAAUAAUAAUUUGCAUCCUCUGUGCUCAACUCCAAAAGGAAUUCCAAUAGUCCCCAAAUCAAGAGGUUUCCAGAUGUUAUCCAGAAUCACAAGGAUCUUCUUCUCAUUCUUCAAUCUUUCAUAUAGUCUACUAGCUCUUCUAGACUCAGCUUCCUCGGACAACUGUAGGCCUAACGUUUCCGCAAUUUCCUCUUGGAUCUUUUUUAUGUCUGGACUUUGGGUAACCUCCGAAAAAGCCACCAUAUCGUAAAGCUUGUCUUCAAUGGCUCGCCUUGCAAACUCCUUCACCAGUGUCGUCUUUCCAAUGCCGCCCAUGCCGUAGACCCCAAUGAUGCUGACAUCAACAUCGAUCAAUGCAUUUUGAAUGGCCUUCAAAGUAGAAAGUCUUGAUUCGAAGGCCUCGCAGCCUUUGUGAGACUUGAGCCAUAUAUCCUCCGGAAUGGUACGGUAGGAAAUUCUAUCAUCAAAUUUCCCAGCUUCUUCUUUGAGUUCAACAAUGGCCUUCACCUUUGUUUCUGCUUCCUUGCUAAGCUGAUAGCCGGACUUCAAAUUAGGACACAAGCCCAUGAGACAUCGUUUAUUUGUUGUCACCUCAUCGUCAAUGAAUUUGGCUGACUGCUCAAUGGUGUUGUUCGCACGAACCAGCCACUUCUCAACCUUCUCUUCAAUCUUUUCCCCUUUUCUUUCAGCCUCAGAAACCCUGUGCUGAAUGCUUCUCCUUUCAUCCUUGAGCUUGUCUAUUUCUGCCUUGAGAUUCUCAACGUUGGCUUUAUAGUUACGCAAAUAACCAAAUCGGCGUUCUGUAGGAGGAGCCAAGCAUUUCACAAAUUCUAAAACAACAGUAACAAUGCUUUCCACCAUCCUGGAUCCCUUUUUUUUUUUUUUUUUUCAAAGUUCUGACAAGAAAAUAAACAACGAGCGAAACAUAGAGAGAGUGAAAAAAAAAAAAAAAAAAGCGAAACAACGAAGAUGGACAGUUUAUCCUGUUGUGGAAGCGGAGAAAUGAAAGAAAGAGUAAAAGCUGUUAUGGAUCUGGUGAGAAGAUGGAAACAAGGAAAAGGUUUCUAGUUCGAGAACUGAUUGAAUUAAUAUAAGGAAUGAUUUAGAUAAUAGAGGCGUAGGGAACCAAUCAGAAUAACUGAAGUAUUGACCAGAAGAAAGACGGAAAAAAUAUUGACUGGUAAUAGAGAUGGAAAAAAUGAAGAUAUCUUGACACGGUAGAAGUACAAAGGGUAGAUAUGGAACCAAACAGAGACAACAGCAGACCACAACAAGAUUGGGAAUGGACAGAAACUAAUUAACAAAGACUGGAGAUUACAACAAAACAGAUGCCAAGAGAAAACUUGAUCCAGUGAAAUUCAAGAGAGCUGACAACAAAAACUGAUACUACUUGAUUGGGAAUUGAAGGCAAAGAGUAGGAGCUGAUGAAUACGGGGAUCAAGAGGGAAAAACUGCUUGCUCGUAAAACUACUUUCAAGCGAAUCUGAUAAAAUUAUUUCAGUACUCGUGGGCGACUCCUUUUUAAACUGCAGAAGGAGAAAAAAGAAAUGUUCUGAAUUUCAAUGUAUUAAUUUUUAUCCUAAUUUAUGUUGAGACUCGUAAUCUCGUCUCAAUGAUUAAUUAGUAGAUAAUCUUUUUAACAAGUAUGUGAUGAAUAGAUAUAUUUCUUGACUAUUAGUAGGUUAGAUAUAUUUUAGCAUAGGAAUGAAAGUACAAGUUGUGUCAUAUUAGAAUACAAAUUUGACCUAAAAAUAUUGUUCUAUGACCUUUUAAUUAUUUGUCAGCUAAUAAUUAAGUCAUAUAAAAAAAAUAAUAAUCUGAAUUAGUCUUUAAGUAUUAUAAAUAUUUCUUGAUUUUUAAUUAUAAUAUCAUUAUUUAAAAAUAAUUGCUUGACUUACAUAGUAAGUCAAUAAAAUAUCUAACAAUAGUGGUCAUAAAACAUGUGAUCCUCAAUCAAUGAAAUAUCUAACAAUAUCAUCACCUAAAGUUUGAGAUAUGUUAUCCUUAUUCCACUGCGUCAAUUACACUCCAGUCAAAUGCUGCCAUCAUUAUUGAACAGUCGACAUCCACCAGUUCUAAUUGCCAAAACUUAGAACUAAACAGUAGCUCGGUCAGAAAAUCAAACGCCAGUACCGGUCAAAUGACCGAUAAAAAUAUAAAGAAAUAAAAAUUUUAAAGUUUUACUUUAUUGCUUUUUUAAUCUUAUUACUAUUUCGGGUAAUUUUUACUUUCCUCCCCUCAGCUUUGGACUUUUUGCACUUAGAUGGUCAAGAUACAUUUAUUAGUAAAGACCUCCCUACCGUCAGUUAAUUUGUAGUUGACUGUUAGUUGAAUUCAAAAAGACUGAAAUACCCCCAAUUGGAUUUUCAAGACUGAACAUGCUAUACAUUUGGCGCGAAAACUAUAACAACCAUAAUAUUACCAUUAUACCCCUUCAAAUUGGGUUAUUUACAAUUGCAUUCAACAAAUAAAAUGAUAAUUCUAUUUGGGUAAUUAUCACUGUUGCAAUUUGACCGUUGGAUCCGAAUGGUCACAUUGCCACAGAUUUGCCUAUUUAAAGGCUUAAAUACAGAGCUUUGUUCACAAGCAUCUCUACCUCUUCUUAACACUUUGCAAACUCAACUACAUUUCUCUCAAUCUUUCAAUCUCAACAACAUGGAUUCAGAGGGCUCAAGUGCAGUAACUAACAAGAAGAAUAGAUAUAAUAAAGGCAGUAUGAAAUGGAGGAGUCAAGUUAAUGGAAAUCUGAUCAAGUUUAGGAACUUGAAAUGUGAUUGCAGAGUACGUGCUGCUGUUCGAAUUUCAGAGACUGAAGAUAAUCCAAACAAGCUAUUCUACAACUGUCCUUAUGAUGCCUGUGACUUUUUCCAGUGGUGUUGUCCAGAACCAAGUGAUUUCGACAAUGGUGCAUUCUUUGAAGGUCAUAGAAGUUUUACAGUAGCACAACAACAAGUGCAGGUAGAACUUGAAGAAAUACUAAGUGCCCUGAAUGAAGUGAAGAUUAUACUGAAAAAAACUUAUCAAACUCAAAAUGUUUGUGACCAAGACUUAAGUGAUGUGCAUAAACUCACUUCAAAGAAAACCGAACAAGGUGGGGUGAUAUGUGGGCUGCUGAAGGCUGUGCUCUGUUUGAAUGCCUUUUUUUUUUACUGAGUGUUCUUGUGGUUAUUUUCCUGAAGUGAUUAACCUAAAUUACUAGCAUGAAUUUUGUAAUAAGUUGUACUCUAACUACUGGAAUGAGUAAUGAUAAGAUGAAAAUUUAAUGAACUUGUAAUGCUCUAUUUUUAGAAUGCUUAUCUUUGCUAACUAAGUGUAUAUAAUGUGAAGUAUCCUGUUUGAUUUGAGCAUAUGGCCUAGUCUUCAAUACUGCAUUUCCUAUGUAAUAACUUAACAUAAGCAUUCUGUACAUAUAGCUAAAAAUUAAAGGGAUUACAAUACUUUAGUUAUAAUAAUAUCUAUUAACAGUAGCAAAAUUAACUUGUGAGUUAAACUUUAACAGCAACAAGCAAACCAAUCCAGAACGAGUGAGAAGAGAAUCUAUUAAUUGCAUUCCAGCAUUAAAAUUCUUAAGCAGUAUCAUACAUAGUUACAUUCAAGCAGCUGUCACAAAGCAUGAAGCAGUUGAAUAUAAAUAGCUUCUGGUAAACUCAUGUAUAAUUUCCAGGUAUUAACCAAGCAAGCUUAUCAUAUUACUUGUCUUUGGCAUCACAAUAAUAUCAUGUACAAAAAACAAACUAACAAAAGGCUCAAACCUAUAGUCAGUCUGAGUAAAAGAUGAUACACCAGCUCCAUUCUUCUGCCCAUGACAAGAUGUUGUAUCAUCUGAUCCCUUCAAAAAAUUAGUUAGUGGGAAUAGUCUUGAUCUGCUUCUCAUGCUGGAUGCUAUCACUUUAAUGGUUUCAUUCUUGAGUAACAUGUCCUGGCAUGAAUAAAACAAACACUUACAUAUGAAAAUUAAAAAAAAUAGAUGUUGAUUACUAAAAUUAUUUAAAGAAUCGUGAAUAAAACUCACCAUUGUCAUGGACAGUAGGCUGAGAUAGUGCACUGCAAGCAACCCUUUGAGUUAUAGGCUGAUUAGAAUUAGAAGUGCCUUCACCAUUCACAACCUAUGCCACACCCAUUACAUCAUAAGCAAUUAAAUUAAUUAAAUUUAACUACUAAAUGAAAGAGAGAUGAUAAUUAACCUGUUUGCUAGAUACUUUAGUUCUUUUGCAGGUUCUCUUGUUAUGACCCCAAUGCUCACACUUAGAACAUUUGACACUUGAACUCCUCUUGAAUGUAGCUGGUUCAUCAGCUUCUUUCCUCCUCUUGAUCUGUGGCCGGCCAACAGACUUGAUAAUUAUAGGUGGCUGCAAAUUAUCAUGUAGAACCAGUGGCCACAUCUUCUCAUCAGGUAAAGGAAAGUAUUGAUACUUGUAGGUGUUGAUAAAAGCUGGACAUUUCAGAUAAUUAUGGAUAUAAUCUUCAAUGUUGAGCCUUUUUGCAUCAAUGGAACAAACACUAUGCUUACAAGGUAAGCCGGAUAUCUGCCAUUCCCUACAAUUACAAGUUUUUUUACCUAAAUCUACUACGAAUACUUUACAGAGAUCUUCCAUCACUUCGAAGGUGUUUUCAUGACCAAAUAUUACUGUUAAACCUCUCGCUGCAGCUCUUGCUUCCACAAUCUUUCUCCUAACAAGAGGUGGUAGAUGUCCAUUCCAUUUCUUUGCAUCCUCAUUCCUUUUAUGAAUAAGUUUCAUGAUCUUUCUCCUUAUCUCUUCGAGCAUCCUAACAAUAGGCAUGCCUCUAAAACUGUUAAUCCAGUUAUUGAACGAUUCAGUCAUGUUAUUGGUCACAUGAUUGCACUUGGUGUGGUUAGGAAAAGUGUGUUUAGCCCAAUAUACAGUUGGAAUGUUCAUGAGCCACCGGUGAGCUGCAUCGCUGAUUUUCUUCAAUUCCUCAAUGCUUUCACUGAAUUCUGAGUAGUUUGGACUUCUACAUGCCUUCCAAAAGACCUUUUUCAACAAAGUGCCAGGAAACUUUUGCUUGAAAUUGGCAUAAAUAUGCCUACAACAGUAUCUUUUGAUUGCAUUAGGAAACACUCUAUCAAUUGCAUUGAUCACUCCUUUUUGUCGAUCACUCAUGAAACAUAGGCCUUCUCCACCAUUACAACCAAUCUGGUCAUAUAGCUUUUCCAUGAAAAACUCCCAAGAGUAAGUGUUUUCACUCUCUACUACACAUAAGGCUAGUGGAUAUAUACCAUAAUUAGCAUCAAUCCCAACUGCAGUCAAUAAAACUCCUUUAUAUGGCCCUUUUAGAUGGCAGCCAUCAACCCCUACAAACUGCCUACAGCCUUCAAAAAAACCUCUCCUACUUGCAUCAAGCAUCAUGAAAAAUCUUUUAAAUACUGGGUGAGCUGUAUCUCCAUUCAAUUCCCUCUCAAUAGCUACUGUGGAUCCAGGGUUAUACUUUAUCAAAGCUUGUUGGUAUCUACUCAGUUUGCUGUAACUUUUCUUGUGAUCUUGGCCAAGUAAUUCAAGUGCUUUUUGUUUUGCUCUGUAUAACCUAUGCACACUGCACUCAAUGCCAUACUUUUUCAAAAGCUCAGCUGCUAUUAACUUGACACUGACUUCGGGAGUUGACUUGAAGAUAUGAAGAUAAGUGGCUGCAAUCCAGGUUGAAGUAGCUUCUCCGUUAUCAUCAUCAAUCCCACCACAUGUAUGAACAUCACAUAGGGUCUUAAUUUGAAAUGAGUUGCUGUUCCAGUUUGGACUAGCAUGAAUUCUCCAUGUACAUCCUGACUUAGCACAUCUAGCUGUCACUCUGGCUUUUUCAUUUUUAAGUCUAUACAAUCUGAAGCCAUUUCUGAUGGCAUAUACCCUCAACACCUUCCUAAACUCAUAAACAUCUACAAACAACUGACCAGGCCGUAGAACAAGGUUAUCUCCAUCUUGUGUGAACUCAAAUCCACCUGAAUUGGUGUCAUAUCUCACACAAGCAGCAAUUUCCUCAUCAGACGAAUCAAAUUCAUCACCAGUCUCAUCACCUGACUGAUAAUCAUCAAGAACAUAGUCACUUUCUUCACCAUCUGAUCUUGCAUUCUCUUCAUCACUUUCUUCACCAUCUGAUUUAGAAGUAUAAAUUGUGUCAGUUGAACCUUUGCCAUUUUUCCCAGAAUUCUCAGAGCUAAAGUGUACUGUCAUAUCAUCUUCGAGUAAAUAACCACUCCGAAUACUGAAUUGCGUCAUAUUAUUCUCAUUGUUAAUUUCUUCAACAUCAUCUAGUUCAUUCCAAUUAAUUUCAGGAUCGACAUUGAGGUUGACAGAAAACUGAUUUUCAGGAGUUAUCUCAGUCACCUUGCCAUCAACUACUGCUUCAACAUCAUAAUGCACAACACUGUAAUGCAAUAAAACAACAUAAAUAAAUGCUAUUAAUGUUAAAGAAAAAGCUAAAAUUUAGUAAAUAGAAAAUGCAAAGUGUAGUUGACUGGUAGUAGCACACAAAUGCAGCAUAUCAUCUAUUUCAAGCUUAUUAAAACCCACUUUAAAAAUUACAUCAUGAAUAUUACCAUAUGCUUGCAAAUGCAUAAUCAACCGUAACAUAAGCUAAAACCAUAUGCUUGCAAAAUACCCAAAAUGGUGUUGGAAAAUUUAUUCUCGAUUUUAUGUUUCACAGUUCCAUAAACAUUAUCAAAGAUGUGUCAAUGAACAAAUAAUGAAGCAUAAACUUGACAUUUACAAACAACUCACCAUAAUAUCAAUACGCUCUAAAUGGAGCAAAAAAAAAAAAAGCUUGAUUCAAAACUAACCUAUAAUUAAUUUCAACAUACCGAUUCAAAUCUUUCGAGCAUCGGUGAAAUUCAGAGCGGGACAUGAUGCAGAUUUAGUGUUUCUUCUUCACUUCACCCAAAUAAUAGAUACUGCUUUGCUAGAAAUUAAAAAAAAAAUUUCCUUCUCAACAGAGCUUUCGUCGUCUGAGCUUCAUGAAACUCAGCUUCAUGAAAGAGAAACGUGCAGUUUCAGAGAAAAGAGAAAAAGUUUUAAGCUUUGAUUCUUUUACAGUUUUUUAUUUAUAUCAAUUAUCACAAGGCACGAUUUUUUUCACAAUGAUUUGACAAUUCACUGGGCUCAUGUCAACUAAAAUGUGUAAAAGUUAGCUUGUCAAAUUAAAUUACUAAAUUGCCCAUAACUAACCAUAUGAGAUUUACCGUUUGCAUUCCGUAAGGGGGUUUUUACUAAUAAAUGAAUCUUGGCCAUCUAAGUGCAAAAGACCCAAAGCUCAAGGGAGGAAAGUAAAAAUUACCCUUACUAUUUCUCGUUGCACUUAUAAAGAAACCAAAGCUUUAAGAGAAAUCGGCCAAAUCAUGAAGAUUGAAGAGUAAAUCUAUGGUUUUAUAUUUAUAUUUUUAUUUUUAGAUAAUAGAUAUUAUUUUGAUGAAUUUUUAAUAUUAGAAUAAUGUUAGGAAUUUCGAUAGUAGAAUUCUAACUUGAGACCCAAUUGUUAUGUGUCAUUUUUUUAUUAGAUAAUAAAUUUCAUAAUUAGUAAAAUUAAUAUUUCAAUCAUCUAAUAAAUGACUAUCAUAUCAGUUGAGACUUAAUUAUUGGGAUCCUUAACAUUGCUCUUAGUAUUAAAUUGGACAUCUUAGCUAAAUCAGAUUAAAAAUCAAAUUAGAUUUUUGGCUUUUAUCCAACAUUUGUUUUUUGGUCUCUUUGUAGUGAACGAAAUAAAAAUACAACAGGUUCAACGACUGGGCAAUUGAUAGUCAAGUAGAAGCAAAUCAAGGCUAAAUGGGAAAGAAAAAUGAUAUGUGUACAAAACAAGGAGAAAAUCCGUGUAACUGAAGAGAAUCAAAGUGCUUUUGAGAUUAGAAAUUGAAGCAAGAAAAGGGUCGCUUGAUCCAUUGAAAAUGCUAAGAGCCAAUGGCAAAAGAGAACAAUGUUAAAUAAGAAAACAGCUAGCGCUAGCAGCGACCACAAUAGACAGAAAAGUUGAGAUGGAUUUACAAUAUUUCUGCCUUUCUUCAUGCUUUAACAAAUAUUGCUCUAUAAAAAAAAAUAUUGAGCGUUUUUAUUAUUGGAGUCACAAAAGACCUACACAAUAUAGCAAGUGCUAGGAAUAAAUAAGAAUAUAUAACUCUCUCUCUAAUUCUCACUCUAGCUUUUAAUUGUCAUUCAAAACCCAAAAUUCAUCCUUAAAGUGUAAGCAAAUCAAAGAUGACAGCGUCUGGUUGUCAUACGUGCCUUUUAGUUUUCGGAUGACAUGGCGUACACUUCUUCUGUAAACCGAACAUGACAUGUCGUACUCUUUGUUUUGAGAUCAUAUUUCAAACUCUUCAUGCUAUGAAUGUAAGAUAAACUACAAUCAUCAAAAUAUUUAGUGUUUAUUUGGUAAUGUAACGUCAUAGUUGUUGUGAAUUGAAAUUAUUUCUGUGAGAUAAAAGGAUUUGGGUCAUUGUUUGUUAUUCUCUGGCAAUAUUGUCUGGCCGUGACUAUUUGUUAAAUAUUAAAAAAAUAAAAUUAUAUUUAUUAAGUAUAAAAAAUAAAUAAACAAACAAAAAUAAAAGGAAAAGUUUAUACAUUACAUAAAAUAAUAAGAACAUUAUCAAUAUUUCACACUCUAUAAUUGAGUGAUGUGUUGUCCAACUGCCAUACAUUGGUCUCAAAUGGAGACUUAAAUAUUAAAGUCCAAAGUUAUUGUGAUGAUGACUUAUAAUCGCCAAACUUGACAUACNNNNNNNNNNNNNNNNNNNNNNNNNNNNNNNNNNNNNNNNNNNNNNNNNNNNNNNNNNNNNNNNNNNNNNNNNNNNNNNNNNNNNNNNNNNNNNNNNNNNNNNNNNNNNNNNNNNNNNNNNNNNNNNNNNNNNNNNNNNNNNNNNNNNNNCUGGAAGUUGCCAUUUGCCAAUGCUACUAACAUUUUUAAACUUAGAAAACCUUCAAUCAAUCAUUUAGUGGUAGGCUCUGGUAGCUUGCUUUGAUUAUGACAUAUGAUUAUUUGAUAAUAAAGUUAGAGGAUGUAUUAAUAUAAAAUUUGUUUAUUGGUGUUGAAGUUAAUUAUCUCAUUAAUAAUAGUAUAAAAAGUUAAUCACUAAGAAACACAUAGCAAUAUUCUGGGAUAUAAUUUUAUAUCAUAACUUUGUAAGUGUAUAAUUACUCAUUAAAUUAACAAAAUUAUUUUAAAAUAUUUAGUUAAAAAAAUAAAUUAUAUUCUUUUUAUUUCAAAUAAUCUAUAAGUUAACACAAAACAUAAUCAAGAUGAGAAUUAAAAUAAUGCUACUGUAUGAGAGGAUUUUUAUUUUUUCCCGAAGUUUCACUAGGAAAUUAUUGAUAUAUAGCUUUAUUCGGAUCAUCUCAGAUCAAACGACAAAUAAUUGAAAGACUAAACUAAAUAGACCAGCCAACAACUUUGUACAGCAGAGUUCAAAAAUUAAGGUCAUGGUAUUGAGGUGUUCUAUCUUCAAAAGUACGGUAUAGUGAUAAAAUAAAAACUAUUAGUCUUUGGUAAGAUAUGACUUUUAAAUAAUAAUUUUCACAAAAAUACAAAGAAUAUUUAUAAAGUACUUCUAUAGUGAGGAGACCCUCGCUUUGUUAAAGUGAAAAUAUCAAUAAUAUACAAGAAACAUAUAUUUUAACACAUUAAGAAUUGUAUCUUUUUAAUCUAUUGGUGUAUUGAAAUAUGUGUUAUUUAGUUUGUUAGUGAUAUCAUCACUUUGUUAAAAUAAGGAUGUCAGAACCAUUAUAUAUAAGAAAGCAAAUAUAUUUUGUACGGUAUAAUAGUGUAAUAACAUCACCCGAGUAUAUCAUAUAGAGUAAUAGUUUUUGGAACUUUAAUAAAGUUCAAGAUUAUAGAAUGAAUGAUUUAUAUAUAUUUUAAAUUUUUUAUCAUAAAGUGGAGGACAAAAGUAACAUAUUUUUCAAAUUAUAAUAAGUAUUUAUCAAAUAAUUUAACAUCGUAAUUUCUCCUAACUAGUGUAGUAAAUACGACCUAGGAGGUACAUUCAAAGCAUUUCAUAAGUUAAUUGUUAAUAAUAAAUGAUACAUGCAGCUCCAAUCAUCAUUGUACGGUGAGUAAUUUCCAGUUAUAAAUAGAUAUUACUCCCUUCCCAGCAAUUUUUGAUGGCUUAAUUUAGUGGGAUCAAAAUCAACAUUGAAUGUCAAAAUAUUAAUGGCCAUGAUGCUUAUUCCAAUGUGAGUAGAUCACAGUGGGUACUGCACAUGAUGCUUGUUUCUCCUUUUGCAUCUAUUUUUGUUGUUAACAUUAAUUUCAAUACCAGCUCGUUAUGUAUGCAACAUUUCAAAAUUAAUCCAAAAGAACAAAAAUUAGUUCAGCUGACUAAAUUUGAAAGCAUGUAUUUGCUGUCGAUUAAAAAUCGUUUUGUAGGGAAAAUUUUUGGAUUGCAAUUCUCAUACAAUACGUAAAAUUAUCAUAAUCUAUAAAUUGUAUUUUUGAUUUUCUGUGGUAGUAAGUUAGACUCCUUAGUGACGAUUUAAAUUGAAAAAAUAAAAUCAUAAAUAAGAAUUAUUUGACAAGAAUUAAAAUAAUUGAUAAAUAUUUGAGAGGAGCAAUUUUGGAAGAUUCGAUUUCUAAUCGGAGGGGAAUUUGAAUUUUACAGCCUUCGGUGAGGAAUCCAAAAUGCACAAUUUGAUGAAAAUUAAAUUUCAAUAGAAAUUGAAUUCCCUUUAUUAGUGAAAACCAAACAACAGAAAAGUGAAAGGAAUUUGAAUUCAUUUCCUUCCUCUCUUCUCCCUCCAACUAAAUACCAUCGAAAUCCAAAGGUAUGGGAUUGGGAUUCCAUACUGAUCAGAAUGGGAUUUGUUCAUAUUAUUAGGACCAAUUUUAAAAGCAGUCGGAGUUUCGGAGUUUAAGAUUGAAAUUAAUCCCAAUUGUUGAUUUGGGACUCGAUAAGAAUUUAUCUUGGAACUCCAAUUCUCCCAAUUAUUUUAGUUGACAAUAUGUUUAACAUUAUUUUUUAAACAUUAUUAAUUGCAUAUUAUUUAAUUAUCAGUAUAUAAUAUUCUUUAAUUUUCUAAUUUUAUAGGAUUAGACACAAAAUUGAUUAUGCCUUUUGAAAUUUAAGUGUUAUGUCAAUUGAAUAGAAAACUUGGAGUAAAACUUUUGGAUGCUUUUGUUGAUUAUCAAUUUAUGCAUGAAUUUUUGUACGUUUAUUUUGGUUUCUUAUUAUUACUUUUAAACAUUUUUAUUGGUUUGAUUUAGGGUUAGUUUGGUAAUCCUGUAUCUUUAAAAUUAAUUACAGUUAGCUAUGCUGUAGAAAUUGAUAAAUCGUGAAAAGAAUCAACCGAACAUUUAGGUGGCGUUUGUUUUUUUGUCUGAAAUCUGAAUAGACCUGAAUUAGUCUGAAUUCUGAAUAGGUCUGAAUGUCUGAAUCUGAAUAAUAUGUUUGUUUUUUCGUCUGAAUCUCGGAAAAUAAGUAUUAAGUUGUUUUUUUUUUCAACUUAAAAAGCUGAAAAUAUGUACUUUUACAUUUGUAUCCUUAUUAAAUUUGAAUGUCAAAUAAAUAAUAUAUUAAAUACCAUAAUAUUUUAACAUUUAUAAGUAAAACUAUAUUCAAGUGAAUACAUAAUUAUUUUGGAAUUUUAAUAUAUAAAAUACCAUAAAUUUCAAAUUUUAUUGUAUAUAAUAUAAGAAAGAAAAAAUAGGGAUAUUUUUAUGUGAGGUAAAUAUCUAUGGGUGAGUUUUGGGAUAGACAUGAAAAAUAAAUUAUAAAACAGGGAUAUUUUUUACAUUAGCAAGCAAUUGACUUAAUUCAUAUUUCUCCAUUAAGUAAAAAGCCAAAAAAAUUAGCUUAUUUUAUUAAGUCAAAAUUAUCUAAAAAGUCUCAUUAAGUUAUAAAAACAAACACGUCUAAUUAACUUAAUUAAUUAAGUUAAGUCACUUUAAGUCAUUAAGUUAAAAAACAAACACCACCUUAGUAAAUUUUAUUUUAAAAAGUACAUUUAGUUUUAAAAUCAGUCGUAUGUGUUUCAUAAAUCUUAUUGUUAAAUCAGUGCAAGAAUGUAAAUGACUGAAUCAGACAUAAUGCUAAAUAAAAUUUAUUUAGACAUUUACAAACACGUAUAUAAAAUAUUUUUAUUACGUACAUAUAAUUAUUGAUAACUAAAAUAAAUAUUUUAUAUUAUUAAAUUUUAUUCUCUAUUUUGUUAUGUCCAUAUAAUUGGUAAUAAUAAUAAUUUCUUUAAAGUUUUGUAGGGAAAAUUUUUAGAUUGCAAUUCUCAUACAAUACAUGGAAUUAUCAUAAUCUAUAAAUUGUAUUUUUGCUUUUCUGUGGUAGUAAGUCAGGCUCCUUAGUGACAAUUUAAAUUGAAAAAAUAAAAUCAUAAAUAAGAAUUAUUUGAUAAGAAUUAAAAUAAUUGAUAAAUAUUUGAGAGGAGCAAUUUUGGAAGAUUCGAUUUCUAAUAGGAGGGGAAUUUGAAUUUUACAGCCUUCGGUGGGGAAUCCAAAAUGCACAAUUUGAUGAAAAUUAAAUUUAAAUAGAAAUUAAAUUCCCAUAUAUUAGUGAAAACCAAACAACAGAAAAGUGAAAGGAGUUUGAAUUUCAGGGUCCAACUACAAUACCUGCGGGGUUUGGUACCCUAUUUUUUGUCUUUUUCAAACCUACCGUUGGAUUUAAUGUAAGAAUUGCGUAAUGGCUGAGAUGUGAUUAUUGGGUUAUUAACAUCAAAGACCCUUAUUGUUCAUGCAAAAUAAACAAAAUCAAAAGUUUUGAAAUUUGACAUAUAAGUCCAUAAUAUUCUCUCUUUUUUUUUUAACUCCAUUGAAAUAGGUUUCCAAUUAAAUGACUUAUUCUUACAUUUAUUAAUAUCUAUUUAAAUUAAUUAAUUAAUUAAUUAAUUAAUUAACUACUUUGUUAUAUAGUUAAACAAUGCAUGUAUAUUAUUUACUAACCAUAAUUAGUGAUAAGUAUAAAUAUGAUCUUUUUUUUUUAAUUUAACAUAAUGGCAACCAAUUAUCUCUCACCUAUGUGAACAAGGUUCAAAACCCAUAAUUUUGUUUUUCAACACAAGAGAUUUUAUUAUCUCAAGUAGAUGAAAUAUACAAAAUACAAAAAUAAACUUAAUUUCAUAUUCUAUGUAGUUAAUUUUUUUUGUAACAUAAUAUUUAUUAAACAUACUAUCAACUAUUUAAUUAUAUAGUAAAAAUAUGUUAAUUUACUAAUAAUAAUAAAAUGUUAGUUUAUUAACUUGUAAAAUCUUUUUGUUAACAAUGAGUUUUUGUCCUUAAAUAAAUAAAAAUAAUUUAAUUGCACGCUUAAAUAAAUUGGUAUUUGUUACUCCACCCCAACUAUUUAAAUAGUCAUUAACUUAUCGGAGAGAAGGGUAAAAAAAUUCUAAACAAUUACUCUAUUUGAAAAUAAUUUAAAUAUUUCUUUAAAAAAAACUAAAAAUAAGUAUUUUCUAUUCUUUCUUCUUUCUUGCUAACAUCACAGAUGGAUAACAAUAGAGAUGGCAAUUCAACACAUAUCUAUCAAUUAAAAUAGAAGUCAAUUAAUAUAAUUAAGUGAAUAAUUAAUUGUGUCAUGAAUGAAUUAUCAUAUUAGGAGUUUUAAAACCAAACCCAAUAGAAUUAUUAAUCAAGUUAACAGCUAGAAAGAGCAAACAAAUCCAUUCAAGUUGGAUGUCUAAGUAUCUGAUCUGAAUAGAUUGGAUAGUAUCCAUAUAAAAUACUCUGAAUUUGAUUUAUUCAAUAUCCAUCCAUGAACUUGAAUAUUAGUAAUAUUUAAGUGUAUGAGACUAAAAUUAAGUAUUAUAUUUAAUAUUUAAGUUUNNNNNNNNNNNNNNNNNNNNNNNNNNNNNNNNNNNNNNNNNNNNNNNNNNNNNNNNNNNNNNNNNNNNNNNNNNNNNNNNNNNNNNNNNNNNNNNNNNNNNNNNNNNNNNNNNNNNNNNNNNNNNNNNNNNNNNNNNNNNNNNNNNNNNNNNNNNNNNNNNNNNNNNNNNNNNNNNNNNNNNNNNNNNNNNNNNNNNNNNNNNNNNNNNNNNNNNNNNNNNNNNNNNNNNNNNNNNNNNNNNNNNNNNNNNNNNNNNNNNNNNNNNNNNNNNNNNNNNNNNNNNNNNNNNNNNNNNNNNNNNNNNNNNNNNNNNNNNNNNNNNNNNNNNNNNNNNNNNNNNNNNNNNNNNNNNNNNNNNNNNNNNNNNNNNNNNNNNNNNNNNNNNNNNNNNNNNNNNNNNNNNNNNNNNNNNNNNNNNNNNNNNNNNNNNNNNNNNNNNNNNNNNNNNNNNNNNNNNNNNNNNNNNNNNNNNNNNNNNNNNNNNNNNNNNNNNNNNNNNNNNNNNNNNNNNNNNNNNNNNNNNNNNNNNNNNNNNNNNNNNNNNNNNNNNNNNNNNNNNNNNNNNNNNNNNNNNNNNNNNNNNNNNNNNNNNNNNNNNNNNNNNNNNNNNNNNNNNNNNNNNNNNNNNNNNNNNNNNNNNNNNNNNNNNNNNNNNNNNNNNNNNNNNNNNNNNNNNNNNNNNNNNNNNNNNNNNNNNNNNNNNNNNNNNNNNNNNNNNNNNNNNNNNNNNNNNNNNNNNNNNNNNNNNNNNNNNNNNNNNNNNNNNNNNNNNNNNNNNNNNNNNNNNNNNNNNNNNNNNNNNNNNNNNNNNNNNNNNNNNNNNNNNNNNNNNNNNNNNNNNNNNNNNNNNNNNNNNNNNNNNNNNNNNNNNNNNNNNNNNNNNNNNNNNNNNNNNNNNNNNNNNNNNNNNNNNNNNNNNNNNNNNNNNNNNNNNNNNNNNNNNNNNNNNNNNNNNNNNNNNNNNNNNNNNNNNNNNNNNNNNNNNNNNNNNNNNNNNNNNNNNNNNNNNNNNNNNNNNNNNNNNNNNNNNNNNNNNNNNNNNNNNNNNNNNNNNNNNNNNNNNNNNNNNNNNNNNNNNNNNNNNNNNNNNNNNNNNNNNNNNNNNNNNNNNNNNNNNNNNNNNNNNNNNNNNNNNNNNNNNNNNNNNNNNNNNNNNNNNNNNNNNNNNNNNNNNNNNNNNNNNNNNNNNNNNNNNNNNNNNNNNNNNNNNNNNNNNNNNNNNNNNNNNNNNNNNNNNNNNNNNNNNNNNNNNNNNNNNNNNNNNNNNNNNNNNNNNNNNNNNNNNNNNNNNNNNNNNNNNNNNNNNNNNNNNNNNNNNNNNNNNNNNNNNNNNNNNNNNNNNNNNNNNNNNNNNNNNNNNNNNNNNNNNNNNNNNNNNNNNNNNNNNNNNNNNNNNNNNNNNNNNNNNNNNNNNNNNNNNNNNNNNNNNNNNNNNNNNNNNNNNNNNNNNNNNNNNNNNNNNNNNNNNNNNNNNNNNNNNNNNNNNNNNNNNNNNNNNNNNNNNNNNNNNNNNNNNNNNNNNNNNNNNNNNNNNNNNNNNNNNNNNNNNNNNNNNNNNNNNNNNNNNNNNNNNNNNNNNNNNNNNNNNNNNNNNNNNNNNNNNNNNNNNNNNNNNNNNNNNNNNNNNNNNNNNNNNNNNNNNNNNNNNNNNNNNNNNNNNNNNNNNNNNNNNNNNNNNNNNNNNNNNNNNNNNNNNNNNNNNNNNNNNNNNNNNNNNNNNNNNNNNNNNNNNNNNNNNNNNNNNNNNNNNNNNNNNNNNNNNNNNNNNNNNNNNNNNNNNNNNNNNNNNNNNNNNNNNNNNNNNNNNNNNNNNNNNNNNNNNNNNNNNNNNNNNNNNNNNNNNNNNNNNNNNNNNNNNNNNNNNNNNNNNNNNNNNNNNNNNNNNNNNNNNNNNNNNNNNNNNNNNNNNNNNNNNNNNNNNNNNNNNNNNNNNNNNNNNNNNNNNNNNNNNNNNNNNNNNNNNNNNNNNNNNNNNNNNNNNNNNNNNNNNNNNNNNNNNNNNNNNNNNNNNNNNNNNNNNNNNNNNNNNNNNNNNNNNNNNNNNNNNNNNNNNNNNNNNNNNNNNNNNNNNNNNNNNNNNNNNNNNNNNNNNNNNNNNNNNNNNNNNNNNNNNNNNNNNNNNNNNNNNNNNNNNNNNNNNNNNNNNNNNNNNNNNNNNNNNNNNNNNNNNNNNNNNNNNNNNNNNNNNNNNNNNNNNNNNNNNNNNNNNNNNNNNNNNNNNNNNNNNNNNNNNNNNNNNNNNNNNNNNNNNNNNNNNNNNNNNNNNNNNNNNNNNNNNNNNNNNNNNNNNNNNNNNNNNNNNNNNNNNNNNNNNNNNNNNNNNNNNNNNNNNNNNNNNNNNNNNNNNNNNNNNNNNNNNNNNNNNNNNNNNNNNNNNNNNNNNNNNNNNNNNNNNNNNNNNNNNNNNNNNNNNNNNNNNNNNNNNNNNNNNNNNNNNNNNNNNNNNNNNNNNNNNNNNNNNNNNNNNNNNNNNNNNNNNNNNNNNNNNNNNNNNNNNNNNNNNNNNNNNNNNNNNNNNNNNNNNNNNNNNNNNNNNNNNNNNNNNNNNNNNNNNNNNNNNNNNNNNNNNNNNNNNNNNNNNNNNNNNNNNNNNNNNNNNNNNNNNNNNNNNNNNNNNNNNNNNNNNNNNNNNNNNNNNNNNNNNNNNNNNNNNNNNNNNNNNNNNNNNNNNNNNNNNNNNNNNNNNNNNNNNNNNNNNNNNNNNNNNNNNNNNNNNNNNNNNNNNNNNNNNNNNNNNNNNNNNNNNNNNNNNNNNNNNNNNNNNNNNNNNNNNNNNNNNNNNNNNNNNNNNNNNNNNNNNNNNNNNNNNNNNNNNNNNNNNNNNNNNNNNNNNNNNNNNNNNNNNNNNNNNNNNNNNNNNNNNNNNNNNNNNNNNNNNNNNNNNNNNNNNNNNNNNNNNNNNNNNNNNNNNNNNNNNNNNNNNNNNNNNNNNNNNNNNNNNNNNNNNNNNNNNNNNNNNNNNNNNNNNNNNNNNNNNNNNNNNNNNNNNNNNNNNNNNNNNNNNNNNNNNNNNNNNNNNNNNNNNNNNNNNNNNNNNNNNNNNNNNNNNNNNNNNNNNNNNNNNNNNNNNNNNNNNNNNNNNNNNNNNNNNNNNNNNNNNNNNNNNNNNNNNNNNNNNNNNNNNNNNNNNNNNNNNNNNNNNNNNNNNNNNNNNNNNNNNNNNNNNNNNNNNNNNNNNNNNNNNNNNNNNNNNNNNNNNNNNNNNNNNNNNNNNNNNNNNNNNNNNNNNNNNNNNNNNNNNNNNNNNNNNNNNNNNNNNNNNNNNNNNNNNNNNNNNNNNNNNNNNNNNNNNNNNNNNNNNNNNNNNNNNNNNNNNNNNNNNNNNNNNNNNNNNNNNNNNNNNNNNNNNNNNNNNNNNNNNNNNNNNNNNNNNNNNNNNNNNNNNNNNNNNNNNNNNNNNNNNNNNNNNNNNNNNNNNNNNNNNNNNNNNNNNNNNNNNNNNNNNNNNNNNNNNNNNNNNNNNNNNNNNNNNNNNNNNNNNNNNNNNNNNNNNNNNNNNNNNNNNNNNNNNNNNNNNNNNNNNNNNNNNNNNNNNNNNNNNNNNNNNNNNNNNNNNNNNNNNNNNNNNNNNNNNNNNNNNNNNNNNNNNNNNNNNNNNNNNNNNNNNNNNNNNNNNNNNNNNNNNNNNNNNNNNNNNNNNNNNNNNNNNNNNNNNNNNNNNNNNNNNNNNNNNNNNNNNNNNNNNNNNNNNNNNNNNNNNNNNNNNNNNNNNNNNNNNNNNNNNNNNNNNNNNNNNNNNNNNNNNNNNNNNNNNNNNNNNNNNNNNNNNNNNNNNNNNNNNNNNNNNNNNNNNNNNNNNNNNNNNNNNNNNNNNNNNNNNNNNNNNNNNNNNNNNNNNNNNNNNNNNNNNNNNNNNNNNNNNNNNNNNNNNNNNNNNNNNNNNNNNNNNNNNNNNNNNNNNNNNNNNNNNNNNNNNNNNNNNNNNNNNNNNNNNNNNNNNNNNNNNNNNNNNNNNNNNNNNNNNNNNNNNNNNNNNNNNNNNNNNNNNNNNNNNNNNNNNNNNNNNNNNNNNNNNNNNNNNNNNNNNNNNNNNNNNNNNNNNNNNNNNNNNNNNNNNNNNNNNNNNNNNNNNNNNNNNNNNNNNNNNNNNNNNNNNNNNNNNNNNNNNNNNNNNNNNNNNNNNNNNNNNNNNNNNNNNNNNNNNNNNNNNNNNNNNNNNNNNNNNNNNNNNNNNNNNNNNNNNNNNNNNNNNNNNNNNNNNNNNNNNNNNNNNNNNNNNNNNNNNNNNNNNNNNNNNNNNNNNNNNNNNNNNNNNNNNNNNNNNNNNNNNNNNNNNNNNNNNNNNNNNNNNNNNNNNNNNNNNNNNNNNNNNNNNNNNNNNNNNNNNNNNNNNNNNNNNNNNNNNNNNNNNNNNNNNNNNNNNNNNNNNNNNNNNNNNNNNNNNNNNNNNNNNNNNNNNNNNNNNNNNNNNNNNNNNNNNNNNNNNNNNNNNNNNNNNNNNNNNNNNNNNNNNNNNNNNNNNNNNNNNNNNNNNNNNNNNNNNNNNNNNNNNNNNNNNNNNNNNNNNNNNNNNNNNNNNNNNNNNNNNNNNNNNNNNNNNNNNNNNNNNNNNNNNNNNNNNNNNNNNNNNNNNNNNNNNNNNNNNNNNNNNNNNNNNNNNNNNNNNNNNNNNNNNNNNNNNNNNNNNNNNNNNNNNNNNNNNNNNNNNNNNNNNNNNNNNNNNNNNNNNNNNNNNNNNNNNNNNNNNNNNNNNNNNNNNNNNNNNNNNNNNNNNNNNNNNNNNNNNNNNNNNNNNNNNNNNNNNNNNNNNNNNNNNNNNNNNNNNNNNNNNNNNNNNNNNNNNNNNNNNNNNNNNNNNNNNNNNNNNNNNNNNNNNNNNNNNNNNNNNNNNNNNNNNNNNNNNNNNNNNNNNNNNNNNNNNNNNNNNNNNNNNNNNNNNNNNNNNNNNNNNNNNNNNNNNNNNNNNNNNNNNNNNNNNNNNNNNNNNNNNNNNNNNNNNNNNNNNNNNNNNNNNNNNNNNNNNNNNNNNNNNNNNNNNNNNNNNNNNNNNNNNNNNNNNNNNNNNNNNNNNNNNNNNNNNNNNNNNNNNNNNNNNNNNNNNNNNNNNNNNNNNNNNNNNNNNNNNNNNNNNNNNNNNNNNNNNNNNNNNNNNNNNNNNNNNNNNNNNNNNNNNNNNNNNNNNNNNNNNNNNNNNNNNNNNNNNNNNNNNNNNNNNNNNNNNNNNNNNNNNNNNNNNNNNNNNNNNNNNNNNNNNNNNNNNNNNNNNNNNNNNNNNNNNNNNNNNNNNNNNNNNNNNNNNNNNNNNNNNNNNNNNNNNNNNNNNNNNNNNNNNNNNNNNNNNNNNNNNNNNNNNNNNNNNNNNNNNNNNNNNNNNNNNNNNNNNNNNNNNNNNNNNNNNNNNNNNNNNNNNNNNNNNNNNNNNNNNNNNNNNNNNNNNNNNNNNNNNNNNNNNNNNNNNNNNNNNNNNNNNNNNNNNNNNNNNNNNNNNNNNNNNNNNNNNNNNNNNNNNNNNNNNNNNNNNNNNNNNNNNNNNNNNNNNNNNNNNNNNNNNNNNNNNNNNNNNNNNNNNNNNNNNNNNNNNNNNNNNNNNNNNNNNNNNNNNNNNNNNNNNNNNNNNNNNNNNNNNNNNNNNNNNNNNNNNNNNNNNNNNNNNNNNNNNNNNNNNNNNNNNNNNNNNNNNNNNNNNNNNNNNNNNNNNNNNNNNNNNNNNNNNNNNNNNNNNNNNNNNNNNNNNNNNNNNNNNNNNNNNNNNNNNNNNNNNNNNNNNNNNNNNNNNNNNNNNNNNNNNNNNNNNNNNNNNNNNNNNNNNNNNNNNNNNNNNNNNNNNNNNNNNNNNNNNNNNNNNNNNNNNNNNNNNNNNNNNNNNNNNNNNNNNNNNNNNNNNNNNNNNNNNNNNNNNNNNNNNNNNNNNNNNNNNNNNNNNNNNNNNNNNNNNNNNNNNNNNNNNNNNNNNNNNNNNNNNNNNNNNNNNNNNNNNNNNNNNNNNNNNNNNNNNNNNNNNNNNNNNNNNNNNNNNNNNNNNNNNNNNNNNNNNNNNNNNNNNNNNNNNNNNNNNNNNNNNNNNNNNNNNNNNNNNNNNNNNNNNNNNNNNNNNNNNNNNNNNNNNNNNNNNNNNNNNNNNNNNNNNNNNNNNNNNNNNNNNNNNNNNNNNNNNNNNNNNNNNNNNNNNNNNNNNNNNNNNNNNNNNNNNNNNNNNNNNNNNNNNNNNNNNNNNNNNNNNNNNNNNNNNNNNNNNNNNNNNNNNNNNNNNNNNNNNNNNNNNNNNNNNNNNNNNNNNNNNNNNNNNNNNNNNNNNNNNNNNNNNNNNNNNNNNNNNNNNNNNNNNNNNNNNNNNNNNNNNNNNNNNNNNNNNNNNNNNNNNNNNNNNNNNNNNNNNNNNNNNNNNNNNNNNNNNNNNNNNNNNNNNNNNNNNNNNNNNNNNNNNNNNNNNNNNNNNNNNNNNNNNNNNNNNNNNNNNNNNNNNNNNNNNNNNNNNNNNNNNNNNNNNNNNNNNNNNNNNNNNNNNNNNNNNNNNNNNNNNNNNNNNNNNNNNNNNNNNNNNNNNNNNNNNNNNNNNNNNNNNNNNNNNNNNNNNNNNNNNNNNNNNNNNNNNNNNNNNNNNNNNNNNNNNNNNNNNNNNNNNNNNNNNNNNNNNNNNNNNNNNNNNNNNNNNNNNNNNNNNNNNNNNNNNNNNNNNNNNNNNNNNNNNNNNNNNNNNNNNNNNNNNNNNNNNNNNNNNNNNNNNNNNNNNNNNNNNNNNNNNNNNNNNNNNNNNNNNNNNNNNNNNNNNNNNNNNNNNNNNNNNNNNNNNNNNNNNNNNNNNNNNNNNNNNNNNNNNNNNNNNNNNNNNNNNNNNNNNNNNNNNNNNNNNNNNNNNNNNNNNNNNNNNNNNNNNNNNNNNNNNNNNNNNNNNNNNNNNNNNNNNNNNNNNNNNNNNNNNNNNNNNNNNNNNNNNNNNNNNNNNNNNNNNNNNNNNNNNNNNNNNNNNNNNNNNNNNNNNNNNNNNNNNNNNNNNNNNNNNNNNNNNNNNNNNNNNNNNNNNNNNNNNNNNNNNNNNNNNNNNNNNNNNNNNNNNNNNNNNNNNNNNNNNNNNNNNNNNNNNNNNNNNNNNNNNNNNNNNNNNNNNNNNNNNNNNNNNNNNNNNNNNNNNNNNNNNNNNNNNNNNNNNNNNNNNNNNNNNNNNNNNNNNNNNNNNNNNNNNNNNNNNNNNNNNNNNNNNNNNNNNNNNNNNNNNNNNNNNNNNNNNNNNNNNNNNNNNNNNNNNNNNNNNNNNNNNNNNNNNNNNNNNNNNNNNNNNNNNNNNNNNNNNNNNNNNNNNNNNNNNNNNNNNNNNNNNNNNNNNNNNNNNNNNNNNNNNNNNNNNNNNNNNNNNNNNNNNNNNNNNNNNNNNNNNNNNNNNNNNNNNNNNNNNNNNNNNNNNNNNNNNNNNNNNNNNNNNNNNNNNNNNNNNNNNNNNNNNNNNNNNNNNNNNNNNNNNNNNNNNNNNNNNNNNNNNNNNNNNNNNNNNNNNNNNNNNNNNNNNNNNNNNNNNNNNNNNNNNNNNNNNNNNNNNNNNNNNNNNNNNNNNNNNNNNNNNNNNNNNNNNNNNNNNNNNNNNNNNNNNNNNNNNNNNNNNNNNNNNNNNNNNNNNNNNNNNNNNNNNNNNNNNNNNNNNNNNNNNNNNNNNNNNNNNNNNNNNNNNNNNNNNNNNNNNNNNNNNNNNNNNNNNNNNNNNNNNNNNNNNNNNNNNNNNNNNNNNNNNNNNNNNNNNNNNNNNNNNNNNNNNNNNNNNNNNNNNNNNNNNNNNNNNNNNNNNNNNNNNNNNNNNNNNNNNNNNNNNNNNNNNNNNNNNNNNNNNNNNNNNNNNNNNNNNNNNNNNNNNNNNNNNNNNNNNNNNNNNNNNNNNNNNNNNNNNNNNNNNNNNNNNNNNNNNNNNNNNNNNNNNNNNNNNNNNNNNNNNNNNNNNNNNNNNNNNNNNNNNNNNNNNNNNNNNNNNNNNNNNNNNNNNNNNNNNNNNNNNNNNNNNNNNNNNNNNNNNNNNNNCUAGUUCUUGCCUGCCUUGCUGCCAUUACCCAGGCCAUUACAUUGCAUAGCAUAAGGAAUAGUGAUUAGGUGCUUAUUAGUGAUUCGUUGAGCUUAUUAUUGACAAACCAACAUAUUCGCCUUUACCCACAACUUAGUUUGAUUAGUUAUUGUUGUGUAAUAGACCAAGUUCGUAACCCAACUGAAGCAAUUAAUCAGAUUUACAAAACAAGCAAGAACCCAGAAAACGAACCAGGGGAUACAGUCAAGUAACCAAGAACAAGAAAGAAAACUUAAUCAAGAGAUACAAAACAGAGGUUAACGUGGUUCAGUACCAUGAGUACUUACAUCCACGAUCAGGAACAGUAGAGCUAAAGCUUUAUUAGGAGAUAUCAAGAUUACAAUGGAAUCCACUCAGAGCAAGAAACUAAACUCACACAGAGAAUCUUUCUCAACUCACAAACUAUCUCACUUGACUAACUGAUCAGCUCUCUCUCUCACUGAAGCUAUAAAGCUAGCAGUUUACAGCUGGUUAUAACGACUAACUAAAACCACCUGGGGACCCACCCAUGCUGACUCAGCUUUCCAGCUCAGCUAAUAUAUAUAACCGAAUGUAACUAACUUGAUUCCACAAAUCUCCACCUUAGUUAACUCGGUUAUGGCUUUACUCAUCACUGCUCCAUCACCAGUUAACUUGUCUCACAAGUUAAUAACCCCAAUCAAGUCCAAGGAGUUCCUGAACUUAACUGUUGGCAAAGGUUUUGUUAGCAUGUCUGCUGGAUUUACUUCAGUAGGAAUUUUAAUGACAUUGAUUACACCAUUUCGAAUUUCUUCCCUGAUAAAGUGCAUCCUCACAUCCACAUGUUUUGUUCUUUCAUGGUACUUGGGGUUUUUGCUCAACUGUAUAGCACUUGAGCUAUCACAAUUGACAGUGACUGAUUCUUGUUCCAAACCCAGUUUUGUAACUAACCCCUUCAACCAUAAUGCUUCUUUCACAGCCUCUGUUAAAGCAAUAUACUCUACCUCUGUUGUUGAGAGAGCAAUUACUGAUUGUAAUGUUGACUUCCAGCUCACAGCUCCACCACAGAGAGUAAACACAAGACCAGUGACUGACCUUCUCCUAUCUAAAUCUCCUGCAAAGUCAGAAUCAACAGAUCCCACAACUUGGCUAGAUGCAUUACUAACUUGUCCAANNNNNNNNNNNNNNNNNNNNNNNNNNNNNNNNNNNNNNNNNNNNNNNNNNNNNNNNNNNNNNNNNNNNNNNNNNNNNNNNNNNNNNNNNNNNNNNNNNNNNNNNNNNNNNNNNNNNNNNNNNNNNNNNNNNNNNNNNNNNNNNNNNNNNNNNNNNNNNNNNNNNNNNNNNNNNNNNNNNNNNNNNNNNNNNNNNNNNNNNNNNNNNNNNNNNNNNNNNNNNNNNNNNNNNNNNNNNNNNNNNNNNNNNNNNNNNNNNNNNNNNNNNNNNNNNNNNNNNNNNNNNNNNNNNNNNNNNNNNNNNNNNNNNNNNNNNNNNNNNNNNNNNNNNNNNNNNNNNNNNNNNNNNNNNNNNNNNNNNNNNNNNNNNNNNNNNNNNNNNNNNNNNNNNNNNNNNNNNNNNNNNNNNNNNNNNNNNNNNNNNNNNNNNNNNNNNNNNNNNNNNNNNNNNNNNNNNNNNNNNNNNNNNNNNNNNNNNNNNNNNNNNNNNNNNNNNNNNNNNNNNNNNNNNNNNNNNNNNNNNNNNNNNNNNNNNNNNNNNNNNNNNNNNNNNNNNNNNNNNNNNNNNNNNNNNNNNNNNNNNNNNNNNNNNNNNNNNNNNNNNNNNACUGCUUCAAUCCAUACAAGCUUUUCUUGAGUAAGCAAACCAUGUCUUCAGUUCCUUCUCAAUAAAGCCUUCUGGCUGAGCCAUCAGGAUUUCUUCUUCUAAGUUUCCAUGUAAAAAAGCAGUCUUCACAUCCAUCUGGUCCAAUUCUAAAUCAAAGUAGGCUGUGAUGGCUAAUAGAACCCUUAUAGAGGAAUGUUUCACAACAGGUGAGAAGACUUCAUUGAAGUCUAUCCCUUCCUUUUGUGUGAACCCCUUUGCCACAAGCCUGGCUUUAUACCUCACUGAUUUACUUCCAGCAACUCCCUCCUUGAGUUUAAAGAUCCAUUUGCAGCCCACCAAUCUUCUUCCAGCAGGCCUCUGAACUAGCACCCAAGUGUUAUUGUCUUUCAGUGAUGCCAUUUCUUCUUUCAUAGCACUAAGCCAUUUUAGCUUAUCUCUGCUAUUCAUAGCCUGCUUGUAGCUUUUAGGUUCUUCUCCAGUCAUCUCAUUAGCAACCAUUAGUGCAUAGGAUAUUAAGUCAGCAAUCCCAUAUCUUUUGGGCAGUUUAACUACCCUCCUUUCUCUAUCCCUCGCAAGCUGAUAGUUAUCAAGUUCUGAUGUUGUAGUACUUUCUUGAUGGUGCUCAGUCAUCUCUUUACUUACUUCCAAAUUGUCUCUGGACUCCACCUUCAACUUAGAUCUCUUUUGAGGUUCAGAUAUUUCAACUUCUGUUCCAACCUUCUGCUGCAACAUAGCUUCCUCAUUAAACACUACAUCUCUACUAAUCAAGGUUCUGGAUGGCUUGCCAUCAAUGCACCAGAUUUUGUACCCCUUUAUGCCUUCAGGAUACCCAAUGAAGUAUCCUUUCACAGCCCUUGGUUCUAGCUUGCCCUGACUUAUAUGAGCAUAAGCUGGGCAGCCAAACACCCUGAGAUUACCAAGAUUUGGUGGCUUCCCUGACCAUGCUUCUUGUGGUGUUUUGAAAUCUAAAGCUGAUGAAGGGCUCCUAUUUAUUAGAUAUGCAGCUGUAUUAACUGCCUCAGCCCAAAAAUGCUUUGACAGAUUUGCAUUAAACAACAUGCAUCUGACCUUUUCAAUUAAGGUUCUAUUCAUCCUUUCAGCCAAGCCAUUUUGCUGGGGAGUGUGUCUCACUGUCCUAUGUCUUGCAAUGCCCUUUGAUUUACAAAAAUUUUCAAAGUCACUGCUGCAGAAUUCCAGGCCAUUAUCAGUCCUCAGCCUUUUAAGCUUCUUUUCUGUUUGGGUUUCCAUAAGUGCAGUCCACUCUUUAAACCUUUCAAAUGCUUCACUCUUAUGCUUCAGCACAUAGACCCACACUCUUCUAGAGUAAUCAUCUAUGAAUGUGAUGAAGUACCUAGCUCCACCAUGAGAGGGAACUUGGGAUGGUCCCCAAAGGUCUGAGUGAACAUAGUCUAAGGUCUGUUUUGUUUCCUGUCUACCAGAGUUGAACUUUUGCCUUGUGGCUUUACCGAACACACAUUUUUCACAAAAUUGUAGUGAGGUGAUUUGAUCAUUUCCUAGCAGCCCUUGCUUACUUAAUUCUCUCAACCCCCUUUCACUCAUGUGUGCUAGCCUCAUGUGCCAAAGUUUGGUUUUAUCACUGCUUACACUAGCUGUGAUUGCUGGCAUAGUUGUUGAGCCAGCAAGUACAUAUAAACCAUUCCUCCUUAUGCCUUUCAUUAUAAUCAGGCCUUUAUCUUCAAUUUGAAGAUUUCCAUUUUCUGCUUUUAUACUACAGCCCCUCUGAUCCAUAACUCCUAAAGAUAUUAGAUUUCUUUUUAAUUCUGGAACAUAUCUGACCUGAUUUGGAUCCCUUUCAAUGCCAUCAAACAUCCUAAUGCUAAUGGUGCCAAUUCCAGCUACCUUACAGGCAAGAUUGUUCCCAAGCAAGACUUUUCCACCAUCAAUGCUUUCAAAAGUCUUAAAGAAAUCUACAUUUGGACACAUAUGGAAGGAGCAACCUGAGUCAAGAAUCCACUCACCUGAAGAUUGCUUUUCUGCAGCAAUGAGGACAUCUGCAUCAUCUGACAUCCCUUCAUCUUCAGAGGCUACAGCAGCUUUUCCAUUAGAUUCCUUUUGUAAUUUCUCAAGCUUCUUCUUCUCAAAACAAUCCUUGAUGUAAUGACCUUCCUUUUGACAAAAGUAACAUUUUCUCUUCUUUUUCUUCUUGUCUGGUUUAUCUUUCUGGUUGCUGUUCUUCUUGUCUUUGUAGAAUUUCUUAUCUGGUUUUGCUUUUGCAACUAAGCUUUCUGCAGGGUUUUGAUCCUUCCCAUCUAUUCUUCUCUUCAAGUCCUUUGAUUCCAGGGCAUUCUUUACAUCCUUUAAUGUAAGUGUUUGUCUUCCAUAAAGCAAUGUAUCAACAAAAUGUUCGUAAGAGUCUGGGAGUGAGCUUAAUAGGAUUAGGGCCCUAUCUUCAUCUUCAAGAACUAUAUUCACAUUUUCAAGGUCUAGGAUCAGCUUAUUAAAUUCAUCCACAUGAUCCUUCAAGGCUGUUCCAUCCUUCAUUGAAAAUGUGUAUAGCUUUCUUUUCAUAUACAGUCUCUUGGCUAGGGAUUUCUUUAAAAAUAAUUCUUCCAGUUUCUCCCAUAGACCAGAAGCAGUCUUUUCUUUAGACACCUCUCUUAGCACUUCAUCCGAGAGAUGUAGGAUGAUAGUGCUAUGAGCUUUGUUGUUGAUAGUCUUCAUGUCUCUGCCAGAGCUGGAUGAUCAUUCUUCCUUCCCUUUCUUGGCCUUUGAAUCUUCAUCUUCUUCAAGAGCAGCAUCCAAUCCUUGUUGAAUCAAGAUUGCCCUCAUUUUGAGACUCCACAAAUAGAAGUCAUUGUCCCCAUUAAACUUCUCCAGAUCGAAUCUUGUAGAUGCCAUUGGAGGAUUUCAAAGAGCUUGAUAGAUGACCAAGCUCUGAUACCAGUUUGUUGUGUAAUAGACCAAGUUCGUAACCCAACUGAAGCAAUUAAUCAGAUUUACAAAACAAGCAAGAACCCAGAAAACGAACCAGGGGAUACAGUCAAGUAACCAAGAACAAGAAAGAAAACUUAAACAAGAGAUACAAACAGAGGUUAACGUGGUUCAGUACCAUGAGUACUUACAUCCACGAUCAGGAACAGUAGAGCUAAAGCUUUAUUAGGAGAUAUCAAGAUUACAAUGGAAUCCACUCAGAGCAAGAAACUAAACUCACACAGAGAAUCUUUCUCAACUCACAAACUAUCUCACUUGACUAACUGAUCAGCUCUCUCUCUCACUGAAGCUAUAAAGCUAGCAGUUUACAGCUGGUUAUAACGACUAACUAAAACCACCUGGGGACCCACCCAUGCUGACUUAGCUUUCCAGCUCAGCUAAUAUAUAUAACCGAAUGUAACUAACUUGAUUCCACAGUUAUUAGACCAUAAAGAGCGUUAAUCUGUUCAUUGGCUUUGUUAUUUUUAUUUGGUUUUUCUUCCAACAAUACUGUUGAUUUCUUAUAAAAAUACUCAUUGGUUUUUAGUUAUUAGACCAUAAAGAGCAUUAGUCUGUUCAUUGGCUUUGUUAUUUUUAUUUGGUUUUUCUUCCGACAAUACGGUUGAUUUCUUAUAAAAAUAUUCAUUGGUUUUUAAACACCUAAUCAUUGGCUAUAAUGAAGCUAAUUGAAACUGAGGCUUAUCAAUUUCUUCCUGCAAGAUACAAUUGAGCAUAAACUAUAUCCUCAGUAAAUUUUUCUAAUAUCCUUGAUUUGUUAGGAUAUGGGCCUGAAAUCCUCUAGAUUUUUUUAACACUGUCAAUGUUCUUUUUACUCUGAAAAGGGAAAAAAAAGGUUAUAUCUUUCAUACCCUAAUAGUAAGUUGGCCUUGACUUAACAUGCCUUCCCGAGAUUUGCAAGAUUCACAAGCAGCUCACACCCCCCCCCAACCAAAAAAAAAAAAAGAAAAAUAAAUAGGAAGAUUUUUGCGAGAUUCACAACCAGGUUAUAUUUAAUUUAUUAAUUGUGUGCACGUACUAGUUAUAUGUUGAAAGAAUAGGAAAAAGUAUUUUAACAUGAAUGACUUAAAACUUAUUGCUUAGUAAACAUAAUCUGCAUCAGUGCUAGAAAAUGUAUUUAUUGUUUGUAUUUUUUAUGGAUUUGCUUAAGAAAUGAUGCGCGUAACAAUGCUACAUUGUAUUAGGAACAAAUUGAAGAGAUUUAUGAUAUUUCUGUGUUAUUCAAAUUUCAGAUUGAAUUUUAAACUUUCAAUACAUGUGUUGUAAUUAAGAAUGAGAAACCUUAAUUCUUUUACCCAAGAAAUCACCACACACUGAUCUUGUUAAGGAAAGAAUGAAGGAUCGAUAUAGAAAUCAGAUUAAGAAUAAGGGUAUUUUAAUCAGAGACAGGAAUUAAGAAAGAAUCAAGCAAAACGAAAUGCAAAGGGGAUUAUAGAGGUUUGGCUUUGCAGCCUACAUCCUCUUGAGAAACAGAAGCCAUAGCUUUUCUUUAUGCUUUAACAGAUUACAAGUAUUAGAGUAAUUGCUACAAGGAACGAUUCCUCCCAAGUAUAGCCCUCAAGGCUAUAUAUACAACUCGGAAGAGAUCCAGAUAUGUGAGCUGUACAACAGCUCUCAUUCUGGGUUUGUUUCAACAGACCCAGCAAACUCCCGCCAAUCCUAACUGUAUGUAACAGCUCUUCAAAUUGAAACGGCAUCAGCAGCUGCCGUUUAACUUAAGCUUGAUCGUGCAAGUCACGUGCGUUACUUAAGCCUUUCGUAUGAUAGUUGCUGGUUGUCAUACGGCAGUGUUAUCUGUAUGUUUGCUUUGUCGUUUCUCAUUCAAUUCUGGAAACGACAAAGUCGUCUCCUUCAGAAGGUUCUGAUUCAGGUUCACAUUUAACAACAUGCAUUGAAAGCUUAGAUCGUUUAAGAAAUUAUUAAUAGACACAUGUUUUAUUAGUGUCAUCUUUGGAUGAUAGUGAGGAUCAUAUGCCUAUUAAUAAUUCUUGAAUUGUCUAGGCUUGAACUGUUUGGGAAUGCAUAGUUUUCUAUGGUAGCUAGUAGCUGAAGUUUUUUUCCCACGUAAAAAUGAGUUUUUCGCAAUCUGCUUCUCAUCUUCUUUGGGUGCAUACUAGAUAACACAUAAACACUCAUAUAUCUAUGUCGUUGCUUGGAGAACUAAAGGGAGAUGCUGCCGAAAUUUCUAUAAACGUAGAAGAAAACUUUAAAGUACUUGAGAUUGAAGAAACUUAUGCAUUCUUGAGAGGGAUAUACGGGACCACUUACCUUUUGUAAAUAUGAAGGGAGUGUUGGACAUAUUGAUGGGAGUGGAGGAGCUGAGUUGGAUGGACGUAAUCGGUUAUAGUUUUGCUGAGUUAACUUGGUUUUGAGCUUGUAAUUUUGUUUAUAAAUGGAGUACUAUCUCCAAUGUUGGUUUAUAAAUAUGUUUCAGCUGGCUGACCUUUUUUUUUGUUUCUAGGUAACAUGCUUUGUAUCUGUAAUUGAUAACCAACUGAAGUUCUCAGCUGUGGGUGAGGAUAUUUCUUUACAGAAGGUAUUGGAAACUGUUUUUUACAUUAAUUAUUGUUGUAUAUAUACUUUAAUUUUCACGUCUUUUUCUCUGAUUCUUGUCGCUUUACUUGCUUUCAUAUAUAUAAAUUCUAAUGAAAUUAACCAUAAAAUUGUAUAAUGAUUUUUUAAUUAUAUUGCAAAACUGUGCACACACGAAAAUAUCUUGGUCAGUAGUAGAAAUGAAAAACUAAAAUGAUUUAUCUAACUAAUUUUUGUAGUGCAUUAAAAGGAGAUGGUAAUGGAGAAGAGUUGGGUUGGUUUGGCAAAUAGAUAUCUAAGUUAUAGAUUUUGCAUUUGAGAAUGUUGUUGGUGAUGCAAGAAUUUAUUAUCCUUGUAAGAAGUGUCGAAUAUUUCGUUUUAAGGGAAGUAGCAAGAGACCAUAUCAUUAUAAAUGGUUUUUGGUUAAAGUAUUAAAACUGGAUAUUGCAUGAUGAGCCAUCUUCAUCUUUGGAAUCUAACCAAGAAACAGGUUAGUCAUGACUCGGGUGCUGAUGAUGAUAUGGUUGGAAUGAUACAUGAUACAUCACGUAAUCAAAUAUUCAAUUCACACACAGCAUUGUUAUGGACUAUCAGUGACUUUCUAGCACAUGCCAACUUGUCUGAGUGGAGUAUUAAAGGUAAAUAAGCAUUUCUUGUUUGCCAACAAAACACUAGAUCUAAUUGGUUGAUACAUAGUAGAAAAUUUUGUCACGUCGGUAACGUCGAUUUUUACUGACGAAUCAUAGGUUUCGAAAAUAUAGUGCCUUUUGAUAAAUCUAGAGAGUGGGGACAAGCACCUUCUCGGAUGUCUGGAGCUGAAGUGAAAAAGCAGUUGAAUAAUAUACUUACUGAGUUUAAGAUUGAAGACUUGAAAAGUGGAGAAUGAAUAAAAUGAGAGAAAUGAUAAGAUUACUUGGACGAAGAAAAGCAUAUUUUAUGAACUACCGUGUUGGGAGUUCAAUUUGAUUCAUCAUAAAAUGUGAGACAUGAGGGAGAGACAAAAGCUCAGGCUUGUCUGCAACCAUGUGGGCCCUCAUAAGCAAUUCGUGUACACAACUUGGUUCACCAAGCCCAACAACUUGAAGCAGGCAAAAUCCGGGAACGAUCCUUCUCCUUCGCAACCCUAGCUGCCUUAACCUUGUAUUUCUGAUAUUUAGUUAAAGAGUAAGAAGAUUGCUCCUCUGUCAAUUACCUUCGAGAGAGACUUUCUUUUUCAUUCACCGAUGCUUGCUUGUGAAAGCAAGGGUUUUAGUUACACUUUCAACGCUGUCAAUGUAGUGAAGUAAAGCAUUAGUAGAAUAAUGAAGUUGGAGCCCCACACAUGAAAACUUAAAGNNNNNNNNNNNNNNNNNNNNNNNNNNNNNNNNNNNNNNNNNNNNNNNNNNNNNNNNNNNNNNNNNNNNNNNNNNNNNNNNNNNNNNNNNNNNNNNNNNNNNNNNNNNNNNNNNNNNNNNNNNNNNNNNNNNNNNNNNNNNNNNNNNNNNNNNNNNNNNNNNNNNNNNNNNNNNNNNNNNNNNNNNNNNNNNNNNNNNNNNNNNNNNNNNNNNNNNNNNNNNNNNNNNNNNNNNNNNNNNNNNNNNNNNNNNNNNNNNNNNNNNNNNNNNNNNNNNNNNNNNNNNNNNNNNNNNNNNNNNNNNNNNNNNNNNNNNNNNNNNNNNNNNNNNNNNNNNNNNNNNNNNNNNNNNNNNNNNNNNNNNNNNNNNNNNNNNNNNNNNNNNNNNNNNNNNNNNNNNNNNNNNNNNNNNNNNNNNNNNNNNNNNNNNNNNNNNNNNNNNNNNNNNNNNNNNNNNNNNNNNNNNNNNNNNNNNNNNNNNNNNNNNNNNNNNNNNNNNNNNNNNNNNNNNNNNNNNNNNNNNNNNNNNNNNNNNNNNNNNNNNNNNNAAUAGAAAAUUACAAGACUGCUGAUAAAAUUUUAUUUGCAUGCAUGUCUGUCAAAAUUUCCGUGAUUUAAUGUGCUUUCAUGCACGCAAGUUCUAACGUUUCUGUGAUCACAAAAUAAAACUGAAGAUAAAACAGAACAACUACCAAACCUUUCAAGCUUGACGAAGCCAUGAGAAUUGAUAGCUCAGGCUCUGAUACCAAGUUAAAGUUUCUAAUCUAUUUGAUAAGUAAGAAAAUGAGAGAAAAUGAAAGAAAGAACAGAGAUCAUCUAAGAGCUGGAUUUGAUGAAUAAAUCUGAAUCAUCCAUUCUUUAGCUGAUUACAAAUGUAUUUAUACAAGUUUUCUAAGCACCUGAGAGUUGAAUAACUUAUGCCAGCUCAGCUAACACGUCAGUAACUCUACCUAUCUUGCUUAACAAACUGAAACAAUAACUAACAAUUUUAACUAUCUUAACAAUCCCAAUAAUUUCUCCGUUUGUGUAUUUUUUUGAAUCAUAAUCAAAUGGGUAAAUGUUGCAACUAUUUUUUUAGACAUUUUCACUUUGGGAUGUCAGCCCGAGGAAGUUCGGGGGUCUGAGUUAUUCAACUGAAAAUGUCGGCCAAGUUCUCGCCAUCUCAGGUUCAAAACUGAUAAUCUUGCUCGUUGCUCCCCAUUUAUACUUAUUACGAAACUGAAAAAGUUACUCGUUCCUCUUAACUUGUUUUCUCAUGCAUCAACCCCACAAAACUGCUUAUUGCAGGGGGAAAAAUUUUGAACACAUCAUGUGGAAUUUGGACNNNNNNNNNNNNNNNNNNNNNNNNNNNNNNNNNNNNNNNNNNNNNNNNNNNNNNNNNNNNNNNNNNNNNNNNNNNNNNNNNNNNNNNNNNNNNNNNNNNNACCUCUUUUGACAAGUUACACUUACAUAGCAAUGCUAUCUGGGUUCAGCCUUACCUUUUUGAUAAACUGUGCUUCUGUGAUGAAGAAUGUUUUAGCUGUAAGUGGAUAUCCUAAUCAUUGAUCCAUAUACUUAGGUUAUAUUAUCCAUCAGCAAGUAUGUAUAAAAUUAUUUUAUGUCUUUUUUUAUUAGAAAUGUUGUAAUUCUAUUUUACUCUUCCUGAAUUAUAACAUCAGGUGUCUAUAAUAACUAGAUUAUUCCUUCUGCAAAACAGAGCAGUGGUAAAUAUUUUUUUUCUUUUGUUUGUUUAGUACAUUUACAUGCUUUCAGCUUUUUCAAAUUUUGUAUGUGUCAAAGUUUAAAUUUAAUUUGUUGGUUUAUGCCACAACAAAAGGAACAGCAUCAAAGAGGAGCUGCUAAUGGACUUGCUAUGACUGUAGUGUCGCUUACCAAAACUGCCGGUCCAGCUGUAGGAGGUGCUCUGUGAGUGUCCUGUUGAUUUUGUAAAACUACAUGUAAAUGAUGUUAUAAUUUUUUUUUCAUUAAUUGGGGUUCUGGCAGAUUUUCUUGAUCACAAAAGCGUCAAGAUGCUGGUUUCCUCCCAGGAUGAUGAUCUACUAAUGAAAUUUCUCGCGAGUUUGUGUACUAUUUCGUGCUAAUUCUUCAUUAGCUGCUUAAACAAAAGUGCAGGUAACCAGAUGGUUUUUUUUCAUUCUGAAUUUGGUUGAGGCACUUGGAGUAAUAUUGACAUCCAAACCGUUUCUAACUCAGCGUGCCCCAUGAGUAGCGAAAAGAUCAUCUGUUGAAAUAUUUAAAUAUAUAUCAAGCAAAUUAAAGCUUUCAAAAUCUAUCAACAAUUUGAUUAUUUGAUGUGGUUGCCACUUGCCAUAUUUUGUGUUACUGUUCAAAAGGCUUAAAUAUGAAAAUGGUGGUUGGCGCUCACAGCAACCGAUUGCUGGUAACAUUAGUUGUUCAAUACUUAUCUCUGUCGACAUUUAUACUUGUUCAUUGUCAGAACUACGACAAUUUAUCUUCACAAUGAUGCAAGCUAGAAAGAAUUUUUCAUGUUAAGUAAAACAUUGAAGCCAUAAAGAGUCUUAAUUGAGUACUAAGUUUUCUACCAUGCUUUCAACGGUAACACAUUUGGAGCUCUUAUUCCAGGGGCUUCACAGUAGAGAGACCUGAUUUCGAUCUUCUUCAGAACUUGGGGAUUCCGUAAUAACAGAGGACAACAGUUAUAUAAGAAUAUUAUUUUGUACAAUUUUCGUAUAACCUGACCAAUGCAAGUAUAAUUUUAUGAUCUUAACUCAGAUCAAAAGACCUUCAAUGAUGUAAAAUUUGCACAUAAAGUUGAGAACCAAACAUUAGAACUUAUGAUGAAACGGAAACAAAAACGUUGAGAUUAAAAGAUAGAGAAACACAAGCUUUUUAAAAGGGAUAAAUGCUCAUUUAAUUUCUAUAUUUUGAUUUAAGAGUGCAUUUAAUUCUUAUAUUUUAAAAAGUUCCUCAACCUUAAGACACCCCCUACUAUAAAAUAUAUUUCAUUCCUACCCUUAUUUUUUUUCUUUUUACAAUAAUACUCUUGGAAUAAUAUUUUUGGGAAUAUUAAUUAAAAUAAAAAAUGGUAAUUCAUCCAGCUAGCCUUAAACAAAAUAAAUAUUAAUAAAAAUUUUUAUGUUAUUAUUUUAGUUUUAGGACUAAUUUCGUAAAUUAAUUUUUUUAUGCAUUUAUUAGUAAGAUUGCUUUAAGAAUAUUAAACAUUACUUUAAGUUGGUUGAUAUUAAUUAAUUUAUAAAUAAUUAUUAGCAAGAUUGUUGUAAAAGUACAAAAAUAUUUUCAUAUUGAUAUUUAUUGAUUAAUUUGUCAAUUAAUUUUUUUAUAAAUAAAUUAAUUAAUUUAAGAAUAUUAUUGCCAGGAUAUCAUUGUAAAAGUAAAUAAAUUUUAAGGAAAAAAAUGUAAUGUAUUUAAUAUCAAAGUAUAUUGAGAUAUUUUUCAAAAUAUAAAGACUAAACGUGCAUUGAAGUUAAAAUACAGGUACCAGACGAGCAUUUUCUCUUUUAGAAAGUUUUAUAUUUUAUAAAUGAAAGUUUGAAUAACAAAAUUAGGGUUUUGGACUCCUUUUAAACUAAACCUAAAAUAUUACUACAUAAUAAUAUUCUCCUAACUGAAAUAAGAUAAAUGCUACUUAAAUUCUAUAUCUAAAAAAAAAGAUAAAAAUCCAGAAAACAAUAGGAAAAUGGAUAUUAAACUUGUAAAAUAAUAUGAAAUAUAUAUAAUUUUCAACCGAACCACGAGGCUAAUGCGGCGCUAUAGUAUUAGAUUAGAUUCCCCUCAUCCCAAACUUCAAAAGGUAUAUUAUACACCGUAAAUAGAUACUUAUAGCUCAAGUUGUUACCCUAGAGAGAUAAUCUACUCAUCCUAUGCAACCAUCCGCUGCAUCAAAUUCGUUCCAAAAUUAAGAAUAAACCAGCUGAUGCAUUCCAAACAAUUUAGAUGAACCGAUAAAAUAAACCUAGAGAUCAAAUAAAAUCAAAUGAGAAUGAUAAUUACCUCGGACUGAAGCUCAUACAAAUUCAUUAUUUGACACCUCCAGCAAUUGUUGAAAUAAUUGUUAAUUAAAUAUAAAAUAAGACAGGUACAUAUUAAUGACACACCACUGUGAAUCGAUAGCUAAGGACGGAGUAAAAUUUAAUUGUAAAUUAGGACAGUAGAGCAAGCAUCCAUAAACAUAACAUGAACGUAAUACAUCAAUUGAAAUAUCAUACGAUAAAUUAGUCAGAGAAAGAAAUAAGUAAAUAAAUCAGCAAAGGAAACAUGCAUGAACAAAUAAAAAAAAAAACAAAGACAAAAGUAGGAAGAGUUGUCUGUGAGAAUCUUCUUCUAUGGUCAUUGAAGUCCCAAACUCAAUGGAAAUUCAAUGGAACCUUAAAAACGAACAGUGAAGGAAAAUGAAGAAAUCUGCAGGAAAUAAGGCGAGUGAGAGUGAAGAAUUAAUUACCACCGAGUAAAUGCGAAUGAAGAAUGGAGACAGAUCGAGAAGUGAGAUUCAGAGAUUGUAUUGAAAUUGAGAGUUGUGAUCCAGAAGCGAUUCUUCUUCUCCGUAAUUCCCUUUUUCUUUUAAUGUUGUUGUUAUUAUUAUUAUAUAUAUAUUUUCAAUUUCAUGAUAUCUUUUUUGUUUUAAACGGUAUUGGCAUAUUACAUUUAUUUAUGUUAAUUUUACAAUACCUCCCUUCAGAUUGCACAAAUUACAUAAAAAAAAAAAAAGUGCUUUAUGUAUAAAACUUUCAAACAAAUUGGGCCAAAAUCUAACUUUACCAAGUUUAGAGUAAUUUUGGGCUCGACAUUCCGUUUCCGACAAACGAAUUUUCUUUAUCACCAAGGUAUGAUACUUUUCAUAUUUAUCCAACGGCUCGUCAAUGACAAUACCUUUGUAAAAAGUACUUAUUUUGAAUAGUAUAUUGUGGAAAUGUCUGGUCGGUAAUACAACUAUUUCUUAUAGUGUAAAAAUGAUACACUAAGCGUUCACAUUUUGAUGAGUAAAUUAAGGAUUUCAAGAUGAAGUGCAUAAUUAGAUUAAUGCUAAGAAACUGAAGUUUGAUCGAUUGAAAACGAAAAUAAUAAUGAAGGUAAUUAAGAAAAUGAACAAUAUAUGCGGAAGCGGUCCUUAUUAGUACUUCUAGAUUUUCUCUUGGGCUUUCCUUAUUAUUGUUAAAAAAUGACCCGAAGAACUUUGAGUUUAAAAAUCUGGCCCUGAUGCCUGGUAGCCCUUCAACAUAUGAAGCACCAAAUGUUUUGAUGAGAAAAUGACAAGACCAUUUAUCAAAUUUCUUGUGGAUAUAAAUACAUACACAUAGACGAGGCCAACCUCCUCAAAUGAGAAUCAGAGUGAUUACAAGACCUUGCAAUGAGACAAUGAUACACCAUCAAAUGUCAAAAUACAAUAGAAAUUCACGACAUAUAUAUAAUAAAAGACCUCUCAUUGAGUCAUAUAUAUUGAGAAUAAAAAUGUUAUAAUACAUACACAUAGCUUAGUUAGAAUAAAAUGUCUUUGAACUUGCGAUGAUCAAACAAAGGAAACAGACAGGUUGUAACUCACAUUAUCACAAGAAGAUCACGAAGAUGGAAAUGGGAACCCCUCAGAAUGGAAACUUUGAAUAGAGGAAAAAAGAAAAACGACCUUAUUCACAGAAGAAGAGUGACUUAAAUCUUCAUCAGUAUCCAGACAUUUUGCAAUCAUAGAGUAGAGAAAUUUUAACAGGAACAGCAGAGAAAAUAUUAUGAAUAUGCUAUAGACCAAUAUACUUGUUCAUAGCUAACGUUUGAUGGUUUAAGGAUUUGUUCUAGGAAUAAUGGGCUGAUUACUUUCUUUUUAUUUUAAAUUUUUUUUAAUCCAAUGAAUGAUAUUCAGCUGUUAAUUAUGUGUUCAUAGGGAAGAAUAUUUUCUAAGUACUUUCCUUGCCUUCUAACUUUCCGAAAAGCAAACCCAAUGAACAAAUAGAGCACAAACUAAAAUAAAAGAACAGCAAUGAUGACAAUAAAUAAUUGGCAAAGAAAAAAAGGAAAAAGUAUGCACGUUUUCAAGGAAUUAUAAAAUAUGAAGGCUUUUAAUGAAACUUUAUCAUAAAAAGUAUGCAAGGAAUUAUAAAAUUUUAGAAAACAAGGGGAGCUCUCAAAAAAAAUGAAAAACUCAAAUUAAACUAGACUAAAAGACAUUCAAUUUUGCAAAAUCUGUCCAUAAAUGUCUGAAAGGAUCAUUAAAAUUGCAUUGCAAAUUUAACAGUAAACCGAGGGACCCAUUCUAAAUAAUUCAGAUGAAAUUGUGAAACAAGACAUGGGAUUAAAUAAAUGAAAUAAAAAUUAAUUACCAGUUGAGACUUUCUUCUAAAAAUUCGCAACUCCAAGUCAUAAGAAGCCUAUGAAAUUAGUCGUACUGCGUAGAGUAUGACGACGACACCGCCAACAGCUGAAAGUAAAAUUCUUAUUCAUCAAUUUAAACUUACUUUAUAACAAAUAUCUUAUCUAUAUUGUAUUUAAGAAAGCAAAUUUUGUAAAAAUUUAUCAUGGGAGAUAGAGAGUAAUAUGUAUAUACGUACCUUCUCAGCAUGUAAUUGUUGUAUGGUUGUGUUUAGAUCAUUAUUAGCCCAGCGCCGUUGAUCCGCUGUCUCUCCAUAGCAGACGUUUACUCUUAGAGGCGUGAUUGAUUCUCCUGUAGUGAAAAUCUUCAUCUUGGGACAACCAAUCACAUCCAGAUAUUCCAAAGAUGGGAAUUUGAAGGUGUAAUUGGCAGAACAGAAACUUGUGAGGCUAUCUAAAUCAAACAGUCCCAACGUCUUCAAUUUGCUAAAAACAAUCUCUUCUUUUUCAACUCCAUCUUUGUCAUUUAUUACCACCUCUGUCAUUGCUCUGCAUCCAUAUAUUUCUAUUGCUAUGAGUCGCACCAGAGUUUUUGCUGUGGAGGAUGUUACCAAGUGUAUCAAUUCCUUGCAACCGAAAGCUACAAGUUUUGUUAGGUUCCCAAAAGAUACCGAUGAUGAUGGCAAUAGAAUUAACAGACUUUGACAAUGAUAUACUUUUAGAAUUUCAAGAUACUGAAAAAUGGGGCCAAGUUUGGAGUCUUGCUUGCACAGCUGCUCCAGAUGAUAGUGCCA